rnacentral:lncRNA from 1 species
UGUCUUUACCGGAGCUGCGUACAAAGGCCAAGUCAGCGGGGAGGUAACAGCCACAGAAGUUUGCGCACUGAAACACUAUACUAGGACCCAGAAGGCAAGAAUGGUAGCAGGCCCCUUUGAAGAUGCUGCCGCCGCCUAUAUAAAACAAUAAUCCCUGGUUAAUCUCUAAGGUCCAUUUAGAUGCAUGACAAAUGGGGAUAAGUUUAGUACCAUACUGCUAGAAUAAUGAGAGUGAGACCCCUUUACGAGGAAUGCUCUAUCACAUGCCAUUAGGAGCUUGAAAAGAGGAGUUGUACACGCGCUCUUCUCCUCCUCCGCACGCCUUCACUGCCUUCUUUUCUGUUGCUUUGUGACUACUGGGUUUAUCCUCCGCUUUAAUUUUCCCUAUCUCCCUCAGGGUAGAACGGGCUUUUUCAUACAAGCUGCAGAGCUUGAGGCCCGGCAGCAUGCUGGGGCGUUCGGCGAGGAGGAACACCAUGUAAUCUGACAUCGCCUUGAUUGCCUUACCAUGAUCUUAGAGUGCUUCUAGGACCCAAGUGUGGUUCCACGAGAGGAAAACAUCCGUAGCAAUGUGCCAGAUGAGGACGGCCUCUUGAAGCUCAGGAGGGAAUUCGCCUGACUGAUCCGUGGGCUUGAAGGCAGCAGUUUGCUUCUUGGGGUUGUCGAGCAUGGAACCAGUGUGGACAUUCCUCCAGAGAUAAGCUUGCUCAUAGGGUUAGAGAUAAGCUUGCUCAUAGGGUUCACGCGGGGCUUGAUCAUACCUCCAGUGAUCAUCGGUUUGUUGCUCGUAGGCUCUGGGCGAAGCCUUUGCAACUUCCUCGUCAAGGUGGUGCACUAGUGCAGAACCGGCCUUUAGUGCUGGUUCGUAACGGCCUUUAGUGCCGGUUUGCCAACCGGCACUAAAGAGUGGGGACUAAAGGUCCCCCUCCCUCUUUAGUACCGGUUCGUCACGAACCGGCGUUAAAAUGACACCACGUGGCACGAGCCAGGCCCUGUGAGCGUAGGACAUUAGUNNNNNNNNNNNNNNNNNNNNNNNNNNNNNNNNNNNNNNNNNNNNNNNNNNNNNNNNNNNNNNNNNNNNNNNNNNNNNNNNNNNNNNNNNNNNNNNNNNNNNNNNNNNNNNNNNNNNNNNNNNNNNNNNNNNNNNNNNNNNNNNNNNNNNNNNNNNNNNNNNNNNNNNNNNNNNNNNNNNNNNNNNNNNNNNNNNNNNNNNNNNNNNNNNNNNNNNNNNNNNNNNNNNNNNNNNNNNNNNNNNNNNNNNNNNNNNNNNNNNNNNNNNNNNNNNNNNNNNNNNNNNNNNNNNNNNNNNNNNNNNNNNNNNNNAUAUAUAUCAUCGAAUGUCUCACAACCAACACCAUUAAUUAUUCACACAUACACAUGUAUAUACAUAUACAAUUUCUCCUACAUGUUGCCUUGGUGCCUCCGGAGCACGAUGACAAGUGGUUCAUGGGGGCGGUAGCGGGUAAUAGUAUUCUCCUUUGGGAUCUAUGACCUGGUCGAGCAAAAAUCCGGCUAUUUCCUCUUGAAGUGCUAGUACGCGGUCCGAUGGUAAGAACUUAUCCCGCACCUCUCUGAACUGUUAAGAAAGAGAUCAAUAUGCAUGUGUAUUAGUUGUGUGACUAAAUAUCGAUAAUGGUGUGAAUAGUGUUCUGACAAACAUACCCACUCCUGUCUAUCAGAUCUGCUCCUUUCGGAUGCCAUCAUGUGAAUGUUCUCGUAAACGUAGAAUGCACACAGAUUAUUCCCCGACGCCUGCUUCAGGGCCUUUACGAGAAUGGAAUUGAAUCAGAUAAUGAUUAAUCAAGCAUGAUAAUUAAUUAAUGAUAUUGAAACAAGAAUUAAAGAGAUGGUAGCUAGCUAGUACUACUUAAUUACUUACCUUUGGUCGAUGCCAAAACUUUUUUGCCCAUUUGCCUGGAGUCACCUUGAUGAACUUUGCCCAUGCCCUGCCCGCCGGCAAAGAAAAUUAAUAAAGGGGUUAUUAAAUAGUUCAUAUCAGGAAAUGACGAACUAAUAAUAGGCCGAGAUAUAGUUAAUAAUGAUUGAAAUUAUCUGUUGACUAUCCCCUUCACGAUGGUGUAGUCUUUAUCUUCUUUAGUUAGUGAGUCCAGUAAUUCAACUUUUCCUUCCUCAACUUUAAUGUCUAACAAGAUCCAGUGCCAACUGCAUGUGCACACGUUUGCAUGUCUUAAUUAAGCAGGCAUGUGCAUAGAAUUAAUCAACUACCAUAAAACGUAUACACUUAAUUAUUAACAUCUAGCUAGCUAGUAAGCAAAAACAGAAUUUGUAGUGCAAGACAGUGUGACUCACGGGAAGUUGUAAGGAAGUAGUAUAUCUUCAUUGGUAUUGAGGCGCUUCAAGAACUUUAGCAUGCUUUCCUCUACACUUGCUUGAUAAACUGGAAGCUUCCAUGUGUACUCAUUAAUGGUAUUUGGGUCAAUGAACCCAAUGCCAUAGCGUCCAGAUUUUUUCAUUUCAUACAUCUUCAUCCUGUAUAUAAUACCACAGAAAAGAAUAUAGUGAGGAUAAUUACAUGUAAUGAUUGAUCAAAAUUAUCACUACAUAACUAGCUUGAGACUUAAAUUACAGAAAGAAAUCAUUUACACAUAAUAACAACUGACAAUAGACUUGUCGAGUGCGUCUUGAUUGUAUAACUUAAAUAGUUCUGAAUACUCAACGGCCAGAGCUUUCUCAAGGUAGUAAUGCUCACGCUUGACAUUUACCAUGAGGGACUCUCGAUUGGAAAUCUUGAUAAUGUUCAUGUACCAUUAAUGCAAUUCAUACAUUCUCGUUGGGAGGUCCUUGACCUUGUAUGGAUGGACCAAAGGUUGGCCCCGGACAUAUUUCUGUUUUAUUUCCGAUUCUCUAAGCGGAGACAUGGGCUCGAUUUCGAGGAGUUGUCCAACAGAGAUCUUGAGCAUUUCAGCCUGCAUUAUAUGCUCCUCUGUUAUUACCACAUCGCCCUGCUGGGGAAUGCUAACGCUUUGCCCACAAUAAUAUUUGGCGCACGUACUCCUCUCAUGUGUUGUUGGCACAACAAGCGGGGGGAUCGCUUGCGUCGUCUGUUCUCCCAGCUGGGGAACGGUUUUCCUGCAUUUUUUGCUAGCUGCUUGUUGGCUCGAGCUCGAGCUCGCUUCCUUCUGUAGCCAUGCUCGAUGUAGCUUCCUGAUUUGACGCUCAUAGUCUGAGUCAACAGGCUUGGGAGCUGGUGCUCUAGCCAGACGAAUGAAGUGGUCAAUCGUUUUCUCAGGCACUUUCUCCUUUGGCGGCGGUGCCGGUUUCGGUCCAAAAUGGGCGUCCACUUGGGCCUGCACUAUGGCUGCGUUUUGCUCCUUGGUCAUGUCGUAAGGCCUCUGAGGAAGAGGAGCAAAGCUUGGACCAUAUUUAUAUCGCUUGUCUCCGCCUAUACUUCCUGUAUUACCUCAACUCGUACCGCUACGCACCAUAGCUGCGGCGUGUCUCUUCUGCGAUUCCUGAGACCGCGGAGACGGCUGACGUGGCUGACGCUGUGCCAGACUUGAAGCAGGAGGAGUGGCCUGAUGCUGUGCCGGACAUGAAGGAGGAGGAGUCUGCUCACGCGUUCGGGGACUUGGAGGAGGUGGCAGACUUCGAGGAGGAGUCGGCUCACGCGUUCGUGGACUUGGAGGAGCGGGAGUCUGCUGACUCGGUGACGGACUUCGAGGAGGAGUCGGCUCAUGCGUUCGUGGACUUGGAGGAGCGGGAGUCUGCUGACUCGGUGGAGGACUUCAAGGAGGAGUCAGCAGACGACGCGGUGUCGGUGGACUUGGAAAGAUGAUGCAAUCCUUUCUCUAUAGGAUGAUACGAUGUACGACCUCUCUCAGUGUGCGCUCACCGUCACCUCCAGCAAUGUCAAGUGCUAGCAUCGAAUAUGGCUCCACCACUUCAUCAACCAUGACACGAGCAUAGCCCUCUGGAAUCGGGAUGCAAUGGAAGGUUGCUUCAGGGGUAAUUGAAAGCAACGCCGUCCACCACCUUCAUGGAUAUGUUCUUCAUUUUGGAGUGUAGCUCACAGUUAGUGUUCUCUAUGAUGUCAUUCUCAGGGUGGUAUGUAUCCAGCAGUGUGUCGCCCGGGGCAGAACCAACGCUGCUUCUCAGCAUGGAUGGGAUGGUGCUAUCCAAUGAUGGACGAUCAUCCGCUUGCUGCUGCCACUGCUGAGACCCCCUUUCCUGGCUAAGUGAGUCGAUCUGCUGCUGCUACUGCUGGAAUUUAAGUGCCAAGUCUGUGUGACUUGCUUCUAGGCAUUGAAGGCGUUCUGCGUCCUGCUUCCUUUGCUCCUUGAUACGUCUCCAACGCAUCUAUAAUUUUUUAUUGUUCCAUGCUAUUAUAUUACCCCUUUUGGAUGUUUAUGGGCUUUAUUCUACACAUUUAUAUCAUUUUUGGGACUAACCUACUAACCGUAGGCCCAGCCCAUAUUGCUGUUUUUUCCUAUUUGAGUAUUUCGAAGAAAAGGAAUAUCAAACGGAGUCCAAACGGAAUGAAACCUUCGUGAGCGUUAUUUUUGGAACAAAUCUGAUCCGGAGAGCCUGGAGUGCAAGUCAAGAAAGCUCCGAGGGCCCCACGAGAUAGGAGGGCGCCCCCUGUAGGGCGCGCCCCCCUGUCUCGUGGGCCCCUCGGGCAUCCACCGACGUACUUCUUCCUCCUAUAUAUGUCCACAGACCCCGAAAACAUCCAGGAGCACCACGAAACACAAUUUCCACCGCCGUAACCUUCUGUAUCCGCGAGAUCCCAUCUUGGAGCCUUCGCCGGCACUCUGCUGGAGGGGGAAUCAAACACGGAGGGCUUCUACAUCAACACCAUAGCCUCUCUGAUGAGUUGUGAGUAGUUUAUCACAGACCUACGGGUCCAUAGUUAUUAGCUAGAUGGCUUCUUCUCUCUUUUUGGAUCUCAAUAUAAUGUUCUCCCCCUCUCUUGUGGAGAUCUAUUCGAUGUAAUCUCUUUUUGCGGUGUGUUUGUCGAGAUCCGAUGAAUUGUGGGUUUAUGAUCAAGUUUAUCUAUGAUAAUAUUGGAAUCUUCUCUGAAUUCUUUUAUGUAUGAUUGAGUUAUCUUUAGAAGUCUCUUCGAAUUAUUAGUUUGGUUUGGCCUACUAGAUUGAUAUUUCUUGCCAUGGGAGAAGUGUUUAGUUUUGGGUUCAAUCCUGCGGUGAUCUUACCCAGUGACAGAAAGGGUUACAAGACACGUAUUGUAUUGUUGCCAUCGAGGAUAACAAGAUGGGGUUUAUAUCAUAUUGCAUGAGUUUAUUCCUCUACAUCAUGUCAUCUUGAUUAAUGUGUUGCUCUGUUCUUAUGAACUUAAUACUCUAGAUGCAUGCUGGAUAGCGGUCAAUAUGUGGAGUAAUAGUAGUAGAUGCAGGCAGGAGUCGGUCUACUUGUUAUGGACGUGAUGCCUAUAUACAUGAUCAUGCCUAGAUAACGUCAUAAUAAUUCACUUUUCUAUCAAUUGCUCGACAGUAAUUUGUUCACCCACCGUAAUACUUAUGCUAUCUCGAGAGAAGCCUCUAGUGAAACCUAUGGCCCCCGGGUCUAUCUCUUAUCAUAUUUGCUUUCAAUCUACUUUUAUUUACAUACUUAUUUUCUGCAUCUAUAUUAUAAAAUACCAAAAAUAUAUUUAUCUUAUCAUACUUUCUCUAUCAGAUCUCACUUUCAUAAGUGACCGUGAAGGGAUUGACAACCCCUUUAUUGCGUUGGUUGCGAGUUCUCAGUUUAAUUUUGUAGGUGUGUGGGACUUUUUAGGAGCCUCCUACUGGAUUGAUACCUUGGUUCUCAAAAACUGAGGGAAAUACUUACGCUACACUUUGCUGCAUCACCCUCUCCUCUUCGGGGAAAACCAACGCUAGCUCAAGACGUAGCACUCCUCCUCUAGCUCCCUCUUCUCCUCCUCCUCCAUCUUCUUUCUUGCAUGGGACCUGUAGUCGUUGUUCCAGUCCGAAAAGCCCUCAUGCUAGGGAAUAACGCCCUUGCCGCGUGUUCUUCCCGGGUGUUCAGGAUUUCCCAAGGCACGCGUAAGCUCUUCGUUCUCUCUGUUGGGCGUGAACACCCCCGUUCGAGCUUCUUCUAUUGCGUCAAGUAUCUUUUGAUCGGCUCCUUUUGGACUUGCCUUCUGCGAAACUAGGUCUGUCUUCGGGUCCAACACCGCCCAUGCGCAUAGAACCAAGUUCUGCACCUGGGGGGGCAGCUCCUAGUAAUUGGAGUGACCCCUGCAUCCUCCAUCUCUUGCUCAGACUUAUCCCACUUAGGCAUUCCCACCGCGUAGCCACGUGGACCCAGCCUAUGGAACUGCGUCUUUUUGCAGUAUUGGCCUUGUUUUUUAUCGACCGUUCCUUAGAUAAUUCUGAAUCCUUGAAUUUCACGAAAUCGUCCCAGUGUUCUCUUUGCUUCUCCAGUGUUCCCGUGAAUUCUGGAGUCUUCCUUUUUGCAGCGAUGUAGUUGGCCCAUACAGUUUUCUUGUGGGUGUUGAAUGCAAUUGCCUUCUUCUUAAGAGCAGCGCCCUUGACUUUCUCCACAUCUGCUUUAGUGAAAUAAUCUGGUAGGGUGAAAUGUUCCAUCAGAGAAUCCCAAAGGUCUUUUUUUGCUCUGUCGUCGACCCAAGUAACACCUGGACGUUUAGUCUUUGGCUCUUUCCAUUCUUGAAUGGAGAUCGGGAGUUUGUCCUUCACAAGACCUCCGCACUAACAAGUCCACUUGUUUGCAAUGUUCUUAGGCGUCAGUGGUUCUCCACUAGGUUUGACGGAUUCGAUGUUGUACUUUACACCAUCCUUCAACAAUCUGCCCGGGCCUCGCUUUGUCCUGCUGUCUAUAGAAGCAGAUUUGCUCGAUCCGGAGGGCUGAAAGAAGGAAGAUCGAUUCGUUCAUAUAUCUUAAAAAAACAUGUGAUGAUCACCAGAUGCCUGCUUAUACAAAUAUACCUCGCUGGUAGUCUUUGUUAUUUGAAGAUCAGCAUUCUCUGUGUCAUCAUAAACAUUGUUUGUAUCAUCAUAAUCAGAAUCAUAGUUCAUGACUUCAUCAGCUCGGACGUCGAGAUCGAAUAUCUUUUCAUCACCCUCUCCGGUAUUGUUCAGAUAUUGGGAGCUGACAUCUGCUUCAUUCAGAUCAUCUAGCCUGCCAGGGCUGCAUAUGAUGUCGAACAAUUCCUCUUCUCUAUCUCUGCCGGUAUUGUCCGCCAUAGCUUUUACUUAACUGAUACAAAAGAAAUAUAGAACAAUUUAGUAUUCAAAUUACAAUGCAUGGAUGCAAUCAAUAAGGAAAAACUGAAUCAUAUAGUACAUAAUAUAUAUGCAUCGUCUCGAUUAAUAUAUAAUUUCAUAUAUACAUCAUCGUCUCGAAUAAUAUAUAUAAUCUCGAAUACAUCAUCUCGAAUAUUAUUUUGCUUUAUCUAUUUUUGUUUUAUUUAUUUUUGAGUUGUUUUUUGCUGUAUUUAGAGUUUCUUUCUGGAUGUUUUUUAUUUAGGUACAAAAAAUUACAAACUUUCUGUUAGUGCCGGUAGUUUUCAAAUUUGAAUAGUUUAACUUUUGAAUUAUUUGAAAUUUGUGUGAAUCACUAGUUUGUGAAUAACACAUAACUACCCUAACUAUUACAGAGAUUCCCUCCUGGGUGUGAAACACAGAAGAAAGUGAAGAUAGUGAAGCCGAUCAUAUCCCGGAUCUUUGGGUGUGAAACAUUUUCUUCGCGUGUGUCCCUUUGCACCGUAGCCAUGGAAAAUCUUCAUCAUUUAACUGGAUGCUCGGGUCAAUAUUCACUGUGAAUGGAGCAAUUUCAUCAAACUUAUCAUAAUCUUCUAACAUGUCUGUCUUGUCAUCCACUCCCAUGAUGUUUCUUUUCCCUAAAAGAACUAUGUGGCGCUUUGGCUCGUCGUAUGAUUCAUUCGCUUCCUUAUCUUUUCUUUUUCUCGGUCUGGUAGACAUGUCUUUCACAUAAAAAACCUACGCCACAUCAUUGGCUAGGACGAAUGGUUCUUCUGCAUACGCAAGAUUGUUGAGAUCCACUGUUGUCAUUCUGUACUGCGGGUCUUCCGUUACCCCGCCUCGUGUCAUAUUGACCCAUUUGCACCAGAACAAAGGGACCUUCAAACCACCUGCAUAGUUAAGUUUUCAUAUGUCCUCUAUGUAACCAUAAUAUGUUUCCUUUCCCGUGUUGGUUGUUGCAUCAAAGCGGACAUCACUGUUUUGGUUGGUGCUCUUCUUAUCUUGGGCGAUCGUGUAAAAUGUAUUCCCAUUUAUCUGGUACCCUUUGAAAGUCAUUAUAUUCGAAGAGUAACUGGGACAACGAGUAUACGUCAUCUUCAAUAUCGCCAUCAUGCAUGGCACGUUUCUGCAACCAACCGGCGAAAGUCCUCGUUUGUUCACGUGUAAUCCAGUCGUCAGACUUCUCCGGGUGUUUGGAGUGUAGAAAAUUCUUGUGUUCCUCCAUAUACGGAGCCACCAAGGCGGAAUUCUGUAGAACUGUGUAGUGUGCUUCAGUGAGAGAAUGCCCGUCCAUACAUAUUAUUUGAUCCCCUCCUAGCGUGCCUUUUCCAUCCAGUCUGCCCUUAUGUCGCGAUUCAGGAACACCAAUCGGCUUAAGGUCAGGAAUAAAGUCAAUACAAAACUCAAUGAACUCCUCAUUUUCAUGGCCCUUCGCGAUGCUUUCUUCUGGCCUAGCACAGUUAUGAACAUAUUUCUUCAAGACUCCCAUGAACCUCUCAAAGGGGAACAUAUUGUGUAGAAAUACAGGACCCAAAAAGUUAAUCUCUUCGUAAAGGUGAACUAGGACGUGCGUCAUGAUGUUGAAGAAGGAUGGUGGGAACACCAACUCAAAACUGACAAGACAUUGCACCAAAUCAUUUUGUAACCUUGGUAUGAUUUCUGGAUCGAUUACCUUUUGAGAGAUGGCAUUGAGGAAUGCACAUAGCUUCACAAUGGCUAAUCGAACGUUUUCCGGUAGAAGCCCCUCAAUGCAACCGGAAGCAGUUGCGUCAUAAUCACGUGGUAGUCAUGAGACUUUAGGUUCUGGAACUUUUUCUCUGCCAUAUUUAUUAUUCCCUUUAUAUUCGAUGAGAAGCCAGACGGUACCUUCAUGCUGAGAAGGCAUUCAAAGAAGAUUUUCUUCUCUUCUUUGGUAAGAGCGUAACUGACCCUGAUGUAUGUCGUCUUUUCCGCGCAUAUGUUGCUGGUCCUCCCGUGCCUCUGGUGUAUCUUUUGUCUUCCCAUACACGCCCAAGAAGCCAAGCAGGGUCACGCAAAGAUUCUUCGUCACGUGCAUCACGUCGAUUGCGGAGCGGACCUCUAGGUUUUUCCAAUAGGGCAGGUCCCAAAAUAUAGAUUUCUUCUUCCACAUGGGCGCGCGUCCGUCAGCGUCCUUUGGAACAGGUUGUCCGCCAGGACCCUUUCCAAAGAUUACCUUCAAAUCCUUGACCAUAUCAUGUACAUCAGCACCAGUACGGUGGCGAGGCUUCGUCCGGUGAUCCGCCUCACCUUUGAAAUGCUUGCCUUUCUUUCUUACGGGAUGCCUGCUCGGAAGAAAUCGACGAUUUCCCAGGUACACAUUCUUCCUACAACUCUCCAAAUAUAUACUGUCAGUAUCAUCCAAAUAGUGCAUGCAUCCGCGGUAUUCCUUGUUUGUCUGUCCUGAAAGGUUACUGAGAGCAGGCCAAUCAUUGAUGGUCACGAACAGCAACGCCUUUAGGUCAAAUUCUUCCUGUCCGUGCUCAUCCCACGCACGUACACCUGUUCCAUUCCUCAGCUGUAAUAGUUCUUCAACUAAUGGCCUUAGGUACACAUCAAUGUCGUUGUCGGGUUGCUUAAGGCCUUGGAUGAGCACUGGCAUCAUAAUAAACUUCCGCUUCAUGCACAACCGAGGAGGAAGGUUAUAUAAACAUAGAGUCACAUGCCAUGUGCUAUGGUUGCUGCUCUGCUCCCCAAAAGGAUUAAUGCCAUCUGCGCUUAGACCAAACCAUACAUUCCUUGGGUCACCUGCAAACUCCUCCCUGUACUUUCUCUCGAUUUUUCUCCACUGUGAACCGUCAGCGGGUACUCUCAAUUUUUCGUCUUUCUUACGGUCUUCUUUGUGCCACCGCAUCGCCUUCACAUGCUCUUUGUUUUGGAACAAACGUUUCAACCGUGGUAUUAUAGGAGCAUACCACAUCACCUUGGCAGGAAUCUUCUUUCUGGGGCGCUCGCCCUCGACAUCACCAGGGUCAUCGCGACUGAUCUUAUAACGCAAUGCACCACAUACCGGGCAAGCGUUCAAAUCCUUGUACGCACCGCGGUAGAGAAUGCAGUCAUUAGGGCAUGCAUGUAUCUUCUGCACCUCUAACCCUAGAGGGAAGACGACCUUCUUUGCUUCAUACGUACUCUCGGGCAAUUCGUUGUCCUUUGGAAGCAUAUUCUUUAUCAUUACCAGCAACUUUCCAAAUCCCUUGUUAGAUACACCAUUCUCUGCCUUCCAUUGCAGCAAUUCCAGUGUGGUGCCCAACUUUUUUUUGUCAGCUUCGCAAUUCGGGUACAACAAUUUCUUGUGAUCCUCUAACAUGCACUGCAACUUCUUCCUCUCCAAAUCACUUGCGCAAUUUCUCUUUGCAUCGGCAAUGGCCCGACCUAGAUCAUCAGCGGGCUCAUCUGAUGCCUCUUCUUCAGCUUGUUCCCGCAUUGCCGGCUCAGCUUCUUCCUCCAUUGUUGUAUCAUCGUAUUCAGGGAACCCAUGGCCAGGAUAGAUGUCGUCGUCCUCUUCUUCUUCAUUGUCUUCCAUCAUAACCCGUCUUUCUCCAUGCUUGGUCCAAACAUUAUAGUGGGGCAUGAAACCGGACUCAAAUAGGUGAACGUGAAUGGUUCUUGCCGUAGAGUAAUUGUGACCAUUCUUACAGCUAGCACAUGGACAAGGCAUAAAACCACCCGUCCGCUUGUUUGCCUCAGCGGCAAGCAGAAAUGUAUGCACACCAUUAAUGAACAAGGAAGAGCAUCGGUCAUCAUACAUCCAUUGUCGGCUCAUAUCUUCAUUAUACACAACACCGAAUAGACCAAAUUAAUACAAGUUCAUACAUAAAGUUCAUAUACAACACUUAAUUAAAUGCAACAUACAAAGAUCUCUCUAGCUAAAGAAUUUAAAUGCAACAACAAAUGCGAUCAAGAUCGCAACUAAGGUAACAAUUGAUCCAACAUCAUAAUGAUACCAAGCCACACUAUCAAUGGCAUAUUUUCUAAUCUUUCUAAUCUUCAACCUCAUUCUUUCCAUCUUGAUCUUGUGAUCAUCGACGACAUCGGCAACAUGCAACUCCAAUUCCAUCUUCUCCCCCUCAAUACUUUUCAAUUUUUCUUUCAAAUACUCGUUUUCUCUUUCAACUAAAUUUAACCUCUCGACAAUAGGGUCGGUUGGAAUUUCCGAUUCACAUACCUCCUAGAUAAAAAUAUCUAUGUCAACUUGAUGGGCAUAAUUUGUCAUAAACACGAAAUGCAACAACUAGUUUUAAAAGAGAAUAUACCACAUCCGAAUCAUAACAAGGACGAGGGCCGAUGAAGACGGAUAUCAAAACCAUGGCACUAUGUAUAACAAACAACGUACGGGUAAGACAAUUAUACGAGUAACUAUAUAUCCAAAUCACACAAACAUCAAUUUGGUAAUGUAAAACAUUCAUGAACAAGAACCUCACCAAAAGGUGGUGCCGGCGACGGGACGGUGCGGGCGAUCGACGGUGGUUACGACGGAGAUUUAGAAGGCACUAAGUAAACCACACCUACAUAUGCAAACUAAGUGUUAUUUUUGACCUCAAAUUGCAUAUAAAUCAAAUACUAGCAAAUAUAAUUCCUCCCAAAUUAAUCACUAUACAAAGCAUUGCAAGAGCUAAUCUAGCAAUGAGAGUUGAAAGGACAAAGUUGCUAAAGGGGCUGGACGGGCCCCAGACUGACAACAUCCUGCCACCACUCUCUUUAGUACCGGUUCGUGGCACGAACCGGUGUUAAAGGUUCGCCACGAACCGGUACUAAUGAGAGCGGCCGGCUAACCGUUGGAACCAGCACUAAUGUGUCUCAGAUUUGCCCCUUUUUCUAUUAGUGGUGGUGCGGCCUUGCGGGCGCACCGUAUGUCUCUUGAUCAAUUGUCACAUUUCUCAUACAGGAACAGACUUUCCUUGGGUAGGGCGGCCAUGUAGGAGGCUCAUUGAGCAUACCCUUGCAGAUCCGCUGCCUGGGGUAGAAUGGCACCGGAGGAUGCUCAUUGUCCAUACCAUUGCAGAUCCGCUCCCUCGGGUAGAACGGCCACAAAGGAGGCUCACUGUCCAUGUCCCUGCAGAUCGGCUCCCUGGGGCACAACGGCCACGAAGGAGGCAGAUUGCCCAUAGAGUUGCAGAUCCGCUCCCUGGAUACUGGAGUCCUUUGAUGCUUACCGGUGUCAAUGCAGUUGUUCUGCUUGGCAUGAGGCACAUGUACAGUACAACUGGGGGGCUUCAUGGUCCACUCACACGGGCACUUCUCGGGGGCUCGGCGCGCGGCCCUGGAGACUUUUGAUGCCCACCUAUGGAUGGGUUAUGGGACUGCAGCCCUUGAUGCCCAUCGACUUUGGAAGAGGAGUUCCGCCGCCCUUGAAACCCUUCCUGGUGGAGGAGCUUGGGGUUGGGGGCUUGGAGGCCCAUCUGAAGUGCCACUCGACUGUGGGUUGACCCCUUGUGUCAAGGGAGCAGGGAAUAACUCUGCAUAUAUAACAUUGAACACCAGCUUCUUGACAUAGUCGGAAAUCUCCAGGCCCUUCGAGUGGUGUUUCAAUUCAGUCUCCAGUCUAGAUAUGUUGUAUAUGCUGUAUAGGUUGCGCCUCCCACCUCCUGUAGCUUUUGUGCUUCUUGGCAGAGUCACAUGUCCACAGCCACAAGGAGAGCCGGGAGAGAGGCAGGGACACGACCCAACGACGGAGCUUGUGCCAUCUCUUUCGGCACAAAACUUGAUGAUUCAACCAACUGUGUGGCCCCUUGAAGAAUGAGUAUGUCCAGGUUGAAGCUAGUGCUCUGAGCAGCCAUCUCAAAUCGAGGAGGAAAGUCGUCCCCAGCAAUACAUUACUGAUAACUUUAUCUUCUGUUCUCAUGUCGUCUUUGCAUUGGAGGCUAAACAGAAAGAGCGCAGUGGCGGUUAAGAGCGGCGAGGAUAGACAGAUGACAUAGCCAUGCCACGUGUAGACCACUGCGGCCUUGGUGUAGAGGAUGUCAUACAUAAGAGAGAGUUCCAUCUCCACCACCUUGCACAUACUCUCCCAUUGACCCGAGAAGCUGCUUCUGACGGCGGCAUUAUAAUCCAUGUACUCCACCGAGUAAACAGAAAAGGCACCCUUGCAGAUAUCGAACAGGCCAUGAGCAACCAACAAGGCUUCCUCAUCUUUCAGAUUCUUGCCUCCACCAUAAUCACGUCUGAAGCUACUGGCACUUGGUUGCAGCUCCCUGAAUGACCUCCGUAUGCGGCUCAAAUUGCAUAGCCAUAGCGCCGCCGCACUCUCCACAUACUUGAAAAGGCCCAGCAAUAACAUGAUGAAAGACGCUUGACGCAACAACCCAGUAGUGCAGUCGGCGAGUAUAUAUCUAUACACAAUAAGUAUGGAUCCUAGGGACUGCAGGGGAACAAACACGAACAGGCGCAGCCAGAGCUCAUUGUCCUCGAUGGUGUAGGCACUCAUGUUGUCCGGGGGAGCGUUGUGCAGUGUAGAAGGACAAGAUAUGGGCUGUGCAAUCUCGAUGUAUUGAUCGGUGCACCAGGCACGUAUAUAUAAGUACAGAGGUGGGCCACAACCUCAACUAUACAAAGGAAACUGGAGGCGGCCCUACACACAAAUAUACACGUACACAAUAUACUCAACACCCCCCCGCAGUCGAAGCGGCACCAGUGACGCAAAGACUGGAACGGGACUCCUCGAAGGUAGAAGUCGGCAGUCCCUUCAUCAUCACAUCGGCGAACUGCUGAGCGGUCGUUACAUGGAGAACCCGCAUACGUCCAAGAGCCACCUGCUCGCGCACAAAGUGAAUGUCCAGCUCGAUGUGUUUAGUCCGGCGAUGAUGAACGGGGUUGGCGGAGAGGUACACCGCAGAAACGUUGUCACAGUAGACAACCAUAGCCUGGGAGACGUCGUGAUGCAGCUCCUGAAGUAACUGUCGUAGCCAGGUGCACUCGGCAACAGCGUUGGCCACAACUCGGUACUCAGCCUCCGCGCUGGAGCGCGAAACCGUGGGUUGUCGCUUGAACGACCACGAGACGAGUGAAGGACCGAGGUAGACGCAGUAGCCAGAGGUGGACCAACGAGUAUCGGGGCAGCCAGCCCAGUCUGCAUCAGAGUAGGCCACCAUCUCCAGAGAAGUAGACGCCGUGAGUGUCAACCCGAGGGUCAUCGUGCCGCGGAUGUAGCGAAGGAUCCGCUUCAAGAGAGUCCAAUGAGAGUCACGAGGGGCGUGCAUGUGGAGACACACCUAUUGAACAGCAUACUGAAGAUCCGGUCUGGUGAGAGUCAAAUACUGAAGAGCGCCGACAAUAGACCGGUAGAAAGGAGCAUCCGACGCAGGCGAGCCCUCAAGAGAAGAGACCUUGGCCUUCGUGUCAACAGGAGUAGCAACAGGGUGACAGUUGAGCAUGCCAGCACGCUCAAGAAGCUCAUGUGCAUACUUCUGUUGAUGAAGAAAGAAACCGUCCGGACGCUGAACGGCCUCAAUGUCAAGGAAAUAAUGUAGAGCACCCAGGUCCUUGAUAGCAAACUCGUCACGCAGCCGGAGAGUAAUCUGCUGAAGAACAGCUGCGGAGGAGGCCGUCAGGAUGAUGUCAUCGACGUAAAGCAGCAAAUAUGCAGUCGUGUCACCAUAGACAAACAGUGAGGCGUCCGAGCGAGUAACGCUGAAGCCUAGUGUCUGAAGAAACCUGUAAGUGCAUCUAGUGCCAUCCCUAGUUGGUUUUGGAGUAUUGACGACAAAGUUGGUUGAGGGACUAAUGUGUUUGUGAGAAUUGCAGGAUAACGCAGGUAGUGUCCCUCAUUGAUUCGGUUUACCUACCGGAGAUGACCCCUAAAAAUGUAUGAAGACAUUGAAGACAAUGGUGGUGUGUGAAGAUAUUCACACUGAAGUCUAUGACAUGAGAAGACAUUGAGUGAAGACUAUGGAGCGCGAAGACUGAGUCGUUUCGUUGUUUCCUUUUCUUCUUUGUUGAGUCAUAGGAACCACCGCACUGUUAAGUAGGGUCCAAGUGAACUAAGUCAGAGUGACUGAAGUGAUGCUCAACCCAAAUCCUAUGUCUUCGAGCGAAGACAAUGUGAGUAAAUCUUAUCCAGAGCUGGAUGAGUCAGCUUUGCUUGUAGCCCAAGUAAAGUUGCCGUGUGUGUUUGAAAUCUGACCAUUGAAACAUGUGUCAGUUCCUUAGUGACCCAGGGUCAUUUUGGACAUAUCAGGUCGGGUUGCCUUGUGGCUAUAAAUAGCCCACCCCCUACACCAUAAAUUGGUGGGCUGCUCAGAGUUAGUUUACGGCUUUUGUCGUUUUGAGAGCAACCCACCUCGAAGCCUUUGAGAGAGAAAUCCUUGCGAGGACAAAGCCCAAACACCCAGAGCCAAAGAGUGUUAGGCAUCACUGAAGUCUUUUUGUCUGUGUGACCUGAAGACUUAUUACACUUGAGGACUGUGUAUCCUCCAGCCGGUUAGGCGUCGCGUUCUGAGCAUCCAAGAGUCAUUGUGGAUUGCCAGGUGAACGAAGUCUGUGAAGGUUCAGAAGUCUACCUUGAAGACUUAACAGAGUGAUUGGGCGAGGACUGGGUGUCCUUAGCUCAAGGGGAAUAAGGUGAAGACACGGUCUUUUGAGUUGAAUCUCAGCCUCCCCAACCAGACGUACAGUUGUCACAGCAACUGGAACUGGUCCAACAAAUCAUGUGUCUUCAACAAGUGACUGGUUCUAUCUCUUCCCUCCUUUACUUUGAGUUUGUCUUCGUGAAGUCAUUGCUUAUCUGUCUUAUCUGAUUGACUUCAUUGCUUGACUACUAUUGUUGAUUGGCUUCAUACUAUCUUCCAUCCUGAUCCUUACUACCUAGCUGCUGUUAGUCUUCGUACGUUAGCACUAUUGCAUACUUGACUAUGGCUUGCUUUGUGUAGUUUAUCUUCCGCUGCAUAUCAAUUAGGUCAUUUCUAUUGUUUAUCUUCGAAACUUCCACAUUUUGAAGACUUUGAUAAAAAUCGCCUAUUCACCCCCCUCUAGUCGAUAACUAGCACUUUCAAUUGGUAUCAGAACAAAGUACUCCCUUGUUCUGUGUGAUUCGGUUUAACCACCUGGAGUUUAGCUAUGUCGACUGCAGGGAUAAUCAAAGUCUCCGUUGCUUGCCCCGUGUUCGAUGGAACAGAAUAUCCCUACUGGAAGAAUAAGAUGCGCAUGCAUCUUGAAGCCAUUGAUGUCGACCUCUGGUAUGUCGUCAAGAACGGCGUUCCAAAAACUGGUGAAGGUGUCACCCCUGCUGAUGUCAAGAAGUUCAUUCAACUGGACUCGACUGCAAAGAACAUCAUCUGUGGUCAUCUAACCAAAGGACAGUAUGGCCGUGUGAGUGCUCUGGAAACGUCAAAGCUAGUUUGGGACUGGCUAUCCAAGGUCAACGAAGGCGUCUCUACACAGAGAGACCAGAGGAUCAGUGUUCUUCGCAAUCUCUUCAACCGCUUCAAGAGAAACAACAAUGAAAAUGUCCAGCUCACAUUUGAUCGCCUCACCGACAUCACAAAUGAGCUUCAGGCUCUCGGCGCCACUGAGAUCACCAAGCAUGAAAUCAUCAAGACGCUGCUGAGAUCCCUUGACAGCUCCUUUGACACCCUUGCCCUCAUGAUACAAGAACGUCCUGACUUCAAGACUCUCGAUCCGUCUGAUAUACUUGAGAGGCUCAACACACAUGAGUUUCAGCUUUCUGAGAAAAGAGAUAUCUAUGGCCCCAACUACGGCCGAACUCGUGCUUUGAAGGCAAAAGUUGUUUCCUCAUCUGAAGAAGAAGAAUCUGACUGCGGUUCUGAUGAUCCUGAAGACAUUGGAAGGGAGCUUGCUAUGCUUGUGAAGAAGUUCCAGAAAUUCACCAAGAAGAAGGGCUUCAGAAAGUCUUCACGAUCCAGUUCAAGAAAUGAUGAAGCUUCCACUCAAGACAACAAGAAGAGAACAUGUCACAAGUGUAAGAAGCCUCGGCACUACAUCUCUGAGUGUCCUCAGUGGGACAACGAGAAGAAGAAGAAAAAGAGCAAGGAAUAUGACUCUGAUGACAAGAAGAAGAAGAAAUCAUCAAAGUCUUCUUCCAAGUCCACAUCAAAGUCUUCAUCUCAUAAGAAGAGCUCAUCUGGCAAGGCUCGUGCUUUUGUUGGCAAGGAAAUGGAUUCAGAGGAGGAGUCUGCUUCUGAGGAGGCAGAGGUGGAAUCUAAAGUUGAGUCCAACUCUGGCAUUGCGAGUCUGGCUCUAGCCACAGCCUAUGUCGCCAAGUCCAUCUUCAACACUGAAGACAAUGACUCCCACUCCAAAGCUGAUGAUGAUAAGGACAAUCCUGCUCCCACCUACUGCUUCAUGGCACGCGGUGUCAAGGUAAAAUCACACGAUGCUUACUUUCAAACAUCAAGUGAAGAUGACUCUGAUUGUGAAUCUAAACCCAGCUACAAAACACUUGCUAAAAUUGCUACUGAACAACAAAGGGCUAUGGAACAUACUCAAAAACUGUUAGACAAAAGCGAUGACCUAUUGGACGCGGAAAUGACACGUUCAUAGUCCUUAGUUGAAGACAUAAAAAAUCUUCAUGCUAAGUAUCAAGAACUUGAAAGUUUUCAUGAGACGCUCUCAACCACUUAUGAAAAGCUCUCCUAUGAUUAUCUUCAAAGGAAGCAAGAGCUUGAGAAAUUGAAAGCGACUCAUGAAGAUCUUCAAAAAGAGAAUGAGCCAUUUCACGCUCAACAGAUCAGUCCCGCUCAGGAUGGAUUUGAACCACCAUGCUUAAAAUGCAUUGAGCGUGAUAACGCUGCCUCUGUUGCUGAAUGUUCCACUGCUGCUACUGUUGCUCUGUCUUCAACUACUGAUGUGGUAACUAACCCCUCUUCUGAGGAUACCACUACUAUUGCUGAUAAAAAUGCUAGGUUGAAGACAUUGCUUGAAACAGGGAUGUAUAAAAGUCUGAAAGGGCAGCAGACACUGUGUGAUGUCCUCAAAAAGCAGAUUCUGAACCAAAACCCUAGGAAAGAGGGUGUUGGGUUUGAGAGGAAAAUGAAUGCUGAUGGUUCCUACUGGAAGCCUGAGCAGUAUCCCAAAACCACAUGGGUUGCUGCAAAGGAACCUUCAGUGGAUCCAUCCACUUUAUCUGGCUUUACAUGUGCUAAUCCUAUUAUCAUUGAUGAAUCCCUUGAUGCAAACUAUAAAUUGUUCAAAAAUCAGAAUGGUGAAGUGUUUGCUAGGUAUAUUGGUACUAACUGCAGGAAUGGACCGCCAAUGAAGAAGAUCUGGGUUCCAAAAAGCUGUCUUGAGAAUCUUCCUGUGAAUGUUGUCAUGACACCACCCGAGAAGAAGACAAACCCCAGACCAAAGGCGUCACAUGGUCCAACGGCUUCAUACGGAAAGAGGACUCACCUGAGUCACCCUAACGCCAAUGUUUUGCAGGGAAAUCACACUCAAACUUAUGAAUAUGAGCGUGUGUCUUCAAACCGCUAUGUUCAUAAUACUAAGAACUUUUCUGCUUAUUCAUAUGAGUAUCAAUCAUCUCCUGCAAGGCUAUUUGCUAGGGCUCCAAAGCCGAAAUUCUCAGAUGCUACACUUAGACUCAUUGCUUCUAAGCCACCCCUAAAGAUGUGGGUGGUGAAGAAGAACUAACUCUCUUUUGCAGAACAUGGUCUCCAGCCAGCAAUCAAAGGCGUCCGAUAUUAUUGCUGGGGACCUAAAACACAAAGGGACGCAUGAGAAAAUGACUUACUAUGUAUUUCACAUAUGAAUCGCUUACCUGUCAUACUGUGUGCUAACUUUCAUCUAUGCUGUGAUAAUUCAAGUGUGCAUCAACUGCUUAUGCUUCACAACAUACAUUGUGAAGCCUAUCCUCCUAACUGCAAUGUAGGGUAUGACACCUCGUGCUUCAGAAUGGAUUAUGGACAGCGGAUGCACUAAUCAUAUGACUGGUGAUCGAAGUCUUCUCAUGGACUCAACCUUACGUCCAUCCGACAAGAGUCAAAUCACAUUUGCUGACACUGGUAAAGGCAAGGUAUUGGGUCUAGGUAGAGUUGCAAUCUCAAAGGAUCAACACAUGGAUAAAGUGAUGCUUGCUGAAUCCCUUGGAUUCAACUUAAUGUCUGUCUCAAUGCUUUGUGACUUAAACAUGAUUGUGAUAUUCGGAAAAUAUCGUUGCCUUGUACUAAUGGAAUCUGACAAGUCUCUAGUCUUUGAAGGGUAUAGGAAAGGUGAUCUAUACAUGGUAGAUUUCUCAGCAGGACCACAGCUUGCCAUAUGUCUUCUUGCAAAAGCUUCAGAAUGCUGGCUCUGGCAUCGAAGGCUGGGGCAUGCUGGCAUGAGGAACUUGCACACACUCGUCAAGAAGAAGCAUGUCAUAGGCAUCGAAGGUGUCAAGUUCAACAAAGAUCAUUUGUGUGGUGCUUGCGAAGCUGGGAAGAUGACGAGGGCCAAGCACCCCUCGAAAACAAUCAUGACGACAUCUCAACCCUUUGAGCUGUUGCACAUGGACUUAUUUGGCCCUACUCACUACUCCACCCUCACAACAAUGGUGUGUCUUUAUGGCUUCGUCAUUGUUGAUGACUACUCAAGAUAUACAUGGGUGCACAUAAUUCUCUACAAGACUGAAGUACAAGAUGUCUUCAAACGAUUCGCAAAUCGAGCAAUGAACAAUUAUGGCGUCAAGAUCAAGCAUAUCAGAAGUGAUAACGGCACUGAAUUCAAGAACACCGGCCUUGAUCUAUAUAUCUAGAUACAAUGGGAAUCACUCAUGAAUUUUCUGCUCCGUACACACCUCAACAAAAUGGCAUUGUUGAGCGCAAGAACAGAACCCUCAUUGAGAUGGCUCGAACAAUGCUCGACGAGUACAAGACACCAAGAAAGUUCUGGCUUGAAGCUAUUGAUACUGCAUGUCACAUCAUUAACCGUGUUUACAUCCACAAGCUUCUGGGAAAAACAUCCUAUGAGCUCCUUACUGGCAAGAAGCCAAAUGUCAGCUACUUUAGAGUUUUUGGUGCUAGAUGCUGGAUCAAGGAUCCCCAUCACAGGUCAAAAUUUGAACCCAAAGCUCACGAAGGCUUCAUGCUUGGCUAUGGAAAUGAUUCGCACUCUUACAGAGUCUUCAACCUUUUCCACUACAAAAUCGUUGAAAUAGUGGAUGUGCGAUUUGAUGAAACCAAUGGUUCACAACGAGAUCUCCUGCCAAGCACACUAGAUGAAGCUCCUUCCAGUGAAUCUAUCAAGCUGAUGGGAACUGGUGAAAUCAUGCCCUCUGAAGCACAACCUGAAGAGGAACUUAUCAUUUCUGCACCAAACCAACCUGAAGACAAUGCUCAGACCGAAGACAAUCCUCCCAAUGAUGACAAUAAUCAACAUGAGCAAGGGCUUCAUCCAGUUCAUCCUCGUGUUGCAAAUGAAGUACAAAUUGAGAAGAUAAUUGAUAGCAUCAACGCACAUGGUCCGCUUACUCGAUCAAGACCAACACAGUUAGCAAAUUUCUGUGGGCAUUUUUCAUUUGUAUCAAUAUUUGAACCCAAGAAAGUUGCUGAAGCCCUUAUGGAACCUGAAUGGAUUCAAGCCAUGCAAGAAGAACUUCAACAGUUCAAGCUGAAUAAUGUUUGGGAACUUGUCAAGCGCCCUGACCCUCGCAAGCAUAACAUUAUUGGCACAAAAUGGAUAUAUCGGAACAAACAAGAUGAGCAUGGUCAAGUCAUCAGAAACAAAGCACGUCUUGUGGCACAAGGAUAUACUCAAGUUGAAGGAAUUGACUUCGAUGAAACAUUUGCUCCUGUGGCUAGGCUUGAAGCUAUUCGCAUAAUGCUAGCCUAUGCAAAUCACCACAACAUCCUGCUAUAUCAAAUGGAUGUGAAGAGUGUUUUCCUCAAUGGCAAGAUUGAAGAAGAAGUGUAUGUUGCUCAACCACCUGGCUUUGAAGAUCCAAAACAUCCUGAUAUGGUGUACAAACUCAACAAAGCACUGUAUGGCCUCAAACAAGCUCCUCGCGCUUGGUAUGAUACAAUCAAAGACUUCCUGAAGAGCAAAGGUUUCAAACCAGGAUCUCUAGAUCCCACACUCUUCACGAAAACAUAUGAUGGUGAACUGUUUGUGUGCCAAAUAUAUGUGGAUGACAUAAUCUUCGGCUGCACCAACCAGAAGUAUAGUGAUGAGUUUGGAUACAUGAUGCAAGAGCAAUAUCAUAUGUCCAUGAUGGGUGAGCUGAAGUUCUUCCUUGGUCUUCAAAUCCGUCAGCAAAGAAAUGGCAUCUUCAUAUCUCAAGAAAAAUAUCUCAAAGAUUGUCUGAAGAAGUUUGGCAUGCAAGAUUGCAAAGGUUACACGACGCCAAUGCCAGCCAAACAUCAUCUUGGUCCCGACGAUAAUGGUAAAGAGUUUGAUCAAAAGGUAUACCGCUCCAUGAUUGGUUCUUUACUUUACCUAUGUGCAUCUAGGCCAGAUAUUAUGCUUAGUGUUUGAAUGUGUGCUCGAUUCCAAGCGGCACCAAAGGAAUCACAUCACUUAGCUGUGAAGCGAAUUCUUAGAUAUUUGGCUUACAGCCCAACACUCGGAUUAUGGUAUCCAAAGGGCUCAAGGUUUGAUCUGGUUGGAUUCUCGGAUGCUGAUUAUGCUGGUGACAAGGUGGAUCGCAAUUCAACAUCAGGAACAUGUCACUUUCUAGGACGAUCACUUGUCUGUUGGUCUUCAAAGAAGCAGAACUGUGUAUCACUCUCAACUGCUGAAUCUGAAUACAUUGCUGCUGGAUCUUGUUGUGCUCAGCUUCUGUGGAUGAAGCAAACUCUCAAGGACUAUGGCAUCGAUCUGAAGCAAGUCCCUCUCUUCUGCGACAAUGAAAGUGCCAUCAAGAUUGCCAACAAUCCAGUUCAGCACUCGAAGACAAAGCACAUUGAAAUUCUUCAUCAUUUUCUCAGAGAUCAUGUCAUGAAGAAAGAUAUGACAUCAUUCAUGUCAACACUGAAGAGCAACUGGCAGAUAUCUUCACAAAGCCCUUGGAUGAGAAGGUUUUGCAAGUUAUGGUGUGAGCUAAAUAUCUUGGAAUCCUCAAAUGUCCUGUGAUCAGGCCACAUCCUAACACUUAUGCAUGUUGAUGACUUAGAUGUGCAACACACGAAGUAAAGUAUAUCUUCAGUCAAUGAAGACUUACAUUCUGAGUGUGAAUACAUUAAUGUGGAAUUUGACUUCAGAGCGCCACGAUAAUUGUGCGCCGUGUCUGGGUCUAAUACUUCCUAUACGGUGGGUAACGCCACCACCAAAAUUUCUUGGUUUGAAGUGUUUCACUCAUGGCGUUAUUGUUGAAUAUCUUCGCAUGUUGAUUUGACCUCAACUUUCAACUUAUCUUCAUGAUUUACUUCAUUAUGUUGAGUUGAUUGCUUUCUCAUAUAUAUAUAUAUACUAGUAUUCUGUCCUCUAUAGCAUUCACUUAUAGCCAUGUCUUCACUGUUGAAUCUUUUGAACUAAGUGAAUGUGAUCGGACCCUAAUCUCUCUAUGCUUACUAUCUCAAACUCUAUCUGUCCAAAUCAUAUGCAUUCUAUUGAAACUGUCGAAUGUCUUCUCUGCAUCCUUGUCAGCAGAAGACACAAAUACAAACAUCAAGUCCUAUUAAGUGAUUCAUCUUUAUUGUCGAUAUCCGGAGAAGCCGAAACAACCAUCCGACAAACUUGGCGGGCGUGGGAAUGUGGGACAACUCUGAGUAUGUUGCAUGCUUGCCACGUGUCCCAUGGAUGUGAACAGGCAGGGGCACCUGCGUAAUUGCACUGUGCCGCACACCUACUUAUAAAUACGUGUCCCCUGCGGUCAAGAAAACCUUCUUCCACCUCUCCACCUCGUCAAAACCCUAGUACCACCGCUAGCUCUCGACGACGCCGGCGACGAAGCGCUUAGCUGCCGCGACUUCCCCGAUGCCGUCCUCACGCCGGCCGCGGGCAUCAUCCACUCCGCCACCGCCGUAGGUGUCCUCCGUCGCCAAGUUAGGGCACGGUGGACAGAACUGCUCGGUCUCCAAAUUCUUCCCAUCUAGCAGUUCUUCGUGUGGUAAAUAUAACUCUAUUUUUACCAGCUUUUUGAUCCUCAAUGAUUCAUCCAAUUUACCAAAAUUGGUUUCUGUCUAUACAAAGUUAGAUCUACUCUGUCUGCAUCUCAUACUGCCUAGUAUAUUCACUUAAGCUUCACAUCUAGUUAGAUUCCUCACUUGUACUUAUUCACGGAUUUGUACAAAUCUGGAACCGACUCUCAACAUAUAAGUGAAUGUCUUCGCAAGAUGAGGUCAAUGUCUUCAAACUGAUUUAUCUUCAAAAUCUUUUGAGAAUGCAUAUGACCUCUUCCCCUUCCCUCGCAUCUCUAAUGCUGUCACAGGUACAUGUCCGUGGGAGAAUCCCUAGGUUCUCAUAGUCUGCAUUCGUUUGCAGAAUUCUUACAGCAACACAUUGAUUCUCCUGAAGCCAGUUCCUGUCUGACCAGCAAGCGAAAGCCUUUGAACAUAUUGAAACCGUUCAGUUUGAAGUUCAUGGCUACGGAGAAAUCUAUUAGGAAGGGUGGCAGACAGCGUCGUGGGGGAACUUCAAGGAUUUGCCUGAUGAUCUUGCAGAAAUCUACAAAACAGAUCCUGAAGAAGAUUACAGUCAGCGCAAGACUUGAAUCCAAUGGAUUCAAUGCUAUUGGGCUGAACAGUGGUACAAGUACAAGUUCGUGACCCAGGAGUACGCUGAGAAAAAUACUAUCAAGAGCCCUUGGGGUGAUAUUCUCUAUCGAGGCCUUCCCCCCAAGAACAAAGCUGAAGCCAUUGCGCAAGAAUUCUAUCCUUGCAUGGUCCGUGGACCACAGCCUGAAGAAGCCGACCCAUCAUCAUUGCUCUGGUGUCGCGACGACAAUCUCUUCAAGCGCAAUGUUUAGUAUGCUAAGGCUUCAGCAAAGGAAGACAAGAAGUCAUGGGGAUUAGACUUCAAUCCUGGCCCCUCUGCUCCCCGUGAUGAUGGCACACGUGAAGCUGAAGAGAAUAGAGUUGGCCCCUUUGCAAACCUUGAUGGCCUCAUCUCCUACAUCUUGGUACAAGGUGCCAAAGUGGAUCAUUCUAAUAAUGAUGUUGAUUUUGAUGAAGCUCCAGCUCCUACUCUAAGGUCGCAGAAGCCAAAGAAGAUUAAGGCUUCAUCAUCAGCUGCACCUCCAAAAGCUUCUCAUGUGAAGCCACUGGCCACUGCACCUCCUGAAGUCAGUGUGCAGUCUGAAGAUCUUUCACGCAUCUCCAAGAAGACGAAGAAGAAAAACAAAAUCGUCAAGUGUACUGAUCAGGCUUUGACUCCUGCUGCUAUUAUGCGUGAAGAGCCCAUUGAUCUGUCCAGCGAUGACGAUCUUGCAGAUGAUGCUCUUGAGCAACUGAUCAAGAGCAAGGAAGAAGCAGAGAUCUUCAACAACUUGCCUCUCUUUGACGUGGCAAUCAUCCAUAACUUCAUUGAUGAGUGGUUUGACACACCAAAUCUCAGCUUUGAUGAUCUGCAACUUCCAAUUGGCCUCAACGUCGCCUUCAAUGGCGCCAUUGCUUCUGAGCUAGCUAUUGCUCAGCGCAUCGUCGAACUGAAGCACAAGAUUGACUAUGAAAAGGCUCAGUUCAAGAAGCAUGUGGCCACGCUCAACGUGCAAGAUGCCAGGAACUUCAAGAUCAUGUUGCACGAGCUCAAAGAAGCCUUUCACAAGAAGCGUGAAGAAGCUCGAGGCUCCAGAGAGCGUAUGAAGAGUCUGGCUAACAAGUGUGUGCUUGCCUAUAAUGAGGCUGAGAAGCGUAAGACUCUUGGUCGUCCUGGCAUCGACCCCAGGAUGGCUGCAAAGAAGAAGAAAUCAACUGUCCCUUCUGCACCUUCAAGGCCAGAUGAACCUCGCAUUGUCUUCCCAAGCAGCAUGACUGGCUCGAAGCCACGAGUCACCACUACCGCUUCAGAACAGAAGAAGACGAGGGCUGCAGAGGCUGAAGCCAGAAAAAGGAAAACCUCCGAAGCCUCUGAAGCUGCUCCCUCCAAGAAGAAGCACAAGACCAAGAAGAGUCAGGCUGCUCCCACAAAGCCCCUUGUCGUUGAACCCAUCUCAGUGGUUCGUCCUGCAUCUGCAUCCCAAGAACUUUGCAUGACUGUUCAUGAGCCUGCUUCCACAGAGGCUCCUGAAGCUGAAGAGAUACCUGCAGCUGAACCCACCGCUACUGAAGACAUUGGUCAAGAUGACAAUGUUGAAGAUGAUGAAGUUCUUCCUCAAAUUGAAUAUAAUGUGGUAUCAUCGCCUGUUCGUAAGAACAACGAAAUCAUCAGCAUUGGACGUCCUCUGAUGCCAAUUGCUCAGGAUGCUUCAUGGGCUGAUCGCCCGCAAGAACAAGACUCCCCUAGCACUCCCCAACAACAACAAACCACACCAUCCGUACAAGUUGAAGAGGAUGAGGGCCUGCCCACUCCAUCUCCAAAGGCGUCGCCUGUACUACAAAGGCUUCGCAAAGGACCAAGGCCUCAAGCCCCUCUUCUGAGCGUUCCAGAAGGAGAGGUGCACCAUCAACCUGUUGCACGUCAAGUGUUUUCAGAAGCCACUCCUGUUGUGAAUGUCUCUGCGUCUGAAGCACCAGCUGCUGAAGACAAUCCAGCUGCAUCAGCCGAUGACGAACGUCAAGAAGAACAUAUCUCUACACCCCCCCAUUCUUGAAGAAGUUGUUCACGAUGUGAAAUUGUCUGUGCCUGACCCUCCAGCUCAGCAAGUGGAGGUUGAAAACCUUGAGCCUGCCACCACCAACACCAAUGAAGCCGAUGACAUAGUCAUGGCUAAAGCAAAUGUGGAGCCUGUCCCAAGCCCCAUACUAGAAGCCAAUGCUGAUAAUGCACCUGAAGCUUCUGAUGUGCAGCCCAAAGCCACUGUUGCUGCCACUGCUCCUGUUUCGCCACCAAGGCCCUAUACAAUUGAGCAAGCAUACAACCAUGGCGAGCUAAUCACCGUCAGAUGGCCUGUUCUGGUCCCUCCGCCUACUGUCUCUGGUCCUCAAUUUGACUAUCACAUUGAGCAUAGGCCUCAGGUCCAGAAGCCAAAGCCAAGACUGCCAAGGUUUCCUGGUACUGCCACAUCUGUCGGGUCUUUCAAUGCAAAUGGCUUCAAGAGCCACAACACAUUCUUUGACAGCUCAAAGAACCCCUACACGAAACCAAGAAUAUCAUCAGAUUGGUUCUGGAGUCAUCAGCAGCGAAGCUAUUACUCCUGUGUUUUGUAUGAUCAAGGGCGCAUUUUCCCUCAUAUGCGCCUCGACACUGAAGCCAUUGCUGGACUGCCCUGCUUAGAAGAAGCACUUGACUGCUUUCGUGAUGCGGGUCUGCUCCGCUUUGUCACAGACAAAGAACAUUGGAAUGAAGAGCUAUUGCUCCAAUUCUAUGCUACACUCCACAUUCGCGGUUAUAAUAGAGAUACGAAGACAUGGGUUCUCGAGUGUAUGACAGGAAAUGUUCAUCAUGAAGCCAAAGCUCUUGACAUCAUUGAGCUUACAGGCCUAUCCACUCCCGGAGAGCUCUAUGAACCUGGUUGUCAAAACCACCACAAUGCAUUGGAGAGCAUCUUCCACAAGCCCGAACCCAAUAUGAGCCAGAUGUUGAGCAUGAUGAAGCCUUUGCCACGUGAUGCUGAAUAUCCAAAGGAGUUCUUUGUUGAUGACCUUGAGUAUCUGCCGCGCACCAUAUAUCACAUCAUCAGGCGGACUCUAUGGCCUAUCAAAGGACAUUCAUCAGCUGCAAAACUCGAAGGAGCCAUGAAGACAUUGGUCUUUUACAUCCUCAAUGGCAUCAACUUCAAUGCGCAAGAUUUCUUCAUCAGGAAACUGGCUGCUUCUGGAUCUGACCUCUUCGGACUGAAAUUCUAUGCUCCAUGGGUCAUGCGCCUCAUCAAGCGACACUCUGCUAUCAACUAUCAACCAUCUGCUCGCAAUCAUGUGAUCUUCCUACCAGAGGUUGAUAUGUCAGUUGAAGCCAUAUAUCCUGAACCUGCCAAGAAGCCUCUUCGUCUUCAGAAUGCUGAACAUCAAAGCUUCACUCAGCCUAUGGAAGGAGUCCAAGUUGUCACGCGUGUGUAUCCAAUGGCUGGAAAUAUUCGUCUGCCUCAUCGUGCAUCAACUGAAGCCACUGCGAGCACCAUUGCUCAAAGGCCUCGGAAGCGCUCUCGGGUCCUCAAUGACCAAGAACUUCUUGUGGCCCUACAUCAGAAGCAAGACAAGCAUCAUUUUUGGCUAAAGCGUCAGAUGCAAAGCCUCUUGGUGGAUGUAAAUCGCAUUCGAAACCUUGCCACCAAGAAUGCGUUUGUCACUGACGAAAUUUGUCGGCGUUCAUGGAAGAGUUUGACCCUACUCAGUGCUGAAGCUGAUCUUCAAGACGAUGGCUUCACUGAAAGAUUCAAGUUUGACUCCUCUCCUCCACGGAAUGCUGUCCUACGAAGGACUCCAUCUCUUGAAGACUCUGAUUAUUCUUCCUCCACGGCAACUGUCAAUGCCAAUGCCAUCGAUGAUGAAGACGAUGCUACUUCACCGCCCCCUACUUCUGCACGCAUCGACACUGCACCAAGUUUGUCUGCACCGCCAAACGACAACGACAACCCUACUGCUUCAACUACUCCUCGUGAGGACGAGUAGAUGCUCUAUGUCUUCAAACCUUUUUGGUCAUUACUGAAAAAAGGGGGAGAAGCGUAUGAGUCUGAUAGUCUUCAAGCGGGUUCAUUAGGGCGGUUGCUUUAUAUUUUUUCCUAGUGCUUUCAACUCUUGCCCUUGAUACACUUCGUUCUUUGAGUUGUAAUACUUAAACUUGAUGGUCGUCUGCUACUUAUUUGUGUUUCCACGUGCGAUGAUAACUUCUGCACUUAGAUCAUUCUGCAGACGUCCAUUUGUCAUUAUGCAUAUCAUUCUCUUAGCUAUAUCAUUUCAUGCAUGAUGAAUUAUCUUCAUAAGUUGAAGAGGAUCUCCACAAGUACAACCUGCCAUGUGCAUUUGCAUUCCAAAAGCAAAUUAUUUAUAUGCACAUCUUCAGGGGGAGCCCUUGCCACUUAUGAAGACAAUACGCUAUCCUUUACAAUUUCACAUACUUCUUUCCCGUUGAAAACUUCAACCAGUUUGUCAUCAAUCACCAAAAAGGGGGAGAUUGUAAGUGCAUCUAGUGCCACCCCUAGUUGGUUUUGGAGUAUUGACGACAAAGUUGGUUGAGGGACUAAUGCGUUUGUGAGAAUUGCAGGAUAACGCAGAUAGUGUCCCUCAUUGAUUCGGUUUACCUACCGGAGAUGACCCCUAAAAAUGUAUGAAGACAUUGAAGACAAUGGUGGUGUGUGAAGAUAUUCACACUGAAGUCUAUGACAUGAGAAGACAUUAAGUGAAGACUAUGGAGCGCGAAGACUGAGUCGUUUCGUUGUUUCCUUUUCUUCUUUGUUGAGUCAUAGGAACCACCGCACUGUUAAGUGGGGUCCAAGUGAACUAAGUCAGAGUGACUGAAGUGAUGCUCAACCCAAAUCCUAUGUCUUCGAGCGAAGACAAUGUGAGCAAAUCUUAUCCAGAGCUGGAUGAGUCGGCUUUGCUUGUAGCCCAAGUAAAGUUCCCGUGUGUGUUUGAAAUCUGACCGUUGGAACACGUUUCAGUUCCUUAGUGACCCAGGGUCAUUUCGGACAUAUCAGGUCGGGUUGCCUUGUGGCUAUAAAUAGCCCACCCCCUACACCAUAAAUUGGUGGCUGCUCAGAGUUAGUUUACGGCUUUUGUCGUUUUGAGAGCAACCCACCUCGAAGCCUUUGAGAGAGAAAUCCUUGCGAGGACAAAGCCCAAACACCCAGAGCCAAAGUGUGUUAGGCAUCACUGAAGUCUUUCUGUCUGUGUGACCUGAAGACUUAUUACACUUGAGGACUGUGUAUCCUCCAGCCGGUUAGGCUUCGCGUUCUGAGCAUCCAAGAGUCAUUGUGGAUUUCCGGGUGAACGAAGUCUGUGAAGGUUCGGAAGUCUACCUUGAAGACUUACAAGAGUGAUUAGGCAAGGACUGGGUGUCCUUAGCUCAAGGGGAAUAAGGUGAAGACACGGUCUUCUGAGUUGAAUCUCAGCCUCCCCAACCAGACGUACAGUUGUCACAGCAACUGGAACUGGUCCAACAAAUCAUGUGUCUUCAACAAGUGACUGCUUCUAUCUCUUCCCUCCUUUACUUUGAGUUUGUCUUCGUGAAGUCAUUGCUUAUCUGUCUUAUCUGAUUGACUUCAUUGCUUGACUACUAUUGUUGAUUGGCUUCAUACUAUCUUCCAUCCUGAUCCUUACUACCUAGCUGCUGUUAGUCUUCGUACGUUACCACUAUUGCAUACUUGACUAUGGCUUGCUUUGUGUAGUUUAUCUUCCGUUGCAUAUCAAUUAGGUCAUUUCUAUUGUUUAUCUUCGAAACUUCCAUGUUUUGAAGACUUUGAUAAAAAUCUCCUAUUCCCCCCCCUCUAGUCGAUAACUAGCACUUUCAAAACCCGGCGAUCCGCUGGUACCAGGCGCGGGGUGCCUGCUUGAGCCCGUAAAGAGAGCGGGACAACAGACACACAUGGCCGGGAAGUGAGACGUUGACCAAACCGGUGGGUUGCUCACAAUACACCUGCUCCUCAAGAUGGCCGUGGAGAAACGCGUUGGAGACAUCCAUAUGGUGAACAGGCCAGCCGCGGGAUACGGUGAGCUGGAGGACGGUGCGGAUCAUGCCCGGUUUGACAACCGGGGCAAACAUCUCAGUGAAGUCCACUCCAGCGCGCUGGCGGAAACUACAGACCACCCAGCGAGCCUUGUAGCGCUCGAGAGUACCAUCCGAGCGGGUCUUAUGGCGAAAGACCCACUUGCCGGUGAUGACGUUGGCGCGAGGACGCCGGGGAACCAGGGUCCAGGUGCGGUUCCGUUGAAGAGCAUCGAACUCUUCCUGCAUCGCCGCUAGCCAAUGAGGAUCACGGAGGGCGGUGCGAGCGGAUGCGGGAAUGGGCGACGGCUCCGUGGUGGAAGCGGCGAGGACGUACUCGUCGCUCGAGUACCGGAGGCUCGGACGAUGAACGCCGGUACGAGCGCGGGUGACUGGGCCGGGCGGCGCCGUCGGAGCCACCGGCGAGACGGCCGGCGUCGGGGCCGACGAAGCGGCCGGCGUCAUGGCCGGCGAGGUAGCCGACAUCGGGGCCAGCGAGGGGGCCGGCGUGGGGGCCGGCGAGGUAGCCGGCGUCGGAGCCGGCGAGGGGGCCGGCAUCAGGGCCGGCGAGGUGGCUGGCGUUGAGGCCGCAGAAGAGGCGGCCGAGCCUGCAGCGCCAGAUCCCGCGGCGCCCGAGUCGGGGGCGGCGGGUGAAGACGGGGCGCCGGCUGCACCGUCAGAGCCGACCAAGGAGGCCGAGGGGGCGGGCGCCGGCGUGAGGGCGCGAGGACCGCCAAAGCCCGGAGGUGGUUCACGGGCCAGGCGGGACCGUCCACCUGACGAAGUCGUCGAAGGGCCGGCGGUGACGAGACGACAAGGGGUACCUGCUGCUGAAACGGAAACACCAUCUCAUCAAAGUAAACGUGUCGGGAGGUGAAAACACGAUGGGAGACGGGAUCAUAGCAGCGAUAGCCCUUGGUGUUAGGUGGGUAGCCGAGAAAGAUGCAGGCGACGGAGCAGGGUGCAAGCUUAUGAGGCGUAGUAGCGGCGAUGCUAGGGUAGCAAAGGCAGCCGAAGAUGCGAAGCCCAUCAUAAUAGGGGGGUGCACCGAAGAGGAGAUGAUGAGGUGUAAAGUUCCCGCGAGUACGACAUGGGCGGAUGUUGAUGAGGAGAGAAGCGGUGGCGAGAGCGUCAGGCCAAAAGCGCGGAGACACAUUGGCAUGAAAGAGAAGAGUCCUAACGCAGUCAUUGAGAGUGUGAAGGAUGCGCUCAGCACGACCAUUCUGCUGCGAGGUGUACGGGCAAGUAAGACGAAAAAUCGUGCCAUGUGUGGUGAGAAGAUUACGAACCGCGAGGUUAUUAAACUCCUUCCAAUUGUCUGUCUGCAAUGCAAGAAUGAGACAACCAAACUGCGUGAGAACAUAAGAAUAGAAAGCGGCGAGAGUGGAUAUAACAUCCGACUUGCGGCACAACGGGAAGGUCCACACAUAAUGCGAAAAAUCGUCAAGUAUGACAAGAUAAUAAAGAAAGCCCGUAUUACUGGCAACAGGAGAUGUCCAAACAUCACUAUGAAUUAACUCAAACGGGUACGAUGCAACAAAAGAAGAAGCCCUAAAUGGAAGACGAGCAUGUUUGCCGAGGCGACAUGCAUGACACGAGUGAUCCUCGUUCUUAUUACACGUGAAAAAAAACUCCGAAGUAUGUGGCGAAGGGUGGCAGGAUUAGGAUGACCCAAGCGAGCAUGCCAAAGAUCCACUCCGGUGGCGAGAGCGACAGGGGCGGCAGAAGUAGUGGAGGUGGCGGAGUGAACCGGGUAGAGCUCGUCGGGGUUGUCACGUCGGUGGAGCACCAUCCGCGUGCGAGCGUCCUUAACAGAAAAACCACAUUCGUCAAAUUCAAGGGUAACCGGAUUUUCACAUGUAAGAGAACGAACAGAAACAAGAUUUUUAAUAAGUUCAGGAGAAACUAGAAUAGUAGACAUGGAUAUAGGAGUGGAGUUAGACGGAAAAUAUGUAUGACCAAUAUGAGUGAUGGGAAGGGAAGAGCCGUCACCGGCGGUGAUGCGGUUGGAGGUAUGGACAGGAUGGGCGGUGUGGAGGUUAUCGGGGUACGCCGCCAUAUGAGCGGUGGCGCCGCUGUUCAUGUACCAAUCGCCGCCGCCGGUGUAGCUGGACGGGUAAGGAGCGUUGUGGAGAGCCGCCAGGAGGGCCGGGUCCCACGGUGCCGGCGGGAGAGGCGGCGCGGCCGUCAGGGGCAGCGGCGGCGGCCUACCUGGCGGCUGCUGCUGACCGUAGGGCGCCGUGUAGGGCUGCGGCACGGCGUAGUACGCCUGGUGUGGCUUAGGCCGGGUGCCGAGAAUGCCCGGGGCAGGGGCCCGAGGAACCGGCAUGGAGUAGGCGUGUACAACGCCGGUCCAUGGGUUCUGACCGGCGUACCACAGGGCCGGCUGAGAAGCCUGCUGCGGUGGGCGGGGCGCUCCUCGCUGAGCANNNNNNNNNNNNNNNNNNNNNNNNNNNNNNNNNNNNNNNNNNNNNNNNNNNNNNNNNNNNNNNNNNNNNNNNNNNNNNNNNNNNNNNNNNNNNNNNNNNNNNNNNNNNNNNNNNNNNNNNNNNNNNNNNNNNNNNNNNNNNNNNNNNNNNNNNNNNNNNNNNNNNNNNNNNNNNNNNNNNNNNNNNNNNNNNNNNNNNNNNNNNNNNNNNNNNNNNNNNNNNNNNNNNNNNNNNNNNNNNNNNNNNNNNNNNNNNNNNNNNNNNNNNNNNNNNNNNNNNNGGUGGUGUGGGUCGCGCGAGUCUGCGCCACCCGCAUCCGGCGCUCCUCCAACUUGAGGUACGCGGCCACCUUGGCGAAGGUGGGCUCCGGGAUGAGGGUGAGGUUGGAGGCGGCGUUCCCGAAGUCCUCGUUGAGGCCGCCGGAGAGGGUGCUGAUGAGGAGCUCAUCGCCGAUCUUUUCCCCGAGAUCACGGAGCUCAUCGGCGAGCUUCUUUAGGCGCAUGCAAAAAUCAUCAAUGGAUGAGUCAAGUUGCUGGCACCCGUAAAACUCACCAUAGAGCAGGACCUUGCGCUGCAGCCGAUUGUCAGUGAAGAGGCCGUUGAGUUUGGUCCAGACCGCAUAGACAUCAUCCUCGUCGUCCACCACAGUGUGGAAGAGGUCGCCGGCAACGCUGUUGAUGGUGCACCGCCACUCUGCUGUUGGAAGGGUUGACCACCCGUUGUUAUUGCAAAUCAGACAUAUCACUUACUGAUGCUAGGGGCAAAGCCACGUAGUAGUGGUUGGCUCUUAGAUCAAGAUUCAGACAUAUCACUUACUGAUAUUGCAAAGCAAGGGUAGCAAGGAGAUGACAGAUCAAUUAUUUCAGAGGUAAAACUCCAGUCUGAGUUAGGAAUAGCUUCAGCUUGUGCAUAAGCCAGUUGUCCUAGUGAAAUCUGCUUAAGCUGGGUUGAAAAGAGAAAAAAAACAGAGGAAUUCAUUUGAUUGGGUUUGUAAAGGCUUAUGGAUCUUAUCUUAUUUCUGGUGGUGAAUUGUGUAAACUAUAAAAAACACCUUUUAUGCUUGUUUAAUUUAUAAGAUUGCUGUUUUAAAUUUUUUAUUUGCACGAAAUAUCAAUGUUAUAUCCGGUCCACACAAGAAUUGGCAUCACAACUUGAAAAAUGUGAACAAGCAAGCAAGAUUGUACAAAUUCAUUUGGUGCAGUGAGCAACCGAUAUCAAGAACAGCAUAGACACAUCAGUGGUGGAAAAAUAUAUAUCAAAAGUCAUCAAACUCGGGUAGUAAAAUGAUAGCUUAAUAUAGAGUACGGUCAGGAAACCAACAUCCCAUGCAGCCAGCACAUGUUCCAGCGAAAAAGGAAACAGGGCUCAUCACGAAAGAUUGAAAAUGAAUCAAAUCUCUCAUCAGGAAUACAAUCUGAACCCAUUUCUGUAAUAAUGAUAGUGGUAAGAUACACUACUACUGACGUUGGCCACGUGUCACCCCAUUAGAAUUUCAAAUACUGUUGACGUGGUAUCCAGCGCCACCACUAUAUUUUAACAAUGGCGCCAUAUUAGUGGCAUCGGAUGUCCACGCGAGCAAGGCCAUUUUUUCCACACCAUAGUUAGGCUUUUUUGCACUAGUGACAUGGGGGACGUUCUAGGAGAAGCCACAAGAGGAGCCGCAUCCAACAGCCACAACAUAGGAGGGACAACCGCAGUGGCGGAGCGAGCGCCCAGCGACCCUGGGCAGUUGCCCGGGCUCGCUGGCACUCCGACGGCAACAAUGGUCGUACCACAAUACGUAAAACUGCUGGAUACGGAGUGGAUUUACCCGGGCAAAACUGGAUUAGGCCUCCUUCACAGCCCAGCCCAGUUAUUUACUUGAACGUCCCGAUCACUCCAGCCCACUAAAAAAAAGAAUACCAUCGACAUCGAUCGCUUCGCUCCAGCCCACUAGGCAACAGGGAAUACCAUUGAUCGCUCCAGAGUCCAGACAGUUCUCUCCUUCUCGGCUUCUCGCGUACUCGCGUCUCUUUGGUUUCUCCCAAGUGCGGCAGGGACUUGAAGGCGAGCCGGCGAGGCGGCGAUCUGGGGCUGGGCGAGCGGCAGGCCGCUGGCGAGCCGGCAGUGGCCACGGUCGUCCCCUCCUUUGGCCCUUCCUCUCCUGAAGGCUGAGGCAGUUCCUUUUCUUCGACUUCCAGUAAGAUCGCUUACUUAAUAACUGAUUUGGGUUGAGAUAAUGAGAUUGAUGUACUUAGGGCUUAUUUAGGAACUUUUGAUUGGGGAUGAUUAUGACCAAAGUCCAAAGAGAAAAUCUAUUUGUUAGCGGUUGGAAACUACAGAAACUGUAAGUUAAUUAGACUGACAAACUAGUAUGCAGGUUGCAGACACUUUCCUCUAGUAAUUUUAAGAAAUAUUUCACCGAUUUCACUUCAGUUUGGCAACAUCAAGAAAUACUUGAUAAUCUGAUACAUGUAGUUGAUGCAAGUAGCUUUUUUUAUUGUACUGUACUAUGAACUUGUGAUUAAUCCAUAUUCUUAUUUGUGUAAAAACUAACUUCAGAUUUUUUACUCACUAAAUUUCAGAGAUGAGGAGGUUUUUGGUUAAGAGAGCAAGGACUGAAAAUAUGAAUGAUGUGCAACCUGAAGUAGAAGUAGAGCAAAGGACUGAAAAUGUGAAUGAUGCGUAGCCUGAAAUAGAAGUAGAGCCACCAGUGCCAAAUGUUGCCAAUGAAUUUAAUCCAAAUGCGAUUGAGCACGAUUCGGGAAAGAGGAAACACAUUUGUGAAUAUCCUCCUGAUAUUCAAGACCAAGUGAGGAGAGCAUAUAUAUUGAAGGGUCCAAUGCAACCAGAUUUGAAUAAAUACCAUCGUACUGAUUUUGGAAGUUCGCGUUCCUCGAGCAUUUUCCAAAUCUUGGUAUAGAAGGUACGACUGGAUAGAAUACAGUGAGUGGAAUAUUGAUAUAUUAGUUCGCUUAAAUAUUACAUUUGUAUGACUGUUAUGUCUGUACUUUCACUUCAAUAUUAAUGUGGAUUUGUGCUUUGCAAGUUUGAUGCAUAGUAUAUAUUGUCUACCCGGUACGGAAUUUUUUAUUUGCAUAUUAGUCAUUCAGGCUUAAGUUUGACCGGGCUUCGCAAAAGUUCUGGCUCUGCCCCUGGACAACCGUGACCUUGGUGGUUACUUCCGUCGUGAUGGCCACGAUGGAUACUGUGGCGGUGAUGGAGGUUAACGUGGAGGCUAUGGUGGUGGUUACAGUGACUGCGGUGGUGGUAGUUACCGUGGUGGUGGCGGGAGGGGUGGAGGUGGUGGCAAGCAUGACAUGUACGAUGAUGGACUAAGGCGUACGUAUGGUGGCAGCCCACCACGACGUGGAAGGAGCCCUCUAGCCAGAGAGAACUGCAAGGAACACAUGACCAAUAUCAAGCAGUGGAAUCGUGAGCGGGAGGAGAAGAAAUGAUGAUCUCUAUCUAUGUCAGUCCGGUUAUGGGCAAUGCACCAUUUCCUUAUUAAUUAUCGCUUCGUUAGCUUGCAUCUAUGUUGGUUUGAUGUUGAACAUUGGUGUGUCUGUCGAUAUAGUAUUGCUUGGUUUACUGAGCUCUGAGGUGCAAGAUUCAUUUGGAGUUGUGUAAGUUUAUGAAUAUUUGUCAGUGGGAUCUGCUAUCUUAUUGUUUGAGAAGUUAGUGUCAUGCCUUUAUUUAUUUGGUUGAUUGGUCUUCUCUUGUUUGGUGUUACCCUUCAUGAAGGCACUGCCUUGCUCGUUUAGUGUUUCAUGUUGAAAUUGAAGAUAUUGGACGCAAUGUUGGUCCGGUUUGUUCCUCGGGGCACGGGCAUCCGGGGCGCAAUGUAUGACCUCAACCAUGCUUCCUCCAUGGCUUCUCCCUCCAUCCCGGCCAGGUCUUCCAACCCACUUGUCCAUCCUCUAGGUGCUUAGGUGGAAGGUAUGUUGAUCCAGUCUGUCCUGGAGUCGUGGUAGUGGGACAAUGGUGCCGAGCAUUGGUAGUGACGUGGUCUAGACACCCCAUGUAUCUCGUCUCUUUGCCUUGUCGGCUGACUUCGAGUUAGAAGAGUUUUGUGAUGUGUUGUAUCCCUCUUUGCUAUUACCAUAAGUAGUAUGGUGCUUCUCGCUUCUCUCAUAUAUGUAACUAUUAUUUCUCUCUUUCCUAUCAAUAAAAUGAUACACAAAAUUUGCGUGUUUGUGAAAAAAAAAACAUGUAAUUAUGUCUCGUACUUGUUUCUCCGUUCCAUCUGCUGUUGCAUGCAUGACUUCGGUGCUCUUUUGGUCCCUCUGUACGAAAGAUACAUAUAUGGUUUGGGCCCAGCCAUCAGCUGACGAUAUAGAGAUAGUCGGAUGAACAAAUAGAAAUGGAAGCAUUACCACGUGCAGGUGAAAAUGGUAAAGCCAAACCGGAAAAGGAGAAGCGUUGUGAUGUGAUAUUUGGAUUUUGAAUUGAAUAUUUAGAACUUUAGCUGUUUUUUCCUUUGUGAAAAAUAACUAAACUUGAAAGGCACUUCCGAUCGAAGAAGAAUCAACGCAAGCCAUGCGACGAACCUAGUGCCAUUUUGCCUCACCUAUGAGGACCGCUGGCAUGGUGAAAUAAUUUAUCAACUCAGCAACACAAUGAGAGAUACAAAUCAUGGUGUGGUCUUUUACCCAAACGAGUAGUGAAUGGUUCUUAUAGAUGAACAUUCAGACAUACUGUAUAUCGCUUACUAAUAAUACAUAGCAAGGGUAGCAGGGAAAUGAGAAUGACGACCAACUAAACGAGAGAUACAACGAGUACAACAAACUACCAAGCCAGAAAAGAUACAAUGAGUGCAACCACCAAACCAUAAAACAACUGAAGACUGAAGGAGGGAGUACAGGUUAGCUAGUGCGACGAAAAGCAUCACAACAGAGUUCAUUGCAGAGUAUUUUCCAAAGGAAAAGCUCGCCGUCACAGCUGAGCUGCCUGGCAUGAGAAUCCCUUGUUCUCAUGAUUUGUCAAUUGGGUCUGUUGCCGCAUUAUUUGCGUUGUUGGUAAUUCUACCAGUGCCUUAACCGUUAGUGCUUCUCAGUCGGCUUCAGGCAUCACGUAAUGUGUUUGCUUGUUUUAACCGUUGCUACCCUGUUGUUUGUACUAAUGCCCAUGCAUUCCUCGCCACAAGUUUCUGAGAUAAUCAUACGAAUGAUGAACUAGCGCAAGACAUGUGAAGCACUUUCGAGACCACAGGCAGACUGUGAUAUAAUCUACCACUGUUUGUUUGUUACUGCAAGCAAGAUUUGGACAUGUCAUUCAAUAAAACUACUAGUAGAAUUUUUUGUCAAAAUUCCUCGCAGUACAAAUACAGAGCAAGUUUAUCAAUAAAAGAACGACCAAACCAGAGAAUACACGGGUACAGCUAGAAACCCAACAUAGAAUACGGAUUAGCUAGUGAAAUGAGAGGCAUCACAAGAAAUUUAUUGCAGAGGAAAAGAUAGCUAGGGUACUUCUCAAAAGAAAGACGCACAGAACCUCGAUUUGAUACAAUCAGCAUCUGCGUGUUGUGUAGCGACCCAUAUGAUUGUUAUUAGCUCACCACCACGGCUUAGUUGUUUGGCAUGGGACUCCCUGCUGCACCGGAGGGACGCAUCGACGAGCAUGUUCACCCACACAUCCAAGAUGAACUCCAACGUUCUUUCAAUAUGCCCAGAGCCAGGACCAGGAGGAUGCAGCAUAUUUGGAAUCCAGUGUGCGUGUCUUCUAAUGGCAACAAGUCCACCUUCUUCGGUAGCUGUCCUCCGAUGAUGCAGCUCAUGGGCAAUUUGAGUUCCUUCUGAGAGACAAAUACGAGCUCUGUCCUCGAGAUGACCCUUAUUUAUUCCUCCAGUUCCUUCACCAGUAGCACCUAGCGUCUUGAGAUUAUCCUUGUUCGUCAGCAUCCACUUGGCAAGCUCAUCCCCUUUUGUUUUAGAACUGCUGGCCCUAUAUUGCGGCUUGACCGCCAUCCCAAUAAUACGGCAGGCUGUUUUGAUCACGCUGUGGAACUUACGGCCUGGUAGCAUGUCAUGUUUUCCGAUGUCGAGGAACAUCAUGUAAUCCGAUAUCAUCUCGAUCGCCUUCUUAUGGUGUGGGAAUCGCUGCGCAACUGUGGCUGUGACUUGGGUGUUGCACCUGAGGUAAACAUCUGUGGCGAUGUGCCAGAUGAAGACAUCCUCUUGAAAUUCAGGAGGAUGAUCAGGUUGUUGCUCGGAUGUGCCAGGCCCCAAGCGAUCAGCCUGCUCGGCGGGAGGAGGGGACCGUGUGACAGAUCUUCUAUAUCGGCCAAGCAAAACAGAAGCUUUGAUGGAUAGCUCUCAGAGAACAGAAGAGCUGCUGUAUAGGGUGCCCCCUCCCCGAGUGCAGUUGUCCAACAAGUUUCUGUAUAGGGUGUUAAAUGGUCCCCGAGUGCAGCUGUUCAAGAAGUUACGCUGCCCCAAGGAACCCGCCCACCUCCUGUAGCUUUUGGGCUCCUCGGCAGAUUCACACGUCCACAAGCACAAGGAAACCCGGGAAAGAAGCAGUGACACGACAAACCGACGGAGCUUCGCCCAUCUCUCCAGGAAUUCAUGCUUCAACCAAAUGUUUGGCCUACGUUUGAAGAAUGAACGUGUCCAUGCUGAUGCUAGUGCUCUGAACAGCCAUCUCACGUCGAGGAGGAGGGUCAAAUUCAGCAACACAUAACUGAUAGCUUCAUUUUCUGUCGACAUGCCCUCUUUGUGGUGGAGGCCAAACAGGAGGAGCGCGAUGGCGGUAAGGGGCGGUGCGAUCAUACGGAUGGCGUAGCCACCCCAGGUGUGGACCACGGCUGCCUUGGUGUAGAGGAUGUCAUACAUGAGUGAGAGUUCCAUCUGCACCACUUUGCACAUAAUUUUCCAAUUAACAGUUUUGAACAAGCUUAUGCCAGCUUUAUGACGAUCCAGGUCCACCAGAUAAUCACAAAAGGCACCCUUGCCUCAGGAACGGGACCCAGAAUGCGAAGAUCAUCUUCUCGCGCCGUGAGGUUUCGAUGUACAGGUUGCUCAUGACAUAUGCCGGGGCCAAGUCAGUCAGCUGGUAUGCCACCCACACCAACCCUCUCCUCAAACCUCUGCGUUUGCGCCGGCGGAUGUCGGCGAAGACGGCAAGGAUAAGAUGUGACGCUAAGCUGAGAAGCGUCACUAUCCGGUACAUCCAGUUACUCCACCACUCCACCCCAUGUUCAAUCCAUUGUCCACCAUACAAGCAUGUACUAGCCAUUAAGUGCUCCUGCAUGCACCGAAAUCAAGAUUAGGUACACUAUACCACAUAUAUAUGUGCAAGGCAUCUACUUCCUCUGUUUCUAAAUAUAAGACCUUUCAGAGAUUAAAAUAUGUAGGGACUACAUACAGAUAUGUAUAUAGAGUUAUAGACACAUUAUAGAGUGUAAAUUCACUCAAUUUGCUCCGUUUGUAGUCUAUAUUGGAAUGUCUAAAAGGUCUUAUAUUUAGGAACGGAGGGAGUAGUAUGUAGUCUAGCUAGCUGUUACUGUUAAUUGAGAUGUUGCGUCCAUGCUAGAGAGAGGUUAAUAAGGACCAAAAACCAAAAUCAAGUACAAGUACACACAUACCGGCAUGCACCAGCUAGCUAGGCUGAUCAAUGCUUCGACCUUCCAGUGGAGACCUAAGACAAGUGUUACUCUCGUGUCCUGUCUCUAGAGCUGGGACUGGCAUAUGAGCAGUUCUAAGUUGAUCCACUAAUAGCUUAACUGUAGAAUGUUUCCUACUUAGGUUCAGUUUUGUCUUUACUGACCCGUUAAACUAUGGCUAUUGUGCAUCAAGAUUCGUUCGAAGUCCUAAGAAAACACAAGGUUGUCAGGGACGGUUUUUCUUUGGCUGGGGUUGCCGUCAAUCUGAAUUGAGGAUGUCAGUGAUUGGCAGCUCCAGACUGCAAAAUUUGUCCUACUUAUUGGACAGCUGAUCAGCAUUGUUCUUAGUUCCACUUCCUAGUGCACACACUAGCAGCCACUGGGGCCUAGCAGGGGGCGGCAAUGAGCACCGGUGAGCCGUGUCGACAUCACCAACAGCAGAUGGAGAGGAAGGGAAAAGGGCUGGCAAAGCCAAAAGCAAGGAUCACAUGAAACUAUUGUGUGCAUUGUUAAUGUAUAUGAAACUAUUUUUCUUUCUCGCAAAAAAGAAGUGUAUAUUGACUACACAUGCACUGAACUGGAGCUAAGAUGAUUAGAUACGGUUCUUAUCAAUCAAGCUAGAACAAAAGAGAUUAUUUGUCCCUCACAAUUUGGUAAUCCUGCUCUGCCAAUUUUCACCAUCAGUGUCAAAUAAACAAUGAGCGCACGGAGAGAUUGAGAGAGCGCUCACCGAAAUCAGUGGAGUGGCGCUUGGGCAUAUGCAGGAACUCGGGAGUACUCAUGCUCCCGGUCAUGCCGGAGACCGCGGCACACGAAAUCUUGAGCAAUGGAGAAGGGCGCAAAAUUCACGGCCAUACCGCUGCCUUGCGGUCCUCCUCGCUUCAGGUCAGGGACCGAGCGCGGAAGGGCGCCGCCGCCUCGAUUCCUUCCUCGGUGGUGGGCUCGGCCUUGGCCUCCCCUACAGGAUCCGGAGAGGGAGGUUCGGCGGGGAGUGGCGGCGGACGGGCCGACGGGAGGGGCGCUGCCAUCGCUGGCCGCCUGGUCUGGUGCCGCCGUACGGGGGGAGGCAGGCGCGACUAUGAGGUGCUCAUAGCCAGACCGAAGCGGGAGACAAUCGCCCGGCCCAGCGCGCUGGAGGGCCACAAGCAUUAAGCGUUCGUUUUUUUCUUUCAUUUUGAACUUUUUUAGUUUUUAUUAGAAAACAUUUGUUUAUAUUUCGACAUAUUCUAAACAUAUAGUAUAUUAUAAAAAUAAAUUUACAUAAAAUUUUGAAUAAAUUUUAGUCAUGCAUUUGAAAAAUGUUAAACCUAUAUAGAAAAUUGUUUCUAAUGUAUAGAACAUGUAUGAAAAAAGUAGACAUCAAAACAUAUAUAGGAAAAAAAAUAAACAUGUAUAUUUUUUUAUGAUGUAUACAAAAAAUGUAGAUGGUGUAUGAAAAAUGUAGACAUCAAAAUAUAUAUACUAUAAAAGUGUGUGCUGUGUUAAAAAAAUGUUUGUGCAAGUUUUAAAAAAUGGUGAUAGAAUUUGAAAACAAUGUUUCAACAUGUCAUUGAAUUUUUUUAACACAUAUGCGAACAACAAUGUUCAAAAACAUAUGUUUGAAAACAUGUUAAUGAUGUAUUUGAGAAAUGUUAAACAUAUAUAAAAUAAAUGUUUUAGAUGUAUACGAAAAAUGUACAAUGCAUCUAGCACAAAGUAGACAUGAAAACAUGUAGUAUUUGGAAAAAAUGUUAAUCAUUGUAUUUUACAAAUUUUAACUAUGUAUUAAAAAGUGUUAAACGUGUAAAAAAAUCUUGAUGUAUACAAAAAAUAGAAGGGGAGCCUUGGCGCAGCGCUAAAGUUAUUGCAAAACAGUUUACGAGUCCUGGAAACAGCCUCUUGCAGAAAUGUAGGGAAAAACUGCAUACAAUAGAUCCAAAGUGCCUGGACCCUGCAUAAGCGGGAGUUACGUGCACUGCGCUGCCCCUUUAUUUAUAUAUACAAAAUAUGUAGACAUCAAAACAUGUAGCAUAAUGUUAAUCAUGUAUUUUAAAAUUGUAAAACAUAUAUAAAUUUUUUCUUGAUGUAAAACAAAUGUAGACAUAAAAACAUGCAUAUUUAAAAUAAUGUUAAUCAUGUAUUUAAAAAUUAUUAAAUGUGUAUAAUUUGUUUUCUUGAUGUAUACAAAAACUGUAGACAUCAAACAUGUACUACCUCUAUUCCUAAAUGUAGUGUGCAUAGGUAAGUUCAAAAGUCAAACUUCUCCUACCUUGAUUACAUUUAUAGAGGACAAAUAUCUACAUCUACAGGUUAAGUAAAUAUCAUUAGAUACAUCAUUAAGCAUAUAUUUAUAUUAUAUUUGUUUAGUAUUAUUUUGGUUGAUGCUUUUCUCUUUGGUCAAACAAAACAAUGUUUGACUCCUAGGAAAUUUUAUACGCACUACAUUUAGGAAUAGAGGGAGUACAUUUAAAAUAAUGUUAAUCAUGUACUCCCUCCAUCCCAUAAUAUAAGAACGCUUUUCAUGCUAUGCUAGCUUGAAAAACGUUCUUAUAUUACGGGACAGAGGGAAUAUUUUUAAAAUGCUGAACGUGUAUACAAAUAACGUUUCAUGUAUUUUUAUUAAAUGAGUAUAAGAAAAAAAGUACAAGGCGUAUGGGAAAAAGUAGACUUGAGAACAGAUAUUAUAAAAAAUGUUAGUCUGUAGUUAAAAUGUUAAAUAUGCAUAAAACAUAUUUUGUUGUAUACAAAAAUGUACAUUGUAUGUGAAAAAGUAGACAUGUGUUGAAAAAGUAAAAAGAAACAAAAAGCAAAAAAAAAGUUAAACACAAUGAAAACCAAAGCAAAAAAGAAAAACUGAGAAAGAAACAUAGAAAACUGAAGAAAACGAAAAAAAAGGAAAUCCAAUUUUUUUUUGAAGAAAAACAAAGAAACCCGAGAAAGCAACAAAUAAAAAGAAAGGAACCCCAAAAAAUGAAGCGAAGGAGCAAAGCGAGCAUACAUCUCGCUGUAAGCGAGAUAUAGCUCCCGGAGCAGCAGGUGGACAAAUGAUGUUUCCCUUUCUUCACGAGUGAAUCUCGCAGCACCCCAAUUUCAACAUGGUAAAUUUUUAUUUUUAAACUUUCAGUUAUAAAACCACUAAUUUUGUGCUAAUGACCAGCAAGGCUCACUUGUCAGGCCUAGUGACAAGAACAUUGUUUACUUUGAUAUAGCUUUGAAUUUUCAAUGAAGAUCCAAUUAAUUUGGAAAUAAAAACUUUAAACUACUUAUAUCUUUUAAAAAAAUCAUGAAUUUUUUUUUUGUUAAAAUUUUCGUAGCAAACUUACCAACGAUGAUUCUCUCAUAGUCAAACUGCUCAUUUUAAUGAGCUGAAAUUCUUCAGAAUAGUCAUUCCAAUGAGUAUGGCUUUUCUAGAAACCACAACAAGCAACCUUGCGGUAAAUGACAAUUUUAUGGUAGGUACCCAUCCCAGGAAUAUGGCUGGAACCGUUGAUGAUGAUGUGAUGGUUUUCGAUUACUUCCCGGUCGUCGUUAUAACAUUGUAGCUAAACGCUUAAUUAUGAGAUUGAAAAUAUAAUAAUAUAACAUUAUUGCCUCUAGGGCAUAUUUCCAACACUGACACAUUUGAUUGUUGGAAAUGUUGGGGAACGUAGUAAUUUCAAAAAAAAAAUCCUAAGCACACAUAAGAUCAUGGUGAUGCAUAGCAACGAGAGGGGAGACUGUUGUCCAUGUACCCUCGUAGACCGAAAGCGGAAACAUUAUGACAACGCGGUUGAUGUAGUCGUAUGUCUUCACGAUUGACCGAUCCUAGUGUUGGGGAACGUAGUAAUUUUAAAAAAAUUCCUACGUACACGCAAGAUCAUGGUGAUGCAUAGCAACGAGAGGGGAGAGUAUCGUCUAUGUACCCUCGUAGACCAUAAGAGGAAGCAUUAUGACAACGCGGUCGAUGUAGUCGUACGCCUUCACGAUCGACCGAUCCUCAGUACCGAACGUACGGCACCUCCGCGUUCAGCACACGUUCAGCUCGGUGAUGUCCCGUGAACUCACGAUCCAUUAGAGCUUCGGGGAAGAGCUUCGUCAGCACGACGGCGUGGUGACGGUGUUGAUGAAGUUACCGACGCAGGGCUUCGCCUAAGCACCGCUACGAUAUGACCGAGGUGGAUUAUGGUAGAGGGGGGCACCUCACACGGCUAAGAGAUCAAUGAUCAAUUGUUGUGUCUUGGGGUGCCCCUCUGCCCCCGUAUAUAAAGAAGCUAGGGGGGAGGCGGCCGGCCAAGGAGGAGGGCGCACCAAGGGGGGAGUCCUACUCCCACCGGGAGUAGGACUCCUUUCCUAGUAGGAGUAGGACAAGGGGGAAGGGAAGGAGAGAGGAGAAAGGAAGGGGGGGCACCGCCCCCUCCUUUUCCAAUUCGGACUAGAGGGGGAGGGGGCGCGCGACCUGCCCUGGCUGCCCCUCCUCUUCUCCACUUAGGCCCAAUAGGCCCAUUAUACUCCCCGGGGGAUUCCAGUAACCCCCCGGUACUCCGGUAUAUGUCUGAAACCUCCCGAAGCACUUCCGGUGUCCAAACAUAGUUGUCCAAUAUAUCGAUCUUUACGUGUCAACCAUUUCGAGACCCCUCGUCAUGUCCGUGAUCAUAUCCGGGACUCCGAACUACCUUCGGUACAUCAAAACACAAAAACUUAUAAUACCGAUCGUCACAGAACUUUAAGCGUGCGGACCUCACGGGUUCGAGAACUAUGUAGACAUGACCGAGACAUGUCUCCGGUCAAUAACCAAUAGCGGAACCUGGAUGCUCAUAUUGGUUCCUACAUAUUCUACGAAGAUCUUCAUCGGUCAAACCGCAUAACAACAUACGUUGUUCCCUUUGUCAUCGGUAUGUUACUUGCCCGAGAUUCGAUCGUCGAUAUCUCAAUACCUAGCUCAAUCUCGUUACCGGCAAGUAUCUUUACUUGUUCCGUAGUGCAUCAUCCCGUAACUAACUCAUUAGUCACAUUGCUUGCAAGGCUUAUAGUUAUGUGCAUUACCGAGAGGGCCCAGAGGUACCUCUCCGCCAAUCGGAGUGACAAAUCCUAUUCUUGAUCUAUGCCAACUCCAGGAACACCAUCGGAGACACCUGUAGAGCACCUUUAUAAUCAGCCAGUUAUGUUGUGGCGUUUGGUAGCAGACAAAGUGUUCCUCUAGUAUUCGGGAGUUGCAUAAUCUCAUAGUCAUAGGAACAUGUAUAAGUCAUGGAGAAAGCAAUAGCAGUAAACUAAAGGAUCAAGUGCUAAGCUAACGAAAUGGGUCAAGUCAAUCACAUCAUUCUCCUAAUGAUGUGACCCCGUUAAUCAAAUGACAACUCAUGUCCAUGGCUAGGAAACUCAAACAUCUUUGAUCAACGAGCUAGUCAAGUAGAGGCAUACUAGUGACACUAUGUUUGUCUAUGUAUUCAGACAUGUAUUAUGUUUCCGGUUAAUACAAUUCUAGCAUGAAUAAUAAACAUUUAUCAUGAUAUGAGGAAAUAAAUAAUAACUUUAUUAUUGCCUCUAGGGCAUAUUUCCUUCAGUCUCCCACUUGCACUUGAGUCAAUAAUCUUGAUUACAUAGUAAUGAUUCUAACACCCAUGGAGUCUUGGUGUUGAUCAUGUUUUGCUCGUGGAAGAGGCUUAGUCAACGGGUCUGCAACAUUUAGAUCUGUAUGUAUCUUGCAAAUCUCUAUGUCUCCCACCUGGACUUGAUCCCGGAUGGAAUUGAAGCGUCUCUUGAUGUGCUUGGUCCUCUUGUGAAAUCUGGAUUCCUUUGCCAAGGCAAUUGCACCAGUAUUGUCACAAAAUAUUUUGAUUGGACCCGAUGCACUAGGUAUGACACCUAGAUCAGAUAUGAACUCAUUCAUCCCGACUCCUUCAUUUGCAGCUUCCGAAGCAGAUAUGUACUCUGCUUCACACGUAGAUCCCGUCACGACGCUUUUUUAGAACUGCACCAACUGACAGCUCCACCAUUCAAUAAAAACAUGUAUCCGGUUUGCGAUUUAGAAUCGUCCGGAUCAGUGUUAAAUUAAAGCUUGCAUCGACGUGACUAUUUACGAUGAGCUCUUUGCCACCUCCAUAAACGAGAAACAUAUCCUUAGUCCUUUUCAGGUAUUUUAGGAUGUUCUUGACCGUUGUCCAGUGAUCCACUUCUGGAUUACUUUGGUACCUCCCUGCUAAACUAAUAGCAAGGCACACAUCAGGUCUGGUACACAACAUUGCAUACAUGAUAGAACCUAUGGCUGAAGCAUAGGGAACACUUUUCAUUUUCUCUCUAUCUCCUGCAGUGGUCGGGCAUUGAGUCUGACUCAACUUCACACCUUGUAACACAGGCAAGAACCCUUUCUUUGCUUGAUCCAUUUUGAACUUUUUCAAAACUUUAUCAAGGUAUGUGCUUUGUGAAAGUCCAAUUAAGCGUCUUGAUCUAUCUCUAUAGAUAUUGAUGCCUAAUAUAUAAGCAGCUUCACCAAGGUCUUUCAUUGAAAAACUCUAAUUCAAGUAUCCUUUUAUGCUAUACAGAAAUUCUAUAUCAUUUCCAAUCAACAAUAUGUCAUCCACAUAUAAUAUUAGAAACGCUACAGAGCUCCCACUCACUUUCUUGUAAAUACAGGCUUCUCCAAAUGUAUGUAUAAAACCAUAUGCUUUGAUCACACUAUCAAAACGUUUAUUCCAACUCCAAGAGGCUUGCACCAGUCCAUAAAUGGAUCGCUGGAGCUUGCACACUUUGUUAGCACCCUUUGGAUCGACAAAACCUUCUGGUUGCAUCAUAUACAACUCUUCUUCCAGAAAUCCAUUCAAGAAUGCAGUUUUGACAUCCAUUUGCCAAAUUUCAUAAUCAUAAAAUGCGGCAAUUGCUAGCAUGAUUCGGGCAGACUUAAGCAUCGCUACGGGUGAGAAAGUCUCAUCGUAGUCAACCCCUUGAACUUGUCGAAAACCUUUCGCAACAAGUCGAGCUUUGUAGACAGUAACAUUACCGUCAGCGUCAGUCUUCUUCUUGAAGAUCCAUUUAUUCUCUAUGGCUUGCCGAUCAUCGGGCAAGUCAACCAAAGUCCACACUUUGUUCUCAUACAUGGAUCCCAUCUCAGAUUUCAUGGCCUCAAGCCAUUUUGCGAAAUCUGGGCUCACCAUCGCUUCUUCAUAGUUCGUAGGUUUGCCAUGGUUAAGUAACAUGACUUCCAGAACAGGAUUGCCAUACCACUCUGGUGCGGAUCUUACUCUGGUUGACCUACAAGGUUCGGUAGUAACUUGAUCUGAAGUUUGAUGAUCAAUAUCAUUAGCUUCCUCACUAAUUGGUGUAGGUGUCACAGGAACCGGUUUCUGUGAUGAACUACUUUCCAAUAAGGGAGCAGGUACAGUUACCUCAUCAAGUUCUACUUUCUUCCCACUCACUUCAUUCGAGAGAAACUCCUUCUCUAGAAAGGAUCCAUUCUUAGCAACGAAUGUUUUGCCUUCGGAUCUGUGAUAGAAGGUGUACCCAACAAUUUCCUUUGGGUAUCCUAUGAAGACACAUUUCUCUGAUUUGGGUUCGAGUUUAUCAGGUUGAAGCUUUUUCACAUAAGCAUCGCAACCCCAAACUUUAAGAAAUGACAACUUUGGUUUCUUGCCAAACCACAGUUCAUAAGGCGUCGUCUCAACGGAUUUUGAUGGUGCCCUAUUUAACGUGAAUGCAGCUGUCUCUAAAGCAUGACCCCAAAACGAUAGCAGUAAAUCAGUAAGAGACAUCAUAGAUCGCACCAUAUAUAGUAAAGUACGAUUACGACAUUCGGACACACCAUUAUGUUGUGGUGUUCCGGGUGGCGUGAGUUGUGAAACUAUUCCGCAUUGUUUCAAAUGAAGACCAAACUCGUAACUCAAAUAUUCUCCUCCAUGAUCAGAUCGUAGAAACUUCAUUUUCUUGUUAUGAUGAUUUUCCACUUCACUCUGAAAUUCUUUGAACUUUUCAAAUGUUUCAGACUUAUGUUUCUUUACGUAGAUAUACCCAUAUCUGCUCAAAUCAUCUGUGAAGAUGAGAAAAUAACGAUACCCGCCGCGAGCCUCAAUAUUCAUCGGACCACAUACAUCAGUAUGUAUGAUUUCCAACAAAUCUGUUGCUCGCUCCAUUGUUCCGGAGAACGACGUUUUAGUCAUCUUGCCCAUGAGGCAUGGUUCACAAGUACCAAGUGAUUCCAAAAGUCCAUCAGUAUGGAGUUUCUUCAUGCGCUUUACACCAAUAUGACCCAAACUGCAGUGCCACAAAUAAGUUGCACUAUCAUUAUCAACUCUGCAUCUUUUGGCUUCAACAUUAUGAAUAUGUGUAUCACUACUAUCGACAUUCAACAAAAAUAGACCACUCUUCAAGGGCGCAUGACCAUAAAAGAUAUUACUCAUAUAAAUAGACCAACCAUUAUUCUCAGAUUUAAAUGAAUAACCGUCUCGCAUCAAACAAGAUCCAGAUAUAAUGUUCAUGCUCAAUGCUUAACAAUUAUUCAGGUCUAAAACUAACCAAGAAGGUAGAUGUAGAGGUAGCGUGCCGACGGCGAUCACAUCGACUUUGGAACCAUUUCCCAUGCGCAUCAUCACCUCGUCCUUAGCCAAUCUCCACUCAAUCCGUAGUCCCUGUUUCGAGUUGCAAAUAUUAGCAACAGAACCAGUAUGAAAUACCCAGGUGCUACUAUGAGCUUUAGUAAGGUACACAUCAAUAACAUGUAUAUCACAUAUACCUUUGUUCACCUUGCCAUCCUUCUUAUCCGCCAAAUACUUGGGGUAGUUCCGCUUCCAGUGACUAGUCUGUUUGCAGUAGAAGCACUCAGUCUCAGGCUUAGGUCCAGACUUAGGUUUCUUCUCUUGAGCAGCAACUUGUUUGCUGUUCUUCUUGAACUUCCCCUUCUUCUUCCCUUUACCCUUUUUCUUGAAACUAGUGGUCUUGUUGACCAUCAACACUUGAUGCUCCUUCUUGAUUUCUACCUCCGCAGCCUUUAGCAUUGCGAAGAGCUCGGGAAUUGUCUUAUCCAUCCCUUGCAUAUUAUAGUUCAUCACGAAGCUCUUGUAGCUUGGUGGCAGUGAUUGACGAAUUCUGUCAAUGACACUAUCAUCCGGAUGAUUAACUCCCAGUUAAAUCAAGUGGUUAUUAUACCCAGACAUUUUGAGUAUAUGUUCACUAACAGAACUAUUCUCCUCCAUCUUGCAGCUGUAGAACUUAUUGGAGACUUCAUAUCUCUCAAUCCGGGCAUUUGCUUGAAAUAUUAACUUCAACUCCUGGAACAUCUCAUAUGCUCCAUGACGUUCAAAACGUCGUUGAAGUCCUGGUUCUAAGCCAUAAAGCAUGGCACACUGAACUAUCGAGUAGUCAUCAGCUUUGCUCUGCCAGAGGUUCAUAAUGUCGUCAGUUGCAUCUGCAACAGGCCUGGCACCCAGCGGUGCUUCCAGGACGUAAUUCUUCUGUGCAGCAAUGAGGAUAAUCCUCAAGUUAUGGACCUAGUCCGUGUAAUUGCUACUGAUAACCCACAAGUAUAGGGGAUCGCAACAGUUUUCGAGGGUAGAGUAUUCAACCCAAAUUUAUUGAUUCGACACAAGGGGAGCCAAAGAAUAUUCUCAAGUAUUAGCAGCUGAGUUGUCAAUUCAACCACACCUGGAAACUUAGUAUCUGCAGCAAAGUGUUUAGUAGCAAAGUAAUAUGAUAGUGGUGGUAACGGUAACAAAAGUAAAGACAGCAAAACUAAUGUUUUUGGUAUUUUUGUAGUGAUUGUAACAAUAGCAACGGAAAAGUAAAUAAGCGAGAACUAGUAUAUGGAAAACUCGUAGGCACCGGAUCAGUGAUGGAUAAUUAUGUCGGAUGUGGUUCGUCAUGUAGCAGUCAUAACAUAGGGUGACACAGAACUAGCUCCAAUUCAUCAAUGUAAUGUAGGCAUGUAUUCCGAAUAUAGUCAUACAUGCUUAUGGAAAAGAACUUGCAUGACAUCUUUUGUCCUACCCUCCCGUGGCAGCGGGGUCCUAUUGGAAACUAAGAGAUAUUAAGGCCUCCUUUUAAUAGAGAACCGGAACAAAGCAUUAGCACAUAGUGAAUACAUGAACUCCUCAAACUAUGGUCAUCACCGGGAGUGGUUCCGAUUAUUGUCAAUUCGGGGUUGCCGGAUCAUAACACAUAGUAGGUCACUAUAGACUUGCAAGAUAGGAUCAAGAACUCACAUAUAUUCAUGAAAACAUAAUAGGUUCAGAUCUGAAAUCAUGGCACUCGGGCCCUAGUGACAAGCAUUAAGCAUAGCAAAGUCAUAGCAACAUCAAUCUCAGAACAUAGUGGAUACUAGGGAUCAAGCCCUAACAAAGCUAAAUCGAUUACAUGAUAAAUCUCAUCCAACCCAUCACCGUCCAGCAAGCCUAUGAUGGAAUUACUCACACACGGCGGUGAGAAUCAUGAAAUUGGUGAUGGAGGAUGGUUGAUGAUGACGACGGCGACGAAUCCCCCUCUCCGGAGCCCCGAACGGACUCCAGAUCAGCCCUCCCGAGAGAGAUUAGGGCUUGGCGGCGGCUCCAUAUCGUAUAACGCAAUGAUUUCUUCUCUCUGAUUUUUUCUCCCCGAAAGCCAAUAUAUGGAGUUGGAGUUGGCGUCGGAGGGCCACCAGGGGGCCCACGAGGUAGGGGGGCACGCCCUAGGGGGGGCACCCUCGUGGACAGGGUGUGGGCCCCCCUGGUCUUCAUCUUUGGCGAGGAUUUUUUAUUAUUUAUUCUAAGAUAUUCCUUGGAGUUUUAGGUCAUUCCGAGAACUUUUAUUUUCUGCACAAAAACAACAUCAUGGCAAUUCUGCUGAAAACAGCGUCAGUCCGGGUUAGUUCCAUUCAAAUCAUACAAGUUAGAGUCCAAAACAAGGGCAAAAGUGUUUGGAAAAGUAGAUACGACGGAGACGUAUCUACUCCCCCAAGCUUAAACCCUUGCUUGUCCUCAAGAAAUUCAGUUGACAAACUGAAAGAGAAAAAGAAAACCUUUUACAAACUCUGUUUGCUCUUGUUGUUGUAACAUGAAAAGCCAGCAUUCAAGUUCCAGCAAAUAUUAUGAACUAACCAUACUAACAAUAACCCAAAGGUCUCACAAUUACUCAUAUCAAUAGCAUAAUCAACUAGCGAGCUAUAAUAACAAAACUCGGAUGACAACACUUUUUCAAAAUAAUCAUAACAUGAUAUAACAAAAUGGUAUCUCGCUAGCCCUUUCUGAGACCGCAAAACAUAAAUGCAAAGCACCUUUAAAGAUCAAGGACUGACUAAACAUUAUAAUUCAUGGUAAAAGAGAUCCAGUCAAGUCAUACCCAAUGUAAACCAAUUAUAAUGAAUGCAAAUGACAGUGUGCUCUCCAGCGGGUGCUUUUUAAUAAGAAGGAUGAUGACUCAACAUAAAAGUAAAUAGAUAGGCCCUUCGCAGAGGGAAGCAGGGAUUUGUAGAGGUGCCAGAGCUCAGUUUUAAAAUAGAGAUUGAAUAAGAUUUUGAGCGGCAUACUUUUGCUGUCAACGCAACAACUAUGAGGUGACGAUAUCUCCCAUGCUAAGCAAAUUAUAGGCGGUUCCCAAACAGAAUGGUAAAGUUUAUACUCCCCCUCCUCCACAGGCAUCAAUCCAUGGCUUGCUCGAAACAACGAGUGCCUCCAACAUUUAACGGGUCCCAGGAGGAGUUUUGUUUGCAAUUAUUUUGAUUUAGUUUGCAUAAAGCAUGGGACUGGGCAUCCCGGUGACCAGCCAUUUUCUCGUGAAUGAGGAGCGGAGUCCACUCCUCUUGAGAAUAACCGCCUAACAUGGAAGAUAAGGGCAGCCCUAGUUGAAACAUGAGCUGCUCGAGCAUACAAAACAGAAUUUCAUUUGAAGGUUUGGAGUUUGGCACAUACAAAUUUACUUGGAACGGCAGGUAAAUACCGCAUAUAGGUAGGUAUAGUGGACUCAUAUGGAACAACAUUGGGGUUUAAGGAGUUUGGAUGCACAAGCAGUAUUCCCGCUUAGUACAGGUGAAGGCUAGCAAAGGACUGGGAAGCGACCAACUGGGAGAGCGACAACAGUCGUAACCAUGCAUUAAAAUUAAUUUACACCGAAUACAAGCAUGAGUAGGAUAUAAUCUACCAUGAACAUAAAUAUCAUGAAGGCUAUGUUGAUUUGAUUCAACUACAUGCGUGAACAUGUGCCAAGUCUAGUCACUCAAUUCAUUUAAAGGAGGAUACCAUCCCAUCAUACCACAUCAUAAUCAUUCUAAUAGCAUGUUGGCACGCAAGGUAAACCAUUAUAACUCAUAGCUAAUCAAGCAUGGCAAAAGCAACUAUAAUCUCUAAAUGUUAUUGUAAAUAUGUUAACUUCAUAAUAGCUGACUCAGGAACGAUGAAUCAUCAUAUUUACAAAAACAAGAGAGGUCGAGUUCAUACCAGCUUUUCUCAUCCCAAUAAGUCCAUCAUAUAUCAUCAUUAUUGCCUUUCACUUGCACAACCGAACGAUGUGAAUAAUAAUAAGAGUGCACGUGCAUUGGACUAAGCUGGAAUCUGCAAGCAUUCAAUAGAUAGGAGAAGACAAGGAAUAUGGGCUCUAAAUUAAAUAAACAAUCAUGCAUAUAAGAGCCACUUCAACAAUUUAAUCAUGGUCUUCUCCUACUGACCCCCAAAGAAAAAGAAAGGAAAUAAAAACUAUUUACACGGGAAAGCUCCCAACAAGCAAAAGAAGAACGGGAAAUAUUUUUGGGUUUUCCUUUUUAAUUACUACAGCAAAGAAAUAAACUACUACUAAUUUGUUUUUGUUUUUCUUAAGGUUUAUUAAGCACACAAGAAGAAAGCAGGAGAAAGAAAGUAAUCUAGCAUGGAUAUUACAAUGAAAGAGUAUGAACACCGACAUCUAGCAAUGAGUGUGUGUGAACAUGAAUGUAAUGUCGGUGGGAAAUACGUACUCCCCCAAGCUUAGGCUUUUGGCCUAAGUUGGUCUAUUGCCAGGGAUGGCCUGGUGGAUACCCGUAGGUGAAGCUGGGGUCAUACUGCGAUGCAGAAGACUCUGACUGCCACUGGCUGGCAGCCACCUCUGGAUCCCAAGAAUAAAUAGACUAUCGUGGAGGCUCAUCUUGUGGCUCCGGUUCCGGGGCGGGUGCAGGAUUUCGAUAGGCUUGAAUGGCCGCCCACGGAACGAUGUGAGGACCUGCAGACAAGUUAAACAAAGAGGGAGCAGGCAAAGUAAUAGUCUCAGGGUGAUGUUUAUCAAAGUACAAUUUAUAUUUGAGUUCCCCUUCACGACUCUUAACAACAAAGUCAUGCGCUAGCAUACUCCUAUAAUCUAAAUAAGCACGGGGCAGCGAUGUUUCCUCUUUCUCCUCAUGCCUAAUAGGUAUUUCAAAAUAUUCAGCUAGGCGUGAAGCAUAAAUGCCUCCAAAGACGGGGCCCUUAGUAUGGUUCAGACUUAACUGUCUAGCAACAAUUCCACCCAUACUAACAGAGUUAUUGCGGUAUAAACCAUGGAACAAAAUGAUAACAUCAGGAACACUAAGGUUUCCACAGUUUCCACGACCUAUCAAGCAACGACUAGCAAAUAAGGCAAAGCAGCGUAAAACAGGAAAAUGUAUGCUAGUAAUUCUUGCAUCAGAAACCUUCCUGGUUUCUCCCACCGUGAUAGUGUGAAUAAAAGCUUCUACUUCAUUACGGUGUGGUUCAUCCAAGGUGCCCUCAAAGGGUAUUUUGCAAACCUCACAAAAUUCAGCUAAUGGCAUCCUCUUAACAACGUCAUAUAAAUGAAACUCUACUGAUGGAGGUGAAUUCUUAGGGAAAAAGUAGAAGUUUUGCACAAAAGUAUUUGUGAGUAAGAGAUACUGAUGACAUUGGUCGCGGAGGAAGUCGGUGAGGCCAGCAUUCUCAAUUAAUAAAUAGAAAUCUUCGUAAAUCCUGGCUUUCCUCAAGAAGUCAUCGGAAGGCCAUUCACACGGCCGGACCUCCGCGGUGCGAGGCAAAUUAAAUUUGGGCUUCUGUUCUUCUUCCUUUUGUUUUUCCUUCGAGCUUCGGCUCGACGAGCCCCUCAAAAGUCUCUUCAUUAUUUCUGAAACAAUCUGAAAUUUUUAGUAACUUCAAAUAAAAGUGAACCAACUUCAAUAAAAUUGAUAGCAACUACUCCCACGAGUGCCUAGAGACUAAAUCAAGCAUUAGAACUACUUGGGACCAUAUGAAUUUGACAUGCAAGCUCAAGAAGAUGGUCACCUAGGCAGCAUAAAUUUGCAAUAAAUAAAGCACUAGAACAAAAACUAAUUGGACCAAUGGAGGAGUCACAUACCAAGGAACAAUCUCCCCAAGCAGUUUUGCAAGAGGUGCUUUGAGCAAGGAGAUCAAAAAUCACAGCAACAGGGGCUGGAACUCGUGCUUGAGUUGGUUUUUCGUGUUUGUGUGAGGCAGAUAAAGAAGAUGGGUGCAUGGAUAAGUGGAGGAGGGCCACCAUGGGCCCACGAGGUAGGGGGGCACGCCCAGGGGGGUAGGGCGCGCCCUCCACCCUCGUGGCUAGGUGGCAGCUCCCCCCGCGGUAUUUUUUGCACAGAAAAUUCUCAAAUAUUCCCGAAAAAAUCAUAUUAAAUUGGCAUGGCAUUCUAAGGACUUUUAUUUUCGGGAUAUUUUUAUAUAGCACGGAUAAAUCAGGAAACAGACAUAAAAAAUACUAUUUUACUUUAUUUCUACUAAAUAACAAAAAAUAUAGAGGGUACAAAAGGUUGUGCUUCUAGUUUCAUCCAUCUCAUGCUCAUCAAAAAGAAUCUACUAACAAGGUUGAUCAAGUCUUGUUAGCAAACUCAUUCCGAUUACCAUGGAACCGGAGAAAUUUUGAAUAACACUAUGUUACCUCAACGGGGAUAUGGACAUCCCCAAUAAUAGGUAUAUCAUACUUUUUCUUGACAGUAGGGAGAGGAAAUUCAAAACCUCCAAAUAUAAUUGAUGGAAUUUUUCCAAUAGAGUUGACACUAUAAACCUGAGGUUGUUUCCUCGGAAAGUGUACCGUGUGCUCAUUGCCAUUAACAUGAAAAGUGACAUUGCCUUUGUUGCAAUCAAUAACAGCCCCUGCAGUAUUAAGAAAAGGUCUUCCAAGAAUAAUAGACAUACUAUCAUCCUCGGGAAUAUCAAGAAUAAUAAAGUCCGUUAAAAUAGUGACGUUUUCAACCACAACAGGCACAUCCUCACAAAUACCAACAGGUAUAGCAGUUGAUUUAUCGGCCAUUUGCAAAGAUAUUUCAGUAGGUGUCAACUUAUUCAAGUCAAGUCUACGAUAUAAAGAGAGAGGCAUAACACUAACACCGACUCCAAGAACACAUAAAGCAGUUUUAACAUAAUUUCUCUUAAUGGAGCAUGGUAUAGUAGGUACUCCGGGAUCUCCAAGUUUCUUUGGUAUUCCACCCUUAAAAGUAUAAUUAGCAAGCAUGGUGGAAAUUUCAGCUUCAAGUAUCUUUCUUUUAUUAGUAAUAAUAUCCUUCAUAUACUUAGCAUAAGGAUUUGUUUUGAGCACAUCAGUUAAUCGCAUACGCAAAAAGAUGGGUCUAAUCAUUUCAGCAAAGCACUCAAAAUCCUCACCAUCCUUUUUCUUGGAUGGUUUUGGAGGAAAAGGCAUGGGUUUCUGAACCCAUGGUUCCCUUUCUUUACCAUGUUUCCUAGCAACGAAGUCUCUUUUAUCAUAACGUUGAUUCCUUGAUUGUGGGUUAUCAAGAUCAACACCAGGUUCAACUUCUACAUCAUUAUCAUUACUAGGUUGAGCAUUAUCAUGAACAUCAUCAUUAACAUUUUCACUAGGUUCAUGUUCAUUACCAGAUUGUGUUUCAGCAUCAGACAUAGAGAUAUCAUUUGGAUUCUCAGGUGGCUCAGCAAUAGGUUCACUAGAAGUUUGCAAAGUCCUAUCAUUCAUAUUUUUCUUCUUUCUUGAAGAACUAGGUACAUUAAUAUCAUUUCUCUGAGAAUCUUGCUCAAUUCUCUUAGGGUGGCCUUCAGGAUACAAAGGUUCCUGAGUCAUUCUACCAGUUCUAGUAGCCACUCUAACAGCAUAAUCAUUUUUCUUACUAUUCAUUUCAUCAGGCACUUCUUUUUGAGCUUUAAGUACUUGUUCUACUUGAGUGGUAACCAUAGAAGCAUGUUUGCUAACAAGUUUAAGUUCACCUCUAAUAUCAGCCAUAUAAUCACCCAAGCUUUUAAUCAUAUAAGCAUCUUGUUUUAAUUGUCUACCUGAAAGCACAAGUGCUCCCUAGGUGGUUUUGGUAAUUAAUAAAAACAUAUCUCUUGUUGGACUAACACUUUUAUCUAGUAUGUUUCAGAUAAGUUCAACAAUGGAGUGGCAUGGACUAAAGGAUGUGGGAACUCCUUCAAGAUGCUAAGGACAAAGGAUUGGCUAAAGCUUCAAGCUCAAGACUCUUCAUUUUACAUUUUAGUGAUCCAAGAUCACAUUGAGUCUAUAGGAAAAGCCAAUACUAUGAAGAAGGGAUGAAGUGUUGCUUAAUGAGUUUCUUGCUCCACAGUGCUUAGUGAUAUGCUCCAAAACCCUCAACUACUUUCCCACUUCCACACAUAUGACCUAAACCUAAAGCCAAAAUCGGUCACACCGAUUCUUUCUAUCCGGCGCCACCGAGUUCAAAUGUCAUAGCCACUGCCACAAACCCUAGGCAAAUCGGUCUCACCGAUAGGGAUCUCGGUCUCACCGAGAUGGGAUUGUAAUCUCUCUGUGUAUGUCCAUUAUCAAAAUCGGUCUCACCGAGUUUGUGUAAUCUGUACUAUCGAGAUUACAAUGCAAACUCUCUGGUUAACUUAUUACAAAAAUCGGUCUCACCGAGUUUGAGUAAUCGGUCCCAUCGAGUUUGCCUCACCAACUCUCUGGUCAGCUAAUUACCAAAAUCGGUCUCACCGAGUUUGUGUAAUCGGUCUCACCGAGAUUACAUUAUGCCCUAACCCUAACCAUAUCGGUCCUACCGAGCUGCAUUUCGGUCCAACCGAAAAUCCUAACGGUCACUAGGUUUACUAAAUCGGUCUGACCGAGUUUGUUGAUUCGGUCCCACCGAGAUUGGUAAAUUGUGUGUAACGUUUAGAUUUUGUGUGGAGGCUAUAUAUACCCCUCCACCUCCUCUUCAUUCGUGGAGAGAGCCAUCAGAGCAAACCUACACUUCCAUCUUACCAGUUCUGAGAGAGAACCACCUACUCAUGUGUUGAGGCCAAGAUAUUCCAUUCCUACCAUAUGAAUCUUGAUCUCUAGCCUUCCCCAAGUUGCUUUCCACUCAAAUCUUCUUUCCACCAGAUCCAAAUCCUAUGAGAGAGAGUUGAGUGUUGGAGAGACUAUCAUUUGAAGCACAAGAGCAAGGAGUUCAUCAUCAACGCACCAUUUGUUACUUCUUAGAGAGUGGUGUCUCCUAGAUUGGCUAGGUGUCACUUGGGAGCCUCCGACAAGAUUGUGGAGUUGAACCAAGGAGUUUUUAAGGGCAAGGAGAUCGCCUACUUCGUGAAGAUCUACCGCUAGUGAGGCAAGUCCUUCGUGGGCGACGGCCAUGGUGGGAUAGAAAAGGUUGCUUCUUCGUGGACCCUUCGUGGGUGGAGCCCUUCGUGGACUCGCGCAACCGUUACCCUUCGUGGGUUGAAGUCUCCAUCAACGUGGAUGUACGAUAGCACCACCUAUCGGAACCACGCCAAAAACAUCUGUGUCUCCAACUACGUUUGAAUCCUCCAAACCCUUCCCUUUACUUUCUUGCAAGUUGCAUGCUUUAAUUUCUGCUACCUAUAUACUCUUUGCAUGCUUGCUUGAUUUGUGUGAUGAUUGCUUGACUUGUCCAAAGAUUGCUAAAAUCUGCCAAACUCUAAAAUUGGGAAAAGGUUAAGUUUUUAAUUGGUCAAGUAGUCUAAUCACCCCCCUCUAUACAUACUUCAAGGUCCUAUAAGUGGUAUCAGAGCUUUGGUCUCCAUUUGCUUUGAUUUCCAUAGCUUUUGGUGGUCAUAGCCUUGGUUUCACAACCUAGGAGAGUAUGGCGUCUAGCAAGGGAAAUUAUCACCGUAGAGGUCCUUACUUUGAUGGAACUAAUUUUGCUAUUUGGAUGCAUAAGAUGAAAAUGCAUAUUCUUGGACAUAACCCCGCCGUUUGGGCUAUUAUUUGUAUUGGCUUUCAAGGUGAAUUCUUUGAUGGGAGAGAGCCGAACCGUGAAGCUAAUGCGGAAGAAUUGAAGAUGCUGCAAUACAACGCUCAAGCUUGUGAUAUCAUCUUCAACGGAUUGUGCCCCGAAGAAUUCAACAAAAUCAACCGUCUUGAGAAUGUAAAGGAAAUUUGGGACACUUUGAUUGAUAUGCAUGAAGGUACCGACUCCGUCAAGGAAUUCAAGUUGGAUGUGCUCCAAAGUCAGCUUGACAAGUUCAAAAUGAAGGAUGGUGAAGGUGUCGCUGAAAUGUACUCUAGGCUUGCUCUUAUCACAAAUGAGAUUGCCGGCUUAGGGAGUGAAGAGAUGACCAACAGAUUCAUCAUCAAGAAGAUCCUAAGAGCAUUGGAUGGAAAAUAUGAUACCGUGUGCACAUUGAUUCAAAUGAUGCCCAAUUACAAGAAUCUCAAGCCAACGGAGGUCAUUGGUAGAAUUGUUGCUCAUGAGAUGUCACUCAAGGAUAAGGAGGAACUUCACAACAAGUCAAGUGGUGCUUACAAAGCCUCAUGUGAAGCCCCCACAUCAUCAAGUGAGAAACAAACCUUCAAUGAAGAAUUGAGCUUAAUGUUGAAGAAUUUCAACAAAUUCUACAAGAGUAGAAGCAAAGAAAGAAGCUCUAAGUCAAGGUCCUACAAUGACAAGAGAUCUUCCAAUCGAGAGCACAAUUGCUACAAUUGUGGGAGACCCGGACACUAUUCCAAUGAGUGUAUGGCACCCUACAAAAGAAGAGAAGAUUCUCCAAGAAGAAGAAGUAGAAGAGAAGAAUCACCACCAAGAGAGAGAAGGAGUAGAGAUGAUCGUUAUGAACGAAGACCCUCACGGAGAAGCAAAGAUUCGGAAAGGAAGGACAAGUCAUCAAAGAGCUACACAAAACGAAGACAUCAAGCUCAUGUUGGUGAAUGGGUAUCCGGUUCCGACUCUGAACAUCACUCCGAGAGAAGCUAUCACUCCGACUCUAAACAUACUCAAGAAGAAGGUGUUGCCGGUCUAGCACUUGUGUCAACCAGCUCCUAUGACAUAUUUGACUCACCAAAUGAAGGAAUUGGAAGAUGCUUCAUGGCUAAAGGCCCUAAGGUAACUCAUCCCGAGUAUGUUGAUUUCAAUAGUGAUGAAGAUGACUUGCUAGGUGAUGAUGAUUUACUUGUUGACAACUCUAGUGAUGAAUACUAUGAUGAAACGUCAAUUAAUCAUGCUAAACAAGAUAAAACGAAUGACAAUGAUAAGGAGAAGAUUGAGCUUCUAACUAAAGAACUAAACACUCUUAAGUUAGCUCAUGAAACUAUCUUCGAAAAUCAUCAAGAACUUUUAAGGGCUCAUGAGAAGUUACGCUUUGAAAAGCUCAAUCUUGAGCAAGAGCAUGAGUUCUUAAAGGCAAUCAAUGAUGAUCUUCGCAAGAAAAGUUCUUCUUAUAUUGCCAAGCGUUUACUCUAGUCAAGUCUAGUAACAAGAACAAGAAAGAUUCUUCCUCUAGUAGUAACAAUAACAAUGCUAAAUCCAAUAUUGUUGCUUCUAGUAGUUCUCUUGAUUCCACUAAUGAUUCUCUUAGCCAAGUUACACUUGAGCAAGAAAACAGCUUAUUGAAGGGAAUUAUAGAGAAAGGUGUAUACAAGAGCCUUGCUAGGAGUAAGCAAUUCGAGGAAAUUGUACGCAAGCAAGGAAGGCACCGGAAGAAUCAAGGUGUUGGUUUUGAACGAAAGUUCAAUGCCAAUGGAGUUGAGUGGGAAGAAGAUAAAUACCCCAAGACGAAGUUUGUUCCUCAACAAGAGAAGUAUGAUCCUACUUCCUUCAAGGGGACACAAGCACAAGAUGAUCUUCCACCACAAGACCAUAAGAACAAAGGCAAGGACAAGCUUCAAGAGGAGAUUGAUGCAUUUGAAGAAGCACCUAAGGCCUUGGUCAAGUGGGUUCCCAAGACUACGUCAAGUUCUACUUCAUCUAGCACAACUACUACACUAAGGAUUCCCAUCAAGAUGAUGUGGAUCCCGAAGAAGAAGAACUAGAGAGUUCUUGAGGGUGACUCCGCCAACAUUCUUCAAUCAUAUCUUUAUGGCAAGAACAAGUGCAAUCAACUUCCACAUCUUGCACUAGUUCAAGGAGUCACAAACCCUCAUGUUGGUAAGGCAAGGGACAAGGUAACCUAAUGUUUUCAUGGACAUCAUUUUGUGUGUGCAUCACUCUAUGUCUAUGGAUAUUCUUGUUUGUUCCUUGUGGGACUAAUCCGUGUAGGUAUUGAAAGUGCAACUCACUCCAAAGGAUUUCUCCAAAAGAUCUACAUCAACAUUGAGCAUCCACAUCUUCAACACCUACAUGAAGUCAUCAUCGACAAAACCCAAGGUUAGUUCAUCCAUCUAAAGGGGGAUCUCACAUCUAGGGGGAUCUUAACUCUAAAGAAUUGAGUCAAAGCAACUCUAAUGGUGUGAACACAUCAAUGCAUUAUGUAAAAGUGGUAACCCCACUUGAGCUAUAUAGAUGAUCAAAUGUUCUCAUUUGACUCCUAAGUCAAUAUACUCAUAUAUAGAUGACCUAGCCAUCGCCAAUUGUUUGAUAGAUGCUAGAAUUGGUUGUGCAUGGUUUGCCACAUAUUUCAUCUGUCAUUUUAUUGUGUGAGCAUGUUGGUUGCAUAUUUUACUCAUUCAAGGACAUCCACUUGUUGUUUUGAUUGAUUGGCUUCUUUUUCUUUGGCCAAGUGGAUGGACAAGAAUGCCUAAGAACCUUCUCUAGCUAUCUAUGCUUUUCUCGUCUCAAACUCUAUUCAUGCUACAUCACAAAAUUUGAUCAAGUCAGAUUCGAACCACUCUGUGUGAGGAGCACUUGGAGUCCCCAAUUCGUCAUAGACUUAAACUUCCAAAACUUCUUUGUGAUUUUUGGUCUGACCGAUUCCUCCAUUUCGGUCCUACCGAGAUUACUAAGUCGAUCUAGGUUUUCAAUCUCGGUGGGACCGAUCGCUCUUUUCGGUUAGACCGAAACGUUACGAAGGGAAACAGAGAGAUUACAAUCCCAUCUCGGUGAGACCGAGAUCCCUAUCGGUGAGACCGAUUUGCCUAGGGUUUGUGGCAGUUGCUAUGACAUUUGAACUCGGUGGCGCCGGAUAGAAAGAAUCGGUGUGACCGAUUUUGGCUUUAGGUUUAGGUCAUAUGUGUGGAAGUGGGAAAGUAGUUGAGGGUUUUGGAGCAUAUCACUAAGCACUGUGGAGCAAGAAACUCAUUAAGCAACACCUCAUCCCUUCUUCAUAGUAUUGGCUUUUCCUAUAGACUCAAUGUGAUCUUGGAUCACUAAAAUGUAAAAUGAAGAGUCUUGAGCUUGAAGCUUUAGCCAAUCCUUUGUCCUUAGCAUCUUGAAGGAGUUCCCACAUCCUUUAGUCCAUGCCACUCCAAUGUUGAACUUAUCUGAAACAUACUAGAUAAAUGUGUUAGUCCAAUAAGAGAUAUGUUGUUAUUAAUUACCAAAACCACCUAGGGAGCACUUGUGCUUUCAAUCUCCACCUUUUUGGUAAUUGAUGACAACAUACAUCAAAGCUUUAGAUAAGGAUAUAAAUAAUAGCAAGUAAAGCUUUGGAAAGACAUGUAACAAGCAUAGGCUCCCCCUACAUGUAUGCAAACAUGUGAAUAUGGAAUAUAGAAGCAUGUGAGAGCAUAACCAUGAUAGAGUUGGCAAUGAGUUACAUGUAUCUUGGCCAUAUGCAUCAGAGCAAAGAAUAUUAAAGAAAAUAUCUUCAUGCUCAUGAGUCCUUCUUGCAAACAGUAUGUACAUCAGCAAGAAUUCCUCAUACACAUGAUUGUGAUGCAUAUACUUACCUAGUAGUCUUGAGUUGGCUUAGGAUGGAAUGAACCUGCACAUCUUUGCAUGGAAACCUUCUGACAUGCCGGGUGUACCAAGGGAACUCGCUGAGCAUACUCUCAAUAUUGAUCCGAAGUAUAAGCCGGUCAGGCAGUUUCUCCGACGGUUCAAAGAAGAGAGACGAAAAGCUAUUGGGGAAGAGGUUGCCCGGCUCUUAGCGGCCGGGUUUAUUGUUGAAGUUUUUCAUCCGGAGUGGUUGGCUAACCCGGUGUUGGUGCUCAAGAAGAACGGCACUUGGCGAAUGUGUGUGGAUUACACGGACUUAAACAAGGCUUGUCCGGCUGAUCCCUUUGCUGUCCCCCGUAUUGAUCAAAUCAUUGAUGCUACGACGGGUUGUGAAUGUUUGAGCUUCUUGGAUGCUUACUCUCGUUAUCAUCAGAUCAAGAUGGCAGUUAAGGACCAGGAGAAGAUGGCUUUCAUCACUCCGUUUGGGCCUUCUGUUAUGUAUCUAUGCCGUUUGGACUCAAGAGUGCCCAGGCGACUUAUCAGCGAUGUGUGCUGAACUGUUUGCACGAUCAAAUUGGGCGUAAUGUUCAUGCUUAUGUGGAUGACAUCAUGGUGAAGUACAGAGAAAAGAAAACCUUAAUAUCCGACUUGAGAGAGACCUUUGACAAUCUCCAGGUUUACAAGAUGAUGCUUAACUCGGCCAAGUGUGUGUUUGGUGUACCUGCAGGCAAGCUCUUGGGUUUUCUGGUGUCAAACAGAGGCAUUGAAGCUAAUCCGGAGAAGAUCAUGGCGAUUACCUCUCUGGCUAAACCGACGUGUUGCUGCUUUAAGCCGGUUCAUAAGCCGGUUAGGGGAGAAGGCCUUACCGCUAUAUCAGAUGAUGAAGAAAACAGACACUUUCGUCUGGAGCGAUGCUGCUAACACUUCCUUUGAAGAUUUAAAAAGACAGUUGUCUGAGCCACCGGUUCUUGCAGCUCCCAUUGAUAGAGAGCCGCUAUUGUUAUAUGUGGAUGCUAACUCGCGGGCUGUCAGUGUUGCCAUCGUGGUGGAGCGUAAGGAGGCAGGGAAGGAGCAUCCGGUUCAAUGGCCGGUUUACUACAUCAGCGAGGUGCUCAUUGAGUCUAAACAAAGGUAUCCACAUUGGCAGAAGCUUGUUUAUGGUGUGUUCAUGGCAAACCGGAAGCUGAAGCAGUACUUCCAAAGUCAUCCUAUGACGGUGGUAAGUUCAGCUCCUUUGGGAGACAUCAUUCAGAACAGGGAGGCCACAGGACGAAUCACCAAGUGGGCUAUUGAGCUUGGGCCUUAUGAUUUGAAGUAUAUGCCCUGUACUGCCAUCAAAUCUUAGGCCUUGGUGGACUUUAUCAAUGAUUGGACAGAGUUGCAGGCACCUGAGGAGAAGCCGGAUAAUACGUAUUGGACUAUUCACUUUGAUGGGUCCAGGCAGUUAGAAGGAUCAGGGGCUGGAGUUGUUUUAACUUCCCCUCGAGGUGACAAAUUUCGUUAUGUGCUCCGGCUCAUGUUUCCCUGUACUAACAAUGCAGCUGAAUACGAGGCCUUGCUCCAUGGUCUCCGGAUGGCUAAGGAGAUGAAUUUAAGCCGGGUCAGGUGCUUGGGCGACUCAGACCUCGUGGCUCAACAGGUCUCAGGCACGUGGGAUUCUAAGGAUCUCCUUAUGGCGUCUUAUCAUCGUGAAGUGGAUGCUGUAGCUGGAUACUUCAAAGGGUAUCAGGUGGAGCACAUUGAUAGAAGGAAGAAUGAGGCGGCUGAUGCGUUAAGCCGGUUGGGCUCUCAGCGUAAGCCGGUGCCGCCUAACACCUUUCUUGACGUUCUGCAUAAUCCUUCUGUCAAGGUACCUACAGAGGAAGAGCUUGCAGUGCCAGACCCGGAGGCACAGUUGGUGGCCGCACUUCACGUCAUCCUAGAUUGGACGUUGCCAUACUUGGCUUAUAUGACCCGGGGAGAGCUGCCUGAGGAUGAGACCUUGGCGAGACAAAUUGUCAGGCGGUCCAAAUCCAUGACAAUUGUUAAUGGAGAGUUACAUCACCUCAGUGUCAGAGGGGCGUUCCAGCGUUGUGUGUCACCUGCAGAAGGUCAAGAGAUACUUCGAGAGUUCCAUGAAGGGGAUUGUGGUCAUCAUGCCGGCUCAAAAUCUCUGGUGGCCAAGGCCUUCCGUCAUGGUUUUUAUUGGCUAACGGCUCAUGCUGAUGCAGAUGAUCUUGUUAGCAAAUGUGACAGAUGUCAAAAAUUCUCACGACGAGCUCAUAUGCCGGCUCAAGAAUUGAGGAUGAUUCCAAUUACUUGGCCGUUUGCAGUCUGGGGGCUUGACAUGGUAGGACCCUUCAAGAGGUCUAAGGAUAAAAAGACACCUCCUGGUAGUAGUGGAUAAAUUUACAAAGUGGAUUGAGGCAGAGCCGGUCAGUCAGUGUGAUGCAGCCACAGCAGUUCAGUUCAUUAAAAAGGUGAUCUUUCAUUUUGGUUUUCCACAUAGCAUCAUAACUGAUAAUGGCACUAAUCUCUCCAAGGGUGCCAUGGAAGAGUUCUGUCAACGAGAGCAUAUCCGGCUUAACGUUCGGCUGUUGCUCACCCUCAAUCCAAUGGUCAAGCAGAAAGAGCUAAUCAGGAGAUCUUAAGGGGUAUUAAACCACGGCUCUUGGUCCCCUUACAGCUGACUCCGGGUUGUUGGGUGGAAGAGUUACCCUCUGUGUUGUGGAGCAUCAACACUACACCUAAUAGAUCUACGGGUUAUACACCUUUUUCAUGGUUUAUGGAGCAGAGGCAGUUCUGCCAAGUGAUAUCCGGCACGAUUCGCCCCGUGUGGCGGCUUACGUUGAGGCUGAUAAUGAAAAAGUUCGACAGGAGGCACUUGACUUGUUGGAUGAGGAGCGAGACUUGGCAAUAGCCCGCUCAGCGAUUUACCAGCAAGACCUUCGUCGCUAUCACAGCCAUCGGGUUAGAAACAGAACAUUUCAGGAAGGCGACUUAGUGCUCCGGCUCAUCCAGGAUCAGUCCAAUAUGCACAAACUAUCCCCUCCUUGGGAAGGGCCCUUUGUGGUCAGUAAGAAUCUGAACAACGGGUCAUACUACCUCAUUGAUAUUCGAGAGCACAAAGACUCAUGUAAGUCGGAGGAGGAGACCCGCCGGCCGUGGAAUAUAGCCCAUCUUCGGCCUUACUAUACUUAAGCCACUGGCUCUUGAGAUGUAUAUAUUUUUUAUCAAUGUAUAUAUUAUAUAAAGUAAUAAAGCAGGACCUCUGUCCUUUUUCACCCUCAAAAAAGUUUAUAUGUCUUUUUAUCAGAUGGUCGAAACAACCAACAGGGAGUGGAUCAUAUCUGAAUCCGGCUUUACCUUUGGUCCGGCUUAUGAUCAUAUCUGGAUCUAGCCAUGAUCACUUGGGGGCUUCCUGUUCAGACAUAGGUCGUAUCCAAACCAAAGAGAACAUAGCUGUCGAUACCCACUUGAUCGGCAUACUGCCAAACCUACUUGGGGGCUUCUUGAUAAUAUUUGAAUCAUAGCUUAACCCCUUUUGGGUCUGACGUGGAUCGUAUUCGAAUCAGCGUCAUUAAACAAAUCUUAUGGUCACUUGAGGGCUUCCUAUUCAAACAUAGGUCGUAUUCGAACCAAAGAGAACAUAGCUGUCGAUACCCACUUGAUCGGCAUCGCCAAAGCCACUGGGGGCUAUAUGAUCGUAUCCGAAUCUUAGCUUAACCCCUUUGGAACGGUUUACUGAUCGUAUUCGAAUCAGAAGCCUGUAAAUUAUUUGGACUAUCCUGCGACUUUUGUGGAAGGCAUUAUGAGAUGUUUUUUGUCUUUCUGGUUUAAUAUUGGUCACACCAUGUUGUUAAGUGCCAGGUGAGCAUCAUAUCAGCAGGAAGGAUUAUCAAAGGAUCACAGAAUAAGGUGAGAAAAUUUAACACGCCAAGGAAAUAAAAGCCAGAAAUAUAUAGCAGUGGCGGCUUACGUAAGUGUUGAGCGCUAGGAACAUGCGCGAAGGCAUGACAAACAUUGAGAAGUUUUUUCUAGCCUAUUACAAGACUCCCCAAGCCUGAAUAAAUGAAGCAUUGUUUUUUGCCAAACACCUGGCGAUUCACUCCUUCAGCGGGCUUGAAGACUCCGGGUUAUCCUUCUCCGCUUCUCCGUCAGCUGUUUUGUCCUGGAAAGUUGACGAGGCCCAGUCAAUGCCGCUCAAAGCUUCAAACUCAGCUUCAUCAUCUAUGAAACCGGCAGGGUCCACUUCAGGGGCAAAAGUAUGCUUACGAAUUGGAGGGAUCAGGAUGAUUUGAUCAUAUGGAGUGUUUGGAAUUCUCCGGUUCUCACUGUCAUAAGCCGGCGCAUAUUUGCUAUGGUCAGUGUCAUUUCCAAUAAGGGUUGCCACGGGAUGUAUGGCUUUGACACAGGCGGUGAAAUCAUGGUCGUCAAAUGCAGUGCCGUCCUCCUUCAGACUUGGGUAUCCAAGGGCAAGGUAGGCCGAGUCUAGUUCUGGGAGCCAUGCUUUAGCCCGCCUCAAUGUGGCCACGACCCCGACUCUUGAGGAAGCCCGCCUUAAGUCUUGGAUCUGUUGGGGAAGAAAAGCGAGGCUCUUCAAUACGUCUUGCAAAAGGCGAGGAUGUGGAGUUGAUAAGGCCACAACGGCCAAGGCACGUUGUGUCCCGGAGUAUAGCUGUUCCACUAAGGUGUAAACUGCUUUAAGCUUGAUCAGCAUGUUUUGCUUCAGGUUGGUACUCCUGGGGCCUGUAUGUGCACAAGCAUAACAGUGAGCCGGAAGUAAUUAUUACAAUAGUCAUUGUAAGGUUACAAUGUUUGAGGUUGUGCACAAUAACUUACCAAAGAUGGCUGAGACCAUUUGAGAUAUCUGUCGUUUUAAGUUGGACAGCUCGGUUGUUACCUCUGCAAGAGAUGCUUCUGCUGUCUCGGCCCGAGUCACCAGGGAAGCCUUCUCAUCAGCCCAAGCUUUCUUCUCCGACUCAAAAUUCUUCUUCAACUUCUCAUUUUCAGAGACGCUGAAUUCAAAUUUGGAGUUGGCCUUCUGAGUUUCAAGUUCUUGAGUUUCUAGACGACUCUUCAGGACAGUAAGCUCCGAUUCAAAUUGACUGAUGGUGGCCUGCAUUGACACCACGUUAUGGUAAGGAUCACGGUAAGGUAACAUUCAAGUCCCAAGCACUUUACAAGUAAAGAUAAUUGGCACUUGGGGGCUAAUGUAGGCUGAAGAAUUUUAAACCUAUCAUACCGGGUCACACAUGUUAAGUCUCAAGCACUUUACAAGCAAAGAUACUUGACACUUGGGGGCUAAUGUAUAUUCCAAAUUUAAAAGCCUCAUGUUAUAACCGGGUUAAAUAAAUUCUUUUUGAGCCGGAUAAGCUAACAAGUAAAGCAGUUUUCUAAAGUCUACAACAUAUUUAUUCAUAAGCAAUAGACUUGGGGGCUGGUACAGUAUGUAAGAUUUAGGUAAAAAGUAUAAGUUAUACCUCAGAUUUGUGCUGUAUUUGUUUUACCAUGUCCAUUUCCAGGUCACGGCUAUUAUGCACUUGAUUCAGAUAGCCCGAGACUAUAUCACUAAUGCUUAAGUGAGUAUAAUCAGUAAUGUCCUGAUUGGCUUUUCGGCGUUCGGCAAGUUCUUCCUUGGCAGUACAUUUGGCAAGGACGGUAGGCCGCCCUGGUUCAACAAACUGAGACCUCACAAUCUCAACUUCCGGUUCAUUUGUCUUGACCGGGCUAGGAGUAUCCGGGUCAUUUGUGUUGAGAUUAUCUUCGAAGAGCGGAUCAGAGGUUGGCACUGGAACAUCAGAAGCCGGAUCAGGCGGCGGCUGAUGGGUAGGGCUGUUUGGAGCAGACGUGUUAAUCACCGGUUCAGUUACAAUCGGGUCUUGGGACGGCUUAUUCUUCUUUGCCCUCUUGCUGGAUUUCACUUGCAUGUUGUUAACAAAGGCAGAAAGAUGAAUAUGCAAGCAUGGGUAAAGUAAAGCUCAAGGUAGAUAAGGUUACAUUACCCGGGAGCAGUUUUGAAAGCCAGUAUAUUUGAUUGCAUGGAUUCGUCGGAAGAAGGAGAGGUAUCCUGAUAAUUGGAGUCAGAUGAAUUGAGAGGUUGAUGAAUUAAGCCUGCUAAAGGUAAGACAGAACGUAAAUCGGAGAUAACCUCAGUCCGACGCUUCCUGAUUAUGUCAGGUUAGCCGGAGGAGAGUUCCGCAUCCUUGUUGUUCCGGGUCUGCCUCCGGUUCUCAAGCUGUUGUUGCUUCAAAAGAAAUUGAGGAUCUUGAUAAGCAAGAGCAUGUGAAAAUCUUACUUUCCGGGUCACCCUUCGGAUCCAUUGCUUUGGCAAAGGCUCUGAGUCGGAGGAGAUUAUAGUUACCUCUUCAUUGGCUGCUUGACUGUUCCCUGUACCCUCCUAAAGGGAUAGAAUGUCAGACAGGUAAUAACAAGGGAAUUAAGAAAAUUUAAAGAUUACCUCUUCAUCAUCCGAAGAACUAUCUUCCAAUCUGAGUAAGUCGGAGGCGCUGGGUUUCUUCUUCUUUGAGGUUCCCAUCUUGGCGGCUUUCCUUUCGGCUUUCUUGGUUGUCCUGGCUUGUUUGGCAGCCUCAUGGUCGUAUUUGACCUUCCAGAAGUUAUCAUCAGCCUGUGGAAAAAGAUAAGGAAUUAUAAGUACCAAAAAAGGUAUAAUAUAGCAGAGAGUAUUUAUUAAGAUUGAUAACUUACUACAGGGGCCGGGUUUUUCUUGCAAAAGGAAAGUAAGCCGAAGGCGUUACUCGUCAUAGUGCCCUCCUUCAGCAGCGACUGAGUCGUAGCAUCCACCACAUCAUCUGGUAAGUCGUCAGGACUAUGGCGUAACGGGUCAUCCUUUUCGCCUGUAUAAGUACACAUUAAGCCGGAACGGCGGCUUAAUGGAAGUACUCGCCAAGAAACCCAGACUCGGACCAGGUCGAUGCCGUUUAAACCAUUUCCCAAGAGAGCUUUGAUCUUCUUGAUCUUGGGAUUGAGAGGCAGACGUUCAACGGCUGUCAGUUUGUCUGGUAGCGGAUGGUUGGACUCAAGGCGUAGGGCGUGAAAGCCGAGCAGAGGCUUCUCAUCAGCCGAAGAAGUGUCCUGACAAUAGAACCACGUCUGGUUCAAAGAUUUUGGGUGACUCGGCAGCUCAGCAUAAGGAAAAAGACAGUCUCUCCAUCGCUGGAUCGAGAUGCCGCCAAGCUCAAGACUGGGCCCAUUGGCACGUUCAUUUUGCCGGUUCAUGUAAAAAAGUUCCCUGAACAAUAGCAGACUUGGCUCCUCUCCCAGGUACACCUCGCAGAAGACUUGGAAAUUGCAAAUAUUUGACACAGAAUUGGGUCCGAUGUCUUGAGGUCUAAGGUCAAAGAAAUUCAAAACCUCCCUGAAGAAUUUUGAGCCGGAAGGAGCAAAUCCCCGGCUCAUAUGAUCCAUAAAAAUUAUUACCUCCCCUGCUUUGGGUUGAGGCCUUUCUUCAGACGGGUCAGGGGCACGAUAAGACAUGACCUCCUUUUUUGGCAGAUGGCCAGAUUUCACGAACUCAGCCAGUUUGCUCUUGGUAACUAUGGAUGGGACCCAAUUGCAAGUUACAGGGGCCUUGGUAGCCAUAGGAGCCAUGACAACAAUUGGCCUAUGGAAAAAUAAGAAGAUCCGGUUCAAUUUUAACCCGGGAGAAAAAUCCUAAUUAUUCAAGGUGGCGGCUUAAUGAGGGGCCUAAUGAUAUAAGGAUGACUGUGCAACAAUAUUUAAGCCGCUACAAGUAUCAACAGCAGUUCAAAAUUCUUAAGGUCAUGAGAAGCAAGCAAGGCUCACAGAUCAGUGUCAUUUAUUUAAGCCGGACCAAUGGAUAGUUGUGUUUAAGGGCAUAUACCAGAAGAAGUUUUUCGGGUGAUAAAAUUAGGGUUCAUAAUCUUCUACUAAUAUUUGAGAUCAAAGGUCUGUUCUGAUAAGAAAAGUUUCUAGACCCAAAAACAGGGCACAGAAGUUCAUACACUCGAAGAAGGUUUCCAAACAAGGGAAUUGAGAUCUGUUUCUAUGCAAGAUAAACACAAACAAUUACCGCAACAGUUCUACGUAGUUUUUAUGAUCUAAACAGGGCAUUGGAGGUGAAAACUAGCGAGGGUUUGCUUCGGACGGUGAUGAACGCCGACGAACUCAACAAAGUUCCAAUGCAGAUCUAAGAAGGGGAAAGAGAGGAACUCACGGAUGCGGACGAGCUGCGGAGGUUCGCCGUCGAUUUCUGGUCAGAGUCAGGUUGAUGCAGCGGCCCGAGUCAGUGAAGAUGAGGGGUUUGACGGCGGCGGCGGCGGAGCUCGAGAGGAAGCAAGAGGAAGAGGACGACUGCAAGAAGGAAGAGUGAAAGACCUAGGUCGCCCUAUUUAUAAGGGAAGACUGACCGAGAUGGCGCGAGAAACGAGGAGACCAAAACAUCAUUAUCCAGCGGCCCCGACGCCUCGAUUCUCGGGAUGGUCAGUAAAGGCAAAGAUCCGUUGGAAGAUAUGACGGAGUAAAAAUAAGUUUUAUUGAAGAUGACGUCACGGUGAUUUAACCCGGAUCCAGAUGAUGACGUCACGACGGGUUAAAAUCUUCAUGCAAGACAAAAGACUAAGGACAGUUCCAUAAGGUAUUUUAAGAUUGACAAGAACAGGUUCAAAUCAAUCUGGGGCCUAAUGUUGGGGAUAUAACUAUUUGUGUAAAGCCGCCCAGGAGGGGCCGGGUUACGCAAAUAAGACUUACGAGAGAGAAGCCCAAGACCAAAGGUGAAGAUGGCGGUUCAUAGAGGGCUUAAGGCCCGCAGGCGACUUAAGGCCCGUUGUAAUAAACCGCCAUAGUAAUAUGACUUGUAUCAUAAAGUAGGCUUAACUAGUCACCGAGCCGGACACUGUUUAUAAGCCGGCCGUGACUCUGUAAGCCGCAGGGCGUCAACCCGUGUAUAUAAGGGGACGACCUGCUGGUGGCUUAGGGCAAGAAACAACUCAUCGAGAGCCGGGCAUAGCGUAUCUCGCUCCCUGGUCAUCGAAACAUCAAUACCAACCCAACUAGACGUAGGCCUUACCUUCACCGUAAGGGGCCGAACUAGUAUAAAAACCUCUCGUGUCCUUUGUCCCGAUUAACCCCUUCAAGCUUCCUAGUUGCGAUGGCUCCACAAAUAAGUCCUUUCACGAGGACAUCUGACGUGACAAUUCCACGACAGUAAGAGACAUCAUAGAUUGCACCAUAUCUAAUAAAGUACGGUUAUGAUGUUCGGACACACUGUUACGCUGUGGUGUUUGAUACGUAUCUAUAAUUUAUGAAGUAUUCAUGCUAUUAUAUAUAUUCUGUUUUGGAUGUUUAAUGGGCUUUAUUAUACACUUUUAUAUUAUUUUUGGGACUAACCUAUCAACCGGAGGCCCAACCCAAAAUGUUGUUUUCUUGCCUAUUUUAGUGUUUCGAAGAAAAGGAAUAUCAAAUGGAGUCCAAAUGGAAUGAAACCUUCGGGAGAGUUAUUUUUGGAACAGAAGCAAUCCAGGAGACUUGGAGUAGAUGUCAGGGAAGCUUUGAGGAAGCCACGAGGCAGGGUGGUGCGCCCUACCCCCUGGGCGCGCCCCCCACCCUCGUGGGCCCCUCGUGGCUCCCCUAACCAACUUCUUUCUCCUAUAUAUAUCCAUAUACCCUAAAAACAUCGGGGAAUAGAAUAGAACGGGAGUUCUGCCCCCGCAAGCCUCUAUAGACACCAAAAACCAAUCGGGACCCUGUUCUGGCACCCUGCCGGAGGGGGGAUCCCUCACCGUUGGCCAUCUUCAUCAUCCCGGCGCUCUACAUGACAAGGAGGGAGUAGUUCACCCUCGAGGCUGAGGGUAUGUACCAGUAGCUAUGUGUUUGAUCUCUCUCUCUCUCUCGUGUUAUUGAUUCGGCACAAUCUUGAUGUAUCGCGAGCUUUGCUAUUAUAGUUGGAUCUUAUGAUGUUUCUCCCCCUCUACUCUCUUGUAAUGAAUUGAGUUUUCCCUUUGAAGUUAUCUUAUCGAAUUGAGUCUUUAAGGAUUUGAGAACACUUGAUGUAUGUCUUGCAUGUGCUUAUCUGUGGUGACAAUGGGAUAUCACGUGAUUCACUUGAUGUAUGUUUUGGAGAUCAACUUGCGAGUUCCGUGACCUCGUGAACUUAUGCAUAGGGGUUGGCACACAUUUUCGUCUUGACUCUCCGCUAGAAACUUUGGGGCACUCUUUGAAGUACUUUGUGUUGGUUUGAGUAAAUGAAUCUGAGAUUGUGUGAUGCAUAUCGUAUAAUCAUACCCACGGAUACUUGAGGUGACAUUGGAGUAUCUAGGUGACGUUAGGGUUUUGGUCGAUUUGUGUCUUAAGGUGUUAUUCUAGUACGAACUCUAUGUUAGAUCGAAUCGAAAGAAUAGCUUCGUGUUAUUUUACUACGGACACUUGAAUAGAUCGAUCAGAAAGAAUAACUUUGAGGUGGUUUCGUACACUACAAUAAUCUCUUCGUUUGUUCUCCGCUAUUAGCGACUUUGGAGUGACUCUUUGUUGCAUGUUGAGGGAUAGUUAUAUGAUCCAAUUAUGUUAUUAUUGUUGAGAGAACUUGCACUAGUGAAAGUAUGAACCCUAGGCCUUGUUUCCUAGCAUUGCAAUACCGUUUGUGCUCACUUUUAUCAUUAGUUACCUUGCUGUUUUUAUAUUUUAGAUUACAAAACCUAUAUCUACCAUCCAUAUUGCAGUUGUAUCACCAUCUCUUCACUGAACUAGUGCACCUAUACAAUUUACCAUUGUAUUGGGUGUGUUGGGGACACAAGAGACUCUUUGUUAUUUGGUUGCAGGGUUGUUUGAGAGAGACCAUCUUCAUCCUACGCCUCCCACGGAUUGAUAAACCUUAGGUCUUCCACUUGAGGGAAAUUUGCUACUGUCCUACAGACCUCUUCACUUGGAGGCCCAACAACGUCUACAAGAAGAAGGUUGUGUAGUAGACAUCAAGCUCUUUUCUGGCGCUAUUGCCGGGGAGUUGAGUGCUUGAAGGUAUAUCUUUAGAUCUUGCAAUCGAAUCUUUUUGUUUCUUGUUUUAUCACUAGUUUAGUCUAUAAAAGAAAACUAAAAGAUGGAACUAAGGGUGCCUCAUAUGCUUCAUCUUUUUAAUGUCUUUCGUGAAAAUGAUGGGAAGGAAAAUUGUGCUCAAGUAAAAGAAGAAGAAUUACAUAGAAUGCUUGGCAUAAAAUAUGUGAAUAAUGAGCAUGAUUGCAAUGUUGUUAGUAUGAAUUCUUGGAAUACCCAUGAUGCUAAUGAUACGCAAAGCUACAAGCUUGGGGAUGCUAUGUUUGAUGAAGAUGAUAUGUUUUGUUUUGUCCCCCAAGUUAUGAUGAGCAAAUUUAUUAUGAUGAUAGCAUGCUUCCUAUUUCUGAUGAUUAUAUUGAUGAAAGUGGGUUUGGAAGAGUGUCAACUUUAGGAAGUAAUGAUCCCACUAUUUUGGAGGGUGUUGAAUCUUAUUGUGAUAAUUAUGAAAGUGGAUUUGGAGAGGUCAUGACUUUAUUUAGCGAUGAAUCCACUAUUUUGGAAGAGGUUCCAAUUGAUUAUGAGAAUAAAGUUGCUACCUAUGAUGAUUAUUGUGAUGACAUGUAUGCUAUAAAGAAUAAAGAUAACCAUGAAACUUGUCAUCAUGAUUUUAAUUUUCAAUUGGAUUAUGCUUCACAUGAUAGUUAUUUUGUUGAGUUUGGUCCCACUACUAUUCAUGAGAAGAAAUUUGCUUAUGUGGAGAGUAAUAAAAUUUCUAUGUUUGUAGAUCAUGAAAAGAAUGAUUUUAUGUGCUGGUUGUAAGGUUGAAUUCAUUCAUGAUGCUACUGAAAAUUAUUAUGAGAGAGGAUCAUAUGCUUCUACAUAUUGCAAUAAUAUCAAGUUUCCUCUCUAUGUGCUUAAAGUUUUAAAUUUAUGCUUGUUUUGCCUUCCUAUGCUAGUUGAUUAUUGUUCCCAUAAGUUGUUUUCUAACAAAAUCCCUACGCAUAAGAAGUGGGUUAGAUUUAAAUGUGCUAGUCAUAUUCUUCAUGAUGCUCUCUAUAUGUUUCAGUUCUUACCUUUUAUAUGAGCAUUAUUGAAAUCAUCAUGCCUAGCUAGAAAGGCAUUAAAGAAAAUCGCUUGUUGGGAGACAACCCAAUAUUUACCCCUACUGUUUUUGUGUGUUCACAUGAUUAAGCUACUGUAUUAAUCAUGUUUUAUAGCUUUUGUUUCAAUAAAGUGCCAAGUAGAACCUUUGGGAAGACUUGGGUGGAAGUUAAUGUGAUCUUGCUGUAAAAAACAGAAACUUUGCACUCACGAGUUUAGCUGUCAUAUUUUACAGAAGAGUGUCUUUAAGUUGAUUCUUUUUAUAGAAGAUUAAUAGACAAAUUCCUCAGGUCCACCAAUUUAUUUCAGAAUUUUUGGAGUUCCAGAAGUAUAUGUUUCAUACAGAUUACUACAGACUUUUCUGUUUUUGACAGAUUCUGUUUUCUAUGUGUUGUUUGCUUAUUUUGAGAAUCCGUGAGUAGUAUCGGAGGGUAAGAACCAUAGAGAAGUUGGAAUACAGUAGAUAUUACACCAAUAUGAAUUUAGAAUGAGUUCACAACAGUACCUAAGUGGUGAUUUAUUUUCUUAUACUAACGGAGCUUAUGAGUUUUCUGUUAUGUUUUGUGUUGUGAAGUUUUCAAGUUUUAGGUAAAGAUUCGAUGGACAAUGGAAUAAGGAGUGGCAAGAGCCUAAGCUUGGGGAUGCCCAAGGCACCCCAUUGUAAUAUUCAAGGACAACCAAAAGCCUAAGCUUGGGGAUGCCCCGGAUGGCAUCCCCUCUUUCAUCUUCAUUCACCGGUAACUUUACUUGGAGCUAUAUUUUUAUUCACCGCAUGAUAUGUGUUUUGCUUGGAGCGUCAUUUUAUUUUAUUUUGUUUUGCUUGCUGUCUGAAUAAAAUACCAAGAUCUGGAAUUCUUAAAUGAGAGAGAGUCUUCACAUAGCUACAUUAUUAUUUAACUACUCAUUGAUCUUCACUUAUAUCUUUUGGAGUAGUUUGUCAUUUACUCGUGUGCUUCACUUAUAUCCUAUGAGUAAAUGGUUGAAUGAUUUGAAUGUCAUAAAUCUGAAAUUAUAUAUGUUUCAUAUGCCUUUCCCAUGGGAGUAAUGCCUUCACAUAUAAGAAGUAUAGGUGGUAAAUUUUUUGAAGGUUAGCAAACAUUGUAUUGGUCACUUGAACAAUUCAUGAAAGAAUAUUGAAGGAAGAGGGAGUUCACAUAUAAAUAUACUAUCUUGGACAUCUUCUAUGAUGGUGAGCCCCAUUAAUUAUUUUCAAACCUGAGGAAAUUAGUUGAAGUUGGAAAAGGAAGAUAACAUAAUGAGUUAUGCUUGGGUAUAUUUGUAUAGAAGUUAUAUUGUUAUGGAUCCUCUAACAUGUGGUGCUUGCUAUUUAGAAUCCUUUGCUAGCCAAAAUAUCUGUACUAAGCGGCAAUACUGCUUGUGCAUACAAAUUCCUUGAACCAAGUUUAUUCCAUGAGUGUCCACCAUAUCUACCUAUAUGCGGUAUUUACUUGCCGUUCCAAGUAAAUUUGCAUGUGCCAAACUCUAAACCUUCAAAUAAUAAUCUGUUUUGUAUGCUCGAAUCACUCAUGUAGCGACUAGGGACUGUCAGUAUCUUCCAUGCUAGGUGGGUUAUUCUCACGAUGAGUGGACUUCACUCAUCAUUCAUGAGAAAAUGGCUGGUAACUGGGAUGCUCAGUCCUAUGAUCACAAGAUCAAAAACAAAUUCACAAAUAAUUUAAACAAAACUCCUUCAGGAUUGUUGAUAGUUGGACGGCACCCGUUGUUUCACACAAGCCGUGCAGUGUGAUUGUUGGUGGAGGGGGAGUAAAAUCUUUACCUUUCUGUUUGGGAACUGCCUAUAAUGUAUCUACUAUGGAAGAUAUUGGGAACUCUUGGUCGUUAUGUUGACAAUGAAAGCAUACCUCUCAAAAUUAUUUUCAUCUCUGUUUUUGCUUUGAGCUCUAGCACCUCUGCAAAUCCCUGCUUCUCUCUGCUAAGGGCCUAUCUUUUACUUUUAUGCAAGAGUCAGUAGUAUUCCUUCUCAUUCCAACCUACUUUUUAGUUGGCAAGCAUCAUGUGGUGGAGAAAGAUCUAAGCAUAUAUUGCCAUUCAAAUAUAUUUCAUCAUGAAUUAUUAUUGUUGACAAUUAUCUAUAUGAUAAAUAAGUUGGGAGGCGAAACAUUAAGCCCCUAUCUUUCUCUGUGUUUGAUGGAUGCUAUUUGUUCUAAAAAUAUGCUUUGAGUGGUAGCAAUCAUGGAAGAUUAUAUGAUAGUUGAGUAUGUGGGAUUUGCUAAAUCAAAGCUCUUACAUAGACCCUUCCUGAAAAUAAGAUGAAUUGCAAUUAUUUGAUGACUGAAAACUGUUUGUUAGUUUUCAAGAAAGUUUAUGAUCUAUACUUUAACAUGUUAAUAGCUUGUUACUUGACCAUGAGAAGUUUUAUGAUAUGAGCUACUGUUAUGACAUAUAAUGAUGCUAGAAAAAGUGAUUGCAACUAUCAUUGAUCAGACUUAUGCACUUGCCACCAUUCACACUUCAAAAACUAUUUCUUUUAUCACUUACCGACUCGAGGACGAGCAGGAAUUAAGCUUGGGGAUGCUGAUACGUCUCCAACGUAUCUAUAAUUUAUGAAGUAUUCAUGUUAUUAUAUAUUCUGUUCUGGAUGUUUAAUGGGAUUUAUUAUACACUUUUAUAUUAUUUUUGGGACUAACCUAUUAACCGGAGGCCCAACCCAAAAUGUUGUUUUCUUGCCUAUUUCAGUGUUUCAAAAAAAGGAAUAUCAAAUGGAGUCCAAACAGAAUGAAACCUUCGGGAGAGUUAUUUUUGGAACAGAAGCAAUCCAGGAGACUUGGAGUAGACGUCAGGGAAGCUUCGAGGAAGCCACAAGGCAGGGAGGCGCGCCCUACCCCCUGGGCGCCCCCCACCCUCGUGGCUCCCCUGACCAACUUCUUUCGCCUAUAUAUAUACAUAUACCCUAAAAACAUCGGGGAACAUAAUAGAUCAGGAGUUCCACCGCCGCAAGCCUCUGUAGCCACCAAAAACCAAUCGGGACCCUGUUCCGGCACCCUGCUAGAGGGGGGAUCCCUCACCGGUGGCCAUCUUCAUCAUCCUGGCACUCUCCAUGAAGAGGAGGGAGUAGUUCACCCUCGGGGCCGAAGGUAUGUACCAGUAGCUAUGUGUUUGAUCUCUCUCUCUCUCUCUCUCGUGUUCUUGAUUCGGCACGAUCUUGAUGUAUCGCAAGCUUUGCUAUUAUAGUUGGAUCUUAUGAUGUUUCCCCCCCUCUACUCUCUUGUAAUGGAUUGAGUUUUCCCUUUGAAGUUAUCUUAUCGGAUUGAGUCUUUAAGGAUUUGAGAACACUUGAUGUAUGUCUUCCAUGUGCUUAUCUGUGGUGACAAUGGGAUAUCACGUGAUUCACUUGAUGUAUGUUUUGGUGAUCAACUUAUGUGUUCCGUGACCUCGUGAACUUAUGCAUAGGGGUUGGCACACGUUUUCGUCUUGACUCUCCGGUAGAAACUUUGGGGCACUCUUUGAAGUAAUUUGUGUUGGUUUGAAUAGAUGAAUCUGAGAUUGUGUGAUGCAUAUCGUAUAAUCAUACCCACGGAUACUUGAGGUGACGUUGGAGUAUCUAGGUGACAUUAGGGUUCUGGUCGAUUUGUGUCUUAACGUGUUAUUCUAGUAUGAACUCUAUGAUAGAUCGAACGGAAAGAAUAGCUUCGUGUUAUUUUACUACGGACUCCUGAAUAGAUCGAUCAGAAAGGAUAACUUUGAGGUGGUUUUGUACCCUACAAUAAUCUCUUCGUUUGUUCUCCGCUAUUAGUGACUUUGGAGUGACUCUUUGUUGCAUGUUGAGGGAUAGUUAUAUGAUCCAAUUAUGUUAUUGUUGAGACAACUUGCACUAGUGAAAUUAUGAACCCUAGGCCUUGUUUCCUAGCAUUGCAAUACCGUUUGUGCUCACUUUUACCAUUAGUUACCUCGCUGUUUUUAUAAUUUCAGAUUACAAAAACCUAUAUCUACCAUCCAUAUUGCACUUGUAUCACCAUCUCUUUGCUGAACUAGUGCACCUAUACAAUUUACCAUUGUAUUGGGUGUGUUGGGGACACAAGAGACUCUUUGUUAUUGGGUUGCAGGGUUGUUUGAGAGAGACCAUCUUCAUCCUACGCCUACCAUGGAUUGAUAAACCUUAGGUCAUCCACUUGAGGGAAAUUUGCUACUGUCCUACAAACCUCUACACUUGGAGGCUCAACAACGUCUACAAGAAGAAGGUUGUGUAGUAGACAUCAGUGUUCUAGGUGGCGUGAGUUGCAAAAGUAUUCCGCAUUGUUUCAAAUGAAGACCAAACUCGUAACACAAAUAUUCUCCUCGACGAUCAGAUCGUAGAAACUUUAUUUUGUUGUUACGAUGAUUUUCCACUUCACUCUGAAAUUAUUUGAACUUUUCAAAUGUUUCAGAUUUAUGUUUCAUCAAGUAGAUAUACCCAUAUCUGCUCAAAUCAUCUGUGAAGGUCAGAAAAUAACGAUACCUUCCUCAAGCCUCAACUCUCAUCGGACCACAUAUAUUAGUAUGUAUGAUUUCCAACAAGUCUGUUGUUUGCUCCAUUGUUCCGGAGAACGGAGGCUUAGUCAUCUUGCCCAUGAGGCAUGGUUCCAAGCAUCAACAGUUUCAUAAUCAAGUGAUUCCAAAAGCCCAUCAGUAUGGAUUUUCUUCAUGCGCUUUACACCAAUAUGACCUAAACAGCAGUGCCACAAAUAAGUUGCACUAUCAUUAUUAACUUUGCAUCUUUUGGCUUCAAUAUUAUGAAUAUGUGUAUCACUAUGAUCGAGAUUCAAUAAACCAUUCACCUUGGGUGUAUGACCAUUGAAGGUUUUAUUCAUGUAAAUAGAACAACAAUUAUUCUCUGACUUUAUAUGAAUAACCGUAUUGCAAUAAACAUGAUCAAAUCAUAUUCAUGCUUAACGCAAACACCAAACAACAUUUAUUUAGGUUCAACACUAUUCCCGAAAGUAUAGGGAGUGUGCGAUGAUGAUCAUAUCAGUGUUGGAACCACUUCCAACACACAUCAUCACUUCACCCUUAACUAGUCUCUGUUCAUUUUGCAACUCCCGUUUUGAGUUACUAAUCUUAGCAACUGAACUAGUAUCAAAUACUGAGGGGUUGCUAUAAACACUAGUAAAGUACACAUCAAUAACAUGUAUAUCAAAUAUACCUUUGUUCACUUUGCCAUCCUUCUUAUCCGCCAAAUACUUGGGGCGGUUCUGCUUCCAGUGACCGGUCCCAUUGUAGUAGAAGCACUUAGUCUCAGGCUUAGGUCCAGACUUGGCCUUCUUCACUUGAGCAGCAACUUGCUUGCCGUUCUUCUUGAAGUUCCCCUUCUUCCCUUUGCCCUUCUCUUGAAACUAGUGGUCUUGUCAACCAUGAACACUUGAUGCUUUUCUUGAUUUCUACCUUCGUCGAUUGCAGCAUCACGAAGAGCUUGGGAAUCGUUUCCGUUAUCCCUUGCCUAUUAUAGUUCAUCAAGAAGUUCUAGUAACUUGUUGAUAGUGACUAGAGAACUCUGUCAAUCACUAUCUUAUCUGGAAGAUUAACUCCCACUUGAUUCAAGUGAUUAUAGUACUCAGACAUUCUGAGCACAUGCUCACUAGCUGAGCUAUUCUCCUCCAUUUUGUAGGCAAAGUACUUGUCAAAGUUCUCAUACCUUUCGACAUGGGCAUGAGUGCGAAAUACUAAUUUCAACUCUUGGAACAUCUCAUAUGCUUCGUGGCGUCUCAAAAACGUCUUUGAAGCCUCGAUUCUAAGCCAUGAAGCAUGGUGCACUAAACUAUCAAGUAGUCAUCAUAUCGAGCUUGCAAAACAUUCAUAACGUCCGCAUCUGCUCCUUCAAUCGGUCUGUUACCUAGCGGUGCAUUUAAGGACAUAAUUCUUCUGUGCAGCAAUGAUGAUAAUCCUCAGAUCACGGAUCCAAUCCGCAUCAUUUCUACUAACAUAUUUCAACUUAGUUUUCUCUGGGAACAUAUCAAAAAUAAAACAGGGGAGCUAAACGCGAGCUAUUGAUCUACAACAUAGAUAUGCUAAUACUACUAGGACUAAGUUCAUGAUAAAUUAAAGUUCAAUUAAUCAUAUUACUUAAGAAAUCCCACUUAGAUAGACAUCCCUCUAAUCAUCUAAGUGAUCACGUGAUCCAUAUCAACUAAACCAUGUCUGAUCAUCACGUGAGAUGGAGUAGUUUUCAAUGGUGAACAUCACUAUGUUGAUCAUAUCUACUAUAUGAUUCACGCUCGACCUUUCGGUCUCAGUGUUCCGAGGCCAUAUCUGCAUACGCUAGGCUCGUCAAGUUUAACCCGAGUAUUCUGCGUGUGCAAAACUAUCUUGCACCCGUUGUAUGUGAAUGUAGUGCUUAUCACACCCGAUCAUCACGUGGUGUCUCGGCAUGAAGAACUUUCGCAACGGUUCAUACUUAGGGAGAACACUUAUAUCUUGAAAUUUAGUGAGAGAUCAUCUUAUAAUGCUACCGUCGAUCUAAGAAAAAUAAGAUGCAUAAAGGAUAAACAUCACAUGCAACCAAUAUAAGUGAUAUGAUAUGGCCAUCAUCAUCUUGUGCCUUUGAUCUCCAUCUCCAAAGCACCAUCAUGAUCACCAUCGUCACCGGCGUGACACCUUGAUCUCCAUCGUAGCAUCGUUGUCGUCUCGCCAACUAUUGCUUCUAUGACUAUCGCUACCGCUUAGUGAUAAAGUAAAGCAAUUACAUGGAGAUUGCAUUUCAUACAAUAAAGCGACAACCAUAUGGCUCCUGCCAGUUGCCGAUAACUCCGUUACAAAACAUGAUCAUCUCAUACAAUAAAAUUUAGCAUCAUGUCUUGACCAUAUCACAUCACAACAUGCCCUGCAAAAACAAGUUAGACGUCCUCUACUUUGUUGUUGCAAGUUUUACGUGGCUGCUACGGGCUGAGCAAGAACCGUUCUUACCUACGCAUCAAAACCACAACGAUAUUUUGUCAAGUAUGUGAUGUUUUAACCUUCAACAAGGACCAGGCAUAGCCACACUCGAUUCAACUAAACUUGGAGAAACUGACACCCGCCAGCCACCUGUGUGCGAAGCACGUCGGUAGAACCAGUCUCGCGUAAGCAUACCCAUAAUGUCGGUCCGGGCUACUUCAUCCAACAAUACCGCCGAAUCAAAGUAUGACAUGCUGGUAAGCAGUAUGACUAGUAUCACCCACAACUCACUUGUGUUCUACUCGUGCAUAUAACAUCUACGCAUAAACCUGGCUUUGAUACCACUAUUGGGGAAUGUAGUAAUUUUAAAAAAAUUCCUACGCACAAUGCAAGAUCAUGGUGAUGCAUAACAACAAGAGGGGAGAGUGUUGUCCACGUACCCUCGUAGACCGAAAGAGGAAGCGUUAUGAAAACGCGAUUGAUGUAGUCGUAUGUCUUCAUGAUUGACCGAUCCUAGCACGGAAGGUACGACACCUCCAUGAUCUGCACACGUUCGGCUCGGUGACGUCCCACGAACUCACAAUCCAGUAGAGUGUCGGGGAAGAGCUUCGUCAGCAGGACGGCGUGAUGACGGUGAUGAUGAAGCUACCGGCACAGGGCUUCGCCUAAGCACUACGACGAUAUGAUCGAGGUGGAUUAUGGUGGAGGGGGGCACCGCACACGGCUAAAAGAUCAAUGAUUAACUUGUGUGUCUAUGGGGUGCCCCGCUCCCCCGUAUAUAAAGGAGUGGAGGAGGGGGAGGGCCGACCCUCCUAUGGCGCGCCCCAUGGGGAGGCCUACUCCCACCGGGAGUAGGAUUCCCAGGUUCCAUGUAGUAGGAGUAGGAGAGAAGGAAGGAGGAGAGAGGGAGAAGGAAGGGGGGGCGCCGCCCCCCCUUCCUAGUCCAAUUCGGAACAGAGGAAGAGGGGGCGCAUGGCCUGCCCUGGCAGUCCCUCUCUCUCUCUCUGCUAAGGCCCAUAAGGCCCAUUAUACUCCCUGGGGGAUUCCGGUAACUCCCCUGGCACUCCGGUAUAUAUCCGAAACCUCCUGAAACACUUCUCCGAAAAUAGUCGUCCAAUAUAUCGAUCUUUAUGUCUCAACCAUUUUGAGACUGCUCGUCAUGUCUGUGAUCAUAUUCGGGACUCCAAACUACGUUUGGUACAUCAAAACACAAAAACUCAUAAUACCGAUCGCCACAGAACUUUAAGCGUGCGGACCCUACACGGUUUCGAGAACUAUGUAGACAUGACCGAGACAUGUCUCCGGUCAAUAACCAAUAGCGGAACCUGGAUGCUCAUAUUGGUUCCUACAUAUUCUACGAAGAUCUUUAUCGGUCAAACCGCAUAACAACAUACGUUGUUCCCUUUGUCAUCGGUAUGUUAUUUGCCCGAGAGUCGAUCGUCGGUAUCUCAAUACCUAGCUCAAUCUCGUUACUGGCAAGUACCUUUACUCGUUCCAUAGUGCAUCAUCCUGUAACUAACUCAUUAGUCACAUUGCUUGCAAGGCUUAUAGUGAUGUGCAUUACCGAGAGGGCCCAGAGGUACCUCUCCGACAAUCGGAGUGACAAAUCAUAUUCUUGAUCUAUGCCAACUCCAUGAACACCAUCGGAGACACCUGUAGAGGACCUUUAUAAUCACCCAGUUAUGUUGUGGCGUUUGGUAGCACACAAAGUGUUCCUUCGGUAUUCGGGAGUUGCAUAAUCUCAUAGUCAUAGGAACAUGUAUAAGUCAUGGAGAAAGCAAUAGCAGUAAACUUAACGAUAAAGUGCUAAGCUAACGAAAUGGGUCAAGUCAAUCACAUCAUUCUCCUAAUGAUGUGACCCCGUUAAUCAAUUGACAACUCAUGUCCAUGGCUAGGAAACUCAACCAUCUUUUAUCAACGAGCUAGUCAAGUAGAGGCAUACUAGUGACACUAUGUUUUACUAUGUACUCACACAUGUAUUAUGUUUCCGGUUAAUACAAUUCUAGCAUGAAUAAUAAACAUUUAUCAUGAUAUGAGAAAAUAAAUAAUAACUUUAUUAUUGCCUCUAGGGCAUAUUUCCUUCACCUAGCACCACUGUUCAAGAUAUCUUCCGAUAUUCCGAUAAAUCGGCCGAUUUAUCGCUUACCGUUGUCUGACCGAUAAGAUAAAUCAGCCGAUAAAUUAGCCGAUAUGGCGAUAAAUCGACCGAUAUGCCGAUAAACUGGCUGAUUUACCCCUUAUCUUGGGUCGACUGAUAAGUUCCCGAUAAGCGAUAUCCCAAACAUUGCCUAGCACCGAAGGUACAACACCUCCGCGAUCUGCACACGUUCGGCUCGGUGACGUCCCACGAACUCACGAUCCAGAAGAGUGUCGGGGAAGAGCUUCAUCGGCACGAUGGCAUGAUGAUAGCGAUGAUGAAGCUACUGGCGUAGGGCUUCGCCUACGCACUACGACAAUAUGACCGAGGUGGAUUAUGGUGGAAGGGGGCACCGCACACGGCUAAAAGAUCAAUGAUCAACUUGUGUGUCUAUGGGGUGCCCCCUCCCCCGUAUAUAAAGGAGUGGAGGAGGGGGAGGGCCGGCCCUCCUAUGGCGCACCCCAUGGGGAGUCCUACUCCCACCGAGAGUAGAAUUCCCCCCCCCUUGCAUGUAGUAGGAGUAGGAGAGAAGGAAGGAGAAGAGAGGGAGAAGGAAAGGGGGGCUCCACCCCCCCUUCCUAGUCCAAUUAGGACCAAAGGGGGAGGGGGCAUGCGGCCUGCCCUGGCCGCCCCUCUCUCUCUCCACUAAGGCCCAUAAGGCCCAUUAAACUCCCCGAGGGGUUCUGGUAACCCCCCGGUACUCCGGUAUAUGUCCAAACUCACUCGGAACCAUUUCAAUGUCCAAACAUAGUCAUCCAAUAUAUCGAUCUUUAUGUAUCGACCACUUUGAGACUCCUUGUCAUGUCCGUGAUCAUAUCUGGGACUCCGAACUACCUUCGGUACAUAAAAACACAUAAACUCACAAUACCGAUCGUCACUGCACGUUAAGCGUGCGGACCCUACAAGUUCGAGAACUAUGUAGACAUGACCGAGACACGUCUCCGGUCAAUAACCAAUAGCAGAACCUGGAUGCUCAUAUUGGCUCCUACAUAUUCUACGAAGAUCUUCAUCGGUUAAACCACAUAACAACAUACGUUGUUCCCUUUGUCAUCGAUAUGUUACUUGCCCGAGAUUCGAUCGUUGGUAUCUGAAUACCUAGUUCAAUCUCGUUACCGGCAAGUCUCUUUACUUGUUCCGUAAUGUAUGAUCCCGCAACUAACUCAUUAGUUACAUUGCUUGCAAGGCUUAUAGUGAUGUGCAUUACCGAGAGGGCCCGGAGAUACCUCUCCGACAAUCGGAGUGACAAAUCCUAAUUUCGAUCUAUGCCAACUCAUCAAGUAGCAUCGGAGACACCUGUAGAGCACCUUUAUAAUCACCCGGUUACGUUGUGACAUUUGGUAGCACACAAAGUGUUCCUCCGGUAUCCGGGAGUUGCAUAAUCUCAUAGUCAUAGGAACAUGUAUAAUCAUGAAGAAAGCAAGGGCAAUAUACUAAAAGAUCAAUUGCUAAGCUAACGGAAUGGGUCAAGUCAAUCACAUCCUUCUAUAAUGAUGUGAUCCCGUUAAUCAAAUGACAACUCAUGUCUAUGGCUAGGAAACUUAACCAUCUUUGAUUCAACGAGCUAGUCAAGUAGAGGCAUACUAGUGACACUCUGUUUGUCUAUGUAUCCACACAUGUACUAAGUUUCCGGUUAAUACAAUUCUAGCAUGAAUAAUAAACAUUUAUCAUGAAAUAAGGAAAUAAAUAAUAACUUUAUUAUUGCCUCUAGGGCAUAUUUCCUUCAGUAUUCCACUUGCACUAGAGUCAAUAAUCUAGUUCACAUCGUGAUGUGAUUUAACACCAAUAGUUCACAUCACCAUGUGAUUAACACCCAUAGUUCACAUCGCCAUGUGACCAACACUCAAAGGGUUUACUAGACUCAGUAAACUUAGUUCACAUCACCAUGUGAUUAUCACCCAAAGAGUACUAAGGUGUGAUCAUGUUUUGCUUGUGAGAGAAGUUUAGUCAACGGGUCUGCCAUAUUCAGAUCCGUAUGUAUUUUGCAAAUUUCUAUGUCAACAAUGCUCUGCACGGAGCAACUUUAGCUAAUUGCUCCCACUUUCAAUAUGUAUCCAGAUUGUGACUUAGAGUCAUCCAUAUCGGUGUCAAAGCUUGUAUCGACACAACUCUUUAUGAUGAACUCUUUAUCACCUCCAUAACGGAGAAAUAUUUCCUUAGUCCUCUAAGGAUAAUUUUGACCGCUGUCCGGUGAUCUACACUUAGAUCAAAAUUGUACUCCCUUUCCAUACUCAGGGCAGGGUAUACAAUAGGUCUGGUACACAACAUGGCAUACUUUAUAGAACCUAUGGCCGAGGCAUAGGGAAUGACUUUCAUUCUCUCUCUAUCUUCUGUCGUGGUCGGGCUUUGAGUCUUACUCAACUUCACACCUUGCAACACAGGCAAGCACUCUUUCUUUGACUGUUCCAUUUUGAACUACUUCAAAAACUUGUCAAGGUAUGUAUUCAUUGAAAAAACUUAUCAAGCGUCUUGAUCUAUCUCUAUAGAUAUUGAUGCUCAAUACGUAAGCAGCUUCACCGAGGUCUUUCUUUGAAAAACUCCUUUCAAAUACUCCUUUAUGCUUUCCAGAAAAUUCUACAUUAUUUCCGAUCAACAAUAUGUCAUUCACAUAUACUUAUCAGAAAUGUUGUAGUGCUCCCACUCACUUUCGUGUAAAUACAGGCUUCUCCUGAAGUCUGUAUAAAACCAUAUGCUUUGAUCACACUAUCAAAACGUUUAUUCCAACUCCGAGAUGCUUGCACCAGUCCAUAGAUGGAUCGCUGGAACUUGCACAUUUUGUUAGCACCUUUAGGAUCGACAAAACCUUCUGGUUGCAUCAUAUACAACUCUUCAUUAAGAAAUCUAUUAAGGAAUAUAGUUUUGACAUCCAUUUGCCAGAUUUCAUAAAAUGUGGCAAUUUAUUAACAUGAUUCGGACAGACUUAAGCAUCGCUACGAGUGAGAAAAUCUCAUCGUAGUUAACACCUUGAACUUUGUUAAAAACCUUUUUCGACAAGUCUAGCUUUGUAGAUAGUAACACUACUAUCAGCGUCUGUCUUCCUCUUGAAGAUCCAUUUAUUUUCUAUGGCUUGCUGAUCAUCGGGCAAGUCACCCAAAGUCCACACUUUGUUCUCAUACAUGGAUCCCAUCUCAGAUUUCAUGGCCUCAAGACGUUUCACGGAAUCUAGGCUCAUCAUAGCUUCCUCAUAGUUCGUAGGUUCGUCAUGGUCAAGUAACGUGACCUCCAGAACAGGAUUACCGUACCACUCUGGUGCCGAUCUUAUUCUGGUAGACCUACAAGGUUUCGUAGUAACUUGAUCUUAAGUUUCAUGAUCAUCAUCAUUAGCUUCCUCACUAAUUGGUGUAGGAAUCACUAGAACUGAUUUCUAUGAUGAACUACUUUCCAAUUUGGGAGAAGGUACAAUUACCUAAUCAAGUUCUACUUUCCUCCCACUCACUUGUUUCGAGAGAAACUCCUUCUCUAGAAAGGAUACAUUCUUAGCAACGAAUGUCUUGACUUCGGAUCUGUGAUAGAAGGUGUACCCAACAGUCUCCUUUGGGUAUCCUAUGAAGACACAUUUCUCCGAUUUGGGUUUGAGCUUAUCAGGAUGAAACUUUUUCACAUAAGCAUCGCAACCCCAAACUUAAAGAAACAACAACUUUGGUUUCUUGCCAAACCACAGUUCAUAUGGUGUCAUCUCAACGGAUUUAGAUGGUGCCCUAUUUAACGUGAAUGCAGCUGUCUCUAAUGCAUAACCCCAAAACGAUAGUGGUAAAUCGGUAAGAGACAUCAUAGAUUGCACCAUAUCUAAUAAAGUACGGUUAUGAUGUUCGGACACACCAUCACACUAUGGUGUUUGAUACGUCUCCAACGUAUCUAUAAUUUAUGAAGUAUUCAUGCUAUUAUAUAUUCUGUUUUGGAUGUUUAAUGGGCUUUAUUAUACACUUUUAUAUUAUUUUUGGGACUAAACUAUUAAUCAGAGGCCCAGCCCAAAUUGUUGUUUUCUUGCCUAUUUCAGUGUUUCGAAGAAAAGGAAUAUCAAAUGGAGUCCAAACGGAAUGAAACCUUCAGGAGAGUUAUUUUUGGAAUGGAAGCAAUCCAGGAGACUUGGAGUAGACGUCAGGGAAGAUUCGAGGAAGCCACAAGGCAGGGAGGCGCGCCCUGUCGGUGUCAAAACCGGCAGAUCUCGGGUAGGGGGUCCCGAACUGUGCGUCUAAGGCUAAUGAUAACAGGAGGCGGGGGACACAAUGUUUACCCAGGUUCGGGCCCUCUCGAUGGAAGUAAUACCCUACUUCCUGCUUAAUUGAUCUUGAUGAUAUGAGUAUUACAAGAGUUGAUCUACCACGAGAUCGUAGAGGCUAAACCCUAGAAGCUAGCCUAUGGUUAUGAUUGUUGUUGUCCUACGGACUAAACCCUCCGGUUUAUAUAGACAUCGGAGGGGGCUAGGCUUACACAGAGUCGGUUACAGAGAAGGAAAUGUACAUAUCCGAAUUGCCAAGCUUGCCUUCCACGCAAAGGAGAGUCCCACCCGGACACGGGACGAAGUCUUCAAUCUUGUAUCUUCAUAGUCCAACAGUCCGGCUAAAGUAUAUAGUCCGGAUGUCCGAGGACUGCCUAAUCCAGGACUCCCUCAGUAGCCCCUGAACCAGGCUUCAAUGACGAUGAGUCCAGCGCGCAGAUUGUCUUCGGCAUUGCAAGGCGGGUUCCUUCUCCGAAUACUCCAUAGAAGAUUCUGAACACAAGGAUCGUGUCCGGCUCUGCAAAACAAAUUUGACACACCACCGUAGAGAGCAUAACAUUCCACAAAUCUAAUCUGCUGACCACUUUUCAUAGUGUGACAUCACGCCACGGCUUGGUCAUUAUUCGACCCGUUUUUCUCAACCAGUUGUUGCACAUAUUGCGAGGCGGUUUCCUUGGCACGUCUUGUCGAAGCAGAGAUCGUGUCCCGUUAUCACGGGAUUCUUAUCAAUAUGGGCGUGGAUAACCCAACCGUGCCAUCAACGCGACGCUUGGGGAAUAAGCGAAUUUACCGGGCAUGUGGGGAGGCGCAGGAUCCUGCCGCCGUUAUAAAGACAUAAGGGAUCCCCUUUUUCACCCACACCUUCUUCCUCUUCUUAUCCAUUCUAUCUCGCUCGAGCUCCAGCGCCCAAGCCUUCGUCUUCUCUGCCCACAAAGGCCCUUCGGAAAUGUCCGGAUCCGGAGUAGGAGGCAAGUGGAUGGCCUCUACCGUCCGGGAGAAGGACAUCAAAAAGCUUCGGGAGGCCGGGUAUCUGGCCAAGAACAUCAGCCAUCAUCUCCCGACGGCGGGACAGAUCGUCCCAACCCCGGAACCCCACGAGAGGGUUGUAUUCCUCCCUCAUUUUGUCCGUGGGCUAGGGUUUCCCCUCCACCCAUUCGUUCGCGGCAUCAUGUAUUACUAUGGGUUUGAUUUUCAUGAUAUAUCCCCCAAUUCCUUCCUCAACAUCUCGACAUUCAUCGUCAUGUGCGAGGCCUUUCUCUGCAUCUCACCACACUUCGGCUUAUGGCUGAAGAUCUUUAACGUGAAGCCCAAGGUAGUAAGCAGCGAGAACACCGAAUGCGGAGGUGCCAUGGUGAGCAAGAUGCUCAACGUCACAUGUCUAUCAGGUACUUUUAAUGAUUCCGUCAAAGGGUGGCAGCAGCAGUGGUUCUAUGUAACCGAGCCACGUGACCCAAAAUGGGUUGCGGCUCCCGAAUUCCGAUCCGGGGCUCCCCUGCACCUUACGUCCUGGACCAAGAAGGGCCUGAAUUGGUCUUCGCCUGACGAAUUGUCAGUGCUCCAGACGUGCGUCAAGGAUAUGGAAUACAAGAACAUCAAACUUGUCAAUGUAGUCCAGGUGAUGUUAGUUCGCCGGAUCCUUCCUUGUCAACACAGGGCUUGCAAUUUAUGGGAAUUUGACCCGGCCAAGCACCAGACCCUGCUAGAGCUCUUUGGCUCCUCGCACAAAGACAUCUGGAAGGUGCUUUUCAAGUCCGCCAAAUCAUGGCCGGACUCAGACGAGGACCGUGGGUACCAACUGUCCCGCCCUGCAAGUUCAGUAAGUCAUCAUAUGUUGGCAAGUCAUAUGUUUUAUUUGCAUAACCCAGGUGAAAUGCUUAAUGUGUUUUCCACAACUCUUCUAGGGAUGGACGAAGAAAGCAGGGCGGAUCUACUGUCCGGCCCCACUGCCGGAAGAACCGGCCAGCCCACUUCUGACAAAGAUGCUGGUCCCGGCGCCUUACAAGGUGCUGAAGAAGAAGGCCGAGAAUGAAGCCAGAAAGACCAGGGGCGGCCUUCGUCACCGUGGUACUUCGGACACAAUAUCUGAAGACUCCGAUGCCUGAUCUUCCUCCAGAGAGGACGAGGAAGAGGAGGAAGACCAAUCCCCAGCGAGGGGAGGAAAGAAAAGGACGGCCUCCACAUCCUUGGAGGUCGAGUCGCCGAAUAAGGGAAAAACACCCCUUCCGGAGGAGUCCACCGCCGCUACUGACAGCAGCCCAAAGUGGGAUUGCAGGGCCCAGCCCCUGGAGAACUUGUUUGCGCAUCCAGACUCACAAUGGCAUGCUGUUUUAAUCAUUAAGCCAUACUUUUUUGUAGUCUGGCGAGGUCCCGCACCAAACAAUCCUCAUUGGAGGAUUCACUGGACUCGGAUGCUAUGGACAGUGGGAGACCACCGAAGGCCCCUUCCCCAAAGCACGUGAAUGAUACCGAGGUAUCGUCUCAGAAGGACCCAGACCAAGGAGGGGGGAGACCGUAAAGGCGGCACCAGGAGGUCAAACUUCAGGGGCCAGACACAUGGGAGUGAAGGCCCCCACGGAUGUCGAUGGUGGGGGCUAUCUCGAAUUUGGCCCCAGCCGGACACAAUUUCGGAGACCAAUAUGGCUCCAGAUUUAGGCCGACAACCUCCCUCGGAUGGAGGGGGUGUGCCUAUUCCACCGGCAACCCCUGUCCAACCAGAGGUGCCGGAUACUUUAUCGGCGGCGCUGAAAAGUGCCUCCAUCAUCGAUGAACAUCGUGCCCUUAUGGGUGCGGUGAUUGAGAAGAUUCAGUCUGCUGAGAGUGGACUGAAUGAAGCCUGCAUCAGCCUUAUAACGGGCUUUGAGGUAUGUUUUGUGAGGUUUUCUAAGAGUGUCAUAGUAUAGGUAGUAGCCCCUGGUACACUGUUCGGUAGAAGAAAGAACCGAACAGGGGAUCAAAUAUAUGUUUGCAGGAGACUUACCUUAUGGCAUCUGUCCCUCUCUUUUUCGUAAACAGGCGUCUGUGGUGACUGCCGCCUCUCAUACUGUGGAAGUCUCCAAACUGAAGCAAAGUUUGGAGCAGGCCGGAGAAGAACUCGGCCAAGUGAAUAAGCAGGUGGAGGAUAACCAAGGUAUGCAAAAAACCUUGCUCGCGUUCAACGCAAAUGAAUAAUUUUGUAUGAUAAGAAUAUUUAUAUGAUGUGCUCUAGGGGCGACGGCCGGAAUUGAGGCUCUUAAGAAGGCUGUGGCCGAAGCCGAGAAGAAGGCAGCCGCAGAGCAGGCUCUUCGCGAGAAGCACGAGGCCAGGGUUAUUGAAGCUGAGCAAGAGCUUCAAGAGGCCGUGAAAUGAUGCGAGACCUUGGAGCAUAAUUUAGCGGGGAAAGACUCCGAACGCUCCCAAGCUCGCCAAGCCGCAUGUGAUGCCCGGGGGGAAGCCCAAGGUGCCCUAAAGGAAAUCCAGGAGGGAAGGAAGAUUGCGGCGGGUAAGGCUUUUUCUAUGUAAAGCAUGUCUUUGAAGGGAGAAAAUCAUGUUUACUAAUUUGAAUUCGGAUUUCUCCAAGAGUAUUUGCGGAGCUGCCAUGCAGCAUAUCUGAUGCCGCCCAAUUCUAACAAGCCGAAGAAAGGAUCACUGCGGAGAAGCUCUUCUGGUCACAGUAUCUAGCGCCGAAUUAUCCAGUGCCAUUUGCCGAUCAGCUGAAGCAGCUGAUCGAACUGCAGAAGGCGGCCGGACUAGCCAUGAAGGAUUUAAUUAUCUGGCAAUGGCCCGCCGAGCUGAUUCCGAGGAGCUACUUCAGACUCAUGAAGCGGCUUGUGAGUGCCUGCCCUCGACUCGAGGUCAUCAAGCGGUCGGUCUGUAUAGAGGGUUGAUACGUCUCCAACGUAUCUAUAAUUUUUGAUUGCUCCAUGCUACUUUAUCUACUGUUUUGGACUAUAUUGGGCUUUAUUUUUCACUUUUAUAUUAUUUUUGGGACUAACCUAUUAACCGGAGGCCCAGCCCAGAAUUGUUGUUUUUUGCCUAUUUCAGUAUUUCGAAGAAACAGAAUAUCAAACGGAGUCCAGACGGAAUGAAACCUUCGGGAACGUGAUUUUCUCACCGAACGUGAUCCAGGAGACUUGGACCCUGCUCCAAGGAACAAAAGAGGCGGUCACGAGGGUGGGGGACGCCCCCCCUAGGGCGCAUCCCCUGCCUCGUGGGCCCCCUGUUGCUCCACCGACAUACUCCUUCCUCCUAUAUAUACCUACGUACCCCCGACAGAUCAAAUACAGAGGCAAAAACCUAAUUCCACCGCCGCAACUUUCAGUAUCCGCUAGAUCCCAUCUUGGGGCCUGUUCCGGAGCUCCGCCGGAGGGGGCAUAUACCACGGAGGGCUUCUACAUCAACACCAUAGCCUCUCCGAUGAAGUGUGAGUAGUUUACUUCAGACCUUCAAGUCCAUAGCUAGUAGCUAGAUGGCUUCUUCUCUCUUUUUGGAUCUCAAUACAAUGUUCUCCCCCUCUCUUGUGGAUAUAUAUUCGAUGUAAUCUUCUUUUUUGCGGUGUGUUUGUUGAGACCAAUGAAUUGUGGGUUUAUGAUCCAGCUUAUCUAUGAAUAAUAUUUGAAUCUUCUCUGAAUUCUUUUAUGUAUGAUUGAGUUAUCUUUGCAAGUCUCUUCGAAUUAUCCGUUUGGUUUGGCCAACUAGAUUGGUAGUUCUUGCAAUGGGAGAAGUGUUUAGCUUUGGGUUCAAUCUUGCGGUGUCCUUUCCCAGUGAUAGCAGGGGCAGCAAGGCACGUAUUGUAUUGUUGCCAUCGAGGAUAACAAGAUGGGGUUUUUAUCAUAUUGCAUGAAUUUAUCCCUCUACAUCAUGUCAUCUUGCUUAUGGCGUUACUCUGUUUUUAACUUAAUACUCUAGAUGCAUGCUGGGUAGCGGUCCAUGAGUGGAGUAAUAGUAGUAGAUGCAAAAUCGUUUUGAUCUACUUGUCUCGGACGUGAUUCUUAUACACAUGAUCAUACCUAGAUAUCGUCAUAAUUAUUCGCUUUUCUAUCAAUUGCUCAACAGUAAUUUGUUCACCCACCAUAGAAUACUUAUGCUCUUGAGAGAAGCCACUAGUGAAACCUAUGGCCCCCGGGUCUAUUCUCAUCAUAUCAAUCUCCAUUACUUUAUUACUUGCUUUGUUUUUACUUUACCUUUUACUUUUCACUUUGCAUCUUUAUAUCAGAAAUACCAAAAAUAUUAUUUAUCAUCUCUAUCAGAUCUCACCCUCGUAAGCGACCGUGAAGGGAUUGACAACCCCUAAUCGCGUUGGUUGCGAGUAGCUAUCGUUUUGUGUAGGUAUGAGGGACUUGUGCGUGGCCUCCUACUAGAUUGAUACCUUGGUUCUCAAAAACUGAGGGAAAUACUUAUGCUACUUUACUACAUCAUCCUCUCCUCUUCGGGGAAAUCCAACGCAGUGCUCAAGAGGUAGCAAGAAGAAUUUCUAGCACCGUUGCCGGGGAGGCUCACGCAAGCAAGUAAACAUACCAAGUACCCAUCACAAUCCCUAUCUCUCGAAUUACAUUAUUUGCCUCUCGUUUUCCUCUCCCCCACUUCACACUUGACGUUUUAUUCGCCCUCUCUUUCCCAAUCUCCUCCUCUCUUUCCCUUUCACCUUUUUCUCGUUUGCCUUUUUGUUUGCUUGUGUGUUGGAUUACUUGUUGCCAUGGCACAAGAUAAUACCAAAUUGUGUGACUUCUUGAAUACCAAUAAUAAUGAUUUCCUUAGUACUCCGAUUGCUCCUCUUAAUAAUGAUGAGUCUUGUGAAAUCAAUACCGCUUUGCUGAAUCUUGUUAUGAAAGAUCAAUUCGCCGGCCUUCCUAGUGAAGAUGCCGCUACUCAUCUAAAUAAUUUUGUUGAUUUGUGUGAUAUGCAAAAUAAGAAAGAUACGAAUAAUAAUAUUGUCAAAUUUAAGUUAUUUCCGUUUUCACUUAGAGAUCGUGCUAAAGUUUGGUUUUCGUCUUUGCCGAGAAAUAGUAUUGAAUCUUGGAAUAAGUGCAAAGAUGCUUUUAUCUCUAAGUAUUUUCCUCCCGCUAAGAUCAUCACUCUUAGGAAUGAUAUCAUGAAUUUUAAACAACUUGAUCAUGAGCAUGUUGCCCAAUCUUGGGAAAGAAUGAAAUUGAUGCUUUGCAAUUGCCCUACUCAUGGUUUGAAUUUAUGGAUGAUCAUACAAAAUUUUUAUGCCGGAUUGAAUUUUGCUUCUAGAAAUCUUUUAGAUUCGGCCACGGGAGGCACGUUUAUGGAAAUUACAUUAGGAGAUGCUACAAAAUUACUUGGUAAUAUUAUGGCUAAUUAUUCUCAAUGGCACACCGAAAGAUCUUCUAGUAAAAAAGUACAUGCUAUAGAAGAAAUCAAUGUUUUGAGUGAAAAGAUGGAUGAACUUAUGAAGAUGUUUGCUACUAAAAAUACUUCUCUUGAUCCCAAUGAUAUGUCUUUAUCUACUUUGAUUGAGAAUAAUAAUGAAUCGAUGGAUGUGAAUUUUGUUGGUAGGAAUAGUUUUGGAAAUAACGCGUAUAGAGGGAAUUUUAAUCCUAGGCCUUAUCCUAGUAAUCCUUUUAAUAAUUAUGGAAAUUCCUACAACAACUCUUACGGAAAUUUUAAUAAGAUGCCCUCUGAAUUUGAGAGUAGUGUUAAAGAGUUUAUGAAUUCACAAAAGAAUUUUAAUGCUUUGGUUGAAGAGCAAUUUCUUAAAGUUGAUGAUUUGGCUAGGAACGUUGAUAGAAUUUCUCUUGAAAUUGAUUCUUUAAAGCUUAGAUCUAUUCGUCCUAAGCAUGAUAUCAAUGAGUCCAUCAAAGCCAUGAGAAUUUCCAUGGAUGAGUGCAAAGAAAGAACUGCUAGGAUGCGUGCUUCCAAAGAUGCAUUUAUUAAAGCAUGUUCUUCCAAUUCCUAUGAAAAUCAAGAUGAAGAUCUAAAAGUUAUUGAUGUGUCCCUUAUUAAAUCUUUGUUUUGCAAUAUUAAUCUUGAUGAAACUGAAUAUGAUCUUCCUUUACCUAGAAGGCGUUCUAAGAAUUCGGAGUUUCUAGAUCUUGAUGAUGAAAUUGAUGAAAGUGGGAUUGAAAGAAAUAAAAAUCUAGAUGUUGCUAAACCCACUAUUUUGGAUCUCAAGGAAUUUAAUUAUGAAAAUUGCUCUUUGAUUGGUUGUAUUUCCUUGUUGCAAUCCGUGCUAGAUUAUCCUCAUGCUUAUAGUCAAAAUAAGGCCUUUACCGAACACAUUGUUGAUGCCUUGAUGCAAUCUUAUGAAGAAAAACUUGAGUUGAAAGUUUCUAUCCCUAGAAAACUCCAUGAUGAGUGGGAACCAACUAUUAAAAUUAAAAUUAAAGAUUAUGAGUUUCAUGCUUUGUGUGAUUUGGGUGCUAGUGUCUCCACUAUUCCCAAAACUUUGUGCGAUUUGCUAGAUUUCUGUGACUUUGAAGAUUGCUCUCUAAACUUGCAUCUUGCGAAUUCCACUAUUAAAAAGCCUAUGGGAAGAAUUAAUGAUGUUCUUAUUUUUGCAAAUAGGAAUUAUGUGCCCGUAGAUUUUAUCGUUCUUGAUAUAGAUUUCAAUCCUUCAUGUCCUAUUAUUCUUGGUAGACCUUUCCUUAGAACGAUUCGUGCGAUUAUUGAUAUAAAGGAAGGGAAUAUUAGAUUCCAAUUUGCCUUGAGAAAGGGUAUGGAACACUUCCCUAGAAAGAAAAUAAAAUUACCAUAUGAAUCUAUCAUGAGAGCCACUUAUGGAUUGCCUACCAAAGAUGGCAAAACCUAGAUCUAUCCUUGUUUUUAUGCCUAGCUACGGGCGUUAAACGAUAGCGCUUGUUGGGAGGCAAACCAAUUUUAUUUUUUGUUUUUUGUUUUUUCUUCUGUUUAGGAAUAAAUAAUCCAUCUAUCCUCUGUUUGGAUGUGGUUUUAUGUUUUAAUUAGUGUUUGUGCCAAGUAGAACCUAUAGAAUAAGCUAUGAUGAUAGUUGAUUUGAUUCUGCUGAAAAACAGAAACUUUGCGCUCACGAGAAACAAUUCAAUAAAUCACAGAAACGUGCUUUUGCAUUCAUUCUUUUUGCUGCUGAUCAAUAAACAAAUUUUCCAGUACUUACUAUUUUGGUAGAAUUUUUAGAGUUCCAGAAGUUUGCGUUAGUUACAGAUUCCUACAGACUGUUCUGUUUUUGACAGAUUCUGUUUUUCGUGUUUUGUUUGCUUAUUUCAAUGCAUCUAUGGCUAAUAAAUUAGUUUAUUAACCAAAAGGAAGUUGGAAUACAGUAGGUUUAACACCAAUAUAAAUAAAUAAUGAGUUCAUUACAGUACCUUAAAGUAGUCUUUUGUUUUCUUUCACUAACGGAGCUCACGAGAUUUCUAUUGAGUUUUGUGUUGUGAAGUUUUCAAGUUUUGGGUGAAUUCUUUUGAUGGAUUAUGGAACAAAGAGUGGAAAGAGCCUAAGCUUGGGGAUGCCCAUGGCACCCCCAAGAUAAUCCAAGGACACCAAAAAGUCAAAGGUUGUGGAUGCCCUGGAAGGCAUCCCCUCUUUCGUCUACUUCCAUCGGUAAUUUACUUGGAGCUAUAAUUUUAUUCACCACAUGUUAUGUGUUUUGCUUGGAUCGUCUUGUAUUAUUUGCGUCUUUGCUUGUUAGUUUACCACAAUCAUCCUUGCUGUACACACCUUUUGAGAGAGCCAUACAUGAUUUGGAAUUUUCUAGAAUACUCUAUAUGCUUCACUUAUAUCUUUUGAGCUUGAUAGUUUUGCUCAUAGUGCUUCACUUAUACCUUUUUGAGCGUGAUGAUUUUUGCUCUAGUGCUUCACUUAGAUACUUUAGAGCACGGUGGUGGAUUUGUUUUAAAGAAACUAUUGAUCUCUCUUGCUUCACUUAUAUUAUUUUGAGAGUUGUUAAUAGCAUGGUAAUUUGCUUAAAGAUAAUAUACCUGGUAUUCAAGAUAUGUGAAACUUUCUUUUGAGUGCGUUGAAUACUAAGAUAAGUUUGAUGCUUGAUAAUUAUUUUGAGAUAUGGAGGUGAUAAUAUCAAAGCAAUGCUAGUUGGGGUGAUUAUUAAUUUAAAGAAUGCUUGUGUUGAAGUUUGUGAUUCCUGUAGCAUGCACGUAUGGUGAACCGCUUUGUGAUGAAGUCGGAGCACAAUUUUAUUUAUUGAUUGUCUUCCCUAUGAGUGGCAGUCAGGGACGAGCGAUGGUCUUUUCCUACUAAUCUAUCCCCCUAGGAGUACGUGUGUAGUUCUUUGGUUUUUGAUGACUUCUAAAUUUUUGCAACAAGUGCAUGAGUUCUUUUGAUUAAUGUUGAGUCCAUGGAUUAUACGCACUCUCACCCUUCCACCAUUGCUAGCCUCUCUAAUACCACGCACUUUUCGCCGGUAUCAUACACCCACCAUAUACCUUCCUCAAAACAGCCACCAUACCUACCUAUCAUGGCAUUUCCAUAGCCAUUCCGAGAUAUAUUGCCAUGCAAAUUUGCAGCAUUCCGUUCAUAUGACACACAUUAAUUUUGUCAUAUUGCUUUGUGCAUGAACAUGUAGUUGACAUUGUAUUUGUGGCAAGGCCACCUUAAUAAUUUUCAUACAUGUCACUCUUGAUUCAUUGCAUAUCCCGGUACACCGCCGGAGGCAUUCAUAUAGAGUCAUAUUUUGUUCUAAGUAUUGAGUUGUAAUUGUUGAGUUGUAAGAAAUAAAAGUGUGAUGAUCAUCAUUAUUAGAGAAUUGUCCCAGUAAGGAAAGGAUGAUGGAGACUAUGAUUCCCCCAUAAGUCGGGAUGAGACUCCGGACGAAAAAAAAGAGUGGCCAUAAAAAAAAAGAGAAAAGGCCCAAAUAAAAAAAUGAGAGAAAAAGAGAGAAGGGACAAUGCUACUAUCCUUUUACCACACUUGUGCUUCAAAGUAGCACCAUGAUCUUCAUGAUAGAGAGUCUCAUAUGUUGUCAAUUUCAUAUACUAGUGGGAAUUUUUCAUUAUAGAACUUGGAUUGUAUAUUCUAAUGAUGGGCUUCCUCAAAAGUGCCCUAGGUCUUCGUGAGCAAGCAAGUUGGAUGCACACCCACUUAGUUUCUUUUGUUGAGCUUUCAUAUACUUAUAGCUCUAGUGCAUUCGUUGCAUGGCAAUCCCUACUCACUCACAUCGAUAUCUAUUAAUGAGCAACUCCAUAGCCCAUUGAUACGCCUAGUUGAUGUGAGACUAUCUUCUCCUUUUUUGUCUUCUCCACAACCACCAUUCUAUUCCACCCAUAGUGCUAUGUCCAUGGCUCACGCUCAUGUAUUGCAUGAAAGUUGAAAAAGUUUGAGAUUACUAAAGUAUGAAACAGUUGUUUGGCUCGUCAUCGGGGUUGUGCAUGAUUAAAUACUUUGUGUGAUGAAGAUAGAGCUUAGCCAGACUAUAUGAUUUUGUAGGGAUAACUUUCUUUUGGCCAAGUUAUUUUGAGAAGACAUGAUUACUUUGAUUUGUAUGCUUGAAGUAUUAUUACUUUUAUGUUAAUAUGAACUUUUGUCUUGAAUCUUUCGGAUCUGAAUAUUCAUGCCACAAUUAAGAAGAUUUACACUGAAACUAUGCCAAAGUAUCACUCCGCAUCAAAAAUUCUUUUUUAUCAUUUACCUACUCGAGGACGAGCAGGAAUUAAGCCUGGGGAUGCUUGAUACGUCUCCAAUGUAUCUAUAAUUUUUGAUUGCUCCAUGCUACUUUAUCUACUGUUUUGGACUAUAUUGGGCUUUAUUUUCCAAUUUUAUAUUAUUUUUGGGACUAACCUAUUAACCGGAGGCCCAGCCCAGAAUUGCUGUUUUUUGCCUAUUUCAGUAUUUCGAAGAAACAGAAUAUCAAACGGAGUCCAAACAGAACGAAACCUUCGGGAACGUGAUUUUCUCACCGAGCGUGAUCCAGGAGACUUGGACCCUGCUCCAAGGAACAAAAGCGGUGGUCACGAGGGUGGGGGCGCCCCCCCCCCCAAGGAGCGCCCCCUGCCUCGUGGGCCCCCUGUUGCUCCACCGACAUACUCCUUCCUCCUAUAUAUACCUACGUACCCCCGACAGAUCAAAUACAGAGCCAAAAACCAAAUUCCACCGCCGCAACUUUCUGUAUCCGCGAGAUCCCAUCUUGGGGCCUGUUCCGGAGCUCCGCCGGAGGGGGCAUCUACCAUGGAGGGCUUCUACAUCAACACCAUAGCCUCUCCGAUGAAGUGUGAGUAGUUUACUUCAGACCUUCGGGUCCAUAGCUAGUAGCUAGAUGUCUUCUUCCCUCUUUUUGGAUCUCAAUACAAUGUUCUCCCCCUCUCUUGUGGAGAUCUAUUCGAUGUAAUCUUCUUUUUUGCGGUGUGUUUGUUGAGACUGAUGAAUUGUGGGUUUAUGAUCCAGCUUAUCUAUGAAUAAUAUUUGAAUCUUCUCUGAAUUCUUUUAUGUAUGAUUGAGUUAUCUUUGCAAGUCUCUUUGAAUUAUCCGUUUGGUUUGGCCAACUAGAUUGGUAGUUCUUGCAAUGGGAGAAGUGUUUAGCUUUGGGUUCAAUCUUGCGGUGUCCUUUCCUAGUGACAGCAGGGGCAGCAAGGCACGUAUUAUAUUGUUGCCAUUGAGGAUAACAAGAUGGGUUUUUAUCAUAUUGCAUGAAUUUAUCCCUCUACAUCAUGUCAUCUUGCUUAAGGCGUUACUCUGUUUUCAACUUAAUACUCUAGAUGCAUGCUGGAUAGCGGUCGAUGAGUGGAGUAAUAGUAGUAGAUGCAGAAUCGUUUCGAUCUACUUUUCUCGGACGUGAUGCCUAUACACAUGAUCAUACCUAGAUAUCGUCAUAAUUAUUUGCUUUUCUAUCAAUUGCUCAUAAGUAAUUUGUUCACCCACCGUAGAAUACUUAUGCUGUUGAGAGAAGCCACUAGUGAAACCUAUGGCCCCCGGGUCUAUUCUCAUCAUAUCAAUCUCCAUUACUUUAUUACUUGCUUUGUUUUUUCUUUACCUUUUACUUUUCACUUUGCAUCUUUAUAUCAAAAAUACCAAAAAUAUUAUUUAUCAUCUCUAUCAGAUCUCACCCUCGUAAGUGACCAUGAAGGGAUUGACAACCCCUAAUUGUGUUGGUUGCGAGUAGCUAUCGUUUUGUGUAGGUACGAGGGACUUGUGCGUGGUCUCCUACUGGAUUGAUACCUUGGUUCUCAAAAACUGAGGGAAAUACUUACGCUACUUUACUGCAUCAUCCUCUCCUCUUCGGGGAAAUCCAACGCAGUGCUCAGGAGGUAGCAAGGGUGUGCAAAUGGCCUUCGCCCGCGCAAAGGUGCACUGGGGGAAGAUGGAUGCGGAAAAGCUGAUGACCGAGGUACUACGGGAGGGGAAGGAGCACCGCAAGCCCGAAUUAUAUUAUGAUAGUGUCCUAAAAGGAUCCUGCCUUGCGGCGGAGAAAUGCACCAAGGACAUUAUAUUUCCAUGAAUACAGUCAUCUUGUCCUUUGUAAUGUUGAACCAGGUCAUCUCUAUUAUUUAUUGCCUUUUAUUUGAAAGUUUUUCCUCCUGCGUGGCCGUUUUAUAUAUUAAUCCUGAGAGUUGGCCAGUCGUCGGCUUCUGCCACCACGUAGGAAGUACGGGGGUGUUCGGGAUAAACCUGAGCACUCUUUAUCCCAGUUAUGGGUCCUUGAAGGAGGUGUUCAGCACAACGAACCAGGCAAUCGGACUAUAAGGCUUUAUCACUCUCACUUAGCCAUAGGAGUUUGACAAAAAGAAGGUAGGCGCAGCCCCUGGUGUUCGGAAGACCGCGCGAGGGGCUCUAUAAGCACCUGAUCGGAAGAAAAACCGAUCCAUUGCACGCAGCAUUAGUUAUCGCAUAAUGCGGAAGAAAUCCUUAAAGAUUUUACAACCUCUCGAACAGCUGACCAACUCUUGCUGUAUCAUGACAGUCAGUUUUUGGCUUUCUCUACUGAGGCGCUCGUACGGAAGAACUGGGACACAAUCGCUGUAGUUCUCCCUGUGCCGCCUUAGCCGAUGUAGCAGAAUGUAUGGCAGCAAAACAUGGGAGACGGGCAAACCCAACUAUUGACCCAAGACAUGAUUCGGAGUUGAUGCAUAUAAUGCAAUAAGUUCAGGGUGCCAAAUGACCGCGAAGGUGUUCGUACUUUAUUGCCGUUAUUAUGGGUACAAUGAAGCCCCUGGCAUAUUAAGGCAUAUCAUGGUGUACGGAUGCCAUUUGACAAAGAGUAUCAAUAAGAAACAACAUCAGAUAAGCGUCAUAUAAAUCCACAUGUUGUAAUUGAAUAAUACGUCGAUGCGUACGAAUACAAGUAAUUGUGAUAAAAAGAAAUAUGACUUCGGAACCUACUGAGAUCAAGCGGGAGGAGGCUGUGUGCGGAUCCGGAGUGUAAUCGGAUGGUCAUCAAUGGGCAUAUCUAAGGAUUCCCUUACACAUUCGAGCUGUUUCCAUGUCGCCAGUCCUGGACUACGCAGAAGUGGACCUGCCAAGAAAGUGCAAAAAGAUUUUUAUGUGUCACGGAGUGGUUAAGCCGCCUUGUGUGGCCUAUCCUAGUUGUGCCUCCGUUUACUGCUGGAGUGUUUUUAAUUGAGCUCUGGACGAGCCAGGCUAUCCUGCCACGAAGUAGUUCAGACUCCCUUAACGGUGUCUAGGAGCUUGGCCGUUGACUCGAGUUUCGGUUGAAGGAUGCCCCUCGUUGCUUCUGCCGUUAAGGCGGCGGUAUGCUCUUCAGCGCACAGGGGGGGUUCAGCCUUGCCAUUAACUGUUAUGACGCCGCCGGACCAGGCAUCUUGAGCUUUCGAUAGGCAUAAUGUGGCACUGCGUUGAAUCGAGCAAACGCGGUUCGUCCGAGCAGUGCAUGAUAAUUACUGCGAAAAGGGACAAUGUCGAAGGUUAACUCUUCGGUACGGUAAUUGUCCGGUGAUCCAAAGACUACCUCCAGAGUGAUGGAGCCUGUACAACGGGCCUCCACCCCUGGUAUAACACCUUUAAAGGUGGUUUUAGUGGGCUUGAUCAUCGAAUGAUGAAUACUCAUCUUGCACACUUGUCCUGAUACAGCAGGUUUAGACUGCUGCCUCCGUCCAUAAGGACUCGUGUGAGGUGGAAUCCAUCAAUUAUUGUGUCAAGGACUAGUGCGGCUGAAUUGCCCUGAUUGGUGUUGGCUGGACGAUCCGUGCGACCAAAAGUGAUCGGCCGUAGUUUAUAUUGUGGGGCGACUGGCUCCGUUAAGUCGACAUCCCUAAGAGUGCAGGUCCGUUCCAGCUUGGGAAUAUGGAUGGCGUUUAUCAUUUUCACCGCUUUGAUUUGCAGGGGAAAUUUCUUUUGCCCUCCUGUGUUUGGUGAUCGGGGCUCCUUGUCAUCGUCAUCGCUUUGAGACCCCUUCUCCUUGUUUUUGGCACCUGCCCUCUUGUUUGAAGACCCAGCAUUCUCUGUUGGUAUGAUUGGCUGGUGUUCCUGGGGUGCCAUGAAUUUGGCAUGGACGAUCGAGUAUGCGGUCUAGACUGAACGGGCCCGAAUUGUUCUUUUUGAAUGGCUUUUUCCACUGACCGGUCUUAGAGCCACUGAAUCCGGCAUUGACUGUCGUGUCUUCAGCGUUAUCACCAUUUUUGCGAUGCUUGUGUCUGUUGCGUCGGUGCUUGCCAUUGUUAUCUCUGGCAUCUGAAGUGCCAGGGUUUCUUGAUGUGAUGUUGCUACGAGCCAGCCAGUUGUCCUCGCCUGCAGAAAAGCGGGUCAUGAGUGUCGUGAGGGCUGCCAUGGACUUCGGCUUUUCUUGGCCGAGGUGUCGGGAAAGCCAAUCGUCGCGGAUGUUAUGCUUAAAGGCCGCUAGGGUUUCGGCAUCCGGACAAUCGACAAUUUGGUUCUUUUUAGUUAGGAACCGAGUCAAGAAUUUCCUGGCUGACUCUCCAGGCUAUUAGGUAAUGUGACUUAAAUCGUCAGCAUCCGGUGGGUGCACAUAAGUGCCCUGGAAGUUAUCCAGGAAUGCGUCUUCCAGGUUCUCCCAACUUCCAAUGGAGUUUGCCGGCAAACUAUUCAGCCAAUGCCGAGCUGGUCCCUUGAGUUUUAGUGGGAGGUACUUGAUGGCAUGGAGAUCAUCGCCGCGGGCCAUGUGAAUAUGGAGAAGGAAAUCUUCAAUCCAUACCGCGGGGUCUGUUGUCCCAUCAUAUGAUUAAAUGUCCACGGGCUUAAACCCUUUUGGGAACUCAUGGUCCAUUACUUCGUCAGUGAAGCAUAGGGGGUGUGCGGCGCCUCUGUGCCGGGCUACAUCACGACGUAAUUCAAAUGAGUCUGGUCAGUUGUAUUCAGCCCUGACAGAUUUAUAUUUAGUGUAUCCGGCGUGGUGAUCUUCGUCAUGCGUUGGGGCGCCCCCCCGUGAUCCGUAGAUCGACCUUGACUGUCCCGCUUUGUUUUCCAACACGUCUCGCAGGUCCUGCAUGUAGCCCCAGGCCUUAGUGUUUUUGUUUGAUUGGCGACAGGGUGCGGGCUGAACUUCAGGCUGAUGCGCCGCUUUGUCUGAGCCACGAGGUGGCCGGUCAGCCGCAUUCUGCGCUAGUAGUGUAGGCUUUACUGCCUCCUCCUCGAGUUGAGGUAGCAAAAUGUGCUUUGGGUAACUUUUGGUUGGGCGCUCGAGUCCGUAUUCCUCGGCUGCCAGGACCUCAGUCCAUCUAUCAGUUAGCAGAUCUUGAUCAGCUUCAAGCUGCUGCUGUUUUUUCUUCAGGCUUUUUGAAGUGGCUAUAAGCCGGUGCUUGAAGAGCUACUGCUCGACGGGGCCCUCAGGCAUGAUGAAUUCUUUGUUGCUUAGGCUCGCUUCGUCUUCAGAGAGGGGCAUGUAAUUGUCAACCUCCGAGUCUCCAUCCAUUGCCUAUUUAUCAGGGCUAAGUUGCCCAUCCUUCUGUCCGGCUUGCUCGAAGCUUGGCUGGGCGGGAUUGUUUUCGUCUUCAGCACCAUCCGGAGUGCUAUUGUCUCUUGUGCCGGUAUUGUUGUUUUUGCUAUGGCGGGGGUUUGAGCGGCGCCACUGACGCUGGUGCUUAGAUUGCUUCCCUAGGGGAUUAUCCUCCGUUGCCUCAUCGCCAUUGCUUUCUUUGGGCGUGUCCACCAUAUAUAUAUCAUAUGAUGAGGUGGCUGUCCAGCGCCCUCUGGGCGGUGGUUCCUGUUCUUCUCCUCCAUCGUCGUCUAUACCGUCGAUGUCUUCGGAGUCGAAAUCAAGCAUGUCGGUUAAGUCGUCAACAGUGGCUAUUAAGUGGGUGGUGGGUGGGGAACGAAUUUCUUCGUCGUCUGCUUCCCACUCAAGCCGGACAUAGUUUGGCCAAGAGUCUCCUGAUAGGGAGAGAGACUUUAAUGAAUUUAGCACGUCGCCCAAGGGCAAGUACUGAAAGAUGUUCGUGGAGGUAAACUCCAGGAUCGGUGCCCGAUCAGAUUCGAUAGGCAUGGAUGCACGCGGUUCGUAGCCUAUGAUCGGAGACGAGUCCGAGGGUCUGAUGACACAGACCUCAUUGGAGGCGAAGUCUGUGUUCGGCUCUAAUGCCGAUGAGUGUGCGCCUCCAUGGUGGCGUCCAUCCACCGGUCCUCGGAUGGCAUGAUCUACUCCAGAUUAAGAGCCGGGGCAACCAUAGGUGUGAUCUCUCGAACAUCGUCCGAUGGCAGAUCUAAGUCAUGUUCAUCGUGACUGUUCGGCGCACCUGUCAUGGGCUCGAAUCCGUCAAAGAUCCGGUCUCCGCUGAUGUCGGCUGUGUAGUUCAGGCUUCCAAACAUGACCUAAUGGCCAGGGGCGUAGCUAUCAAUCUACUCCAGAUGGCCAAGCGAGUUGGCCCAUAGAGCGAAGCCGCCAAAUACGAAGAUCUGUCUGGGAGGGAAAACCUCACCCUGGAUCGCAUUGUUGUCAAUAGUUGAAGGAGCCAUCAAGCCUUACCGUGACGACACAGUGGAACUCUCAAUGAAAGCACCAAUGUCGGUGUCAAAACUGGCGGAUCUCGGGUAGGGGGUCCCGAACUGUGCGUCUAAGGCUAAUGGUAAUAGGAGGCGGGGGAUACAAUGUUUACCCAGGUUCGGGCCCUCUCAAUGGAGGUAAUACCCUACUUCCUGCUUGAUUGAUCUUGAUGAUAUGAAUAUUACAAGAGUUGAUCUACCACGAGAUCGUAGAGGCUAAACCCUAGAAGCUAGCCUAUGGUUAUGAUUGUUGUUGUCCUAUGAACUAAACCCUCCAGUUUAUAUAGACAUAGGAGGGGGCUAGGGUUACACAGAGUCGGUUACAGAGAAGGAAAUGUACAUAUCCAAAUUGCCAAGCUUGCCUUCCAUGCAAAGGAGAGUCCCACCCGGACAUGGGACGAAGUCUUCAAUCUUGUAUCUUCAUAGACCAACAGUCCGGCCAAAGUAUAUAGUCCGGCUGUCCGAGGACCCCAUAAUCAAGGACUCCCUCACGCUCCCCACCCUCGUGGGCCCCUCGUGGCUCCCCUGACCGACUUCUUUCACCUAUAUAUAUCCAUAUACCCUAAAAACAUCGGAGAACAGAAUAGAUCAGGAGUUCCACCACCGCAAGACUCUGUAGCCACCAAAAACCAAUCGGGACCCUGUUCCGGCACCCUGCCGGAGGGGGGAUCCCUCACCGGUGGCCAUCUUCAUCAUCCCGGCGCUCUCCAUGACGAGGAGGGAGUAGUUCACCCUCGGGGCUGAGGGUAUGUACGAGUAGCUAUGUGUUUGAUCUCUCUCUCUCUCUCUCUCUCUCUCUCUCUCUCUCUCUCUCGUGUUCUUCAUUCGGCACGAUCUUGAUGUAUCGUGAGCUUUGCUAUUAUAGCUGGAUCUUAUCAUGUUUCUCCAACUCUACUCUCUUGUAAUGGAUUGAGUUUUCCCUUUGAAGUUAUCUUAUCGGAUUGAGUCUUCAAGGAUUUGAGAACACUUGAUGUAUGUCUUGCAUGUGCUUAUCUGUGGUGACAAUGGGAUAUCACAUGAUUCACUUGAUGUAUGUUUUGGUGAUCAACUUGCAAGUUCCGUGACGUCGUGAACUUAUGCAUAGGGGUUGGCACACAUUUUCGUCUUGACUCUCCGGUAGAAACUUUGGGGCACUCUUUGAAGUACUUUGUGUUGGUUUGAAUAGAUGAAUCUGAGAUUGUGUGAUGCAUAUCGUAUAAUCAUACCCACAGAUACUUGAGGUGACAUUGGACUAUCUAGGUGACAUUAGGGUUUUGGUUGAUUUGUCUCUUAAUGUGUUAUUCUAGUACGAACUCUAUGAUAGGUCGAACAGAAAGAAUAGCUUCGUGUUAUUUUACUACAGACUCUUGAAUAGAUCGAUCAGAAAGGAUAAUUUUGAGGUGGUUUCAUACCCUACAAUAAUCUGUUCGUUUGUUCUCCACUAUUAGUGACUUUGGAGUGACUCUUUGUUGCAUGUUGAGGGAUAGUUAUAUGAUCCAAUUAUGUUAUUAUUGUUGAGAGAACUUGCACUAGUGAAAGUAUGAACCCUAGGCCUUGUUUGCAUUGCAAUACCGUUUGUGCUCACUUUUAUCAUUAGUUACCUUGCGGUUUUUAUAAUUUCAGAUUACAAAGACCUAUAUCUACCAUCCAUAUUGCACUUGUAUCACCAUCUCUUCGCCGAACUAGUGCACCUAUACAAUUUACCAUUGUAUUGGGUGUGUUGGGGACACAAGAGACUCUUUGUUAUUUGGUUGCAGGGUUGUUUGAGAGAGACCAUCUUCAUCCUACACCUCCCAUGGAUUGAUAAACCUUAGGUCAUCCACUUGAGGGAAAUUUGCUACUGUCCUACAAACCUCUGUACUUGGAGGCCCAACAACAUCUAGAAGAAGAAGGUUGUGUAGUAGACAUCAAGCUCUUUUCUGGCGCCGUUGCCGGGGAGGUGAGUGCUUAAAGGUAUAUCUUUAGAUCUUGCAAUCGAAUCUUUUUGUUUCUUGUUUUGUCACUAAUUUAGUCAAUAAAAGAAAACUAAAAAAGGAAUUAAGGGUGCCUCAUAUGCUUCAUCUUUUUAAUGUCUUUCGUGAAAAUGAUGGGAAGGAAAAUUGUGCUCAAGUACUAGAAGAAGGAUUACAUAGAAUGCUUGGCAUAAAAUAUGUGAAUGAUGAGCAUGAUUGCAAUGUUGUUAGUAUGAAUUCUUUGAAUACCCAUGAUGCUAAUGAUAUGCAAAGCCACAAGCUUGGGGAUGCUAUGUUUGAUGAAGAUGAUAUGUUUUGUCCCCCAAGUUAUGAUGAGAAAAUUUAUUAUGAUGAUAGCAUGCUUCCUAUUUAUGAUGAUUAUAUUGAUGAAAGUGGGUUUGGAAGAGUGUCAACUUUAGGAAGUAAUGAUCCCACUAUUUUUGAGGGUGUUGAAUCUUAUUGUGAUAAUUAUGAAAGUGGAUUUGGAGAGGUCAUGACUUUAUUUAGUGAUGAAUCCACUAUUUCAGAAGAGGUUCCAAUUGAUUAUGAGAAUAAAGUUGCUAUCUAUGAUGAUUAUUGUGAUGACAUGUAUGUUAUAAAGAAUAAACAUAACGAUGAAACUUGUCAUCAUGAUUUUAAUUUUCAAUUGGAUUAUGCUUCACAUGAUAGUUAUUUUGUUGAGUUUGCUCCCACUACUAUUCAUGAGAAGAAAUUUGCUUAUGUGGAGAGUAAUAAAAUUUCUAUGCUUGUAGAUCAUGAAAAGAAUGCUUUUAUGUGCUGGUUAUAUGGUUGAAUUCAUUCAUGAUGCUACUGAAAAUUAUUAUGAGAGAGGAUCCACUAGUAGAAAACAGGGCUACCGUUCGGCCCUGGCCAGCCCAUUAGUCCCGGUUCUUCAAGAACCGGGACCAAUGGGGGGUAUUAGACCCGGUUUGUGAGCCCAGGGGGCCGGCCGGGGCCUCGUGGGCAUUAGUCCCGGUUCAUGUAGAACCAUUUGUCUCGGUUCGAGCCACGAACCGGGACUAAUGGUCCUCGCUGCUGGCCCACAACCAUUGGUCCCGGUUCGUGGCAUGAACCGGGACAGAAGGGGUGGCUUUAGUCCCGGUUCAUGCCACGAACCGAGACAAAUAACUUGCCUAUAUAUACCCACCGCCGCGGAAGAGCACUCCAUAGUGCUCUGUUUUUUCAAUCCGGCGAGGAGAGGGUAUUUGGGUGCUCUAGUUCACCUCCUAUGCACAUGAUGUGUUCGAUGAAAUGCCCGAGCCACACUAGUUAAGCUUUCUCCUCUCGAAGCUCGACCUAGGAGCUCCAUUUUUUUGAGAUUUGUCUAGAUUUAGGGGUCCAUCAUGCCCCGUCCCCGUUCUCACCGCCGUUGAUCGCCCGCGCCGAUCUCGUCGUCGGCACCACCGUGGUGAGCCUCUUGUUCUUAUCUUCUUUAUGAUACUUGUCUGAUUUUCUUACUUUAGAUAGAUAUUUGUCUGAUUUUCUUAAUUUUGACACACAUAAUUAUAUGUAAUGCACACAGAUGAACCGGCAAUGGAUGUAUGGUGACAAACACACCUCUGAGUACAAUAAGGGCGUGCAUAUUUUUCUCGAAGUGGCUGAGGCAAACAAGCAGAAUGGUUUUAUGUGUUGUCCAUGCAGUAAAUGUGGUAAUACGAAGUCUUACUCUGACCGGAAAAUCCUUCACACCCACCUGCUUUACAAGGGUUUCAUGCCACACUAUAAUGUUUGGACGAGGCAUGGAGAAAUAGGGGUUAUGAUGGAAGACGACGAAGAAGAAGAGGAGGAUGACAACUAUGUGCCCCCUGAAUACGGUGAUGCUACAACGGGGGGAGCUGCUGAAGAUCAAGAGGAACCAGACAAUGUGCCCGAUGAUGCUGCAACGGGGGAAGCUGCUGAAGAUCAAGAGAAACCAGAUGAUGUGCCCAAUGAUGAUCUCCGUCGGGUCAUUAUCGAUGCAAGGACGCAAUGCAAAAGUCAAAAGGAGAAGCUGAAGUUCGAUCGCAUGUUAGAGGAUCACCAAAAAAAGUUGUACCCCAAUUGUGAAGAUGGCAACACAAAGCUGGGUACCGUACUGGAAUUGCUGUAGUGGAAGGCAGAGAAUGCUGUGCCUGACAAAGGAUUUGAGAAGCUACUGAAAAUAUUGAAGAAGAAGCUUCCAAAGGAUAAUGAAUUGCCCGACAGUACGUACGCAGCAAAGAAGGUCGUAUGCCCUCUAGGAUUGGAGGUGCAGAAGAUACAUGCAUGCCCUAAUGACUGCAUCCUCUACCGCGGUGCGUACGAGGAUUUGAACGCAUGCCCGGUAUGCAGUGCAUUGCGGUAUAAGAUCAGACGAGAUGACCCUGGUGAUGUUGACGGCGAGCCCCGCAGGAAGAGAGUUCCUGCGAAGGUGAUGUGGUAUGCUCCUGUAAUACCACAGUUGAAACAACUGUUCAGAAACAAAGAGCAUGCUAAGUUGAUGCGAUGGCAUAGUGAGGACCAUAAGAAAGACGGGAAGUUGAGAGCACCCGCUGACGGGUCGCAGUGGAGAAAAAUCGAGAGAGAGUACUGGGCUGAGUUUGCACGUGACCCAAGGAACGUAUGGUUUGGUUUAAGCGCGGAUGGCAUUAAUCCUUUCGGGGAGCAGAGCAGCAAUCACAGCACCUGGUCCGUGACUCUAUGUAUGUAUAACCUUCCACCUUGGAUGUGCAUGAAGCGGAAGUUCAUUAUGAUGCCAGUUCUCAUCCAAGGCCCUAAGCAACCCGGCAACGACAUUGAUGUGUACCUAAGGACAUUAGUUGAAGAACGUUUACAGCUGUGGAAUGGAAACGGUGUACGUGCGUGGGAUGAGCACAAACAUGAGGAAUUUAACCUGCACGCGUUGCUAUUUGUAACCAUCAACGAUUGGCCCGCUCUCAGUAACCUUUCAGGACAGACAAACAAGGGAUACCACGCAUGCACGCACUGUUUAGCUGACACCGAAAGUAUAUACCUGGGAAGCUGCAGCAAGAAUGUGUACCUGUGCCAUCGUCGAUUUCUUCCGACCAACUAUCAAUGUCGAAAGAAAGGCAAGUAUUUCAAAGGCGAGGCAGAUCACCGGAAGAAGCCCACCAUGUGUACCGGUGAUCAUGUACUUGCUAUGGUCAAUGAUUUACAUGUAAUCUUUGGAAAGGGUCCGGGCGGACUAGCUGUUCCGAGUGACGCUGGGGGACACGCACCCAUGUGGAAGAAGAAAUCUAUAUUUUGGGACCUACCCUACUGGAAAGACCUAGAGGUCCGCUCUUGAUCGACGUGAUGCACGUGACGAAGAACCUUUGCGUCAACCUACUAGGAUUAUUGGGCGUGCAUGGGAAGACAAAAGAUACAGCUGAGGCACGGGAGGACCUACAACGUUUGCACGAAAAAGAUGGCAUGCCUCCAAAGCAGUAUGAAGGUCCUGCCAGCUACGCUCUUACCAAAUAAGAGAAGGAAAUCUUCUUUGAAUGCCUGCUUAGUAUGAAGGUCCCGACUGGCUUCUCAUCGAAUAUAAAGGGAAUAAUAAAUAUGGCAGAGAAAAAGUUUCAGAACUUAAAGUCUCAUGACUGCCACAUGAUUAUGACGCAACUGCUUCCGGUUGCAUUGAGGGGGCUUCUAUCGGAAAACGUCCGAUUAGCCAUUGUGAAGCUAUGUGCAUUCCUCAAUGCAAUCUCUUAGAAGGUGAUCGAUCCAGAAAUCAUACCAAGGCUAAGGAGUGAUGUGGUGCAAUGUCUUGUCAGUUUCGAGCUGGUGUUCCCACCAUCCUUCUUUAAUAUCAUGACGCACGUCCUAGUUCAUCUAGUUGACGAGAUUGUCAUUCUGGGCCCCGUAUUUCUACACAAUAUGUACCCCUUUGAGAGGUUCAUGGGAGUCCUAAGGAAAUAUGUCCGUAACCGCGCUAGGCCAGAAGGAAGCAUCUCCAUGGGCCAUCAAAUAGAGGAUGUCAUUGGGUUUUGUGUUGACUUCAUUCCUGACAUUAAGAAUAUAGGUCUCCCUCAAUCGCGGUAUGAGGGGAGACUGACUAGAAAAGGCACGCUUGGAGGGGAGACAAUAAUAUGCAGGGACGGAUAUUCUUGGUCUCAAGCACACUGCACAGUUUUAUAGAACUCUACCUUGGUGACCCCUUAUGUCGAUGAACACAAGAACAGUCUGCGCUCCAAACACCCGGAGCAGUGCGACGACUGGAUUACAUGUGAACACAUCAAGACUUUCAGCAGUUGGUUGGAAACACGUCUCAGAGAUGAAAACACUGUUUGUGAUGAGCUGUACUCGUUGUCCAGGGGACCAUCUUCGACUGUUACGAUUCAGAAAGGAUACGAGAUAAAUGGGAAUACAUUUUACACGAUCGCCCAAGAUCAAAAGAGAACCAACCAAAACAGCGGUGUCCGCUUUGAUGCAGCCACCGAGAGGGGAAAGGACACAUAUUAUGGUUACAUAGUGGACAUAUGGGAACUUAACUAUGGAGUAGAUUUUAAGGUCCCUUUGUUUAAGUGCAAAUGGGUCAAUCUGUUAGGAGGCAGGGUACAGGUAGACCCACAGUAUGGAAUGACAACAGUGGAUCUGAACAAUCUUGGUUACACUGACGAACCGUUCAUCCUAGCCAAUGAUGUGGCACAGGUUAUCUAUGUGAAGCACAUGUCUACCAAACCGAUAAAAAGAGAAAAUAAGGAAGCAAAUACAUCAUACGAUGAGCCAAAGUGCCACAUGGUUCUUUCAGGAAAAAGGGACAUCGUGGGAGUGGAGGGCAAGACAGACAUGUCCGAAGAUUAUGAAAAGUUUCAUGAAAUUCCUCCCUUCAAAGUCAAGGCGGACCCAAGCAUCCUGAUAAAUGAUGAAGAUUAUCCAUGGUUACGGCGCAAUAAGGAAAGGACACAAGCGAAGAAAAAGUGAAGACUUUCUCCACAACUAUUAUGAUGAUACCAUGCCAACUUUCAACCUUUUGUAGUUCAUUUGAAAUGCAUGUUGUAACAGACAAGUUUCCGUAUGAAAUCCUGAUACUUCGAAAGAGAUUGUCCGUUUUGUACACGAAGUGCAUCCAGUUUUGUCGUAACCCUCUCAACUUUCUUGCAUAUGCUAUGUGGAUGAAAUGAUGAUACCAUGCCAAAAUAACAGAGAGGCGCAAUGCUCACCUGCACGUUGCUUAGCUUCAGGCCAACGUGCAGGUGAGCACUGCGCUUCUUCCUUCAUCGUCUCUACACUCAGGGCUUAUAAAACGCCGCGAGUGCCUCUCGCUUGGCGAGGUGGGAUUAAAAAACAGCUGCAGAAAGAAACAACUAAAAAACUCAUUUACUGGUUCAUGCCACGAACCGGUACUAAAAGGUGCUCGUGGGGCCCCAGCCUUAAAACCUGUACCAAAUAAAAUGCCUUUGUAACAGCCUUAGAACUGGUACUAAAGGAAUCAACUAAAAAGCUUUUAUAAACCUCUAGUAUUAUUGAAACUAAAAUUAUAUAGAAUUUUGUUACAAACUUUAAUAGAAAAAAGAAUUAUCAUAAAAGAAAAUAAAUAAGUAAUUAGAAUUUUGUUCAAAAUAUUAAAAGCAAAAAGAAUUAUCAUAAAAGAAAAUAAAUAAGUAAUUAGAAUUUUGUUACAAACUUUAAUAGCAAAAAGAAUUAUCGUAAAAGAAAAUAAAUAAGUAAUUAGAAACAAAAAAGAAAGCAAAAAAACUGGGAAAAAUUUAAAAAAAGUGCCACCUACAGGGCCACCACGGCCUGCAUACAACUAGAAACCCAUUACUAGGGCCAGGAUGCAGGCCCGCAGUAGGCCUAAUAGGCCCACAAGUACAGAGAGUGAUUUUAGGCCCAUAAGCCUACAGUAGAGAGGAGCUCAAAGUGGUAGGUUCGGCAAGACUUAUAAACCACUCUGAGCCCCUCUCGGCUAGCGAGGUGGGACUAAACAUAGCACCGCACCGUGCCAGCACACGACCUUUGGUCCCGAUUGGUGCCACCAACCGGGACUAAAGGGGUGCAUUGGUACCGGUUGGUGGCACCAACCGGGACCAAUGCCUCUCUUUUGUCCCGGUUUGUGGCACCAACCACGACCAAAGGUCUCUGUUUUCCGCCCUUUGGGCUGCUGAAAAGAGGCCUUUGGUCCCGGUUGGUGCCACUAACCGGGACUAAAGGGGUGCAUUGUUCUCGGUUGGUGCCAUGAACCAGGACCAAUGCUCUGCCUAUAUAAGCAGCACUCGUGAAAAUUUGGUUCAGUUCGUUCUUCCCCGCCGCGCGACGCCGCCAGGCUGCCUGUCCGUCUCUGCCUCGCCGUCGCCGUCGUCGCCCCGCGCCGNNNNNNNNNNNNNNNNNNNNNNNNNNNNNNNNNNNNNNNNNNNNNNNNNNNNNNNNNNNNNNNNNNNNNNNNNNNNNNNNNNNNNNNNNNNNNNNNNNNNNNNNNNNNNNNNNNNNNNNNNNNNNNNNNNNNNNNNNNNNNNNNNNNNNNNNNNNNNNNNNNNNNNNNNNNNNNNNNNNNNNNNNNNNNNNNNNNNNNNNNNNNNNNNNNNNNNNNNNNNNNNNNNNNNNNNNNNNNNNNNNNNNNNNNNNNNNNNNNNNNNNNNNNNNNNNNNNNNNNNNNNNNNNNNNNNNNNNNNNNNNNNNNNNNNNNNNNNNNNNNNNNNNNNNNNNNNNNNNNNNNNNNNNNNNNNNNNNNNNNNNNNNNNNNNNNNNNNNNNNNNNNNNNNNNNNNNNNNNNNNNNNNNNNNNNNNNNNNNNNNNNNNNNNNNNNNNNNNNNNNNNNNNNNNNNNNNUAUGUUCAUAUAUAUGCAAAGAUCGAAUAUGUCAAAUUUUUAUGAUUUUUUUCUGUAGUAAUUUUGUUCGUAGAAUUUUAAUGAUUUUUUUGUUCAUAGUAUUUUCUUUGUCAAUUUAUGUAUAUGUUCAUAUUGUGUAUGUAUAGGAAAAUUUUGCAUGAUCAAUGUCAUUUAUGAAUAUGUUCAUAUUUAGAAUAGAGGAAAAAGGAAAAAAUAAGAAGAGAAAGUGUUUAAUAUAAUUCGUUAGAAAAAUAAUAGAACUAUAGUUAAACUAGUUUAUUUUUAGUAAGUACUACUUUAUUUUAUUUAUAGUAAGUGCUUCAUAUAUAGUUGAACUAGCUAGUUGAUUUAAUAAACUACUUUAUUUUACUAUAUAUAGAAGUAGUUUGUUUUGAGUGAGUACUACUUUAUUUAUUUAUAGUAAGUGCUUAGUAGUUGAACUAGUUGAUUUAAUUAAUGAAACUACUUUAUUUAACUAUAUAUAGAAGUAGUUCCCGCAUCGACGUCGAUGAUGCCUAUCCCACAUCCUCGUCGUCCUCGACUCGGCGGUGGAGGCCUGCUUGAUCAGGGCCAUGUUCGGGACUGGGCUCCGCCGGGCUGGUAUUGGGAGGUGCUACCUUCUGGGGGACGUAGGUUGGUGAGGAGGCAGCCCGUUGUUGACCCGAUCCUUCUUUGGUGGCGGUCGCGUGGGCCAGUGACGGUGCCGAGGCUUCCGGACACCGCGGAGGUGGUACGUCACCGUGUCAGCGAGGAGGACGAGCACGUCCGUCGCUACAUGGUUGCAUUGGAGGGAAGGUUCGACAAUACCUGACAGGUUCUUCAGGGAUCUCACUAGAGCUAUGAUCCUGUGAUGGUUCCUUAUCUUUGGGUGUCCACCGCCCGCGACGAUACCCGUCGGGCGCUACGGUUCUAGCUGUAUUAGCGAUGCUAUAUGUAUGAUAGUAUUCGAGGAGUAUUAGUGAUAAUAUUCGACGAUGUACAGACACAAGAGAUGAUGUAGUUUUGGGUAUAAUUGAAUGCAUGCUAAUUUGAAUACUACUUUAUUUUACGAUUUGGUUUUGCUUGUUGAAUGCUCAUAUUGGAAAAGUACUCCUACUAUGAGUGCUAAAAUUCAAGAGCACUCUAUGCAGAAAUCUAGGAGCCACCUCCAUCAUCCACGCCGUCGUGGGGGUAGCUUCUCCUUCAUUUGGUGUAAUAAUGCACUCGGGAAUGAAAGGAGGAGCUACCAUCACCGAUAGUCAACCCGUGAUUAAUAAUAAUGAUCUAAUUUAGGUUUUUUAGUACAUAUAUUUAAUUUUACAAGUUUAAUAUUUGAAUUAUGAACAUAGGCCGGAAAUGUCGUACUCGGACGACGAAAACCGCCCGGGGGAGUGCGACUGGUGCCACGACGACCGAGAUAUGUGCGACAGGUUCAUUGAGCUAGACAAAGAUCGGCGCUUCAGCAUUAAGCUCGAGGAGACCUUCGAUGUUCAUACGGUACGCAACAACGACAAUAGUUUUUUUUCGUAAUUAAGCAUGACUUCAAAUAUUUUAACGUGUAUUUUUCAUCUUUUCCAAUUCGACUAGCUUAUCCCAUGCUAAGCAAGACGCUAUGUCUUGGAGAGGAUGGGUUUUGAAGACCAUGAAAGUAUGGAAACCAAAAAAAUUCUCAUAAGGACCCAUCAUGGUGUGGAUUUUAAAGUAAAGUUGUACAAUGCUGAGAGUGUAACCCAUUUUGGUUGCAAAAAUUGGGAAGCACUUUGCAAGAUGUAUGAUUUUGAUGAGGGUAUGCUUGUCACCAUGGAUCUUGGUGAUCCCACAAUCAAGCAAGACAAUAUGGACAUUUGGGUCCUUGUGGAUACACCUCCAAUUCUUUCCCCCAUGUGAGCUUAACAUAGUUAUUAAGUAAAUUAUAUUGUUUAUUUCAAAAUAGUUGACAACUUAUUUCCAUUGACAGCUUAUUUCAUUCUUCAAAGAAUGUGCGGAAGAUGGUAGACAAAACCCACUACACGGAUGCCUCUGAAUUAACUUAUAAGGAGAAAAAUCAUCUGAUCGCAUUUUGUACUGAUCUUGAGAAUUACAAUGUCUACAAUCGAACUCCUCAACAUUAUGGUCAAUACGUGCCACUAGUGCCUGUGUUGAACUACGGUAACUAACAUGGAGAUACCCUGGUAAGAUUUUUUACUAUUACGACAUCCGUGCAUCUUUUUGCAUACUUCUAAAACUAGUACAUCAUUGCUAACUUAUUACUAUGUUUUUCAACAGAUAAUCCCGAAUGAUUGUGUGCCUCAUCUGAUGUAUAUGCACGGUCUCCUUGAUGUUUUGAACAUACAACCAGGUCGUCCUACGAAUCUCAACUGUCCAUACCGGAUUUCUAAAAGAAGUGGAGACAUGACAAUCAAAGAAUGGAAAAAAUGUAUGGAUAGUCGUAAGGAGCUUCUUGGAAGCAAAAGGAAGCGAAGCGCAAGAAUUGGAGACAGGAUGAUCUCCAUUCUUCAUAAUGGAGAGUCAGGGUCUAUAUUAUUUUAUGCUAUUUUAUCUUAAGUGUGUUUAGGUCUACCUGAUACUGAUGAUGUGCUAAGAACAAUUAUGUAGGGUUGGGUUCGAUGACUAUGAGUAUGAUGAUCGUAUGACUUGUUAUUAAUAACGAGUAGAAGUUGUAUGAUGAUGCAUGAUUAGUAGGACUUGUUAUUAUCUAUGAUGAUGUAUGAUGCGAGCAUGAAGAGUUAUUAUAUAUCAGCGGGUGAAAUGAACAUAGCAGUAGCGUUGGUAAACUAAGCACGAAGAUAAGAGAGGACACUUCUCUCUAUUAGCUAGCUAAUAACAACCUAAAUUAACCCCCAAAACCCCUAAACCAGCCACUUUCAAAAAAAACCUCAGCUGCAGCCAGCUUCUAACGUGUGGAUGCCUUUUGGUCCCGAUUUAUGUAACCAACCGGGACCAAAGGCCCCCCUGCCUGGGCUGCCCGCAGCGGCCACGUGGAUGCCCAUCUGUCCCGGUUCAUGUAAGAACCGGGACUAAAGGGGGGAGGCAUUAGUAACGACCUAUUAGUCCCGGUUCAAGAACCGGGACUUAAAGGCCCUUACGAACCGGGACAAAUGCCCUAUUUUCUACUAGUCAUCAUAUGCUUCUACAUAUUUCAAUAAUAUCAAGUUUCCUCUCUAUGUGCUUAAAGUUUUAAAUUUAUGCUUGUUUUGCCUUCCUAUGCUAGUUGAUUAUUGUUCCCAUAAGUUGUUUGCUCACAAAAUCCCUACGCAUAGGAAGUGGGUUAGACUUAAAUGUGCUAGUCAUAUUCUUCAUGAUGCUCUCUAUAUGUUUCAAUUCUUACCUUUUAUACGAGCAUCAUUGAAAUCAUCAUGCCUAGCUAGAAAGGCAUUAAAGAAAGGCACUUGUUGGGAGACAACCCAAUAUUUACCCAUACUGUUUUUGUGUGUUCACGUGAUUAAGCUACUGUAUUAAUCAUGUUUUGUAGCUUUUGUUUCAAUAAAGUGCCAAGUAGAACCUUUGGGAAGACUUGGGUGGAAGUUAAUGUGAUCUUGCUGUAAAAAACAGAAACUUUGCACUCACAAGUUUAGCUGUCAUAUUUUACAGACGAGUGCUUUUAAGCUGAUUCUUUUUAUAGAAGAUUAAUAGACAAAUUACUCAGGUCCACCAAUUUAUUUCAGAAUUUUUGGAGUUCCAUAAGUAUACGUUUGAUACAGAUUACUACAGACUGUUCUGUUUUUGACAGAUUUUGUUUUCUAUGAGUUGUUUGCUUAUUUCGAUGAAUCUGUGAGUAGUAUCGGAGGGUAAGAACCAUAGAUAAGUUGGAAUACAGUAGAUAUUACACCAAUAUGAAUUUAGAAUGAGUUCACAACAGUACCUAAGUGGUGAUUUAUUUUCUUAUACUAACGGAGCUUAUGAGUUUUCUGUUAAGUUUUGUGUUGUGAAGUUUUCAAGUUUUGGGUAAAGAUUCGAUGGACUAUGGAAUAAGGAGUGGCAAGAGCCUAAGCUUGGGGAUACCCAAGGCACCCCAAGGUAAUAUUCAAGGACAACCAAAAGCCUAAGCUUGGGGAUGCCCCGGAUGGCAUCCCCUCUUUCGUCUUUGUUCAUCGGUAACUUUACUUGGAGCUAUAUUUUUAUUCACCGCAUGAUAUGUGUUUUGCUUGGAGCGUCAUUUUAUUUUAUUUUGUUUUGCUUGCUGUUUGAAUAAAAUACCAAGAUCUGAAAUUAUUAAAUGAGAGAGAGUCUUCACAUAGCUACAUAAUUAUUUAACUACUCAUUGAUCUUCACUUAUAUAUUUUUGGAGUAGUUUGUCAUUUACUCGUGUGCUUCACUUAUAUCCUAUGAGUAAAUGGUUGAAUGAUUUGAAUGUCAUAAAUCUGAAAUUAUAUAUGUUUCAUAUGUCUUUCCCAUGGGAGUAAUGCCUUCACAUAUAAGAAGUAGAGGUGGUAAAUUUUUUGAAGGUUAGCAAACAUUGUAUUGGUCACUUGAACAAUUCAUGAAAGAAUAUUGAAGGAAGAGGGAGUUCACAUAUAAAUAUACUAUCUUGGACAUCUUCUAUAAUUGUGAGCCCCAUUAAUUAUUUUCAAACCUGAGCAAAUUAGUUGAAGCUGGACAAGGAAGAUAAGAUAAUGAGUUAUGCUUGGGUAUAUUUGUAUAGAAGUUAUAUUGUUAUGGAUCCUCUAACAUGUGGUGCUUGCUAUUUAGAAUCCUUUGCUAGCCAAAAUAUCUGUACUAAGGGGAAUACUGCUUGUGCAUCCAAAUUCCUUGAACCAAGUUUAUUCCAUGAGUGUCCACCAUAUCUACCUAUAUGCGGUAUUUACCUGCCGUUCCAUGUAAAUUUGCAUGUGCCAAACUCUAAACCUUCAAAUAAUAAUCUAUUUUGUAUGCCCGAAUUGCUCAUGUAGCGACUAGGGGUUGUCUGUAUCUUCCAUGCUAGGUGGGUUAUUCUCACGAUGAGUGGACUCCGCUCAUCAUUCGCGAGAAAAUGGCUAGUAACUAGGAUGCUCAGUCCUAUGAUCACAAGAUCAAAAACAAAUUCGCAAAUAAUUUAAACAAAACUCCCCCGGGAUUGUUGAUAGUUGGACGGCACCCGUUGUUUCGGACAAGCCGUGGAGUGUGAUUGUUGGUGGAGGGGGAGUAAAAUCUUUAACUUUCUGUUUGGGAACUGCCUAUAAUGCAUCUAGUAUGGAAGAUAUUGGGAACUCUUGGUUGUUAUGUUGACAAUGAAAGCAUACCUCUCAAAAUUAUUUUCAUCUUUUUUUUGCUUCGAGCUCUGGCACCUCUGCAAAUCCCUGCUUCCCUCUACGAAGGGCCUAUCUUUUACUUUUAUGCAAGAGUCAGUCAUAUUCCUUCUCAUUCCAACCUACUUUUUAGUUGACAAGCAUCAUGUGGUGGAGAAAGAUCUAAGCAUAUAUGGCCAUUCAAAUAUAUUUGAUCAUGAAUUAUUAUUGUUGACAAUUAUCUAUAUGAUAAAUAAGUUGGGAGGCGAAACAUUAAGCCCCUAUCUUUCUCUGUGUUCAACGGAUGCUAUUUUUUCUAAAAAUAUGCUUUGAGUGGUAGCAAUCAUGGAAGACUAUAUGAUAGUUGAGUAUGUGGAAUUUGCUAAAUCAAAGCUCUUACAUAGACCCUUCCUGAAAAUAAGAUGAAUUGCAAUUGUGUGAUGAUUGAGAACUGUUUGUUAGUUUUCAAGAAAGUUUAUGAUCUAUACUUUAACAUGUGAAUAGCUUAUCAUGAGAAGUUUUAUGAUAUGAGCUACUGUUAUGACAUAUAAUGAUGCUAGAAAAAGUGAUUGGAACUAUCACUGAUCAAACUUAUGCACUUGCUAGCAUUCUAACUUCAUAAUUAUUUCUUUUAUCAUUUACCUACUCGAGGACGGGCAGGAAUUAAGCUUGGGGAUGUUGAUAUGUCUCCAACGUAUCUAUAAUUUAUGGAGUAUUCAUGCUAUUAUAUAUUUUGUUUUGGAUGUUUAAUGGGCUUUAUUAUACACUUUUAUAUUAUUUUUGGGACUAACCUAUUAACCGGAGGCCCAGCCCAAAAUGUUGUUUUCUUGCCUAUUUCAGUGUUUCGAAGAAAAGGAAUAUCAAAUGGAGUCCAAACGGAAUGAAACCUUUAGGAGAGUUAUUUUUGGAACGGAAGCAAUCCAGGAGACUUGGAGUAUACGUCAGGGAAGCUUCGAGGAAGCCACAAGGCAGGGAGGUGUGCCCUACCCCCCUGGGCGCGCCCCCACCCUCGUGGGCCCCUCGUGGCUCCCCUGACCGACUUCUUUUGCCUAUAUAUAUAUAUAUCCAUAUACCCUAAAAACAUCAUGGAACAUAAUAGAUCGGGAGUUCCGCCGCCGCAAGCCUCUGUAGCCACCAAAAACCAAUCGAGACCCUGUUCCGGCACCCUGCCGGAGGGGGGAUCCCUCACCAGUGGCCAUCUUCAUCAUCCCGGCGCUCUCCAUGACGAGGAGGGAGUAGUUCACCCUCGGGGCUGAGGAUAUGUACCAGUAGCUAUGUGUUUGAUCUCUCUCUCUCUCUCUCGUGUUCUUGAUUCGGCACGAUCCUGAUGUAUCGUGAGCUUUGCUAUUAUAAUUGGAUCUUAUGAUGUUUCUCCCCCUCUAGUCUCUUGUAAUGGAUUGAGUUUUCCCUUUGAAGUUAUCUUAUCGGAUUGAGUCUUUAAGGAUUUGAGAACACUUGAUGUAUGUCUUGGAUGUGCUUAUCUGUGGUGACAAUGGGAUAUCACGUGAUUCACUUGAUGUAUGUUUUGGUGAUCAGCUUGCGAGUUCCGUGACCUCGUGAACUUAUGCAUAGGGGUUGGCACACGUUUUCGUCUUGACUCUCCGGUAGAAACUUUGGGGCUCUCUUUGAAGUACUUUGUGUUGGUUUGAAUAGAUGAAUCUGAGAUUGUGUGAUGCAUAUCGUAUAAUCAUACCCAUGGAUACUUGAGGUGACAUUGGAGUAUCUAGGUUACAUUAGGGUUUUGGUCGAUUUGUGUCUUAAGGUGUUAUUCUAGUACGAACUCUAUGAUAGAUCGAAAGGAAAGAAUAGCUUCGUGUUAUUUUACUAUGGACUCUUGAAUAGAUCGAUCAGAAAGGAUAACUUUGAGGUGGUUUCAUACUCUACAAUAAUCUCUUCGUUUGUUCUCUGCUAUUAGUGACUUUGGAGUGACUCUUUGGUGCAUGUUGAGGGAUAGUUAUAUGAUCCAAUUAUGUUAUUAUUGUUGAGAGAACUUGCACUAGUGAAAGUAUGAACCCUAGGCCUUGUUUCCUAGCAUUGCAAUACCGUUUGUGCUCACCUUUAUCAUUAGUUACCUUGCUGUUUUUAUAAUUUCAGAUUACAAAAACCUAUAUAUACCAUCGAUAUUGCACUUGUAUCGCCAUCUCUUCGCUGAACUAGUGCACCUAUACAAUUUACCAUUGUAUUGGGUGUGUUGGGGACACAAGAGACUCUUUGUUAUUUGGUCGCGAGGUUGUUUGAGAGACACCAUCUUCAUCCUACGCCUCCCAUGGAUUGAUAAACCUUAGGUCAUCCACUUGAGGGAAAUUUCCUACUGUCCUACAAACCUCUGCACUUGGAGGCCCAACAACGUCUACAAAAAGAAGGUUGUGUAGUAUACAUCAGUGUUCCAGGUGGCGUGAGUUGCGAAACUAUUCCGCAUUGUUUCAAAUGAAGACCAAACUCGUAACUCAAAUAUUCUCCUCUAUGAUCAGAUCGUAGAAACUUUAUUUUCUUGUUACGAUGAUUUUCCACUUCACUCUGAAAUUAUUUUUACUUUUCAAAUGUUUCAGAUUUAUGUUUCAUCAAGUAGAUAUACUCAUAUCUGCUCUAAUAAUCUAUGAAGGUCAGAAAAUAACGAUACAUGUCGCGAGCCUCAACACUCAUUGGACCACAUACAUCAGUAUGUAUGAUUUCCAACAAGUCUGUUGCUCGCUCCAUUGUUCUGGAGAACGGAGUCUUGGUCAUCUUGCCCAUGAGGCAUGGUUCGCAAGAAUCAACUGAUACAUAAUCAAGUGACAAAAGCCCAUCAGUAUGGAUUUUCUUCAUGCGCUUUACACCAAUAUGACCUAAACGGCAGUGCCACAAAUAAGUUGCACUAUCAUUAUUAACUUUGCAUCUUUUGGCUUUAAUAUUAUGAAUAUGUGUAUCACUACGAUCAAGAUUCAAUAAACCAUUCACCUUGGGUGUAUGACCAUUGAAGGUUUUAUUCAUGUAAACAGAACAACAAUUAUUCUCUGACUUUAAAUGAAUAAUCAUAUUACAAUAAACAUGAUCAAAUCAUAUUCAUGCUUAACGCAAACACCAUAUAACAUUUAUUUAGGUUCAACACUAAUCCCAAAAGUAUAGGGAGUGUGCGAUGAUGAUCAUAUCAAUCUUGGAACCACUUCCAACAUACAUCGUCACUUCACCCUUAACUAGUCUCUGUUCAUUCUGCAACUCCUAUUUCGAGUUACUAAUCUUAGCAACUAAACUAGUAUAAAAUACUGAGGGGUUGCUACAAACGCUAGUAAAGUACACAUCAAUAACAUGUAUAUCUAAUAUACCUUUGUUCACUUUGCCAUCCUUCUUAUGCGCCAAAUAAAUGGGGCAGUUCUGCUUCCAGUGACCAGUCCCUUUGCAGUAGAAGCACUUAGUCUCAGGCUUAGGUCCAGACUUGGGCAUCUUCACUUGAGCAGCAACUUGCUUGCCAUUCUUCUUGAAGUUCCCCUUCUUCCAUUUGCCCUUUUCUUGAAACUAGUGGUCUUGUCAACCAUGAACACUUGAUGCUUUUCUUGAUUUCUACCUUCAUCGAUUUCAGCAUCACGAAGAGCUUGGGAAUUGAUAACCCACAAGUGUAGGGGAUAAUUGUAGCCUCUUUCGAUAAGUAAGAGUGUUGAACCCAACGAGGAGCUAAAGGUAGCACAAAUAUUCUCUCAAGUCCUAUCUGCCACUGAUACGACUCUACGCACGCUUAGUGUUCGCUUUACCUAGAACAAGUAUGAAACUAGAAGUACUUUGUAGGUGUUGUUGGAUAGGUUUGCAAGAUAAUAAAGAGCAUGCAAAUAAAAGGUAGGGGCUGUUUAGAUAAAGAUGCAAUAAAGUAAAUAUAGCGAGUGUGGAAAAGUGGUGGUAGGAGUUGUGGAAUUGUCCCUAAGCAAUUGACUACUUUACUAGAUUGGUAAUCACUAUUGCAAUUCUAUUUGAGGGAGAGGCAUAAGCUAACAUACUUUCUCUUCUUGGAGCAUAUGCACUUAUGAUUGGAACUCUAGCAAGCAUCCGCAACUACUAAAGAUCAUUAAGGUAAAACCCAACCAUAGCAUUAAAGUAUCAAGUCCCCUUUAUCCCAUACGCAAACAACCUACUUACUCAGGUCUGUGCUUCUGUCACUAACGGCACCCACCAUGAGAAAAUCAUGAACAUAUUGCAAACCCUACAGCGGGGAUCCCUCGCGCUUGAGCGACACGGAGGGCACUAUAGGACAACACCAAUGAUAAAACAUGCAACUCAAACCAAUCAUAGCAAUUCAUUAAUCAUCGAUAGGACAACGGAAAUCUACUCAGACAUCAUAUGAUGGCAACACAUCAUUGGAUAAUAAUAUGAAGCAUAAAGCACCAUGUUCAAGUAGAGGGUAUAGCGGGUUGCAGGAGAGUGGACUGCUGAAUAUAGAAGGAGGACGGUGAUGGAGAUGUUGGUAAAGAUCGCGGUGAUGAUGAUGGCCCCCGGCAGCGCUCCGGCGCCACCGGAAGCAAGGGGGAGAGAACCCCCUUCUUCUUCUUAUUCCUUGACCUCCUCCCUAAAUGGGAGAAGGGUUACCCCUCUGGUCCUUGGCUCCCAUGGAGUGGGAGGGGCGAGAGCGCCUACGAGGUUGGAUCUAUCUCUCUGUCUCUCUCUGUUUCUGUGUUCUUUGAUUCUUCCCCUUCACCGUUUCUUUUAUAUCCGGAGAUUCGUAACUCCGAUUGAGGUGAAUCAUUCGCCCAGAUCUUUCUCAUAAAAUUAGCUUUAUUGCGGCAAAAGAAGAGCGUCAACCGCCGUACGAGGGGCCCAGGAGAGUCGAGGGCGCGCCUGCCUCCCUAGGGCGCCCCCCUAUCUCCUGGCCCCCUCGGGCACCGUCUCAUGUUGAUUUUAAGUCCCAAAAAGCACAAAUAUUCCAAAAUAAUUCUCCGUUCAUUUUUAACCCGUUUGGACUCCGUUUGAUAUGGGGUUUCUGCGAAACAUAAAACAUGCAACAGACAGGAACUGACACUGGGCACUGGAUCAAUAUGUUAGUCCCAAAAAAUAGUAUAAAAAGUUGUCAAAAGUAUAUGAAAGUUGUACAAUAUUGGCAUGGAACAAUCAAAAAUUAUAGGUACGACGGAGACGUAUCAGCAUCCCCAAGCUUAAUUCCUGCUCGUCCUUGAGUAGGUAAAUGAUAAAAAAGAUAAUUUUUGAUGUGGAAUGCUAACUAGCAUAAUCUUGAUCAUAUGUCUAAUUAUGGCAUGAAUAUUAAGACACGAGUGAUUCAAAACAAUAGUCUAUCAUUAGACAUAAAAAACGAUAAUACUUCGAGUGUACUUAAUAAAGCAAUCAUGUCUUUUCAAAACAACAUGGCCAAAGCAAGCUUAUCCCUACAAAAUCAUAUAGUUUGGCCAUGCUUCAUCUUCGUCACACAAAAUGCUUCCAUCAUGCACAACCCCGAUGACAAGACGAGCAAUUGGUUCAUACUUUUUAACGCGCUUCAGCUUUUUCAACCCUCACGCAAUAAACUAGCCCAAGCCAUGGAUAUAGCACUACAAGUGGAAUAGAAUAUGAUGGUGGGGGUUUACGUGGAGAAGACAAAAAGGGAGAAAGUCUCACAUCGACACGGCUAAUCAACGGGUUAUGGAGAUGCCCAUCAAUUGAUGUCAAUGCGAGGAGUAGGGAUUGCCAUGCAACGGAUGCACUAAGAGCUAUAAGUGUAUGAAAGCUCAACAAAAGAAACUAAGUGGGUGUGCAUCCAACUUGCUUGCUCAUGAAGACCUAGGGCAUUUGAGGAAGCCCAUCGUUGGAAUAUACAAGCCAAGUUCUAUAAUGAAAAUUCCCACUAGUAUAUGAAAGUGACAAUAUAGGGGACUCUCUAUAUGAAGAACAUGGUGCUACUCUGAAGCACAAGUGUGGUAAAAGGAUAGUAACAUUGCCCCUUUUCUUUUUUUUUUGUUUUUCUUUCUUUUUCUUUUUUUUGGGCGGGCUUCUUUGCCCCCCCUUUUUUAUUUAGGCUUCUUUGGCCUCUCUUUUUUCUUUUUCUUUUCUUUUCUUUUUUUUCAUGGGGUAAUGCUCUAUAAUGAUGAUCGUCACACUUUUAUUUACUUACAACUCAAUAUUACAACUCGACACUAGAACAAAGAUAUGACUCUAUAUGAAUGCCUCCGGCGGUGUACCGUGAUGUGCAAUGAUCUAGCAUAGCAAUGACAUCAAAAACGGACAAGCCAUGAAAACAUCAUGCUAGCUAUCUUACGAUCAUGCAAAGGAAUAUGCCAAUGAAUGCUCAAGUCAUGUAUAUGAUGAUGAUGGAAGUUGCAUGGCAAUAUAUCUCGGAGUGGCUAUGGAAAUGCCAUGAUAGGUAGGUAUGGUGGCUGUUUUGAGGAAGAUAUAAGGAGGCUUAUGUGUGAUAGAGCGUAUCAUAUCACGGGGUUUGGAUGCACCAGCAAAGUUUUCACCAACUCUCGAGGUGAGAAAGGGCAAUGCAUGGUACCGAAGAGGCUAGCAAUGAAGGAAAGGUAAAAGUGUGUAUAAUCCAUGGACUCACAUUAGUCAUAAAGAACUCAUAUACUUAUUGCAAAAUUUUAUUAGCCCUUGAAGCAAAGUACUACUACGCAUGCCCCUAGGGGGAUAGAUUGGUAGGAAAAGACCAUCGCUCGUCCCCGACCGCCACUCAUAAGGAAGACAAUCAAUGAAACACCCCAUGCUUCAAAUUUGUCACACAAUGGUUACCAUAGGUGCAUGCUACGGGACUUGCAAACCUCAACACAAGUGUCUAUACAAUCCACAACCACCCACUAGCAUGACUCUAAUAUUACCAUCUUUAUAUCGCAAACUAUUGCAAGGAAUCAAACAUAUCAUAUUCAGUGAUCUACAAGUUUAUGUAGGAUUUUAUGACUAACCAUGUGAAUGACCAAUUCCUGACAUCUCUCUAAAUAGAUAUAAGUGAAGCAAGAGAGAAUUCUACAAAUGGUGGUUUUCUAUGUGAAGAGAAACAUGCAAUCCAGACUUCAAAAGAUAUAAGUGAGGCAUGUGAAGCAUUCUAUAAAACCAUACUCAAAAGAUCUAAGUGAAGUGCAAUGAGCAUUAUAUAAAUCAACCAAGGACUAUCUCAUACCAGCAUGGUGCAUAAAAGAAAAGUGAAAACUAAAUGCAAAAGACGCUCCAAGACUUGCACAUAUCGCAUGAACGAAACGAAUACGAAAACAUACCGAUACUUGUUGAAGAAAGAGGGGAUGCCUUCCGGGGCCCUAAGCUUAGACGCUUGAGUCUCCUUGAAUAUUUCCUUGGGGUGCCUUGGGCAUCCCCAAGGUUGAGCCCUUUCCUCUCUUCCUUUUCCUCAUAUCGAGACCUCCUCGAUCAAACACUUCAUCCACACAAAACUUCAAUAGAAAACUCGGUAAGAUCCACUAGUAUAAUAAAGCAAAUCACUACUCUAAGUACUGUAGCAAACCAAUUCAUAUUUUGUUUUGGCAUUGUGUCUACUGUAAUAUAGCUUUUCCAUGGCUUAAUCCACUAAUAUAAAUUGAUAGUUUCAUCAAAACAAGCAAACUAUGCAUCAAAAACAGAAUCUGUCAAAAAGAGAACAGUCUGUAGCAAUCUGAACAUUCACCAUACUUUUGGUACCCCAAAAUUCUACAAAAAUUAGGAAAAAUAAACAAUUUGUACGGAAAGACAGUGCAAAAAGAAGCAGAACCAUUUGGCAUUCCAGUAAAACAUGUAAAAUCGUGCACUACAGCAAAAGUUUCUGUCCUGCACCGUACAAACCAACAAGCAUUGUAAACAUCCUAAAGGCAAACCUUGGCACAUUAUUUUUAUAAUACAAUGGAAUUGUACAAGGGGGAUAAUUAUUUUUGAUGAAAAAUUUCUAUAAUCAAGAUUCACAAAGUUUCCGUGAGCAUGAACAAAGUUCAAGGAGCUCUCCCACUUCAACAAUGCUUGUCUUUCUCACUUUCACUUUCCUUUUUGAAAAAGUUUUGGGUUCUGCUCUUUAUUUUUUUUGUUUUUAAACUAUAUAAAAGCACUCAACAGAAAUAAAUUACUCUCUAAAACUUCUGGGUUGUCUCCCUGGCAGCGCUUUCUUUAAAGCCAUUAAGCUAGGCAUAUAGUGCUCAAGUAAUGAAUCCACCCGGAUCCCAAGGUAUAUCAAAGCCAAUUUUAAUUAACAUUGAUUUGUAAUUUAGUAGUGAGCACAAAGUAACAUAUAUCAUGCAACAAUGAAGUCUAACUCUCUUCCUAUGCAUCGGCAUGUCAUAAAAGAACAAUUCAUGCACACCAAGUAAAGGCCAAUGCAUAGUAUAAGCAGUUUCUUGCAAUUUUAUCAUAUUGGAAACAUAGAGAGGUGGAGAUAUAGUUCCUCUCUCAUAAUAAUUGCAAGUAGGAGCAUCAAUCACAUGCAUAUUAUAUCUAUCAAAAUCAUCAUGUGUAGUAGUAAAACACAACCCAUCAAUAUAAUCCUUAAAAAGCACAAACUUCUCCGAUAUAGUGUAGUCGGGAGAAUUCAAAAAGAUAAUAGGACUAUCAUGCAUGGGUGCAAUAGCAACAAUUUCAUGUUUAACAUAAGGAACUAUAGCAAGUUCAUCUCCAUGAGCAUAAUUCAUAUUGGCAUCUUGGCCACAAGCAUAGCAAGCAUCAUCAAAAAGGGAUAUUUCAAGAGAAUCAACGGGAUCAUAACAAUCAUCAUAGCAAUCGUCCUUCGGUAAGCACGAAGGGAAAUUAAACAAUGUAUGAGUUGAAGAUUUACUCUCAUUAGAAGGUGGGCAUGGGUGAUCAAUCCACUCUUCCUCCUUUUGUUCUUCUCUCUCCUCCUCAUCUUUUCAUCCAAUGAGCACACAGUUUCAUCAAUUUAUUCUUCCACAGACUCCUGCAAAAUAUUAGUCUCUUCUUGGACAGCGGAGACCUUCUCAAUAAAAGCAUCAAUAUUGGAUUUAUAUUCAUAAUUCUCAUAGCAAUAUUUCAAUAUAGCGGCCUAUAAACAUCAUCAUCUAAAGCUUCAUACUUUUCAAACAAAGAUUCAAUUUCAUAAGCACCCUUAAAAGCAACGAAUUCUUCUAUUUGUUCACAUCAUAGUAAUCAUAUAUACCAUUAGCAUAAGAAGCCAAGGCUUUAUCAUCAUUAAAUUUGCAUGAAAAGGGAAGGUGUGGAGCCUUCAACCUAGAGCAACAAGUAAUAUCAUAUCUCAAGCAUAGAUCCCGAGCAUACCAAUGCAACAUAUAAAUUUGAUCCCAUAAUAGUUUCCCUUUUUGUGUCAAGCGAUAAUCCCUAAAGUAUUCACAUUGAUCCAACGUGUCUCCCAUAACAAAAUUGAAUGGGAUUUUCUCAGGAUUAUCAAAGUAGUACAUAGUAUCUUGAACAUAAUGAGCAUCGAGGGUUUUAGGAGGUUCCCCAUCUCCAUGAGUAGCAAGUACACCUAAUUUUUUUGGUAUUUCGUGUUCCAUAUCCAUAACUAAAGGUAGAGAACAACUAAGAACAGCAAAAUAAAAAUUACUUCGUGAUAAAGCAAACAAGCACACACGAGAAUAUUCACGCCACGCUAUGACUCCCCGGCAACGGUGCCAGAAAAAUGUCUUGAUAACCCACAAGUUAGGGGAUAAUUGUAGCUUCUUUCGAUAAGUAAGAGUGUAGAACCCAACGAGGAGCUAAAGGUAGAACAACUAUUCUCUCAAGUCCUAUCUUCCACUGAUACGACUCUACGCAUGCUUAGUGUUUGCUUUACCUAGAACAAGUAUGAAACUAGAAGUACUUUGUAGGUGUUGUUGGAUAGGUUUGCAAGAUAAUAAAGAGCAUGUAAAUAAAAGGUAGGGGCUGUUUAGAUAAAGAUGCAAUAAAGUAAAUAUAGCGAGUGUGGAAAAGUGGUGGUAGGAGUUGUGGAAUUGUCCCUAAGCAAUUGAAUACUUUACUAGACCGGUAAUCACUAUUGCAAUUCUAUUUGAGGGAGAGGCAUAAGCUAACAUACUUUCUCUUCUUGGAGCAUAUGCACUUAUGGUUGGAACUCUAGCAAGCAUCCGCAACUACUAAAGAUCAUUAAGGUAAAACCCAACCAUAGCAUUAAAGUAUCAAGUCCCCUUUAUCCCAUACGCAAACAACCUACUUACUCAGGUCUAUGCUUCUGUCACUCACGCCACCCACCAUAAGCAAAUCAUGAACAUAUUGCAAACCCUACAGAGGGGAUCCCUCAUGCUUGCGCGACAUGGAGGGUACUAUAGGACAGCACCAAUAAGAAAACAUGCAACUCAAACCAAUCAUAGCAAUUCAUCAAUCACCUAUAGGACAACGGAAAUCUACUCAGACAUCAUAGGAUGGCAACACAUCAUUGGAUAAUAAUAUCAAGCAUAAAGCACCAUGUUCAAGUAGAGGGUACAACGGGUUGCGGGAGAGUGGACCGCUGACUAUAGAAGAGGGAAGGUGAUGGAGAUGUUGGUGAAGAUGGCAGAGGUGUUGGUGAAGAUCAGGGUGAUGAUGAUGGCCCCCGGCAGCGCUCCGGCGCCACCGGAAGCAAGGGGGAGAGAGCCCCCUUCUUCUUAUUCUUCCUUGACCUCCUCCCUAGAUGGGAGAAGGGUUUCCCCUCUGGUCCUUGGCUCCCAUGGCGUGGGAGGGGCGAGAGCCCCUCCGAGAUUGGAUCUAUCUCUCUGUCUCUCUCUGUUUAUGUGUUCUCUGAUUCUGCCCCUUCACCGUUUCUUUUAUAUCUGGAGAUCCGUAACUCCGAUUGGGGUGAAUCUUUCGCCCAGAUCUUUCUCAUAAAAUUAGCUUUCUUGCAGCAAAAGAAGAGCGUCAACCGCCUUACCGGGGGGGGCAGGAGAGUCCAGGGUGCGCCCCCCUAUCUCCUGCCCCCCUCGGGCACCGUCUCGUGUUGAUUUUACUUCCCAAAAAUCACAAAUAUUCCAAAAAUAUUCCAAAAUAAUUCUCUAUCCGUUUUUAUCCCGUUUGGACUCUGUUUGGUAUGGGGUUUCUGCGAAACAUAAAACAUGCAACAGACAGGAACUGGCACUGGGCACUGGAUCAAUAUGUUAGUCCCAAAAAAGAGUAUAUUGGCAAAAGUAUAUGAAAGUUGUAGAAUAUUGCCAUGGAACAAUCAAAAAUUAUAGAUACGACGGAGACGUAUCAGGAAUCGUUUCCGUUAUCCCUUGCAUAUUAUAGUUCAUCACGAAGUUCUAGUAACUUGUUGAUAGUGACUAGAGAACUUUGUCAAUCACUAUCUUAUCUGGAAGAUUAACUCCCACUUGAUUCAAGUGAUUGUAGUACUCAGACAUUCUGAGCACAUGCUCACUAGCUGAGCUAUUCUCCUCCAUUUUAUAGGCAAAGUACUUGUCAAAGGUCUCAUACCUUUCUACAUGGGCAUGAGUCUGAAAUACUAAUUUCAACUCUUGGAACAUCUCAUAUGCUCCGUGGCGUUUCAAAAACGCCUUUGAAGCCCCGAUUCCAAGCCAUAAAGCAUGGUGCACUAAACUAUCAAGUAGUCAUCAUAUCGAGCUUGCCAAACAUUCAGCUGCUCUUGCAAUCGGUCUGUUACCUAGCGGUGCAUUAAGGAGAUAAUUCUUCUAUGCAGCAAUGAGGAUAAUCCUCAGAUCACGGAUCCAAUCCGCAUCAUUGCUACUAACAUCUUUCAACUUAGUUUUCUCUGGGAACAUAUCAAAAAUAAAAUAGGGGAGCUAAACGCGAGCUAUUGAUCUAUAACAUAGAUAUGCUAAUACUACGAGGACUAAGUUCAUGAUAAAUUAAAGUUCAAUUAAUCAUAUUACUUAAGAACUCCCACUUAGAUAGACAUCCUUCUAAUCAUCUAAGUGAUCACGUGACCCAUAUCAACUAAACCAUGUCCGAUCAUCACGUGAGAUGAAGUAGUUUUCAAUGGUGAACAUCACUAUGUUGAUCAUAUCUACUAUAUGAUUCACGCUCGACCUUUCGGUCUCCGUGUUUCGAGGCCAUGUAUGCAUAUGCUAGGCUCGUCAAGUUUAACCCAAGUAUUCUGCAUGUGUAAAACUGGCUUGCACCCGUUGUAUGUGAACGUAGAGCUUAUCACACCCGAUCAUCACGUGGUGUCUCAGCACGAAGAACUUUCGCAACCGUGCAUACUCAGGGAGAACACUUAUAUCUUGAAAUUUAGUGAGAGAUCAUCUUAUAAUUCUACCGUCGAUAUAAGCAAAAUAAGAUGCAUAAAGGAUAAACAUCACAUGCAACCAAUAUAAGUGAUAUGAUAUGGCCAUCAUCAUCUUGUGCCUUUGAUCUCCAUGUCCAAAGCAUCGUCAUGAUCACCAUCGUCACCGGCGCGACACCUUGAUCUCCAUCGUAGCAUCGUUGUCGUCUCGCCAACUAUUUCUUCUACGACUAUCGCUACCGCUUAGUGAUAAAGUAAAGCAAUUACAUGGCGAUUGCAUUUCAUACAAUAAAGCGACAACCAUAUGGCUCCUGCCAGUUGCCGAUAACUCCGUUAUAAAACAUGAUCAUCUCAUACAAUAAAAUUUAGCAUCAUGUCUUGACCAUAUCACAUCACAACAUGCCCUGCAAAAACAAGUUAGACGUACUCUACGUUAUUGUUGCAAGUUUUACGUGGCUGCUACGGGCUGAGCAAGAACCGUUCUUACCUACACAUCAAAACCACAACGAUAUUUUGUCAAGUAUGUGAUGUUUUAACCUUCAACAAGGACCGGGCGUAGCCACACUCGAUUCAACUAAACUUGGAGAAACUGAAACCCGCCAGCCACCUGUGUGCGAAGCACGUCGGUAGAACCAGUCUCGCGUAAGCGUACGUGUAAUGUCGGUCCGGGCUGCUUCAUCCAACAAUACCGCCGAAUCAAAGUAUGACAUGCUGGUAAGCAGUAUGACUAGUAUCUCCCAUAACUCACUUGUGUUCUACUCGUGCAUAUAACAUCUAAGCAUAAACCUGCCUCUGAUACCACUAUUGGGGAACGUAGUAAUUUCAAAAAAAUCCUACGCACACGCAAGAUCGUGGUGAUGCAUAGCAACAAGAGGGGAGAGUGUUGUCCAUGUACCCUCGUAGACCGAAAGCGGAAGCGUUAUGACAACGCGGUUGAUGUAGUCAUACGUCUUCACGAUUGACCGAUCCUAGCACGGAAGGUACGGCACCUCCGCGAUCUGCACACGUUCGGCUUGGUGACGUCCCACGAACUCACAAUCCAGUAGAGUGUCGGGGAAGAGCUUCAUCAGCAGGACGGCGUGAUGAGGGUGAUGAUGAAGCUACCGGCGCAGGGCUUCGCCUAAGCACUACGACGAUAUGACCGAGGUGGAUUAUGGUGGAGGGGGGCACCGCACACGGCUCAAAGAUCAAUGAUCAACUUGUGUGUCUAUGCCGUUCCCCCCUCCCCCGUAUAUAAAGGAGUGGAGGAGGGGGAGAGCUGGCCCUCCUAUGGCGCGCCCCAUGGGGAGUCCUACUCCCACGGGGAGUAGGAUCCCCCCCCUUCCAUGUAGUAGGAGUAGGAGAGAAGGAAGGAGGAGAGAGGGAGAAGGAAAGGGGGGCGCCGCCCCCCUUCCUAGUCCAAUUCGGACUAAAGGGGGAGGGGUGCACGGCCUGCCCUAGCAGUCCCUCUUUCUCUCUCCACUGAGGCCCAUAAGGCCCAUUAAACUCCCCGGGGGGUUCCGGUAACCCCCCGGUACUCCGGUAUAUGUCCAAACUCACUCGGAACCCUUCCAUUGUCCAAACAUAGUAAUCCAAUAUAUCGAUCUUUAUGUCUCGACCAUUUCGAGACUCCUCGUCAUGUCCGUGAUCAUAUCCGGGACUCCGAACUACCUUUGGUACAUCAAAACACAUAAACUCAUAAUACUGAUCGUCACUGAACGUUAAGCGUGCGGACCCUACGGGUUCGAGAACUAUGUAGACAUGACCGAGACACGUCUCUGUAACCAAUAGCGGAACCUAUAUGCUCAUAUUGGCUCCUACAUAUUCUACGAAGAUCUUUAUCGAUCAAACCGCAUAACAACAUACGUUGUUCCCUUUGUCAUCGAUAUGUUACUUGCCCGAGAUUCGAUCAUCGGUAUCUCAAUACCUAGUUCAAUCUCAUUACCGGCAAGUCUCUUUACUCGUUCCGUAAUGCAUCAUCCGCAACUAACUCAUUAGUUAUAUUGCUUGCAAGGCUUAUAGUGAUGUGCAUUACCGAGAGGGCCUAGAGAUACCUCUCCCACAAUCAGAGUGACAAAUCCUAAUCUCGGUCUAUGCCAACUCAACAAUUACCAUCGCUGACACCUGUAGAGCACCUUUAUAAUCACCCAGUUACGUUGUGACGUUUGGUAGCACACAAAGUGUUCCUCCGGUAUCCGGGAGUUGCAUAAUCUCAUAGUCAUAUGGACAUGUAUAAGUCAUGAAUAAAGAAAUAGUAAUGUACUAAACGAUCAAGUGCUAAGCUAACGGAAUGGGUCAAGUCAAUCACAUCAUUCUCUAAUGAUGUGAUCCCGUUAAUCAAAUGACAACUCAUGUCUAUGGCUAGGAAACUUAAUCAUCUUUGAUUCAACGAGCUAGUCAAGUAGAGGCAUACUAGUGACACUUUGUUUGUCUAUGUAUCCACACAUGUACUAAGUUUCCGGUUAAUACUAUUCUAGCAUGAAUAAUAAAUAUUUAUCAUGAAAUAAGGAAAUAAAUAAUAACUUUAUUAUUUCCUCUAGGGCAUAUUUCAUUCAGGAAAUAGAUAAUGCACGUAAUGAAAAAUUAGUGAUGUAACUCCUUUUGACUUAGGUUCUAACUAAUAAAAACUUCUGCACAUGCCAUGUUUAAUAAUAACUCACAGAACAUCUUUUUCUCCCAACAAUUCUAAUUUAUACAAACUUUUGGAUAAAUAUAUAUCAAAAGUGCUCGCCUGUUUAAGCGCGACCGUUGUUGACUAGUUAUCGGCUAAUGGUAGAUGGAGACAUGGUGGAAAUACGACGGACUGCUAGACACAUGCAUCUGACUAGGGCAGUUACUUCUAUGCGUCGAACAUGUCUUUGAAUAUUGCAGAAAAUGGGCGGUUUCAUAUGAAGUAGUAGCCCAGACUUGUUUGAUCGAUGCCAUAAAUAUGAACGGAUUGUCUUUUCAAAAAGGAGCUCAAAACACCCGGCAUAUCAACAAAAUACUGUAGAGAGCUAAUUGAAAAUGCGGAAAACAAGAUCCAUUUCAUGGUUUACAGCACAGACAUCAAACAACAUGAGGUCAAGCCUAAUUAAGGUCCAAAGAAUAUCACGUGAACCAUAUGCUCAGAGUUUAUAUCCAUAGGAAAAUGAUACAACAUAUGAUAUUAUAUCUCAAUCAUGGAGUCGGCACGUCCUGAACCAAAUGGGCAUAUGCACCCACUUUUUGAAAUAUGCAUUUUAAACAUGUUUUAAAAUGUCUAAAAAUUCAAAAGAAAAUUUCACAUAUACAUGUUCACAUAUGUGUGUGCACGGCACAAAGUUUUGUGAAAAAAAUGUCUCUUCGAUUUGUCUCCGCAAAAAAGACAAAUUUUGAUGCUUCUAAAUAGAGUUUUAUGACAUAUUUUUUUGUCUUUUUUGCACAUGCCACAAAAAAUUAUUUUUCCACGAAACUUUAUGCACGCACAUAAACACAUGAAGGCGUCUCCGUGCAACCUUUUUCAGUUUAUUUUAGCAUUUAGAAAUGUGUUUUUCAAAAUGGGUUCAUAUGUACCCGAAUUCAUCGAUGCACUUUCCCUCAAUCAUGGCAGUACAUCAAGCAGGCAGCAACAUGGCAUCCACCAUGAUAUCUUUUAUUGUAGCAACUAGCAACGAAAGAAAAUACAGACAAGCACAUAAACAAACCGACACACUGGUUUGGGUACUCUCAAUGGGAUCCAGUUUUAUUGAACACGAAGGCGAGACAUAACUUUGGCAUGUGAGAUUUCAAACCAUGCAUAUGCAUUAUUAGUCAUCAAGAUCAAGGGAUGCCAGGAGAGCAUUCCCCUUACAUAAACUAUCACAAGCAUCACCGGAGAGUUUCACAUAGAGUUUCAUCUCUUUAGUGUUGGUAGCUGGUGCCAAAAAAACAUAAUAUGUGUCAAUUACUAACUUUUCAAUUAGUUUGCACAUACAAAUGAAAUAUAAAUAUAUUCAGAUGGAUUUAUUUACCUAUGUUGACCAUGACCUUGUCGUCACACACGGAAGCCCUACAUUCUAAGCUGCAAUUCUCAAUGGUGUUUAGUUCAUCUGCCAAAACGAAAUAGAGCUGUAUUAGCAUUUUCACAACUACUUUUCGGGAUCGUGGAAACAUUGUUCAUGUCAAAUAUGAUCAUACAGAUAUCAUCUAAACAAAUUAAUAAUAGUUUAUAUUAUGUUAGUAGGUAAACUUGGGAAAAUACUCUUUUAGCAUCAAUGUCUACUUCAAAAAGGAGAUAGUAUAUACUUCCUUCGUCCCAGUGGGACUGAGAGAGUAGCAUAUACUCCUCCUCAUAUUAAUUGUCGCUCAACAAAUGUAUUUAGACGUAUUUUAGUGCUAGAUAGAUCAGAUUGAGUGUUAUUAGUAUAUGAGACAGGAGGGAGUCUAAACUAAAAGUAGUAGUGAGUUAUGUGUCUUUACCGGAGCUGCGUACAAAGGCCAAAUCAGCAGGGAGGUAACAGCCACAGAAGUUUGCGCAUUGAAACACAGUACUAGGACCCAGAAGGCAAGAAUGGUAGCAGGCCACUUUGAAGAUGCUCCCGCCGCAAUCCACGCCCUCUACUUGCUUCACCUGCUCCAGGACCAGCCCCAGAACGAGUAAACACACGAUCGCACUCUCCAGAGACAUUUUGCUUCUUCCCAUGGCUCUCCUGCAGAAGGCACAAGUAAUAAUUGGGGGCUUUGGUUCAAGGGCUUCUCAGACUAGAUUUGGGUGGCUACUAAUAUCGAUUUUUAUACUAGGAGAUGAUGAUCGUGAGAGUGUCUAGAUGAGUACUGGUCGUUGCACGUGAAACCAAAGCAGAUCGAGGCCAUAGUUUCUUCUCCCACACGGGAUAAAAAGUUAGAUCGACGGCGCGCACAGGCAAAGUUGUGACCUGGGCGCAUCUAUCCAGUAGGGAUGUUACGUGCACGCUGGCGUGUUUUUUUUUUACUACAUUUCUAGUACACUCUCCAUUUCUAAAUAUAAGUCUUUUUAAAGAUUUCAACAUUCCAACAUAAACUGCAUACGAAGCAAAAUAAGUGAAUCUAUAAUUUAAAAUACGUCCAUAUAUAGUCUGUAUUAAAAUCUCUAAAAUGAUCAGGCUGCAUUUGGCAGCUCGGUAUUUUUGAAGUUUUCCAAGGAUAACAUGGUUUUGGGAAAAAAAUUGGUUUUAAAUACGUUAGAUAAAUACGUUGAAUAUAUAUAAACCAACUGGGACAACUAUAUAAACCAACCGGGACAACUUUGAUUGCAAAAAUAAGUCACUAUCGAUCACUCUAAAGGGCACACCAUGUUGACCAAUAUGCUUUGUAACAAUCUUAUUGCUAACAAAUAAAUUACCCUUCUUCAUUGGCCUCUCAAGUUUUUCUAAUAGAUGCAUGAACAACAAAGUUAUGACCAAAUCUUAAUAUAGGUCAUUACUUGCUAGACACCUUUUCAAAUAGGUUGGGAGAGCACAAUGGUUGCAUGCCUUGAAUAAUAUCUUGCUCCGCUUUUGGAUGACUCCCCAACACCUUGUCUUCAUUUUUUUCUUGAUUAUUUGCAUAAUUAAUUUUAAGAUCUUUGUCAACCGAACUUUGUUUAGCUACUUAUUCUUGUCCUUGAAGCUCGUCAACUUCUAUGGCACGGAACUUAUAGGGCAGGAAGUAGGUUCCAUUAACUUCAAAAAAAUAUCAAGCAUGACUGUUUUGUUAUGUUUUCCAUGUCUUUUCUCAAUAAUGCUUGCCUCUUUGGAUUUGAUGGAUUUAGAAUAUAUACUACUUAAUUUGACUUUUUCAGUCAAAGCAUUUUCACGUUCCAAAUCUUUCUUUUCAUUGAUUCUACUAAUUUGCAAUGCUUCUUUUAUUUGAGCCAAUUCUUUUUUUAUUUGUUCCUGACCCAUAAUCGAGUCCGCGAGCAGCCCACGGUCCAACGUCUUGGAUAGUGGCACUACUAUAGCAACUCGUCAAUUAAUCCGAGAUUAAUUAACUAUUUCUGACCGGCAAAAAUAAGUUUCGGCUCGUUCCCGCAGCGUGCACGUGUCGUGACGAGGCGGGCAGAGGAGGAGAAGCGUGUGUGUGUACAACUCCUCUUCCCAGACUCCCAAUGGCAUGUGGUAGAGCAUCCCUUAUAAAGGGAUCUCACUCCACUCCAUUAGCAGUAUGGUACUAAACUUCCCAUCACUUGCCAUCCAUCUAAAUGGGCCUAAGAGAUUAACCAGCACCCUGGGUGAGGAAUAGUUAUUCCUUACCCCCUCUCUAUUUUGAAAUCAAUGCACCGUAUUUUUACAUUUUGUAAAUUUAGUUUUAUUUUAUACAUAAAAAGAGAAUGUAUGAAAAUAUAUACUCGCCGUAAAAAAUAUUUUAUGUUACGUAAAAUUACGAAUGUAAAAACAUAGUGUAAAACAUACAUAAAAUGCGAUUUUCCUAGUCUUAUAACCUAUAUUUUUGUUUUCUUAUACCAAAUUUUACGUAGUAAAUCAAUAUGAAUGUAACUAUUUGUAUUCCAAACGUAAAUUAUUUAUGAAGUAAUCGUAAGAUUACCUCGGGUGAAUAAUUAUUCUGCAUCCUGGUUGAUAAAUAGUGUAUAUAUAUAUAGGACAAAUGUUUCCUACAAGCAGUGGUAGUUACCACCACUUGCGUUUUGUAUGUUGUAUGUAGUAUCUGUCGAAACCAAUAAUAUGUGCGUGUAUUAUGUAGUAUAUAUCAAUGAUUAGGUAGUAUAUAUACUAUUUUUUGGGUAGUAUGUACCAUGUUUUGAGUAUGCUUUUUUUAUAUACAAAUAUGUAUGUAUUUCACAAAUAUAACAAAAACUAUGGACUCAUAUGCAAUUUUUUCAUGUAACUUGAUUUGAAAUAUCUUAGAUAUAGUAUAUUAACAUAUUUAAAAUAAUAAAAUAAUAUAUAUACUACCACAUGGUAGUAUAUGAGAUAUGUGGGGUAACUACCAUCGGGUGGUAGAAUGGAUUUUCCCUAUAUAUAUAUAUAUAUAUAUAUAUAAAUGGAUGGAUUUGCUUGUUUCAUAUUUGGCUUACAUUUGGUCUCAAAUGAGACAUGUAUGUUCUAAUUAUUUUGGUUUCAAAAACAUAAAGCCAAGUUUGAAUUAUGUUGAGAAACCCGAUGCUAGUAUAAUUUCUUAUUCAAGAAGUGUAUAGAAAAAUGUUUCUAAUGUAUAUGUAAAAUAUACAACAUGUAUGGAAAAAAAGUAAACAUCAAAACAUAUAUAUGAAAAAAAAAUGUUAAGUAAGUGUCCAAUUGUCUUCAUUAGUCAACAUAUUAUUCAAUAACAAUUCAGCUUGAUCAACAGUUCUUUGCCUAAAAACACAACCAGCACAACUAUCUAGGUGGUCUCUGGAAGUAUCGGUUAGCCCAUUAUAAAAUAUAUCAAGUGUUUCAUUUUUCUUGAGAGGAUGAUCAGGCAAAGCAUUAAGUAAUUGGAGAAGCCUACCCCAAGCUUGUGGGAGACUCUCUUCUUCAAUUUGCGCAAAAUUAUAUAUUUCUCUUAAAGCAGCUUGUUUCUUAUGAGCGGGGAAAUAUUUAGCAGAGAAGUAAUAAAUCAUAUCCUGGGGACUACGCACACAACCAGGAUCAAGAGAAUUAAACCAUGUUUUAGCAUCACCCUUUAAUGAGAACGGAAAUAAUUUAAGGAUAUAGUAGUAGCAGGUUUUCUCAUCAUUAGUGAAUAGGGUGGCUAUAUCAUUUAACUUAGUAAGAUGUGCCACAACAGUGUCAGAUUCAUAGCCAUAAAAAGUAUCAGAUUCAACCAAAGUAAUUAUCUCAGGAUCAACAGAGAAAUCAUAAUCCUUAUCAGUAACGAGAUAGGUUAAGUAGCAAAAGCAGGGUCAUAUUUCAUUCUAGCAUUCAAAGACUUUUCUUUCAGCUUAGCUAAUACUCCCUCCGUCCGGGUUUAUUAGGCCUCUUAGCAUCACAAGCAUGUCCCUUUUUAUAAGGCCUCGUUUUGGAAAGGUGCAUGCAUGCAACCAUUUCAUUAGUUGCAUUGAAAGUCAUUGUUGUUGGUGCCAUGGCUCGGAAAUUAAUACACUUCAUGCGUGUUUUUGCAUUGGCUGCAUGCAUGUGAGAGAGUGCAUUGGGAGUGAAAUGGAAGAAUUAAUGUGCACAAAUUACUAUAUGUCUUGGUCUAAGAGAAGUCUCUUUAGGCCUAAUAAACCCAGACGGAGGGAGUAAUUUCUUAAGAUCAGAUCUAUCGUUGCAAGAGAGAAAAGAUCUAUCAGUUUCUUCAUCCAUAACAUAACCCUCAGGCACAACAAGCAAUUCAUAUCUAGGGGGAGAAUCUUCAUCAUCACUAUCAUCUGUUGGGGAACGUAGUAAUUUCAAAAAAAUUCCUAUGCACACACAAGAUCAUGGUGAUGCAUAGCAACGAGAGGGGAGAGUGUCGUCCACAUGCCCUCGUAUACCGAAAGCGGAAGCGUUAGAACAAUGCGGUUGAUGUAGUCGUACGUCUUCACGGCCCGACCGAUCAAGCAUCGAAAGUACGGCACCUCCGAGUUCUAGCACACGUUCAGCUCGAUGACGGCCGUCGAACUCCGAUCCAGCCGAGUGUCAAGGGAGAGUUCCGUCAGCACGAUGGCGUGGUGACAAUGUUGAUGUUCUACCGUCACAGGGCUUCGCCUAAGCACCGCUACAAUAUUAUCGAGGAGGACUAUGGUGGAGGGGGGCACCGCACACGGCUAAGAGAUCAAUGAUAUGUUGUUGUCUCUAGAGGUGCCCACUGCCCCCGUAUAUAAAGGAGCAAGGGGGGAGGGGGCGGCCGGCCAGGGAGGGGGUGCUCCAUGGGGAGUCCUACUCCCACCGGGAGUAGGACUCCUUUCUUUCCUUGUUGGACUUGGAGAAGGGGGGAAAGAGGAGGGAGAGAGAGGAAGGAAAGGGGGGGGGCGCCGCCCCCUCUCCUUGUCCUAUUCGGACUACAGGGAGGGGCGCGCGGCCCGGUCUUGGCCGCCUCUCCUCUUCUCCACUAAGGCCCAUCAUGGCCCAUUAAGCCCCCGAGGGGUUCCGGUAACCCCUCGGUACUCCGGUAAAAUCCCGAUUUCACCCGGAACACUUCCGAUAUCCAAAUAUAGGCUUCCAAUAUAUCAAUCUUCAUGUCUCGACCAUUUUGAGACUCCUCGUCAUGUCCGUGAUCACAUCCGGGACUCCGAACAACCUUCGGUACAUCAAAACUCAUAAUAUAACUGUCAUUGAAACUUUAAGCGUGCGGACCCUACGGGUUUGAUAACUAUGUAGACAUGACCGAGACAUGUUUACGGUCAAUAACCAAUAGAGGAACCUGGAUGCUCAUAUGGGCUCCUACAUAUUCUACGAAGAUCUUUGUCGGUCAAACCGCAUAACAACAUACGUCGUUCCCUUUGUCAUUGGUAUGUUACUUUCCCGAGAUUCGAUCGUUGGUAUCUCAAUACCUAGUUCAAUCUCGUUACCGGCAAGUCUCUUUACUCGUUAUAUAAUGCAUCAUUCCGUAAAUAACUCAUUAGCUACAUUGCUUGCAAGGCUUAUAGUGAUGUGCAUUACCGAGAGGGCCCAGAGAUACAUCUCCGACAAUCGGAGUGACAAAACCUAAUCUCGAAAUACGCCAACUCAACAUGUACCUUUGGAGACACCUGUAGAGAUCCUUUAUAAUCACCCAGUUACGUUGUGACGUUUGGUAGCACACAAAGUGUUCCUCCGGUAAACGGGAGUUGCAUAAUCUCAUAGUUGUAGGAACAUGUAUAAGUCAUGAAGAAAGCAAUAGCAACAUACUAAACGAUCAAGUGCUAAGCUAACGGAAUGGGUCAAGUCAAUCACAUCAUUCUACUAAUGAUGUGAUCCUGUUAAUCAAAUGACAACUCAUGUCUAUGGUUAGGAAACAUAACCAUCUUUGAUUAAUGAGCUAGUCAAGUAGAGGCAUACUAGUGACAUUAUGUUUGUCUAUGUAUUCACACAUGUAUCAUGUUUCCGGUUAAUAGAAUUCUAGCAUGAAUAAUAAACAUUUAUCAUGAUAUAAGGAAAUAAAUAAUAACUUUAUUAUUGCCUCUAGGGCAUAUUUCCUUCAGUCCCCCACUUGCACUAGAGUCAAUAAUCUAGAUUACACAGUAAUGAUUCUAACAUCCAUGGAGCCUUGGUGCUGAUCAUGUUUUGCUCUUGGAAGAGGCUUAGUCAACAGGUCUGCAACAUUCAGAUCCGUAUGUAUCUUGCAAAUCUCUAUGUCUCCCACCUAGACUUGGUCCUGGAUGGAAUUGAGGCGUCUCUUGAUGUGCUUGGUCCUCUUGUGAAAUCUGGAUUCCUUUGCCAAGGCAAUUGCACCAGUAUUGUCACAAAAGAUCUUCAUUGGUCCUGAUGCACAAGGUAUGACACCUAGAUCGGAAAUGAACUCCUUCAUCCAGACUCCUUCAUUUGCUGCUUCCGAAGCAGCUAUGUACUCUGCUUCGCAUGUAGAUCCCGUUGAUACGUCUCCAACGUAUCUACUUAUCCAAACACUUUUGCCCUUGUUUUGGACUCUAACUUGCAUCAUUUGAAUGAAACUAACCCGGACUGACGUUGUUUUCAGCAGAACUGCCAUGAUGUUGUUUUAUGUGUAGAAAAGAAAAGUUCUCGGAAUGUCCUGAAAAUCCACGGAGGCACUUUUUGGAAUUAAUAAGAAUUUCUGGGCGAAAUAAAUACACCAGGGGGCCCACAACCUGUCCACUAGACAGCCCCCCCCCCCUAUAGGGCACGCCCCCCUAUCUCGUGGCCCCCUGGACCUCCACCGACCUCAACUCCAACUCCAUAUAUUCACGUUCGGGGAGAAAAAAAUCGGCGAGAAAGUUUCAUCCCGUUUUACGACACAGAGCCGCCGCCAAGCCCUAAUCUCUCUUGGGAGGGCUGAUCUGGAGUCUGUUCGGGGCUCCGGAGAGGGGGAUUCAUCGCCGUCGUCAUCAUCAACCAUCCUCCAUCACCAAUUUCAUGAUGCUCACCGCCGUGCGUGAGUAAUUCCAUCGUAGGAUUGUUGGACGGUGAUGGGUUGGAUGAGAUUUACCAUGUAAUCAAGUUAGUUUUGUUAGGGUUUGAUCCCUAGUAUCCACUAUGUUCUGAGAUUGAUGUUGCUAUGACUUUGCUAUGCUUAAUGCUUGUCACUAGGGCCCGAGUGCCAUGAUUUCAGAUCUGAACCUAUUAUAUUUUCAUGAAUAUAUGUGUGUUCUUGAUCCUAUCUUGCAAGUCUAUAGUCACCUAUUAUGUGUUAUGAUCCGACAAUCCCGAAGUGAUAAUAAUCGGGAUACUUAUUGGGAUAAGAAAAGCUGGUAUGAACUCGACCUCUCUUGUUUUGGUAAAUAUGAUGAGUUCGUCGUUUCUGAGUCAGCUAUUAUGAAGUAACCCUAUUUGCAAUGACAUUUAGAUAUUAUAGUUUCUUGUGCCAUGCUUGAUUAGCUAUCAGUUAUAAUGGUUUACCUUGCGUGCCAACAUGCUAUUGGAAUGAUUAUGAUGUGAUAUGGUGGGAUGGUAUCCUCCUUUGGAUGAAUUGAGUGACUCGACUUGGCACAUGUUCACGCAUGUAGUUGAAUCAAAUCAACAUAGCAUUCACGAUAUUUAUGUUCAUGGUGGAUUAUAUCCUACUCAUGCUUGCACUCGGUGUAAAUUAAUUUUAAUGCAUGUUUAUGACUGUUAUCGCUCUCUCAGUUGGUCGCUUCCUAGUCUUUUGCUAGCCUUCACCUGUACUAAGCGGGAAUACUGCUUGUGCAUCCAAACUCCUUAAACCCCAAAGUUGUUCCAUAUGAGUCCACUAUACCUUCCUGUAUGCGGUAUUUACCUGCCGUUCCAAGUAAAUUUGUAUGUGCCAAACUCCAAACCUUCAAAUGAAAUUCUGUUUUGUAUGCUCGACCAGCUCAUGUUACAACUAGGGCUGCCUAUAUCUUCCAUGCUAGGUGGGUUAUUCUCAAGAGGAGUGGACUCCGCUCCUCAUUCACGAGAAAGGGCCGGUAACCGGGAUGCCCAGUCCCAUGAUCCAAAAAGAUCAAAGAAAAUCAAAAUAAUUAAACAAAACUCCCCCAGGGCUGUUGUUAGUUGGAGGCACUCGUUGUUUCGAGCAAGCCAUGGAUUGAUGCUCGUUGGUGGUUGGGGGAGUAUAAACCUUCACCAUUCUGUUUGGGAACUGCCUAUAAUGCAUGUAGUAUGGAAGAUACAUCCAUCUCAUAGUUGUUGUGUUGACAGCAAAAGUAUGCCGCUCAAAAUGUUAUUCAAUCUCUAUUUUAAAAUCCAGCUCUGGCACCUCUACAAAUCCCUGCUUCCCUCUGCGAAGGGCCUAUCUAUUUACUUUAAUGUUGAGUCAUCACACUUCUUAUUAAAAGCACCCGCUGUAGAGAACACUGUCAUUUGCAUUCAUUACUAUUGGUUUAUAUUAGGUAUGACUUGACUGGAUCUCUUUUACCAUGAAUUACAAUGUUUAGUCAUUCCUUGAUCUUUAAAGGUGCUCUGCAUUUAUGUUUUGCGGUCUUAGAAAGGGCUAGCGAGAUACCAUUUUGUUAUAUCAUGUAAUAAUUAUUUUGAGAAAGUGUUGUCAUCCGAGUUUUAUUAUUAUGGCUCGCUAGCUGAUUAUGCUAUUGAUAGGAGUAAUUGUGAGACCUAGGUGUUAUUGCUAGUAUGGUUAGUUCAUAAUAUCUGCUGAAACUUGAAUGCUGGCUUUUCAUGUUUACAACAACAAGAGCAAACAGAGUUUGUAAACGUUUUUCUUUAUCACUUUCAGUUUAUCAACUGGAUUGCUUGAGGACAAGCAAAGGUUUAAGCUUGGGGGAGUUGAUACGUCUCCAACGUAUCUACUUUUCCAAAUACUUUUGCCCUUGUUUUGGACUCUAACUUGCAUGAUUUGAAUGAAACUAACCCGGACUGACGCUAUUUUCAGCAGAACUGCCAUGAUGUUGUUUUAUGUGUAGAAAACGAAAGUUCUCGGAAUGUCCUGAAAAUCCACGGAGGCACUUUUUGGAAUUAAUAAGAAUUUCUGGGCGAAAGAAAUACACUAGGGGGCCCACAGCCUGUCCAUGAGACAGGGGGCACCCCCCCAUAUAGGGUGCACCCCCCUAUCUCGUGGGCCCCCUGGACCUCCACCAACCUCAACUCCAACUCCAUAUAUUCACGUUCGGGGAGAAAAAAAUCAGAGAGAAAGUUUCAUCGCGUUUUACGACACGGAGCCGCUGCCAAGCCCUAAUCUCUCCCGGGAGGGCUGAUCUGGAGUCUGUUCGGGGCUCCGGAGAGGGGGAUUCGUCACCGUCGUCAUCAUCAACCAUCCUCCAUCACCAAUUUCAUGAUGCUCACCGCCGUGUGUGAGUAAUUCCAUCGUAGGCUUGCUGGACGGUGAUGGGUUGGAUGAGAUUUACCAUGUAAUCAAGUUAGUUUUGUUAGGGUUUGAUCCCUAGUAUCCACUGUGUUCUGAGAUUGAUGUUGCUAUGACUUUGCUAUGCUCAAUGCUUGUCACUAGGGCCCGAGUGCCAUGAUUUCAGAUCUGAACCUAUUAUGUUUUCAUGUAAUAUGUGUGUUCUUGAUCCUAUCUUGCAAGUCUAUAGUCACCUAUUAUGUGUUAUGAUCUAACAACCCCGAAGUGACAAUAAUCGGGAUACUUCUCGGUGAUGACCGUAGUUUGAGGAGUUCAUGUAUUCACUAUGUGUUAAUGCUUUGUUCCAGUUCUCUAUUAAAAGGAGGCCUUAAUAUCCCUUAGUUUCCGCUAGGACCCCACUGCCACGAGAGGGUAGGACAAAAGAUGUCAUGCAAGUUCUUUUCAUAAGCACGUAUGACUAUUUACGGAAUACAUGACUACAUUACAUUGAUGAACUGGAGCUAGUUCUGUGUCACCCUAUGUUAUAACUAUUACAUGAGGAAUCACAUCCGGCAUAAUUAUCCAUCACUGAUCCAUUGCCUACGAGCUUUUCAUAUAUUGUUCUUCGCUUAUUUAUUUUUCCGUUGCUACUGUUACAACUACUACAAAAAACCCAAAAACGGUUAUCUUUACUUUUGCCACUAUUACCUUUAUUAUCAUAUUACUUUGCUACUAAAUACUUUGCUGCGGAUACUAAGUUAUCUAGGUGUGGUUGAAUUGACAACUCAACUGCUAAUACUCAAGAAUAUUCUUUGGCUCCCCUUGUGUCGAAUCAAUAAAUUUGGGUUGUACUUCACCCUCGAAAGCUAUUGCGAUCCCGUACACUUGCGGGUUAUCACCCGCCAUGACGCUUUGUUUAGAAUAGCACCAACUGACAGCUCCACCGUUCAAUAUAAACACAUAGCCGGUUUGUGAUUUAGAAUCGUCCGGAUCAGUGUCAAAGCUUCCAUCGACGUAACCAUUUACGACUAGCUCUUUGUCACCUCCAUAAACGAGAAACAUAUCCUUAGUCCUUUUCAGGUAUUUCAGGAUGUUCUUGACCGCUGUCCAGUGAUCCACUCCUGGAUUACUUUGGUACCUCCCUGCUAAACUUAUUGCUAAGCAUACAUCAGGUCUGGUACAUAGCAUCGCAUACAUGGUAGAGCCUAUGGCUGAAGCAUAGGGAACAUCUUUCAUUUUCUCUCUAUCUUCAGCUGUGGUCGGGCAUUGAGUCUGACUCAACUUCACACCUUGUAAUACAGGCAAGAACCCUUUCUUUGCCUGAUCCAUUUUGAACUUUUUCAAAACUUUAUCAAGGUAUGUGCUUUGUGAAAGUCCAAUUAAGCGUCUUGAUCUAUCUCUAUAGAUCUUGAUGCCCAAUAUGUAAGCAGCUUCACCGAGGUCUUUCAUCGAAAAACUUUUAUUCAAGUAUCCCUUUAUGCUAUCCAGAAAUUAUUUAUCAUUUCCAAUUAAUAAUAUGUCGUCUACAUAUAAUAUCAGAAAUGCUACAGAGCUCCCACUCACUUUCUUGUAAAUACAGGCUUCUCCAAAAGUCUGUAUAAAACCAUAUGCUUUGAUCACACUAUCAAAGCAUUUAUUCCAACUCCGAGAGGCUUGCACCAGUCCAUAAAUGGAUCGUUGGAGCUUGCACACUUUGUUAGCACCUUUUGGAUCGACAAAACCUUCUGGUUGCAUCAUAUACAACUCUUCUUCCAGAAAUCCAUUCAGGAAUGCAGUUUUGACAUCCAUUUGCCAUGUUUCAUAAUCAUAAAAUGCGGCAAUUGCUAACAUGAUUCGAACAAACUUAAGCAUCGCUACGGGUGAGAAAGUCUCAUCAUAGUCAACCCCUUGAACUUGUCGAAAACCUUUCGCAACAAGUCGAGCUUUGUAGAUAGUUACAUUACCAUCAACGUCAGUCUUCUUCUUGAAGAUCCAUUUAUUCUCGAUGGCUUGCCGAUCAUCGGGCAAGUCAACCAAAGUCCAUACUUUGUUCUCAUACAUGGAUCCCAUCUCAGAUUUCCUGGCCUCAAGCCAUUUUGCGGAAUCUGGGCUCAUCAUCACUUCCUCAUAGUUUGUAGGUUCACCAUGGUCAAGUAACAUGAAUUUGAGAAUAGGAUUACCGUACCACUCUGGAGCCGAUCUUACUCUGGAUGACCUACGAGGUUCUGUAGUAACUUGAUCUGAAGUUUCAUGAUCAAUAUCAUUAGCUUCCUCACUGAUUGGUGUAGUUGUCAUAGGAACCGGUUUUUGUGAUGAACUACUUUCCAAUAAGGGAGCAGGUACAGUUAACUCAUCAAGUUCUACUUUCCUCCCACUCACUUCUUUCGAGAGAAACUCUUUUUCUAAAAAGGAUCCGAAUUUAGCAACAAAAGUCUUGCCUUCAGAUCUGUGAUAGAAGGUGUACCCAAUAGUCUCUUUUGGGUAUCCUAUGAAGACACAUUUCUCCAAUUUGGGUUCGAGCUUAUCUGGUUGAAGUUUCUUCACAUAAGCAUCGCAGCCCCAAAUUUUAAGAAACGACAACUUUGGUUUUUUGCCAAACCACAGUUCAUAAGGCGACGUCUCAACUGAUUUUGAUGGUGCCCUAUUGAACGUGAAUGCGUCCGUCUCUAAAGCAUAACCCCAAAACGAUAGCUGUAAAUCAGUAAGAGACAUCAUAGAUCGCACCAUAUCUAGUAAAGUACGAUUUACGACGUUCGGACACACCAUUUCCUAGGGUGUUUCGGGUGGCGUGAGUUGCGAAACUAUUCCGCAUUGUUCCAAAUGUAAACCAAACUCGUAAAUCAAAUAUUCUCCUCCACGAUCAGAUCGUAGAAACUUUAUUUUCUUGUUAUGAUGAUUUUCCACUUCACUCUGAAAUUCUUUGAACUUUUCAAAUGUUUCAGACUUGUGUUUCAUUAAGUAGAUAUACCCUCUGUUCAAAUCAUCUAUGAAUGUGAGAAAAUAACGAUACCCACCGCGAGCCUAAAUAUUCAUUGGAUCACACACGUCAGUAUGUAUGAUUUCCAAAAAAUCAGUUGCUCGCUCCAUAGUUCCAGAGAACGGCGUUUUAGUCAUCUUGCCCAUGAGGCACGGUUCGCAAGUACCAAGUGAUUCAUAAUCAAGUGAUUCCAGAAGUCCAUCAGUAUGGAGUUUCUUCAUGCGCUUUACACCAAUAUGACCCAAACGGCAGUGCCACAAAUAAGUUGCACUAUCAUUAUUAACUCUGCAUCUUUUGGCUUCAACAUUAUGAAUAUGUGUAUCACUACUAUCGAGAUUUAAUAAAAAUAGACCACUCUUCAAGGGUGCAUAACCAUAAAAGAUAUUACUCAUAUAAAUAGAACAACCAUUAUUCUCUGAUUUGAAUGAAUAACCGUCUCGCAUCAAACAAGAUCUAGAUAUAAUGUUCAUGCUCAAUGCUGGCACCAAAUAACAAUUAUUCAGGUCUAAAACUAAUCCCGAAGGUAGAUGUAGAGGUAGCGUGCCGACCGCGAUCACAUCGACUUUGGAACCAUUUCCCAUGCGCAUCGUCACCUCGUCCUUAGCCAAUCUUUGCUUAAUCCGUAGUCCCUAUCUCGAGUUGCAUAUACUAGCAACAGAACCAGUAUCAAAUACCCAGGUGCUACUGCGAGCAUUAGUAAGGUACACAUCAAUAACAUGUAUAUUGUUCACCUUGCCAUCCUUCUUAUCCGCCAAAUACUUGGGGCAGUUCCGCUUCCAAUGACCAGUCUGCUUGCAGUAGAAGCACUCAGUCUCAGGCUUAGGUCCAGAUUUGGGUUUCUUCUCUUGAGCAGCAACUUGUUUACUGUUCUUCUUGAAGUUCACCUUCUUCUUCCCUUUACCCUUUUUCUUGAAACUUGUGGUCUUAUUGACUAUCAACACUUGAUGGUCCUUCUUGAUUUCUACCUCUGCAGCCUUUAGCAUUGCGAAGAGCUCGGGAAUAGUCUUGUCCAUCCCUUGCAUAUUAUAGUUCAUCACGAAGAUCUUGUAGCUUGGUGGCAGUGAUUGAAGAAUUCUGUCAAUGACACUAUCAUUAGGAAGAUUAACUCCCAGUUGAAUCAAGUGAUUAUUAUGCCCGGACAUUUUGAGUAUAUGUUCACUGACAGAACUAUUCUCUUCCAUCUUGCAGCUAUAGAACUUAUUGGAGACUUCAUAUCUCUCAAUCCGGGCAUUUUCUUGAAAUAUUAACUUCAACUCCUAGAACAUCUCAUAUGCUCCAUGACGUUCAAAACGUCGUUGAAGUCCCGGUUCUAAGCCGUAAAGCAUGGCACACUGAACUGUCGAGUAGUCAUCAACUUUGCUCUGCCAGACGUUCUUAACGUCGUCAGUUGCAUCUGCAUCAGGCCUGGCAACCAGCGGUACUUCCAGGACGUAAUUCUUCUGUGCAGCAAUGAGGAUCAUCCUCGGGUUACGGAUCCAGCCCGUGUAAUUGCUACCAUCAUCUUUCAACUUGCUUUCUCAAGGAACGCAUUAAAAUUCAACGGAACAACAGGACGAGCCAUCUAUCUACAACAAACAUAGACAAGCAAAAUACUAUCAGGUACUAAGUUCAUGAUAAAUUUAAGUUCAAUUAAUCAUAUUACUAAAGAACUCCCACUUAGAUAGACAUCCCUCUAGUUAUCUAAGUGAUCACGUGAUCCAAAUCAACUAAACCAUGUACGAUCAUCACGUGAGAUGGAGUAGUUUUCAAUGGUGAACAUCACUAUGUUGAUCAUAUCUACUAUAUGAUUCACGCUCGACCUUUUGGUCUCAGUGUUCCGAGGCCAUAUCUGUAUAUGCUAGGCUCGUCAAGUUUAACCUGAGUAUUCCGCGUGUGCAACUGUUUUGCACCCGUUGUAUUUGAACGUAGAGCCUAUCACACCCGAUCAUCACGUGGUGUCUCAGCACGAAGAACUUUCGCAAUGGUGCAUACUCAGGGAGAACACUUCUUGAAAUUUAGUGAGAGAUCAUCUUAUAAUGCUGUCGUCAAUCAAAGCAAAAUAAUAUGCAUAAAGGAUAAACAUCACAUGCAAUCAAUAUAAGUGAUAUGAUAUGGCCAUCAUCAUCUUGUGCUUGUGAUCUCCAUCUCCGAAGCACCUUCGUGAUCACCAUCGUCACCGGCGUGACAUAUUGAUCUCCAUCGUAGCAUCGUUGUCGUUUCGCCACCUAUUGCUUCUAUGACUAUCGCUACCGCUUAGUGAUAAAGUAAAGCAAUUACAGGGCGCUUGCAUUUCAUACAAUAAAGCGACAACCAUAUGGCUCCUGCCAGUUGCCAAUAACUCAGUUAUAAAACAUGAUCAUCUCAUACAAUAAAAUAUGGCAUCACGUCUUGACCAUAUCACGUCACAACAUGCCCUGCAAAAACAAGUUAGACGUCCUCUACUUUAUUGUUGUAAAUUUUACGUGGCUGCUACGGGUUGAGCAAGAACCGUUCUUACCUACGCAUCAGAACCACAACGAUAGUUCGUCAAGUUAGUGAUGUUUUAACCUUCGCAAGGACCGGGCGUAGCCACACUCGGUUCAACUAAAGUUGGAGAAACUGACACCCGCCAACCACCUGUGUGCAAAGCAUGUCGGUAGAACCAGUCUCGCGUAAGUGUACACGUAAUGUCGGUCCGGGCCGUUUCAUCCAACAAUACCGCCGAACCAAAGUAUGACAUGCUGGUAAGCAGUAUGACUUGUAUCGCCCACAACUCACUUGUGUUCUACUCGUGCAUAUAACAUCUACGCAUAAAACCAGGCUCGGAUGCCACUGUUGGGGAACGUAGUAAUUUCAAAAAAAAUCCUACGCACAUGCAAGAUCAUGGUGAUGCAUCGCAACGAGAGGGGAGAGUGUCGUCCACGUACGCUCAUAGACCGAAAGCGGAAGCCUUAGAACAACGCGGUUGAUGUAGUCGUACAUCUUCACGGCCCGAUCGAUCAAGCACCGAAAGUACGACACCUCCGAGUUCUAGCACACGUUCAGCUCGAUGACGUCCCUCGAACUCCGAUCCAACCGAGUGUCGAGGGAGAGUUCCGUCAGCACGACGGCAUGGUGUCGAUGUUGAUGUUCUACCGUUGCAGGGCUUCGCCUAAGCGCCGCUACAAUAUUAUCGAGGAGGACUAUGGUGGAGGGGGGCACCGCACACGGCUAUGACAUCAAUGAUCUGUUGUUGUCUCUAGAAGUGUCCCCUGCCCCCGUAUAUAAAUGAGCAAGGGGGGAGGGGUGGCCGGCCAGGGAGGGGGCGCGCCAUGGGGAGUCCUACUCCCAUCGGGAGUAGGACUCCCUUCUUUCCUUGUUGGACUUGGAGAAGGGGGGAAAGAGGAGGGAGAGAGAGGAAGGAAAGGGGGCGCGCCGCCCCCCUCUCCUUGUCCUAUUUGGACUAGGGGGGAGGGGCGCAUGGCCCAGCCCUGGCCGCCUCUCCUCUUCUCCACUAAGGCCCACCAUGGCCCAUUAAGCCCCCGGGGGGUUCCGGUAACCCCUCGGUACUCCGGUAAAAUCCCGAUUUCACCCGGAACACUUCCGAUAUCCAAAUAUAGGCUUCCAAUAUAUCAAUCUUCAUGUCUCGACAAUUUCAAGACUCCUCGUCAUGUCCGUGAUCACAUCAAAACUCAUAGCCAAAAAAAUUUCUUUUUUGAAAAGAAGUCAAAGGGGUAUUUUUUUUGUGGAUUUUUUUCUCACGAGUACAAUAGAAGGUCAAGUUUAUUUCAAAAAUAUUUUCAGGAAUUUUCGACUUUUUGUUGAAUUACUAAAAAAAUUUCCCAUAUAGGGUGCAUAUGUCCCCAUAGACCAAAAGUUCCCCUCUCCGAAUGUAGUCUCUAUAGUGGAAUCUCUAAAAGGACUUAUAUUUAGUAACAGACGGAAUAGUAGGCCCAGUUAAACAGGAGCCCACUAAUUGCGCACACCCUUGAGCUUUACGUUCCCAAUUCGUCUAACCUCCCCAAUCAUGAUCGAUCGAGAAAAUGAGUCAGAACAUCAGGCGAUCUAGCCCUCCACCGCUGGCUCGCCUCCUUGCCGCAGCGCUGCCCGAAUCAAACCGAUGGUGCCUCAAGGCGUUGUUUGCACGGGAGGCGUCAACAUCGCCAGUGCCCCUCUUAAAACUGCAAGGGAGCAUUCAACGGAGGGAAACAAGCAGCAGGUUCUUUUCUUCGCCAAUCUUCGUUUCUUAUCUUUUAUCGGAACAAGUGUCAUAUUAUGCUAAGAUUUAUGUCAAUAUGAAUAUUUUUUACACGUUAUAAGUACCUAGUGGACUCGAAAAUUUGAUAUUUUUGGGAUAAAGAAGGGAAGAUUCAAUCAAUGGGAGUCGUUGUUCUUGAGAAUAAAUGAAACUACUUAAAAUAAUUUCUGUUGAUUAUCUUGUCCGAUUGUUGACCACUUGGCGAAUUUAUUGUGUUGAUUUCAUCAUGGCUUUGAUUUUUUUUUAUUUCCUUUAAAUGUCGGCUCUGGGUAACUUCAAAUCCUGGAUCCGCCACUACCGCUCCCGGGAUGGAUCCCACCAGCUCUGCAAGCCGUCGGCCGCGUGGCUAGUCCAGCCGCCGCGGGCCGCUUGUCAGCUCCACGAUCGAUAGGUGAGAAACGAAAAGUCCAAGUGGUGAACGAGGAUGUGUACUGCUCGUGUUCCUUAGAGUACUUACGUUGGAAAUUAACUAGGCUGUAACUGCUAAACUUCUUGCUUGGUAGGCCUAGACGCCGGUUAAUUAGUCCAUUAGGUCACUACUUAAGGAAGCCCAACACAGUUUGCCCGGGUAAACCACGAUCUGAAGGAGGAUUUACCCCGUUGUGACAAGUCACCAUACAUUGUCCAAUAGCCAGCGAGCCCCGGCAAGUGCCUAGGGUCUCCGGGCGCUAGCUCCGCCCCCACCCAACAUUAGUAGCAAAAGGGUCAAAUGUGAGACACAUUAGUGCCGCUUUAAAUUUGAGCCGGCACUAAUGUGUCCAUUAGUGCCGGUUCCAACGGCUAGCCGGGAGGAGCUCUUUAGUACCGGUUCGUGGUGAACCUUUAGCACCGGUUCGUGCCACGAACCGGUACUAAAGAGAGUGCUGGCAGGAUGUUGUCAGUCUGGGGCCCCUCUAGUACCGGUUCGUGGAACAAACCAGUACUAAAGGUCGCCCUACAUAAACCCUUCGUCCACCCGAACUCGCUCUAUUCUUUCCCUUUCCCCUCUCCUCUCUGUUCUUCCUCUUCUCCCCUCGAGCUCAUCACACAUUUUGCCCAAAUUUUGUCAAGAUUUAAAGGCCCUCAUCCAUUCAAGUGAUCACGAAGGUUAGCAACUUUGUCCUUUCUUUUCUCAUUGCUAGAUUAGCUCUUGCAAUGCUUUAUAUAGUGAUUAAUUUGUGGGUUUUUGUAAUUUGGGAGGAAUUAUAUGUGGUAGUAUAUUUGAUUUAUAUGCAAUUUGAGCUUAAAAUAACUCUUAGUUUGCAUAUGUAGGUGUGGUUUACUUAGUGCCUUCCCGUCUCCGUCGUAACUACCGUCGAUCGUCUGCACUGACCCGUCGCAAGCACCACCUUGUGGUGAGCCUCUUGUUCUUAUCUUUUUUAUAUAAAAAAAUCAUGUUUGUGUGAUUUAGAUAUAUAGUUACUUGUAUAAUUAUCUUACCCGUACGUUGUUUGUUAUACAGAGUGCCAUGGUUUUGAUAUCCGUCUCCGUCGGCCCUCGUCUGUGUUAUGGUUCGGAUGUGGUUUAUUCUCUUUUAAAACUAUUUGUUGCAUUUCGUGUUUAUGACAAAUUGUGCCCAUGAAGUUGACAUAUAUAUUUUUAUCUAGGAGGUAUGUGAACCGAAAAUUCCAACCGAUCCUAUUGCCGAGAGGUUAAAUUUAGUUGAAAGAGAAAACAAGUAUUUGAAAGAAAAAUUGAAAAGAAUUGAUGGGGAGAAGAUGGAAUUGGAGUUGCAUGUUGCCGAUGUCGUCGAUGAUCACAAGAUCAAGAUGGAGAAAAUGCGGUUGAAGAUUAGAAAGAUUAGAAAAUAUGCCAUUGAUAGUGUGGCUUGGUAUCAUUAUGUUAUUGGAUCAAUUGUUACCUUAGUUGCGAUCUUGAUCGCAUUUGUUGUUGCAUUUAAAUUCUUUAGCUAGAGAGUUAUUUGUAUGUUGCAUUUAAGUGUUGUAUAUGAACUUUAUGUAUGAACUUAUAUUAAUUUGGUCUAUUCGGUGGUGUGUAAUGAAGAUGCGCCAGCAAUGGAUGUACGAUGACCGAUGCUCUCCCCAGUUCAUUGAUGGCGUGCAUACUUUUCUGAUUGCAGCUCAGGCAAACAAGUGGGCGGAUGGUUUUAUGCCUUGUCCAUGUGCUGGCUAUAAGAAUGGUCACAAUUACUCUAACUCAAGAACCAUUCACGUCCACCUGUUUGAGUCCGGUUUCAUGCCCCACUAUAAUGUUUGGACCAAGCAUGGAGAAAGAGGGAUUAUGAUGGAAGACAAUGAAGAAGAAGAGGAUGACGAUAGCUAUCCUAGCCAUGGGUUCCCUGAAUACGAUGAUACAACAAUGGGGGAAGAAGCUGAGCCGGCCAUGCGGGAAGAAGCUGAAGAAGAGGCAUCAGAUGAGCCCGCUGAUGAUCUAGGUCGGGCCAUUGCCGAUGCAAAGAGAAACUGUGCAAGUGAAAAGGAGAAGAAGAAGUUGCAGCGCGUGUUAGAGGAUCAGAAGAAAUUGUUGUACCUAAAUUGAGAAGGUAACAAGAAAAAGCUGGGCACCACACUAGAAUUGCUGCAAUGGAAGGCAGAGAAUGGUCUAUCUGACAAGGGAUUUGGAAAGUUGCUGGUAAUAAUAUAGAAUAUGCUUCCAAAGGACAACGAAUUUCCCGAGAGUACGUACGAAGCGAAGAAGGUUGUCUACCCUCUAGGUUUAGAGGUGCAGAAGAUACAUGCAUGCCCUAAUGACUGCAUCCUCUACCUCGAUGAGUACGAGGAUUUGAACGCGUGCCCGGUAUGCGGUGCAUUGCGCUAUAAGAUCAGCCGCGAUGACCCUGGUGAUGUCGAGGGCGAGCGCCCCAGGAAGAAGAUUCCUGCGAAGGUGAUGUGGUAUGCUUCUAUAAUACCACGGUUGAAACGUUUGUUCCGAAACAAAGAGCACGCGAAGGCGAUGCGAUGGCACAGAGAAGACCGUAAGAAAUACGGAAAAUUGAGAGUACCCGCUGACGGGUCGUAGUGGAGAAAAAUCGAGAGAAAGUACAUGGAGGAGUUUGCAGGUGACCCAAGGAACGUAUGGUUUGGUCUAAGCGCAGAUGGCAUUAAUCCUUUUGGGGCGCAGAGCAGCAACCAUAGCACGUGGCCUGUGACUCUAUAUUUUUAUAACCUUCCUCCUUGGUUGUGCAUGAAGCGGAAGUUCAUUAUGAUGCCAGUGCUCAUCCAAGGCCGUAAGCAACCUGGCAACGACAUUGAUGUGUACCUAAGGCCAUUAGUCGAAGAACUAUUACAGCUGUGGAAUGGAAAAGGUGUAUGUGCGUGGGAUGAGCACAAACAGGAAGAAUUUGACCUAAAGGCAUUGAUGUUCGUGACCAUCAAUGAUUGGCCUGCUCUCAGUAACCUUUCAGGACAGACAAACAAGGGAUACCGCGGAUGCAUGCAUUGUUUGGAUGAUACCAACAUUAUAUAUUUGGAUAGUUGUAGGAAGAAUGUGUACCUGGGACAUCGUCGAUUUCUUCCAAGCAGGCAUCCCGUAAGAAAGAAGGGCAAGCAUUUCAAAGGUGAGGCGGAUCACCGAAUGAAGCCUUGCCACCGUACUAGUGCUGAUGUACAUGAUAUGGUCAAGGAUUUGAAGGUAAUCUUUGGAAAGGGUCCUGGCAGAGAACCUGUUCCGAAAGACGCUGACGGACGCGCACCCAUGUGGAAGAAGAAAUCUAUAUUUUGGGACCUGCCAUAUUGGAAAGACCUAGAGGUCCGCUCCGCAAUCGACGUGAUGCAUGUGACGAAGAAUCUUUGUGUGACCCUGCUUGGCUUCUUGGGCGUGUAUGGGAAAACAAAAGAUACACCAGAGGCACGUGAGGACCAGCAACGUAUGCACGGAAAAGACAGCAUACAUCAGGGUCAGGCCAGCUACGCUCUUACCAAAGAAGAGAAGGGAAUCUUCUUUGAAUGCCUGCUCAGUAUGAAGGUACCGUCUGGCUUCUCGUCGAAUAUAAAGGGAAUAAUAAAUAUGGCAGAGAAAAAGUUCCAGAACCUAAAGUCUCAUAACUGCCACGUGAUUAUGACGCAACUGCUUCCGGUUGCAUUGAGGGGGCUUCUACCGGAAAACAUUCGAUUAGCCAUUGUGAAGAUAUGUGCAUUCCUUAAUGCAAUCUCUCAGAAGGUAAUCGAUCCAGAAAUCAUACCAAGGUUACAAAAUGAUUUGGUGCAAUGUCUUGUCAGUUUCGAGUUGGUGUUCCCACCACCCUUCUUCAACAUCAUGACGCACGUCCUAGUUCACCUUUGCGAAGAGAUUAAUGUUUUGGGUCCUGUAUUUCUACACAAUAUGUUCCCUUUUGAGAGGUUCAUGGGAGUCUUGAAGAAAUAUGUUUAUAACCGUGCUAGGCCAGAAGGAAGCAUCUCGAAGGACCAUGAAAAUGAGGAGGUCAUUGAGUUUUGUAUUGACUUUAUUCCUGAUCUUAAGCCGAUUGGUGUUCCUGAAUCGAGGCAUAAGGGCAGGCUAGAUGGAAAAGGCAUGCUAGGAGGGGAUCAAAUAAUAUGUAUGGACGGGCAUUCUUUCACUGAAGCACACUACACAGUUCUACAGAAUUCCGCCUCGGUGGCUCUGUAUAUGGAGGAACACAAGAAUUUUCUACACUCCAACCACCCGGAGCAGUCUGACAACUGGAUUACAUGUGAACAAACAAGGACUUUUGCCGGUUGGUUGCAGACACGUGCCAUGCAUGAUGGCGACAUUGAAGAUGACAUGUACUCGUUGUCCCAGUUACCAUCUUCGAAUAUAAUGACUUUCAUAGGGUAUGAGAUAAAUGAGAAUACAUUUUACACGAUUGCCCAAGAUAAGAAGAGCACCAACCAAAACAGUGGUGUCUGCUUUGAUGCAACAACCAACACGGGAAAGGAAACAUAUUAUGGUUACAUAGAGGACAUAUGGGAACUUAACUAUGGAGGUGGUUUGAAGGUCCCUUUGUUUCGGUGCAAAUGGGUCAAUAUGACUCAAGGCGGGGUAACGGAAGACCCAUAGUACGGAAUGACAACAGUGGAUCUCAACAAUCUUGCGUAUGCAGACGAACCAUUCGUCCUAGCCAAUGAUGUGGCGCAGGUUUUCUAUGUGAACUAGGCCGAGAAAAAGAAAAGAUAAAGAAGCGACUGGAUCAUACGAUGAGCCAAAGCGCCACAUAGUUCUUUUAGGGAAAAGAAACAUCGUGGGAGUGGAUGACAAGACAGACAUGUCAGAAGAUUAUGAAAAGUUUAAUGAAAUUGCUCCAUUCAAAGUGAAUAUUGAUCCGAGCAUCCAGUUAAAUGAUGAAGAUUGUCCAUGGUUAUGGCGCAAAGGGACACACGCGAAGAAAAAGUUUCACACCCAAUGAUCCCACACUAGCAUGUGAUAGGCUUCACCGUCAUCACUUUCUUCUGUAGUGGCUUUCCAGACUUGUAUAUCUGGAAAGUGCCGCUACGAACAAACCGGAGGGAAUCUUUGUAAUAGUUAGGAUACUUAUGUGUUUUGGUAUUUGAAACGCGAUCAAAUUUUAUGUGCAAAAACUGGAUGCACUUCAUCUACAAAUUAGUUGGUCAAAUAAUUCAAAUUUAAACUAUUCAAAUUUGAAAACUCCUGGCACUAACAGAAAGUUUGUAAUUUUUUGUAACUAUAGAAAAAAUAUUCAGAAAUAAAUAAAUGAAAAUAAAUAAAGUAGAAAAGAAAAUAACUAAAUUUUGGUUGAGACAAAAACUAAAUUAAAAAAAAUUAAACUAUUCAAAUUUGAAAACUACUCGCACUAACAGAAAGUUUGUAAUUUUUUGUACCUAAUUUUUUUUCAGAAAUAAACAAAUGAGAAUAAAUAAAGUAGAAAAGAAAAAAAACUAAAUUUUGUUGAGACAAACACUAAAUUAACAAAAAUAAACUAUUAAAAUUUGAAAACUACUCGCACUAACAGAAAGUUUGUAAUUUUUUGUACCUAAAGAAAAAACAUUCAAAAAUAAAUAAAUGAAAAUAAAUAAAGUAGAAAAGUAAAAAACUAAUUUUUAUUGAGACAAAAACUAAAUAAAAAAAGCCCACAACUGGGCCAUAGCGGCCUGCAUACGACUAGAAACCCAACCUGUAGCUGGGCCAGGAUGCAGGCCCGCUAGCCCAGUAGGCCCAACAGGGCAGAGUAGGACAGGUAGGCCCAAAAGGCCUGCAUUAGAGAGUAGCUCAAUGCAGUGCCCGCGUCAGGGUUUAUAAACUGCGGCGCUCCUCGACUAGCGAGGUGGGACUAAACUUGCGCACCGCCUGGAGCCAGCGCACCCCCUUUAGUACCGGGUCGUGGCUCCAACAGGUACAAAAGGGAGGGGGGUAUUUAGUACCGGUUGUAGUCACCACCCGGUAUUAAAGGGGGUGCGCUUCCCGCCGCUUCGCCUGGCCAAAACAGACCUUUAGUACCGGUUAGUGGCUCCAACCGGUACUAAAGGUAGGUUCGAUAUAAGUGAGCACUUCAAAAAAAAUCGUCAAUUUGUUCCCUCUGCAUCUACUCCUCAUCUGCCCCAUCGCCGCCGCCCCUCGUCGCCGCCCCCAUCACCGUCGCCGUCGCCGUCCGUCGCCGUCGCCGCCACCCCCGUCCCUGUCCCCAUCGCCGUCCCCUCUGCCUCGUCGUCCCGUCGCGCGCCUCGCCGUCGCCGUCGCCUCGCCGUCGUCGUUGCCGUCGCCCGCGAUGUGAGCCCCUCUCCCCGGCCCCUCCAAUCGAAGCCGUCGGCGCGCGCUCGCACGCACGCACACACACACACAUGCACACACACAUUUAGUUUUUAGUUUUUAGUUUUUUCUGUUUUUAGUUUUGUCUAUUUUUCUGUUUUUAUACACAUGUUUUAGAUGAAUUAAUUAAUUAGAUUAGAUUAAUGUCAAAUAGUAUAUAGAAAUGUUAGAAAUGUUAUAGAAAUGUUAGAAAUUUUAGAAAUGUUAGUUUUAGCUAGAUGAAUUAGAUUAAUUUCAAAUUGUUAUAGAAAUGUUAGUUUUUAGUUUCUUAUAAUUUUAGUUAUACAAAUUUAGAAUUUGCAUAUAAGAAAUCACAAUCCAAUCAUUUAAAAAAUGUUACUUUUGCGGCGUAUAGUAUUUGUUCUCGACGAUGCCUGGCCCGCAUCCUCGCCAUCGACCCGUUCGCGACGACAUCCAGCUUCAGAGGACCCAUGUCCGGGACUAGGCUCCGCCACGCUGGCACUGGGAGGUGCUACCUUCAGGGGCUCGCCGCUUGGUGAGGAACCCGGGUCCCAUCAUCGACCCUGAGCUCCUUUGGUGGCGUUCCCGUGGGCCACUUUCAGUGCGGAGGGAGCCGGCCCCGCCGAAGGUGGUGCGUCGCCGUGUCAGAGAGGAGGACGAGCACGUCCGUCGCUACAUAGCUGCUAUGGACGUCAGGUUCUCCAAUACCUGGCAGGGUCUUUGGGGAGAUGACCGGAGCUAUGAUCAUGUGAUGGUUCCUUCUCUUUGGGUGUCCACCGCCCGCGCCUCAGGAGCCGCGAGUGGCCUAGAUUAUUAUGUAGUAGUCGAUCUUUAUUAGCUAGCUAGCUAGUGAUGUAUUAGAUAUAUAAUAUUCGAGACGAUGUAUUCGAGAUUAUAUAUUAUUCGAGAUGAUGCAUAUUAUGUACUAUGAUUCAGGAUUUCCUCUUAUUGAUUGCAUGCAUGCAUAUUGUAAUUUGAAAACUAAAUUGUGUUAUAUUUCUUCUGGAUUUGUUAAAUAAAAGCUAUGGCGGACAAUACCAGCAGAGAGGGAGAAGAGGCCAUGUUUGAUAUCAUACGCUCCCCUCGCACGCCAGAUAAUCGAAAUGAAGAAGAUGACGGCUCCCAAUAUCUGAACAAUACCGGGGAGGGUGAUGAUAUGAUAUUCGAUCGCGACGGCCGAAUUGAUGAAGUCAUGGAUUAUGAUGGCGAAGAAAUUAAUUAUUAUGAUGGCAACAAAAUUAAUGAUUAUGAUGAUGACGAAAUUAAUGAUUAUGAGGGCGAAGAAAAUGUUGAUCUUGAUAAAACAGAGACCGGCGAGGUAUAUUUAUAUAAGCAGGCAUCUGGUGAUCAUCACAUGUUUUAAAUGAUUUGAAGAUAUAUUAACAGAUCGAUCUUUCUUCUUCUCAGCCCUCCGGAUCGAGCAAAUCUUCUACAGGCAGAGUGCGAGGCAAGGGAAAAAAGUUGAAGGAGGGCGUAAAGUACAACAUCGAGGCCACCAAAACUAAUGGUGAACCAAUAGAGCCUAAGAACAUUGCAAACAAGUUCGUUCGUCAGUGCGGAGUUCUUGUGAAGGACAAACUCCCGAUCUCCCUUCAAGAAUGGAAAAAGCCAUCAAAGCCCCGUCCAGAUCUUACUUUUGUCGAUGACAGAGCAAAAAAUGCGCUUUGGGACGAACUCAUGGAACAUUUCACCCUACCAUAUCAUUUUACAGCUGCAGAUGUGGAGAAAGUCAAGGACGCUGCUCUUAGGAAGAUGGCAAUUGCAUUCAACAACCAUAAGAAAACUGUAUGGAAGGACUACGUCAAAGCAGGAAAGAAGACUCCAGAAUUCAAGGGAACACUUGAGAACCAAAGAGAACACUAGGACAAUCUCGUGAAAUUCAAGGAAUCAGGAUUAUCUAAGGAACGGUCCAGAAAAAACAAGGCCAAUGCCGCCAAAAGGAGCAAUUCCAUAGGCUGGGCCAGGUGGCUACACGGUGGCAAUGCCUAAGUGGGAUAAGUCUAAGCAAGAGAUGGUGGAUUCAGGGGUCACUCCAGUUACUACGAGCUGGCCCCCCAGUGCAAAAGUUGGUUCUAUGCGCAUGGGGGGCGUUGGAUCCGAAGACAGGCUUGGUUUCGAAGAAGGUAAGUCUUAAAGGAGUCGAUGAAAAGUUAGUUGAAGCAAUAGAAGAAGCUCGAACGGGGUGUUCACGCCCAACAGAGAGAACGACGAGCUUACGCGUGCCCUUGGAAAUCCUGAACACCCGGGAAGAACACGAGGCAAGGACGUUGUUCCGUCGUAUGAGGGCUUUUCUGAGUGGAACGCCGACUACAGAAGCCGUGCGAGAAGGAAGUGAUACGUCCAUUUUGCAUCAUGCUUUUAUAUCAAUAUUUAUUGCAUUAUGGGCUGUUAUUACACAUUAUAUCUCAAUACUUAUGGCUAUUCUCCCUUAUUUUACAAGGUUUACCAUGAAGAGGGGGAAUGUCGGCAGCUGGAAUUCUGGCUGGAAAAGGAGCAAAUGUUGGAAACCUAUUCUGCACAACUCCAAAAUUCCUGAAACUCCACGAAACAACUUUUUGGAUUUAAUAAGAAUUUAUGAGCGAAUGAAAUAGGCCAGGGGGCCCACACCCUGUCCAGGAGAGAGGGGGCACCCCCUAUAGGGCGCGGCCCCCUAUCUCCUGGGCCCCCUGGUGGGCCUCUGACGUCCAUCUUUUUCUAUAUCAUCACUUUUACCCUGGAAAAAAUCAUGGGCAAGCUUACGGGAUAAAACUUCGCCGCCACGAGGCGGAACCUUGGCGGAAUCAAUCUAGGGCUCUAGCGGAGCUGUUCUACCGGGGACACUUCCCUCCGGGAGGGGGAAAUCAUCACCAACGUCAUCACCAACGAUCCUCUCAUUGGGAGGGGGUCAAUCUCCAUCAACAUCUUCACCAGCACCAUCUCCUCUCAAAACCCUAGUUCAUCUCUUGUAUCCAAUCUUGUAUCAAAACCACAAAUUGGUACCUAUGGGUUGCUAGUAGUGUUGAUUACUCCUUGUAGUUGAUGCUAAUUGGUUUACUUGGCGGAAGAUCAUAUGUUCAUAUCCUUUAUGCAUAUUAUUACUCCUCUGAUUAUGAACAUAAUAUGCUUUGUGAGUAGUUACGUUUGUUCCUGAGGACAUGGGUGAAGUCUUGCUAUUAGUAGUCAUGUGAAUUUGGUAUUCGUUCGAUAUUUUGAUGAGAUGUAUGUUGUCUUUUCCUCUAGUGGUGUUAUGUGAACGUCGACUACAUGACACUUCACCAUUAUUUGGGCCUAGAGGAAGGCAUGGGGAAGUAAUAAGUAGAUGAUGGGUUGCUAGAGUGACAGAAGCUUAAACCCUAGUUUAUGCGUUGCUUCGUUAGGGGCUUAUAUGGAUCCAUAUGUUUAAUGUUGUGGUUAGGUUUACCUUAAUACUUCUUAUUGUAGUUGCGGAUGCUUGCAAUAGGGGUUAAUCAUAACUGGGAUGCUUGUCCAAGUUAGGACAGUACCCAAGUACCGGUCCACCCACAUAUCAAAUUAUCAAAGUACCGAAGGUGAAUCUUAUGAACGUGAUGAAAACUAGCUUGACGAUAAUUCCCAAUGUGUCCUCGGGAGCUCCUUCCUCAUUAUUAGAAUUUGUCCAGGCUUAUCCUUUUCUACAUAAAGGAUUGGGCCACCUUGCUGCACUUUAUUUACUUUAUUUACUUGUUGCUCGUUACUAUUUAUCUUAUCACAAAACUAUCUAUUACCUACAAUUUCAGUGCUUGCAGAGAAAACCUUACUGAAAACCGCUUAGCAUUUCCUUCUGCUCCUCGUUGGGUUCGACACUCUUACUUAUCGAAAGGACUACGAUAGAUCCCCUACACUUGUGGGUCAUCAGGAAGAUGGAGGAGGAGAAGAAGAAGAAGCUGGAGGACGAGUAGAGGAAGCAGGAAGCAGAAUGGCUUCAAGGCCUAGAAUCAGCGCACGCGGACUUGGCACUCAAAUUCCAAAGGCAGCAGGAGCAGAUCGACUCGCUUAGCCAGGAAAGGGGGUCUCAGCAGCGGCCGCAGCUAGCGCAUGAUCCAGCAUUGGAUAGCACCAUCCCAUCCAUGCUGAGAAGCAGCGUGGGUUCCGCCCUGGGCGACGCACUGCUGGAUAGAUACCCUGUGGAUGACAUCAAGGAGAACACUAACUGUGAGCUACACUUCAAAGUAAAGAACAUAUCCGUGAAGGCGGCGGAUGCCGUUGCCUAUACAAAUCCCCCCGGAGGAACCUACCAUUGCCAAACGAUUCCAGCCAGCUAUGCUCGUGUCGUGGUUGAUGAGGCGGUGGACCAUUAUUCAGGGCCACAGCUUGACAUUCCUGGAGGUGACGAGGAGCACACACUGGGAGAGGCCAUACAUUGUAUCAUCCUAUGGAGAAAGGAUUGCAUCAUCUUUCCAAGGCCAUCGACACCUCCUCAGCUAGAGCUUGAAAUUCCAAGAGGUGACGAGGAGCAGACGACUCACGCUCCUCCAAUGCGUGAGGCCACUCCUCCUUCUUCAACUCAGCCAACGCGUGAGGCCACUCCUCCUGCUUCAACUCAGCCAUUGUGUGAGGCCACUCCUCCUGCUUCAAGUCAGCCAACGCGCGAGGCCACUCCUCCUUCUUCAACUCAGCCAACGCGUGAGGCCACUCCUCCUCCUCCAAGUCCACCAACGCGUGCCACUCCUCCUCCAAGUCCGACACCGCGUCAGCCAUCUCUGCUGCCUCAGCAAUCGCGGAAGAGAGCCGCCACAGCUAUGGUGCAUAGUGCUACAAGUCGAGGUAGUACAGGAGGUACAGGCGGAGGCAAGCGAUUUCAAUAUGGUCCAAAAAGCCUCGCACCUCUUCCGCAGAGGCCUUACGACAUGACCAAGGAGCAAAACGAUGCCAUAGUGAAGGCCCAAGUGGAGGCCCAUUUCACACCAAAACCAGCACCGCCGCCAAGGGAGAAAGUGCCCGAGGAGAAGAUUGACCACUUUAUUCGUAUGGCGCGACCACCAGCUCCCAAGCUUGUUGACUCAGACUAUGAGCGCCAAAUCAGGAAGGCACAUCGAGCACGACAACAGGCCGGGUCGAGCUCGAGCUCGAGCCAAGCAGCUGGCCAAAAUGCGGGAAAACCGUUCCCCAGCUAGGAGAACAGGCGGCGCAAUCGACCCCCCCGCUUGUUGUACCAACACAUGAGAGUACCGGCGCCGGUCUGGUAAUAACUGAGGAGCAUAGACGGAACGCUGAAAUGCUCGGCAUCACUGUUGGACAACUCCUCGAGAUUGAGUCCAUGCCUAAGCUUAAGGAGGAUGAGAUAAAAUGGAAAUAUGCCCGUGGCCAACCACUACUAGGGAAAACCUUAUACACAGAAUCUUACCAGUAGCGCGUGUUAAAAUGAGGCGCUACUGCUAAUUAGCAGUAGCGCGUCUACCAAAACCGUGCUACUGUUAUCCCCUUAGUAGUAGCGCGGCAGGAACUAAACGCGCUACUACUAUAAUUUCCACACCGUUCCCGGCGUGUUAGGUAUAGUAGUAGCGCUCUUCUAGAAACGGCGCUACUACUACCAAUUUUAGCAGCAGCACAUUUUCCCCUCGCAUGCUACUGUUAUAUCUAUUCUCCCCUAACCCCCUGCGCGGCCUGAUUCCCUCCUCUUCCUCCCCCAACUCACCACUCUCUCUUCUCCCCCUCGUCGCCUCCGUCUCGCCNNNNNNNNNNNNNNNNNNNNNNNNNNNNNNNNNNNNNNNNNNNNNNNNNNNNNNNNNNNNNNNNNNNNNNNNNNNNNNNNNNNNNNNNNNNNNNNNNNNNNNNNNNNNNNNNNNNNNNNNNNNNNNNNNNNNNNNNNNNNNNNNNNNNNNNNNNNNNNNNNNNNNNNNNNNNNNNNNNNNNNNNNNNNNNNNNNNNNNNNNNNNNNNNNNNNNNNNNNNNNNNNNNNNNNNNNNNNNNNNNNNNNNNNNNNNNNNNNNNNNNNNNNNNNNNNNNNNNNNNNNNNNNNNNNNNNNNNNNNNNNNNNNNNNNNNNNNNNNNNNNNNNNNNNNNNNNNNNNNNNNNNNNNNNNNNNNNNNNNNNNNNNNNNNNNNNNNNNNCCCAACCCCAUCUCUCUCCCCGCCCUCUGUAAGCACUCUCCCCGUCUGAUCCCUCUUGUUAAUUUGCUUAGUAUGAACCCUAGCUAUUUAGUGCUAGUUAGUAUGAACCCUAGGCUAUUUUUACUGUUAGUUAGUUAAUUUAGUGUUAGUUAGUUAGUUAGUAUGAACCCUUAGUAGUAGUUCCUAGGUACUAAUUAGUUAGUAAGAACUAGGUACUAAUUAGCUAGGUAGUAGUUUAUUUUUAUUUAUAGUAAGUUUAUUUUCAGUAAGAACUAAUUGAAUUAAUAGGACAUGUUAGUAAGAACUUGUUGCUAUUUUUUUAGUUAAAGUAAUUUUUCCCGCAUCGACGUGGACGAUGCCUAUCCCGCAUCCUCGUCGUCGAGUCAGUGGAGGACGACACCUGCUUGACCAGAUGGGCCAUGUCCGGGACUGGGCUCCACCGGGGUGGUACUGGGAGGCGCUACCUACCGGGGGGGCAGGUUGGUCAGGAGCCAGCCUGUCGUUGACCCGAACCUUCUUUAGUGGCGGUCGCGUGGGCCAGUGACGGUCCAGAGGCUCGAGGACCCUGCGGAGGUGGUGCGUCACCGUGUCAGUGAGGAGGACGCGCAAGUCCGUCGCUACUUGUUUGCGUUGGAGCACAGGUUCUCCAAUACCUGGCAGGUUCUCCAGGGAUCUCACCGGAGCUAUGAUCCCGUGAUGGUUCCUUCUCUGUGGGUGUCCACCACCCGCGCCGAUACCCGUCGUGUUCUAGGGUUUUAGUUGUAUUAGUGAUGUUAUAUGUAUGACACUAUUCGGGACGUAUUAGUGAUAAUAUUUGAUGAUGUACGAACACGCAUGAGAUGAUUUACUUUUGCUUAUUCAAUGCAUGCUAAUUUAAGUCCUAUAAGAUAUUUUGAAAUGUAUAUCUUGUGUUGCUCAAAUAUGAUAUGUGCUUGCCCAAGUGGCCGGUCAUGUUUGCAGGUUACACCUCCGAGUGGCCUAUGUUUUGCCGGAGUGUUGAUUCAUUUCCGUUCCGGCAAAUUUCAGGCGCUCGAUAUGUCCUAUUUUAGCAAAGGUCAUGCCGGAUUUUUUCCGUGAAUUUUGGCAUGACUUGUGCCAGAAUAUGUAGGAAAUAUUGAGUGCCCCGGAUUUGUGUGUUGAGUAUCCUGGUACUUGUCUUCGAUCGAUUUUCAAUUAAUGUUUUAACAAUGAACAUAGGAAAUGUCUAACGACGAAAAGGAUUUCGGUAUUUGCAAAUACUGCGAAGACGAGCGCGGCCUCUGCGACGGAAUCUUCCUAGAUGAUGAUAGGCGCUUUAGCAUCAAGCUUGACGAGAACUUCGAAGUGGAUACAGUAAGUCACAACGACAAGUCUUUUUUCGUAAUUAAGCAUGACAUAUGCUUCAUUUGCUUCAACUUAUAAUUUGUUUUUACUAUUCUACUAGCGUAUCCCCUGCCAUGCAAGAGUUUUUGUAUUGGAUAAGAUAGGUUGCAGUCGUACUAUGGAGGUAAAAAAAUUUACUUGAAGACCCAGCAUGGUUGUAUUUUCCACACAAAAUUAUAAAAUUCAGACGACUACACCUAUUCUGGAUGCAAAACGUGGCGAGCACUAUGCAAGACUUAUGCAUUUGAGCCUGAUAUGGUUAUCACCUUUGAUAUUCAUCCGGAAGAUGAUAUUGAAGGUAAUACCGACAUCUGGGUCGAUGUGCAGACGCCUCCAGUUAUACCAAAAUGUGAGUUUCUCAACCAUAUUUAUGUCUUUGAUAUUGUUUAUUCAAAAAUAGUUGACAAUUAAUUUCUAUUGAUAGCUUAUUUCGGUGCAAGCAAACAUGUCCAGCGUUUGGUAGACAUGACCGUAUACUGUGCCGGGGCUGAACUCAACUGCGAGGAGCUCAGUCAUUAUGUUUCAUGGCUUGCGGAUCUUGAUACUGUCAAGACAAAUUUUCUUCCUGGAUUUAGAAAUGUUAGUACUGAAAACGUGCGACCAAUAGUGUUCGUACUGAACUACGGUCACAUCUAUUUAGGAAGGAUGGUAAGAUUUUUAAUAUUUGUCCUCAGUGCAUCUUUUUCAUACAUUAUUUUUGAAGCUAAAAUUCAUUGCUAAGUAUGUUGCCAUACGAUGUUCUUCAACAGGGAGUCCCGAUGAAUGUUGUGCCUUAUGGGAUCGAGACUAAAGGUACCAUGAGUAUUAUUAGCUUACGACCAAGAUAUCCUACAAAUUACUGUAGUGCAUUCAAGAUUAGCGACGGAUGCUUAAUAGUGCAAGACUGGACUAAAUAUAUGAUGGGGGAGCGCAGAGAAGUACUAGGGGGUAGCAAACAGAAGCGCAUCCCACGAUUAGGAGACAGGUUCAUCUGCAUGCUCCAACUUGAUCAAGAAGGAGAGCUACACAUGUUUUAUGUUAUUUUACGUAAGAGAGAGCAGCAGGAGUGAUUAGCUAGCUAGAAAUGAGUUUGAGGAUGAUGAUGUGCUACACAUUUACUAUGAUGAUAAAAUAGCUACUGUUGGUGGUAAUGACUAUGAUGAUUAUUAUUAGCUAGUGUUAGUGGUGAUUAAAUAAAAAAUGUUGGUGGUAAUUACUAUGAUGAUGAUUAAAUAGCUUGUGCUGGCGGAUUAGAUUCAAGUGGAGGCAACAUGUGGUGCACAUCGAAAGUACUACUAGUCCAAAUUAGAUCAAAUUUGGAUUAGUAGUAUACUUUUGACAUGCACCACAUAUUGCCUCCACUUGAACCUAAUCCACCUUCAUUUGACACACUGGACAUAAUGAUGUAAACCUCAUAACUGGUAUUGUACCAAUAUUUGUACGAUGGAGAGAAAACCGCAUAAAUACACUAAAAAUAAAAAAAUAAAAAAUGAAUACUAGUAGCGAUGGACAGAAAACGCACUGUCACUAGUUUCAUUAGCAGUAGCGUGGGGAUGAACAAACGCUACAGCUAUUUGUCUUAGCAGUAGCGCGCGCCGGCACGCGUUACUGCUAAGCAAUAGCUGUAGCGCCUUAUUAGUAGCGUGCCUGCCCACGCUACUAGUGAGCACAAAACCAGCACUACUGCUAGGGUUUUCCCUAGUAGUGAACCUUUGGUAAGGCCUGAGGGGGUCAAGAACCUCCCAAUGAGAAUGUAUCAAUUGCAUGAUUGAUACAUGAAAAAUUACCAAGAGUAGCAAUCGAGAGGGCCUCAUGGUGAAAGUCAAGGAAGAGUAUUACUUCCAUAAGCUAGCUCUGUCCAUUGAGUAUUCAGAACUAUUUUAGUUAUUCCAUCAAGACGCACUCGACAAAUCCAUCGUCAGUUUGUAUUGACUGUAAGUGAUUUCUUUCUGUAAUUCAGGUCUCAAGCUAGCUGUACUGCUCAUUGAUCGAUCAUUACCUGUAAUUAUCCUCAGUAUAUUCUUUUUUGUGGUAUAUUAUGCAGGAUGAAGAUGUAUGAAAUGAAAAAAGCUGGAUGCUAUGGCAUUGGGUUCAUUGACCCAAAUACCAUUAAUGAAGAAACAUGAGGAUAUGCAUGGUAUCACACAGAGGUAGAGAAAAACAUGCUACUUCCUUACAACUACACGUGAGUCACACUGUCUUGUACUUCAAAUUCUGUUUUUACUUACUAGCUAGCUAGAUAUUAAUAAUUAAGUGUAUAGGGUUUAGGGUAGUUGAUGAGUGUUAUGCACAUGCCCGCUUAAUUAAUACAUGCAAACGUGUGUGCAUGCAGUUUCCAUUGGAUCUUGUUAAUCAUUAAAUUUGACGAAGGAACAGUUGAAGUACUGGACUCACUACUCAAAAAGAAGAGAGAGUACACAACCGUGAAGGGGAUAAUCGACAGGUAAUUUCAAUCAUUAUUAACUAUAUGUCGGCCUCUUUAGUUCGUCAUUUCCUGAUAUCAACUAUUUAAUAACUCGUUUAUUCAUUUUCUUUGCCGGCGGGCAGGGCUUGGGCAAAGUUCAGGAAUUCGAAAGAUGUUUUAGGCGAAUGGAGAGAAAGGCUGUAUUGAUUUCGACUCAAGGUAUAAUUAAUUAAGUAGUACUAGUUAUCUACCAUGCAUCUCUUUAAUUCCGGGCUAUAGAACCGACACCGAAACUCAUGAAUCAGUGGCAAAGAAAAAAAAGGGUCCCCCGCUGACCCACGAUCUCUCCCCUUCCCUGACCUCCCGACUCCUCUCCUCCCCUGCAUCGACGCCGGUUCCCCACCACCCGCUUCCAGCCCACCGCCGCCCCUCUCCAUUGGCUUCCACCGCCCCGCCCCAAGCCGGCGCCACCGCCCCCAUCCCGGCCCCAAAUAGCGACACCCCGCCUCGCCCCCAACCAUCGCCGCCGCCGCAACUUCUGGCGCGAGNNNNNNNNNNNNNNNNNNNNNNNNNNNNNNNNNNNNNNNNNNNNNNNNNNNNNNNNNNNNNNNNNNNNNNNNNNNNNNNNNNNNNNNNNNNNNNNNNNNNNNNNNNNNNNNNNNNNNNNNNNNNNNNNNNNNNNNNNNNNNNNNNNNNNNNNNNNNNNNNNNNNNNNNNNNNNNNNNNNNNNNNNNNNNNNNNNNNNNNNNNNNNNNNNNNNNNNNNNNNNNNNNNNNNNNNNNNNNNNNNNNNNNNNNNNNNNNNNNNNNNNNNNNNNNNNNNNNNNNNNNNNNNNNNNNNNNNNNNNNNNNNNNNNNNNNNNNNNNNNNNNNNNNNGCGAGGCCGCCACCACCACCUUCUCCCGGCGCGUCGCCGCCCCCGCGUCCCGACGUGCCCCCUGCCACCGCCGGCCCCCGCCCCGCCACCCAGCACCUCUCUGUCGUGGGCCAGUACUCCACCGCCCAGCACCUCGCCGUCGCCAGCUGGAAUCCCCCAGCAUGCCUGCCAGCGCCGGGGCGCCACCGCCCAUAGCUGGUCCAGUCGGUGACUCGUCCUUGUUGCUUCGCCGUCGCGACCUGCCCCUGCACCGCGCCGCGACCUUCCCCUGCACCGCGCUGCGACCUGCCUCCCGACGGAAAUUCAGCCUAUGCAUGUGUCCCUGUUCUUCUCCGAUUGUCGCGGCCGUUCCUCGCUGCCCACCCGGUUGCGUCGAGCAACAUCUCGUGCUCUCCAGCGUGAGUUGCUGCUGCCUGCUAGUGCUACAAGCAUGUACCCUGCCUCUUUCUCGAAUCCGUGCUACCAGGAGAGUCGUACUUUGAUGAUGAAUUGAUUGUAAAUGACUGUGUUGUUCAUGAGUACGUUGGUGCAGAUACCAUGUGCUUCUGUAUGCACGUGUGGAUGAUGAAUUGGUUAUCCAGUACACCCAUUCAAAUAUAUGUGUUUCUAUCUACUUUGUAUAAAUCAAAAUUUGAGAUUUGUGAACUAAUGUGGAUACAUUGCUUGAGAAAUUCGUCAUAGUGUGUUCUCUGUAUCCUCUACCUCAUCCACCUCCCAGUUUAUACAGUAGGAUGUGGAGUGUGCAGCUGUGGCGUUUAGUGGUUGGAAUCGUGAUAGGGGUUGCAUCUGGCUGGGCCGCUGGGGAUGUGCUCGCGAAUGAGGAAGCAUGUGUAAUUAUAUGUUGCCACUACGGUAUUUCUCCGGGUUAUCCGUAAGCCAUGUUAAGAAAUCACACAAACAAAAAGAGUACACAUCUCAUCUAUUUCUCUUGAGGAAAAUUACCAUGGUGUUUGAAAAAAAGGGGGAGAUAUAUUUGUUUAGUUCCAAAUCGAGGUACAGUGGCACGAAUACAUUGUACCUCUGUUGAUUCUACCUCGAUGAGCUGCACAAGAUGAUAUGCUUUGUUCCACAGUCAAUGGAUGGUCUGAUGCUACGCAAGCAAACUACAUAGAACAUUGCUGCACGUACAACACUCCUUGUACGAUUUGUGUACAACAAUUCAGCUUAGCCUUCCAUUGCAAACAGUCGUACCUUCUGUGUCUAAAGUGUUUGGAAGUUCACAGACUAAAACCAACCAAGUUUAUUGGGUAAAAAUCAUUGGCUCAGGUGCGAGGGAAAACCAACUGCUCGGUCCGAUGAAGCCUGGUCCAAAAUUCAAGAUACACUGUUUUAUGCCUUGAGAGAAAAAAAAUUAAAGUAUAUCUUUGUCUUGUUUGAUUGUUUCUGUUUUACUUCAAAAUGUUUUUUAUUUUCUAAAAAUGAACUAAGAAGUUAAAAUUAAAAUAACAUAAAAUCUCAAAGUUUAUAAGAAAACUAGAAUUUACAAGUUAAAAGAAUCGAUGCAAUUAUACCCAUAAAAGCAACGAUUUUGGAAAAAAAAUCUUCUAAAACAUGAGCAGUUCAAAAUUCCUAAAAAAAUAUUUUUACUCUUUCUAAAUAAAAAACUCUAGAAGCUCAAAUUGAAAUAACAGGCUGGUUCAAAUAUUUUUUUUACAAAAUUAGGAUUUUCCUGUACUUGAAAGAAAUAAACAAGGAAGUCCAAAUUACAAAAAUAGAGCACUUUGAUAUUUAUGAUAAAAGCAGAUUUUCAUUGUUACUAAAAAAUAAAUCAAGCCAUUUAAAUUAAAAAAACAGGGUAGUUCGAUAUGUACAGAAAACUCAAAUUUUAGGAAGAAUAAAAGCAUGAAGUCCAAUUUCUUAAAAGUUGUUUGAUGUUCAUUUAAAAAUCACAUUUUUCUACGAAUCAAAACUAAGAAUUUCAAAUAAAAAUAAGACAAAUGUUUGAAGGUUAUUAAAACCUAGGAUUUACAUCCGCAAAAAACAAAAAAAGAACAAAAACGUCAUUCUAGCGUUCUUAAAGAUGCUCAUAAACGACGAUGAAUACAACUAAGAAGUUCAAAUUUGAAAAAUGGUGAUGUUCGAUGUCUAUUAAAAAUUUAGUUUUUUCUCAUUAUUGAAAGAAUAAACCAAGAAAUUCAUUUUUUAUAACAAACAAGUUAAACACUCAGAUUUUUUUUGUUAUUAAAAGAAUAAGAGUAAGAAGUUCAAACUAAGAUAAUGGAGCAACUCGAUGUACAAAAAAUAUAUUUAAUUCAAUUCAAGAAAAAAGUUGUUCAAUGUUUACAUACAAAAAUUAAUUUUCUAUUUUCUAAAAAUAAAACUAAGUAGUUCAAAUUAAAAUAAGAGAGAAGUCUGAAGUUUAUAAAAACAUAGAAUUUACAAGGUAAAAGAAUCGAUGCUAUUAUUGGCAUUUUGAAGACUACCCAUAAAUGGCGACGAAUUUUAAAAAAUUUGAUAAAAUUUUUUACUUCUCAAACAUAAUCUUUCCAACGGUAUAUCAUGCGUAUUAUUCCCAUAAUAUAAUUUGAAUGUUUUGUGUAUAUCAUUCAAAACAAGUCUUAGCAUGUUCAAAAUAUGCUCUUAACUAGUCAUGAUUUGUUAAAAAAAUGCUUUCCAAUGCUAUCAUUUGCUCAAAGUCGACGAGUCCUUUGGGAGUUACGGACAACUUUUUUACAGAGAAGUUCUAAUUGAAAUGGCUAGAAGUUCACGUGCUGCAUGGUGUGUGUUUUCAUAUGAGAAAAUAGAAUAAAAAGUUGAAGUAUAAAAAUUUCGCUGCUAGAAGUUCAGGUGCUCAGCACGGGGAAUUUCAAAAACUUCUUGUGAGAGAGGUAAUCGGCACUAUAUAUCAUUUGUGCAACUCCCAUGAACGGGUGAGAAAUUACGAACAAAAAUACAUGGUAGAAGUUCAAAGUGAAAGCAACUGGAAAUUCAAUGAUUAUAGAAAACUUAGAUUUUUCCUCGUUAUUAAAGAAUGGAAACAAGAAGUUAAAAAAUAAAAUAACAAGAAGUUCAACUUCUAAAAAUAGAGCGCUUCAAAAUUUCAUAAAAAAUAUUAAAGAAAUAAAACCAGGAAGUCCAUAUUAAGAAGAUGGAGAAGUUUGAUGAUUAUAGAAAACUCAUAUUUCCUCGUCAUUAAAGAAUGGAAACAAGAAGUUUAACUUUUAAUAAUAAAGCGCUUCAAAAUUUCCUAAAAGAUUAAGAUAUAAAACCAGGAAGUCUAUAUUAAAAAGAUGUAGAAGUUCGAUGAUGAUAGAAAACUCAGAUUUUNNNNNNNNNNNNNNNNNNNNNNNNNNNNNNNNNNNNNNNNNNNNNNNNNNNNNNNNNNNNNNNNNNNNNNNNNNNNNNNNNNNNNNNNNNNNNNNNNNNNNNNNNNNNNNNNNNNNNNNNNNNNNNNNNNNNNNNNNNNNNNNNNNNNNNNNNNNNNNNNNNNNNNNNNNNNNNNNNNNNNNNNNNNNNNNNNNNNNNNNNNNNNNNNNNNNNNNNNNNNNNNNNNNNNNNNNNNNNNNNNNNNNNNNNNNNNNNNNNNGAAGUUCAACUUUUAAAAAUAGAGCGCUUCAAAAUUUCAUAAAAAAGAUUUUCUCUGCAAAAAUAAACCUAGAAGUUAAAAUUGAAAAACGGAGCGGCUCGAUGUCUAUCAGAAAGUAUGAUUUUUUUUCCGUUACUAAAAGAAAUAAAGCCAGGAAGUCCAUAUUAAAAAGAUGGAGAAGUUCGAUGAUUAGAUAAAACUCAGAUUUUUCUCGUUAUUAAAGAAUGGAAACAAGAAGUUCAAAAAUAAACUAACAAAAAGUUCAACUUUUAAAAAUAGAGCGCUUCAAAAUUUCAUAAAAAAAUUAAGAAAAAUAAAACCAGGAAGUUCAUAUUAAAAAUAUGGAGAAGUUCGAUGAUUAUAGAAAACUCAGAUUUUCCUCGUUAUUGAAGAAUAGAAACAAGAAGUUCAAAAAUAAAAUAAUAAGAAGUUCAACUUUUAAAAAUAAAGGACAUCAAAAUUGAUAAAAAUGAUUAGGAAAUUCAAGUGCUGUGUCCGGGGAAGUUCAAAAAUUCUUGCGAGAGAUGUUCACCUUGUAUUUCCAUAUUCGAAAACACAAAAAAGAAAUUGUUCUAAAAUGAAUUAAAAGUCAAGGUCCAAAUUUUUUGUUAUAAGUUCAAGUCCUCGGUUGGGGAAAGUUAAAAAAAUUAUUGUGAGAGAGGUUUGUACAAAAGGAAUAUCAUUCGUGUAACACUGACAAAAUGGAUGAGAAAAUUACAAACAAAAAUACGUCACAGAAGUUCAACAUGAAAACAGCAGGAAGUUCAACUACUACACUGAAUGAAUUUCAUAAGAAAAACUUUUAAAACCGUCGCGAGUAUGAAAAAAUGAUCAACACGGAAAAGUUGCGUGUUUAUAGCAGCUUUCCAUCGGUAUAUCACUUGCUUAAUUCCGAUGAGUGAAUGAAGAGCUACGAGAAAUAAAAAGCACGUGAAAAACAGAGUGAAGUUCAAGCAGAACUGCCACAGAAGUUCAUGUACUUCACGCGAUGCAUUUUCGACGAAUCUGUUUCACGAUAAAGGCAGAAUGAGUGAUCUCGUCGUUUCUGAAAUAUACUUGAAAAUGACUGGGAUUCAGAGAAAAACCAUCAACAUGAAAAAGUUUCACAUUUUUUGUAGCUUUUCAACAGUAUAUUAUUUGACCCGUUCCGAUGAAGUUUGUAGAAAUUACGACGAAAAUAUGUUUUUAGUCAUUUGAAAAUCAACGUAAAACCGUAAUGAAUUUGGAGAAACAAUAUAUACCAAAAAGUUUUGCAUUUGUUCAGGCUUUCCAACCCCAUAUCAUUUGCUACAUUUGGACGUAUGAUUUAAAAAAUAGAUCAAAAAUACAAACUUGGUAGAACUUGUACCGUUUUCUAAAUUACUCUUAAACCAUUCAAAAGUAGAAAAAAAUUCAACAUGACAAAAAACACAUUUUCAUAAGCUUUCCAACGCCAUAUCAUUUGUCUCAAUUGGAUUAGGCGUUUAGAAAUGACAUCGGAAAUACGAACUCGGUUGUUCGGUUUGUGAAAUUUUACAAUUUUCCACAUUACUCUUUAACCAUAGGGAAUUAGAAAAAAACUUUCCACGUGUGGAUGGAGCGGCUUUACAGCAAGUUUUCAAUGCCAUAUUAUUUGCCUCAUUCCGAGAAACGGUUUAGAAAUGCGAUCGAAAAUACGAUUCACAUUUUUUGUAAGAAGAAACUACUCUUAAACCACUUACAUUUUGCCAAAAUUUUAAGUUGGGUCAUGAUACUGGUGUCUCUAGCUUUCCAAUGGUAUAUCGCAAGCCCCAUUUGGGCAAUGUUGACGGAAGUUCAACCUAGCACUAGGGGAAGUUCAGGUCGAACAACUCAGGCAGUAAAAUUGCAAAAAAUGCAAUUUCAUCACGACCUGAGAGCAAAAUCCACCAACGAGCAAGAUUUAUAUUUAAAACUGGUAUUUAAUUGCUAAAAAACGUUUCUAGAUUACACUACCAUCAUAUAGAAUAGUACUAACCAGAAUAAUUCGCAGGGGAAGCCACGGUUGCAAAGAUAGCCCGAAGGUCGGGUUCGUACAAAGGGAAGUUCAGGCGCGUGCACAAACAAAAUUACGUCACAGAAGUUCAACGUGAAAACAGCAUGAAGUUCAACUACUAUGCUGAAUGAAUUUCAGAUGAAAUUUUUUAAAAUCGUUGCGAGUAUGAAAAAAUAAUCAACACGGGAAAGUUGUGUGUUUACAAUAGCUUUCCAUCGGUAUAUCAUUUGCUCAAUUUCGGUGAGUGGAUUGAGAGCUAGGAGCAAUGGAUAGAGAUAUACGAGCAAAAAAAGCACGUGAAAAACAGAGUGAAGUUCAAGUACACGUGCCGAGAAGUUUAGGUUCUUCACGCGGUACAUUUUCGAAGAAUCAGUUUCGCGAUAAAGGCAGAACGAAUGAUUUCGCCAUUUUUGCAAUUACUUGAAAACAGCUAGGAAUCAGAGAAAACCAUCAACAUGUAAAAGUUUCACAUUUUCCAUAUGUUUUCAGCGGUAUAUUAUUUGCCCCAUUCCGAUAGAGUAUGUAGAAAUUAUGCCAAAAAUACGAUUUUAGCCAUUUUCUAAUUUGACUUAAGGCUGUAAGGAAUUAGGAGAAACAAUAUAUACGAAAAAGUUUCACAUUUCCUCAAGCUUUCCAAUGCCUUAUUGUUUGUUGCAUUCGGACGUACGGUUAAAUAAUUAGCUCAAAAAUACAAACUCGGUGGAAUUUGUACCGUUUUCUGAAUUACUUUUAAACCGUUCCAAAUUAGAAAAAACUUUUAAAAUGAAAAAGUAGCGCAUUUUCACAAGCUUUCUAAUGCCAUAUAAUUUGCCUUAAAUGGAUUAUCCGUUUAGAAAUUACAUUGAAAAUACGAAGUCGGUUGUUCGGUUUGCGAAAUGUUACAAUUUUCAAAAUUACUCAUUCGGAUUUAAACAUGUGGAAGGAGCGGUUUUGCAGCAGAUUUCCAAUGCUGUAUUAUUUACCUCAUUCGGAUUUACGUUUUUUGUAUGAAGAAAAAACGGUUUUCAAAACUGCUCUUAAACCGCUUACAUAUUGCCAAAAAUUUAACUUGAAUCAUGAUAUUGUUGUCCAUAGCUUUCCAACGGUAUAUCGCAAGCCCCAUUUGGACACAUUUUAGCUGAAGUUCAACCUAGUACUCGGGGAAGGUCAAAUGCGUUACUCAGGAAGUUCAUGUUGUGAUCAGAAUAUUAUUCUGAUCCCGUGAUCAGAAUAUAUAUAUUAUGAUAACACCCCCUUAAGAGUCUUAUUCUGCACAUCACUUUCUUAUUAUGCUAACACCGAAUAAACUACUCUACCCACCCACCCGCGCUACAGAGGCAAAAUGAGACAAACUACAAACGAAGGAAAAAAACUACCUACACCUUCCCCACCUCUCGCUGCCCCCCGUGCACCACCUCCUUCUCCCCCGUCGACCCCCUCCCUUCUCCACCUCCCCGGCGACCACCGUGCCGCACCGUCCCGGCCACCACCACACGCCGCCCUGCCCCGUCUCAGCCACCACCACGCGCCGCCCGUUCCCGGCCACCACCACGCGCCUCCCCGCCCCGGCCACCACCUACGCCGUCCCGUCCCGGCCACCGCGGCCACCCCGUCCUGACCACCACCACGCGCCGCCCUAUUCCGGCCCCCAACCACGUGUCGCCCCGCCCAUCCACCCCGGAGCAGCCGCAGCACCUCCAUUGGAUCUGUCGGUGGCUGCUCUGGAUCUGGUGAUGGGGGAGCCCCACCGCCGCCCGGUGCAGGUGGAGAGGGCCUACACCGAACUCGCCACGCCUCGUCGCCCGCAUCAAUGCCCCUCCCCAGCUUGCCUCCUUCCUUCAUCCCGGUUACCAGGGGAUGGCCGGCGUUCUGCGGGGGAUUCAUCCGGUGAUGGUUUUGCUGCGGUUCAUCGAUGGAUUUCCCACGGGAUCUCGCUACUGGGAGGGAAAGGCCUAAGCAGCUCGGUUGCUGCUCCAGUGCAGCUCGGUUGCCGAAGGGAGAGCGGUGGUGACCUGUGAUGGUGGUUGGAUGCCUGGUGGCGCUCCGGCACCCUCCUCCUAUGCCCUUCCUCCACCCUUCUUCGUCGUCGGUGCAAAUUAACAAAGAUCGAGGGUAGCCGUGCAGUUCCUUUCUUGAUUUUGAUUUGCUUCCCUGUUCCUUUUUUCUUGCAGUGCAGUUUCGACGAGCAGGAAGGCAUCGAACAAGAAGAGAUGCUGUUCGGUUGAUGCGCCCAUGCAGUUUGGCUUGACUUCGAGGUGUUGCUCGUUGUGCCAUGGAAUUUUUUAUGUGUUUUAGAUUUUUUUUUCGAGCAGCUCAUCAGGGACGCCGGUGCCUAGCAUUGUGGUUAAGAGUUUAAUUUCAUGUCAGAUUAUCGAUGUAGUGUUUUUUGGUGUGCUGUCAAAAACUCCGUUGUGUUUUGGACCAGUUGGCUAGUCUCCUAUCUGCAGUGCAGUAUUGAUGUCUUGAAUCAAAUUUGUUUGAAGAGAGACAAACAUGUACUUCGCUCCAUUUGUGUAGCAGCUCAUUACCCCUCUGUAUGCAAUUUUUUUCGUGCGUCUGAAAAUGUAACCGACUACAUCAACACUUGCAGUGCGGUUGGUCCUCGGAUGUGGUUCAUUUUUUAGAGUGAUGCCGUUCGCUUGCGCCUAACAUGAAAAGUGCGAUUUUUUUUAGCAAAACAAAAAGAUAGUAAUGCAGCUCACUUCAAUAUAUGUCGUGGUUCACUUGCCCCGUCUCUGCGGUCCGCUCUCGUUCACAUUUUUUUCUAAAAGACAAGAAAACUCGUCUGAGAAAAAUUUACGUCCGACAAAAGAAAUCAUGAAGUUCACUUGACCGUCCUAUGCAGUGCGGUUUUCUGUCUGAAGCAGUGUGCUCAUCAGUCUAAUGCAGUACACAUGAUGAUUUGGGUUUCGCGAAAAACAGAGUGUCUGCAUUUCGAUAAAUUUGAAAUUCCUCUUAAACCGUAAAGAAUUAGAGAUAGUGUUCUACAUGAAAAAGUUGCGUCUCGUCGACAUCUUUCCGACGGUGUAUCAUUUCAGUCAUUCCGACGAGUGGUUUAUUUUUUUUUCGCAAAAAACGUCUGCUGCCUCUCGUCAUCAGACAUACGGUUUUCAAAAUUAACUAAAAACCAUAAGGAUUCUCAAAAACAUUUCAACAUAUGAAAGUUGCGCCUCGUCCGUAGCUUUUCAACGGCGUAUUACACGCCUUGUUUUGACAAACGGUUCAAAAACUGGAGCCAAAACAGUACGAAAAAUUACAAGAAAAUCGAAAAAGCAGAAUUCCGGGAUUUAGCAAAUUCGAAACUGCUCCUAAGCCGUAACGAAUUACAGAAAAUGAUAUAUAUGAAAAAGAUGCGCCUCGAUCAUAUCUUUCCAGCAGCGUAUCAUUUGCUUUAUUCCGAUGAACGGUUUAGAAAAAAUCGCGAAAAUACGCUCGCCGCCACUCGUCGUCCGCCGCGCCGUUUUUGAAACUGCUCUUAAACCGCAAGGAAUCUCGAAAAUUGUUCAACAUAGCGAAGUUGUGCCUAAUCCAUAGCUUUCCAACAGUAUAUUAUACGCCUCGUUCCGAUAAACGGUUAAAACUAUACCGAAAACAGUAUCAGAAAAACACUGUAUGCAAUUUUUUUGACGCGAAGUUCACUAGUCUGUAUUGCAGUGCUUGUCGUCAAACUGAUGCAGUGCGCUUCUGUUGAGCGUGCCGUACCGAAGUGUUAUCAGAAUAACUAUUCUGCUAAUAUUAGUAGAAUAGACCGGCUGUAUAUAUAUAUAUAUCCUACCACCCGGUGGUAGUUACCCUACAAGCAGUGGUAGUUACCACCACUUGCGUUUUGUAUGUUGUAUGUAGUAUCUGUCAGAAACGAGAGCAUGUACGUGUAGUAUGUAGUAUAUAACAAUGAUUAGAUAGUAUAUAUACUAAUUUUUAGGUAGUAUGUACCAUUUUUUGAGUAUGCUCAUUUUUACGUACAAGUAUGUACGUAUUUUAUAAAUAUAACAAAAACUAUGAGCUCAUAUGCAAUUUUUUCAUUUAACUUGCUUUAAAAUAUCUUAGAUAUAGUAUAUGAACACAUUUAAAAUAAUGAAAUAGUAUAUAUAGUAUCACAUGGUAGUAUAUGAGACAUGUGGGGUAACUACCACCGGGUGGUAUGCAUGUGUAUGUGUGAAUUAAUGGUGCGGUUGUGAGACAUUUGAUGAUGCGGGUGGUAAAAUGUUUGGGGCACCUAGGUGCCUGGGCACCUUGAUCGGGUCCAACCCGUUCGUGCAUUGUUUUAGAAUUUUUUAUUUCUUUCCUAGUAUUUGAAUGUAGGACUUUCCAUGUAUGAGAUAUAAUCAAAUGUUUUAAAUUCUUCGAAUUAGUACAUCUCCUUUUUUACUUUCCUUCUCUUAUACAUUUUCAUGCAGACUACGUAUUUGCGACUAUAUACUCAAAUUGAUUCGCUACUGUGGCUUCACAUUUGUGUAGACAUAUAUCCCAAAAAAAGUUAGGUAUCAUACCCACUUUGUAACUACGUAUAAAUACCUAUGUAUUGUUGCGAUCCCUACACAUAAUUUUCACGUGAGGGUAUGUAAUUGUAGAUAAAUAUAUUAAGUAUGCACAUAACUAAAAAUAUAUUGAGUACUCUCAGUUUCGCAUAUCCGUAAUUGUAUUGGGUAUUAUCAAUUUAAAAAUAUAUUUGACGAGUAUAUACCCGUAUAUGUUGACAUAAUCAAAUAAUAUACUCUUUUGAAUACAUACACAUAAAUGGUAUUGGAGACAGACCCCAAAAAUAAUAUAUCCAAAAAUAAAAUACAUCUAUAUGCCUUCAAUGCAUACCAGUAAAUGACAUUUGAGACAUACCCGUAAAUGAUAUUUGAGACAUACCCGUAAAUAAUAUACAAAAAUAAAAUAUAUGUACAAUGUUAUAAAAAAAUUACACAUACUAUGUUUUAAAAAUUAAUUGAUGUAAUUUUAAUGGUGAAAUACCCAAAAAUAAUAUACCCAUUUUGAAUACAUGCCGUAAAUUGUAUUGGAGGCAUACCUGUAAAUAAUAUACCAAAAACAAAUACACCUAUAUGCCUUGAACAGAUACCCAUAAAUGAUACUGGAGAUAUACCCAUAAAUAACAUAUCAAAAACAUAAAUAAAUGUACCCUGUUCUAAAAAAAUACACGUAUAUGCGUUGAAGACAUACCCGUAAAUAAUUUAAAAGAUAUACCCAAAAAUAAAAGAAGUGCAUGUAUAAGAAAGAAAGAAAGAAAUAAGGGCACGUAUAUGGAGCAUGCAUGGCCAUUAAUUGCUGAUUUUAACUCUUCUGCCUAAUGUGAGCAUUAGGUGUCCAUAUGCAACAAUAAUUAGCAAUAAUGUUUCCUAAUAAAAGAGCUAACGGGUCACCCAUUAGUGGCAAUACUCGUUACACAUGCACACAUCUCAAUGUAAUCUAAUGGUUUAUAGGCAAGGUGUCUGGGCACCUAGGUGUCCCAAAUGGCCGUCAUAUAUAUAUAUACACGUAGUUACUCCCACUUUUGUUUAAUGCGUUCUAGGUAGUAUCUAUCAUAUUGUAGAGUAUGUACGCGUAGUAUGUAGUAUAUAAUAAUGUUUAGGUAGUAUAUAUACUACUUUUCUUGUAGUAUGUAUCAUAUUUUGUGUAUACUCUAUUUCACAUACAAAUAUGUACGUAUUUUACAAAUAAAAUAAAACCAUGAGCUCACUUGCAAUUUUUUCUUAUAAAUCACUUUGGAGUAUGUUAGAUAUAGUAUACGAACAUAAUAAAAAUAAUAAAGUAGAGUAUAUACUACCACAUGGUAGUAUAUGAGACAUGGGUGUAGCUACACCUAGUAGUAGGAUGCAUUUUCCCUAUAUAUAUAUAUAUAUAUAUAUAUAAUCGGUUCUACGAGAAAUUCUAUUUAUAUAUAUGCAUAACGUGUAUAAUAUGUAGUAUCAUGAAAAAGCAGCAAACGGAAAAGAAUUAAAUGAAAAACACAAAAUUAAAGGAAAAAUAAAUAAUAAAACCAAAACCUCAAAACAUUUUAGUACCGGUUGGUAACACCAACCCGUACUAAAGCUCUCCCCACACCCGGCCCUGGCUCAUGCCACGUGGUGACCCUUUAGCUGCGGUUCGAACCGAACCGGUACUUUAGUCCCCAUCCUUUAGUGCCAGUUGCAGAAUCGGUACUAAAGCCCCUUACGAACCGGGGCUAUAGCCCGGUUCUGCACUACACUAGUGCAAGCACAAUCAUCUUCAUCAUGCAUCCGAAAUACGCACACUAUUCCGCUAGCACAGAGGCCAUCUUCAACACCUGCUCAUCCCUUUUUUGCUAGUGACUGCAAGAAAGUGCGAUCGAUCACAGUGAAAAGAACUGCUAGUGAAAGACACCAUACAACAAGUGAAUGAUUCUUAUAGAUCAACAUUCAGAGAUAUCACUUACAAACAUUGCCUCGUUUUGCAAUAAAAAUGGGGCGGGGGCAACCCCUUUUCUUCAUAGAAAAAAAGAUCACUUUACUAAGCAAAGGUAGCAAGGAAAUGACACCAAUUAAUCCAGAGAUGCAUGAGAAAUACAAACUACCAAUCCAAAGACACAUGAGUACAAACUACCGAUCCAAAUUCCGAAGAUACGUGAGUCCAAACCAGAGGUACAUGAGUGCAACCGCCAAACCAGAAAACAACUACCAAUUGAGAGAUACACGAGUGCAAAGCACCAAACCAGAGAUACAUGAGUGCAGACUCAGCUAGAGACUGAAGGAGAGUACGGAUUAGCGAGAGAGACUACACCACCAGGUAGCUUAGCAUUCGACGGACUUCUUCGAUGGAGAAUUUGAUGGAAAUGCUUUUUGACGACACUGACCUCUGCGUGUUGCGUGAUGAUCCACACGAGGGUCGUUAGUUCGCCGCCACAGCUGAGCUGCCUGGCAUGAGCAUCCCUGCUGCACCGGAUGGACGCAAACACGAGCACACGCACCCACGCAUUCAGGAUGAACAGCAGCACGCCUUCCAUAUCCCCAAUAGUAAGAUUACUGAAAUCUGGAAGCCAGUAUGCAAGUCUUUCUGCCGUACCUUUGACUUCUUCCAAAGUUGCUACGCUCACUUCAUCUUGUCUAUCCCCAAGGACUCGCCUUAGCAGCACACGGGCAAGUUGAGUUCCAUCCCAGAUGGUGUCACUGGUAUCUGAGUGCUUCAGAAAAUCCGAUUUUUCUUUGGUCAUCCAUUUGGCAAGCUCCUCGUUUGUUGCACAUCCCUCGGUGGCCGCCUUAACCCGUAUCUUCUCCAGCUUAUCCAGAGUCUUUUUGUACAGGUCGCGGACUAUAAGUCCUGGUAGCAUUUUGGUGCGUUUGGUGACGAGGAACAUCAUGUAAUUUGACAUCUGCUUGAUCGCCGUCGCAAGAUCCUCUGUUCCUGUCAUCCAGCUGGGGCUGCACAAGAGGAACACAUCCGUGGCGAUGUGCCAGAUGAGUAUAGCCUCUUGAAGCUCAGGAGGAUAGACUGACUGGCCCCCGCGAUCUUUCCCGACGGUGACGCUGGACUGCUCGGGGUGCGCCACGCGAUCAGGGAACAAAUGCUCGCAUAUGUUACGGAACACCAGCUUCUUGGUAUUGUUUGGAAUCUCACGGCCACUCGACCUCAAGUGGCCGUACAGAUUGUGCCUGUGCUUGUACCUGUUUCUUCCAACAGUGCAAUGGUCCAACAAGUUGUGCUGCCCGAACUUGCCCGCCCAUCUCCUGUAGCUUUUGCGCUCGUUGGCCCAUACACAUGUCCACAAGCACAAGGAGAGCCUGGAAAGACGCAGAGAGAGGACAAUGUGACGGAGCUUCUUCCAUCCUCCACGGCACCAAAAUUCAUGCUUCAACCAAUUGUGUUGCAUAAGUUUGAAGUAUGAAUGUGUCCAGGAUGAUGCUAGUGCUCUGAGCAGCCAUCUCACAUCGAGGAGGAAGGUCGUCCCGAGCAAUAUGUAACUAAUAACUUCAUCUUCUGUCUUCAUGCCCUCUUUGCAUUGGAGGCCAAACAGCAGAAGCGCGGUGGCGGUGAGGAGCGGCGAGGCCAGACGGAUGAGGUAGCCAGGCCAGGUGUGGACCACGGCUGCCUUGGUGUAGAAGAUGUCAUACAUGAGAGAGAGUUCCAUCUCCACCACCUUGCACAUAUUCUGCCAUUGACCCGAGAAGCUGCUUCUGACGGCGGCAUUAUGAUCCAUUUUCCCCGUAUAAUCACAGAAGGCCCCCUUGCAGAUCUCGAACAGGUCAUGAGCAACCAACAAGGCUUCCUCAUCUUUCAGAUUCUUGACCCCAUCAUCAUUUCUGAAGAUACUGACAAGUGGUUGCUGCUUCCUAAAUGACCUUCGAAUGCGGCUCAUGCCGCAUAGCCAUAGCGCCACCCCACUCUCAAUAUACUUGAAAAGGCCCAGCGGUAACAUGAUGAAGGUCGCCUGACGCAACAACCCAGGAUUGCAGUUGGAGAGUAUAUACCUGUGCACAAUAAGAAUGGAUCCCAGGGACUGCAAGGGAACAAACACGAUCACGCGCAGCCAGAGAUCAUUGUCCUCGAUGGUGUAGGCGCUGAUGUUGUCCGGGCGGGCGUUGUGCAGCAAUAGGAACGGCACCCAGAAGGCGAUGAUCAUCUUGUCGCACGGUUUGGUUUCAAGGUACAGGUUGCCGAUGACAUAUGCCGGCCCCCACUCGGUCAACUGGUAUGCCAACCACAAUAACCCUCUCUUCCAACCUCUGUCUUCACGCCGUCGGCUGUCGGAGAAGACGGCGAGGAUAAGAUACAUGAGUAAGCUGAGAAGCGGCACUAUCCGGAACACUUUGGAACUCAACCAGUUCACACAAUCUUCCACCCAUGCUAGAGCCAUUUUGCUACCUCCUGCGGGCGCGUCAAUCAAGAUUAGUUUGUUACACUGGUAUUACGUAUGAAAGCAUGCAUCUAGUAUGUGUUGCAGCAUGCUAGAGAGAGGUUAAUUAAUAAGGUACAAAAAACAGGAUAAAGCAGGACAUACCGGCAUGCAGCAGCUAGCUAGGCAGAUUGAUGCUUCAACCUUCCGUUCGAGACUGCAGGCAAGACUUGUUCCUGAGUCCUGUCUCUAGAGAUGGGACUGGCAUAUGGGCAGUUCUAAGUUGAUCACUGACAGUGAUAGCUCGCUCGCAGAGAGUUUCCUAACCAGGUUCAGUACCUCUUAGUAUUGUGCUGGACCAUUAAACUAUAGCUAUUCCCAUCAAGAUUCGUUUGAAGUCCUAAGAAAUAAUACAUGGUUGUUAGGGAAAGUCCGCUUUGCCGGGGGUUGUUGUCGAUCUGAACUAAGUAUGUCAGUGUUCACCAGAUCCGAUCUGCAAAAUUCGCACUACUUACUGGGACAGCUGAUCAACAGUGUUCUUAAUUCCACUACCUAGUACACACCCUACCUAGUACACACCAACAGCCACAAACAGAAACUAGCGACGAAUAAGCUAAGAACCACCAAGGAGACAGUGCACAUCACAUGCUUGCACAUGCACUGAAACCACGAUAAGUAUAUGUAUAUCUGCCUGGCUAUCUUGCCCUAUAAUGGAUAAGCUACGGACUACGGUUCUUAUCCAGCUAUAAGCAAAGAAUUUUUUUGCUUAUUCCCUCACAAACCACUAGUUUGAUGAUCUCUGACAUUCUUUUCAUAAGUGGCAAAUAGGCACACUAGAAACUGCAGUGGCAAAAAUCUGUGAGAGCACUCACCCAAAUCAGUUAAGUGGUGCUUGGGCAUAUGCAGGAACUCGGCAAUACUACUGUUCCCGGUCAUACCGGCGACCACGGCACACAAAACACAAAAUUACGGUCAUACCAAUGCGUUGCGGUCCUCCUCUCGGCAAACCGCCUCAGGGACCAAGCGUGGAAGGGCGCCGCCGCCUUGAUGCCCUACUCGGCGGUCGGCUCGGCGCACGCAGGGGAGGGCGAUGCCCUCUUGGCCUCCCCUGUAGGAUUCAGAACCGGGAGGAUUGGCGGGGAGUGGCGGCGGACAGGCCGACGGUAGGGGGGCCGCCAUCGCCGGUUGCCUGGUCUGGUGCCGCCGUACGGGGGAGGCAGCACCGCAGCAUGCGGAUAAAUGAUGUUUCCCUUUCUCCUCGAGUGAAUCUCACAGCACACCAAUUUCAGCAUGUUUGAUUUUUUAUUUUUUAAGUUUUCAGUCAUAAAACCUUUUUUUUUGUGCGAUUGAUUAUUACAAGUUCCCAAAUCUGCAUGAAAUGUCAAAAUUGACCGGCAAGGCUCACUUUUCAGGCCUUAGUUACAAAAUCAUUGUUUAAUUUUCAAUAACUUUGAAUUUUGAACCAAGAUCCAAUUAAAUUUGUACAGAAAAACUUUAAACUAAUUUUCAUGAAAACUGUUUUAUGUUGAAAUUUAGGUAACAAGCUUACCAAUGAUCAUUCUCUCAGAGUCAGACUGCUCAUUUAAAUGAGUUAAAACUCUUCCAGAAUAGUCACUCCAAUGAGUAUGAUUUUUUUCUAGAAACCAUAACAAGCCACCCCAGGAAUUUUGGCUGGAAGAGUCCUGUUUCUAGAGAGAGUAUUGGCAUAUUGGCAGUUCUAAGUUGAUCAUUGAUAGUGAAUAGUGAUAAGUUCGCUCGCAGAGAGUUUCCUAACCAGGUUCAGUACUUUUUAGUAUUUUGUGCUGGCCCAUUAGACUAUAGCUAUUGCCCAUCAAGAUUCGCUUGAAGUCCUAAGAAAUAAUACAAGGUUGUCAGGGAAAGUCCGCUUUGCCGGGGGUUGUUGUGGAUCUGAACUAAGGAUGUCUGUUUGGCAGAUCCGAUCUGCAAAGUUCGCACUACUUACAGGGACAGCUGAUCAACAUGUUCUUUAAUUCCACUACCUAGUACACAUCCACUACCUAGUACGCACCAACAGCCACAAACAGAAACUAAGGACGAAUAAGCUAAGAAUCACCAAGGAGAUAGUGCACAUCACAUGCUUGGACAUGCACUCAACCUAAGACGAUAAGUAUAAACAAAAGAAUCUUUUUCGCUUAUUCCCUCACAAACGCUUGCUUUGCUGCUCUGACAUUCUUUUCAUCACUGGCAAUAAGAGAAAAAUGUAGUGGCAAACAUCUCCCAGUUCUGUGAGUUGCAUCUAUGAGAGCACUCGUGGUGCUUGGGCAUACGCAGGAACUCGGCAUACUCCUGCUCACGGUCAUGACGGAGACCGCGGCACGCGAAAUCUUGAACAAUCGGAGAAGGGCACAGGAUUAACGGCCAUACCGCUGCGUUGCGGUCCUCCCCGCGGCCAGCCGCUUCAGGUCAGGGACCGAGCGCGGAAGGGCGCCGCCGAUGCCCUCCUCGGCGCAGUUUUCCUUGGCCUUCCCUAUAGGAUGCGGAACCAGGAGGUUGGGCCAGGAGUGACGGCGCGGACGGUCCGACGGGAGGGGCGCCGCCAUCGCUGCCCGCCUGGUCCGGUGCCGCCGUACGGGAGGCAGGGCAGCAGGCCAACAAAUGAUGUUUCCCGUUCUUUUCGAGUGAAUCUUACAUCACCCUAACUUUUUUGUACAGUAAAUAUAUAAUUCAAUGAAUAAAUUUAAUUUUGUGCUAAUGAUUAUCACAGGAUCUAGGGACAAAAUUGACGCAAGGCUCACCUGUCAAGCCUAGUGACAAUAAUGGCAUCUCAAGAAUAUCAUUUACUUUGAAAUAACUUUAGAAUUUCAAACCAUGAUCCAAUUAGUUUUGGACAAAAAAACAUUAAACUGAUGAUUCUCUCAAACAGUUAUCCGAAUGUGUGUGUGUGUGUGUGUGUGUUUUUUUUUGAGGGAAGUUAUCUGAAUGUGUUGAAACCAGACAGGACCUGGAAUCCAGGACAGAAAGACCCUCUUCAACCGGAGCCCCCACUCUCAGUACAUAGUUCCAGGACUCGGAACAUAUGUGAGGCGGAUUUGGACCGCCCGAACGCGUCCAGUCUAGAACCAUAAAAAUACAAAGCACGAUCUGCAUGGAAGCUCACCGGUCCACCUGUCCGCCUUCAUGGCGUGCAGUCCGCACUGCAGCUGGUAACACCUACUCCCUCCGUCCGGUGAAGAGUGUAUGUUUGGGUUUCAAUUUGUCCACAAAAAAGUGUACACCCAUCUUCUCAAUACACUUUAAAGUAAAAAAAAAACGCUUCUCUCUCAUCACAUGGUAUUCAAGACCAAUAACAUUCUAUACAUGGUCUUUUAAUUUCUACAUGCACUUAACUCAUUGAAGGUUGAAUAAUUAAAGAGGAGAGAGAUGGUGGCUUGCACAUUUUCAAUGCAUUUUUUACUUCACUCUAUAAUUUGUCCUAAAAAUUUUAUAUGUACAAUUUUUACGGGACGGAGGGGGUAGGCUCGGAGGAGGAGGGCAUAAAGGUUGAACCUAGCGCCGGGUUCGAGGUGGUCGAUGUCACAACAGACAAACGGCGGCGACAUCCGCCUCCUCUUAGUUGAGGAGCAAUUCCGUGGAUGCAACACCCAACACGUGGAUGAUGCCGCCCUUGCCAAGCUUGUCAAUGACCCCACCAUCGUCAUCGAGAACCGCUCCAUCCUUGAGUCCGAAUGGGUGGUGGCGAGAAUCGCCCGAGAUACGCCUCCGCAAUGUCAAGCUGAAGCAACUCUCCCGCGUGCGGGGGGAGGGGGGCGCAAUGAUAAGGAGAUGUCCUCGAUUCGCCCGUGCCGCCAAUGACACUGAGGCCGGCGGAGCUCUCCUCUGGCGAGGAGCAGGGGUAAGAGCAUCUCCAGCCGUUGGCCCCCCAGGGGGCUCGAAAAAUUGCCGCCUGGGGGCGACCCGGCAAAAAAUCCGGCUUGGAGCCGAUAGGUUCCCAGCCGCCGGCCCCAGGGACGACCCAGAAGAUUUUUUAAUUUUUUUUAACAUACAUUCAGCUAUAAUUAGGCAAACGGGCAUAAACUUCGGCGACUUAAACAUUUUUUACAUAGAAAAAUUUAAAACUAAAAGCCUAGACUACAGGAAGAACGUGCUGAGCGCGGAAAAGUCCUCGUCACUGUCGCUGCCAUCGCCGUUGUCCUCGCUGUCAUCCUUCUCCUCCUUGACACGGCCGCCCCUGCUGGACCCCUUCCCGGGGUCGCCCCGGCGGACCGGUGGCGGCGCGUCGUCGUCGUCGUCGAGAAUGACGACGCCUCCCUCGUCGCGGCCACGGCGCCGAGCGAAGUACUGUUCUAGGGCGCGACACUGGCGCUCUAGCUCCAUCCGCGCCCAAUCCUCGCGCGCCCACUUCAAGGCCGCCUCCUCAGAGAGGCCCGACUCCGUCUUCACCGCGGCGAGCCCGGGCUCCGUCUUCGGCCUGACGAAGCGGGGAGGAGACGAGGAGGUGGCGCGCCCGCCAUCGUUGAUGAUGAUGACGGCGUUGCGUGUUCGCUGGCCGAGCGGCGUCUCGGCGGGCUCGGCCUUGACGUUGAGCAGCGCCGGCGACCCCGAGGAGGAGGAACGGGAGGAGGAGGAGGAAGAGGACGUCGUCCUCCUCGGCAUCCACUGGUCGCCGCUCCGGGCCGGGGCGGGAGGGUACGUCAAGGGCGGGUCGUUGCCGCCCUCGAGGUGCCGGGGGACGGCGUGAAGCAAGCGGCCGGGGGCGCCUCACCACAGGUGGCGCCCCUCGCUGUUCUUGUUGCCCCUCACCACCGGCGCCCCGUUGGUGGAGGUGGUCCGCUGCACCUGCGGGUGCUGGAAGUACGCCGCCCACGCCUCAUGGUUGGCGUCGGCGUACUGCGGGAGGGCCCUCCAACCCCCCGUCCCGGCGCGCAUGUCGGGAGGCGUCGGGAUGUUGGCCUCGAAGAGAAAGUACGCCUCCCACUCGUGAAGCGAGCGCUGUCCGAAACGAUUGGCCGCCGCCCAAUCGCCGGGGAAUCGCUUAGCCAUCGUCGCGACUGGACACGGGGAGAGAGGCGGCGGCUGCACGCUGGGAGAGAGGCAGAGCUCGGCGGUGGCUGUGAGCGGGUGUGUCCAGAGGCGAGGGAGAGGCAUUUCUUUUAUAGCUUGGUGCCAUGUGUAUGCGUGGCGGGAGGGGGGCGUCGCCGCGCCACCUGUGAGGAAUCAAUGAAAGGCUGACCGGCGGCAGCCUUGCCAUUGAUUCCCCAUGGGAAACCGAGGCGUUGUGAGGACGACGAGGCGAGUGUCGCUGACUCGGCUGGCUCGCAGUGCGUUUGCACCAAAAUUGCUCGCCCCGGCGCCCCCGGGCGCCCCCCCCCCAGCGCGCUGGGUUCGGCCUGGGUACGCUGGCGCUAAUUUUGGUCCAAACCGGCGAAAAAUAGGUGGGCCAGUUUUUGGGCGUCGGCGCGGAAAAAUCUCCUGGGGAGGGCCUGUUGGGGGCGCGGCUGAAGAUGCUCUAAUGUUAAGUUCGUUUUAUGCAUUUUUUCUUUUCAUAUGUCCUAGUAUGUAGUAUGUGUUAGAAGGGAGAGAGGGGUUGGGUGGAAUAGUUGUUUGUAUUGCUUGAGCCUCGUGGGCAUAUAUAUAUAUAUAUAUAUAUAUAUAUAUAUAUAUAUAUAUAUAUAUAUAUAUAUAUAUAUAUAUAUAUAUAUAUAUAUAGGAGUACAAAGAUCAACUUGGAGUACAAGACAAGGCAGGACCAAAUCCUAGUCUAUCCUAUACUUCCUAAUAAUCCUUAUACUCAAUAUCCCCCCGCAGUCACAACGGUAGCAACAUAGACGAUGAGACUCGAGAAGAAUCCGAAGGCAAGCCGACGGACACACCCCCCACACAGUUGUAACGGUCGAUGCAUCGCGGAGUCAUGGCUGAACCGACGAGGUUGCUCAAGCAUGCGGUAGCUGAUACGUCUCCAACGUAUCUAUAAUUUAUGAAGUAUUCAUGCUGUUAUAUUACCUGUAUUAGAUGUUUAAUGAGCUUUAUUAUACACUUUUAUAUUAUUUUGGGAUUAACCUAUUAACCGGAGGCCCAACCCAUAUUGCUAUGUUUUUUGCCUAUUUCACUGUUUCGAAGAAAAAGAAUAUCAAACGGAAUCCAAAAGGAAUGAAACCUUCGGGAGAGUUAUUUUUGGAAUGGAAGCGAUCUAGGAGACUUGGAGUUGAAUUAAGGGAAGCUUCGAGGUGGCCACGAGGCAGGGAGGCGCGCCCUACACCCCUGGGCACGCCCCCCAUCCUCGUGGGCCCCUUGUGGCUCCCCUGACCGACUUCUUUCGCCUAUAUAUGUCCAUAUACCCUAAAAACACUAAGGAGCACAAUAGAUCGGGAGUUCCGCAGCCGCAAGCCUCUAUAGCCACCAAAAACCAAUCGGGACCCUGUUUUGGCACCCUGCCGAGGGGGGAUCCCUCACCGGUGGCCAUCUUCAUCAUCUCGGUGCUCUCCAUGAUGAGGAGGGAGUAGUUCACCCUCGGGGAUGAGGGUAUGUACCAGUAGCUAUGUGUUUGAUCUCUCUCUCUCUCUCUCUUGUUCUUGAUUUGGCACGAUCUUGAUGUAUCGCAAGCUUUGCUAUUAUAGUUGGAUCUUAUGAUGUUUCUCCCCCUCUACUCUCUUGUAGUGGGUUGAGUUUUCCGUUUGAAGUUAUCUUAUCGGAUUGAGUCUUUAAGGAUUUGAGAACACUUGAUCUAUGUCUUGCCGUGCUUAUCUGUGGUGACAAUGGGAUAUUCACGUGAUCUACUUGAUGUAUGUUUUGGUGAUCAACUUGCGGGUUCAAUGAACUUAUGCAUAGGGGUUGGCACAUGUUUUCGUCUUGACUCUCCGGCAGAAACUUUGGAGCACUCUUUAAAGUACUUUGUGUUGGUUGAAUAGAUGAAUCUGAGAUUGUGUGAUGGAUAUCGUAUAAUCAUACCCAUGGAUAUUUUAGGUGACAAUGGAGUAUCUAGGUGACAUUAGGGUUUUGGUUGAUUUGUGUCUUAAGGUGUUAUUCUAGUAUGAACUCUAUGAUAGAUUGAACGAAAAGAAUAGCUUCAUGUUAUUUUACUAUAGACUCUUGAAUAGAUACAUCAAAAAGGAUAACUUUGAGGUGGUUUCGUACCCUACCAUAAUCUCUUCGUUUGUUCUCCGCUAUUAGUGAAUUUGGAGUGACUCUUUGUUGCAAGUUGAGGGAUAUUUAUAUGAUCUAAUUAUGUUAUUAUUGUUGAGAGAACUUGCACUAGUAAAAGUAUGAACCUUAAGCCUUGUUUCCUACCAUUGCAAUACCGUUUACGCUCACUUUUAUCACUUGUUACCUUGUUGUUUUUAUGAUUUCAGAUUACAAAUACCUUUAUCUACCAUCAAUAUUGCACUUGUAUCACCAUCUCUUUGCCGAACUAGUGCAUUGAUAAACUGAAAGUGAUAAAGAAAACUUCUACAAACUCUAUUUGCUCUUGUUGUUGUAAAUAUGUAAAGCCAACAUUCAAGUUUUCAGCAAAGAUUAUUGUCGGUGUCAAAACCGGCGGAUCUCGGGUAGGGGGUCCCGAACUGUGCAUCUAGGCGGAUGGUAACAUGAGACAAGGGACACGAUGUUUUACCCAGGUUCGGGCCCUCUUGAUGGAGGUAAAACCCUACGUCCUGCUUGAUUGAUAUUGAUGAUGUGGGUAUUACAAGAGUAGAUCUACCACGAGAUCAAGGAGGAUAAACCCUAGAAGCUAGCCUAUGGUAUGAUUGUUGUUCGUCCUACGGACUAAAGCCAUCCGGUUUAUAUAGACACCGGAAAGGGCUAGGGUUACACAGAGUCGGUUACAAUGGUAGGAGAUCUACAUAUCCGUAUUGCCAAGCUUGCCUUCCACGCCAAGGAAAGUCCCAUCCGGACACGGGAUGAAGUCUUCAAUCUUGUAUCUUCAUAGUCUUGGAGUCCGGUCGAUGAUGAUAGUCCGGCUAUCCGGACACCCCCUAGUCCAGGACUCCCUCAGUAGCCCCUGAACCAGGCUUCAAUGACGACGAGUCCGGCGCGCAUAUUGUCUUCGGCAUUGCAAGGCGGGUUCCUUCUCCGAAUAAUUUAUAGAAGAUUGUGAGCACCAGGAUAGUGUCUGGCUCUGCAAAAUAAAUUCCACAUACCACCGUAGAGAGAAUAAUAUUUACAUAAGUUCAAUCUGGUGACGUAUUUGGUGGCGUGACGUCACACGACUACCAAGCCUUUACUCGUUUUUAUUGUACCACCUCAGCGUGUUUAGUGAAGCGGUUUCCUUGGCACAUCUUGUCGAAGCAGAGAUCGUGUCCCCCUUAUUCCGGGAUUCUCAUCAAUACGGACAUGGGUAACCCAACCGCGCCCGUUGCCACGCCCCCUCCAUCGAAGGCGGGUUCCAAACGGUCACGGGGACGGCUCUUGGUAUUCUCCCUCUUUAUAAUGAGACCAAGGCCCGUUCUUUUUCUUCAAUCCUCAAUCGAAUCCGCCCCUCGCCCCGAGUUCCAACAUCCCGGGCUCCAGAUUCGGGUACUUUCGACCUUCGACAAUGUCCGGCUCCGACCUACGAGGCCGGUGGAUGCCCUCCUCCGUCACGGAAGAGGACGUGCUAAAGCUGAGAGACGCCAGGUACUUAACCUACGAGAUUUCGCAUAGGUUGCCUUCCCUAGGGCAAGUUAUUCCUACUCCCGAGCCCGGCGAGAGCAUCGUGUUCGUGUCUCACCUCUGUCGGGGUUUAGGCUUCCCGAUGGAUCCCUUCGUGAGGGGGCUCAUGUUUUACUAUGGGCUGGAAUUCCAUGACUUGGCUCCGGAGUCCAUCCUCCACAUCUCAUCAUUCAUUGUCGUCUGCGAAGCCUUCCUCCGCACUACCCCUCACUUCGACUUGUGGCUCAAAACCUUCAACGUGGAGCCGAAGAUGAUUGAGGGGCGUCAGGCAGAGUGCGGAGGGGCGGUUAUAAGCAAGAGGGCCGAUGCUCCAUGGCCCGAGGGCUCUUUUCAGGAGGAGCUCGGCUUGUGGCAACACGACUGGUUCUAUAUCACCGCUCCCAGGGGCAACAGGCAGAGGCCGCCGCCCUCCUUCCGCUCGGGCCCUCCACAACGGCUGACGUCAUGGGUCAACAAGGGGCUUGACUGGGGGCCGUCCAAAGACGUACCCCUGUUGCAGGACCGGAUUCGAGGCCUCCAAGAAAGGGAGAUCAAUCUGGUCGUAGUGGCACAUGUUAUGCUGAUUUGGCGCCUUCUGCCCUGCAAACGUCGCCCCCUCCGCCUGUGGGAAUUUAAUCCAGAGGGGCCACGAGCUCUCCAGCACUUCAUGGGUUUGACACCCGCGGAGAUGUACAAACUGUUCUUCGGAUCGCAAGAGAUGCGUCCGGACUUGACCGAGGAUGCUGGCCUAAGCUGCAAUCGCCCGGAUACUCAAGUAAGUAGCCCUGUGUCCGGACACAUUGUCCAUUUAUUUAUCAUGGGUUUGCCUUUUAACUAGCUAUCCCUUGGACAGGAGUGGAUAGCGCAAGAAAAACUGAUACGGUGUCCGGCCCCCCUCCCUGAGACCACGCCGGAUCCCGUGUUAGUCAAAAUGAUGGAGGUUGCACCUUCGGAGGAGGGCGAAGGGGGGCACAAGGAAACUACCAUCUCUGCCGAGGAGGCUUUCAGUAAGGGGGGAAUCGAGAAUCCCUCCUUCCAGGGGGAGAAGAGGACCGCUUCCGAAGACCCGGAGGCCAAGGCCUCAAAGCGGGGAAAGAAAUCUGCACCGGAAGGUCCUGUGCCGGGAAGAGCCCCGGCCGCACCGUAUCCCCAGAGGAAUCAGCCCUCCAGCGAGCCGUAAGUAAAAAAGGGGGAAUUUUGUAAUAGGGGACACCCCUACUUUAUUUCUAAGGGUAACCGAAGUUUUCACCUUGUAGUUCGGAUCUCAGCCCAUCUCAGUAGAGCUCAUCUUCGGGGGACCUUCGUCCGGAGAUGAUGGAGAGCGAAACACCUCCAUCUACCGCCCCGUCGGGCGGGGCGGACGACCCUGAGGUGUCGUCACGGAGGGUCUCCCCAAGUCCGGCGGGGCCGGGGAGUUCGGCACCCACUGGAGUACGGCCGGUGGAGCUGCAGGAUUUGCUCAAGAGGGCGUCUACCUCAGAAGAUCACCGCACAUUAAUGAGCAUGGUGAUUGAAAGGAUCUCAUCCGCCGAGAGCGGGUUGUAUGAGGCCGUCGGAAGUUUGCUGACGGGGUUUGAGGUACGCAAAAAAUGACAUACCUUUUGACAGUUUUGCACAUGGAGUGCGCCCUGUAUAGAUAGUAGCCCCUGAGACUUGGUAUGCUGUCGAAAACGAUAGCGUGCCGAGGAUCAUAAUCUCAGUUAUAGAAUGUCGCCUUUCCUAUGCAGGUGGUGGAACGUUCGGUGGCCAGCCGGACUGAUGGAGUUGCCGAGCUGAAGAGGCAACUUGACAUUGUGGAUGCGGACAUCGCGCUGGUCAAUAAACGACUUAAUGAGUCACAAGGUAGGUGGUUGCUCCGCGGUCGCCUAGUAAGGGAGAAGAUGCCCGUUCCUUACAAUUUGUGUGCUUGAUGCAGAUGGUGCCACUGCUGUGGAAGACCUUCGAGCAGAGCUUGCUCGAGCCAAGGAGCAAGCCAGGAAAAGUGAUGCGGCUGCCUCGAAGGCAGUGAAAGAGCUAAAAGCCGAAAAGGCUGCUCACUGCCGAAGCAGGGAGGAGAUGGCCGGAAUGGCCGUGAAAUUAAAAGAUGCUACCGACCGCUAUGAGGUUCUUGAAAGAGAACUCCGAGCGGAGCAAGAGGACCUAAAGAAGGCCGCCGCCGAAGCCAAGGACGCCCGUAGUGCGAUGCGGGCUAUGAAGAGGAACUGCGUCAGGCCGGAGACAUUGCGGCUGGAAAGCCCUUUCUGCUGCGUAGGAAGUUCACGGAUCCGAAAUAUGCUCAGUUGGGCCAAUUGUGUGGUGCGGAGAAUCCUUAUCUCGAUUUGGCGGCGAGUGCGGCGGACGCAGUCGUGCACUUCCGAAGCCAGAAGGAUCACGAAAUGGAAGAGCUUUUCUGGUCUCAAUUCCAUAGUCCGGAGCGUCCACUUCCAUUGAGUGAUCGGCUCGCUGAGUGGGCUGAGCUGAAUAGAUUGUCCGGACUUGCCAUGACGGAUGUGGUCGCUCAUCUGUGGCCGGAAAGGACCAAGCCUGAGAGUUAUUUUGGCUUGUUGCAGCAAUUCCUUGGGGCGGUGCCGCAUAUCGAGGCGAUGAAGCGGUCGGCAUGCAUAGAGGGUGCACGGAUGGCUCUCACCCGUGUUAAGACAUACUGGGCGGAGAUGGAUGCCACCGAUGUUGCAUCCCGCGGUGCGGACAAAAGACGAUUACCCGCCGAGCACUAUUUUGAGGAAGUCCUGCAGGGCGCUCGUUUAAUAGAGUCGCAGUGCUCGAAAGAUGUUAUGUUUAAAUGACAUGUAUGAUUUCUGAGAUCAUGUUUAUAAUGUAACGGAUUUUUAUACUUGUGCGUUCAAGUAUUGAACUAUCUACUGUGCGGCCGUAUAUGUAUGGAUAACCUGAAAGAUGGCAGUUUCUGGCUUCAGCCCCCACACACAUGGUGCGGGGGUGUUUGCAAAAAAGCGCUUUUUCACACUUAAUCCAACGUCUUGGUCCUUUGAAGGAGGUGAUAGCAUAGCAAACUAGGCAACCGGACUAUAAUGCUUUAUCACUUUCACUUAGCCAAAGGAGCUCGAUGGUGGGGCUACUAUAUAGCCCCUAGAGGCACCGCGCUCUCCGAACUCGGGGCACGUAUGUGCCUGACCGGGAAGCGGUCCUUCGUCAAAGCGGAGGAAUUCUAAACAUUCCAGUAGUCGAUCGAGUGGUUGCCCAGUCUCUCGCUAUAUCAUGACAGUCAGUUUUCGGCUUUCUCUACUAAGGUGCCCGCCUGACCUAACCGGGGCACAAUCGCAGUAGUUCUCCUGGUGCCGCGUUAGCCGAUGGAGCGGAAUGUAAGGCAGCAAAACACAGGAGCCGGGCAAACCCAACAUUUGACCAAAGACAUGAUUCGGAGUUGAUGCAUAUAAGGCCUAACUCGAGACGCCGGACACUCCCUGAGGUAUUCGGUCUUUAUGAUACCGGGCAGAACAAUGCCCUAAGCCCCUAGUGUCCAGGUACGGGCGGGAACUUCUGACGCGGCCGAUGCCAAAACGCCAACCUCCUCCUCGGUUAUGGUAGGAAACCGGGGGAUGUGUAUCAACAAGAGACAGUAAGAAAGGUUUACGCAGGGUCUUAAUCUGAAAAGAAUCCUUGCAACGGGUCCCUGCUGCAUGUCUGCGCCUGUGUCUUUGUUGUGCUGUAUCCUGGACGGGUGUAGCACGUGCUUCAUCUGUAAAAGAGAAGAACUAAGUUUGAAAAAAAAUAUCGUGCAAAAGAUGUAUUUAAAAUAAAGUAUGAUUUGGAAGAUGAAUAAAGUUGAGCUUUAUUGGCUCUCAUCGUUUAUACGUGCGACCCCUUGUAAAGAGGUAUGCGGCUGGGAAGCCCCUUGUUUAUUUACGCUGGACUCGCCUAACCGUGUCCGAGGUCUGAAUGACCUGUUUUUAGGGGCUUUGACCUGCAAGGUCGGAUCAGUGUGUGGCUGUCAAGGCAGUCUCACGUUUUCCGUGGUCGAGGAACACUCGGAGUUACCCUUUAAUGAGAUUAUGCCGCAUGGACCGGGCAUUUUAAGCGUAAGAGACACGUAAUGCGGUAUUGCGUUAAAGCGGGCGAAAGCUUCGCGUCCCAGUAGUGCUUGAUGGCCACUUUUGAAUGGGGCGAUAUGGAAAAUGAGCUUUUCGCGACGGAGGUUGUCAGAUGAACCGAACACAACCUCUAGUAGUACAGAGCCUGUACAAUUGGCGUAAAGGCCUGGCGUCACUCCUUUGAAGGAAGUGCUGCUACGGCGAAUUUUGGUAGGGUCUAUCCCCAUUCUGCGGAUGGUGUCCUGGUAUAGCAGGUUUAUAUCACUGCCGCCGUCCAUUAGGACUUGUGUGAAUUGUAGUCCGUUGAUUAUGGGAUCAAAUACCAAAGCAGUCCCUCCUGCAUUUCGAACACUUCUGGAGUAAUCCUGAUGGUCGAAAGUAAUUGGGUUAAACAUCCAAUUUUGGGAUUCUGCUGGGGUGGACCGUGCGGCGCGUAUUUUAGCAGGUGUUGCACUAUUUUUCCUUGUUAUCACAUGAAGUGAGUUUACUGUUUUGACUUCUAGUGGGAAAGUCUUCUGUUUUCUAGCGUGCUACUUGUGGGGUUCGUCGUCUUCGCUUGGUGUGUCGAGCCCCUUGUGUUCGGCGUUAAGUCGGCCGGACUGCUUGAAGACCCAACAAUCUCUAUGGGUAUGGUUUGCAGGCUUCCCGGGGGUACUAUGGAUUUGACAUAUCCUAUCCAAGAUUUUAUUUAGGUUGGAUAGCUCAUCACUCUUGUCCUUAAGAGGUAGUGUUUUAUUAUUCGGCCGAGAGCUUUUGAACCCGGCGUUGACCGCCGUGCUAUUUGGGCCAUUUUCCUUAUUCCGGCGCUGAUCUUUUCUGCGUCGUGAUUUUCCAUUUCCAUGCCUGACCUCAGAUGUACUGGGGUCGCUGGUGCUGCAUCUUGCCAGCCAGCUAUCUUCCCCCGCGCGAAAGCGGGUCAUGAGGCUUGUUCGUGCGGCCAUUGUUCUUGGUUUUUCCUGGCCGAGGUGUUUGGCGAGCCAUUCGUCUCGGACGUUGUGCUUAAAGGCUGCUAAGGCUUCGGCGUCCGGACAAUCGACUAUUUGGUUCUUUUUGGUGAGGAACCUGUUCUAGAAUUUGCGUGCUGACUCUCCGGGCUAUUGAGUUAUGUGACUUAAAUCGUCUGCAUCCGGAGGGCGGACAUAAGUCCCCUGAAAAUUUGCUCAAAACGCAUCCUCGAGCUCUUCCCAACUUCCAAUGGUAUUUUCUGGGAGGCUUUUGAGCCAAUGCCGAGCUGGCCCUUUGAGCUUGAUGGGUAGGUAUUUUAUGGCAUGGAGAUCGUCUCCUCUGGCCAUAUGUAUGUGCAGGAUAUAAUCCUCAAUCCAUACUCCGGGGUCUGUUGUUCCGUCAUAUGCCUCUAUGUUUACGGGUUUGAAUCCCGCUGGAAAUUCAUGAUCCAGUACCUCGUCGGUGAAACAUAGUGGGUGUGCGGCGCCCCUGUAUUUGAGUGUGCCGUUGUCUUCAAACACUCGGCGGGUUGUGUUGCUUCCUGGAGUCUUCUUUUUUGGCCCAUAGAUGGACCUGACCGGGUCAUUCUUUUUGCGAGGAUCUUUAUGUGGAUCGUGUGCCGGCUUGUGUGCGGCGCCCCUUGCCGCUCUUAGCCUGUCAUCUGGUCGUCUAUCCGGCCAGGCAGCCUCUUUCUUUUUUGACUGUGGGGGCUCUACGGCCUCCUCGUCAAAUUCGGGCAACAGCUUGCACUUCGGGUAGCUCUUUGCCUGGUGACUAGCGCCAUAUUUAUCUGUGGUAUUGAGUACUUUGAUCCUUCUCAUUCUGAGUGCGUCCUCCGCUAUUUUUGAGCUUCCCCUUUUGCUUCUUCAAACUUCUUGCAGUGGCGAUGAGCCUUUUAUGAAGGUUCUUAUGCUCCGGUGAUGUGUUCGGCGUGAGAUCGUCUGGGCUCUUGUUUUCGCCAGGGAUGGGUUGCUUGUCCGGUUCAUCUUGUUCGGAUGGUUGCUUGGUGGCAUGUUCAUCGUCCACUGCUUCGCCCUGCUCUAGGGCCGGGUCAGUAUGGGUGUCGUUUUUAUCGAGGCGGGACUUCGGGCGGCGCUUGCGUCGCCGUUUUGGUUGUUUGUUGGGGGAGUUGUCCUUCGCCACGUCCCGUUGUUCCUUGUUAUCGCUUCCUUUUGGUGUAUCCACCAUGUAUACGUCGUGAGUUGGGGUGGCUUUCCAGUGCCCAGUAGGCGCUGGUUCUUGGUCGUCUCCGGCAUCAUUGUCCAUAUCGUCGAUGUCUUCGGAGUCGAAGUCUAGCAUGUCGGUUAGAUCGUCGACAGUGGCUACUAAGUGGGUGGUGGGUGGGUUUUGAAUUUCUUUGUCGUCCGCAUCCCAGUCGUCCUAAUCGUAGUCCGUCCAGGGCUCUCCUAAUAACGAGAGAUACUUUAGCGAACUCAAGAUCUCGCCGAAAGGUGAGUGUUGAAAGAUGUCCGCAGUGUUGAAUUCCAUGAUCGAUGCCCAAUCGGAUUCGAUUGGAGGGGGCGCGGGAGGUUUGGAGUCCGGCGAAGAGUCCGGCACCUCGGAGUCACAAGCUUCAUGAGGGACACGGUCAGUGUUCAGCUCUAUCGCCAUAGAGGUUGCAGCCCCCGAGGCGGUGUCUAGCCACCCGUCCUCGAUCUGCGCGACCGGCUCCAAAUUGAAGAUCGGAGCGGACUCGUGUGCGGCCUCCAGGGUACUGUCCAGCUGCAGAGCUAAAUCAUGCCUGUCGUGACAGUGCGUCGUGCUCGGCUGUGGCUUGAAUCCAUCAAAGAUCAAGUCCCCGCGGAUGUCAGCUGUGAAGUUCAAACUUCCAAAUCUGACCUGAUGGCCAGGGGCGUAGCUUUCGAUCUGCUCCAGAUGGCCAAGCGAAUUGGCCCGCAGUGCAAAGCCGCCGAAUACGAAGAUCUGUCCGGGGAGGAAGGUCUCACCCUGGACUGCGUCGUUGUUGAUGAUCGAAGAAGCCAUCAAGCCGAUCGGUAACGACACAGAGGAACUCUCAAUGAAAGCACCAAUGUCGGUGUCAAAACCGGUGGAUCUCGGGUAGGGGGUCCCGAACUGUGCGUCUAGGCGGAUGGUAACAGGAGACAAGGGACACGAUGUUUUACCCAGGUUCGGGCCCUCUUGAUGGAGGUAAAACCCUACGUCCUGCUUGAUUGAUAUUGAUGAUGUGGGUAUUACAAGAGUAGAUCUACCACGAGAUCAAGGAGGCUAAACCCUAGAAGCUAGCCUAUGGUAUGAUUGUUGUUCGUCCUACGGACUAAAGCCAUCCGGUUUAUAUAGACACCGGAGAGGGCUAGGAUUACACAGAGUCGGUUACAAUGGUAGGAGAUCUACAUAUCCGUAUUGCCAAGCUUGCCUUCCACGCCAAGGAAAGUCCCAUCCGGACACGGGACAAAGUCUUCAAUCUUGUAUCUUCAUAGUCUUGGAGUCCGGUCGAUGAUGAUAGUCCGGCUAUCCGGACACCCCCUAGUCCAGGACUUCCCCAAUUAUGAACUAACCAUAUUCACAAUAACACUUAGGUCUCAUGUUUACUCAUGUCAAUGGCAUAAACAACUAGAGAGCAAUAAUAAUAAAACUCGUAUGACAACACUUUCUUAAAACAAUCAUAAUAUGAUAUAACAAGAUGGUAUCUUGCUAGCCCUUUCUGAGACCGCAAAACAUAAAUGCAGAGCACCUUUAAAGAUCAAGGACUGACUAAACAUUGUAAUUCAUGGUAAAAGAGAUCCAGCCAUACCCAAUAUAAACUAAUAGUAAUGCAUGCAAAUGACAGAGGUGCUCUCCAACUGGUGCUUUUUAAAAAAGAGGGUGAUGACUCAACAUAAAAGUAAAUAGAUAGGCUCUCCGUAGAGGGAAACAGGGAUUUGUAGAGGUGCCAGAGCUUAAUUUUUGAAACAGAUAUAAUAAUAUUUUGGGUGGUAUACUUUCAUUGUCAACAUAACAACCAAGAGAUCUCGAUAUCUUCCAUGCUACACACAUUAUAGGCGGUUCCCAAACAUAAUGGUAAAGUUUACACUCCCCCUCCACCAACAAGCAUCGAUCCAUGGCUUGCCCGAAACAACGGGUGCCUCCAACUAACAACAAUCCUGGGGCUGUUUUGUUUCUAGUUAUUUUGAUUUGAUUUUAGCAAGGGACUGGCACUACAGAAAAAUACACUUCCGUGAUGAUACGUGUUUGUCACAGUAGGUCGCGUUUUUUGUCAUGCAUGUACAUCCAUGAAAAAUUUAUGACAGAAUCAAGAUAGUCAUACCUGUGCUAUCGUAGAAGUGUUCCAUGACAUUACCAAAAUUGUCAUCACGGGAGUGUCCAUUUCCAUGACGAUAAAUCGCGCGUCACAGAAGUGCUUUCGUCAAGGGUGACCGACACGUGGCAUCCACCGUAACGGAACGGCCGUUAAGCUAUCGGGUCGGGUUUUGGAUCCGAUAACCCGUUAACAGCCCCGAUCAAUGGGGAUUUUCCACGUGUAAAAUCAUCAUUGGCUCGAGGAAACACGUGUCGGCUCAUCGUUGGGACAGAUGUCAUCCGCUCAUUGGACCGAAGGCGCCUAUGAUACGGCGACACGUUGCAUGGCCCAACAGAGGCCCAUUCAUGUGAAAAGGCCGACCUGUUUGACUUGGUCAAAAGGUGGCGGGCCGGCCCACGGAAAGCCUGUUAACGGCCUGUUUGCAUAUAGCCCAUUUACAACCCGCUAACCCAGGGCCCGUUACGCCCUAUCCGAAUUAGGCCCAGUAGCGUCAUCUGGGCCGUCCAAUAUGAUUCAGCCCGUUUUAACUUCCGGCCCAUGUGUAGCCCAUGAUUCUUUCGGCCCAUAUGAGGACCUUUGUGACUCUUGGCCCAUUAACGGCCCAUGGUGAAACUGGCCCAUAAUGAACAGUGUAUCACUUUAUACCCAUUAACAGCCCGUUAUUCCAUUGGGCCGUUUCCAGCCCAAGUUAUCUUUCAGCCUUCUCAGGGCCCAUUAAUUCUUGGGCUCACUUGCAGCAUUCGGUUACAUAUGGCCCGUUACUGUCAUUUUCUGCUUGUGGGCCAAAUUCAGCCCGUCGUUACAGUCGGCCCGUUUGUGGACCGUUAAUAUGUUGGGAAGUUUUCAUGUAAAAAAAACUCGUUGGGUUGUUUUCAUAGAGUUAUCAAAUACGACCUAUUAACGACCCGUUAUGGUCCACGAAUAGUAUGGCCCAUGAUUGGCGAAAUGAUGAUACACCCCGUAGAAGGCCCAUGGAUCCUACGGCCCGUAUGAGGCCCAUGGAUAGUACAGCCCGUAGAAGGCCCAUGGAUCGUACGGCCCGUAGAAGGACCAUGGACCCUACGGCCCGUAGAAGGCCCAUUGAUCCCUAAGGUCCGUAUAGAAGGCCGAUGGAUCCUACGACCCGUAUAGAAGGCCAAUGGUCCUACGGCCGAACGAAGGCCCAUGGAUCAUACGGCCUGCAGGAGGCCCAUGGUUACAACAGUCCGUGUGUUGCCAUGAUUAUUUUGGCCUAGUUACCAAAAAUAGGCUAUUGUGGCCACUAGAAAAACACAGAAAAAGAACUGAAGUGACUGCAAGCAAACAACUAAACAAGACAAUAAGGAAAUAAAUAAGCAAGCAAUUAAGGCUAGCCUAUUACCGCUAUUACACAUAUUACAUCCACUGGGCAUCAAAGUUUGCCACCAGUGCAAAUAUAGGGAACAAAGCAGCAUAUUACAUACACUGGCCGUCAAAAUUGGCCACCAGUGCAAAUAAACGCAGCCGCAAAACAAGAGCAUAACUGAAACAACUUCAAAAGAGCUCAAGAAACAUUAUCCUGGGUAUCCACCAUGCUGGCAAUAAGCUUAGAAAGCUGAUUAGCUUUGUCCUGUUUGGCGCUAAUAUCCUCCAACGCUUGCUGUUGCACCAGAAAGUAUGCAUCUGAAUGCUCCAGGGACUUACGCAGUCCUUCCGCUUCUUGUUGCGGCACAACUGAUCGAUGUCUUUCAGCUUGUAGUUGAGACUCAAGAAACCGAACUGAUUCAGACAGUGAGUUUGAAUAUCUUGUGCAAGAGGUAGUGGCCAGUAACUCGAACACUAAACCAAGACAUGACUUUGGGGUUGUCUCGCUGUCUUCAAGAUAGUCUUCCUUCACUGUUUUAUUAGCUUUGUUGGAGACCAACAAGGAUGUGUCACUAUCCUGAACCUUAUCUACAUUACUUACUUUACCAUUGCUUAAUAAGGCACUCUUCCCCAAUAUUCUGUCAACAUUCUAAAAGAAGAAACAAGCAGACACAUAACAAGUUUAGCAUGUACUAGUAUAUGGAACUCAUUUCGGUGAACCAGCUCAUUAGUAAGGUGGACAGGAUUAAACUACCAAGUCUUCUAUUUCCAAGUACUAGUACAUAAUAAAAGCAUCAAACAAACAUAUAUCUAUGUCCUAUGGUCACUGUAUUGUCUUGCCAAAUCAAAAUAGAGAAACGGUUCAAAUCAUAUCAGUUCAAGACAAAGCAGCAGUGAAAGAAUACAAAGUGUGGGAAACUACACGGCACAACAAGAUUUCAGAUGGGUACCAUGGGUCUACAUGUACAACAACACUAUUGGCUCUGUUGUGAUGCUAGUAAUGUGCAUGAUAUGAAAGUUAACUAUAUACACAAUUGAAAUUGAAAUCAAAAGAGCUAUUGAUAAGAGCAAACCUGUUAAAGAAACAUGCGUGAACAUACCUGAUGUGCUAUUGGAGUUUCGAUUGGAUCCUUCAAUUUAAAAAUAAGUUUGUAUCAGUAAAUGCAGUGAUACCAGGGAGGGCCUGCAGUUCAUCUUCAGCCUGCACCCCCUGAGCCGCCAGCCACCACCGGCCGAACCGCCGGCCCCAGCGCCGCCUCGCCGCCCCGAAACAAGUUGCCACCACCGCCCCGUCCAGCCCUCUAGGCCCCCCACCCCCACCCUAAAACCUAAGAUAGAUAGUGGGAUACCUCUCCGGCGAGCCCUCGUUCCUGAUGCGGGUGGUUUUUCCUUAACUCCGGCGAGCCNNNNNNNNNNNNNNNNNNNNNNNNNNNNNNNNNNNNNNNNNNNNNNNNNNNNNNNNNNNNNNNNNNNNNNNNNNNNNNNNNNNNNNNNNNNNNNNNNNNNNNNNNNNNNNNNNNNNNNNNNNNNNNNNNNNNNNNNNNNNNNNNNNNNNNNNNNNNNNNNNNNNNNNNNNNNNNNNNNNNNNNNNNNNNNNNNNNNNNNNNNNNNNNNNNNNNNNNNNNNNNNNNNNNNNNNNNNNNNNNNNNNNNNNNNNNNNNNNNNNNNNNNNNNNNNNNNNNNNNNNNNAGUGUGGCUUAAUCGGGGCAGAGCAGCAGCACGAGCGAGGGGGAGAGCAGCAGCAGCAGCAGCUGGGUGAGCGAGCGAUCGAGUGAGAGCUGGACCAGCAGUAGCAGCGCAAGCGAGCGAGAGCUGGAGCAGUAGCAGCAGAUCCUGCUGGUAUGGACGCCGCCACCGAAGGGAGCUCGCACUGGGGGAGAGCCGCUGUGGAGAUGUCGCACGCGGCGCCAGCUUCAAGGUAGCCGCUCCAUGGGGGUGCGGGAUGGAGCACCGUCGGCGCCGGGAGGUUGAGUUAAGGAGAAGGUGCGAUGCGUUGAGUGUACAACCUCUUUGGUGGCGCCGAGUAGGCCUCGGCUUCGUCCGAGGAGUCGGUGAGGAUGCUGCGGUUCCGAUGGAGCAGGUUAAGGCGGCGCUAUGGGGAUGGAGCAGUCGCGAUAGACAAGGCGAUCGUCGGAGCAGCUCCUUGGAGGUGGAGGACGGGGCGGCUGAACCAGCUGGACGACGAGAUGGACGACGGAUCCUCAUCCGGGGAGGUGGACGAGGGACAUCGAGCUGUUGCGGUGGACAACUUCAUCGGGGAAGAGGCUCCGGCUGGGCAGCGGUGACGUGACGGACGGAGGAGGGUGGGGUUUCGCGGCUGGAGCGGAGAGGUUAUGGCGGCCUGGGAUUUCGAAUGGCGAAAAGGGGGCGAUGGUAGGGGGUGAAGCAUGACUUAGGGACGCGCUUGUCCAAAAUGUAGGAUGUGUUACAAAAAUACCCCCCACCGAGUUGAACUAGCGGCCCUUUCGGCUCAGGGUUAGAAGGGGGAUUUCGUGUGUCGGGAUUUGGUAGCUGGAGGGAGUUUUCGCGCGCGUUGUAAUUUCAGGAUAGCAAGGCGCGGGUUGUGAAGGCGCCAGUUUUGGGAGCACGAUAUCUGAAUUUUCGGGAUAUAACAAGACGCGGGUUGAAUUUUAGGGACAAGCCUAACGUGUAGUAAUAUUAUACUUGUACGUACCAAAUCAAUACGCACUUCCCUCAACCAAAAAGAAAACGAAAAAAAUAAAACUAUUCACACCACACAAAGAGAGAGUCUUGCCCCGUUUUACUAUACAAAUGCUAUUCAAAGCUACUCCCUCCUUCCAUCUAUAUAGGGCCUAAUGUGUUUUUCGAUGCUAACUUUGACCAAAUAUUACAUCAAUGAUAUAUGACAUGCAACUUACACAAAGAACACCGUUAACUUCGUCUAUGAAAGGUUCUUUCAAUGAUAUAAUUUUAACAUUGUGCAUGUCAUGUACUAUUAAUCUUGUCAAUAGUCAAAGGCGGUCUUAAAAAUCUCAUUACACCCUAUAUAGAUGGAAAGAGGGAGUAUGAAUCCAUGUUAUGUCCGAUUAAUUUUUUUCGCUUCCUGUAUAAUGCAUGUAACCUACUCAUACCAACAUUUUAGUGCAUUCCAAAUGUCUAUACUACUGCUGCAAUUUGAACUAAAUUUGAAUUCAUUUCUCUAUUUCAAUAAGAAUCUACAAUCAUCAUUGUUGCCAACUUCAACCAUCAUUCGUGUAUUACCUAAAAAACACACCACAUGAUUACUAUUGAGAUAGAUAUGAACUAUGUGUACUACAUGAACUCGAAUUCUAUUUUUGAAUACACUUGAUAUUGAUUCCAAAUAAUAGUACAUUUGAUGUACUAACUAUAUAUUCAUAAUCUAAACCAUGUUCCAUACGUACGCUGUGUUUAUCACACAAAGUAUAGUGCCCUGCCCCCUACAUUAUGACAAGUAUUUAGACCUGAGUUGCAAAAGCCACACAUUAGCCCAAAUUAUAAUCAAUGUUCUACAUUAUGAUAUCUUCUUCAAGUAUCCGUAUCCACCUUUUUAUAAUGAAUUAUGAUCUUUGUUCGUCUUUUACACCUUCACGAUCCUCUUCUAUUUGUAGCUAGCUAGCGCUAACUUUCUAUCGUGCAUGCACACACCCGCCCCCCUCACACACCCUUAGCGUCCCCUCCAUCACGCACGUUCAUUAUUUCUCUUUAGGUCGUCCACCAGCGGUGUGUGUAGGCCCCCGGCUCCUUCUUUCUGGCACACACCGGUCGAUAUACCUCUCUAGCCAAGUGUGGCUACAACAAACACAUAUAUGCUUCCCCUCUUAUCUUCUCACCGUCCAUGCCCCCAUAUGUCCAAUACGAUUCCACGCAGGUGCACACUCCCGCCCCUCUUUUCAUUAAUCACAUGCUCGCACACUCCUCCCCCCUCGACAUGGUAGGCCUCUCGUACCACCUCCUAGCCACACCCUCUCCCCUCGUCUGCCUCUCCGGACCUUAUUUGCUUCUAACACAUGCAGGCGUGUAUAUGAACUGAUCUCCCUACAUAUAGCCAAGUCGACUAUAAUUCAUUUUCACCAAGCACCGAUACACUUACCUCGCUAGUUAUGUCUCUCCUUUUCUCGGACACACGAUGGUUGAUCUUCCUAUGUAGUUACGCAUGCUUACCAGAACCAUAUCUUCUCCCCUCAUCAUCCUUGAAUACCUCCCGACCCGUCUCUCACAAGCAAGUGCAUAGACAGACAGACAUCCCCCGCCCUCUCUUAUUGAUAUUGCACUCAUACCCUCCGUUUGUCUAGCAGGCCUCUCCCACCAUUUGUGAGACGCCACUCCACCACCAACCCUCUGACGCUCUACCUUUGUCUUUUUCCCAACCUUAUUCCUCUGCUACACAUAUCCAUGGAUGUCGAUCGAUCUCCCUCAAUACAUAGCUAGGUCUCUCUCCUUCCCCACACAUAUACUAGUCGACCGGUCUCUACCCCCCCACCCCACACACACCGAUAGUCGAACGUUGUAGGUAGGUAUCCAUGCCACGGAGAAUAACUGCUCCUCUGCCCUCUCAAAUUCCAGUAGGCCAGCUGCCCUGUAUCUUUGACGUGGGCAAACACAAAUUCGAUGGCACUCUUUAUCGAUCGCGCAACCACACACUUCAUCCCUGUUUUCAAUUCUAUCGAUAUCUCACGUCCAUGAAUCCGUUUCACACACAUUGCAUAUGUUACGUUUUUCUGAUUGAGAUAUCAUCAACACAUUGCCUCUGUUUCGCACAAACCAUCUCUCUCACACCCACCCAUGUACGUACCUGCACCUAAAGAAGAAGUGCACGCAGGACGCAGUACUCACGUCUCGUUCCCGGCCAGACCCGCGCGGGUACACGGUGGAGCUCGUUUCUGUAUGAAAAGGCAGCCCACUUGAUAAUUUGACGCGUGUAGCAGUUGUUUACUCGAAGGAGGGUCGGGUACCACGCCUAGAAUAUAAAACGAUUGCCAUGGGGAAAAUGGAAAAAUGGGUUUGUCUCUCGUGAGUCUCGUCACACAAUCUCACACAAGGCCGCCGUGGCCUCUCUCUCUCAGCGUUGGUCAGUGAUCCGGCCGCAUACCAUCCGCCGGCGGAAAGUGAGGAUGUGCGUCGUCUCUCUGUUCGACGGCGUUGAGGCAGCUCGUCCCGAUCUGCGGUACCCGCCGUUCUCUCUGACCAAGCUCCGGCGCGGUAGGGCCUUCGCCACUUGCUCGCUGCCGCAGUAUGGGCAGAUCCCGGCCGCCGGCGCCCUCCUAGUAACAUCGCGACGACCCUCAGGUACAGCUUUCUCCGGCCUUGCUCCACUGCGCAUCUUCCCACGUUGCUGCAUGUGGGCCUUCUUUAGUUGUUUGCUUAAAUCGUAUCUCGGCCAGCAUACUUUCCAUCUUGCAAUCUCGUCCUCAAACCAUUUUUGAUAAACCACCAUGUGCUAUCUUUCACUUUUUACAUGGAACAUGCUUCUUUUUUGUCGGCGUAUGUGUCUUCAACUCGUGUUAUUGGGCAGUAACUGUUUCCUUUUGACCUCCUUUUGCAAACAAGGCUAUCCAUUUUCAGCUCGUUGCUAUUGCGACCUUUUGGUGAACUGCACAAAUCACUUUUCUGAAGAGUGUUUUGUGCAGUUCCGCCAAAAUGUCACAUGGGCAACGUUUUUACAUUUCCGUGGGACUGCGGAAAGGGAGAUUGGUUUUUCUAUCCUCCUCAUCCAACUCCGUGCCUAAUCUUCUCCAACAAGAAGUUAGUCCUAAAGAGAGAUCGUAGAGGUGACCGGCUUCUAUUUAUGUGUGUUAUGUUUCAUCAUCUAGUUCCACUAUUAUUGUAAUCACACUGACUGGAUAUCUUUGCAAACAGGGAUGGUCCGCCCGAUUUUAGUGGAGCUGCACAAAAUGAUCGGAUUGUGGUGUCCUUCAUACACCUCUUUUUUGGCUAUAGAGCUGGGUGAAACUAGCUGCCAAGCAAUGAACACUGUGCCAAGGAAAUGGAGCCAUGCCUACGAACAACAUCGAUCAAUUAUAUUUUUUUCUUUAUUUGUACACCUUCUCACAACUUUGUCUUCAGUUGUGAUGUGAAUAUUGGCGCUGAUCUGCGAACCAUUGAGAUGCAUUAGCCAUGGUAGUUUCAUUUGUAUUUGAUGGAAUGUUGUAACGAGAUAAUCUCGAGGCAAGACACAUAAAUCCUAAGUUGAAACCUUUUUUCCUGCGGGAACCAGAGUUGAAACCUUCAUAGCGUCACAGUACAAUUUCAUAAAAAUUAUGCAUACAUAUAAACAAAUCCUGAAGGAUUGAUAGCAAUGCCAGAAACAAUUCAACUUCGUUUCGCCGACAUGUUGGACAUCCUUCAUCCGGCUCCACCUGCCAUGCAGCAAUAUUGAGUGCACAACACAACUUCAGGGAAAGAUUCACCCCGGUCGUUGCGCCGCAGUAGUAAUGACUAGUGAGCAGUCAAAUCACAGAGCCCCACCUUCGCCACAGUAAGUUGCUCGGACGAAGCAACCAUCAUUUCUGUUCCUUGAAUCCGCUGGUACUCCCAUAUUCCCACAGUAAUAAGUUGCUCGGGUGAAUCAACCAUCACUAUAUCCGCUCACGUGUGAUGACCACAAAAGCUAUCCAUUCAGAUUGCAUGUUAAAAAAAUAAAGGUCGAUAAGUAAUGCGGCAAACUUUCAAAAAAAAAAACUAAUGCGGCACCUCGGGCCAACGCGGCCAGAUCGCAUUUUGCACGAGAAAUUACACACCAUGUUUUGUUGACAUGCGGUCCCGUUCCAAUCAGUGAGACGAUGGCGAGUAGUAGGAGUAUUUCCGAACCGACAUGUAGGCGGGGGCGCUCCUUCGUGAACCGUGGCAAACUGGCAACCGUCCACUGACUCUUCGCCUUUCCCUCUCGAUUUGGAACUGCUGUCGCACUCUCUUCCUCUCCCUCCUCCAUUUUCCUUCAGCCCUUCACCCUUUCUUCUGCCAUUGUUUGAUCAUCUUCUCCAUGGAGGGAACAAGACGGAAACGACCCCAUUAUUCUUGCCCCGAUCUGAAAGAUGACGUGGUGGAGGAACUCAUUGAUCGAUGCGACAUCAUUACCUUGGCUAGCAUGGUAGGUUCGUCCAAGCCCAUUCUUGACUCAACUAAUAACAUCAUUACAAGGAACCCAAGAGUUAAGGAGCUGUUUGAUCUCCCCUAUCUUCUUCGCCGUGACCCUGAUGGCUAGCGCCGUCACGACGGAGGCCUCGCCCUGUGCAAGUUGAUGCCGCUUGAUAAUGAUAAGUAUGAUGUUAAGAUGCCAUCGCUUGAGGGCAAGGCUUGGGCAGGCGCCAAUGGAGAUUGGGUUGUUUACAUUGGGUCCAACUACGAGUGGGAACUUGUGAAUGUGUACACUCGUGACCGGGUUCCACUUCCAAAAACCUCAGCAGACUGCCCAGAGGUUGAGCACACCGGUAUUGUACGCACGUUCAAAUACAAUCAUGGUGACUGUCUUCUAUGGAAGAUAGCAAUUUCUCGAGUUCCCAACCGCUCUUGGAAUUACAAUAACUAUAAAGUUGUUGCUAUCUUCGACAAGCUUGUUGUCGUCCUUGCUGGUUUGACUCGAUGGAUAUUGCUCAAAAAUCAGUUUCUGUACAUGGAUGAGUACUGUGAUGCAAUUGAAUAUGAGGGCCUUGUGUUUGCUGCCACCACUUGUGGCACUGUUUUUGCAUGGAGUCGUUGUUUCGGUACGUUUGUCUUCCACCGUAAUUAUAAUUGUUUCAUCCACAUGCAUGUGGGUUAGCAAGUUUCCCUUUACUAAUUAACCUUCUUCUUGUGUUUCCAAGGUCCUACGAACAUUCCACCACCUACUUGAAGAUUUUUAUAACCAAGGGGGAGAUCACGAUGGUGAUGAUAACGAGCAUGAGGACGAGCAGCGCCCAUGUACUAAUUGGUGCCUGGCAACUAAUUCCGAUGGAUCACCUCUUCUUCUGUGUAUACAGCCCACUGAUGAUGUUAGUGCUAAGGAAGCAGGUGUAGUCUCCCAUGGUCGCACUCUCUUGACCUAUUCCAACACCCGUUGCAUGGUAUUAGGGAUGGAUACUAGUGUGCUAGCGCCAACUCCUUCUCCCUGGUACAGAAUUGAUAGUCUUGGAGAAAACUCGCUCUUCCUUGGACAAAACUAUCCAAUGAUGGUGAAAGGCGAUCCAACUGCUGUUGACACAACGUUACUACCAUUUAUGAGAAGCAACUGUGUAUAUACCUCAGACAUUUGGGUGGUUCCCUACCCUGGUACUGAUAUAGUAGGCCGCUUCAGCCUAGAUGAUCAGUCAUGCGUUUGUCUCCAGAUUGACAAUGGAUGGCCCGUCCCAGAGAAUCACUUGUGGUUCAAAGCAAGUGUUUCCAACGCUGAGGAAUGGUUGAGUUGAAGUUCAUUUCAUUGCUUGUUAUUUGUUGUGUGGUGAAAACUUUAGUAUUUAUAAUGUAUCCUCGUUAUCGAUGUGGGUUGAUGACCUGUUGUAUGUAAUAAAAUGAUAUGCCUGUGAUAAACUUAUUAAAUUUAUGAAUGGCUUUCGAGUCGCUUCUGUGAGUGAGAGGUGUGACGAGGCAAAAAAAUAUUUUCCGAAUACAUAAUUGUACGUGCAUUGCAAUAGGUUAUCGGAUGAGGCCAAUCAACAAUAGUAGUACACUAUUUGUACUAGUUUCACAUGCUUCGCCCGUUGUGCGGGUGUUUUUACUGUAGCCAUAUUGUACUCUACUACAUAACCAGCACCUCGAAUCCUCGAUAAUAGUAGUACUAUAUACUAGUAAGUAGUAGGAGUAGUAGGGUGGCAUGGGCCAGAACAAGCAUUCACGUCCAGGAGUACGACACACGCCACCAGCACGACUUCCAUCUAACACCAUAUUUCCUGGAGUCCGUGCUAGAGCAAUCUCUUCAACCUCAUCGUUUCUCUAACUCAGCCAUCGCACGGCGGGCGAGGUGGGGGUUUGCCGAUAGUCGGUUUCCUUAACUGCGGUCCCACUUGUAAGGCCAACUGCAACGCACAACCCCAAACGGACCUCUGUUUGCACGAACUCCAAUGAUAAUUUUGACUAGAAAAGCAAGACCAAAGAAAACAAGAACCACAAGAAUACAUUUUACUACUCCUGUAAGUUGGAUUAGUGCCUUCUCGAUGCAUUCAUUGUUGAUCUGUGGAGGCUCGAUCUUGCGUGCUUCUUUCUUCUUCGAGUGUAAAGAAGUAGACGUUGCUUCCUCGCAUCUAGUCUCAUGUCUAGCCUCUAUUCUAGUACUCCCUCCGGUCCGUUUUUCUCUGCGUCUAAGCAGCAACACGCAUACCAAGUAGGAGUAUCAACAAGUGCACUAAUCUCAUCUAUAUCCUCUGUGCUAGCUAAAAGUGAUAGAACAUCUAUUAAAUUGCGCUCUAUCAAUAUAUGGAUGUACUCUUCUUCCCAAUACAAAAAAUUGCAUCCAUUCUACUCCCUCCGUUGCACAAUAGAUGCCUUCUAUUUGUCAAAAUAUCUAUGUAUCUAGACAUGUUUUAGUAUAUAGGUACAUCCAUUUUUGGACAAAUGGAAGUCAAGUAUUUUUGGAACGGAGGGAGUACACAAUAAAUUUUUUAAGUUAGCACAACUAGUAUGAUCCGAGAGCACAACCGAAGAUUUGGCCGGGUUCUUCCUCCAUUUUCCGACAUGUGGGACAUCCAGCAUCCAGGUCGUGUCAUUAAAGAAAAUAGAGUGGUAGUUGAAGCCACGAGAUGUGCAUCUUGGGUUAAACUGUAAAUAGAAUCUUACAACUCUUGAGUAAGUCCAAAAGCGGCCACCGAAGAUCUUUCUUGGAUUUGUUUUUCAUCACCAGCACAUCGAGGUGAAAGAUCUGCAGGUUCAGUGGGUCCUCUUGCGUUUUCACUGACAUGUGGGGCCACAUGUGAGCAAACAGACGAUGGGCUCCGCGGGUCCGCUGGCUGGCUAAGAAGAGAGAUAGAGGAGGGCUGAGCACAGACUGCAGGAAAUUUGUUCUAUGUAACCAGCACCUUGAUAUUCGCGUGUGGUUGUUUCUAGAAUAAAAAAAGGAGGUACCUCUACUGAUGUUACUGCCACUACGCCUAGCCUAAGGUUAGUAGGUGACCUUGCGCUUGGCUCUUUGCCUCUUCCGAAAGUCGAUGGUUCUACAGUAGUGCUUCUGGCAAUCUGACACCAAAUGAACUGCUGCACGUCCAGCGCAUGUAAGAAAAAGUUUCUCCUCGUGCUGCCAGCCACCGCGCACGCGUUGGCGAGGGAGAAGGCGUAAUCAAGCUUCUCGUCGUUCUGCGAGUUGACGGGACACAUCAAAGUUAUUUACUAGUAGUACGUACUCUCUCCAAAAAAAGGUUGACCAUGUCAUUGCUACCAUCCCGUGCUCCGUCGUUCAGUAUAUGCACUAUUCACGUGCCAUCGAGGAGAAAAAAAUAUUGCGUAGGUGCCAUCGAAGUGCACGACUCNNNNNNNNNNNNNNNNNNNNNNNNNNNNNNNNNNNNNNNNNNNNNNNNNNNNNNNNNNNNNNNNNNNNNNNNNNNNNNNNNNNNNNNNNNNNNNNNNNNNNNNNNNNNNNNNNNNNNNNNNNNNNNNNNNNNNNNNNNNNNNNNNNNNNNNNNNNNNNNNNNNNNNNNNNNNNNNNNNNNNNNNNNNNNNNNNNNNNNNNNNNNNNNNNNNNNNNNNNNNNNNNNNNNNNNNNNNNNNNNNNNNNNNNNNNNNNNNNNNNNNNNNNNNNNNNNNNNNNNNNNNNNNNNNNNNNNNNNNNNNNNNNNNNNNNNNNNNNNNNNNNNNNNNNNNNNNNNNNNNNNNNNNNNNNNNNAUCUGAUUAUCUCCAUUUUCUUGCAUGACACGUGCACCUUGAUGCUAGAUGUCUCGCGUGUUGGUAAAAGGAUGAACAAAGCUCACGUAAAAGAAAAGAGUUGAAGAGCAUAGAUUCCCGACAACCGAGGAGGAGCAAGGAACCUCGCGGUGGAGCGUCUGCAAGGAACCUUGCGCGUUUUCCCCUGUUUUUUGCCGCCUGCCAACUAUAAACAAUUAAAAGAACAUGAACUUUUCGCUAAGCACUAGAAACGGUACAUCAGGAUGCUAAGUUGAAGAUGUUUUAUACUCCCUCCGUUCCCAAAUAUAAGUCUUUUUAGAUAUUUCAAUAAGGGACUACAUACGAAACAAAAUGAGUGAAUCUACACUCUAAAAUAUGUACACAAGCCAAAGCACUAACUCCAUCCGAUCCAACUCAUGCACAUACGCGCACAGCAUGGAGCACACAACGCACGUACACAAGACGUGCAUGCACACACGCUCGGCUACAGAAUGCACGUGAAUAACACAUGCAUGCGCACACACUCGGCUGUAUGGAGGCGUGCGCCAUCCGCGGCGACGUCCGGUUCACCGUGCUAUUGCGAAGCUCGCACGCAACGGCGCAUACGCAUCUCUUGCAGCACCUAUUUGUCGUUGUUGCUCAACUACUAGUCGGAGACGAAGACGACCGCAGCCUCGGCCUUAGAGCUAGCACCGAUGGAAAAACACGCACGCUGGACGCACACGAGCACAUAUGGAGUGCCCACGAUGUGGUGGUGGUGCGUCCCCAGUCGCCUCUACUCCUUCUGCGCAUGUUGUCUAUCAAGGCGGCUGCAUGCUAAUGAUGAUGUGGGUGAGAUCUUCUAGGACUCAGAUGAUGACGAGGAAAAUUAUGAGACAUAAGGUGACGUACACCGUCAAGGUCGGUGCUAGCAAGUUCUUAGAUGUGCUUAGAGCAAGUACAAUAGAGCUGAGUCAGCGGGCUAUAAGGAAUAAACAAUAGAGCUUAGUUGGAGGAAAGAGAAGAGGAGAGAGAAGGUAAGCGGGCUCUUUGUGAAGAGCCAGCUCUAGCACGUGCUCCUAGGAACUUUGUACAUGUUGACUAUAAGAUGGGUUGUAGGCUUAUAGCCAGCAGCUGGCUAUACUAUUAAUGCUCUUUAGAUGAGGUGCUAAGUGCAUUAAAUGGCUUAGUAACUCAAGUGUUCAAUGCAUAGGUGCUUAGUUUAUUGGUGCCACAUCAUAUUUUAUGCCUACGUGGCAGGCUUAGCAGCUAUACAUGGUGGAGCACUGGGAGAGGCCAAGGCUGGUCAUAGUGGGGAGUAACUUGUACUGUAACAUAUUACUAUGUUACUCUAAACAUCUUUAUAAACCGGAAAGGAUGGAGUAGUAACAUAGACUAGUGUCAUAUGCAGAGUAUGGGAGCACAUGAUAUUUCCCUAUCCGGACCGAUCCCAAGUUGGCUUCUCACCUUCUUGGCCCAACAAAAACCCCUCCCCCCUCCCGUGCGCGCUUCCCGCCCGGCGCCAGCUGAGCCCGCUGCUCCACAUUGAUGGCAAGUCAGGGCGACACGACCUCUCACUGCUUCCGCUAUUGAAGCGGCGCGCCGACCGAGGGCACUGCCUGCUGCACGCCCGGCAUCUCAGACUACACAAUGGAUAGUAACUUUUAGGCUAUAAGGAUUUGUGAUUAGUUGAAGGAGAGAGAAGAGGAGAGAGAAGAGAAGCGGAUUGUAAACAUGUAGCCGGUUGUACUCCAACAUAUUCUACUUUGUGAGACAAAAGGUGGGGCCAUUAUUAAUGAUAUUGUAUUUAUACUAAAGGGACUAAUGGACGCCUUAAUUACUCCGUUUUUUGAGACAAACCUUGGUGGGGCUAUUAUUGACUUUUUUUGAGCUAUUAUUGACUUGGACGUGGGGUUUGGGGGCCAAAGGCCUACUAUUAUACUCCGACCUGACAUGCUCUACCCUAGCCGCUGCUGUAUCAUAUGGUUUCGCACCGUUCCAGAUCUUAGCGCCGCCACGCAAUUCUUCUCCAGCCCUCCUUCUGGCGUGCACCGCGAGAAGGGACAUCAGUCCUCUGAACCCCGCCUUUUGUUAUCCUGUACGGGAGAGGGGCAAUGAGGUUUUUGGGGAGCACACUCCUGUGACUGCUGCUAGCGACGACUUCCUCAAUGACAGCCUUCUUCCCUGACCUCGGUAACCUCUUCAUCAGCGACAUGAGUGACAACAUCAACCACAUCGGUUCUGCUCCCGCUGUGCAGUAUGUGAUUCUGUCCUCCUGGUUUAGUCUGCAUCGUUACUUUGAUGUUUGCAAUUGUCAUCAUGAUCUAUUUACUGCUGAUUCGGAUUAAAUCUCAUACUAAAUUGCUCAUAUAUUCAACAAUCCAAUCCAAAAACCUGAUCACAGGCAAUUUACUCCGAGUGGUUUUGCUGUGCUUUUGAAGCCGCCUACUUUUAAGGGGGUGCAAUAUAAAAGGUGGCGCACAAGAGAAGUACAUUGGUUUCAGAUCAUGUACUGCUAUGACGCCACUAAGGGUAAGCCUGAUGGCGAUCUUAAUCCUAAACAGUAGGAAGCUUUUCAGAACAUGGAUACCCUCUUCAAAGGCGCCCUACUGAGUGUUCUUGACGAUUCCAUUGUGGAUUCGUAUAUGUUGUUUGACAGCGGCAAAGACAUGUGGGCUGAGCUCGAGGCCACGUUUGGACCCUCGGGCGCUGGCAACAAGUUGUACGUCAUGGAGCAAUUCUGUGACUACAAGAUGACUGAUGAGCGAUCUGUUGUUCAGGAGACUCAUGAGAUGCAGUCACUCUCUAAGGAACUUGAGUACUUUAAGUGUGUGUUGCCGGAAAAAUUUGUUGCUGGGACCAUCAUUGCCAAGCUUCCACCUUCGUGGAACGAUUUUGCUACUUCUCUGGAAAACAAGAGACAUGAGUUUUCUGUUUUGGAUCUCAUUAGCACUCUUGAUUUUGAGGAGAAGGCGAGAGCAAAAGACACACGUGCUCGGGUCGCCGAGGGAGCUUCUAGUGCCCACAUGGUACACGAGAAGAACUUCCAGCCCAACCAGCCCCAAAACAACAAGAACAAAUCUCAGGGGAAAGGCAAGUUUGAUGCAAAGAACAAGCUGUCACAUUCUACCAACUUCAAGAAGAAUUCUCAUAAUGGGAAGGGAUAAAAACCUCAAUUUUGGUAGCACCGCACAAAAUUUAUAUGGCUGCAUCUACCUGCUGUCAGCUAACCUCAUGGUGCUCCAGGUAUUCCUACAUUCGUAACUAGGUACAAUGACCACCGCAAGAUGAAAUUAGCUUAUUCGUACGUUGACUUGCUGAAUGCAGUGCGGAACGAUCCUGUCAUGUGUGGAGGAGCAAACAAGCAGUGCAGCCGAAGGUGGAAAUCAACCAAGGACUUACGAAAUUAUAUGUAAUCUUCCUCAGGCAGGUCAGUAUCCCCUUCGUCCAGAUGAUCGUGUUUUGUCAUGCCGAGCUAUUGAUAUGUGCUACUGUUUUGCAACACCGUUUAAGUAUAGCUACUGUUUUCCUAUCUUUUUAGAUUCAGGACAAUGAAUAUGAUAUUAGGGGAACUACACAAUAUGGACCCAUGUUGAGUCAUCUCUAUUGCCACAUGUGUUUGCUGCAAAUGUGUCAACAUCAAUUGCAAGAUGAGGCAGCUAGCUAGCUGUGGAGUUGCCAGCAUGCUCAAAGUGCUCGCAACAUUGAGAAUAGACAAGCAUGCCCAGGAAAUUAAUGCGUGCGCAGGGAGGCCGUUUGCUCAGAGAAGCAUCGGCCGAUUUUCUUUAUUUCCACACCUUCUCACAGUUUUGUAUAUUGGUUAUAGUAUGGUGAAUCAUUGAGAUGCAUAGACAUGCUGAACUUUUGUUCUUCUGAAUGUUAGUUUAAUGUGAGUGUCUGCAUCCAGUACCGCAUCCUCUAAUUUGGUGGAUGCACGCAGAGAAAAUAAAUCUACUUAAUUUACUCCAUAACCACCCUAUUAAAUAGGCCUAGUAACAAACCAGGCGCAUGCAGUGGCCGGCAGGCACAUGCAUCCUGCAUGCAUGGCCAGUCAUGCAGCAAUGCAAAAGAAGAGAGCGGUUCUUGGGAAAAAGCGAGUAGUUAGUGCAGCGGGCCUUAUAAAAACGAACAGCUCACUCUCCCGCUUCCGUCUCCCCACCCAAUUCCCCCCGCUCCCCAAUCUUCCUCACUCGUCCAGAAAACCCCGCUCACCUUCUUCCUCACUCGUACAGAAAACACCUGCUCCUCUUCUUCCACUCCUACAGAAAUCCACAGCCCUCCUUCUUCCCCACUCGCACUGCCACUAGGCUCGUCUCUGGCUACUCUGCUCAAACCCGUGAGCUCGGCGCGACGCCCACAAGGAAAAUGGAGUCGGCUGGCCCCAGCACCAAGAAGAUGAGGCUCCCGCCAGCGGCGGCGCCGGUUGUAGAUCCCGCACCCGGUAGCACGGGGAGAAGGUGGGAGCCCCCCCACCCGGAUCUGAGGAACCGGUAGAAUCUCCGGUGGACCGCAUCAGCGAUCUCUCGGACGUCAUCCUGGAGGAGAUCAUCUCGCUUCUCCCCACCAAGGAUUGUUGUUGCACACAAGUCCUCUCAACUCGGUGGCGCCCUCUAUGGCGCACCGCACCCCUCAAUCUCGACUGUCGUCAGAUAUCUGUCCUUCCUGAAUUUGAUCUCAUCAGAGCCAUCGUCUCUUCUCACCAGCAGGGCCUCGUUCAAUGCAUCUGCAUCCCGACAAGCUACCUACUAUCCAUACCCGGCAAGGUGGACGCUUGGCUGACAUCCCCUGAAUUCGGAAAACUCCAGCAGUUUGAGUUCUACCAUUACCACGAAAGUUUCAUACCACGAACAUACCAAGAAUUUGUGCCCACACCACCGUUGUCCAUCUCACGGUUUUCCUCCUCUAUCCACACUGCCACCUUCGCCCGGUGCCAUCUACCAGACGAUCUGGUACAAAUGCUUCGACUCCUACUGCUAAAAAACUUUCGCUUGUGGUGGUUUAUUUGUCGGAGGCCUCACUUCACAGCAUCAUCCACUCCAGUUGCCCUGCCCUGGAGCACUUGCUGAUUGUUUUGGGAAUAGAAAUCGGUAUCAGUUGUCUCCAAAUAAAGUCGCCUCACCUUAAAAGCAUUGGAAUUUGUUUUGAAGGACAGCAGCUCAUCAUCCAAGAUGCCCCUUCACUUGAAAGGUUGCUCCUUGAUAAUUUUAUACACCUUCAGAAAUAACUGUCAUCUCUGCGCCCGAACUGGAGACCUUGGGUGUAAUUCGUGACCCGUUUAAUAAUCACAAGGAGUUGGUGUUUGGCUCCUCACCUUUUCAGGUACCGUAUAUUAUCAUCUACACAUUUGUAAUCAUAUGCUGCAUUUUUCAUUUGUGCGCAUAAGUUUUAUAUCAUCUUGGAGUACACUUUGGGUACUAAUAUUAUGUUAUAUGCUCAAUGAAGAGUUCGUCCAUUGAUAGCCUAUCAAUGCUGCUGGAUUCUGUCAAGAUCAUAUAUAUCAGAAUGUAUAGUUUUGAUCUGGACAUAAUUAUUGGCUUGCUGCGAUGCUUUCGCUCUCUGGAGAAAUUAUACAUAGAGGUGAUGAUUUCAUGCACAUUGAAAGCCCGUAUAUAUUGUACUAGAAUUAAUUGUUCAGCUGUCGUUCUUUUGACAUACUCUUUUUUCAGACCUUAACUGUUUUCAAUCUUCAUGUCUACUUAGGUAGAACCACAUGGAGAAAAACAUAUAACAAAUCGUUGGCGUAAUAAGCACAAGGAUUUUCUCAGUUCUCAUGACAUUCGUUUGAGGACAAUAACGAUGGGACGAUAUGCAUCCAACCAGGCAAACAGAAGCUUUGUCACAUUCUUCCUGUUGAAUGCGAGGUUACUAUUGUCCAUGAGGCUUAAUUUUUACAGCAAGUGAUUUCUCACGGACGAUAUUGAACAGCAAAAAAAGAAGUUUCAGGUGGACAGAUGGGCUUCUAAAUGUGCUCGGCUUCUAUUUACAAAAAGUUGUAGACAUCCUGAAAUAAUUUUUUUCCCAGGAUGUUGAUUUUAUGGAUCAGACCGAUCCAUUUGUUUGUGACUACAAAAAAGAGUGGUUGGGUAGAUGUUACUGUCAUGUUCAUUUUGGGUUUUGUCUAAAAAUUUGAUGAACAAUUAAUCCUUGGGCUUUUUGUACCAUUUGUAUGCUUGACUUGCAUGUUGUUUCCCUCUUACUCCCCUCCACCGGCCACUACACUGCCGCAUCUUCCAUGGCUGCUGUUCGUUCCCAUCCGAGGCCUUGCCGUCGUUCUCUGCCUUGGUUUGCUCGCUGUGCUCACCACCGUCUGGUGUUGUCAACAUGGUCAACAACCAAGAGGAAUCAGGAGAUGACUGUACGUGGAGAGGCUGAUAGUAGGGACCCACCAGGGUCAUUGCAUUUCGCAAGCAGGUGCCUCGUUAUUACAAGCCAAAACAAUACUUCCUCCUAAUUGUUUGACAACUAGGUUCCACGCCAUUGUCAAUGUAGUCAAUAAACGAGAAAAUUACACAACAAGCGGAUAACACCAGGGACCCAGCAGCUCGCCCAGUUGUUUUUCAGUUUCAGAGACGGAGCUCAACUGCGCGCUGUGCGGGGGCUGUGGCCCGUCUAGCCCACGCUUACGCUUUUAUUAAGCACAUGACGAGCCCAAUUUAUAUUUUUUCUUUCUAAAAAUGGCUAGCCUAGUUCUUUAUUUCUGGAGAAUACCAAAACCGAGGCCUACUUGCUUUUCUCAGCCCUGCUGGGCUGCAAAUCUUUCAAGAUGAGGAGGGAUAAGAAAUGGGCUUCCCCAGAUAACGGGCUAUAAGUUGUAAGAAAUGGGUUGUAAAUUUUUAAACCAAAGCCAACCGGCAAUUGCAUUAAAAUAUCAUUUUUUAGGAUUUCUCUACUCAACCAAAGCCAACUGCCAAUUACAUUAAAAUAUCAUCUUUUCGCCCACAAGAUAAACUACUCAUAUAAAUGCAUCUUCAUGUUCCGUGCAACGAACAUGCAUCUUGCUAGUUAAGAUUCUAAAUUUCAUUCAUUUUUUUUGCGGAGAAUUAUUUUUUGAAUUUUAUUUUGAUAUGAUUUUUUGAAAACUAUUUUUAACGUGACUCGAAAUUUUGUGAUUAAAAGAGUUCGGACCCCACCGAAAUAUGCAAAAUUUCGUUGAAUUUUUUAGCAGUGCCCAGAAUAUAUGGUUUGUAGUGCUAAUAAAAAGAAUAUGGGCUUCAAAUAUCCUUAAGAAUUAGCAAAUGGGCUGUAAAUUAUUGAAAAUAAUGGCUAAUGGGCUGUAUGCUGUUUUCCACAGAAUUGGAGGCUGACUUCUGGGCCUACUAGGUUGACGAUGACGCUUUCCUAAAAAAAAUUGACGCGUACGCAAGGCUUUGUCAACUUAGUCAACACACAACAGUGACUGUUGGAUGUCCAUCCAAUGGCCGUCGUGCUUCUUCAAUCUCUGAUCUUCCUGCUCCAGCCGCCCAAACCAGCGCCGGUGGGACUGCCUGCUCCCUCCUCCCGUGGCUGGCUGUGCUGCCGCUAGGCCAUCCCUCUAACCACCCACACAUCCUGUUAUUUUCCGGCGAUGUCAGCCUCACCCCGUAGCUGACCAGUCAGCGCUCGUUCUUCCCUCAGCAUGGGAAUCCGCUGCAGUGGCUUCGCCGGCUCCGGGUGGUUCUCUUCCUGGGCCCCUCCCUCAUCCACCGUGUUUGUGCUCUCAGCGCGGCGAGGUCAACAUGGUCAACAAACAAUAGCCAUCGGAAGAGGCUGACAGUAGGGGCCCACACAGGAAAAUACCUCCUUAUUACGCACAAAAUAAUGAUUCCUCCACCUGAUAGCUGGGACCCACCGGAAGGGUCUCUGUAUUUCGCGAAAAAAGUUCCCCCCGCUGUCAGCUCGGACCCACCGGAAAUGCCUCCUUAUUACGCACAAAAAAAUGAAUACUCCCCCUGCUAGCUGGGACUCACCUUGGUGGGAGGCUGACUUGUGGUCCUACUAAGUUUACGGGGACGGAGGGCUUUGUCAACUUAGUUAAUAUGAACGUCUCUAGCUCCAGUGACCGUACGAUGUCCAUCCAACGGCCGUAGUGCUUCUUCAACCUCUGGUCUUCGUGCUCCAGCCGCCCAAAGCAGCGCCGGUCAUGCUGCAUGCUCCUGCCUCCCAUGGCCGGUUGUGAUGCCGCGGAGGCCUCACCGCCCCUUACUAAUCCCAGCGCUGGCCAGGCCAUCCCUCUACUCACCCACACCCCCUGUUAUUCUGCGGCGAUGGCAGCCUCACCCUCAUACUCCUCUUCGCGUGGGCAUCCACUGCUGCGUCUUCCCCGGCUCCGCGUCGUCCCCUUCCUAGGCCUCGCCGUCGUCCCCCGCCGUGGUGCUCUCGGCGUGGCGUGGUCAAUGUGGUCAAUGACCGACUUCCAUCGGAAGAGUACUGUGAGUGUAGAGGCUGACAGCUGGGUCCACGGCGACCUCAAGGAAGUGCCUCCUUAUUACACGCAAAAUAAUUAUUCCUCCACCUGAUAGCGGGGACCCACCGGAUGGGCCACCGUAUUUCGCGAAAAAAAAUUUCCCCCUGACUGCUGGGACCCACCAGCUACACUUCGCAUGCAAGGAAGUGCGUUCGGGCAAAAAAACGAUUUGCCUCCUGAGUGCUGGGACCCACCAGCUACAUCUUCGCACGCAAGGAAGUGCGUCCGGGCAAAAAAAACGAUUCGCCCCCUAACUACUGGGACCCACCCGCUACAUCUUCGCAGGCAAGGAAGUACCUCAAAGUCGGGACUCACCUGGUCGAAGCGUACGUAGCGUUGUCAUUCUGGUCGCGAACGUGUAUGUACAUACUGGUCGAUGUAGAGGCGCACACGUGUCGUAGUAGAGGCGCCCACGUGUCGUAGUAGAGGCGCGCACGUAGCAUGUACACGUACGUACGACGGCGAGGGUGCAAGAAAGAAAAUACGGCCACGUAUGUACAUACGGGCAGGGUCUCGAAUGCCUACUCGCACAUACGUACAUGGCUGGGUCAGAACGGAGAAACAGAGUCGUCGUCGUGUUCAUGGGAAGGCAAUGGAAUGCGUCGUGUUCAUGGAGAGGCAACGGAGUGCGUCGUGUUCAUCGGGAGGCAACGGAACGCGUGGGAGUCAAACAUCUUGGAUGGAACAGGCGAUGGAAACGAGGCCUGGCAUACCGCAGAACGGACGAAACGGCCUUGUGUUCGACUGGCCAUGUUCGGAACGGGGUCCUGUUGAUCGGGAGGGGUGUGGUGUACCGCAAAACGGAGGAAAUGGACCUCCUACGGUCGAAACGGGGGUCCUGUUGAUGGGGAGGGGUGUGACGGACCGCAAAACGGAGGAAACGGACCUCCUAUGGUCGAAACGGGGGUCCUGUUCAUCGGGAGGGGUGUGGCGUACCGCAAAACGGAAGAANNNNNNNNNNNNNNNNNNNNNNNNNNNNNNNNNNNNNNNNNNNNNNNNNNNNNNNNNNNNNNNNNNNNNNNNNNNNNNNNNNNNNNNNNNNNNNNNNNNNNNNNNNNNNNNNNNNNNNNNNNNNNNNNNNNNNNNNNNNNNNNNNNNNNNNNNNNNNNNNNNNNNNNNNNNNNNNNNNNNNNNNNNNNNNNNNNNNNNNNNNNNNNNNNNNNNNNNNNNNNNNNNNNNNNNNNNNNNNNNNNNNNNNNNNNNNNNNNNNNNNNNNNNNNNNNNNNNNNNNNNNNNNNNNNNNNNNNNNNNNNNNNNNNNNNNNNNNNNNNNNNNNNNNNNNNNNNNNNNNNNNNNNNNNNNNNNNNNNNNNNNNNNNNNNNNNNUUCAGUUAGCAGUAGUAGCGAAGGAAUCGCUCCAUCGGGUUCAGUUAACAGCCAUCGAUUGAUCGCUCGGGUUCAAUAACGCGUAGCCUGCAGUGCAAUCGCUCGGGUUUAGUUAGAGCCCAACGCCUCGCUCGGGUUCACUUGGAGCCAACGCCUCGCACACACGCGCGUAUGUGUAUGAGAGAAACGCGCAUCGCUCGGCCCCCAAUCUCCCACCGUAACCGGCAACUCCCUGAAAUUUUGCUCCCCCUCGCUUCUACCAUGGUUUUUUCUGUCAUGGACGGCCCAAAGAAUGUCAUGCAGCUGCGUCUCCGGCCCGCCCAGGAUGAAAAGCCCAUUUUCUGUCAUGAUUUUUUGUCAUAGAAGUAGGAGCCCACCACAUCUAUGAUGAUACCGGGUUUUGUCACAAUUAUCGUCAUAGAAGUGUCAUAUGUAUGACAGGAAAAAAAUUCGUUCGGCCCAAAAUGUCACGGAUGUGUCUUUUUUUUGUAGUGUGGGCAUCCCGGUGACUAGCCAUUUUCUCGUGAGUGAGGAGCGGAGUCCACUCCUCUUGAGAAUAACCCGCCUAGCAUGGAAGAUACAGACAACCCUAGUUGAUACAUGAGCUGUUCGAGCAUACAAAACAGAAUUUCAUUUGAACGUCUAGAGUUUGGCACAUACAAAUUUACUUAGAACGGCAGGUAGAUACAACAUAUAGGAAGGUAUGGUGGACUCAUAUGGAAUAACUUUGGGGUUUAUGGAAGUGGAUGCACAAGCAGUGUUCCCGCUUAGUACAAGUGAAGGCUAGAAAAGACUGGGAAGCAACCAACUAGAGAGCGACAACAGUCAUGAACAUGCAUUAAAAUUAAUAGACACUGAGUGCAAGCAUGAGUAGGAUAUAAUCCACCAUGAAAAUAAAUAUCAUGGAGGCUUUGUUGAUUUUGUUUCAACUACAUGCGUGAACAUGUGCCAAGUCAAGUCACUCGAAUCAUUCAAAGGAGGAUACCAUCCUAUCAUACCACAUCACAACCAUUUUAAUAGCAUGUUGGCACGCAAGGUAAACCAUUAUAGACUCCUAGCUAAUUAAGCAUGACAUAAGCAACUAUGAUAUCUAUUUGUCAUUGCAAACAUGUUUAUUCAUAAUAGGCUGAAUCAGGAACGAUGAACUAAUCAUAUUUACAAAAACAAGAUAGGUCGAGUCCAUACCAGAUCCUCUUAUCUCAAUCAUUUGAUCAUAUAUCAUCAUUAUUGCCUUUCACUUGCACGCCCGAACGUUGUGGAUAAUAAUAAUAGUGCACGUGCAUUGGACUAAGCUGGAAUCUACAAGCAUUCAAUUCAAGGGAGAAGACAAAGUAAUAUGAGCUCUUGAUUAAAUCAAUCAAUUAUGCAUAAAAGAGCCACUAAACAAUUUCAUCAAGGUAUUCUCCUUACGACCCCCAAAGAAGAGAAAAGAAAUAAAACUAUUUACAUGGGAAAGCUCCCAACAAGCAAAAGAAGAACGAUAAAUAUUUUUGAGUUUUCUUUUAAUUAGUACUACUACAGGCAAGGAAAGUAAACUAGCUAAAAGCUAUUACUAUUUUUUUUGUUUUUCUUAAGGUUAUUCAAACACACAAGAAGAAUGCAAGACAAAGAAAAUAAACUAGCAUGGAUAGUACAAUGAAAAGUAUGAGCACCUACAACUAGAAUGAGUGUGUGAUCAUGAAUAUAAUGUCGGUGAGAAAUACGUACUCCCCCAAGAUUAGGCUUUUGGCCUAAGUUGGUCUAUGCCCAUGGUUCAAAGUGGUAGCUGGGGUCGUAGUGAGAUGUAGUAGCCAUUGCCUCACGAGCUGCAGAUUGGAGGCGGGUGAUACGUCUCCAUCGUAUCUAUAAUUUUUGAUUGUUCCAUGCCAAUAUUAUUCAACUUUCAUAUACUUUUGGCAACUUUUUAUACUACUUUUGGGACUAACAUAUUGAUCCAGUGCCCAGUGCUAGUUCCUGUUUGUUGCAUGUUUUUUGUUUCGCAGAAACCCAUAUCAAACGGACUCCAAACAGAAUAAAAACGGUCAGAGAAUUUUUUGGAAUAUAUGUGAAUUGUUGGAAGUGGAAUCAACGCGGGACGAUGCUCGAGGGGCCCACGAGGCAGGGGGGGCGCCCUAGGAGGGUAGGCGCGCCCCUGACCCUCGUGGCCACCCCGUAAGGCGGUUCGUGCCCUUCUUUCGCCGCAAGAAAGCUAAUAUCCGGAUAGAAGUCGUGUCCAAGGCACAAACCAAUUGGAGUUACGGGUCUCCGGGAAUAUAAAAAACGGUGAAAGGGCAGAAUCAGAAACACAGAAACAGAGAGAGACAGAGAGACAGAUCCAAUCUCGGAGGGGAGCUCGCCCCUCCCACGCCAUGGAGGCCAUGGAACAGAGGGGAAACCUUUCUCCCAUCUAGGGAGAAGGUCAAGGAAGAAGAAGAAGAAGGUGCGCUCUCUCCCCCUCGCUUCCGGUGGCGCCGGAACGCCGCCGGGGGCCAUCAUCAUCACCGUGAUCUACACCAACACCUCCAUCAUCUUCACAAACAUAUCCAUCACCUUCCCCCAUCUAUAUUAAGCAGUCCACUCUCCCGCAACCCGAUGUACCCUCUACUCGAACAUGGUGCUUUAUGCUUCAUAUUAUUAGCCAAUGAUGUGUUGCCAUCCUAUGAUGUCUGAGUAGAUUUUCGUUGUCCUAUCGGUGAUUGAGGAAUUGCUAUGAUUGGUUUAAUUUGCUUGUGGUUAUGUUGCUAUCCUAUUGUGACCUCCGUGUCAUGCAAGCGUGAGGGAUUCCCGCUAUAGGGUGUUGCAAAUCAUUCAUGAUUCACUUAUAGUGGGUUGCUUGAAUGACAAAAGCAUAAACCCGAGUAAGGGGGUUUUGGCGUAUAUGAUAAAGGGGACUUGAUACUUUAAUGCUAUGGUUGGGUUUUACCUUAGUGAUCUUUAUUAGUUGCGGACGCUUGCUAGAGUUCCAAUAUAAGUGCAGCGCUACUACUAGGGAAAGUAUGAUCCAAGAAGAGAAAGUAUGCUACACUACUAGGGAAAACCCUAGUAGUAGCAUGGGUUUUGAGGCUAUCAGCAGCGCGGGCACCCACGCUACCAAUAGGGCGCUACAGCUAACUGUUAGUAGUAGCGCUGUCUGCGCCCGCGCUACUACUAUUGACUAUAUCAGCAGUGCAUUUUUCGGACGCGCUGCUAUUAGUUAGCUGUAGCGAUUUCCUGAGCCCGCGCUACUGUUAUAUCUUUCACCAUUUCCCCACUCCAGCUUCAAUAAACUACAAUUUCCAGAUACUAGGUACUACUAGAUAUCAAUUUCAUAAAGCAUUAUAGGUACUAGGUAGUACUCCCUCGGUUCCAAAUUACUCGUCGUGGUUUUAGUUCAAAUUGGAACAAAAACCACGACGAGUAAUUUGGAACCGAGGGAGUACUAGAUAACAAUUUCAUAUAUACUCAACAUGCAUCCUCAAGCAGUACAAGGUGACAUCGACGACGAUCAUCAUAUUUAGUUCUAGAUGAUAUCGACGAUGAUCAUCAUAUGUAGUUCUACAUGAUAUCGACGACGAUCAUCAUAUGUAGUUCUAGAUGAUAUAGCCACACACACAUAUGUAGUUCUAGAUGAUAUCGACGACGAUCAUCAUCCUCAAGCCUGGGCGGUGGGUGUUCCUGAUAGUAAUUAGGAUGGCCUGUCCAACACGAAGAUUCUUGCCAACGAGGAAUCUCUUCCACCCAACCGAGUUUAAGUGUGUGCGACCGUCUGUGUCCAUGCGGUAAGUACAAGUGGUGACGGAGCCCCUUGCGGUAAGGCGUAGUCCAGCUGAGCCUUCUUCAUCAGGCUCGAUACCACAACUCACAGAUAGGUUCUUUGGCAAUUUUUGAAUAAGAAAAACAUAUCAAUUAAUAAAUAGCCUCACACAUAAUCUUGCAAAUAUAUUUCUAUUAAGUCUAGAUUUCUACACUAUCAAAAGACACAGUACUAUGCAUUUGUACUAAUUAAUCAUGAAUUUUACUAAUAAGUAUAUAUGGAUUAUCUACACUAUUAAUAGUUCCUUGGAUUCUACACUAAUAAGCAUGUGAUCAGACUCUACACUAAAGCAUAUCAAUGACUAGAUUCCACACAACAUAUCAUUGGACUCUACACUAAGCAUAUCAUCGGAUAAUUUGCAUUUGUAAGUAUAACAUACCAUAUCAUGUCGAUCGACCAUGGUACUUGUCAGGCGGGUCACGAAUGGCACCCCGACAAAGUUAGCAUGUGGUGGAAUUAUGUCCCAUAGGUUGCACACCUCCUCCUCGCUCAGCCUCAUUCUUUGAGCUACGAUGGCUUCAUGAAGUGGGUUCUCAUCAUCUUCAUCGAGUGGGUCCUCAUUAUCUUCAUCAUCUUCUUCAGCUGCAUCAUCUUCAUCAUCUUCAUCAUCUUCGUCAUCUUCAUCAUCUUCCACCAGGUUGAGAUAAAUGAUAGCCAGCUUGGGUCUUUCUGCUCUGAAGGAGAAGUUGAUCAACUCACCACCAGUAAGACGCAUGCGGGUGAGGAAACGGGCCCAUCCAUCUCCUCCAAUCUGCGACAUAUUGCGUCCUUUCUCGACCUCCAUAGUGUAUGCCCCCCCAGGAGCCUCAAAUGUCACAGUGUCUCCUGUCAGCUUGUUGAAUGUCAACCUCACAUUGCAUGGGAUGGUCUGUGUAAGAAAAGAAAAAUGACACAAUGCAGUAAUGCCAACACUAAAAAUAAAAUAGUUGUUACAUUUCAUCUAAUUUCUUACCGCCGCUUGACGAAAACUCGGCUGGAAGUAGAUGCCAAACAGCUUGCCAGUUGCAAGGCUGCUGGCGCACCUUGACUUGCACAGUCGACAUAGUGGUGGUGGUGGUGGCGCCAUUUUCCUAAAGCAAUAUGAGCAAAGGAUUAAUGAUUCACUUCACAGGAAAGAAAAACAGUAGCAUGUGAUAUUUUCCUAAAGCAAUAUGAGCAAAGCAUCCUAAAUCAACUAAAUCAACUAGCAUACUAAAUCAACUAAAUCAAAAUGUUCUAAAUCAACUAAAUCAACUAGCCUACUAAAUCAACUAAAUCAACUAGCCUACUAAAUCUACUAAAUCAACUAGCCUACUAAAUCAACUAAAUCAACCAGCCUACUAAAUCAACUAAAUCAAAAUGUUCUAAAUCAACUAAAUCAACUAGCUUACUAAAUCAACUGAAUCAUAUCAACUAAAUCAGAAUGUUGCAUAUGAACUAGCCUACUAAAUCAAAAUGUAGCAGGGAGAAGGGAGAAGGAGGGGCGACUCGAGGAGGGAGAAGAGAGUAGGACGGAGGAGGAAGGCGGAGCAAGGAGGGGCUGGCCGGCGGCGAGUGGAGGGAGAAUGGAGGAGGAAGGCAGAGAAAGGAGGGGCUGGCCGGCGGCGAGUGGAGGGAGAAUGGAGGAGGAAGGCAGAGUGAGGAGGGGUCAGCCAGCACCGAGUGGAGGGAGGAUGGAGGAGGAGGCCGCUACCGAGUCCAGUGAGGAGGAUGAGGUGACGGCGGCGCAGAUCGGAGGAGGGGCGACGAGGGGGAGAUCGAGUGUGUGUGUGAGUGUGAUCUGGAUCGGAUAGGUGAGGAGGGGGGCGGAGAUGGAAUGGCUUAGCAGUAGCACGCUAUAGCAAAAUGCACUACUGCUAAACGACCUAUCAGUAGCGCCUUUGGCUGAGAACGCGCUACUGCUAUGUUAGACAUAGACAUAAAAAAAUACAUUGAUCAUCAAUUGUCUUUUUGUGUACAAUCUUAUUUGUCAAUAGGAAUCCUCGACGGUUGGUUUAGGAACAUGCGAGGAUUCCUAUUGCAGCAACAGAUCCUACACAUAGAGUUCAAUGAAGACCAAGUGCUUGUGAAAGUUGUAGAAGUAACAUAUUUAAGGUGGUACAAACUCCCUUCACGGAGCGAGGUGGGACUAAAUUUUUGUAGUAACCUUAGUAGUAGCGAUUAUUGCGUAAAUGCGCUGCUGCUACGAUCCGUAGCAGUAUCGCCCUUUGUAUUAACGCGUUGCUGCUAUAAUUGGCCUCGCGGCGGCGUCGUGGGAAUUUUAGCAGUAGCGCGUCCUAGGGUGUGCGCUCUACUUAUAAACUUGUACCAGCAGCGAGUUUUGAAAGUGAGCGCUACUGCUAAGUAGCAGCAGCGCCUGAUUUUAAAGCGUGAUGCUGGUAAGAUUUUGUGUAUAGGCUUUUCCCUAGUAGUGUUAGCUUAUGCCUCUCCCACAUAAAGCUUGCUAUCGGUCUAGUAAAGUAGUCAAUUGCUUAGGGACAAUUUCACAACUCCUAUCACCACUUUUCCUCACUUGAUAUAUUUACUUUAUUGUUUCUUUAUCUAAACAACCCCUAGCUUUUAUUUACGUGCUCUUUGUUAUCUUGCAAUUCUAUCCAACAACACCUACAAAGUACUUCUAGUUUCAUACUAUUUCUAGGUAAAGAGAACAUUAAGCGUGCGUAGAGUUGUAUCGGUGGUCGAUAGAACAUGAGGGAAUAUUUGUUCUAACUUUACCUCCUCGUUGGGUUCGACACUCUUACUUAUCAAAAGAGGCUACAAUUGAUCCCCUAUAAUUGUGGGCUAUCAAAACCUUUUUCUAACGCCGUUGCCGGGGAGUCAUAGCAUGGGGUGAAUAUUCUCGUGUGUGCUUGUUUUCUUUAUCACUAAGUAAUUUCUAUUUGUUGUUCUUAGUUGUUCUCUAUCUUUAGUUAUGGAUAUGGAACACAAAAUACCAAAAAAAUAGGUGUACUUGCUACUCAUGGAGAUGGGGAACCUCCUAAAACCCUCGAUGCUCGUUAUGUGAAAGAAAUUAUGUACUACUUUGAUAAUCCUGAGAAAACCCCAUUCAAUUAUGUUAUGGGAGACACGUUGGUUCAACGUGAAUACUUUAGGGGUUAUCGCUUGACACAAAAAGGGAAACUAUUAUGGGAUCAAAUUUAUAUGUUGAGUUGGUAUGCUAGGCAACUAUGCUUGAGAUAUGAUUAUACUUGUUGCUCUAGGAUGAAGGCUCCACACCUUCCCUUUUCAUGCAAAUUUAGUGUUAAUGAAACCUUAGCUUCUUAUGCUAAUGGUAUAUAUGAUUACUAUGAUGUUGAAUAAACUGAGGAAUUUGUUGCUUUUAAGGGUGCUUAUGAAAUUGAAUCUUUGUUUGAAAAGUAUGAAGCUUUUGAUGAUGAUGUUUAUAGGCCUAAAAUUUUUGCUAUAUUGAAAUAUUGUUAUGAUAAUUAUGAAUAUAACUCCGAUAUUGAUGCGUUUAUUGAGAAAGUCUCCGCUGUCGAAGAAGAGACUAAUAUUUUGCAGGAGUCUAUGGAAGAAGAAAUUGAUGAAACUGUGAGCUCAUUAGAUGAAAAAGAUGACGAGGAGAGCGAAGAACAAAAGGAGGAAGAGCGGAUUAGCUACCCGUGUCCACCUUCUAAUGAGAGUAACUCUUCAACUCAUACAUUGUUUAAUUCCCCUUCGUGCCUACCGAAGGAUGAUUGCUAUGAUGAUUGUGAUGAUCCUGUUGAUUCUCUUGAAAUACCCCUUUUUGAUGAUGCUUGCUAUCCUUGUGGCCAAGAUGCCAAUAUGAUUUAUGCUUAUGGAGAUGAACUUGCUAUAGUUCCUUAUGUUAAACAUGAAAUUGUUGCUAUUGCACCCAUGCAGGAUAGUCCUAUUAUCUUUUUGAAUUCUCCCUACUACACUAUAUCGGAGAAGUUUGCCCUUAUGAAGGAUUAUAUUGAUGGGUUACGUUUUACUACUACACAUGAUGAUUUUGAUAGAUAUAAUAUGCAUGUGCUUUCUGCUCCUACUUGCAAUUAUGAUGAGAGAGGAACUAUAUCUCCACCUCUCUAUGUUUCCAAUACGAUAAAAUUGCAAGAAAUUGUUUAUACUAUGCAUUGGCGUUUACUGUGUGUGCAUGAAUUGUUCUUUUAUGACAUGCUGAUGCAUAGAAAGAGAGUUAGACUUCAUCAUUGCUUGAUAUAUGUUACUUUGUUCUCACUACUAAAUUACAAAUCAUUGUUAAUUAAAAUUGGCUUUGAUAUACCUUGGGAUCCGGGUGGAUCCAUUACUUGAGCACUAUAUGCCUAGCUUAAGGCUUUAAAGAAAGCGGUGCCAGGGAGACAACCCGGAAGUUUUAGAGGUCAUUUAUUUAUGUUGAGUGCUUUUGUAUAGUUUAAAAACAAAAAAAAUAAAGAUGGGAACCGAAAACUUUUCAAAAAGGAAAGUGAAAGUGAGAAAGACAAGCAUUGUUGAAGUGGGAGAGCCCCUUGAACUCUGUUCAUGCUCACAGAAACUUUGUGAAUCAUGAUUACAGAAAUUUUUCAACAAAAAUAAUUAUCCCCUUGUACAAUUCCAUUGUAUUAUAAAAAUAAUGUGCCAAGGUUUGCCUUUAGGAUGUUUACAAUGCUUGUUGGUUUGUGCGGUGCAGGACGGAAACUUUGGCUGUAGUGCGCGAUUUUACAUUUUUUACUGGAAAGUCAAACGGUUCUGAUUAUUUUUGCACUAUCUUUAUGUACAAAUUGUUUAUUUUUCAUAAGUUUGGUAGAAUUUGUGGGGUACCAGAAGUAUGGCGAAUGUUCAGAUUGCUACAGACUGUUCUAUUUUUGACAGAUUCUGUUUUUGAUGCAUAGUUUACUUGUUUUGAUGAAACUUUCAAUUUCUAUCAGUGGAUUAAGCCAUGGAAUAUCUAUAUUACAGUAGACAUAAAAAAUAUGAAUUGGUUUGCAACAGUACUUAGAGUAGUGAUUUGCUUUAUUAUACUAACGGACCUUACCGAGUUUUCUGUUGAAGUUUUGUGUGGAUGAAGUGUUUGAUUGAGGAGGUCUCGAUAUGAGGAAAAGGAGGAGAGGCAAGAGCUCAAGCUUGGGGAUGCCCAAGGCACCCCAAGUAAAUAUUCAAGGAGAAUCAAGCUUAUAAUCUUGGGGAUGCCCCGGAAGGCAUCCCCUCUUUCUUCAACAAGUAUCAGUAUGUUUUCGGAUUCGUUUCGUUCAUGUGAUAUGUGCAAAUCUUGGAGCGUCUUUUGCAUUUAGUUUUCAUUUUCUUUUAUGCACCAUGAUGGUAUGCGAUAGUCCUUGGUUUAUUUAUAGAAUGCUCAUUUCUCUUCACUUAGGUCUUUUGACUGUGGCUUCAUAGAAUGCUUCAUGUGCUUCACUUAUAUCAUUUGAAGUUUGGAUUGCAUGUUUCUCUUCACAUAGAAAACCUCCAUUUGUAGAAUGCUCUUUUGCUUCACUUAUAUUUGUUAGAGCGUGGGCAUAUCUUUUGUAGAAAGAAUUAAACUCUCUUGCUUCACUUAUAUCUAUUUCGAGAGAUGACAGGAAUUGGUCAUUCACAUGGUUAGUCAUAAAAUCCUACAUAAAAUUUAUAGAUCACUGAAUAUGAUAUGUUUGAUUCCUUGCAAUAGUUUUGCGAUAUAAUGGUGGUGAUAUUAGAGUCAUGAUAGUUGAGUAAUUGUGGAAUUGACAAAUACUUGUGUUGAGGUUUGCAAGUCCCGUAGCAUGCACGUAUGGUAACCGUUGUGUAACAAAUUUGAAGCAUGGGGUGUUUCUUUGAUUGUCUUCCUUGUGAGUGGCGGUUGGGGACAAGCGAUGGUCUUUUCCUACCAAUUAAUCCCCCUAGGGGCAUGCGUAGUAGUACUUUGCUUUGAGGUCUACUAAACUUUUGCAAUAAGUAUAUGACUUCUUUAUGACUAAUGUGAGUCCAUGGAUUAUAUGCACUCUUGCCUUUUCGCAAUUUGCUAGCCUCUACGGUACCGUGCAUUGCCCUUUCUCACCUCGAGAGUUGGUGCAAACUUCGCCGGUGCAUCCAAACCCCGUGAUCGCCGGUGCUCUAUCACACAUAAGCCUCCUUAUAUCUUCCUCAAAACAGCCACCAUACCUACCUAUUAUGGCAUUUCCAUAGCCAUUCCGAGAUAUAUUGCCAUGCAACUUCCAUCAUCAUCAUAUACAUGACUUGAGAAUUUAUUGUCAUAUUGCUUUGCAUGAUCGUAAGAUAGCUAUCAUGAUGUUUUCAUGGCUUGUCCUUUUUUUAUGUCAUUGCUACGCUAGAUCAUUGCACAUCCUGGUACACCGCCGGAGCCAUUCAUAUAGAGUGAUAUCUUUGUUCUAGUAUCGAGUUGUAAUAUUGAGUUGUAAGUAAAUAAAAGUGUGAUGAUCAUCAUUAAUAGAGCAUUGCCCCAUGAAAAAAAUGAAAAAAAAGAGAGGCCAAAUAAGCCUAAAUAAAAAAAAGGGCCAGAGAAGCCCGCCAAAAAAGAGGGGCAAUGUUACUAUCCUUUUACCACACUUGUGCUUCAGAGUAGCACCAUGUUCUUCAUAUACAGAGUCUCUUGAGUUAUCACUUUCAUAUUCUAGUGGGAAUUUUCAUUAUAGAACUUGGCUUGUAUAUUCCGAUGAUGGGCUUCCUCAAAUGCCCGAGGUCUUCAUGAACAAGCAAGUUGGAUGCACACCCACUUAGUUUUCAGUCUGAGCUUUCAAACACUUAUAGCUCUAGUGCAUUCGUUGCAUGGCAAUCCCUACUCCUCGCAUUGACAUCAAUCGAUGGGCAUCUCCAUAGCCCAUUGAUUAGCCGCGUCGAUGUGAGACUUUCUCCCUUUUUGUCUUCUCCACACAACCUCCACCAUCAUACUCUAUUCCACCUAUAGUGCUAUAUCCAUGGCUUGUGCUCAUGUAUUGCGUGAGGGUUGAAAAGGCUGAAGCACAUUAAAAAGUAUGAACCAAUUGCUCGGCUUGUCAUCGGGGUUGUGCAUGAUGGGAGCAUUUUGUGUGACGAAAAUGAAGCAUGGCCAAACUAUAUGAUUUUGUAGGGAUAAGCUUUCUUUGGCUAUGUUAUUUGCUAAGACAUAAUUGCUUGGUUGGCAUGCUUGAAGUAUUAUUGAUUUUAGGUCAAAUGAUAGACUAUUGCUUUGAAUCGCUCGUGUCUUAAUAUUCAUGCCAUGAUUAGAUUACAUGAUCAAAAUUAUGCUAGGUAGCAUUCCACAUCAAACAUUAUCUUUUUUAUCAUUUACCUACUCAAGGACGAGCAGGAAUUAAGCUUGGGGAUGCCGAUACAUCUCCGUCGUAUUUAUAACACUACUGGGAAAAGGGCUAUAGAUGGGAUGGACACUAAUGGCGCACCAGAGAAGUAGUGCGCCACUACUAUAUACUAAUGGCGCACCAUUUGGUGAUGCGCCAUUAGUGUGGAAGACACUAAUGGCGCACCAGACACAAGGUGCGCCACUAGUAAUAAAUUAUUAUUUUUCAUUUUUCCAUACAUACUAAUGGUGCAUCCGAGCGAAGUGCGCCAUUACUAGUUCUAACUAGUAAUGGCGCACCAGCCACAGAGUGCGCCAGUACUGUAUUAUUUUUUUAUUCUUUUUUUGUAAAACUACUAAUGGCACACCGUGUCACAGUGCGCCAUUACUAGUUUAAACUAGUAAUGGCGCACUAUGACACGGUGCGNNNNNNNNNNNNNNNNNNNNNNNNNNNNNNNNNNNNNNNNNNNNNNNNNNNNNNNNNNNNNNNNNNNNNNNNNNNNNNNNNNNNNNNNNNNNNNNNNNNNNNNNNNNNNNNNNNNNNNNNNNNNNNNNNNNNNNNNNNNNNNNNNNNNNNNNNNNNNNNNNNNNNNNNNNNNNNNNNNNNNNNNNNNNNNNNNNNNNNNNNNNNNNNNNNNNNNNNNNNNNNNNNNNNNNNNNNNNNNNNNNNNNNNNNNNNNNNNNNNNNNNNNNNNNNNNNNNNNNNNNNNNNNNNNNNNNNNNNNNNNNNNNNNNNNNNNNNNNNNNNNNNNNNNNNNNNNNNNNNNNNNNNNNNNNNNNNNNNNNNNNNNNNNNNNNNNNNNNNNNNNNNNNNNNNNNNNNNNNNNNUUUUUUUGAUAGGUAAGUAAGGGGAAAGCUAUCUUCAUGUUGUAGAUCUACUUUUUUUCUCCCUAGCUCGCUCCAACAAUGUGCACAUGCACUUUUUGUGGCCUAGCUAGAUCUAUGUAUGUUUGUGGUGUUGCAUAUGUUUGUGGUGUUGCAUAUAUGUUUGUGUUUGCAGGUACCGGUAUUUGAAAUGCGAUAGUUGCCAAUAUUUUGUCGGAAUGUUGAUUCAUUUCCGUUUCGGCGAGAAUUUUGGCACUAUGCAUUCUUUUUGGUCCUAUUUUUAGGGAAGGUCAUGCCAAAUUUUUUCUUGGUUUUAAAAUAUCGUUUUGCUCUACCCCGCAGGCGACCAUGGUCCACAUGAUGACCGAAGGCAUCGUGAAUAGGUUUUUGAGCUCCUCGAAGGCCGGGAUGCUUCAAAAGAACGAGACGGAGAUAAGAUGUCCGUGUUGAAGAUGCAAGCUGAAGAGCCUUAUUGCGGACCCGGAUUCUGGGCAGGUGCGGGACCACCUGCUCUUGUGUGGUUUCAUGGAUGGCUAUCGGUGGCAAGGUGAUGAAGAUGACUAUGAAGUCGUCCAUGGGGGCCGGGCAAGAAAUGAGGAAGGGCAACAAGACAACCACCGCGGCGAGGAAGGGCAACAAGAAUCUCCAGGACAUGAUCACGACGGUGAUGCUGUACAUAGUCAUCAUGUAGAAGAUGCCGUACAUGAUGAUGAGGAAGAUCAAGACAAAGGGCAUGAUCAUGAAGAUGAAGAUGCCGGAGCAGACGACGAUGGAGGCUGGGUGGAAGACCCUCAUAUUCAAGAGCUGCUUCUCAAGCAGACGGAGAACGCAAGAGCUGCUGCCCGAGAGAAAGCCAAGCUGGAUCAACUGGAGAUAGACGCGGUUACUCCAUUGUAUGAAGGAUGCAGGCCUGAGGAUACCCGCCUGAAAGUAACGCUCAUGGCUCUGGAGAUGAAGGUAAAACACAAAAUGACCGACACAUGCUUCGACGAGAACAUGUCAUUCUAGCACGAACAUCUUCCCAAGGGGAACAAGUGCCAGACCAGUUUCGAGGAGGCGAAGAAAAUCGUGUGUCCUCUGGAUUUACCGCACGUGAAAUACCAUGUGUGCAUGAACAAUUGCAUCAUUUAUCGGGACGAGCAUGCGGAGUCUACCAUAUGUCCGGGGUGCGGCGUCACUCGAUACAAGAAGAGGAAGAAAGCUCCUCGAAAAUCGGUGUGGUACUUUCCGAUCACUCUUCGUCUUCAGCGGUAUUUCGCGGACCCUAAGGUAGCAAAGCUCCUGCGUUGGCACGCCGAUAGGGAGGAGAAGAAGCGGGAAGAUGACGGAAAUGAUCCGGAGAUAAAUAAAAAAGACAAGAUGCUUACUCACCCUAAGGAUGCGAGGCGAAGUAGGACACAGAAAGUCGUCGCAAAGGCAAAAAGGCCAAGAAGACCGGAAAUGACUACCCUCCCGCGUGCUUCAUGCUAAGUCAGGAGGAGAUCGAGCAGUUUUUCACCUGCCUCGUAGGAGUAAAACAUCCUUACGGUUACGCGGGGAAGAUAAGGAGAUACCUAGACCUAGCGAAGCAGAAGUUCAGCGGGAUGAAGUCUCACGACUGUCACGUGCUGAUGACGCAGAUACUUCCAGUUGCAAUCCAUGGGAUCAUGGAUGCGCACGUCCGUGAAACGCUAUUUGGCCUAUGCAACUUUUUCGACGUCAUCUCUCGGAAGUCGAUUGGCAUGAGGCAACUCAGAAGGCUACAGGAAGAGAUUGUGGUGAUACUAUGCGAGCUUGAGAUGUACUUCCUGCCUGCAUUCUUCGACGUUAUGGUGCAUCUGCUGGUCCAUAUCAUGGAGGAUAUCAUCCAACUCGGGUCGAUGUUCCUGCACAGCAUGAUGCCGUUCGAAAGGAUGAAUGGUGUCAUCAAAGGAUACGUUCGCAACAUGUCACGUCCAGAGGGAAGUAUAGCCAGGGGCUUUCUGACCGAAGAGUGCAUCUCCUACUGCACGAAUUAUCUAGGCAUCGAGAACCCCGUUGGUCUGCCCGUCAACAGGCACCUCGGCAGGCUCGCUGGAUGGGGUCACCGUGAGGGUCGCCGCGAAAUGCAUGUCGACUUCGAGGGUCGACUCGCCGACUUUGAAAGAGCAAACCUAGUCGCGCUACAACACAUAGACGUGGUCGAUCCUUGGGUGGAAGAGCACAAAACCUUUAUUGAGAAGACGUACAAUGACCGAGGCCAAUAGAGGACGGACGGAGAUAUAAUCAAAGAGCACAACUCAUGUUUCACGCGUUGGUUCAAGCAGAAGCUUCUGUCGUACCCUUUACAUGAGGAUUCUUUCAUGGAAGAACAACUCAUAUUCGCCUUGUCACAGGGCGCCGAGCACAACCUGAUGACCUAUGAGGCGUACGAUAUCAACGGCUACACAUUCUACACCGAGAACAAGGACAUGAAGAGCGAUGGUUAUCAGAACUCCGGGGUAACGAUGGAAUCCUACACCGGUAACGACAAGGACAAAUACUACGGAAGGAUCGAGGAGAUCUGGGAGCUGAGCUACGCUGGAGAGAAGGUCCUGAUGUUCUGUGUCAGAUGGGCCAUGAGCGUCCUAAAAGAAGACCGGUAUUUCACCACCAUGGUUAUACCCGAAGCCAAAUCCAAGACCGCGGGCGCAAACGUCACCGCGAAAAAUGAGCCAUGGGUAUUGGCUUCCGAAGUGGACCAAUGCUUCUUCAUUACCGACCCGUCAAAGCCCAGUCGUGUUGUUGUGAGGAGAGGCAAAAGGAAGAUCAUCGGAAUGGAUGGAGUAGCCAAUGAGCAAGACUUUGACAAGUACGGCGACCCGAAGAUCGAACAUGACGACGACGAUGAAGUAGCAGCACACACCACAAGAAGAAGCAGGACCACCCUACCUAAAGGACGUCCGUUCCACAGAAGAACUCCAUUUGCGAAAAAGAAGGGCAAGAAGAUUGUGAAUAGAUAGCUAGCUAAGAUCGAUUGUAUUUAAAUCGUAGUCUUCAUUUCUCGAUUGUAUUUCAUGGGCACUUUUUGAUAUCAUGAAUAUUUUUAAAUUUCAUGGGCACUUUUUGAAUUCAUGAGGGCACUCGAUCUCGAUCCCCCUCCAUCUCGAUCUCGAUUCCCCUCCAUCUCGAUCUCGAUCCCCCUCCAUCUCGAUCCCACCCGCACCCUCCCCCGCUAGCUCCAUCGCCGCUGACAACCCACCGCAACCGAUCCCCCGCUCCACCGCCGCCGACGAGCACCCGACCCCCCGCACCCUCCCCUGCUCCACCGCCGCCAACGGGCACCCCCCGCACCCUCCCCCGCUCCACCGCCCCCGCCGAUGAUAUUUUCAAGUAANNNNNNNNNNNNNNNNNNNNNNNNNNNNNNNNNNNNNNNNNNNNNNNNNNNNNNNNNNNNNNNNNNNNNNNNNNNNNNNNNNNNNNNNNNNNNNNNNNNNNNNNNNNNNNNNNNNNNNNNNNNNNNNNNNNNNNNNNNNNNNNNNNNNNNNNNNNNNNNNNNNNNNNNNNNNNNNNNNNNNNNNNNNNNNNNNNNNNNNNNNNNNNNNNNNNNNNNNNNNNNNNNNNNNNNNNNNNNNNNNNNNNNNNNNNNNNNNNNNNNNNNNNNNNNNNNNNNNNNNNNNNNNNNNNNNNNNNNNNNNNNNNNNNNNNNNNNNNNNNNNNNNNNNNNNNNNNNNNNNNNNNNNNNNNNNNNNNNNNNNNNNNNNNNNNNNNNNNNNNNNNNNNNNNNNNNNNNNNNNNNNNNNNNNNNNNNNNNNNNNNNNNNNNNNNNNNNNNNNNNNNNNNNNNNNNNNNNNNNNNNNNNNNNNNNNNNNNNNNNNNNNNNNNNNNNNNNNNNNNNNNNNNNNNNNNNNNNNNNNNNNNNNNNNNNNNNNNNNNNNNNNNNNNNNNNNNNNNNNNNNNNNNNNNNNNNNNNNNNNNNNNNNNNNNNNNNNNNNNNNNNNNNNNNNNNNNNNNNNNNNNNNNNNNNNNNNNNNNNNNNNNNNNNNNNNNNGCCGUCGGCGCCGAGCAGCGACGCAGCACCGUACGCCCCCCGAUCUUCCUCCUCCCCUUGCCCCUCCUCCUCCUCCCCUUGCCCCCCGCCUGCGCAGCUGACGGCCCCUUCUCUAUCUCGCAGGGCAAGGUCUCCGGCGCCUCUACGACACCGACGCCUCCACUGUCUACGGCGUCUACGCCUUCUUCCACCUCCGGCCACCGCAGCCUCACCGUCGAGUAGUCGUCAAAUUCGUCUCCGUUGAACCGUCCCCGACCAUGAUGUCUACUCCUCUGCGACCGCUGUGAUAUGCUCUUCAGUUUCCCCUCCUCCCCUUGGUCGUUUGCUUCCCGUAGCGCUGCCCCUGUGAUUAAUGCUUCAUAUGAUGUUCAAUUUUUGCAUAAGUUGAAGAAACAAUAGUUCUACUGACAAGCAGAAGAAAGGAUUGGGCUCUGGUCCAAAUGAUGUUUAACAUGAAUUUAACUAAACAGAAAUUUUAUGUUGUUGCUGUUGAAGAUGAGUAGUUGUAGGAAGAUGAUGCAUAGUAGUUUUAUGUUGUUGUAGUAGUUGUAGGAUGUUAUUGUAGUUGAAGUUGCAGGAGUAGAUAAUGGAGUACUGCCAAUUUACUGUUAGUAGAGAUGUUGAACACACAACUGUUGUUUACUCUAGUGAUAGGAGUAGUAGUGGUGGCCAUCUAGUUGGACUACUACUGCUAGGACUUGCUACAGAUUCUAGGAUUUCUUUUCUUUUAGGAUUUCUUUUCUUCUAGGACUAGGUUUUUAUUAUUUUUCUGUUGUGAUUGUUUUUUGAGCUCUUUCCUUUUCAUUUCGUACUAUCCUUAUCCUAAUUAUCUUAAAUUGUUAUGAUGUGUGUAACAGGAUUAGAUCUUGGAUUUGCUAGUGGACUUUGGGAGUUUCUUAGCCAGCUUGGUGACUCCAUAUUUUUCACUAUUUCAGCAAGUCUUUUGUAAGCAUUAAACUUUCAGCACUACAUUUUUAUCUUAUGUGUACAUCUGUUUGCUUCCAAUUGCUAUAUAUGUAUUGUUGUUACUAAAAAUGAUGAAGCUCCUGUCAAUUGCUAUACAUAUAUAUGUGUAUGAUGAUCCUCCUUAUCUACAGUAGUAUAGCACUUGCAGUAGUAUGGCACUUGCAGUAGUAUGGCACUUGCAGUAGUGGUGCCUACGCAAGAUAUAGUUCAGAUUUGAUUAAUUUGUAUGACCACAAAUUUGUAUAGUUUUAGAGAUUUGUAUGACCAAAGAUACAGUUCAGAUUUGAUUAGUUCCAUAAAUUUGUAUGAACAAAUAUAUAUUUCAGAUUUGUUUAGUUUCAGAUAUUUGUAUGACCAAAGAUACAGUUCAGAUUUGAAUUGUUUCAGAAAUUUGUAUGACCAGAGAUACAGUUCAGAUUUGAAUUGUUUCAGAAAUUGGUAUGACCAAAGAUGCUAUUGUGUAUAAAUGGGCGGUUGUAGAACUGUUCUUCAUCUUUACAAUGCUGUUGUAUAGAAAUAUGCUGAAUUUUCUGCUCUGAUUGUUUCUCAAAGAAAUUUAGCAAAAAAAUGGGGUCCUGGGAGACGCCGCUGCUGCUUGAGGCCCUUGAGAGGCCCUUCGUCUCGUGAUGAUUUUGCAGGUACCCCGAGAGGCCCUUGAGUUUGCCGGAAUGUCGAUUAACUUCCGUUCUGGCAAAUUCAGGUACUCUGUAUGUCCUAUUUUCAGGAAAGGUCAUGCUGAAAUUUUCCGUGAAUUUUAGCAUGACUUUACUAAAAAUCGGACAUAUGGGGUACUUGCUACUAAUGCAUGGGCCGGGGUAUCUUAGUACUUAAUUAAGUAGGAUCAACUGCCCUUUAUUCUUGCUGCAUUAAACCAUAGGUGGCAAUAGAGCCAAGUGAUUAGGCCCAACUUAGAAUUCUCCUCAGCAUCGAUAAACCCUAUAGAUGAUAAACCCAACAUAGGUGGCAAUAGAGCCAAGUGAUUAGGCCCAACCUAGGGUGCCUCGGCAUCGAUAAACCCUAAAUGAUGAAAACUUAACUUAGCAUUUAGGGUGCCUCGGCGUCGACAAACCCUAAAUGAUGAAACCUUGGCUUUUAGGGUGCCUUGGUGUCGAUGACAACCUAAAUGAUGUACGCUUAGGCUUUUAGGGUGCCUCGGCGUCGACAAACCCUAAAUGAUAGAAGCUUAGAUUUUAGGAUGCCUCGGUGUCGACAAACCCUAAAUGAUGAGACCAUGAUCUUGUUCCUUGACAAUAACCAACUUUUUGACCAAACUUUUUUCCUAUUUAGAGCGAAACAUGGCCCAAAACGAUGAGGCCGGCAGUUCGGGCGGCACACAAUUCUGGGAGCUGUCCCUGGAGUUGGAGAAAGAACAUCACCGCUAUGAGGACGCCGCGGAAGACACCGAUCCUGACUACACAACACCUAGUGGCGUCGGGAUGACACCACUGAUGGCGCCGCCGAGGAUGCCACCACUGAUGAUGGCGGCGCACACACAGAUGGUAGCCAACCGAAGAGGCAACGGAAGGACCGGCGCCCGAACGUGCUCGGCACCGUCUGGGAGGAAUUUACUAAAGUGGACUCCGACGGGAAUCCAACGGCGCCCAAACAAGUAGUCAAGGGCUACUUGGUUCAGCUCCGGUGCAUUCUCCGGAGCACCGUCUCGAUCAACACCGAGAACCUAAGGCAUAAGGACCACGGGAAUUUGCGCAGCCUCCUCUUCACGAAGCUGCACGAACGAUACAAGUUCCCCGCUGAGUUUGCAAACACACACCUCUCAGGGAAUAAAGUGAACAGUACCGCCCUCACGAGGAUGAGCACGGCCCUGUCUACUUGGAGAAGCACGAUGAAGGCAAUGAUUGACAAAGGUGGUAGUUAUGACAAGAUCAAGGCGAAAUAUCCUUUGAUGAGCGAAGAUGAGUACAAGGAGUUCAAGAUCAAGUGCGAGAGCAGCACAACCUCCGAAUCAAGUCAGUGGGGGAAAGAAAUGCGGAAGUUGAACUUAGGGGUCCACCAACUCGGUCCCGACGGUUACAGAGUGGCGGAGCCUAUAUGGGACAAGGAGGACACGGAGCGUGCCGACCAAGGCCUACCGCCCCGCUUCGAGAAAUACCGUGACAAGCAGACCAGGAACUUUCUCAGGGCCUGGUACAAGGAGGACCCGGUAACAAAGGAGCUUACCACGGAUCCGAAGAUUAGGGCGCUCGAGCUUGUUCUGGUAAGGAAUACACCCCCGCGUAAUUAGCUCCAUAUGGUUGCAUUCUAAUUAAUCCCCAAUAUUUCUAAAUGGUUCACUUUCCUACCGCAGGACACUGAAAGCAGUAGCGCGGGGUCAUCUCAGAGCUCCCCUUUCGACACCCCUUUAAGUAGGGCGUUGAACGUAAUGAAAAACAAAGAUAAGCUCAGUAAGCCGACGUUAGCUGGUCGUGUGGCCGGCAAAGGCUUGUCCAUAAAAUGGUCGUCAUACUAUACCGUUGGUGGGCAAAAGGAGAAAAAGACCUGCUCGGAAAGCCAGUCGCGCGAGGUUGAAGCACUCAAGGCACAAGUGGCGCGGAUUUCGGAGCUUGUCCAAGAGCAAGUGGAACAACAACUGGGAACGAAGCUCAACGCCAUGGUGCCUACGUUGAUUCAUGGGCUGACGACGUGGAUUGCGGGCGGCCAACAGGGGCCUCCCCCGGUUCCCAGCUUCACGGCCAGCAACUCGCAUAGCGCGCAGGCGGCGCCAUUGGUGUCUCCGGCGGCGCCAUUGGUGUCUCCGGCGGAGGCGGUAUUCGUGUCUCCGGCGCCAGCACAGGCAUUGGAGCUUAAUGCACACGGGUGUACGCCGGCCGGCACCUCGCCAGCAAGCGGCCCCUCCGUUAGUUGCACGCCCGCCGUUGGCAGUGCCUCGACAUUAGCCGAGCUCGACGGCAUCAUGGUAACUAAGCCUCUCGGCCGAUGACUUCAUCUCCUUGCCUUUGACUGGGCAUCCCUGACGCCCUACAUGUUUUCGCAGGGCGCCGCCGACGUUCCUCGCACUCUUCUGCACUUCGUGGGCAGCGAGUUGGUCAAUGUCGCCAAGGGCAGAAUCGUUCAACCGGGCAACCCCAUGUUCCACGGUAAUCCGAUGCCACCCACAGUGUAUAGGGUUGAAGUGGUUCGGGUGCUGCCAGGCUGCGAUGAGUUGUUACCUCUGAUUCGACCCGCUGGGGCCGACGAAGAAGAUGAGAUGACCCUCAGCGCCUGCGUAAACUGGCCCCUUCUUUGGCCGAAGAGCCAAAUUCGUUUGGGGGCGGCGGACACCACCCCGCAAACAAGACCACCAGUCGUGUCGGCGCCAAGCCAUGGAAAGAACACCGCAACGCUACCGGACCUACCGGACAUCCCUAUGGCGGACAUCCCUAUGGCACAGGAUCUGGACAUCCCUAUGGCACAGGAUCAGGACGACGACGACAACAACGACAGUACAUUUACCAAAGUGGAGAAGUACUUUACCGAACAUGGGUAUGCUGACGAGUUCUGCGGGCCUCUUUCUCAAGAACCCAACCAAGACGACCGUGAUCUAGCUGGUACGGCGGAGAAAUCCAAUUGCAAUAGGCGUCAUCUGGCGUUCAGUUCUCAGGAGACGCCUCCAGCUCCCGCCUUCACCGAGCCUCAGAUAGCUGAGGUGCGAAAUAUUGUCAGCCCCAACACGCUCAAGAAGGCGGUCUGUGAGCAGAACUCGGUCCCAUUACAGGAGAUCAAGAAGAAGGGACGGAAACGAAAGACUAACAAGGGCGCCGGUGCGAGCCAGCCGGCACCGAGUUUGAUCCGUGCUCAGGAUGGGCCACCUUCACCUAAGGAUAUCUCGAGGAGGGUGCAUGUGGCGGGUAGGGCGAUGCUACCGCCAAAUAUGCUCAAUGCUGCAACCGGUGCUAUGCAGAGUCUGCACGACAGUGUUCUUUCUUUGGAGAAGCGGCAUCUUAGAGAGAAUGAUGUGGCAUACCCGGUUUUCAUGGCCGAGGUGCCAGAGGGCAUGGGCUUUGUGGAUGGCGACAUCGGGGGUACGAUCGUCCUAUGGUUUGAUGACAUCUUUGCUAUGUUUAACCUUCAUCCGCUGCACUACACCUUCGUUCGGCUGUUUUCGCUGAGUAUGGAGAUGCGGAUCAUUAGAGACAAGACCCCGGACAUCGUGAUACUAGACCCCUUCUACAUGCGUGCCAAGCACUUGAGCAGCGCUGGGGACCGCCAAGUUGCGAGUUCACACCUCGAAGGCGUCAUUCUGGCAAACCUAGAUAAGGAUAACUUCCUUGUGGCUUACUUUCCCGAGUAAGUCAUCCCUUAACCGCCCUGUAACAUAUGAUUUCUUAGAUUUCGAUCGUUCUUUUUUUUCUAACAUUCCAUGUUCUGUGCAGUGACACACAUUGCACACUCAUCCUCUUAAGCCCGAAAUAUUCCAUGGCCACGUAUUUCGACCCGAACCGUAACUCCAAGAUAGACUACACAAAUGUCAAGAAAGUUCUUGAUGAUGUUCUCCCCGGCUACGCCAAAUCUGGAGGCACCUUCACCAGGGCAGUUCAUAAGUACGGCAAGCACAUGUUCUCACACAAUAUGAAGUUCUGCUGCGUUAGGUAGCCGCCUGGCGGUCAGAAGGAUGCUUACUACGCCCUCCAAAAAAUGCGGGCGGUCGUAAGGGACCAUCAUCACCUUCUGCUACCAGAUAAUCUCAAAGAUUGGGCCACGAGCUUGUCGGCAAUCUAGUACGCGGACCUCAGACAAGAAUUCUUUCGCAUCCAGUCGGAGUUUGCGGACAUCAUCCAUCAAGAUGUCCUUCAGACCUCGGGGCAGUUCUUCCUCAGAUAUCAACCAUCCAACAGUGAGAUAGACGGAAUGCUACAAAUGCAGGCUGACAGCGACCGCGAUUUCAUGACCAUCACGACAGACGGCGGCUUCAUCCACGCUCCUGUCCGAUGAGUCGAGUCGAAAGUAGUGAUGUGUAGUCCUGAAACAUUGAUUAGCUCAUGUUGUAAUUAAACUUUAAUGAAUUCGUAUGUCUCUUUGGUUUGGACAGUCAUUCAACUUUGAUGUGAUCGAUGCUAUUUAUUAGUAGGACCAUGAAUCGUGCUAUUAAUGUCUUGCUUUUCUCUUCCGAUCCUUUUGUUUCAUACUUACAUAUUGCUUAUGUAUUGUCUAUUGUUUGUCUUGUGCAUAGAGAUGCCGUCAUAUGUCGUGUACAAGGGUAAGGUUCCCGGAGUCUACGACGACUGGGUGGAGUGUCGGAGACAAGUUCACCAUUUCAGCGGUAACAGUUACAAAGGGUACACCACUAGGGCGGAGGCCGAAUCUAGAUACGCCCGCUAUCUAGCGGGAGAGAGGAGGGAGCAUUGGAGGAACCGGAUGAAGACCAUUUUGAUCGCGAUGAUGAUCAUCGUGACGACCGCAGCUCUCUUCUAUGUGAUGGUAGUUUAGAUGAUCGAUAUCGACUUGUAAUGUGAAGGCAAACUUGAUACUCGCGGUCUUGAGACUUGUAGUGUUUUAUCUUUGUUCGGUCUUUUGAAUUCGGAGACUAAUAUGAGGAAUUGUAUUCGGAGACUAAUCUUCUAUUGUAUUCGAUGAAUCUGCUGUUGCUGUGUGCUGCUGUCUAUAUUCUGUCCAAUAAUAUAUUUUGUAACCUGUCAAAAGUCAGAAUAGUAAAAAAAUAAAACCUAAUAUUCAUACUAAUGGCGCAUCACCUCAAGGUGCGCCAUUAGUAUGCCAAAGGAUACUAAUGGCGCAUCACUACAGAGUGCACCAUUAGUAUGACAAAGCACAUGGUUACGUAUGGCCCCCCGGGAGGCAUACUAAUGGCGCAUGGUGUUACAUACUAAUGGCGCACUGCGUGGUGCUCCAUUAGUAAAAAAUACUAGUGGCGUGAUACUAAUGGCGCACCAGUAGUGCACCAUUAGUAGGCAAAACUGGUGCGCCAUUAGUAGCCCUUUUCCUAGUAGUGUAAUUUUUGAUUGUUCCAUCCCAAUAUUAUUGAACUUUCAUAUACUUUUGGUAACUUUUUAUACUAUUUUUGGGACUAACAUAUUGAUCCAGUGCCCAGUGCCAAUUGCAUGUUUUUUGUUUCACAGAAAACCCAUAUCAAACGGAGUCCAAACGAAACAAAAACGGACGGAUAUCUUUUUGGAAUAUAUGUGAAUUUUGGGAAGUUGAAUCAACGCGAGACAAUGCUUGAGGGGACCAUGAGGCAGGGGGCGCGCCCCCGACCCUCCUGGCCACCCCGUAAGGUGGCUGGUGCCCUUCUUUCUCUGCAAGAAAGUUAAUAUCCGGAUAUAAAUCAUGUCCAAAGCACAACCCAAUCUGAGUUACUGAUCUCCGAGAAUAUAAAAACGGUGAAAGGGCAGAGUCAGAAACGCAGAAACAGAGAGAGACAAAGAGACAGAUCCAAUCUCGGAGGGGCUUUCGCCCCUCCCACGCCAUGGAGGCCAUGGACCAGAUGGGAAACCCUUCUCCCAUCUAGGGAGAAGGUUAAGGAAGAAGAAGAAGAAGGGGGGCUCUCUCCCCCUCGCUUCCGGUGGCGCCAUAACGCCGCCGGGGGCCAUCAUCAUCACCGCGAUCUACACCAACACCUCCAUCAUCUUCACCAACAUCUCCAUCACCUUCGCCCAUCUAUAUUCAGCGGUCCACUCUCCUGCAACCCGUUGUACCCUCUACUUGAACAUGGUGCUUUAUGCUUCAUAUUAUUAUCCAAUGAUGUGUUGCCAUCCUAUGAUGUCUGAGUAGAUUUUCGUGGGGCAGAAUCAGAAACGCAGAAACAGAGAGAGACAAAGAGAAAAAUCCAAUCUCGGUGGGGAUUUCGGCCCUCCCAUGCCAUGGAGGCCAUGGACCAGAGGGGAAACCCUUCUCCCAUCUAGGGAGAAGCUCAAGGAAGAAGACGAAGAAGGGGGGCUCUCUCCCCCUCGCUUCCGGUGGCGCCAGAACGCCGCCGGGGGCCAUCGUCAUCACCGCGAUCUACACCAACACCUCCAUCAUCUUCACCAACAUGUCCAUCACCUUCGCCCAUCUAUAUUCAGCGGUCCACUCUCCUGCAACCCAUUGUACCCUCUACUUGAACAUGGUGCUUUAUGCUUCAUAUUAUUAUCCAAUGAUUUGUUGCCAUCCUAUGAUGUCUGAGUAGAUUUUCGUUGUCCUAUCGGUGAUUGAUGAAUUGCUAUGAUUGGUUUAAUUUGCUUGUGGUUAUGUUGCUGUCCUAUUGUGCCCUCCAUGUCGCGCAAGCAUGAGGGAUUACCGUUGUACGGUGUUGCAAUAUGUUCAUGAUUCUCUUAUAGUGGGUUGCUUGAGUGACAGAAGCAUAAACACGAGUAAGGGGGUUGUGGCAUAUGGGAUAAAGGGGACUUGAUACUUAAAUGCUAUGGUUGGGUUUUACCUUAAUGAUCUUUAGUAGUUGCAGACGCUUGCUAGAGUUCCAAUCGUAAGUGCAUAUGAUCCAAGAAGAGAAAGUAUGUUAGCUUAUGCCUCUCCCACAUAAAACUUGCUAUCGGUCUAGUAAAGUAGUCAAUUGCUUAGGGACAAUUUCACAACUCCUAUCACCACUUUUCAACACUUGCUAUGUUUACUUUAUUGUUUAUUUAUCUAAACAUCUCCUUUCUUUUAUUUACGUGCUCUUUAUUAUCUUGCAAUUCUAUCCAACAACACCUACAAAGUACUUCUAGUUUCAUACUUGUUCUAGGUAAAGCGAACGUUAAGCAUGCGUAGAGUUGUAUCGGUGGUUGAUAGAACUUGAGGGAAUAUUUGUUCUACCUUUAGCUCCUCGUUGGGUUCGACACUCUUACUUAUCGAAAGAGGCUACAAUUGAUCCCCUAUACUUGUGGGUUAUCGGUGGGCUGCCUCCGUCCUCCUCUCAUAUUCAUUUGCCUCCUCCCUGGUUAUAAAGUAUCCCCUUUUGGCCUGGAAGUCAAAGAAAGUAGAAGCAGGGAGAGCAAUAUGGACAGUACACCGUCUGUCAAAGAUUAGUCGAUAUUGGAGGAACUAUUCAUUUCUUUCAAGAAUCUGAUGGCUAACCAUGGCAUUAUAAUCUACGUAAGCAGGAAGCAACUCUCUAUCACUUUCAUGUAUGGGUACUCCAAGGAAAUUAGCUGUACGGGUUGCAUAAAUUCCGCCAAACAGGUUUCCAAGUAAACCAUUAUUAUGCAACCUACAUGCCACGAUGGCCCCUAGGUUAUAUUGUUGAUCUGCCAACACCGCACUCCUGAGAACACUAAGAUCAGGAACACACAUGUGACAUGCUUCUUCCUUACCAUUUAUGCAUCUACCUAUAAAGAGAGCAAAAUAAUGUAUAGCGGGAAAAUGAAUGCUCCCUAUGGUAGCUUGUGCUAUUUCUCUGGAUUCCCCCACAGAGAUACUAGCCAGGAAAUCUUUAAACUCAGAUUUGCGAGGAUCGCUAGCACUACCCCAUUGUGGGAGUUUACAAGCAGUAGUAAAAUCUUCUAAGUCCAUGGUAUAAGAUUUAUCAUAAAGAUCAAACAGUACAUUGUGAGAAUUGCGCGAAGAUGUAAAUUUAAACCUACUCACAAAGGAAUCAGUUAAAUAUUGGUAUUGAGGGCACUUAUGUUGCAUGAAUUCCAAAAGAUCAGCAUUACACACAUAUGCAUCGAAUUCAUCCUUAAUGCCUGCUCGAACCAUAAACUCUUCUGACGGACAUUCACAAGGCCGCAUGUAAGCUUCCCUAGGUUGUUCAUCGUCCGGCUCGCGUAUUGCGAGUCUCGGUCCUUGCUUCCUUGAGGAACAACCUUGAUACAAUUUCCUAUGCAUUUUUCUCUGAAAAAAUUCUGAAAAGUUUUUAGUAACGCAAAAUAAAAGUAACCGAACUCAAUAAAAUUGAUAGCAACUACUCCCACAAGUGCCUAGAGACCAUAUCAUGCAUUAGAACUACUUGGGACCAAAUAAAUUUGACAUGCAAGCUCAAGAACAGGUCACCUUAGCAACAAGAAUUUGCAAUGAAUACAGCACUAGAACAAAAACUAAUUGGACCGUUGGAGGAGUCACAUACCAAAGAACAAUCCCCCAAAGCAAUUUUUUGAAUGGAGCUUUGAGCAAGGAGAUUGAAAAUGGUAGCAAAAUGAGCUAGAACUCGUGCUUGAGCUAGUUGGUGAUUUUUUUGGAAGGAAGAAGAAGAGCAUGGGUGCAGGAAUAAGUGAAGGAGUGCCACCACGGGCCCACAAGGCGGGGGGCGUGCCCUAGACCCUCGUGGCCAGGUUCUGGCUCCCUCUAGUGUGUUCUCAGUGCCAGAUAUUCUCAAAUAUUCCAGAAAAAAUGAUAUUUAAUUUGCAAGGCAUUUGGAGAACUUUUAUUUUCGGGAUAUUUUUUAUUGCAUGGAUAAUUCAGAAAACAGACAGAAUAUACCAUUUCUACUUUAUUUAAUCUAAAUAACAGAAAGUAAAACUAGGGUACAUAAAGUUGUGCCUUCUAACUUCAUCCAUCUCAUGCUCAUCAAAAGGAAUCCACUAACAAGGUUGAUAAGUCUUAUUAACAAACUCAUUCUGAAUCGUAUGAAACCGGAGAAAUUUCAAAAUGACACCAGGUUACCUCAACGGGAAUAUGAACAUCCCCAAUAAUAAGAAUAUCAUACUUCUUUUUUACAGUAGGAAGAGGAAAUUCAAAACCUCCAAUAACAAUUGAUGGGAUUUUUCCAAUAGAAUUUAUACUGUGGACUUGAGGUUGUUUCCUUGGAAAGUGAAACGUAUGCUCAUUACCAUUAAUUUGAAAAGUGACAUUGCCUUUGUUGGAAUCAAUAACAACACCUGCAGUAUUGCAAAAGGGUCUACCAAGGAUAAUCGACAUACUAUCGUCCUCGGGAAUAUCAAGAAUGACAAAGUCUAUUAAGAUAGUAACGUUUGCAACAACAACAGGCACGUCCUCACAAAUACCGACAGGUAUAGCAGUUGAUUUAUCGGCCAUUUGCAAAGAUAUUUCAGUAGGUGUCAACUUAUUUAAUUCAAGUCUACGAUAUAAAGAAAGAGGCAUAACACUAACACCGGCUCCAAGAUAAGCAGUUUUAACAUAGUUUCUUUUAAUGGAGCAUGGUAUAGUUGGUACUCCUGGAUCUCCAAGUUUCUUAGGUAUUCCACCCUUAAAAGUAUAGUUAGCAAGCAUGGUGGAAAUUUCAGACGCCGGUAUCUUUCUUUUAUUUGUAAUAAUAUCUUUCAUGUACUUAGCAUAAGGAUUCGUCUUAAGCAUAUAGGUCAAGCACAUACGCAAAAAGAUAGGUCUAAUCAUUUCAGUAAAGCGCUUGAAAUCCUCAUCAUCCUUUUUCCUGGAUGGUUUAGGAGGAAAUGGCAUGGUUUUCUGAACCCAUGGUUCUAUUUCUCUACCAUGCUUCCUAGCAACGAAGUCUUUCUUAUCAGAACGUUGAUUCUUUGAUUGUGGGUUAUCAAGAUCAACAGUAGGUUCAAUUUCUACAUCAUUGUUAUUGCUAGGUUGAGCAUCUACAUGAACAUCAUUAUUGGCAUUAUCACUAGGUUCAUGUUCAUGAACAGAUUGUGUUUCAGCAUCAGAGAUAGAAAUAUCAUUAGGAUUCUCAGGUGUGUCUACAACAGGUUCAUUAGAAGCAUGCAAAGUCCUAUCAUCUUUCUUUUUCUUCUUUUUAGAAGGACCAGGUGCAUCAGCAUUGUUUCCCUGAGAAUCUUGCUCAAUUCUCUUAGGGUGGCCCUUAGGAUACAAAGGUUCCUGAGUCAUUCUACCACCUCCAGUCGUAACUCUAACAUCAUUAUCAAUUCUCUUAUCAUUUAAUUCAUUGAGCAAUUCAUUCCGAGCCUUAAGCACUUGUUCUCCUUGAGUGGUAACCAUCGAAGCAUGUUUACUGGUGAGUUUAAGUUCACCCUUAACUCUAGACAUAUAAUCACUCAAGCGUCCAAUCAUAUAAGCAUUACUUUUCAAUUGACUACUAACAUAAGCAUUGAAAUUGUCUUGUUUCGCCAUAAAGUCAUCAAAUUCAUCCAAGAAUUGGCUAGCAAACUUAAUAGAUGGGAUUUCAACUUUAUCAUAUCUAUAGAGAUAAUUUACCUUCACUACAUGUGUCGGGUUACCAAGACCGUGUAUUUUUUCAAUAGGUGGUAUAUUAUGGCCAUGUAUUUCUUCAACAGGAGGUAAAUUCUUAAUAUCUUCAGCUUUAAUACCUUUCUCUUUCAUAGAUUUCUUUGCCUCUUGCAUAUCUUUAGGACUGAGAAAUAGAACACCUCUUUUCUUCGGAGUUGGCUUGGGAGUUGGUUCAGGAAGUGUCCAAUUAUUUUCAUUUGCCAACAUAUUAUUCAAUAGCAAUUCAGCUUGGUCAACUGUUCUUUCCCUGAAAACAGAACCAGCACAGCUAUCUAGGUGGUCCUUGGAAGCAUUGGUUAGUCCAUUAUAAAAGAUAUCAAGUAUUUCAUUUUUCUUAAGAGGAUGAUCAGGCAGAGCAUUAAGUAAUCGAAUAAGCCUCCCCCAAGCUUGUGGGAGACUCUCUCCUUCAAUUUGCACAAAAUUAUAUAUUUCCCUUAAAGCAGCUUGUUUCUUAUGAACAGGGAAAUAUUUAGCAGAGAAGUAAUAAAUCGUAUCCUGGGGACUACGCACACAACCAGGAUCAAGAGAAUUAAACCAUGUUUUAGCAUCACCCUUUAAUGAGAGGAAAUAUUUUAAGGAUAUAGUAGUAGCGAGAUUUCUCAUCAUUAGUAAACAGGGUGGCUAUAUCAUUUAACUUAGUAAGAUGUGCAACUAUAGUUUCAGAUUCACUGCCAUAAAAAGGAUCAGAUUCAAACAAAGUAAUUAUCUCAGGAUCAACAGAGAAAUCAUAAUCCUUAUCAGUAAAAAAGAUAGGUGAAGUAGCGAAAGCAAGGUCAUGUUUCAUUCUAUCAUUCAGAGACGUUUGUUUCAGCUUAGCUAAUAAUUUCUUAAGAUCAGAUCUAUCAUUGCAAGCAAGAAAAUCUCUAGCAGUUUCAUCAUCCAUAACAUAACCCUUAGGAACAACAAGCAGUUCAUAUUGAGGGGGAGAACCUUCAUCAUCACUUUCAUCAAUAUUUUCAGUUUCAAUAAUUUCAUUCUCUCUAGCCCUAGCAAGUUGUUCAUCAAGAAAUUCACCUCUUGGCACAAUAAGCAUAGAACUAGUUUCAUCAUAAGUAUCAUGCAUAGCAGAAGUGGCAUCAUCAAUAACAUGCGACAUAUCAGAAUUAAUAGCAGAAGCAGGUUUAGGUGUCGCAAGUUUACUCAUAAUAGAAGGAUAAUCAAGUACAGCGCUAGACGACAGUUCCUUACCUCCCCUCAUAGUUGAGGGAUAAAUUUUAGUAUUUCGUCUUUCAAGUUCUUCAUAGUGAUCAGUAGUUAUAAAUCCCAAGUGACUCAAAGAAUAGAGCUAUGCUCCCCAGCAACGGCGCUAGAAAAUAGUCUGGAUAACCCGCAAGUAUAGGGGAUCGCAACAGUUUUCGAGGGUAGAGUAUUCAACCCAAAUUUAUUGAUUCGACACAAGGGGAGCCAAAGAAUAUUCCCAAGUAUUAGCAGUUGAGUUGUCAAUCAACCACACCUGGAUAACUUAGUAUCUGCAGCAAAGUAUUUAGUAGAAAAGUAGUAUGGAAGUAAUGAUAACAGUAGCAAAAGUAACAGCAGCAGUUUUGUAGUAGUUGUAACAAUGGCAACGACAAAGUAACUGAAAAAAGAACAAUAUGUGAAAACCUCGUAGGAAUUGGAUAGGUGAUGGAUAAUUAUGUCAGAUGCAAUUCCUCAUGUAAUAGUUAUAACAUAUGGUGACACAGAACUAGCUCCAAUUCAUCAAUGUAAUGUAGGCAUGUAUUCCGUAUAUAGUCAUACGUGCUUAUGGAAAAAACUUGCAUGACAUCCUUUGUCCUACCCUCCCGAACGGACUCCAGAUCAGCCCUCCCAAGAGAGUUUAGGGCUUGGCGGCGGCUCCGUAUCGUAAAAUGCGAUGAAUCCUUCUCUCUGAUUUUUUUCUCCCUGAUCGUGAAUAUUUGGAGUUGGACUUGAGGUCGGUGGAGCACCAGGGGGCCCACGAGGUAGGGGAGCACGCCCUAGAGGGCGCUCUCCACCCUCGCGGACAGGGUGUGGGCCCCCUGGCCUUGAUUCUUUCUCUAGUAUUUUUUAUUAAUUCCAAAAAUAACUUUCGUGGAGUUUCAGGUCAUUCCGUGAACUUUUAUUUCUACACAGAAAUAACACCAUGGCAGUUCUACUGAAAACAGCGUCAGUCCAGGUCAGUUCCAUUCAAAUCAUGCAAAUUAGAGUCCAAAACAAGGGUAAAAGUGUUUGGAAAAGUAGAUACGACGGAGACGUAUCACCCCUCUCCUCCCUCUCCCUUCCUUUCCCCCUCUCCUGGAAGGUGGACUCCUACUAGGACUUUGAGUCCUAGUAGGACUCCUCCCUCCCGGCGCACCCAACAAGGGUCGGCCGGCCUCCCCCUCCCUCCUUUAUAUACAGGGGCAGGGGGCACCCUAGAACACACAAGUUUCUCUCCCAACCGUGUGUGUUGCCCCCUCCAAAGUUACACACCUCGAUCAUACCAUCGUAGUUCUUAGGUGAUGUCCUGCACCAGUAACAUCAUCCUCACCAUCGCCACACCGUCGUGCUGACGGAACUCACCUUCGGCCUCAAUUGGAUCAAGGGUACGAGGGACGUCAUCGAGCUGAACGUGUGCUGAACGCGGAGGUGCCGUACGUUCGGUACUUGAUCAGUUGGAUCGUGAAGAAGUUUGACUACAUCAACCGCGUUACUAAAUGCUUCCGCUUUCAGUCUAUGAGGGUAUGUGGACACACUCUCCCCUCUCCUUGCUAUGCAUCACCUAGAUAGAUCUUGCGUGAUCGUAGGAAUUUUUUUGAAGUUACCGCAUUCCCCCACAGUGGCAUCCGAGCCAGGUCUAUGCGUAGAUGUUAUAUGCAUGAGUAGAACAAAAGUGAGUUGUGGGCGAUAAUAGUCAUACUACAUACCACCAACGUCUUACUUUGAUUCGGCGGUAUUGUUGGAUGAAGCGGCCCGGAUCGACAUUACAUGACCGCGUUCAUGAGACUGGUUCUACGACGUGCUUUUGCACAAAGGUGGCACUACUAGGAAAAGGGCUACUAGUAGCGUGGGUUUUUUGGCUAUCAGUAGCGCUGGUGCCCGCGCUACUGCUACGACACUAUAGCUAAAUUUUACUAGUAGCGCGUUUUUACACCGUGCUACAGCUAGUUGUGAUAGUAGUAGCAUGGAUUGCACACGCGCUACAGCAGCGCAGGAUGCUGCCCCGCGCUACUACUAACUAAUUAGGAUUUUUUUAAAUCCACAAAUUCCAUUUUUUGCUUUUGAGCUAUAUACGAUUCAAUCAUCAUCUUAAUUAACUGGCCAGACAACACAAAUGUUUGCUUUUGAGAUGUAUACACUCCAAACAUCAAUUGAUCACUUGCAUUAACUAGUACAUGGUGCAUUUAGUUGGAGAUGAGCCGUAGCCACUGGCAUCCAAGUUGCCUGAUCCACUCGCCAUCCACGGAUCCAAGCUAGGUAGGACGAGAUCUACCACCAAAAAACACGGGGCUCCCUUGUUAAUUUUUCUGUCAUGGAGAAUGAAGAAGAGUGAGACAGGAAGAAGAGGGGGCUCACUGUUGCUGGAUGGAUGGGAGACAACCGGGACGGGGGAUGACAUGAGCUGCGGGGAAUGAGAUGCUCUGUAGCGUUUCAGCCGCGUCCUGGCCGGUGGCGGACAUGUAGGUCACCAUGAGCUGCUGCACAAGGUGCGACACGACCACCGCGUCGGCCAGCGCCAGGCAUCCGCACCUCACGGACGGUGAUGACCCACAAGUGUGGUUCUAUCAUAGUCCUUUCGAUAAGUAAGAGUGUCAAACCCAACGAGGAGCAGAAGGAAAUGAUAAACGAUUUUCAGUAAGGUUUUCUCUGCAGGCACUGAAAUUGUAGGUAAUAGAUAGUUUUGUGACAAGAUAAAUUGUAAUGAGUAACAAGCAAUGAAAGUAAAUAAAGUGUAGCAAGGUGGUCCAAUCCUUUAUGUAGCAAAGGAUAAGCCUGGACAAUUUCUUAUAAUGAGGAAAGAGCUCCCGAGGUCACAUGGGAAUUAUCGUCAAGCUAGUUUUCAUCACGUUCAUAUGAUUCUCGUUCGGUACUUUGAUAAUUUGAUACAUGUGUGGACCAGUGCUUGGGUACUGCCCUUACUUGGACAAACAUCCCACUUAUGAUUAACCCCUAUUGCAAGCGUCCGCAACUACAAAAGAAGUAUUAAGGUAAACCUAACCACAACAUUAAACAUAUGGAUCCAAAUUAGCCCCUAACGAAGCAACGCAUAAACUAGGGUUUAAGCUUCUGUCACUCUAGCAACCCAUCAUCUACUUAUUACUUCCCAAUGCCUUCCUCUAGGCCCAAAUAAUCGUGAAGUGUCAUGUAGUCGACGUUCACAUAACACCACUAGAGGAAAAGACAACAUACAUCUCAUCAAAAUAUCUAACGAAUACCAAAUUCACAUGACUACUAAUAGCAAGACUUCACCCAUGUCCUCAGGAACAGAUGUAACUACUCACAAAGCAUAUGCAUGUACAUAAUCAGAGGAGUAAUAAUAUGCAUUAAGGAUCUGAACAUAUAAUCUUCCACCAAGUAAACCAAUUAGCAUCAACUACAAUGAGUAGUCAACACUACUAGCAACCCACAGGUACCAAUUUGUGGUUUUGAUACAAGAUUGGAUACAAGAGAUGAACUAGGGUUUGAGAGGAGAUGGUGCUGGUGAAGAUGUUGAUGGAGAUUGACACCCUCCCGAUGAGAGGAUCGUUGGUGAUGACGAUGGUGAUGAUUUCCCCCUCCCGGAGGGAAGUGUCCUGAUACGUCUCCAACGUAUCUAUAAUUUAGGAAGCAUUCAUGCUAUUUUAUUAUCUGCUUUGAAUGAUUACGGGCUUUAUUUUACACUUUUAUAUUACUUUUGGGAAUAACCUAUUAACCGAAGGCCCAACCCAUAUUGUUGUUUUAUUGCCUGUUUCAGUAUUUCGAAAAAAAGGAGUACCAAACGGAGUCCAAACGAAAUGAAACCUUCGGCAGCGUUAAUUUUGGGAAGAAUAUCACCCAGGAGACUUGGAGUUCACGUCGGAAGAGCCUCGAGGAGGCCAUGAGAUAGGAGCCCCCCCUACUGGGCGCACCCCCUGUCUCGUGGGCCCCUCAAGCACCCCCCCGACCGACUUCUUUCGCCUAUAUAAGCCUACGUACCAUAAAAACAUCGAAUAUCAAGAAUAGAUCAGGAGUUCCGCCGCCGCAAACCUCUGUAGCCACCAAAAACCUCUCGGGAGCCCUUUCCGGCACCCUACCGGAGGCGGGAUCCUUCAUCGGUGACCAUCUUCAUCAUCCCGGCGCUCUCCAUGACGAGGAGGGAAUAGUUCACCCUCCGGGCUGAGGGUAUGUACCAGUAGCUAUGUGUUUGAUCUCUCUCUCUCUCUCUCUCUCUCUCUCGUGUUCUCUCUCGUGUUCCCUCUAUGGCACGAUCUAGAUGUAUCCCGAGCUUUGCUAUUAUAGUUGGAUCUUAUGUUGUUUCUCCCCCUCUACUCUCUUGUGAUGAAUUUAGUUUUCCCCUUUGAAGUUAUCUUGUCGGAUUGAGUCUUUUAUGAGAACACUUGAUGUAUGUCUUGCCGUCCUUAUCUGUGGUGACAAUGGGAUAUCAUGUGCCACUUGAUGUAUGUUUUGGUAACCAACUUGCGGGUUCCACCCAUGAACCUAUGCAUAGGGGUUGGCACACGUUCUUGACUCUCCGGUAGAAACUUUGGGCCACUCUUUGAAGUACUUUGUGUUUGUUGAAUAGAGAAAUCUGAGAUUGUGUGAUGCAUAUUGUAUAAUCAUGCCCACGGAUACUUGAGGUGACAAUGGAGUAUCUAGGUGACAUUAGGGUUUUGGUUGAUUUGUGUCUUAAGGUGUUAUUCUAGUAUGAACUCUAUGAUAGAUUGAGCGGAAAGAAUAGCUUCAUGUUAUUUUACUACAAACUCUUAAAUAGAUUGAUCAGAAAGAAUAACUUUGAGGUGGUUUCGUACCCUACCAUAAUCUCUUUGUUUGUUCUCCGCUAUUAGUGUCUUUGGAGUGACUCUUUGUUGCAUGUUGAGGGAUUGUUAUAUGAUCUAUCUAUGUUAUUAUUGUUGAGAGAACUUGCACUAGUGAAAGUAUGAACCCUAAACCUUGUUUCCUACCAUUGCAAUACCAUUUAUGCUCACUUUUAUCAUUAGUUACCUUGCUGUUUUUAUAAUUUGAGAUUACAAAAACCUAUAUCUACUAUCUAUUUUGCACUUGUAUCACCAUCUCUUCGCCGAACUAGUGCACCUAUACAAUUUGCCAUUGUAUUGGGUGUGUUGGGGACACAAGAGACUCUGUUAUUUGGUUGCAGGGUUGUUUGGGAGAGACCAUCUUCAUCCUACGCCUCCUACGGAUUGAUAAACCUUACGUCAUCCACUUGAGGGAAAUUUGCUACAGUCCUACAAACCUGUGCACUUGCAGGCCCAACAACGUCUACAAGAAGAAGGUUGUGUAGUAGACAUCAAGCUAAUUUCUCGCGCCGUUGCCAGGGAGGCUAGGUAAACGGCACUCACACCCCGUCAACUAAGCUCUUUUCUGGCGCCGUUGCCGGGGAGGUGAGUGCUUGAAGGUAUAUCUUUAGAUCUUGCAAUCGAAUCUUUUUGUUUCUUGUUUUAUGACUAGUUCAGUUGAUAAAAGAAAACUACACAAAAAAUGGAGUUUAGUUUGUCUCAUACGCUUCCUCUUUUUAAUAUAUUUCGUGAGUAUGAUGGAAAGGAAAAUUGUGCUCAAGUGCUAGAAGAAGAAAUCUAUAGAAUGUUUGUCACUAAAUCUUUGAAUGAUGAGCAUGAUUGCAAUGUUGUUAGUAUGAACUCUUGGAAUAUCCAUAGUACUAAUGAUGAUUGCACUAGUCAUGAUGAAAAUAUCUCUUAUGAGCAUGUCAACUUUUGUGAUGAUUUGAUUUCCCUUGCACAUUAUAAUGAACUUAUUUUGCUCUUGGGUUAUGAAGAAUUGAAAUGUUAAACUAAAGAUCUUCCAGAUUUUGCCCUUAAGAAGUUCCUUGAUAUUGAUCUAGAGAAGAUUUAUUUGUAUUGUACGGUGAAUUGCAUUGAAAAUCCUUAUAUUUCCAAUUACAUAAAGAAAAGAAAGCAAAUAGAAGAUUAUGAGAAUACUAAUGAAAAGGAAGAGACUUCCCAAUCUCCUCCUAUUAUUUCUUAUGAUGAAUCAGGUAACGAGGAGGAGCUUUCUAUUCAACCAAUCCCAUCAAUAAAGAAGGUUGAACCCACACAUAAUGUGAAUAGGAAAAGGAAGAUAAGGGGCAGCAAAGUUAAAAAGGUAUCCCUCCCAAAUGAUGUUUCUCCUACUACUCAUUGUGAUGAUGAUAAUUGCUAUUCUAUUGGUGCUAUCCAUACUAUUGAUGAUGAUUAAGCUUAUGACAUGAAAAGGCCCAAGCUUGGGGAAGCUAUGUAUGAUGAGGAUGAAAUAUUUGAGAAUAUAUUUUCUGAAAUUAAUGUUUGUCCCAAGCUUGGGGAUGCUAUGUUUAAUGAAGAUGAUAUUUUUAGCCUCCCAAGUUUUGAUAUGCAAAGUUGUUAUGAUGAUAACAUGCCUCUUUAUGAUGAUUAUAUUGAUGAAAGUGGGUUUGGAAGAGUGUCAACUUUAGGAAGUAGUGAUCCCACUAUUUUGGAGGAUGUUGAAUCUUAUUGUGAUGAAUAUGAAAGUGGAUUUGGAAGAGUGUCAACUUUAUUUUGUGAUUCCACUAUCUUGGGAGAGGUUUCAAUCGAUUAUGAUGAGAACAAAGUUGCUACUUAUGAUGACUAUUGUGAUGAAACUUAUGCUAUAAAAAGUAGUAAUGAUUAUAUUUACAAAUCUUGUCAUGAUUAUGAUUACCCUUUUUCUGAACAUUACUCUUUUAAUGUGGAAACAUUUUUUAGUGUUCAAGUCUCUUAUGAUACUCCCACUAUUCCGAAUGAGAAGAAUUUUGCUUAUGUGGAGAGUAGUAAAUUUUCUAUGCUAGUAGAUCAUGAAAAGAAUGCUUUAGGUGAUGGUUAUAUUGUUGAAUUCACUCAUUAUGCUACUUAAAAUUAUUAUGAGGGAGGAACAUAUGCUUGUAGGAGUUGCAAUAAUGUCAAGUUUCCUCUCUAUUUGUUGAAAUUCUUGAAGUUAUGCUUGUUUUAUCUUCCUAUGCUAGUUGAUCAUUGUUCCCAUAAGUUGUUUGAUCAAAAAAUACCUAUGCUAGGAAGUAGGUUAGACUUAAAUGUGCUAGUCAUAUUCUUCAUGAUGCUCUCUUUAUGUUUCAAUUCUUAUCUUUUAUGUGAGCAUCAUUGCCAUCAUCAUGCCUAGCUAGAAAAGGCAUUAGAGAAAAGUGCUUGUUGGGAGACAACCCAAUAUUUUUCCUUACUGUUUUUGUGUGUUCACAUGAUUAUGCUACUGUAUUAAUCAUGUUUUAUAGCUUUUAUUUCAAUAAAGUGCCAAGUAGAACCUUUGGGAAGACUUGGGUGAAGUCUUUAUGAUCAUGCUGUGAAAAACAGAAACUUUAGCGCUCAUGAGAUUAGCUGCCAUUUUUACUGGAGAGUGCUUUUAGGUUGAUUCUUUUUUCAGAUUAUUAAUAGACAAAUUCCUCAGGUCCACCAAUUUAUUUCAUAAUUUUUGGGGUUCCAGAAGUAUACAUUUGAUACAAAUUACUACAGACUGUUCUGUUUUUGACAGAUUCUGUUUUCAUUGUGUUGUUUGCUUAUUUUGAUGAAUCUAUGGCUAGUAUGUAAGUGUAUGAACCAUAGAUAAGUUGGAAUACAGUAGGUUUAACACAAAUAUAAAUAAAGAAUGAGUUCAUUACAGUACCUUAAAGUGGUGAUUUAUUUUCUUACAUUAACGGAGCUUACGAGUUUUGUUUUGAGUUUUGUGUGGUUGAAGUUUUCAAGUUUUGGGUAAAGAUUCGAUGGACUAUGGAAUAAGGAGUGGAAAGAGCCUAAGAUUGGGGAUUCCCAAGUCACCCCAAUGUAAUAUUCAAGGACAACCAAGAGCCUAAGCUUGGGGAUGCCCCGGAUGGCAUCCCCUCUUUCGUCUUCGUUCAUCGGUAACUUUGCUUUGAGCUAUAUUUUUAGUCGCCACAUGAUAUGUGUUUUGCUUGGAGCGUCAUUUUCUUUUGUUAGUGUUUGCUUUCUGUUAGUUAGAAUAAUAUUUUGCAUAUUUAGUUUCAAUAAAAAAGUCAAGGAUAGCCUUUGCCAUGCUUAUUUUGCUAGUAUACAUGUUGCUGUUUGAAAACAGAAAGUUUACCGCUGUUGCAAAAAUUCCCUAGACAACUCAGAGAAUGUUAUAAUGUUGAAUAUUUUUGAAUAUUGAGCUCUGAUAAAUUCAUUACACUGGGAAUUUUACUUCAUAAUUUUUGGAGUCAGGGAAGUAUUGAUACUCUUGCAUUCUUUACAGACUGUACUGUUUUGGCAGAUUGCUGUUAUGGUUGCAUUGUUUGCGUAUGUUUGCUUGUUUAAUGAUUCUAUUUGAGGAUAGGAGUGUUAAAUACGCAGAGACAUUUAGUAUUCAAUGUUGAAUAAUAAUCUUAGUGAUUUGUUACAGUAGAGAAUGAUAUGGUUUUGCAUUGGUUUAUACUAACCUAUCUCACGAGUUCUUGUUGAGUUUGGUGUGGAUGAAGCUUUUGAUAAAAAGAGAAACCGUGAUAUGAGAGGAAUUAAGGAGACAUAAAAGCUCAAGCUUGGGGAUGCCCAAGACACCCCAAGGUAAUAUUUCAAGAAUUCUCAAGCAUCUAAGCUUGGGGAUGCCCCGGUAGGCAUCCCACAUUUCUUCUUCAACAACUAUCGGUUAGUAUCGGUUGAGCCUAAGUUUUUGCUUCUUCACAUGAGUUGUGCUAUCCUUGCAAUGUAAUUUUGUUUUGCUUUGCUUGCUGUUCGAAUAAAAUACCAAGAUCGGAAAUUAUUUAAUGAGAGAGAGUCUUCAUAUAGCUACAUAAUUAUUUAGCUACUCAUUGAUCUUCACUUAUAUCUUUCUGGAGUAGUUUGUCAUUUACUUGUCUGCUUCACUUAUAGCCUAUGAGUAAAUGGUUGAAUGAGUUGAUUGUCAUAAAUCUGAAAUUAUAUAUGUCUCAUUUGCUUAUCCCUUGGGGAGUAAUGACUUCACAUCUAAGAAGUCGAGGUUGUAUAUUUAUUGACGGUUAGCAAGCAUUGUAUUAGUCAUUUGAGCAAUUCAUGAAAGAAUAUUGAAGGAAGAGAGAUUUCACAUAUAAAUAUAUUAUCAUAGACAUCUUUUAUAAUUGUGAGUACUCAUUAAGUAUGACAUGCUAAAGAGUUGAUGUUGGACAAGGAAGACAACUAAUGGGUUAUGUUUUCUCGCAUCUCAGUUAAAGUAUAUUGUCAUGGAUCAUUCGAACAUGUUGAGCUUGCCUUUCCCCCUCAUGCUAGCCAAAAAUUCCUAGCACCAAGUAGAGAUACUACUUGUGCUUCCAAAUAUCCUUAAACCCAGUUUUUGCCAUGAGAGUCCACCAUACCUACCUAUGGAUUGAAUAAGAUCCCUCAAGUAACUUGUCAUCGGUGCAAGCAAUGAAAAUUGCUCUCUAAAUAUGCACGACUUAUUAAUGUCGAGAAAAUAAGCUUUGUACGAACUUGUUAUGGAAGCAAUAAAAGCGACAGACUGCGUACUAAAGGUCCAUAUACAAGGGGCAAUACAAAGUGACGUUCUUUCGCAUUAAGAUUUUGUGUAUCCAACCCUAAAAGUGCAUGACAACCUCUGCUUCCCUCUGCGAAGGGCCUUUCUUUUACUUUAUGUCUUUUACUUUAUGCAAGAGUCAAGGUGAUCUUCAACUUUCACCUUUUCAUUUUAUCCUUUGGCAAGCACUUCGUGCUGGGGUGAUCCUGAUAUAUAUAUCCAAUUGGAUGUACGUUAGCAUGAACUAUUAUUGUUGACAUCACCCAAAGGUGAAUACAUUUGGAGGCAACAUUAUAAGCCCCAAUCUUUCUCUGUGUCUGAUUAAAACUUCAUAACCACAAGUAUUGCGUGAGUGUUAGCAAUUGUAGAAGACUAUAUGAUAGUCGACUAUCUGAAGUUUGCUAAAUCAAAGCUCUGACAUAGACUCUUCCUGAAAGUAAGAUGAAUUGCAAUUGUUUGAUGACUAAGAAUGAAGUUUGGUAGUUUUUAAGAAAGUUUAUGGUCUAUGAUUUAACAUGUGAAUUGCUUGUUACUAGUUCGUGAAAAGUUUUAUGAGAUGAACUACUGUUAUGACAUAUAUUGACGCUAGUAAAGGUGAUUGAAAUUAUCAUUGAUCAAACUUGUGCACCUGUAGCAUUCACACUUCAUAAAUUCUUUCUUUAUCAUUUACCUACUCGAGGACGAGUAGGAAUUAUGUCCCCGGCAAAACAGCUCUGCCGGAGCUCUAGAUUGGUUCCGCCUCGUGGCGGCAGAGUUUCGUCCUCUAAGCUUGCCCACGAUUUUUCCAGGGUAAAAGCCUUCAUAUAGCAGAAGAUGGACACCGGGGGGCCACCAGGGGGCCUAGGAGACAGGGGGCGUGCCCAGUAGGGGUGGGCGCGCCCCCCACCCUCCUGGCCAAGGUGUGGGCCCCCUGAGGUGUUUCUUUCGCUUAAUAAUUCUUAUUAAAUCCAAAAAUAAGUUUCGUGGAGUUUCAGGUCUUUUGGAGCAGUGCAGAAUAGGUUUCCAAUGUUUGCUCCUUUUCUAGCCAGAAUUCUAGCAGCCGGCAUUCCCCCUCUUCAUGGUAAACCUUAUAAAAUAAGAGAGAAUAUCCAUAAGUAUUGAUAUAUAAUAUGUAAUGACAGCCCAUAAUGCAAUAAAUGUUGAUAUAAAAGCAGGAUGCAGAAUGGACGUAUCAACUCCCCCAAGCUUAGACCUCGCUUGUCCUCAAGCGGAAGCCGAAAUCGAAAAAUAUGUCCACAUGUUUAGAGAUAGAGGUGUCGAUAAAAAUAAAAUACGGAAAUGAUGGCAUCAUGAUCAUUAUUAUAACAACAACAUAUAUAGAUUUUGCCAUAAGAAUUCUUAUGCUCAAGUAACAAUCUAUUCACAAAGUCAAAUACGGUUCGGACACUUCAUUAAAAGCUAACAAACUAUAAUCUCAGUCAUUGAAGUAAUUACAAUUUAUCGUAACAUCACAAAGAGUCAAGAAUAGAGCUUUUCAGCAAGUCCACAUACUCAACUAUCAUAUAAUCUUCUACAAUUGCUAACACUCACGCAAUACUUGUGGUUAUGGAGUUUCAGCCGGACACUGAGAAACAUAGGGGCUUAUUGUGUUGCCUCCCAACUUAUUCACUUUUAGGUGAUGUCAACAAUAAUAGUCCAUGCUAAUGAACAUCCAAUUGGAUAUAUAUAUCAUGAUCUUUCAAACAUGAGGAGCUUUGCCAAAGGAUAAAGUGAAAAAGGGGAAAGGUGAAGAUCACCUUGACUCAAGUAAAAAGUAAAAACAUAAAGUAAGAACAUAAAGUAAAAGAUAGGCCCUUCGCAGAGGGAAGUAGAGGUUGUCAUGCGCUUUUAGGGUUGGAUACACAAAAUCUUAAUGUGAAAGAACGUCACUUUAUAUUGCCCCUUGUAUAUGGACCUUUAUUAUGCAGUCCGUCGCUUUUAUUGCUUCCAUAACAAGUUCGUAUAAAGCUUAUUUUCUCCACACUAAUAAGUCAUGCAUAUUUAAAGAGCAUUUUUUAUUGCUUGCACCGAUGACAACUUACUUGAAGGAUCUUACUCAAUCCAUAGGUAUGUAUGGUGGACUCUCAUGGCAAAACUAGGUUUAAGGGUAUUUGGAAGCACACAUAGUAUCUCUACUUAGUGCUAGGAAUUUGGCUAGCAUGAGGGGGAAAGGCAAGCUCAACAUGUUUGGAAGGUCAAUGACCAUAUACUUUAACUGAGAUGUGAGAAAACAUAAACCAUUACGUUGUCUUCCUUGUCCAACGUCAACUCUUUUAGCAUGUCAUACUUAAUGAGUGCUCACAAUCAUAAAAGAUGUCCAAGAUAGUAUAUUUAUAUGUGAAACCUCUCUUUCCUUAUUACUUCCUAUUAAUUGCAACGAUGACCAAAACUAUGCUUAUCAACUCUCAACAUCUUUUAAGCCUCAUACUUUCUAUGUGUGAAGUCAUUACUAUGCAUAAGAUCAAUACGAAGUCUUUUAUUCUUCUUAUUCUUUCUAUUUUUCUCAAGAUCAUAGCAAGAUAGCAAAGCCCUUGACUCAACACUAAUCUUUAUUAUAGGAACUCACGGACUCGAUUACAUAAAGAGAUCACUAAGCAAACUCAAAACUACUUGAUAUCAAAACUUCAAUCUACUAGAUCAAGAUACUACUAAAAGGAUCGAACUAAAUAAAAUGGUAAAUAUAGGAGUGUGGUGGUGAUACGAUACCGGGGCACCUCCCCCAAGCUUGGCGGUUGCCAAGGGGAGUGCCCAUACCCAUAUGAUUAUGUCUUCGGAGGUGAUGGAGGUGGUGAUGAUGAUGGUGGAUAAUCGCACAUCGAGCGUAAAAGCUCCUCCAACUUGCGGAUAAUGCCCUUGAGUCCGGCGAUAUCAUCCUUCAACAAAAUAUUCUCCUAUGUGAGAUACUUAUUCUGUAUGCGAGCUAACUCAAUCAUCUUGAAAUCUUCAAUCUCAGUUGGAGUAAAGAGGUUAGGUAAGGGUUGAGCGAUGUCUUCUUUUUCACUGCCGGAGCUUGAACCUCCAUGGCCUUCUUGAUCCCUUCAUCCUUGUCGAUCUCUUCCGGUUCUUCUCUUUUCAGCUCUAUCUUCAAUAGCCAAGCAUCCUUGUAUUCAUUGUUGAAGGAGGGUGACGCCAUGGUGCUCUAGUUCUACAACAGAAAAUAGCUCGAAACGAAAAUAGAGAAUAUUUGUGUGAUACGGUGGUCAAAACCUUCGGGAGUAUAUAUAAUGAAUUUUUAUCGACCAAAAUACGUAAUGUGCAAGAAAAUGGGGUUCGCGAGACACACAAGGUGUCCACGAGACAGGGGGCGCCCAGUAAGGGAGGGCGCGCCCUCCACUCUCGUGGAGGCCUCGUGUCCUCCCCAGACUACUUCUUUCUUCCUAAAAUUCUUAAAUAUUCCAAAACUGAUAAAAAUUGCCUUUACAAUUGUUUUGGAGUCGGUUUACUUACCGUACCACAUACCUAUUUCUUUUCGGAGUCUGGAACGUUCUGGAAAUUGUCCCUUAUGUACUCCUCCGGGGUUACGGUUUCAAUAAUAUUAGUUUCAAUGUUGAUAGGAUUACCUGAAAUAUAAUGUUUAAUUCUUUGACCAUUCACCACCCUCGGACUUGUGCCUUCGAAGUUGUUGAUUUUUAUAGCACCAGAACGAUAGACCUCCUCGAUAACAUAAGGACCUUCCCAUUUAGAGAGAUGUUUUCCUGCAAAAAAUCUUAAACGAGAGUUGAAUAAUAACACAUAAUCUCCUACGUUAAACUCACGCUUUUGUAUCCUUUUGUCAUGCCAGCGUUUGACUUUUUCUUUGAAUAGCUUGGCAUUCUCAUAGGCUUGGGUUCUCCAUUCAUCAAGUGAGCUAAUGUCAAACAACCUCUUCUCACUGGCAAGUUUGAAGUCAUAGUUGAGCUCUUAGGGGGAAGCCAUCACCGGUGGCCAUUCUCAUAGGCUUGGGUUCUCCAUUCUCAUAGGGGGAAGCCAUCACUGGUGGCCAUCUUCAUCAUCUCGGCGCUCUCCAUGACAAGGAGGGAGUAGUUCACCCUCGGGGCUGAGGGUAUGUACCAGUAGCUAUGUGUUUGAUCUCUCUCUCUCUCGUGUUCUCCCUCGUGUUCCCUCUAUGGCACGAUCUUGAUGUAUCCCGAGCUUUGCUAUUGUAGUUGGAUCUUAUGAUUUUUCUCCCCCUCUACUCUCUUGUGGUGAAUUGAGUUUCCCCUUUGAAGUUAUCUUAUCAGAUUGAGUCUUUUAUGUGAACACUUUAUGUAUGUAUUGCCGUGCUUAUCUGUGGUGACAAUGGGAUAUCAUGUGCCUCUUGAUGUAUGUUUUGGUGACCAACUUGCGGGUUCCGCUCAUGAACCUAUGCAUAGGGGUUGGCACACAUUCUUGACUCUCCAGUAGAAACUUUGGGGCACUCUUUGAAGUACUUUGUGUUGGUUGAAUAGAUGAAUCUGAGAUUGUGUGAUGCAUAUCCUAUAAUCAUGCCCACGGAUACUUGAGGUGACAAUGGAGUAUCUAGGUGACAUUAGGGUUUUGGUUGAUUUGUGUCUUAAGGUGUUAAUCUAGUACGAACUCUUGAAUAGAUUGAUCCAAAAGAAUAACUUUGAGGUGGUUUCGUACCCUACCAUAAUCUCUUUGUUCGUUCUCUGCUAUUAGUGUCUUUGGAGUGACUCCUUGUUGCAUGUUGAGGGAUUGUUAUAUGAUCUAUCUAUGUUAUUAUUGUUGAGAGAACUUGCACUAAUGAAAGUAUGAACCCUAGGCCUUGUUUCCUAUCAUUGCAAUACCGUUUACGCUCACUUUUAUCGCUUGCUACCUUGCUGUUUUUAUAAUUUCAGAUUACAAAUACCUUUAUCUACCAUCCAUAUUGCACUUGUAUCACCAUCUCUUCGCCGAACUAGUACACCUAUAAAAUUUACCAUUGUAUUGGGUGUGUUGGGGACACAAGAGACUCUUUGUUAUUUGGUUGUAGGGUUGUUUGAGAGAGACCAUCUUCAUCCUAUGCCUCCUACGUAUUGAUAAACCUUAGGUCAUCCACUUGAGGGAAAUUUGCUACUGUCCUACAAACUUGUGCACUUGCAGGCCCAACAACAUCUACAAGAAGAAGGUUGUGUAGUAGACAUCAAGCUCUUUUCUGGCGCCGUUGCCGGGGAGGUGAGUGCUUGAAGGUAUAUCUUUAGAUCUUGCAAUCGAGUCUUUUAGUUUCUUGUUUUAUCACUAGUUUAGUUUAUAAAAGAAAACUACAAAAAAAUGGAGUUAAGUUUGUCUCGUACGCUUCGUCUUUUUAAUAUCUUUCGUGAGUUUGAUGGAAAGGAAAAUUGUGCUCAAGUGCUAGAAGAAGAAUGCAUUAAAAUGCUUGGUACUAAAUCUUUGAAUGAUGAGCAUGAUUGCAAGGUUGUUAGUAUAAACUCCUUGAAUAUCCAUAGUAUUAAUGAUGAUUGCUCUAGUCAUGAUGAAAAUAUCUCUUAUGAGCAUGUCAAAUUUUGUGGAGUGCAUGUUUGCAUGAACACACCAAAUAGAGAAGAUAUUUAUUGCAAGAGGCAUAAGCAUUUAGAAAAUAAAUGGUUGCAAGAAAGGCUAGAAGUGAGAGCUGAAAAUUUAAAAUCUUUUGCCGUAUUUGUGAACUUUGCAAUGAACGUGGUCAUUUACAUCUCCAAUGCAAAUUGUUUCAUGACCGAAUCAUGUCCAAAAAUUGUGAUGAUUUGAUUUCCCUUGCACAUUAUAAUGAACUUAGUUUGCUUUUCGGUUAUGAAGAAUUGAAACAUUUACUCAAAGACCUUCCAGAAUUUGCCCAUAAGAAAUUCCUUGAUAUUGAUCUAGAGAAGAUUUAUUUGUUUUGUGCGGUGAAUUGCAUUGAAAAUCCUUAUAUUGCCAAUUACCUAAAGAAAAGAAAGCAAAUAGAAUAUGAUGAAAAUACUAAUGAAAGGGAAGAGACUUGCCAAUAUCCUCCUAUUAUUUCUCUUGAUGAAUCAGGUAACGAGGAGGAGCUUUCUAUUCAACCAAUCUCAUCAAUAAGGAGCUUGAAGAGGAAGGUUGAACCCACACAUAAUGUGAAGAAGAAAAAGAAAAGAAGGAGCAACAAAGGUAGAAAGGUAUCCCUCCCGAAUGAUGUUGCUCCUACUACUCAUUGUGAUGAUGAUAAUUGCUUUACUAUUGGUGCUAUCCAUAUUUUUAACGAUGAGAGUGAUUAUGCCUAUGAUAUGAAACGCCCAAGCUUGGGGAAGCUAUGUUUGAUGAGUAUGAAAUAUUUGAGAAUAUAUUUGCUUAAAUUAAUGUUUAUCCCAAGCUUGGGGAUGCUACGUUUAGUGAAGAUGAUAUUUUUAGCAUCCCAUGUUUUGAUACGCAAAGUUGUUAUUGUGAUAGCAUGCCUCCUACCUAUGAUGAUUAUAUUGAUGAAAGUGGGUUCAGAAGAGUGUCAACUUUAGGAAGUAGUGAUCCCACUAUAUUGGAGGAUUUUGAAUUUUAUUGUGAUGAAUAUGAAAGUGGAUUUGGAAGAGUGUCAACUUUAUUUAGUGAUUCCACUAUCUUGGGAGAGGUUUCAAUCAAUUAUGAUGAGAACAAAGUUGCUACUUAUGAUGAUUAUUGUGAUGAAACUUAUGCUAUAAAAAGUAGUGAUGAUUAUAUUUACAAAUCUUGUCAUGAUUAUGAUUACCCUUUUUCUGAACGUUACUCUUUUAAUGUGGAAACAAUUUUUAGUGUUCAAGUCUCUUAUGAUACUCCCACUAUCCCGAAUGAGUAGAAUUUUGCGUAUGUGGUGAGUAGUAAAUUUUCUAUGCUUGUAGAUCAUGAAAAGAAUGUUUUAGGUGCUGGUUAUAUUGUUGAAUUCAUUCAUGAUGCUACUGAAAACUAUUAUGAGGGAGGAAUAUAUGCUUGUAGGAAUUGCAAUAAUGUCAAGUUUCCUCUCUAUGUGUUGAAAAUCUUGAAGCUAUGCUUGUUUUACCUUCCUAUGCUUAUUGAUUAUUGUUCCCCUAAGUUAUUUGCUCACAAAGUCCCUAUGCAUAGGAAGAGGGUUAGGCUUAAAUGUGCUAGUCAUAUGCUUCAUGGUGCUCAAUUUAUGUUUCAAUUCUUAUCUUUUAUGUGAGCAUCAUUGUCAUCAUCAUGCCUAGCUAGAAAGGCAUUAAAGAAAAGCGCUUGUUGGGAGACAACCCAAUAUUUAUCCUUACUGUUUUUGUGUGUCCACAUGAUUAUGCUACUGUAGUAAUCAUGUUUUAUAGAUCUUGUUUCAAUAAAGUGCCAAGUAGAACCUUUGGGAAGACUUGGGUGAAGUUUAUGUGAUCUUGCUGUAAAAAACAGAAACUUUAGCACUCACGAGAUUAGCUGCCAUUUUUUUACAGAAGGGUGCUUUUAGGUUGAUUAUUUUUGCAGAUGAUUAAUAGAAAAAUUACUCAGGUCCAGCAAUUUAAUUCAUAAUUUUUGGGGUUCCAGAAGUAUACGUUUGAUACAGAUUAUUACAGAUUGUUCUGUUUUUGACAGAUUCUGUUUUCAUUGUGUUGUUUGCUAAUUUUGAUGCAUCUAUGGCUAGUAUUAAGUGGUUUGAACCAUAGAGAAGUUAGAAUACAGUAGAUAUUACACCAAUAUGAAUUUAGAAUGAGUUCAUUACAGUACCUAAGUGGUGGUUUUAUUUUCUUAUACUAACGGAGCUUACAAGUUUUGUUUUUGAGUUUUGUGUGGUUGAAGUUUUCAAGUUUUGGGUAAAGAUUCGAUGGACUAUGGAAUAAGGAGUGUAAAGAGCCUAAGCUUGGGGAUUCCCAAGGCACCCCAAGGUACUAUUCAAGGACAACCAAGCAACUAAGCUUGGGGAUGCCCCGGAUGGCAUCCCCUCUUUCGUCUUUGUUCAUCGGUAACUUUACUUGGAGCUAUAUUUUUAUUCACCACAUGAUAUGUGUUUUUCUUGGAGCGUCAUUUUAUUUUGCUAGUUUUUGCUUGCUGUUAGUUAUAAUAAUGUUUUGCAUCUUUAGUUUCAAUAAAAAAUUCAAGGAUAGCCUUUUCCAUGCUUAUUUUGCUAGUAUACAUGUUGCUGUUUGAAAACAGAAAGUUUACCGCUGUUACAAAAAUUCCCUAGAAAAGUCAGAGAAUGGUAUAAUGUUGAAUAUUUUUUCAUAUUUAAGCUAUGAUAAAUUUAUUACAGUGGGAAUUUUAGUUCAUAAUUUUUGGAGUCAGGGAAGUAUUGUUACUCUUGCAUUCUUUACAGACUGUACUGUUUUGGCAGAUCGCUGUUAUGUUUGCAUUGUUUGCAUCUGUUUGCUUGUUUAAAGAUUCUAUUUGAGGAUAGGCGUAUUAAAUAUGCAUAGGCAUUUAGUAUGCAUUGCUGAAUAAUAAUUUAAGUGAUUUGUUACAGUAAAAAGUGAUAAGGUUUUGCAUUGGUUUAUACUAACCGAUCUCAUGAGUUCUUGUUGAGUUUGUUGUGAAUGAAGCUUUUGAUAAAAAGAAGAGAAACCAUGGUAUGAAAGGAAUUAAGGAUACACAAAAGCUCAAGCUUGGGGAUGCCCAAGGCACCCCAAGUUAUUAUUUCAAGAAGUCUCAAGCCUCUAAGCUUGGGGAUGCCAUGGUAGGCAUCCCACCUUUCUUCUUCGACAACUAUCGGUUAGUAUCGGUUGGACCAAAGUUUUUGCUUCUUCACAUGAGUUGUGCUAUCCUUGCAAUGUCAUUUUAUUUUGUUUUUCUUGCUGCUUGAAUACAAUACCAAGAUCUUAAAUUCUUUAAUGAGAGAGGGUCUUCACAUAGUUGCAUAAUUAUUUAGCUACUCAUUGAUCUUCACUUUUUUUGGAGUAGCUUUUCAUUUACUCGUGUGCUUCACUUAUAUCCUAUGAGUAAAUGAUUGAAUGAGUUGAAUGUCAUAAAUGUGAAAUUAUAUAUUUUUCAUUUGCUUAUUCCAUGAGGAGUAAUGACUUCACAUCUAAGAAGUAGAGGUUGUAAAUUUAUUGACGGUUAGCAAGCAUUGUAUUAGUCAUUUGAACAAUUCAUGAAAGAAUAUUGAAGGAAGAGAAAUUUCACAUAUAAAUAUAUUAUCAUAGACAUCUUUUAUAAUUGUGAGCACUCAUUAUGUAUGACAUGCUAAAGAGUUGAUGUUGGACAAGGAAGACAACGCAAUAGGUUAUGUUUUCUCGCAUCUCAGUUAAAGUAUAUUGUCAUGGAUCAUUCAAACAUUUUGAGCUUGCCUUUCCCCCUCAUGCUAGCCAAAAAUUCAUAGCACCAAGUAGAGAUACUACUUGUGCUUCCAAAUUUCCUUAAACCCAGUUUUUUGCCAUGAGAGUCCAGCAUACCUACCUAUGGAUUGAGUAAGAUCCUUCAAGUAAGUUGUCAUUGGUGCGAGCAAUAAAAAUUGCUCUCUAAAUAUACAUGACUUAUUAGUGUGGAGAAAAUAAGCUUUGUACGAACUUGUUAUGGAAGCAAUAAAAGCGACGGACUGCAUAAUAAAGGUCCAUAUACAAGGGGCAAUAUAAAGUGACGUUCUUUCGCAUUAAGAUUUUGUGUAUCCAACCCUAAAAGUGCAUGACAACCUCUGCUUCCCUCUGAGAAGGGCCUAUCUUUUACUUUAUGUCUUUUACUUUAUGCAAGAGUCAAGGUGAUCUUCACCUUUCCCUUUUUCAUUUUAUCCUUUGGCAAGCACUUUGUGUUAGGGUGAUCCUGAUAUAUAUAUAUAUAUAUAUAUAUACAUAUAUAUAUAUCCAAUUGGAUGUACGUUAGCAUGAACUAUUAUUGUUGGCAUCACCCAAAGGUGAAUACGUUUGGAGGCAACAUUAUAAGCCCCAAUAUUUAUCUAUGUCUGAUUAAAACUUCAUAACCACAAGUAUUGCAUGAGUGUUAGCAAUUGUAGAAGACUAUAUGAUAGUUGAGUAUGUGAAGUUUGCUAAACCAAAGCUCUGACAUAGACUCUUCCUGAAAGUAAGAUGAAUUGCAAUUGUAUGAUGACUAAGAAUGAAGUUUGCUAGUUUUCAAGAAAGUUUAUGGUCUAUGCUUUAACAUGUGAAUUGCUUGUUACUUGAUUAUGAAAAGUUUUAUGAGAUGAACUAUUGUUAUGACAUAUAAUGAUGCUAGUAAAGGUGAUUGAAAUUAUCAUUGAUCAAACUUGUGCACCUUAUAGCAUUCACACUUCAUAAAUUCUUUCUUUUAUCAUUUACCUACUCGAGGACGAGUAGGAAUUAAGCUUGGGGAUGCUGAUACGUCUCCAACGUAUCUAUAAUUUAUGAAGCAUUCAUGCUAUAUUACUAUGUGUUAAGAAUGAUUAUGCGCUUUAUUAUACACUUUUAUAGUACUUUUGGGACUAACCUAUUAACCGGAGGCCCAGCCCAUAUUGCUGUUUUAUUGCCUGUUUCAGUAUUUCGAAGAAAAGGAAUAUCAAACGGAGUCCAAAUGGAAUGAAACCUUCGGCAACGUAUUUUUUUGGAAGAUUAUCAUCCUGGAGGCUUGGAGAUCAAGUCAGAAGAUCCUCGAGGAGCCCAGGAGAUAGGGGGCGCGCCCCCCCUACAGGGCGCGGCCCCCNNNNNNNNNNNNNNNNNNNNNNNNNNNNNNNNNNNNNNNNNNNNNNNNNNNNNNNNNNNNNNNNNNNNNNNNNNNNNNNNNNNNNNNNNNNNNNNNNNNNNNNNNNNNNNNNNNNNNNNNNNNNNNNNNNNNNNNNNNNNNNNNNNNNNNNNNNNNNNNNNNNNNNNNNNNNNNNNNNNNNNNNNNNNNNNNNNNNNNNNNNNNNNNNNNNNNNNNNNNNNNNNNNNNNNNNNNNNNNNNNNNNNNNNNNNNNNNNNUAUCAAGAUAGAUCGGGAGUUCCGCCGCCGCAAGCGUCUGUAGCCACCAAAAACCACUCGGGAGUCCGUUCCGGCACCUUGCCAGAGGGGGAACCCAUCACCGGUGGCCAUCUUCAUCAUCCCUGCGCUCUCCAUGACGAGGAGGGAGUAGUUCACCCUCGGGGCUGGGGGUAUGUACCAGUAGAUAUGUGUUUGAUAUCUCUCUCUCUCGUGUUCUCUCUCGUGUUCCCUCUAUGGCACGAUCUUGAUGUAUCCCGAGCUUUGCCAUUGUAGUUGGAUCUUAUGAUGUUUCUCCCCCUCUACUCUCUUGUGAUGAAUUGAGUUUCCCCUUUGAAGUUAUCUUAUCGGAUUGAGUCUUUUAUGAGAACACUUGAUGUAUGUCUUGUCGUGCUUAUCUGUGGUGACAAUGGGAUAUCAUGUGCCUCUUGAUGUAUGUUUUGGUGACCAACUUGCGGGUUCCGCUCAUGAACCUAUGCAUAGGGGUUGGCAUACGUUCUUGACUCUCCGGUAGAAACUUUGGGGCACUCUUUGAAGUACUUUGUGUUGGUUGAAUAGAUGAAUCUGAGAUUGUGUGAUGCAUAUCGUAUAAUCAUGCCCACGGAUACUUGAGGUGACAAUGGAGUAUCUAGGUGACAUUAGGGUUUUGGUUGAUUUGUGUCUUAAGGUGUUAUUCUAGUACGAACUCUUGAAUAGAUUGAUCCGAAAGAAUAACUUUGAGGUGGUUUCGUACCCUACCAUAAUCUCUUCGUUCGUUCUCCGCUAUUAGUGUCUUUGGAGUGACUCUUUGUUGCAUGUUGAGGGAUUGUUAUAUGAUCUAUCUAUAUUAUUAUUGUUGAGAGAACUUGCACUAGUGAAAAUGUGAACCCUAGGCCUUGUUUCCUACCAUUGCUAUACCGUUUACGCUCACUUUUAUCGCUUGCUACCUUGCUGUUUUUAUAAUUUCAGAUUACAAAUACCUUUAUCUACCAUUCAUAUUGCACUCGUAUCACCAUCUCUUCGCCGAACUAGUGCACCUAUACAAUUUACCAUUAUAUUUGGUGUUUUGGGGACACAAGAGACUCUUUGUUAUUUGGUUGCAGGGUUGUUUGAGAGAGACCAUCUUCAUCCUAUGCCUCCUACGGAUUGAUAAACCUUAGGUCAUCCACUUGAGGGAAAUUUGCUACUGUCCUACAAACAUGUGCACUUGCAGGACCAACAACGUCUACCAGAAGAAGGUUGUGUAGUAGACAUCAUAGGGUGCGCCCCCUGUCUCGUGGGCCCCUCGGGCGUCCACCAACAUACUUCUUCCUCCUAUAUAAGCCUACGUACCCCAAAAACAUCUAGGGGCAGGACGAAACACAAUUUCCACCACCGUAACCUUCUGUAUCCGCGAGAUCCCAUCUUGGAGCCUUCGUCGGCACUCUGCCAGAGGGAGAAUCGACCACGGAGGGCUUCUACAUCAACAUCAUGGCCUCUCCGAUGAGUUUUGAGUAGUUUACCACAGACCUACGGGUCCAUAAUUAUUAGCUAGAUGGCUUCUUCUCUCUUUUUGGAUCUCAAUACAAUGUUCUGCCCCUCUCUUGUGGUGAUCUAUUCGAUGUAAUCUCUUUUUGCGGUGUGUUUGUCGAGAUCCGAUGAAUUGUGGGUUUAUGAUCAAGUUUAUCUAUGAAUAAUAUUUGAAUCUUCUCUGAAUUCUUUUAUGUAUGAUUGAGUUAUCUUUGCAAGUCUCUUCGAAUUAUCAGUUUGGUUUGGCCUACUAGAUUGAUAUUUCUUGCCAUGGGAGAAGUGCUUAGCUUUGGGUUCAAUCUUGCGGUGUCCUUACCUAGUGACAGAAAGGGUUGCAAGGCAUGUAUUAUAUUGUUGCCAUCGAGGAUAACAAGAUGGGGUUUAUAUCAUAUUGCUUGAGUUUAUCCCUCUACAUCAUGUCAUCUUGCUUAAUGCGUUACUCUGUUCUUAUGAAUUUAAUACUCUAGAUGCAGGGAGGAGUCGGUCGAUGUGUGGAGUAAUAGUAGUAGAUGCAGGCAGGAGUCGGUCUACUUGUUAUGGACGUGAUGCCUAUAUACAUGAUCAUGCCUAGUUAACGUCAUAAUUAUUCGCUUUUCUAUCAAUUGCUCGACAGUAAUUUGUUCACCCACCGUAAUACUUAUGUUCUCGAGAGAAGCCUCUAGUGAAACCUAUGGCCCCCGGGUCUAUCUCUUAUCAUAUUUGCUUUCAAUCUACUUUUAUUUGCAUCUUUAUUUUCUGCAUCUAUAUUAUAAAAUACCAAAAAUAUAUUUAUCUUAUCAUACUAUCUCUAUCAGAUCUCACUUUCGCAAGUGGCCGUGAAGGGAUUGACAACCCCUUUGUCGUGUUGGUUGCGAGUUCUUUAUUUGUUAGUGUAGGUUCGUGGAACUUGUUGAGGAGCCUCCUACUGGAUUGAUACCUUGGUUCUCAAACUAAGGGAAAUAUUUACGCUACUAUUGCUGCAUCACCCUCUCCUCUUCGAGGAAAACCAACGCAUGCUCAAGAUGUAGCAAGAAGGAUUUCUGAAGCCGUUUCCGGGGAGGUCUUCGCUCAAGUCAAGACAUACCAAGUACCCAUCACAAACUCAUCUCCCUCGCAUUUACAUUAUUUGCCAUUUGCCUCUCGUUUUCCUCUCCCCCACUUCACCCUUGCCGUUUUAUUCGCCCUCUCCUUCCCAAUCUCCUCUUCGCCUUUUUGUUUGCCUUCCCAUUGCCAUGGCCGAAUCAAAAAGAACUAAGGGAUUUCUCCCGAGUUCUAGUGCCUUGGAUAACCCCUCUAUCCUCUCUAAGCUCAUAAACAAUGAUGCUAUGGAAAGACCCACCGGGGUCACCAAUGAGAGCUUAAAUGAUUUUGAUGAAGAUGACUCCGUAAUUUUUCGCUAUUUGCUUGAUGAAUCUUUAAAAGAUGCUUGGGAUAGGUUAUUAAGGAUUCGGGCUAGCUAUGUGCCACAAUAUCAAAUUGAUGUUUACUUAAAAAGUUUCUAUGUUGGCUUGCCCGCUUCUUUCAAACAAGUUCUAGAUUCUAUUUUUGAAGAAGGUUUUCUUGAAGAGGAUGCUAUAGAUACAUAUGAAAAAAUGAAAACCAUAUUUGGGCACCCUUUAAAUGAUAAAAUUGAAUCAACUACUCUCUUGUGCUUUUAUCAAAAUGAAAUUAUCAAUGAAAUGAAGUCUAGCUUAGAUGCAAAUUUACGUAACGUGCUUAAUCUUACUUGAUCCAUUAAUGGCAAUGUUCUUACCCUGAAUAGAAGGAUGAAUGCCAUAGAAAGGAGAUCCUUUUUUCCUUAUCAAGUGCCAAAGAUGGCACUCGUUAGAUCUAUCUUCGCUUUUAUGCCUAGCUAGGGACGUUAAACGAUAGCGCUAGUUGGGAGGCAACCCAAUUUUCUUUAUGUCCUUUGUUUUUGCUCCUGUUUAGUGUUAAAUUUUGUUUAUAAUUUCUGUUUAGAUGUGUUUUUAGCUUUUAAUUAGUGUUUGUGCCAAGUAGAACCUAUAGGAUAAACUAUGAUGAUAGUUGAUUUGAUUCUGCUGAAAAACAGAAACUUUGCGCUUACGAGAAAAUAUUCAAUAAAUCACAGAAACGUGAUUUUGCAUUGAUUCUUUUUGCUUCUGAUCAAUAAGCAAAUUUUCCAGUACGUCCUAUUUUGGUAGGAUUUUUAGAGUUCUAGAAGUUUGAGUUCGUUACAGAUUUCUACAGACUGUUCUGUUUUUGACAGAUUCUGUUUUUCGUGUGUUGUUUGCUUAUUUUGAUGCAUCUAUGGCUAGUAAAAUAGUUUAUAAACCAUAGAGAAGUUGGAAUAAAUUAGUUUUAACACCAAAAUAAAUAAAGAAUGAGUUCAUUACAGUACCUUAUGUGGUGGUUUUGUUUUCUUUCACUAACGGAGCUUAUAAGAUUUCCUGUUGAGUUUUGUGUUGUGAAGUUUUCAAGUUUUGGGUAAAGCUUUUAUGUACUAUGGAAUAAAAGGUGGCAAGAGCCUAAGCUUGGGGAUGCCCAAGGAACCCCAAUAUAUUCAAGGAUAGCCACAAGCCUAAGCUUGGGGAUGACCCGGGAAGGCAUCCCCUCUUUCGUCUUCGUUCAUUGGUAACUUUACUUGGAGCUAUAUUUUUAUUCGCCACAUGAUAUGUGUUUUGCUUGGAGCGUCGUGUAUUAUAUUAGUCUUUGAUUUUUAGUUACCACAAUCAUCCUUGAUGUACACACCUUUUUGGAGAACCCUAUUUUAUUAGAAUUUGCUAGAAUACUCUAUGUGCUUCACUUAUAUCUUUUGAGCUUGAUAGUUUUUGCUCUAGUGCUUCACUCAUAUCUUUUAGAGCACGGUGGUGACUUUAUUUUAUAGAAAUUGCUAGUCUCUCAUGCUUCACUUAUAUUAUUUUGAGUGUCUUUUAGAACAACAUGGUAUUUUCUUUGGUUACAAAUUUGGUCCUAGAAUGAUGAGCAUCCAAGUUGGGUAUAAUAAAAACUAUCAUUGAAAUUGAAUUGGAUGCUAUGAUCAAUUUGUUGCUUGAUAAUUGUUUUGAGAUAUAAAGGUAGUAAUGUUAGGGUCAUGCUAGUGGAUAAUUAUGAAAUUGAUAAAUACUUUUGUUGAAGUUGGCAAGUCCCAUAGCAUGCACGUAUGGUAAAAGUUGUGUGACAGAUUUGUUGCAUGAGGUGCUCUUUUGAGUGUCUUCCUUAUGAGUGGUAGUCGGGGACGAGCGAUGGAAUUUUUUCCUACCAAUCUAUCCCUAUUGGGUCAUGCAUAGUAGUACUUUGCUUCGAGGGCUAAGUAGACUUUUGCAAUAAGUAUAUGAGUUCUUUAUGACUAAUGUGAGUCCAUGGAUAUACGCACACUCAUCCUUCCACUUUGCUAGCUUUUCUUAUUACCACGCAACUCUCGCACGUAUUGAACCCAUUAUUUACCUUCCUCAAAACAGACACCAUACCUACCUAUUAUGGCAUUUCCAUAGCCAUUCCGAGAUAUAUUGCCAUGCAAAUUUCCACCAUUCAGUUUAUUAUGACACGUUUCAUCAUUGUCAUAUUGCUCUUUGCAUGAUCAUGUAGUUGACAUCGUAUUUGUGGCAAAGCCAUCUUCAUAAUUUUCAUACAUGUCGCUCUUGAUUCAUUGCAUAUCCCGGUACACCGCCGGAGGCAUUCAAAUAGAGUCAUAUCUUGUUCUAGCUUUGAGUUGUAAUUUUUGAGUUGUAAAUCUAUAAAAGUGUGAUGAUCUUCAUUAUUAGAGCAUUGUCCUAGUGAGGAAAGGAUGAUGAAGACUAUGACUCCCCCACAAGUAGGGACGAGACUUCGGACUUUAUAAAAAUAAAAGAGGCCAAAGAAGCCCACCAAAAAGAAAAAAGAGAGGAAAAAGGAAAAAAAUAAAAAGGAAAAAGAAAAAAUGGGAAGAGAAAAAGUAAAGAAAAAAAUAUAAAAUGAGAGAAAAAGAGAGAAGGGACAAUUGCUACUAUCUCUUUUUCCACACUUGUGCUUCAAAAUAGCACCAUGAUCUUCAUGAUAGAGAGUCUCAUAUGUUGUCACUUUCAUAUACUACUGGGAAUUUUUCAUUAUAGAACUUGGCUUGUAUAUUCCAAUGAUGGGCUUCCUCAAAGUUACCUAGGUCUUCGUGAGCAAGCAAGUUGGAUGCACACCCACUUAGUUUCUUUUGUUGAGCUUUCAUAUAUUUAUAGCUCUAGUGCAUCUGUUGCAUGGCAAUCCCUACUCACUCACAUUGAUAUCUAUUGACGGGUGUCCGUGUCAAAACCGGCGGAUCUCGGGUAGGGGGUCCCGAUCUGUGCGUCUUAGGCUGAUGGUAAUAGGAACCAAGGGACACAAUGUUUACACAGGUUCGGGCCCUCUCGAUGGAGGUAAAACCCUACUUCCUGCUUGAUUAAUAUUGAAGAUAUGAGUAGUACAAGAGUAGAUCUACCACGAGAUCGUAGAGGCUAAACCCUAGAGGCUAGCCUAUGAUGGUAUGAUUGUAAUUGUGAUCGGCCUUCUAAGGACCAUCCUCUCCGGUUUAUAUGGACACCGGAGAGGGCUAGGGUUUACAUGGAGUUGGUUAUAAGGAAGGAAAUAUAAUAUCCGGAUCGCCAAGCUUGUCUCCCACGCAAAGGAGAGUCCCAUCCGGACACGGGCCGGAGUCUUGUGUCUUGUAUCUUCACGCUUCAAUAGUCCGGAUGAUGUAUAUAGUCCGGCUCUCUGGAUACCCCCUAAUCCAGGACUCCCUCAGUAGCCCCUGAACUAGGCUUCAAUGACGAUGAGUCCGGCGCGCAGUCUUGUCUUCGGCAUUGCAAGGCGGGUUCCUUCUCCGAAUACUCCAAGGUAAUUAUCGAACACGUAGACCGUGUCCAGAUCUGCAAAAUGAUCUUCACAUACCACCAUAGAGAGAAUGAUACUUCAGCUGACAACUUUUUACACGACGUGAUAUGUCAUUACGGUCAGGUCAUUAUUCGAACCGUUUUCCCACAACCAGCCACAGCGCGUAUUGCGAGGCGGUUUCCUUGACACAUCUUGUCAAAGCAGAGAUCAUGUCCCCCUUAUCAUGGGAUUCUCAUCAAUACGGGUAUGGGUAAUCCCACUGUGCUAUCAAUCGUGGCGCUUGGGAAGUAAGCAAUUCCCAACGGGGAAGUGGGGUGGUGCACCGCUUCCAUUGCCUCUAUAAAAGGAUAAGAGUUCCCCAUUUUUACCCACGCCUUCUUCCUCCUUUGCCCACUCUUGCACCCUCGAGCUCUAGUGCCCUAGUCCAAGUCUUCUCUGCAUAGUUAAACAUGUCCGGAGCAGGAGGUAAGUGGGUGGCUUCCACCGUGAAGGAUAAGAAUAUUGCGAAUCUUUGGGCGGCUGGAUACUUGGCCGUAGACAUAGCGCACCGGCUACCAAACGAUGGGCAGGUCAUUCCAACUCCAGGACCCCAUGAGAGGGUCGUGUUUCUCGCCCACUUCGUUCGUGGACUGGGGUUUCCACUUCACCCCUUCGUCCGCGGGCUCAUGUUCUACUACAGGCUAGAUUUCCAUGAUCUAGCCCCAAACUUCGUCCUCAACAUCUCGGCGUUCAUCGUCAUAUGCAAGGCCUUCCUCCUCAUCAAGCCUCAUUUCGACUUGUGGCUGCAAAUCUUUUGCGUGAAGCCGAAGAUUGUGAGCGGCUAGCAAGCGGAGUGCGGAGGAGCCAUGGUGGGCAAGAUGCCUAACGUCACCUAGCUUAAUGGCUCCUUUGCGGAAACCGUGAAGGGGUGGCAGUAGGGGUGGUUCUACAUCACCGGGUUGCGUGACGCCAACUGGUCUGCGGCCCCCGAGUUCCGAUCCGGAACCCCCACGCGGCUCACCUCCUGGGAACAGAAGGGCCUGUCCUGGGGCGAAUCUACAGAGCUGACCGGACUCCAAAACUGCAUCAAGGGCAUGAAGGACAAGAACAUCAAGCUUGUUCUUCGGAUUCUGCCGUGCCAAAGGUGGGCAUUCAAUCUAUGGGAGUUCGUCCCGGCCGAACACCAGACACUUCAGAGGCUCUACGGCAUGAAGCACAAAAACGCGUGGAAGGCGUUGUUCAAGGCCUCUGAAGUACCUCCUCCCAUAUCCGAGGACCGUGGGCUCCACGCCACGCGACCUCCUAGUCAGGUGAGUUCUUAAGUAAUUGUGCAUAUUUGUUCAGGAUUAUGUGGAGACAGCGGAGUAGAUUGACUGUCCGACUCCGCUGCCAGAAAGCCCAGCUAAUGCUCUCCUGAUGGAGAUGCUGGUCUCGGCUCCCUACAAGGGACCGGAGAAGAAGGCCGAUAAGAAGGCCCCAGGGAUCCGAAAGGGUCUCCGACGUAAGGUUGCGCCAGAAGCCUCGUCCGAAGACGACGAGGCACACUCCUCCCCCGAAGGUGAAGAAGAAGAAGAGGAGGCCGCCCCAUCCGGAAAGGACGAGGGGCCUGAGAGGGUGGACCAGGGGGCCAGGAGAGGCCCUCGGCGCAAGGCCGUCAUACCCUCGUCGUCCGAUGACGACGAGGCAGAUUCCUCCCGCGGAGGCGGGAGGAAACAAGAAGAAACUCCACCUCCCCAUAUUGGGGGGAGAAAAAGAGGAAGGCCGCCCCAGAGGGGGAGGCUGGGACGUCCAAGAAGGGAAAGGCAUCCCUACCGGACUACUCCGCCACCGCCGCCGAUAGCGAGGAGGGGUGGCUGCCCAGGAAGAAGCCCCUAGGGCGAUCAUAAGUAUCCGCACUCCAUCGUAAUUUUGCUUCAUAGUUUUGUUAUAACGCCGAACUUGUAUGCAGUCCGGCCAUGGUCCAUCCCGAGGUGUCGUCUUCGGACGGGUCCUGGAGUGAUUCGGCAAUGAACUCACUUCCAACGGCCACUACUCCUCAGCCUGCGGAUGACACGGAGGUGUUGUCCCAAAGGCUCCCAGAGCGGGGGGAGGUGGAUCUGGAGGCGCCCCAAGGCGGCAUUCCAAACGUCGGACACGCGGGGUUCAAGGUCCCCGUGGAUCAUGUUGAUGAGAGCCGCAGUAAGCUGGACUCUCAGCCGGACACUGUUCCGGGAUCUCCCGUGGUUCUGGACUCAGGCAGACAACCCCUCGUUAAGGAGGGCGAGCCGUCUUUGCUGAGGACUUCCGCUACGCCCGAGGUGCCAGAUUGUCUGCUGGAAGCGCUUUGGGGCUCUUCCAUGGAUGAAGAGCACCGUACUCUUAUGAGUGCGGUGAUUCAGAAGGUUUUGUCUGCCAAAAGCAGACUAACCAAAGUUUGCACUAGCCUCCUAACAGGCUUUGAGGUAAGUAAUAAAAAUGUGUGAAAUUACCACCCGAUAGGUAGUAGCACCUGAUACUCUGUUUGGUGUUCGAAAAGAAAGACCAAACGGAGGGUCAAUUAUAAUCCGCGGGAGUCAAACAAGAAGUUUGAAUGUGAAUAAACAGGCUGUGCUGAUUGCUGCUGCUGUCCGUACGGCCUAGAUUGCCGGCCUAAAAUAGGACUUGGAGCAGGCGCAGGGAGAACUUGACCUCACGAGGAGGCAGCUCGAAGAGAGCAAAGGUGAAUGAUUCCCCUCUCUCAUAUAAUGAAGGAUAGAUAAAAUUGGUUAUUCUAACGACGAAGCGUCGUGAUUUGGUAACAGAGGCCACCACCGAACUGGCGUCUCUGAAAAAAGCGUUGUCCGUGGCCGAACACAAGGCGGCCUUGGAGUGCAAGGAGCGCGAGAAUCAAGAUGCCCGAGUGGGCGAGGUACAACAAGAGCUUCAGGAGCUCGACAAAAAGUUUGAGUCCGUGGAGCAUGAGCUUAAGGCGAAAGAGGCCGAGCUUGCGAAGGCCCUUGCAAGUAUAAAAGACGCCAAGGCCAAAGCCGAGAAGGCACAGCAGGAAAUCCAGGAGGCCAAAAAGAUAGCGGUGGGUAAGAAAUUCUUUAUGCAAAGCAAACAUGUGGAGGCGGCGUUUCUUUUACUUACCCGAGUCCGGAGCUCUCCAGGGGUAUUCGCAGAUCUGCCACGCAACGUAUCAGAUGCCGCGGAGUUCUGCCGUGCUCAGGAGGGGAGCUCAACGGAGAAGCAGUUCUGGUCCCAGUAUGCUGGCGCCGAACAUCCAACGCCUCUGAGUGACCAACUGAAGCAGUUGGUCGAACUCCACAGGGCGGCCGAAGUGGCUAUGAAGGAUUUCAUAGUCCGGGUGUGGCCUGGUGAGCCCCUGCCCACCAACUACUUCGGCCUGAUCAAGCGGAUGGUAAAUGCCUGUCCGCGACUGGAAGUCAUCAAGCGAUCCGUUUGCAUUGGGGGUGCCCGCCGGGCCUUUACCCGUGCGAAGGUCCAUUGGGGCAAGCUGGAUGCAGAGAAGCUAGUGAAGGACGGGCCGCCGGAGGGCAAGGCGCAUCGCUAUCCGGAGAAGUAUUAUGAUGGCGUCAUGAAGGGUGCUCGCCUCGUGGCCGAUGAAUGUACCAAGGACAUAAUUUUAGAAUGAAUUCACUUCUGUCAUGUUUGUAAUUUAAAGACGAAGUUACUUGUGGUAUGUAGUGCUUUUGUUAUUUAAAAUAUUACCUUCUGUGCGGCUGUUUAUAAAAUUCUGAAAGUAGGCCAGUCGUCGGCUUCCGCCCCCAUGUAACUAGUACUGGGGUGUUCGUGGAAAACCCGGACACUCUUUAUCCAAAUCUUUGGUCCCUUAAGGAGGUGUCCGGCGCAGCGAACAAGGCAACCGGACUAUGCGGCUUUAUAACCUUCACUUAGCCAUAGAAGUCUACAAUUUGAAAUUUCGGCGAAGCCCCUAGAAUCCGGAAGACCGAAUUGGGGCGCUAUAUACGCCUAAAUCGGACGAAGCCGAAUUAUCGCCUAAAGCGGAAAAAUCUUUAAGGAUUUUAAGACCUCUCAAAUAGCGACCAGCUCUCGCCACAUCAUGCCGGUCAGUUUUCGGCCUUCUCUACUGAGGUGCUCGUCCGGAAGAACCGGGACAAAAUCGCAGUAGUUCUCCCUGCGCUACCUUAGCCGAUAUAACAGAACGUAAGGCACCAAAACAAGGGAGCCGGGCUAUCCCAAUUAUAGACCCAAGACAUGAUUCGGAGCUGAUGCAUAUAAUGCUAUAAGUUCGGGGUGCCGCACUGUUGAAAGUGUUCAGGCUUGUCUUGCCGUAUUAUGGGGCGCCAUAAGAAGCCCCUGGCAAACUAAACGUACCAAGGUGUACGGAUGCAGUAUCAAAUAGACAAAUGCUCAAAUAAUAAUAAUAAGCGGACGCUAUAUAUGAUCUCCCAUUUGAUGAAUAAUACGUUUAAGUGUAUGUUUACAAUGAAUGCAUUACGCGGAGAUAAAUAGGAUUAUUUGACAUACCCUAUUGAGGGGCAGGCUACGUAUAGAUAGAUAACGCAGGUAUAACGAUCGUAAAUAGAUUCCACCUGGGUAUUUCCUUCUGUGCGCAAAGCCUGUUGCCUCCUUGGUUUUCUCUCCUAUGUAAGUCCGACAAUCCGGCUCUUCUGAAGAGGAUGCACUAAAGCAAUGUCCUGAAAGGUGAAAGGAAAGGUUACGAAGGUAUGUGGCGGUGAUACCGCACUGUUGACUGAGCCACUGCUGCGCCUCCGCCUGUGCCCAUGGUAUUUUAAGUGCGUAAUUGUGUACGCGUGGCACAAAUGCUUCUUUGAUGGGAUUUGAGCGGAGGCUGGACUGCUAGUCGUGCUCUUGGCGUGCCUCGUGGUCCUGUUGCGGGGUGCUCCGAACUCGCUUGACGGUACUUGAGGUUGUCAUCACCGGAUUGGUGGUUUGCCGGAGGAGGCCGCAUUGUAAUUCUGCCACGAGGGCUGCAGUAUGCUCUUCUGUACGGAGAGAGUGGUCCAUGUUUCCGCUGACUGUUAUGGCCCCGCGCGGGCCUGGCAUCUUGAGCUUGAGGUAUGGAUAGUGUGGUACUGCAUUGAAUCUAGCGAAUGCGGUUCUCCCGAGCAGUGCGUGGUAACCACUACGGAAAGGGACGAUAUCGAAGAUUAACUCCUCGCUUCGGAAGUUGUCCGGAGAUCCGAAGACCACUUCCAAUGUUAUGGAGCCCGUACAACGGGCCUCUACUCCAGGAAUUACACCUUUAAAGGUGGUUUUGGUGGGCUUGAUCCUUGAAGGAUCGAUGCCUAUUUUGCGCACUGUGUCCUGGAAAAGCAGGUUCAGGCUACUGCCGCUGUCCAUAAGGACUCGGGUGAGGUGGAAUCCGUUGAUGAUUGAGUCUAAGACCAAUGCGGCCGAGCCGCCGUGACGGAUGCUAGUAGGAUGAUCCCUACGAUCAAAGGUGAUCGGACAAGCUGACCAUGGGUUGAAUUUGGGGACGACUGGCUCCAUCGCGUAGACAUCCCGUAGUUCUCGCUUCUGUUCCCGCUUGGGGAUGUGAGUGGCGUAGAUCAUGUUGACCGUUUUCACCUGGGGGGGGGGGGGAUUUCUUCUGUCCCCCCGUGUUCGGACACCAGGGCUCCUCGUCAUCGUCGUUGUGCAGCCCCUUGUCCUUGUUUUCGGCAUUUAUUUUGCCGGCCUGUUUAAAUACCCAGCAGUCUCUAUUGGUGUGGUUGGCUGGCUUGUCCGGGGUGCCAUGAAUUUGGCACGAGCGCUCCAGUAUACGGUCUAGACUGGACGGUCCCUGAUUGUUUCUUUUGAAUGGCUUCUUCAGCUGACCGGAUUUAGAUCCGGUGAAUCCGGCAUUGACUGUUGUGUCUUCGGUGUUGUCGUCGUUGUUCCGUCGCUUGUGUCUAUUGCGCCGUAGCAUGCCAUUAUUGUCACGGACAUCUAACGUGCCAGAAUGUGGCGUAGUGCUGCUGCGAGCCAACUAGCUGUCCUCGCCCGCGCAAAAGUGGGUCAUUAGUGUCGUGAGAGCUGCCAUGGACUUGGGUUUCUCCUGGCCGAGGUGUCGAGCGAGCCACUCGUCGCUGAUAUUAUGCUUGAAGGCCGCAAGGGCUUCGGCGUCCGGACAAUCAACUAUUUGGUUCUUUUUAGUUAGGAACCGGGUCCAAAAUUUCCUGGCUGAUUCUCCGGGCUAUUGAGUGAUGUGGCUCAAGUCAUCGGCAUCCGGAGGUCGCACAUAUGUGCCUUGGAAGUUGUUAAGGAAUGCAUCUUCCAGGUUUUCCCAACUGCCAAUGGAAUUUGCUGGCAGGCUGUUAAGCCAGUGCCGGGCGGGUCCUUUCAGCUUAAGGGGAAGAUACUUGAUGGCAUGUAGAUCAUCUCCGUGGGCCAUGUGGAUGUGGAGAAGGAAGUCUUCAAUCCAUACCGCGGGGUCUGUUGUGCCAUCGUAUGAUUCGAUGUUUACGGGUUUGAACCCUUCUGGGAAUUCAUGAUCCAUCACUUCAUCAGUGAAGCAGAGGGGGUGUGCGGCGCCUCUAUGCCGGGCUAUGUCACGACGCAGUCCGGCCAAAUCCGGCUGGUUGUGUUCGGGCCGGCCGGAUUUACUGUUAGUGUAUCUGGUAUGACGGUUAUCGUCAUGUGCUGCAGCGCGCCCCCGUGAUCCGUAGAUCGAUCUCAGUAUUGCCCCAGGCCUUAGUAAACUGGCGCGGGGGUGCGGGCUAGUAUUCGGCCUGAUAUGCCAUUUUAUCCCGACCUCGAGGCGGCCUGUCAGCCGUGUGGCGCUCGAGUCCAUAUUCCUCGGCUGCCAGGACUUCCGUCCGUCUGCCUGUGAGCAGAUCUUGAUCAGCUUGAAGCUGCUGCUGCUUCUUCUUCAGGCUCCUCGCAGUGGCAAUAAGCCGGCGCUUGAAGUGCUCCUACUCCGCGGGGUCCUCAGGCACGCCGAACUCGUCGUCGCUGAGGCUAAUCUCGUCUUCGGUGGGGGGCAUGUGGUUUUCCCCCCCUGAUACCCGUCCGUCGCCUGUUAAUCUGGGCUGUCCUGCCCAUCCUCCUGCUUGGCCUGCUCGAAGGUGGGUGAUGUCUACUACACAACCUUCUUCUUGUAGACGUUGUUGGGCCUGCAAGUGCACAGGUUUGUAGGACAGUAGCAAAUUUCCCUCAAGUUGAUGACCUAAGGUUUAUCAAUCCGUAGGAGGCAUAGGAUGAAGAUGGUCUCUCUCAAACAACCCUGCAUCCAAAUAACAAAGAGUCUCUUGUGUCCCCAACACACCCAAUACAAUGGUAAAUUUUAUAGGUGUACUAGUUCGGCGAAGAGAUGGUGAUACAAGUGCAAUAUGGAUGGUAGAUAAAGGUAUUUGUAAUCUGAAAUUAUAAAAACAGCAAGGUAGCAAGCGAUAAAAGUGAGCGUAAACGGUAUUGCAAUGAUAGGAAACAAGGCCUAGGGUUCAUACUUUCACUAGUGCAAGUUCUCUCAACAAUAAUAACAUAUAUAGAUCAUAUAACAAUCCCUCAACAUGCAACAAGGAGUCACUCCAAAGACACUAAUAGUGGAGAACGAACAAAGAGAUUAUGGUAGGGUACGAAACCACCUCAAAGUUAUUCUUUUGGAUCAAUCUAUUCAAGAGUUCGUACUAGAUUAACACCUUAAGACACAAAUCAACCAAAACCCUAAUGUCACCUAGAUACUCCAUUGUCACCUCAAGUAUCCGUGGGCAUGAUUAUACGAUAUGCAUCACACAAUCUCAGAUUCAUCUAUUCAACCAACACAAAGUACUUCAAAGACUGCCCCGAAGUUUCUACCGGAGAGUCAAGAACGUGUGCCAACCCCUAUGCAUAGGUUCAUGGGCGGAACCCGCAAGUUGGUCAACAAAACAUAGAUCAAGAGGCACAUGAUAUCCCAUUGUCACCAUAGAUAAGCACGGCAAGACAUACAUCGAGUGUUCUCAUAAAAGACUCAAUCCGAUAAGAUAACUUCAAAGGGGAAACUCAAUUCAUCACAAGAGAGUAGAGGGGGAGAAACAUCAUAAGAUCCAACUACAAUAGCAAAGCUCAGGAUACAUCAAGAUCGUGCCAUAGAGGGAACACGAGAGAGAACACGAGAGAGAGAGAGAGAUCAAACACAUAGCUACUGGUACAUACCCUCAGCCCCGAGGGUGAACUACUCCCUCCUCGUCAUGGAUAGCGCCGGGAUGAUGAAGAUGGCCACCGGUGAUGGAUCCCCCCUCCGGUAGGGUGCCGGGAAGGGCUCCCGGGAGCUUUUUGGUGGCUACAGAGGCUUGUGGCAGUGGAACUCCCGAUCUAUCUUGAUAUUCAAUGGUUUUAGGGUAUGUAGGCUUAUAUAGGCGAAAGAAGUCGGUCGGGGGGUGCUCAAGGGGUCCACGAGACAGGGGGUCGCGCCCUGUAGGGGGGGGCACGCCUCCCUAUCUCCUGGGCUCCUCGAGGAUCUUCUGACUUGACCUCCAAGCCUCCAGGAUGAUAUUCUUCCAAUAAAUCACGAUGCCGAAGGUUUCAUUCCGUUUGGACUCCGUUUGAUAUUACUUUUCUUCAAAAUACUGAAACAGGCAAUAAAACAGCAAUAUGGGUUGGGCCUCCGGUUAAUAGGUUAGUCCCAAAAGUAAUAUAAAAGUGUAUAAUAAAUCCCAUAAUCAUUCAAAACAGAUAAUAAUAUAGCAUGAAUGCUUCAUAAAUUAUAGAUACGUUGGAGACGUAUCAGCAUCCCCAAGCUUAAUUCCUACUCAUCCUCGAGUAGGUAAAUGAUAAAAACAGAAUUUAUGAAGUGUGAAUGCUAGAAGGUGCACAAGUUUGAUCAAUGAUAAUUUCAAUCACCUUUUCUAGCAUGAUUAUAUGUCAUAACAGUAGUCAUCAAAACUUUCUUGAAGCAUAGACCAUAAACUUUUGGGACUAACCUAUUAACUGAUAAAGUAACAAGCAAAUCACAUGUUAAAGCAUAGACCAUAAACUUUCUUGAAAACUAGCAAACUUCAUUCUUAGUCAUCAAAACAAUUGCAAUUCAUCUUAUUUUCAGGAAUAGCAAACUCCACAUACUCAACUAUCAUAUAGUCUUCUACAAUUGCUAACACUCACGCAAUACUUGUGGUUAUGAAGUUUUAAUCGGACACAAAGAAAGAUAGGGGCUUAUAAUGUUGCCUCCAAACGUAUUCACCUUUGGGUAAUGUCAACAAUAAUAGUCCAUGCUAACGUACAUCCAAUUGGAUAUAUAUAUAUAUCAGGAUCACCCUAACAAAAGUGCUUGCCAAAGGAUAAAAUAAAAAGGGAAAGGUGAAGAUCACCUUGACACAUGCAUAAAGUAAAAGAUAGGCCAUUCGCAGAGGGAAGCAGAGGUUGUCAUGCGCUUUUAGGGUUGGAUACACAAAAUCUUAAUGCGAAAGAACGUCACUUUAUAUUGCCCCUUGUAUAUGGACCUUUAUUAUGUAGUCCGUCACUUUUAUUGCUUCCAUAACAAGUUCGUACAAAGCUUAUUUUCUCCACACUAAUAAGUCAUGCAUAUUUAAAGAGCAAUUUUUAUUGCUUGCACCGAUGACAACUUACUUGAAGGAUCUUACUCAAUCCAUAGGUAGGUAUGGUGGACUCUCAUGGCAAAACUGGGUUUAAGGAUAUUUGGAAGCACAAGUAAUAUCUCUACGUGGUGCUAGGAAUUUUGGCUAGCAUGAGGGGGAAAGGCAUGCUCGACAUGUUUGAAUGAUCCAUGACAAUAUACUUUAACUGAGAUGCGAGAAAACAUAACCUAUUACGUUGUCUUCCUUGUCCAACAUCAACUGUUUAGCAUGUCAUACUUAAUGAGUGCUCACAAUUAUAAAUUAUGUCUAUGAUAAUAUAUUUAUGUGUGAAAUCUCUCUUCCUUCAAUAUUCUUUCAUUAAUUGUUCAAAUGACCAAUACAAUGCUUGCUAACCGUCAAUAAAUUUACAGCCUCUACUUCUUAGAUGUGAAGUCAUUACUCCCUAUGGGAUAAGCCAAAGAGACAUAUAUAAUUUCAGAUUUAUGAUAAUCAACUCAUUCAACCAUUUACUCAUAGGAUAUAAGUGAAGCACACAAGUAAUGACAAACUAUUCCAAAAAGAUAUAAGUGAAGAUCAAUGAGUAGCUAAAUAAUUAUGCAACUAUGUGAAGACUCUUUAUCAUUAAAGAAUUUCAGAUCUUGGUAUUGUAUUGAAGCAGCAAGAAAAACAAAACAAAAUGACAUUGCAAGGAUAGCACAACUCAUGUGAAGAAGCAAAAACUUAGGUUCAACUAAUAUUAACCGAUAGUUGUCGAAGAAGAAAGGUGGGAUGCCUACCGGGGCAUCCCCAAGCUUAGAUGCUUGAGACUUCUUGAAAUAUUAUCUUGGGGUGCCUUGGGAAUCCCCAGGCUUGAGCUUUUAUGUCUCUUUAAUUCCUCUCAUAUCAUGGUUUCUCUUCUUUUUAUCAAAAGCUUCAUUCACAACAAACUCAACAAGAACUCGUGAGAUCGGUUAGUAUAAACCAAUGGAAAACCUUAUCACUUUCUACUGUAACAAAUUACUAAAAUUAUUAUACAACAUUGCAUACUAAAUGCCUCUGCCUAUUUAAUACUCCUAUCCUCAAAUAGAAUCAUUAAACAAGCAAACAUACGCAAACAAUGCAAACAUAACACCAAUCUUCCAAAACAGUACAGUCUGUAAAGAAUGCAAGAGUAACAAUACUUCCCUGACUCCAACAAUUAUGAACUAAAAUUCCCACUGUAAUAAAUUUAUCAGAGCUUAAUAUGCAAAAAGUAUCAACAUUAUACCAUUCUCUGACUUUUCUAGGGAAUUUUUGCAACAGCGGUAAACUUUCUGUUUUCAAACAGCAACAUGUAUACUAGCAAAAUAAGCAUGGCAAAGGCUAUCCUUGACUUUUUUAUUGAAACUAAAGAUGCAAAACAUUAUUCUAACUAACAGCAAGCAAAAACUAGCAAAAUAAAAUGACUCUCCAAGCAAAACACAUACCAUGUGGCGAAUAAAAAUAUAGCUCCAAGUAAAGUUACCGAUGAACGAAGACGAAAGAGGGGGUGCCAUCCGGGGCAUCCCCAAGCUUAGUUGCUUGGUUGUCCUUGAAUAGUACCUUGGGGUGCCUUGGGCAUCCCCAAGCUUAGGCUCUUUCCACUCCUUAUUCCAUAGUCCAUCGAAUCUUUACCCAAAACUUGAAAACUUCAACCACACAAAACUCAACACAAAACUCGUAAGCUCCGUUAGUAUAAGAAAAUAAAACCACCACUUAGGUACUGUAAUAAUCUCAUUCUAAAUUCAUAUUGGUGUAAACAUACUGUAUUCCAACUUCUCUAUGGUUCAUACCCUUACAUACUAGCCAUAGAUUCAUCAAAAUAAGCAAACAACACAAUGAAAACAGAAUCAGUCAAAAACAGAACAGUCUGUAGUAAUCUGUAUCAAACGUAUACUUCUGGAACUCAAACAACUAUAAAAUAAAUUUCUGGACCUGAGGAAUUUGUCUAUUAAUCAUCUGCAAAAAGAAUCAACCUAAAAGCACUCUUCAGUAAAAAAAAUUGGCAGCUAAUCUCGUGAACGCAAAAGUUUCUGUUUUUUACAGCAAGAUCACAUAAACUUCACCCAAGUCUUCCCAAAGGUUCUACUUGGCACUUUAUUGAAAAAAAGCUGUAAAACAUGAUUAAUACAGUAGCAUAAUCAUGUGGACACACAAAAAUAGUAAGGAUAAAUAUUGGGUUGUCUCCCAACAAGAGCUUUUCUUUAACGCCUUUCUAGCUAGGCAUGAUGAUUUCAAUGAUGCUCACAUAAAAGAUAAGAAUUGAAACAUAAAGAGAGCAACAUGAAGAAUAUGACUAGCACAUUUAAGUCUAACCCACUUCCUAUGCAUAGGGAUUUUGUGAGCAAACAACUUAUGGGAACAAUGAUCAACUAGCAUAGGAAGGUACAACGAGCAUAGCUUCAAGAUUUUCAACACAUAGAGAGGAAACUUGACAUUAUUGCAAUUCCUACAAGCAUAUAUUCCUCCCUCAUAAUAAUUUUCAGUAGCAUCAUGAAUGAAUUCAACAAUAUAACCAGCACCUAAAUCAUUCUUUUUAUGAUCUACAAGCAUAGAAAAUUUACUACUCUCCGCAUAAGCAAAAUUCUUCUCAUUCGGAAUGGUGGGAGUAUCAUAAAAGACUUGAACACUAAAAAUUGUUUCCACAUUAAAAGAGUAAUGUUCAGAAAAAGGGUAAUCAUAAUCAUGACAAGAUUUGUAAAUAUAAUCAUCACUACUUUUUAUAGCAUAAGUUUCACAAUUAUCAUCAUAAGUAGCAACUUCGUUCUCAUCAUAAUCGAUUGAAACCUCUCCCAAGAUAGUGGAAUCACUAAAUAAAGUUGAAACUCUUCCAAAUCCACUUUCAUAUUCAUCACAAUAAGAUUCAAUAUCCUCCAAAAUAGUGGGAUCAAUACUACCUAAAGUUGACACUCUUCCAAACCCACUUUCAUCAAUAUAAUAAUCAUAAAUAGGAGGCAUGCUAUCAUCAUAGUAAAUAUUCUCAUCAAAACUUGGGGGACAAAAAAUAUCUUUAUCAAACAUAGCUUCCCCAAGCUUGUGGCUUUGCAUAUCAUUAGCAUCAUGGAUAUUCAAGGAAUUCAUACUAACAACAUUGCAAUCAAGCUCAUCAUUCAAAGAUUUAGUGACAAACAUUUCAUAGAUUUCUUCUUCCAACACUUCAGCACAAUUUUCCUUACCAUCAUUUUCACGAAAGAUAUUAAAAAGAUGAAGCGUACGAGACAAACUUAACUCCAUUUUUUUGUAGUUUUCUUUUAUAAACUAAACUAGUGAUAAAUAAAGAAACAAAAAGAUUCGAUUGCAAGAUCUAAAGAUAUACCUUCAAGCACUCACCUCCCCGGCAACGGCGCCAGAAAAUAGCUUGAUGUCUACUACACAACCUUCUUAUUAUAGAUGUUGUUGGGCCUGCAAGUGCACAAGUUUGUAGGACAGUAGCAAAUUUCCCUCAAGUGGAUGACCUAAGGUUUAUCAAUCCAUAGGAGGCGUAGGAUGAAGAUCGUCUCUCUCAAACAACCCUGCAACCAAAUAACAAAGAGUCUCUUGUGUCCCCAACACACCCAAUACAAUGGUAAAUUGUAUAGGUGCACUAGUUCGGCGAAGAGAUGGUGAUACAAGUGCAAUAUGGAUGGUAGAUAAAGGUAUUUGUAAUCUGAAAUUAUAAAAAUAGCAAGGUAGCAAGCGAUAAAAGUGAGCGUAAACGGUAUUGCAAUGAUAGGAAACAAGGCCUAGGGUUCAUACUUGCACUAGUGCAAGUUCUCUCAACAAUAAUAACAUAGAUAGACCAUAUAACAAUCCCUCAACAUGCAACAAAGAGUCACUCCAAAGACACUAAUAGCGGAGAACGAACGAAGAGAUUAUGGUAGGGUACGAAAGCACCUCAAAGUUAUUCUUUUGGAUCAAUCAAUUCAAGAGUUCUUACUAGAAUAACACCUUAAGACACAAAUCAACCAAAACCCUAAUGUCACCUAGAUACUCCAUUGUCACCUCAAGUAUCCGUGGGCAUGAUUAUACGAUAUGCAUCACACAAUCUCAGAUUCAUCUAUUCAACCAACACAAAGUACUUCAAAGAGUGCCCCAAAGUUUCUACCGGAGAGUCAAGAACGUGUGCCAACCCCUAUGCAUAGGUUCAUGGGCGGAACCCGCAAGUUGGUCACCAAAACAAACAUCAAGAGGCACAUGAUAUCCCAUUGUCACCACAGAUAAGCACGGCAAGACAUACAUCGAGUGUUCUCAUAAAAGACUCAAUCCGAUAAGAUAACUUCAAAGGGGAAACUCAAUUCAUCACAAGAGAGUAGAGGGGGAGAAACAUCAUAAGAUCCAACUACAAUAGAAAAGCACGGGAUACAUCAAGAUCGUGCCAUAGAGGGAACACAAGAGAGAACACGAGAGAGAGAGAGAUAUCAAACACAUAGCUACUGGUACAUACCCUCAGCCCCGAGGGUGAACUACUCCCUCCUCGUCAUGGAUAGCGUCGGGAUGAUGAAGAUGGCCACUGAUGAUGGAUCCCCCCUCCGGUAGGGUGCCGAGAAGGGCUCCCGAGAGGUUUUUGGUGGGUAUAGAGGCUUGUGGUGGCGGAACUCCCGAUCUAUCUUGAUAUUCAAUGGUUUUAGGGUACGUAGGCUUAUAUAGGCGAAAGAAGUCGGUCGGGGGGUGCUCGAGGGGUCCACGAGACAGGGGGCCGCGCCCUAUAGGGCAGGGGCUAUCUCCUGGGCUCCUCGAGGAUCUUCUGACUUGACCUCCAAGCCUCCAGGAUGAUAUUCUUCCAAAAGAUCAUGAUGCCGAAGGUUUCAUUCGAUUUGGACUCCGUUUGAUAUUCCUUUUCUUCGAAAUACUAAAACAGGCAAUAAAACAGCAAUAUGGGUUGGGCCUCUGGUUAAUAGGUUAGUCCCAAAAAUAAUAUAAAAGUGUAUAAUAAAGCCCAUAAUCAUCCAAAACAGAUAAUAAUAUAGCAUGAAUGCUUCAUAAAUUAUAGAUAUGUUGGACACGUAUAAGCGGGCUGAUCGGGGUUGUAUUCAUCUUCGGCACCGUCCGGAUUGUUUUCGUCUCCGGUGCCGGUAUUGCCUUGGCGGGGCUUGGAGCGGCGCUGGCAACGCCCAUGUUUUGCUUUCUUCUUGGAGAGGUUAUCCUCCAUUGCGUCAUCGCAAUUUGUUUCUUUUGGAGUGUCCACCAUAUAUAUAUCGUAUGAAGAGGUGGCUGUCCACCGCCCUGUGGGCGGUGGCUCCUGUGUGUCUCCUGCAUCGUCGUCCAUACCGUCGAUGUCUUUGGAGUCGAAGUCAAGCACGUCAGUUAAAUCAUCAACCAUGGCAAUGAAGUGGGUGGUGGGUGGGUAGCGAAUUCCUUCGUCGCCUGCUUCCCACUCAAGCCGGACAUAGUUCGGCCCAGAGCCUCCUGACAAAGAGAGAGACCUUAAUGAGUUCAGCAUGUCGCCAAAGGGCGAGUGCUGAAAGAUGUCCGCAGCGGUAAACUCCAUUACCGGAGCCCAACCUGGCUCGAGGGUAUGCGGACCGGAACCAACAACCGAAUACGAGUCCAGGGGCCCGGGGUUACAGGCCUCCACAGAGGUGAGACCUGUGUUCGGCUCCACCGCCGAUGAGUAUGCGGCUUGCGGGGCGGGAUCCACCCCUUCGUCCUUGGGCAAUGCAACCUGUUCCGGAUUUAGAUCCGGGGUUACUGCAGGGAUGAUGUCCCGAGCAUUGUCCGACAGCAGGUCUAGGCCGUGCUCGUCGUGACUGUCCGACGCUCCUAGCACAGGCCCGAAUCCGUCGAAGAUCAAGUCUCCGUGAAUGUCCGCCGUGUAGUUCAAGUUUCCGAACCUGAUCUGGUGGCCAGGGGCAUAGCUGUCGAUCUGCUCCAGCUGACCAAGCGAAUUGGCCCGCAGUGCGAAGCGGCCGAACACAAAGAUCUGUCCGGGGAGAAAAGUCUCGCCCUGGACCGUGUUGUUGGCGAUUGAAGACGCCAUCAAGCCUCGAAGCGACGACAUAGAGGAACUCUCAAAGAAAGCACCAAUGUCGGUGUCAAAACCGGCGGAUCUCGGGUAGGGGGUCCCGAUCUGUGCAUCUUAGGCUGAUGGUAACAGGAAGCAAGGGACACAAUGUUUCCCCAGGUUCGGGCCCUCUCGAUGGAGGUAAAACCCUACUUCCUGCUUGAUUAAUAUUGAAGAUAUGAGUAGUAUAAGAGUAGAUCUACCACGAGAACGUAGAGGCUAAACCCUAGAGGCUAGCCUAUGAUGGUAUGAUUGUAAUUGUGAUCGGCCUUCUAAGGACCAUCCUCUCCGGUAUAUAUAGCCACCGGAGAGGGCUAGGGUUUACAUGGAGUCGGUUACAAGGAAAGAAAUAUAAUAUCUAGAUCACCAAGCUUGUCUCCCACGCAAAGGAGAGUCCCAUCCGGACACGGGCCGGAGCCUUGUGUCUUGUAUCUUCACGCUUCAAUAGUCCGGACGAUGUAUAUAGUCCGGCUCUCCGGAUACCCCCUAAUCCAGGACUCCCUCAAUGGGCAUCUCCAUAGCCCGUUGAUACGCCUAGUUGAUGUGAGACUAUCUUCUCCCACUUUUUGUCCUCACAACCACCAUAUUAGACCAUCAUAGUGCUAUGUCCAUGGCUUGCGCUCAUGUAUUGCAUAAGAGUUGAAAAAGCUGAAGCGCGUUAAAAAGUAUGAACCAAUUGCUCGGCUCGUCAUCGGGGUUGUACAUGAUGGGAGUAUUUUGUGUAAUGAAAAUGAAGCAUUGCCUAACUAUAUGAUUUUGUAGGGAUAAGCUUUCUUUGGCUAUGCUAUUUUGAUAGGACAUGAUUAUUUGUUAGUAUGCUUUGAAGCAUUAUUAUUUUUAUGUUUUAUAAGAUUUUAUCUUGAAUCAUUUGGAUCUGAACAUUCAUGCCACAUUAAAUAAAAUUACAUUGAGAAUUAUGCUAGGUAGCAUUCCACAUCAAAAAAAAAUUAUCAUCUACCUACUCGAGGACGAGCAGGAAUUAAGCUUGGGGAUGCUUGAUACGUCUCCAACGUAUCUAUAAUUUUUUAUUGUUCCAUGCUAUUAUAUUACCCCUUUUGGAUGUUUAUGGGCUUUAUUUUACACAUUUAUAUCAUUUUUGGGACUAACCUACUAACCAGAGGCCCAGCCCGUGAUACGUCUCCAACGUAUCUAUAAUUUUUUAUUGUUCCAUGCUAUUAUAUUACCUGUUUUGGAUGCUUAUGGGCUUUAUUCUACAUAUUUAUAUCAUUUUUGGGACUAACCUACUAACCGGAGGCCCAGCCUGUGACACUCCAAAUGUUUUUGUGGUUUUUGUUUUCAGCUAGAGCCUUGCUUGGUUUAAAGAAGGUCAUUUAAACCCUUCUUAAAAACCUCUCUUGAGUUUUCCCUCUCAAAAAUCUUUUCUUGGUUUUAAAAAGAAAACCCUUUUUGGUUUUGGGCUUCUCUUUGGUUUUGAUCCAUUCUUGAUUUUACCAUGCUUCCUAUGGUAAAAUUUUCCCAAAACCCCCUCCUUCCACUUUGGAACAACCAAACCUUCUGUCCCAACCUAUAAAAUCCAUUUUUGGAUUUUAUUCCAUUCAUUUCUUUCCUCAAAAUAAUUCUGUCCUUUAUUCUGAGCCUAGGUAGUUUGCAAAGCAAGUACCUUAAUGCCUUUGAUCUUUGAUCUCAAUUCAACUCCUCUGGAUAAUCCUUAGCACCCACAACCUAGAACCAUCAAGAUCCACUCCUCUCCUUUUCAAAAAUUUCAAAAUUCACCCUCUGCAAGUUUGGACCAGAUUUGUCAAAUUUGGUGAAAUUCAUAUCUCCACUCCUCCAAAAAUUCCACCAAAAUUCAGGCAACACCUAGUUGCAAUAAGAGACCACUCCACCAAAACCAGCUCAAGGAAAAAUCCCACAUGCCAAAAUCAUUCUGUCGAACACCUGGCAUGCACUGUUUCUGUUCAUCUUUAGUAAAAUUCAGAAUUCACUGUCGUUUCUUCGUCAGAGUUUCGGUCACAUGUCGACAGUGCACGUGGCACGUUGCUCACAGCCCCUCCUCCUUGUUCGGAGCACCACACGCGCGCUUGGCGCGUUCCUGGCGUCGGUGGCGCCAUGGCCCGCCUGCGCCGGCGUGUUUUGCGGCGGCAGAGCCACCAUAGCGGCCGACAGGGGGCAACCCUGCGGCAUAACGCCGUUCAGCACCGCCCAAACCACCUGGUAGCUCCACGUGGCCGUCUCCUUACCAGCGCACGCAUGCAGCACCAUCGCCGUGGCCUGACACGCGCAGAGCGCGUUCUCUGCCGCCGACGUGCCGUGCGGCCGUUCCGUCGAGGACAGGCCAUAACCACCCCUUCCUUGCUGAGUUGGACACUGGAAUGGCACCAGUGCUCCUUCUAGUCGAUGCUCGAGCCACUAAUCCAACCGUCCAGCCACAGCACCGCCGUAAUCGCUCGCUGGACUUAUCCGUUCACGGCAACCGCCUCGGGCCGGCUAUAAAUAGCACCCCCGAGCUUGCUCUCGCCCCCGCACAACUCGACCACCUCACCAGACCCCGCCUAGCCACUAGAACAGCCUCGAGGGGCCCUUCUUCCUCAACUCCGGCCACCUUCGUCUGCCUCGGGCUCUGGCAACGUUCUCUUCGGUGAGAACUCCUCCACCGCCCUACUCUUACCCGUAGCCUCCUGGCUCCACUAGGAGACUAACCCCCACUUCAAUUCAACCCUAGCAGCUCUCUCCGACGAGGUCCACAACUGCUCGAACCGUCAUCCGCCGGAGCAAGGGCCGCCGUCGACACAGUGCUCGCCGGCGACCACCACCACCACCCACAGAUGCGGAAGGACGUACUGAUCACGGAGGUACCAUCCGAUCCCCCUGCCUCGCCGUGGAUCGCCGUCGGUGACCACCGCAUCUCUCGGGCGCCGUCGCGCCCCGGUUUUCCCAUUUGAAUUUUCAAACCUCACGGGUGGAGCCCGCCUGUCAGUCUCUCAUUCUUUUCUUUUAAACGAAUCGUUUUCUAGACUUUUCUGCAGAACCCCCUGGGAGUUUUCUGUUUCAUUACAGAAAGGUCCCUGAAGCAAAACCCUUAUAUCUUUUAAACAUAAAAGUAUUUUUGUUUGAUUCGUUUUCUGUUCUCUUUAAAAUUUUGUCUAGUUUUUUAUCAGAUUUAUUUGAAAAUUAAUUGGAUUACUUUUUGUGCACCUCGCGGUAUUUACGUUACGUGCGUAUUUUUCUUAUACUGUAGAUUCCGGAGGAAGUGACGGAGCCGCGAACUUCACACAGUUAGACUCCGACUACUCCGAACCAGGCAAGCAUGUUUGAACUCUUGAUAUGAUGAAGUGUUUGUUGCAUGUUUGUAUUUAGGAGUUUCAUGUCAUGGUUAUGAACAUUUCUUGAAAUGUUAUAUUUCAUGCACAAAAGUGGAAAGUAAGUUUCGGAAAGCCAUAUGUUGUUGGGUACAUAUUGACAUGGCCAUAAGAUGGCAUGAGGAUGGGUAAGAUGGAAGUGUUGUGACAUGCCAGUCUUAUGCCAGACCAUUUGACUUCAGUAUCAUCGUGAAUCAAAUCACAUUCCCAUUCAUUUCCUUUCCUGGACUGCCACAUGUUUUCCGCAAGGAAUAUGGCUUAGUAAGUUGCAAACCGUUUUCCUGGUACACACCAAAUAGAGAGGCCGGGAUGAGGGUUCCAUGGCCCUGGAUUAAAGCCCGUCAUCCGGUCAGGGGGCAUGGGUGUUUCCGGUUGGGACCGAGAGGGGGGCACCCCUUAGAGCGCGCGUAUAGAAAUUUGAUCCCAUGAUAUUCGAGGUUGUGGCCUCCCUGUCUCAAAGUUUUUCUUGGAUGUUGCCUAGGGUGAUUCCUGGCAUCGUGAGGUGGAAUGGGUGUGUACUAGUUAAAUGUGUCUCUACCGAAAUACCUUAAAGGGAACUAGUCCUUCGUGACUACGGAAAUCCGUUGGCUGUGGUCAGUUAGUACAAACUCUGCAGAGUCACAAAUCCUUUAAAUCAUCUUGUACUUAUCCAAGUACUGUGUUCAUCUUACCUUGUCAGAUAUCAGUCUCAGUGACAAGACCCCGGUGGAAUACAUGUGUGUUAAAUUCGGUUAAAGGUUUAUUCUUGUGGAUGGACUAACCUGUUAUUUACUUCUGAGAUAAGCCCUUUCUGUGAUGUCGCUCAGACAUCCGACUGUGGCACUCUCGUUAAUUACUUUUGUUACAAUCCCUUUAUGUGAUGUCGCUCAGACGUCCGACUGUGGCAUUCCUUUUAUAAGCCCUUUAUGUGAUGUCGCUCAGACGUCCGACUGUGGCAUUUCUUUUAUAAGCCCUUUAUGUGAUGUCACUCAGACGUCCGACUGUGGCAUUUCUUUUAUAAGCCCUUUAUGUGAUGUCGCUCAGACGUNNNNNNNNNNNNNNNNNNNNNNNNNNNNNNNNNNNNNNNNNNNNNNNNNNNNNNNNNNNNNNNNNNNNNNNNNNNNNNNNNNNNNNNNNNNNNNNNNNNNNNNNNNNNNNNNNNNNNNNNNNNNNNNNNNNNNNNNNNNNNNNNNNNNNNNNNNNNNNNNNNNNNNNNNNNNNNNNNNNNNNNNNNNNNNNNNNNNNNNNNNNNNNNNNNNNNNNNNNNNNNNNNNNNNNNNNNNNNNNNNNNNNNNNNNNNNNNNNNNNNNNNNNNNNNNNNNNNNNNNNNNNGGCACUCUCGUUAAUUACUUUUGUUACAAUCCCUUUAUGUGAUGUCGCUCAGACGUCCGACUGUGGCAUUCCUUUUAUAAGCCCUUUAUGUGAUGUCGCUCAGACGUCCGACUGUGGCAUUUCUUUUAUAAGCCCUUUAUGUGAUGUCGCUCAGACGUCCGACUGUGGCAUUUCUUUUAUAAGCCCUUUAUGUGAUGUCGCUAAGACGUCCGAUUGUGGCAUUUCUUUUAUAAGCCUUUUAUGUGAUGUCGCUCAGACGUCCGAUUGUGGCAUUUCUUUUAUAAGCCCUUUAUGUGGUGUCUCUUAGACGCCCGACUGCGGCAUGAGUUUUAUUUGUUUACCUUUCGAGGCAUCGCUUCAGACACCCGAUCAGUUUCAGUUAUUUGUUUUACUUAUUUCAUCAUGAAAUCUUUAUUAUUGGUAUAAGCAUCAUUAUUUUGCUCAUGACGCAUUCAUGCAUGCAUUUGUUAUAUCUUUUGUUCGAAUUGUCUUGCGAGUACUUUCAAAGUACUCACCUGGCUUGUUGAUUUGGCCAGAUGUUGAUGAAGGCGAUCUCAUGGAUGAAGAGUUCAAUAGCGAGUCCGACGCCUAGAGGAGUCCCAGUCAGUCCCGUGCGAUUCUGCUUUGGUCACUGUAUCAUAUCCGCUUCUGCCACCCCAAAAUAAAUUCAUCGAGCCUCACCUCGACGCUCGAUGAGCUGCCAGUAGAAGUCAAGUUAUCCACCACCAUUUUUUUUAUCUCGAGCUAGUAGCAUGUCACCACACCCCUGUGUUAUAACCGCCCUUAUGUGAGAUAUUGGCGAGUUUGUAAUAAAUUGUUGAGCAGCCUCAGCUCAACCCUGUAAUAUAUUUAAUGCUAUUGGUCCUCUGUUUAUCAAGUAUUUGGCUACCAAUGAGGAUGACUUUUCCUAUACUGGGAUCAAAAGACCGAUUUUCUCAAUAAGCAUUUUAUUGAAAAACCGGUCGUGACAGACUUGGUACCAGAGCCAGGCUGACUGUAGGAAGCCACUAGGUGCGAUCGCUAAUCCGUUAUUAGCAUGAUAGAGUUUAUUCAUGUUUUUACAAAUGUAGUCAUUUCUUCUGACAGUCAGCAUAAAAUUUAUGAUCUGAUCAUUCAGAAUUUGUGCCUACUUCUGUAGAUGACCGGCGACGAAUGUGAGUCACAGAUGUUCGCCAACGUGCCUGAGGGGUUCGUCAAACUCCUCUCCUUCAUCGUUCAGGUCGCGAUGGGGCCAUCCGUGUGCCCAGUCUUCACACUUUAUCCACACAAGAUCAACGACAGUAUGACCAUGCACCAGGCCGCGGUGCAAUUCAGGGGAGGGCGUGUUGAGAUACGCCGCUUUUGAUUUUUGGGGAGAGCCAUGCCUACAGAAUGGCAUGCUAUGCAGAUGGCUGCCCGCGAGGCGAUAGCUCGCCUUCGGGAUGUUCUUCCUGCGAUGAAGACCCGUCGCUACUGCUCUCCAUGCCAUGUACCAUACACCUGCCACUACUCAUUCUCUUGCCCCAGAGGAGAGCGAGACAAGGCCUUUGAGAUGCUUGUCGAGUACCUCCGAGCGCUGGAGGCAGCCUUCGACGGCAUGGUGGACGACCUCGUAGCUGCCCGCAUGGACUCAGUUCAUGGCUGUGCUGCCAACAGGAGGGAACUCCUGCACACCGCUCCACCGCUAACUUUCGUCUUAUCCUCAGCUUCUCAUUCACCUACCAUUCUCGCCACUGCUUGUCGUCUGCCUACCACUGAGGAAUUCAACCAAGCUAUUGCCCCCACUACCGUUCGCUCUGCACCAAUUAUUGCACCCACUCCCAUACGUGCUACUCCACCUUUUUCCACCUGCUCAUAUUCGUGUUACUCCGCCUAUGGCACCUGCUCCAUCAGCUCAGCGCAGCGUUUCUCGUCUGGAACCUAUUAGCGAGGAGGAAGUUGAGUCCCCAGCGUCACUACGUCUCACCCUCGGCAGGCCAAGGGAGAUCCUCACCAUCUCCGACUGAGUACGCGUAGCCGCCAUGCGAUGUACCGACUUGUGUGAUAUGUUUAUAUGUACAUAGGUUGUGAGAAGUAGCCUGUUUGCGCAUUAUGUAGGAUCUGGAGAAGUGCACUAGUCUCAAUAACAUGUCAGGAUUAUGUACGCAUAUCCUGAGUGAUGUAAUGUAUAAUUAUGCUUGCGUGUAAGAUAUGUAAUAGUCCUUCUCCGCGCGCAACCGUGUAUUUGGAGUGUUAAGAUUUUUCUUUGUGUGUGAUUUUAUUGAAUUUUGCGACUCUCUUUCUUGUCUUACGAGUUUCACAAAAUAUAUCCCCAGAGUGAAAGAUGUCUCGUCCUUGGACGCGCUCUAUGCCAAAUCAGCCAGAAGAAAAUUAUUGCACACCGCAAAACCACAAUUUCACUCAGGGACAGACAAGUCAACAGAACAGUGAAACAGCAUUUACCCAAGUGUGUCGUCUGUAUGAACAGAGUCAGCAACAACACCAGGAAAUGAUGAACCAAUUCAUCAAUAUGGGAAAUCAUCGUGAUAAGUAGCAGCCGCAAUCCAAGUUGUCUGAGUUACAGAAGACGCGUCCCCCAACAUUUUCUCAUACUGACAAGCCUCUUGAGGCCGACGACUGGCUUCGAGACAUGGAAAGAAAAUUAAUCAUUACACAGUGUUCAGACCAUGAAAAAGUAUUGUAUGCACCACAUUAUCUCACGGGAGCAGCUGCAUCGUGGUGGGAAAACUUCCUGCACAUGCACCCCAACGAAAAGGAAAUAACCUGGGAGGAUUUCAAGGAAGGUUUUCGUGGGGCACACAUUCCGAAAAGCGUUAUAAAAAUCAAGAAGAGAGAAUUUGAUGAAAUCAAGCAAAGGACCAUGACAGUGUCAGAAUACAACAGCCAAUUUACUCUGCUGUCUCGCUACGCCAACGAAGAGCGCAUGACCGAGAGCAAGAAGAUGGAAAAAUUCUUGGAAGGCCUGGCACCCGCCCUUAAAUGCCAGCUGGUUGUGCAUACCUUCCCAGAUUUUAAAACACUGGUGGAUAAGGCCAUUACUCUGGAAAAUGAGCGACGUAGCCUGGAAGAUUUCCGCAAACGCAAGAGGGACCAGACUACUUUUUCUCGCAACCCCAGAAGCAAGACGGAAAUUCAGAAGGGUGGAACACAUAAAACCCCGGCGAAUAAUUCACGCCCAAUCAAGAAUUUCCAUGCAAGAGACAAGGAGUUCACAUAUCGCCCAGGCGUUACUUGUUACGCUUGUGGAGAAGAAGGGCACUAUGCCAAGCAGUGCCCCAAGCCAAGAAACUCAACCCCAAAGCCUAACAAUGGUGGCAAUAAUCCAGCGCCCAAGCGAAAUAAUUUCAACCCCAAGAACAACCACCGGAAGGGUCACCUGAACCACGUGACCAAGGAGGAAGCACAGAACGCCCCAGAUAUCGUACUCGGUACGUACCCUGUCAACACAAUACCUACCAUGGUUUUGUUUGAUUCUGGAGCAUCUCACUCAUUCAUUUCGAAGGAUUUUGCUUUGCAAAAUAAUUUUUCGAUGCUUCCCUUGGAAAAAUCAAUGAUCAUCAAGUCCCCUGGAAUUAAGCAAGUGACCCAGAGUUACUGUCAAGGUGUGGUUACUGAAUUUGAAGGAUUGAAGUUCUACGCCAACCUUAUCAUACUGGAGAGUAAAGGACUGGAUGUCAUCCUAGGGAUGGAUUGGUUAACCACCAACAAAGGUUUUAUUGACUGCUUCAACCGGUCCGUGAUUCUCACACACCAUCACGGAAAGACAAUAAAAGUUUCAGCCAAAGAGAGGCAAAUACCGCGGCAACCGAGAUUAAGCAAGGUGGACGUUUCGGAGCUGAACAAGGUUCCAGUAGUGUGUGAAUUUCCAGAUGUAUUCCCAGAAGAACUACCAGGCGUGCCACCAGACCGAGAGAUAGAAUUCAGCAUUGAGCUAGCACCCGAACCGCUCCCAUUUACAAGAAACCUUACAGAAUGGCACCAUCCGAAUUGGUAGAAUUGAAGAAGCAAAUAAAAGAAUUAUUGGAGAAAGGAUACAUAAGAGCCAGUUCCUCACCUUGGGGUUCUCCAAUUUUAUUUGCCAAGAAAAAGGAUGGAACACUGAGAUUGUGUAUUGACUAUCGAGCUCUUAAUAUGGUCACAAUCAAGAACAAAUACCCAAUGCCCCGAAUAAAUGAUUUAUUUGAUAAGCUCGCUAAGGCCAAGGUCUUCUCAAAAAUUGACUUGAGAUCGGGAUACCACCAAUUGAAAGUGCGAACCGAAGAUAUUCCCAAGACAGCCUUCACUUCCAGAUAUGGACUGUAUGAGUUCACAAUAUUGCCAUUUGGGCUAACCAACGCCCCCGCAUAUUUGUUCACCUCAUGAACAAAGUAUUUAUGAAGUAUAUGGACAAGUUUGUUGUGGUAUUCAUCAAUGAUAUUCUGAUAUACUCCAGAACACCAGAAGAGCACGCCGAGCACCUCAGGAUUGUACUAGGAGAACUCAUGAAACAUCAACUGUACGCCAAAUUCAGCAAAUGUGAAUUUUGGCUAAGACAGGUGGGUUUUCUGGGCCACGUGCUAACCCAAGAAGGUAUUGCAGUAGACCUAGAAAAGGUCAAGGUCGUACUUGGCUGGAAACCACCAGCUAGCAUAACGGACAUACGAAGUUUCUUGGGAAUGGCAGGCUAUUACCGGAGAUUUAUUGAAGGAUUCUCCACCAUAGCAAAGCCAAUGACGCAGUUGCUCAAGAAAGACAAGAAGUUUGAAUGGACGGAAGCAUGUGAGAAAAGCUUCCAAGAGCUGAAAAGGAAAUUAACAACGGCACCAGUGUUAAUCGUGCCAGACAUACACAAGAAUUUUGAGGUAUAUUGUGAUGCAUCCCGGAAAGGCCUCGGGUGCGUAUUGAUGCAAGAAGGCAAGGUAGUUGCGUAUGUCUCCAGACAACUUCGCAAGCAUGAGGAAAAUGAUCCCACUCAUGACUCAGAAUUGGCAGCAGUCAUCCAUGCACUCAAAGAAUGGAGACACUUUCUGCUUGGAAAUCGUUGUGAAAUAUACACAGACCAUAAGAGCCUUAAGUAUAUUUUCACACAGCCGGAACUAAAUUUAUGGCAACGACGCUGGUUGGAGUUGGUAAAGGAUUAUGAUGUUGGAAUUCACUAUCAUCCCGGAAAAGCAAAUGUUGUGGCAGAUGCCCUGAGUCGGAAUCCCAGCACGGACAACGACAGUAUACCAAACUUGAGGCCAGAAUUUCGACAGGAAUUUGCCAAACUCAAUUUAAUAAUGGUCGCCGAAGGCAGUGUGUUGAAUCUGGAAUUGCAGCCUACCCUGAUAGAAAAGAUUAAAGAGGCUCAGCAUGGACACCCCAGCAUUGAUGGCAUAAAAAGGGAAGUGAGUUUGGGCAAGGCCUCAGAAUUCAACAUAGAUGAGCAAGGAAUAUUAUGAUACGGAGAAAGAAUCUGCGUACCAAAUAUCCAGGACCUCAAACAGCAGAUUCUAUCUGAAAGCCACACAGCUCCGUAUUCAAUCCAUCCUGGAGGGACAAAAAUGUAGAAAGACCUUCAGCAAAAAAUUUGGUGGCACGGUAUGAAGAGAGACAUAGCCACGUUCGUUGCAUGAUGUGACUCUUGUCAAUGCAUCAAAGCUGAGCACCAGAAACCAGCCGGGCUGUUACAACCAAACAAGAUACCCGAGUGGAAGUGGGACGAGAUUGGAAUGGAUUUCAUUGUUGGACUACCACGGUCACGACACGGAAAUGAUGCCAUAUGGGUCAAAACCGACAGGUUAACCGAAGUGGCACAUUUUAUUCCAGUGAAGACAACUUACAUCACUCAGAGGCUGGCCAGACUUUAUCUUGCCCGUAUCGUCUGCCUGCAUGGAGUCCCAAAGACUAUAAUAUCUGAUAGAGGCACACAGUUCGCCUCUAGAUUUUGGGAUCACCUACAACAGGAACUGGGAACCCAACUAGCAUUCAGUACCGCAUACCAUCCCCAGACUGAUGGGCAGACUGAACGCGUAAACCAAAUUCUAGAAGAUAUGCUGAGAGCCUGUGUGCUCACCUACGGAACCAGUUGGGAGGAAAGUUUGCCAUAUGCAGAGUUCGCAUACAACAACAAUUAUCAAGCCAGUUUGCAAAUGGCACCCUUUGAAGCUCUAUAUGGGAGAACAUGUCGUACCGCGCUAAAUUGGUCAUAGACCGGAGACAGCCAUAUCUUCGGCCCAGAUAUGCUCAAGGAGGCUGAAGAGAAAGUUAAGACAAUUAGAGAUCGACUCAAGGCAGCUCAAAGUCGGCAAAAGAGUUAUUACGAUCGAAAGCAUCGGGAAAUCAGUUUUGAACCCGGAGAGUUUGUAUACCUAAGAGUUUCUCCUAUGAGGAGUCUGCAACGAUUCAGGGUUAAGGGAAAGCUAGCACCAAGGUUCAUCGGACCAUUCCGUAUAGUGGCCUGAAGAGGCACGGUAGCCUACCAGCUAGACCUACUCGGAGAUUUAUCCGAUAUCCACAAUGUAUUCCACAUCUCGCAGUUGAGAAAAUACGUGAGCAACCCAGAGAAGCAAGUAUCACAUGAAAAUAUUGACGUGCAACCAGACCUCACCUACCGGGAGCACCCAAUAAAAAUAUUAGAAGAGUCUGAGAGGAGGACCAGACAGAAAACCAUCAAGUUCUUCAGAGUCCAGUGGAGCAACCACACCGAGAAUGAGGCAACUUGGGAGAGAGAGGAUUUUCUCCAGACAGAGCACCCACACCUGCUUAAGGAUCAGCUGAAAUCUCGGGGACGAGAUUUUUCCUAAGGGGGUAGGUUCUGUGACACUCCAAAUUUUUUUGUGGUUUUUGUUUUCAGCUAGAGCCUUGCUUGGUUUAAAGAAGGUCAUUUAAACCCUUCUUAAAAACCUCUCUUGAGUUUUCCCUCUCAAAAAUCUUUUCUUGGUUUUAAAAAGAAAACCCUUUUUGGUUUUGGGCUUCUCUUUGGUUUUGAUCCAUUCUUGAUUUUACCAUGCUUCCUAUGGUAAAGGUUUCCCAAAAACCCCUCCUUCCACUUUGAAACAACCAAACCUUCUGUCCCAACCUAUAAAAUCCAUUUUUGGAUUUUAUUCCAUUCAUUUCUUUCCUCAAAAUAAUUUUGUCCUUUAUUUUGAGCCUAGGUAGUUUGCAAAGCAAGUACCUUAAUGCCUUUGAUCUUUGAUCUCAAUUCAACUCCUCUGGAUAGUCCUUAGCACCCACAACCUAGAACCAUCAAGAUCCACUCCUCUCCUUUUCAAAAAUUUCAAAAUUCACCCUCUGCAAGUUUGGACCAGAUUUGUCAAAUUUGGUGAAAUUCAUAUCUCCACUCCUCCAAAAAUUCCACCAAAAUUCAGGCAACCCCUAGUUGCAAUAAGAGACCACUCCACCAAAAACCAGCUCAAGGAAAAAUCCCCACAUGCCAAAAUCAUUCUAUCGAACACCUGGCAUGCACUGUUUCUGUUCAUCUUCAGUAAAAUUCAGAAUUCAGUGUCGUUUCUUCGUCAGAGUUUCAGUCACAUGUCGACAGUGCACUUGGCACAUUGCUCACAACCCCUCCUCCUUGUCCGGAGCACCACACGCGCGCUUGGCGCGUUCCUGGCAUCGGUGGCGCCAUGGCCCGCCUGCGCCGGCGUGUUUUGCGGCGGCAGAGCCACCAUAGCGGCCGACAGGGGGCAACCCUGCGGCAUAACGCCGUUCGGCACCGCCCAAACCACCUGGUAGCUCCGUGUGGUCGUCUCCUUGCCAGCGCACGCAUGCAGCACCGUCGUCGUGGCCUGGCACGCGCAGAGCGUGUUCUCUGCCGCCGACGUGUCGUGCGGCCGUUCCGUUGAGGACAGGCCGUAACCACCCCUUCCUUGCUGAGUUGGACACUGGAAUGGCACCAGUGCUCCGUCUAGUCGAUGCUCGAGCCACUAAUCCAACCGUCCAGCCACAGCGCCGCCGUAAUCGCUCGCCAGACUUAUCCGUUCACGGCAACCGCCUCGGGCCGGCUAUAAAUAGCACCCCGAGCUUGCUCUCGCCCCCGCACAACUCCACCACCUCACCAGACCCCGCCUAGCCACUGGAAGAGCCUCGAGGGGCCCUUCUUCCUCAACUCCGGCCACCUUUGUCCGCCUCAGGCUCCGGCAACAUUCCCUUCGGUGAGAACUCCUCCACCGCCCUACUCUUGCCCGUAGCCUCCUGGCUCCACUAGGAGACUAACCCCCACUUCAAUUUGACCCUAGCAGCUCUCUCCGACGAGGUCCACGACUGCCCGAACCGCCGUCCGCCGGAGCAAGGGCCGCCAUCGACACAGUGCGCACCGGCGACCACCACCACCACCCAUAGACGUGGAAGGACCUACUGAUCACGGAGGUACCAUCCGAUCCCCCUGCCUCGCCGUGGAUCGCCGUCGGCGACCACCGCAUCUCUCGGGCGUCGUCGCGCGCCGUUUUCCCCGUUUGAAUUUUCAAACCUGACGGGUAGAGCCCGCCUGUCAGUCUCUCAUUCUUUUCUUUUAAACGAAUCGUUUUAUGGACUUUUCUGUAGAACCCCCUGGGAGUUUUCUGUUUCAUUACAGAAAGGUCCCUGAAGCAAAACCCUUAUAUCUUUUAAACAGAAAAGUAUUUUUGUUUGAUUCUUUUUCUGUUCUCUUUAAAAUUUUGUCUAGUUUUUUAUCAGAUUUAUUUGAAAAUUAUUUGGAUUAAUUUUUGUGCACCUCGCGGUAUUUACGUUACGUGCGUAUUUUUCUUAUACCCUAGAUUCCGGAGGAAGUGACGGAGCCACGAACUUCACACAGUUAGACUCCGACUACUCCGAACCAGGCAAGCAUGUUUGAACUCUUAAUAUGAUGAAGUGUUUGUUGCAUGUUUGUAUUUAGGAGUUUCAUGUCAUGGUUAUGAACAUUUCUUGAAAUGUUAUAUUUCAUGCACAAAAGUGGAAAGUAAGUUUCAGAAAGCCAUAUGUUGUUGGAUACAUAUUGACAUGGCCAUAAGAUGGCAUGAGGAUGGGUAAGAUGGCAGUGUUGUGACAUGCCAGUCUUAUGCCAGACCAUUUGACUUCAGUAUCAUCGUGAAUCAAAUCACAUUCCCAUUCAUUUCCUUUCCUGGACUGCCACAUGUUUUCCGCAAGGAAUAUGGCUUAGUAAGUUGCAAACCGUUUUCCUGGUACACACCAAAUAGAGAGGCCGGGAUGAGGGUUCCAUGGCCCUGGAUUAAAGCCCGUCAUCCGGUCAGGGGGCAUGGGUGUUUCCGGUUGGGACCGAGUGGGGUGCACCCCUUAGAGCGCGCGUAUAGAAAUUUGAUCCUAUGCUAUUCAAGGUUGUGGCCUGCUCGUCUCAAAGUUUUUCUUGGAUGUUGCCUAGGGUGAUUCCUAGCAUCGUGAGGUGGAAUGGGUGUGUACUAGUUAAAUGUGUCUCUAUCGAAAUACCGUAAACGGAACUAGUCCUUCGUGACUACGGAAAUCUGUUGGCUGUGGUCAGUUAGUACAAACUCUGUAGAGUCACAAAUCCUUUAAAUCAUCUUGUACUUAUCCAAGUACUGUGUUCAUCUUACCUUGUCAGAUAUCAGUCUCAGUGACAAGACCCCGGUGGAAUACAUGUGUGUUAAAUCCGGUUAAAGGUUUAUUCUUGUGGAUGGACUAACCUGUUAUUUACUUCUGAGAUAAGCCAUUUCUGUGAUGUCGCUCAGACAUCCGACUGUGGCACUCUCGUUAAUUACUUUUGUUACAAGCCCUUUAUGUGAUGUCACUCAGACGUCCGACUGUGGCAUUCCUUUUAUAAGCCCUUUAUGUGAUGUCGCUCAGACGUCCGACUGUGGCAUUUCUUUUAUAAGCCUUUUAUGUGAUGUCGCUCAGAUGUCCGACUGUGGCAUUCCUUUUAUAAGCCCUUUAUGUGAUGUCGCUCAGACGUCCGACUGNNNNNNNNNNNNNNNNNNNNNNNNNNNNNNNNNNNNNNNNNNNNNNNNNNNNNNNNNNNNNNNNNNNNNNNNNNNNNNNNNNNNNNNNNNNNNNNNNNNNNNNNNNNNNNNNNNNNNNNNNNNNNNNNNNNNNNNNNNNNNNNNNNNNNNNNNNNNNNNNNNNNNNNNNNNNNNNNNNNNNNNNNNNNNNNNNNNNNNNNNNNNNNNNGCAUUUCUUUUAUAAGCCCUUUAUGUGAUGGCGCUCAGACGUCCGACUGUGGCAUUUCUUUUAUAAGCCCUUUAUGUGAUGUCGCUCAGACGUCCGAUUGUGGCAUUUCUUUUAUAAGCCUUUUAUGUGAUGUCGCUCAGACGUCCGAUUGUGGCAUUUCUUUUAUAAGCCCUUUAUGUGGUGUCGCUUAGAUGCCCGACUGCGGCACGUGUUUUAUUUGUUUACCUUUCGAGGCAUCGCUCCAGACACCCGAUCGGUUUCAGUUAUUUGUUUUACUUAUUUCAUCGUGAAAUCUUUAUUAUUGGUAUAAGCAUCAUUAUUUUGCUCAUGACGCAUUCAUGCAUGCAUUUGUUAUAUCUUUUGUUCGAACUGUCUUGCGAGUACUUUCAAAGUACUCACCUGGCUUGUUGAUUUGGCCAGAUGUUGAUGAAGGCGAUCUCAUGGAUGAAGAGUUCAAUAGCGAGUCCGACGCCUAGAGGAGUCCCAGUCAGUCCCGUGCGAUUCUGCUUUGGUCACUGUAUCAUAUCCGCUUCCGCCACCCCAAAAUAAAUUCAUCGAGCCUCACCUCGACGCUCGAUGAGCUGCCAGUAGAAGUCAAGUUAUCCACCACCAUUUUUUUUAUCUCGAGCUAGUAGCAUGUCACCACACCCCUGUGUUAUAACCGCCCUUAUGUGAGAUAUUGGCGAGUUUGUAAUAAAUUGUUGAGCAGCCUCAGCUCAACCCUGUAAUAUAUUUAAUGCUACUGGUCCUCUGUUUAUCAAGUAUUUGUCUACCAGUGAGGAUGACUUUUCCUAUACUGGGAUCAAAAGACCAAUUUUCUCAAUAAGCAUUUUAUUGAAAAACCGGUCGUGACACAGCCCAUAUUGUUGUUGUUUUGCCUAUUUCAGUAUUUCGAAGAAAAGGAAUAUCAGACGGAGUCCAAACGGAAUGAAACCUUCAGGAGCGUUAUUUUUGGAACAAAUCCGAUCUGGAGAGCCUGGAGUGCAAGUCAAGAAAGCUCCGAGGGCCCCACGAGAUAGGAGGGCCCCCCUGUAGGGCGUGCCCCCCUGUCUUGUGGGCCCCUCGGCACUACUAGGAAAAGGGCUAUAGAUGAUAUGGCCACUAAUGGCGCACCAGACAUGUGGUGCGCCAUUACUAUAUUCUAAUGGCGCACCACAUACAGGGUCGCACCUGGUGUGUGGUGCGCCAUUAGAAGUUUUGAAAAAAAAAUUGUUACUAAUGGCGCACCGUUGGACAGUGCGCCAUUACUAGUUGACAUAGUAAUGGCGCACCACACCCACCGUGCGCCAUUAGUAGUUUUGAAAAAAAAAGUAAAAAAAUAUAAAAAAAUUGUUAGUAAUGGUGCACCUGUGUACAGUGCGCCAUUACUAGUUUUAACUAGUAAUGGCGCACUGGCCACUGGUGCGCCACUACUAAGUUUUUUCAAAAAAAAUCAAAAAAAAAUUUAAUUUUUGUUUCAAAACUAGUAAUNNNNNNNNNNNNNNNNNNNNNNNNNNNNNNNNNNNNNNNNNNNNNNNNNNNNNNNNNNNNNNNNNNNNNNNNNNNNNNNNNNNNNNNNNNNNNNNNNNNNNNNNNNNNNNNNNNNNNNNNNNNNNNNNNNNNNNNNNNNNNNNNNNNNNNNNNNNNNNNNNNNNNNNNNNNNNNNNNNNNNNNNNNNNNNNNNNNNNNNNNNNNNNNNNNNNNNNNNNNNNNNNNNNNNNNNNNNNNNNNNNNNNNNNNNNNNNNNNNNNNNNNNNNNNNNNNNNNNNNNNNNNNNNNNNNNNNNNNNNNNNNNNNNNNNNNNNNNNNNNNNNNNNNNNNNNNNNNNNNNNNNNNNNNNNNNNNNNNNNNNNNNNNNNNNNNNNNNNNNNNNNNNNNNNNNNNNNNNNNNNNNNNNNNNNNNNNNNNNNNNNNNNNNNNNNNNNNNNNNNNNNNNNNNNNNNNNNNNNNNNNNNNNNNNNNNNNNNNNNNNNNNNNNNNNNNNNNNNNNNNNNNNNNNNNNNNNNNNNNNNNNNNNNNNNNNNNNNNNNNNNNNNNNNNNNNNNNNNNNNNNNNNNNNNNNNNNNNNNNNNNNNNNNNNNNNNNNNNNNNNNNNNNNNNNNNNNNNNNNNNNNNNNNNNNNNNNNNNNUGUCAAAAAAUAAAAAAAAUAAGUUUCCCAUGUGAUAUGUGGUCUAGUUGUUGGGAAAAUUUACAAAAUCCCCAAAAACCUAACAGAAAAAAUUUACGGGGCUUUCAAGAUCUAGAGGCAAAAUAAUUCAAAAAAGUUCAAACUUACUAGUGGCGCACCUUGGAUGUGGUGCGCCACUAGUAACAAAAAAAGAUUGGUUUUGUAUUUAUUUUUUUUGAAUUUUUUUUUAAAAAAAUGAUAUGUAAUAUGACUGGGAAGUUUGAAAUAUUUUUCAAAAUUUCAUCAUAGUCAUGAACAAGAACAAAGUCCUAGACAUCAACAAGGUAUAAUAGGAUUGAUAUGCUAGAUAUAUCAACAAGUGCCUGUGAAGUGAGCUGUUGCUGGGGUUGGAUAGAACUCUGAAGUUAAGCGUGCUUGGGCUGGUGUAGUGUGAGGAUGGGUGACCUUUGUUAGUGGUGCUAGUGGCGCACCUGUAUUGCGCCAUUACUAGCGAAAACAGGUGCGCCACUAGCAGCCCUUUUUGUAGUAGUGCGGGCGUCCACCGACGUACUUCUUCCUCCUAUAUAUACCUACGGACCCCGAAAACAUCCAGGGGCACCAUGAAACACAAUUUCCACCACCGUAACCUUCUGUAUCCGCGAGAUCCCAUCUUGGAGCCUUCGCCGGCACUCUGCCGGAGGGGGAAUCGACCACGGAGGGCCUCUACAUCAACAUCCUUGCCCCUCCUAUGAGUUGUGAGUAGUUUACCUCAGACCUAAGGGUCCAUAGUUAUUAGCUAGAUGGCUUCUUCUCUCUUUUUGGAUCUCAAUACAAUGAUCUCCCCCUCUCUUGUGGAGACCUAUUCGAUGUACUCUCUUUUUGCGGUGUGUUUGUCAAGAUCCGAUGAAUUGUGAGUUUAUGUUUAGAUUUAUCUAUGGUUAUUAAUUGAAUCUUCUCUAAAUUCUUUUAUGUAUGAUUGAGUUAUCUUUGCAAGUCUCUUCGAAUUAUUGGUUUGGUUUGGCCUACUAGAUUGAUCUUUCUUGCCAUGGGAGAAGUGCUUAGCUUUGGGUUCAAUCUUGCGGUGUUCUUACUCAGUGACAGAAAGGGUUGCAAGACACGUAUUGUAUUGUUCCCAUCGAGGAUAACAAGAUGGCGUUUAUAUCAUAUUGCAUGAGUUUAUCCCUCUACAUCAUAUCAUCUUGCUUAAUGCGUUACUCCGUUCUUAUGAACUUAAUACUCUAGAUGCAUGCUGGAUAGCGGUCGAUGAUGAAGCCAUAAACCUAGGGUAGGGUCAUGGACAUGUCCAGGGUACCCUCCCCAAGGUCGUCUCUAGAGGAAACUGUCUUUCGGUCGACCUGGAAGAAUUCCACUCGACGGAUUCGAAGACAGUCGACCAUGAAGACUCACUCGACCACCAGGAGAUCUAGGAUCACUCCGCAUCCAAACGGUCUGUUAUUAAGUAGUCUUUAUGGCCAUGAUAUCACUUUAUGUAAGACGUUACCAGUAACGCCAGGUCUUUAUGUACAUUGAACCCUCCUCUACGUGGGUUGGCUGGGGUCCUGGCGCACUCUAUAUAAGCCACCCCCUCCACAGGCAGAAGGGUUCGCACCCCUGUAACUCUCACGCAUAUAAUCCAGUCGACCGCCUCCGGGCACCGAGACGUAGGGUUGUUACUUCCUCCGAGAAGGGCCUGAACUCGUAAACUCUUGCGUGCACAACUACUCCAUUGCUAGGAUCUUGCCUCUCUCUUAGUACCCCCCCCCCCUACACUACUGUCAGACUUAGAACCACGACAGUUGGCGCCCACCGUGGGGCAGGUGUCUUAGCGACUUAUUGGAGAAGUUGCAAUUUUUCUGAUUCCCUUCAUCAUGGUUUCAGGCGGAGUUUUAGUUGUGGGCCGCGAGAUCCGUCUCGGCGUGCUCACGUUCAUCGCCGACGACUCUGCCUGGCUGCAGGAGGCUCCGCUCGACAUCGACGCGCUCCUACUCCGCGGAUCUACACACUUUCGAGCGUGCGUCCACGGCGUCCUCCUGCGGCAACCGUCGACCCAGUAUCGGCCGGUUUUUUUGUCAUCCUCCCUCCCAGCUUCCCGCCGGUGCAAGCGCUCCGGUCGGUUGAGGCUUCAGCCGUGGGUGAGACACGCGGUGGCUCGCCAGUCGACCACUGCCCAAGUCAUGGCAAUCGAGCCCGACGAAUCUCUCUACGGCCUGUCCGACCUGUUGACUGGCUCCGCAGAGACUGCAUCCGAGUGCGAGAGCAGUGAUCCAGCGGCUUAGGUCCUGAUGGUCAAUGGACCACACGUUCCCCCCGGCUUUCCCGGUUCCAAGGGAGGCAACGACGGAGGCGAUCCGUCGCACGUCCAUGAGGAAUAUCUCCCCGAGCCCCUCAAUUCGCUGCAGAGGGAAGAGCUUCGCCGCCGGAACAUGGAUGCGCUUCACAGUCCAAUCGUUGGAGAAACACCUGAGGCUCGCGCCUUAGAGGACGCGCGCUUGGCGAACCUGGCUGAGCACACUCGACUGGAGAACCUUCAGCGAGCACUCGACGAGAGUGCACGGCAACAGGUCCCGGACUCCAGUCGACGCCAGCUCUUUCCACCUCCGACUCAAGUAUAUCGAACUCCGAUUCAGAAUUUAGCAGCUGCAGCCCGUAUAGCAGAAUCAAUUUAGCCUUCCCAAUCAGAGGCUGGCAGAGGCUUGAUGCAGAUCAGAUAUUUGCUCCAGGCAGCAGGAGAUCAGAAUUCAUCUGUAUCGUAGUCGCGGAACAGGAUUCACAGCAGAUCCGUGGCAGCAAAUACAGUCCAGUUGGCUCAUAGCCCCAGAUCGCCCCCGAGGCGUGAAGGGCGUGAUGACUGGCAUGAUCAGUACAGGAAAUGUGAGCAGUAUGAUCACCGAUUCGAUCGCAACGAUCGAUGUCGAGUGCCCACUCCUCCCCCAAGGGGUGGAUCCUAUGUGCCUCGACAGCAGGAUAAUAGACGCCAGCACAGUGGCGGACGAAGAAUCCCAGUCGACCCCAGGGAACCAGGCUUUGAUGCGAGAUCCAUCAUCGUUCAAGGUCUAGUCGACCAGAACAGAGCUCACAGAGAGGGCAACGACAGAGAUGUACCCACCAGCAACCGAGUGCAUGUCUCCGGACCAGAGUGUUUCAGCAGGGCCAUCCGAGCCGCAGUGAUUCCUCCCAACUUCAGGUUGGCGACUGGAGUCAGUAAGUUCAACGGUGAGUCUAAGCCCGACACUUGGCUUGAGGACUACCAAGUGGAUGUCCAGAUCGGCGGCGGAAAUGACGAGGUGGCCAUGAAACAUCUGCCUCUUAUGUUGGAGGGAUCAGCCAGGGCAUGGCUGAAUAAGUUGACGCCCAGCAGCAUUUACACGUGGGAAGACCUCUCCCGAGUGUUUGUCAGAACGUUCCAAGGAACAUGCAAGCGACCAGCAGGACUGACAGAGCUGCAAUCUUGUGUGCAGAAGUCGAAUGAGACUUUGAGAGAUUACAUCCAGAGAUGGAUCACAUUGCAUCACACAGUAGAGAAUGUAUCUGAUCACCAGGCAGUCUGUGCCUUCAAGGAAGGCGUUAAGUACAGAGAGCUAAGCCUGAAGUUCGGUCGAACUGGAGACAUGUCUCUGAGUCGAAUGAUGGAGAUAGCCACCAAAUAUGCCAAUGGUGAGGAAGAGGAUCGGCUCCGGAGCGGCAAGCACAAGUCAGUCGCCCAGGAAACCGGAGGAGGGAACUCCAGUCGGAAGCAAAAGCGGAAAGCCGAGCCGGCUGCUCCUGGAGAAGCCUUGGCCGUGACUCAAGGAAAGUUCAAAGGAAAGCCCAAGGGGCCUUGGAACCCCAAGAAAGUGAAGGACAAAGAAGGAAAUGACGUGAUGGAUUUGCCAUGUCACAUCCACACGAAGAAAGAUGAAGAGGGAAAUUUCAUUUACCUGAAGCAUACCACUCGGCAGUGUCGACUCCUGAUACAGCAGUUCCAAGGGAAACAGUCCAAGGAUAAGGAAAAGGACUCAGACAAAGCUGAGGACAAGGGAGACAGUGACGAAGAAUAUCCUCAAGUAAAUUCGAGUCUGGUGAUUUUUGCUGACGUAGAGAGCAAAAGUCGACUAAAAGUUAUAAACCGAGAGGUGAACAUGGUUGCUCUGGCGACACCCAAUUAUCUGAAGUGGUCUCAGAUGGCCAUCACAUUCGACCAGUCUGAUCACCCGACGCACAUAGCCACCCCAGGGAGGCAAGCUCUGGUGGUCGACCCAGUCGUCAAAGGUACUCGACUGACUAAAGUGUUGAUGGAUGGUGGCAGUAGUUUGAAUAUACUGUACGCUGAGACGCUGAAAGGGAUGGGCAUUCCGAUGUCCAUACUCAGCACAAGCAACAUGAGUUUCUAUGGAGUCAUUCCUGGCAAGAAGGCCGCAUCACUCGGCCAGAUUGCUCUCGAUGUGGUUUUUGGUGAUUCCAAGAACUUCCGCAAAGAAAAGUUGACAUUUGAGGUUGUAGAUUUCCAGAGCGCCUACCACGCUAUUUUGGGCAGGCUAGCUUAUGCACGUUUUAUGGCUCGACCGUGUUACGUGUACCUCAAAUUGAAGAUGCCUGUCCCUAAAGGCGUGAUCACUGUUACCGGUAAUCGCAAGAAGGCGGAAGAGUGCUUCCAGAAAGGCUCAAAGAUCGCCGGUGCUCAAAUGGUGGCAGAAGAGUGGCAGGAACACCAGAGAAAUGCAGACCCGAGUGAUUUGUUGCGAGCCAAGAAGCCCGCUACGGAAUCAGCGUUUCAGUCGUCCGGUGAGACAAAACCAGUUCACAUCCACCCGACCGACCCCAACACUGCUCCAACUCAUAUCUCCACAACACUCGACCCAAAAUAGGAAGAAGCGCUCAUCCAGUUCCUCCAUGAAAACUGGGACAUCUUUGCAUGGAAACCUUCUGACAUGCCAGGUGUACCCAGGGGGCGGGCUGAGCACCGUCUGCGAGUCGAUUCAAAGGCAAAACCUAUCAAGGAACAUCUGCGACGGUCUGCCGUCCAGAAAAGGAAAGCUAUUGGCGAAGAGGUGGCUCGGCUCUUAGCAGCAGAGUUUAUCCGAGAGAUUUACGACCCUGAGUGGCUCGCCAAUGUUGUCAUGGUCCCCAAGAAGGACAAGUCACUUCGCAUGUGCAUUGACUUUAAACAUAUCAAUCGGGCCUGCCUGAAAGAUCAUUUUCCUCUUCCCCGCAUCGACCAAAUAGUCGACUCGACUGCGGGAUGUGAGCGACUGUCUUUCUUAGACGCUUAUUGCGGAUACCAUCAGAUCCGUCUGUUUGGACCCGAUGAGAUCAAAACGGCUUUCAUCACCCCAUUCGGGUGCUUCUGUUAUGUCACCAUGCCAUUUGGCCUCAAGAAUGUCGGAGCCACGUUCAUGAGGAUGAUUCAGAAGUGUUUGCUCACUCAAAUCAAUCGGAAUGUGGAAGCAUACAUGGAUGACAUUGUGGUUAAGUCACGGAAAGGUUCCGACCUACUGACUGACCUCGCUGAAACAUUUGCCAACCUCAGGAGGUAUGAUAUCAAGCUUAAUCCAUCCAAGUGCACAUUCGGAGUUCCUGGCGGAAAGUUACUCGGUUUUCUCGUUUCCGAACGAGGAAUCGACGCAAACCCAGAGAAAGUGGGCACUAUACUCUGAAUGAAACGACCUGUGCGUGUGCACGAUCUUCAGAAGCUUACUGGUUGCUUGGCCUCUUUAAGUCGAUUCAUCUCUCGUCUCGGUGAGAAGGCAUUACCUCUUUACCAACUUAUGAAGAAGUCAGACAAGUUCGAGUGGACUCCUGAAGCUGAUGCAGCGUUUGCAGAGUUGAAAACCCUACUUUCCACCCAGCCGGUGCUUGCUGCCCCGAUCAGCAAAGAGCCUUUGUUGCUUUACAUUGCAGCCACAGGACAAGUCGUCAGUACAUUACUUACGGUCGAGCGGGAAGAAGAAGGGAAAGCCUUCAAAGUUCAGCGCCCAGUAUAUUACAUUCUGAAGUCCUGACCCCAUCAAAGCAAAGAUACCCUCAUUAUCAGAAGCUUGUAUAUGGGAUUUAUAUGACCACGAAGAAAGUUGCUCACUACUUAUCUGACCAUACCAUCAUAGUCGUCAGCGACGCCCCCUUAUCAGAGAUUCUGCACAACAGAGACGCAACUAGUCGAGUGGAAAAAUGGGCGAUUGAACUCCUUCCCCUAGAUAUCAGAUUUGAGGCAAAGAAAGCUAUCAAGUCCCAAGCAAUAGCAGAUUUCCUCUCCGAGUGGACUGAACAGCAAUUACCGACUCAAGUUCACUUGGAGCACUGGACUAUGUUCUUUGAUGGCUCUAAAAUGCUGAAUGGUUCCGGUGCCGGGGUAGUGUUGAUUUCCCCCCGAGGAGAUAAGCUCAGAUAUGUACUCCAGAUUCACUUUGAUUCUUCCAACAACGAAGCAGAAUACGAAGCACUUUUGUAUGGGUUGCGUAUGGCCAUCUCACUCGGCGUCCGUCGACUCAUGGUCUACGGUGACUCAGAUUUAGUGGUUAACCAAGUGAUGAAGGAGUGGGACGUCAGAAGCCCAGCCAUGACUGGUUACUGCAAUGCAGUCAGAGAGCUGGAGAAGAAAUUCGAGGGAUUAGAGCUCCAUCACGUCCCCCGACUGAGAAAUCAAGCAGCUGAUGACUUGGCGAAGAUAGGUUCCAAAAGAGAAGCCAUCCCCAGUGGCGUGUUUUUGGAGCAUGUUCACGCGCCAUCAGUUCAAGAAGAUCCUUUCACUGAAGAAGCCCCGCAGCCAAAAAGUGCCACAGAUCCGACUGAAGUCGAGGUCCCAGCUGUGGUCGACUUAAUCAUGGAAGUUCUGGUUAUCACUCUCGACUGGACAGUGCCCUACAUUGCGUAUAUUCUAAGGAAAGAGCUCCUAGAGAAUGAAGAAGAGGCUCGGCAAAUCGUCCAUCGAUCCAAGGCCUUUACUGUCAUGAGGGGACAGUUGUACAGAGAAAGCGCGACUGGAGUCAGCCAGAAAUGCAUAACACCGGAAGAGGGUCGAAUGAUUCUCAACGACAUCCACUCAGGGACCUAUGGCCAUCAUGCGUCCUCUCGGACCAUUGUGGCUAAAGUAUACUGAGCAGGUUUUUACUGGCCCAGAGCAAAUGAAAUGGCGAAAGAGAUAGUCGACAAGUGUGAAGGAUGUCAGUUCUACUCCAACAUGUCACACAAACCCUCCUCAGCCUUGAGGACCAUCCCAAUCGUCUGGCCUUUCGCUAUUUGGGGGUUAGAUAUGGUUGGACCACUGAGAACUGGCAGGAGCGGCUUCACCCAUGUACUGGUGGUAGUCGACAAGUUCACCAAGUGGAUCGAAGCCAAGCCCAUUAAAAAUCUUGAUGCUGGCACUGCCAUCAGCUUCAUCAGAGAAUUAAUAUUCAGAUAUGGAGUUCCGCAUAGCAUCAUCACUGAUAAUGGGUCAAACUUCGACUCCGAUCAAUUCAAAGCCUUCUGCGCUUCUCAAGGCACACGAGUCGACUACGCUUCAGUCGCCCACCCCCAGUCGAAUGGACAAGCAGAAAGAGCAAACGGCAUAAUUCUCAAAGGACUAAAACCUCGGUUGAUGCGCGACCUCAAGCACGCAGCAGGCGCGUGGGUCGACGAACUUCCAUCAGUUCUUUGGGGAUUGAGGACUACUCCAAAUUGGUCGACUGGGAGGACUCCGUUCUUUCUGGUCUACGGAGCUGAAGCAGUUCUGCCAAGUGACCUGCUUCACAAUGCACCGCGAGUCGAGCUCUACUCUGAAGCCGAAGCAGAACAAGCCUGGCAGGAUGCAGUCGACCUUCUAGAAGAAGAAAGAGAGAUGGCCAUGAUCCGAUCGACCAUCUAUCAGCAAGACUUGCGUUGAUUCUACGCCAGAAAUGUGAAGAGCCGAGCCUUCCAAGAAGGAGACUUGGUCCUCCGAGUGGACCAACAGAAGCCACACAAACUCGCCCCUACUUGGGAAGGCCCCUUCAUUGUUACCAAAGUUCUUCACAACGGAGCAUACCGUCUUUACAACGUCAAUCCCCAGAUUGACGAGCCACGAGCUUGGAAUGCGGAUCUGCUCCGCCCCUUUUAUACCUAAGUAUUCACUCGGAUGAGUUGUAAUAAAAGUACUUCUGUAGUUUAUUUAUCAAAGACAAGAGUUUUAUAAUUUUCCUAGGGAUUGUUGUUACCUUUGUCCACAUAAAGCAGUCCCCCAGCGGGUGGCUUAGCUGCGAAUCCGUUUCGCCUAAGUUUGUAAAAGAAAAUCCUACCGAGUGGUAAGCCAGCCUUCCACUCAGAGGCUUAGCUGUGAAUCUGUUUCGCCUAAGUUUAAACAAAAUCCUACCGAGUGGUAAGCCAGCCUUCCACUCGGAGGCUUAGCUGCAGUCCAAGUACUCGCCUAAGUUUAAACAAAAUCCUACCGACUGGAGAGCAAACCUCCCACUCGGGGGCUUAGCUGCAGCCCAGUGCUCACCUAAGUUUUUGAAAAUCCUACUGAGUGGUAAGCCAACCUUCCACUCGGGGGCUUAGCUGCAGCCCAGUGCUCGCCUAAGUUUUUGAAAAUCCUACCGAGUGGAGAGCAAACCUCCCACUAGGGGGCUUAGUUGUUGCCCAGUGCUCGCCUAAGUUUUUGAAAAUCCUACCGAGUGGUAAGCCAGCCUUCCACUCGGGGGCUUAGCUGUAGCCCAGUGCUCGCCUAAGUUUUUGAAAAUCCUACCGAGUGGUAAGCCAGCCUUCCACUCAGGGUCUUAGCUGCAGCCCGGUGCUCGCCUAAGUUUUUGAAAAUCCUACCGAGUGGUAAGUCAGCCUUCCACUCGGGGGCUUAGCUGCAGCCUAGUGUUGUCCUAAGUACAAAUACAAUGUGCGCUCCGCAAGGAGGACGAAGCGUAGGAGUUUCGUCCCGUAAGCUUGCCCACGAUUUUUUCCAGGGUAAAAGCCUUCAUAUAGCAGAAGAUGGACACAGGGGGGCCACCAGGGGGCCCAGGAGACAGGGGGCGCGCCCAAUAGGGGUGGGCGCGCCCCCACCCUCCUGGCCAGGGUGUGGGCCCCCUGAGGUGUUUCUUUCUCUCAAUAAUUCUUAAUAAAUCCAAAAAUAAGUUUCGUGGAGUUUCAGGUCUUUUGGAGCAGUGCAGAAUAGGUUUCCAAUGUUUGCUCCUUUUCCAGCUAGAAUUCCAGCUGCCGGCAUUUCCCCUCUUCAUUGUAAACCUUAUAAAAUAAGAGAGAAUAGCAAUAAGUAUUGAUAUAUAAUGUGUAAUAACAGCCCAUAAUGCAAUAAAUAUUGAUAUAAAAGCAUGAUGCAAAAUGGACAUGUCAGACGGCUGGAGAAGCAGCGUACCUCGCCGCUCUGAGCUGGGUGGGGGAAACCUUGGCGGUGGCCAAAUCCAGUGGUGGAGGAGGAUGAGGAUGCAGAGGCCAGAUAAGGAGAAGAUGUGGGGGAGGGAGAGGCCGAGGCGACGGGACGCAUUGGUAUUUUAUAAGUACACGGUUGUAGUUAUAGCGCAGCCAGUGACAAAAUAGUAGUAGUGCAGCAUGUUUCACCUGCGCUACAACUAUAGCAUGUCUGGGUGGUCUACUUUGUAGUAGCGUAGGCCUUAUAACCCAAGCUACUACUAUUAACUUAGUAGUAGCGUGGGAUUUAUACCCCGCGCUACUACUAUGGUCGAUCCCGGGGGUACGGUGGGAAUCACUUAGUAGUAGCGUGGGAUUUAUACCCCACGUUAAUACUAUCAACUUAAUAGUAGCAUGGGUUUAUACCCCGCGCUACUACUAAUUAGCAGCAGUGUGACUCAUAUACCCCUCGCUACUGCUAAGCUUCUAUCUAUAAGGUAUUUCCUAGUAGUGUGGUUGGCGGGUGUCUGUUUCUCCAACUUUAAUUCAAUCGAGUUUGAUGGCCGGUCCUUGUUGAAGGUUAAAGCAACAAACUUGACAAAAAAUCGUUGUGGUUUUGAUGCGUAGGUAAGAACGUUUCUUGCUAGAAGCCCGUAGCAGCCACGUAAAACUUGCAACAUCAAAUAGAGGACGUCUAACUUGUUUUUGCAGGGCUUGUUGUGAUGUGAUAUGGUCAAGGCAUGAUGUGAUAUAAAUUGUUGUAUGAGAUGAUCAUGUUUUGUAACAAAGUUAUCAGCAACUGGCAGGAGCCAUAUGGUUGUCGCUUUAUUUUAUGCAAUGCAAUCACCAUGUAAUUGUUUUACUUUAUCACUAAACGGUGGCGAUAUUUGUAGUAACAAUAGUUGGCGAGACGACAAUGAUGCUACGAUGGAGAUCAAGGUGUCGUGCCGGUGACGAUGGAGAUCAUGAUGAUGCUUCGGUGAUGGAGAUCAUGAGCACAAGAUGAUGAUGGCCAUAUCAUGUCACAUAUUUUGAUUGCAUGUGAUGUUUAUCUUUUAUGCAUCUUAUUUUGCUUAGUACGGCGGUAGCAUUAUAAGACGAUCCCUUACUAAAUUUCAAGGUACAAGUGUUCUCCCUGAGUAUGCAUUGUUGCUACAGUUCAUCGUGCUGAGACACCACAUGAUGAUCGGGUGUGAUAAGCUCUACGUUCACAUACAACGGGUGCAAGCCAGUUUUGCACACGCAGAAUACUCGGGUUAAACUUGAUGAGCCUAGCAGAUGCAGAUAUGGCCUCGGAACACUAAGACCAAAAGGUUGAACGUGAAUCAUAUAAUAGAUAUGAUCAACAUAGUGAUGUUCACCAUUGAAAACUACUCCAUCUCACGUGAUGAUCGGACAUGGUUUAGUUGAUUUGUAUCACGUGAUCAUUUAGAUGACCGGAGGGAUGUCUAUCUAAGUGGGAGUUCUUAGGUAAUAUGAUUAAUUGAACUUUAAUAUAUCAUGAACUUAGUCCUAAUAGUUAUUUUGCAUGUCUAUGUUAUUGUAGAUCAAUGGCCCAUGCUACCGUUCCUUUGGAUUUUAAUGCUUUCCUAGAGAAAGCUAAGUUGAAAGAUGAUAGCAGCAACUACACGGACUGGGUCCAUAACUUGAGGAUUAUCAUCAUUGCUACACAGAAGAAUUACAUCCUGUAAGCACCGUUAGGUGUACCACCCGCGCCAGCAACUGCAGUCAUUGUGAAUACCUGGCAGACGCUGUUGAUGACUACUCGAUAGUUCAGUGUGCCAUGCUUUACGGCUUAGAAUCGGGACUUCAAAGAUGUUUUGAACAUCAUGGAGCAUAUGAGAUGUUCCAAGAGUUGAAGUUAAUAUUUCAAGCAAAUGCCCGACUUGAGAGAUAUGAAGUCUCCAACAAGUUCUACAGCUGCAAAAUGGAGGAGAAUAGUUCUGUCACUGAACACAUACUCAGAAUGUCUAGGUACCAUAACCACUUGAUUCAGCUGGGAGUUAAUCUUCCUGAUGAUAGUAUCAUUGACAGAGUUCUUCAAUCACUGCCACCAAGCUAUAAAGGCUUCAUGAUGAACUAUAAUAUGCAAGGGAUGAACAAGACUAUUCCCGAGCUCUUCGCAAUGCUAAAGGAUGCGGAGGUAGAAAUCAAGAAGGAGCAUCAAGUGUUGAUGGUCAACAAGUCCACUAGUUUCAAGACAAAUGGCAAAGGGAAGAAGGGAAACUUCAAGAAGAACGGCAAGAAAGUUGCUGCUCAAGAGAAGAAACCCAAGUCUGGACCUAAGCCUAAAACUGAGUGCUUCUACUGCAAAGGGACUAGUUACUGGAAGCGGAACUGCCCCAAGUAUUUGGCAGAUAAGAAGGAUGGCAAAGUGAAAGGUAUAUUUGAUAUACAUGUUAUUGAUGUCUACCUUACUAAUGCUCGUAGUAGUGCCUGGGUAUUUGAUACUGGUUUUGUUGCUCAUAUUUGCAACUCGAAACAGGGGCUACGGAUUAAACAAAGAUUGGCUAAGGACGAGGUGACGAUGCGCAUGGGAAAUGGUUCCAAAGUCGAUGUGAUCGCCGUCGGCACGCUACUACAUCUACCAUCGGGAUUAGUUUUAGACCUAAAAAUUGUUAUUUGGUGCCAGCGUUGAGCAUGAAAUUAUAUCUGGAUCUUGUUUGAUGCGAGAUGGUUAUUCAUUUAAAUCAGAGAAUAAUGGUUGUUCUAUUUAUAUGAGUAAUAUCUUUUAUGGUCAUGCACCCUUGCUAAGUGGUCUAUUUUUGUUGAAUCUCGAUGGUGAUGAUACACAUAUUCAUAAUAUUGAAGCCAAAAGAUGCAAAGUUGAUAAUGAUAGUGCAACUUAUUUGUGGCACUGCCGUUUGGGUCAUAUCGGUGUAACGCGCAUGAAGAAACUCCAUGCUGAUGAACUUUUGGAAUCACUUGAUUAUGGAUCACUUGGUGCUUGCGAACCGUGCCUCAUGGGCAAGAUUACUAAAACUCCGUUCUUCGAAACAAUGGAAUGAGCUACUAACUUAUUGGAAAUAAUACAUACUGAUGUACGCGGUCUAAUGAGUGUUGAGGCUCGUGGCGGGUAUCGUUAUUUUCUUACCUUCACACAUGAUUUGAGCAGAUAUGGGUAUAUCUACUUACCGAAGGAUAAGUCUAAAACAUUUUAAAAGUUCAAAGAAUUUCAGAGUGAAGUGGAAAAUCAUCGUAACAAGAAAAUAAAAUUUCUAUGAUCUGAUUGUGGAGUAGAAUAUUUGAGUUACAAGUUUGGUCUUCAUUUGAAACAACAUGGGAUAGUUUCACAACUAACGCCACCUGGAACACCAUAGCGAAAUGGUGUGUCCAAACGUUGUAACCGUACUUUACUGGAUAUGGUGCAAUCUAUGAUGUCUCUUACUGAUUUACCGCUAUCAUCUUGGGGUUAUGCUUUAGAGACAACUGCAUUCACUUUAAAUAGGGCACCAUCAAAAUCCGUUGAGAUGACGCCUUAUGAACUGUGGUUUGGCAAGAAACCAAAGUUGUUGCUUCUUAAAGUUUGGGGCUGCGAUGCUUAUGUGAAAAAGCUUCAACCUGAUAAGCUCGAACCCAAAUCGGAUAAGUGCGUCUUCAUAGGAUACCCAAAGGAGACUGUUGGGUACACCUAUCACAGAUCCUAAGGCAAAAUAUUUGUUACUAAGAAUGGAUCCUUUCUAGAGAAGGAGAUUCUCUCGAAAGAAGUGAGUGGGAGAAAAGUAGAACUUGAUGAGGUAAUUGUACCUUCUCCCUUAUUGGAAGGUAGUUCAUCACAGAAAUCAGUUCUGGUGAUUCCUACACCAAUUAGUGAGGAAGCUAAUGAUGAUGAUCAUGAAGCUUCAGAUCAAGUUACUACCGAACCUCGUAGGUCUUCCAAAGUAAGAUCUGCACCAGAGUGGUACGGUAAUCCUAUUCUGGAAGUCAUGUUACUAGACCAUGGUGAACCAACGAACUAUGAGGAAGCGAUGAUGAGCCUAGAUUCUGCCAAAUGGCUUGAGGCCAUGAAAUCUGAGAUGGGAUCCAUGUAUGAGAACAAAGUGUGGACUUUGGUUGACUUGCCCGAUGAUCGGCAAACCAUAGAAAAUAAAUGGAUCUUCAAGAAGAAGACCGACGUUGACGGUAAUGUUACUGUCUACAAAGCUCGACUUGUUGCGAAAGGUUUUUGACAAGUUCAAGGAGUUGACUAUGAUGAAACUUUCUAACCCGUAGCGAUGCUUAAGUCUGUCCAAAUCAUGUUAGCGAUUGCCGCAUUUUAUGAUUAUGAAAUUUGGCAGAUGGAUGUCAAAACUGCAUUCCUGAAUGAAUUUCUGGAAUAAGAGUUGUAUAUGAUGCAACCAUAAGGUUUUGUCGAUCCAAAGGGUGCUAACAAAGUGUGCAAGCUCCAGCGAUCCAUUUAUGGACUGGUGCAAGCCUCUCGGAGUUGGAAUAAAUGCUUUAAUAGUGUGAUCAAAGCAUAUGGUUUUAUACAGUCUUUUGGAGAAGCCUGUAUUUACAAGAAAGUGAGUGGGAGCUCUGUAGCAUUUCUAAUAUUAUAUGUGGAUGACAUAUUGUUGAUUGGAAAUGAUAUAGAAUUCCUAGAUAGCAUAAAUGGAUACUUGAAUAAGAGUUUUUCGAUGAAAGACCUCGGUGAAGCUGCUUUCAUAUUGGGCAUCAAGAUCUAUAGAGAUAGAUCAAGACGCUUAAUUGGACUUUUACAAAGCACAUACCUUGAUAAAGUUUUGAAGAAGUUCAAAAUGGAUCAGUAAAAGAAAGUAUUCUUGCCUGUGUUACAAGGUGUGAACUUGAGUCAGACUCAAAUCCCAACCACUGCAGAAGAUAGAGGGAAAAUGGAAGGCAUUCCCUAUGCUUCAGCCAUAGGUUCUAUCAUGUAUGGAAUGUUGUGUACCAGACCUGAUGUGUGCCUUGCUAUAAGCAUAGCAGGGAGGUACCAAAGUAAUCCCUGAGUGGAGCACUGGAUAGCGGUCAAGAACAUCCUGAAAUACCUGAAAAGUACUAAGGAUAUGUUUCUCGUUUAUGGAGGUGAAUAAGAGCUCAUCGUAAACGGUUACGUCAAUGCAAGCUUUGACACUGAUCCGGAUGACUCAAAGUCGCAAACCGGAUAUGUAUUUUUAUUGAAUGGAGGAGCUGUCAGUUGGUGCAGUUCCAAGCAGAGCGUCGUGGCAGGAUCUACGUGUGAAGCGGAGUACAUUGCUGCUUCGGAAGCAGCAAAUGAAGGAGUUUGGAUGAAGGAGUUCAUAUCCGAUAUAGGUGUCAUACCUAGUGCAUCGGGUCCAAUCAAAAUCGUUUCUGACAAUACUGGUGCAAUUGCCUUGGCAAAGGAAUCCAGAUUUCACAAGAGAACCAAGCACAUCAAGAGAUACUUCAAUUCCAUCCGUCGUCAAGUGUCGGAAGGGGACAUAGAGAUUUGCAAGAUACAUAUGGAUCUGAAUGUUGCAGACCCCAUUGACUAAGCCUCUUCUACGAGCAAAAUAUGAUCAGCACCAAAGCUCCAUGGGUGUUAGAAUCAUUACUAUGUAAUCUAGAUUAUUGACUCUAGUGCAAGUGGGAGACUGAAGGAAAUAUGCCCUAGAGGCAAUAAUAAAGUUAUUAUUUAUUUCCUUAUUUCAUGAUAAAUGUUUAUUAUUCAUGCUAGAAUUGUAUUAGCUGGAAACUUAGUACAUGUGUGAAUACAUAGAAAAAAGAUAUUGUCCCUAUUAUGCCUCUACUUGACUAGCUCGUUUAUCAAAGAUGGUUAUGUUUCCUAAGCAUAGGCAUGAGUUGUCCUUUGAUGAACGGGAUCACAUCAUUAGGAGAAUGAUGAGAUGGACAUGGCCCAUCCAUUAGCUUAGCAUUAUGAUCGUGGCAGUUUCAUUGCUACUGCUUUCUUCAUGACUUAUGCAUGUUCCUCAAGCUAUGAGAUUACGCAACUCCCGAAUACCAGAGGAACUCUUCAUGUGCUACCAAACGUCACAAUGUAAAUGCGUGAUUAUAAAGGUGCUCUGCAUGUGUCUCCGAAGGUGUUUGUUGGGUUGGCAUAGAUCAAGAUUAGGAUUUGUCACUCCGUGUUUCUGAGAGCUAUCUCUCGGCCCUCUCGGUAAUGCUCAUCACUAUAAGCCUUGCAAGCAUUGUAACUAAUGAGUUAGUUGUGGGAUGAAGUAUUACGGAACGAGUAAAGAGACUUACCGGUAACGAGAUUGAACUAGGUAUGUUGAUACCGACGAUCAAAUCUCAGGAAAGUAACAUACCGAUGACAAAGGGAACAACGUAUGUUAUUAUGCGGUUUGACCGAUAAAGAUCUCCGUAGAAUAUGUAGGAGACAAUAUGAGCAUCUAGGUUCCGCUAUUAGUUACCGACCGGAGAGGUGUCUCGGUCAUGUCUACAUAGUUCUCGAACCCGUAGGGUCUGCACACUUAACAUUCGAUGACGAUAUGUAUUAUGAGUUAUGUGUUUUUGAUGACCGAAGUUUUUUCGGAGUCCCGGAUGAGAUCACAGACAUGACGAGAAGUCUCGAAAUGGUCGACACAUAAAGGUUGAUAUAUUGUACGACUAUGUUCGGACACCAGAAGUGUUCCGGAGAAGUUUCGGAUAAAACCAGAGUGCCGGAGGGGUUACCGGAACCCCCCGCGGGACUAAUGGGCCAAGAUGGGCCUUAGGGUAAAGAUUAAGGGGCGUCUAGGGCAGGACGCGCCACCUCUCCCCUUGUAGUCUGAAUUGGACAAGGAAGGGGGCGGCGCCCUGUCUCCUCCCUCUCCCUUCCUUUCCCCCUCUCCCGGAAGGUGGACUCCUACUAGGACUUGGAGUCCUAGUAGGACUCCUCCCUCCCGGCGCACCCAACAAGGGCCGGCCAGCCUCCCCCUCCCUCCUUUAUAUACGGGGGUAGGGGGGCACCCUAGAACACACAAGUUUCUCUCCCAACCAUGUGCGGUUCCCCCCUCCAAAGUUACACACCUCAAUCAUACCAUCAUAGUGCUUAGGCGAAGCCCUGUGCCCAUAACAUCAUCAUCACAGUCGCCACUCCAUCGUGCUGACGGAAAUCACCCUCGGCCUCAACUGGAUCAAGAGUACAAGGGACGUCAUCGAGCUGAACGUGUGCUGAACGCGGAGGUGUCAUAUGUUCGGUACUUGAUCGAUUGGAUCAUGAAGAAGUUCGACUACAUCAACCGCGUUACUAAACGCUUCCGCUUUCGGUCUACGAGGGUACGUGGACACACUCUCCCCUCUCGUUGCUAUGCAUCACCUAGAUAGAUCUUGUGUGUUCACAGGAAUUUUUUUGAAAUUACUACGUACCCCAACGACCUCUCCACCUGGUUGUGUUAGGUCUUCCGAUAGGAACACUUGGGAGCCAUCUCCGGGCCAAACCUAGAGCAAGAUUCCCUCUAUGUAGACCCAACAUGGGCGUUUCCGCCCUCCGGGUGUCGGCGACGACGCCGUCCGUGAGGUGGGCCACUCCCCAGAGACGUGUGCCGCCUCUUUAGACAUGCCACCACAUCGUACGACAUGUAUGAGGGCCCAUUGGAACGCUCCGGUGCCAUUGCUACCCCACAGGGCCCCCGUCCCAACUAAAUCUAUAGUGGUUGACAACGAGAUCUAGCCCUUUGACUUUCCCCUGACGGGCUUUGACCAGUGGACCUCUCCACCCAGCUGUGGUAGGUCAGCCCAUAGGAACACUUGGGAGCAACGUCCGGGCCAAACCCACAGCAAGAUCCCCUCCGUGUAGACCCGACGCGGCCGUUUACUCCUUCCAAGUGUCGGCGGCAGCGCCGUCCAUGAGGGGGACAACACCACGGAGACGUGCGCUGCAUCUUCAGACAUGCCACCAUACUGUACGGCAUGUAUGAGGGCCCAGUGGCAUUGCUACCCCACCAGGGCCCCCGUCCCAACUAACCCUGGAGCGGUUAACCACGAGAUCUAGCCCUUUGACUUUCGCCAGACGGCCUUUGACCUCUCCACCCGGUUGUGAUAGGUCAGUCCAUAGGAACACUUGGGAGCAUCGUCCCGUCCGUAUAGACCCGACGUGGCCGUUUCCCCCCUCUAGGUGCCGGCGACGGCGUGCGACGUCCGUGAGGGGGGCACACCCCGGACCUGAAGGGGGUCACGCUCCAAAGACGCGUGUCGGGCGGUUUGCAACCGCCACAUCACUUCUGUCAGCAUAGCUAUUUUCGAUUUUAAUGAAGUAUAAGGACCUAUAUUAAAAAGAACAUGAGGUCAUAUUAUUAACAUACUCGAAAAAAUAAAAACUACAUAUAUAUUCAUAAUCUAUGGAAAAAAAUCACCAAAUCGAUAAAUAAUGUAUGUAUGUUUAUAUUUACACAUGGUACAUUUAAGUUAAUCAAGUAAUAAUACAUAAAAACAUUAAAAAAUUAUAUAUGAAAACUAUGUGUGUGUCUAUAUAUAUAUAGGGUGGGUCUAUUAUCAUAACACCCUCUAGAGUCUUAUUCUGCACACCAAAUCCUUAUUCUGCUAACACCCCGAUUGAGUCAAUCGAGCCGCAACACAAGCAGAAAAAGGAGCACCCCCACCCACCCACGUCAAACCUCCUCCCUGGUCAUGCUUUCUCCUCCCCACGACCGCCCACCCACCCACCCAACGGCGCGGCGCCCCCUGCAACCACCUUCUACCACGCACCGAAGCCACACCGCUACCGGCCACCGCGACCGUAACCCGCCCGAACACCCUACCCGAGCGCCGCCCUGCCCCGAGCACCACCUUUCCCACCUNNNNNNNNNNNNNNNNNNNNNNNNNNNNNNNNNNNNNNNNNNNNNNNNNNNNNNNNNNNNNNNNNNNNNNNNNNNNNNNNNNNNNNNNNNNNNNNNNNNNNNNNNNNNNNNNNNNNNNNNNNNNNNNNNNNNNNNNNNNNNNNNNNNNNNNNNNNNNNNNNNNNNNNNNNNNNNNNNNNNNNNNNNNNNNNNNNNNNNNNNNNNNNNNNNNNNNNNNNNNNNNNNNNNNNNNNNNNNNNNNNNNNNNNNNNGUGGCCGGACCAGCUUCCCCGUCCCACCUCCACCCCAUCCAUGAAGGCCACCGUCGCGGGAGCAGCACCUUCCCCUCCACUUUCGUCGACGGCCAGAGGCGGAGGUACUCCUCUACGUCGCUCUGGCUCGGCGGCCCAUCUAUGCUAGGAUUCAAGGAGCUCGAAGCUUCACGCAUCGUCGAUCUCGCCUCCCCACGACCCCUCUCUGCAGUUCGACAGAGGCCCGGCCACGGAUUCGGCCGUCCCAAACCACAAAACACGGCGAGUUCCUCCGGUGAGAUCCCCUCAACCCGUUCUACACACCUCUCAAUCCUUCCCUAGCCCCAUCACCUAGCCGCCCCAAUGGCGCUUGUCUUGGCCAAUUUUUACUGAACUGUCUUGUGUUCGUUCAUGGUUAUGGAGGAAUUGUUCGUCCAGCCGCCAUCAAUCUAACAUGUCGCUGUGAGGCAAGUUUGGAUCUGGCCGAAGACUGGACAGAACUGAACACCCCUGUUGGUUGAGAUGCACGCCCCCGUGGGCAGAACUGCAUGCCCAACCCCCGCUCCUGCCCGCCUCAUCCCCUCCCACCCCCUGCCCCCUUUCUCCACCUCACGCUUGCAGUCCAUUAGGCGUGCGCUGCAGUUCCUUUUUCUUUUGUUUUUUACAAAGAAAAUGUUUUUUGUGCAGAUGGGAUGGGCGUCGCUGGCGUGCAGUUUGCAUUUGAUGUGCUCGCGAUUCAUGCUGCUCACAGGGUCUCACCGAUGAAGGCUCGCGUUCUGCAGUUCUCUUGUGCAUCCGUUGCGGCUUCAGUGAUCGUGGUGCUCACCGGUGCCUCAUUCCUAUGUAGUUUUUUCCAAGGAUCUCUCUGUAGGGUGAGAGCGCUUCAUGUAGUUUGGUAUCUGUAACCGUGCAGUGCAACAAACAGGGCGUAACCGUGCAGUGCAACAAAUAGGGCGUGCGCGGGGCAAAGUAGUGCGACAUCGGUAGCCGAACAAAUCAGCUUAACACAAGGCGGUUUGUUGGAUUCGUUCAUGUUUGUCCCAGCAGUGCAGUUGACUUGCAGCAGUUCGGGAUGUCUCUCGUUGCAGCUCGGUUGGGUCGUCGGUGCAGUAGGCGAGCAUGUGAGAGGAUCAUGCGCAUCUAGUUUGAUUCCGGCCGUGCGACGCUGCAGUACAGAUGUGUGCGCCAUGCAUUUUUCUGUAUUUUACUUGGUGUGGACGUGCAGCUCGGCGAUUGUGGACGUGCAGCUCGAAGGCGCGCGUGUUGCGGUUCAGUGCUCGUGUAGGUGCAGCUCGUCAUCGCGGGCGCACUGCAGUUCUUUAUUGUUGAUUUUCCAUAUUUACAAAGACGUUGUAAGAAAAAAAUUCAAAACUCACUCGACUACAAAUUUAACACAUGCAAUGCAUUCGGUUUUCAGAUGUGGUUCACUUUUGAGAGUGAUGAUGUUCACUUGUGCCGAACAUGAAAGUGCUAAAAAUUUAGCGCAACAACAAAGAUAGUAAUGAGGUUCACUUUGAUAUAUGUCAUCGUUCACUUGCCUCCUCUCUGCGGUCCACUCUCGUUCAAAAAAAAUUGAAAAAAAAAGACAACAAAAACUCGUCUAAGAAAAAUUUACGUUUGAGAAAAGAAAUCACGAAGUUCGCCUGACCGUUCGAUGCAGUGCGGUUUUCAGUCUAAAAGCAGUGCGGUUUUCUUCCUUUUCUUUAAAAUUUUACGUCUCACAAAAAAGAAACCAUGCAGUUCUCUUACCCGUGUGAUGGAGUGCGGUUUUUGUCUGAUGCUAUGCGGUUUUCAGCCGGAUGAAGUACCCACGUCGAUUUGGGUGUCGCGAAAAACAGUGUCCGCAUUUCGGUAAAUUCGAAAUUCCUCUUAAACCGUAAAGAAUUAGAGAGAGUGUUCUACAUGAAAGAGUUGCCUAUCGUCGAUAUCUUUCCAACGGUGUGUCGUUUGAAUCAUUCCGACCAGCGGUUUGCAAAAAUUUCGUGAAAAACGGUCGCUGCCACUCGUCGUCCGCCGUGUGAAUUUCAAAAUUAACUUAAAACCGUAAGGAAUCUCAAAAAUAUUUCAACAUAUGAAAGUUGCGCCUCGUUUGUAGAUUUCCAACGGUGUAUCACACGCCACGUGUCGACAAACGGUUCAAAAACUGGAGCGAAAACAGUACCGAAAAUUUUAAAAAACUUGAAAAACAGAAUUCCGCGAUUUAGUAAAUUUGAAACUGCUUUUAAACCGUAACGAAUUAGAGAAAUAUUUAUAUAUGAAAAAGAUGCGCCUCGACGACAUCUAUCCAACGGCGUAUCAUUUGCUUCAUUCCGACAAGCGGUUCAGAAAAAAAACACGAAAAACGUCCGCUGCCACUCGUCAUCCGCCGCACCAUUUUCAAAACUGCUCUUAAACCGUGUGAAAUCUCGAAAAGUGUUCAACAUGUCGAAGUUGCGCUUAAUCCAUAGUUUUUCAACGGUAUAUUACACGCCUCAUUCCGAUAAACGGUUAAAAAAUUAGUGCGAAAAGAGUACCAAAAAAAUAACGCGUGCAAUUUUUUCCGACGAGAAGUUCACUCAUGUGAGUACUGCAGCACACUUGGUUCAAAGAAUGAUGUGCACUUGCAUUUAGCAUACAGUGCGGAAGUGGUGUGCAGAAUAGUUAUUCUGCUAAUAUUAGCAGANNNNNNNNNNNNNNNNNNNNNNNNNNNNNNNNNNNNNNNNNNNNNNNNNNNNNNNNNNNNNNNNNNNNNNNNNNNNNNNNNNNNNNNNNNNNNNNNNNNNNNNNNNNNNNNNNNNNNNNNNNNNNNNNNNNNNNNNNNNNNNNNNNNNNNNNNNNNNNNNNNNNNNNNNNNNNNNNNNNNNNNNNNNNNNNNNNNNNNNNNNNNNNNNNNNNNNNNNNNNNNNNNNNNNNNNNNNNNNNNNNNNNNNNNNNNNNNNNNNNNNNNNNNNNNNNNNNNNNNNNNNNNNNNNNNNNNNNNNNNNNNNNNNNNNNNNNNNNNNNNNNNNNNNNNNNNNNNNNNNNNNNNNNNNNNNNNNNNNNNNNNNNNNNNNNNNNNNNNNNNNNNNNNNNNNNNNNNNNNNNNNNNNNNNNNNNNNNNNNNNNNNNNNNNNNNNNNNNNNNNNNNNNNNNNNNNNNNNNNNNNNNNNNNNNNNNNNNNNNNNNNNNNNNNNNNNNNNNNNNNNNNNNNNNNNNNNNNNNNNNNNNNNNNNNNNNNNNNNNNNNNNNNNNNNNNNNNNNNNNNNNNNNNNNNNNNNNNNNNNNNNNNNNNNNNNNNNNNNNNNNNNNNNNNNNNNCAUAGCUGCGGCCAAGCUAGCUGGUUGGCGCGACGCGGUUCAGUGACGUGGCAGCUAUGCCAACGGCAGCCUCGGCAUAUGUGAGGCAGGGUAGCUGGUCAUGCCGUCGGCAUAUAUAGAUUCGACGUCGUUAGCCGCCGUCAUGAGCGGGGUCGCCGGGCCCAUAGCUAUGCCGACAGCCGAUCUAUGCCGAUGACAACUGUAUGCAUACUCUGAUCUACGCCGACAACUUUUCUAUGCCGACAGGGGCCGUCGGCAUAAAGGAGGAUGGCCCGACGGCCUAGAUAUGUCAAUGACCUGACCCUAGCUGUCGGCAUAGCUCAGAGUAGGCCGAUGGGGGAUGUCAGCAUACAAUUGGCCGUCGGGGUAGAGCUCUGUUCCGCUAGUGAGCGAUGAGGGAAAAUAAGCUUGUGCAUAUGUUACUGAAGACCAGCUGCAUGACAUAGUCUAGUAUUUCAAGGUCCCUUGAACUUGAGUGGCCUCCCCAUUCAAUCGUGGUCUAGGUAUGUUGUAUAGUAUAGGUUGUGCCUGUCUCCAGCAAUGCACUGGCCCAACAAGUUGCACCGCCCCAAGGUGCCCACGAGGCUUCUGUAGCUUUUAGGCUCCUUGGGACAUGUACAUGUCCACAACCAAAAGGAGAGCCUGGAAAGAGGCAGCGACACGACAAACCGACCGAGUUUGGCCCAUUUGCCCCGGCACAAAAAUUCAUGCUUCAACCAAUUGUCUAACAUACGUUUGAAGUAUGAAUAUGUCCAGCCUGACGCUAGUGCUCUGAGCGGCCAUCUCACAUCGUGGAGGAGGAUCAUACCCAUUCGGUGGUGCAACCCAGUCAGACUGCUUUAUGCCUAGAAGACAUAUCCUAGAAAGGGUUGUUGUCUUACAUGAAAUUCAUUCGAAGAAACUAGAUGGGGUGGUCUUCAAGGUGGAUUUUGGAAAGGCGUAUCAUAAGGUCAAAUGGCCAUUUUUACAGCAGGCCAUGCGCAUGAAGGGUUCCAAUGGGGCAUGGAGGAAUCAGGUGGAUUCCUUUAUCCAAAAAGGUAGUGUCGGGAUUAAGGUGAAUGAUGAUAUCGGUCAUUAUUUCGAUACACAUAAGGGCCUAAGAGAAGGAGACCCGAUGUCUCCUAUCCUUUUCAACAUUGUGGUAGACAUGUUGACAGUGCUUAUAGGUCGGGCCAAGGAGAAAGGCCAUGUAGGUGGUCUCGUCCCACAUUUGGUGGAUGGGGGAGUUUCUAUCCUACAAUAUGCCGAUAACACUAUUAUUUUCAUGGAGUAUGACCAUGCAAAAUCGAGAAAUAUGAAACUAGUGUUGUGCAUUUUUGAACAAUUGUCGGGACUAAAGAUUAACUUUCACAAGAGUGAAUUGUUCUGCUUUGGUAAGGUCAAAGAGGAACAAGACAAUUAUCGACAAUUGUUUGGUUGUGAACUGGGAUCACUGUCGUUCAACUAUCUAGGGAUUCCAAUUCAUCAUCGAUAAUUAACUAAUAAAGACUAGAAAUGUAUCGAAGAUCGAUUUAAAAAAAACUAGGCUGCUGGAAGGGUAAGCUUAUGUCAUAUGAAGGUCGGCUUGUCCUGAUCAAUUUAGUACUAACUAGUAUGCCAAUGUUCCUUCUAUCUUUGAGGUACUUAAAGGGGUACGAAAGAGACUAGACUUCUAUCGAUCUCGUUUUUUCUGGCAGUCAGACGAGGUUAAGACAAAAUAUCGCUUGGCAAGAUAGACGAGGUUAAGACAAAAUAUCGCUUGGCAAGAUGGGAUAUUAUUUGUCGACCCAAAGACUAGUGGGGUCUUGGGAUUGAGAACCUCAAGAUUAAAAAUAAAUGCCUACUAAGAAAAUGGCUUUAUAGGUUAUCAGAGGAAUCGGAUGGCAUGUGGGCACAAAUUCUAAGAAAUAAAUACCUAUACUCUAAAACUCUGGCUCAGUUACCGUAAGAACUAAUUCACCGUUUUGGAAGGGGCUCAUGAGAACAAAAGAGACCUUCUUCCAUAGGGUGAAAUUCGUUGUUGGGGAUAGAACGACGACAAGGUUUUGGGAAAAUACAUGGCUAGGAGAGACACCUCUAGCCCUCCACUACUCAUCCUUGUAUAAUAUUGUGCAACGUAAGGAGGAUUACGUGGCAACAGUGUUGCAGACUGUACCUUUGAAUAUCCAGUUCAGGAGGGCGUUAGUAGGGAAAUGAUGGAACUCCCGGCUACACUUGCUGUGGAGGUUGAUGGACGUUCAACUCUCAAACCAACCAGACUCCUUUAAAUGGACUAUACGUUAUUUGGGACGUGGUUAAAUGGAGUGCAACCUGAUAUUGCGUCAAUAUUCGGAUUGGAAUAUGCGCACUGCUUUGGGCUAUAUGGAACUGCAGGAACGAUAUGAUUUUUAACAGACAGAAUAUUUUAAACUUCUUGCAGGUUAUCUUCAGAGCUACGGCUUGCAUCUGUACGUGGUUGCUACUCACUCCUAUGGACUCCAGGCAGCAUUUGGUUACUGAGUGCAACUGAUGGAAGAUGGUAGCAUGGGCUAUCUUCAACCGGUUUGGAUGGCGGUCGCAUAACAUGAUAGGUGUUUAGUUACUAUGUCCUACAUUUCAGUCGGUUGUGGCUAUGAUUUGUUUUCUUAGCUUUUAUUUAUCUUUGCUCCCUUUGCGAGCUGUACUCCGGAUGGCAGCUUUGUUUUUAUUAUAUUUGCUUUAAUAAUAUGGCCGCAUGCAUCUGUCGGAUGCAGAGGCCCGGGAAAACCUCCUGUUCAAAAAAAAAUGUUUUCUUCUGUGCUAAACAAUGAUCUUUGAGUUAGUACAUAAAAUAAAGUGGUGCUACGCGGUUUCGGCUGUAGUUUUAGACCAUAUGUGCUGAUUUCCAACACUGCUAUCUAUACCUACUAAUAAAAGAAAUAGGUAUUCUCAGUCCGUCAUGCUAUUAUAUUAAAAAAACUGAUUUUUCUGACAUUAAGCCCGUAGUAGAUAUCAAUAUUUUUUUAAAAUACUCAUAUCUUCCAACCGUAACUCCAAAUUUAACAUGUUAUAUAUGAAUUUUGAUUUAAAAAAUAUGCAGAAUCUGAAUAUGAUGUUAUUUUACCUGUUAACAAUUAAAAAAGAUACAAUCUAAGUUAGUGAUUAGGGUGCAAUCUUAAUCAAUAAUGCAUUAUCCGUCUUUGUUUCAUACCGGUAGUGAUUCGGAUUGGAAAUGAACACCUCAGGAAAAUCAGGAUUAAUUCUAUAUGCAAGCCGUGUUGAAAUAAAAUACAUGUGGAAUCUUGAACUGCGCUUUUGUAGGCUAAGACCAUCUUUAUUUGGCCGUAGCUACAAAUUCUCAGAUUAUAUACCAUUUUUCGUAAAUUAAGAGCGUGUGGUAUUUUUUUUGUCCCAUUGCAACGCACGGGCCUUUUGUGCCAUGAUUGAUAUAAAAACAUCAAAAGUUUCUCCCACAAACUAAAAACAUAGUACUACAAGAUAACAUGGGGGCUUAUUACCUUCCUGGACUGAUCAGCCGCGUGGCUGAUCGAGUUGACCAAAACCCGCGAGGGACGGAGGCUUCAAGCAUUCAACCCGCGUGGUGUGUGGGCACACAAUAUUACAGCACAAUAUACAAAUGACAUCAGUCUUAAAUUAUACUAGCCCUAGAUACGACCAGGUUCAGUUGAAUAUGAGAGCCGGCAGCUGAGUUCAGUUGCCGUGGGGCCACGGGCAGCUACUGCAAAUUGUUCCCAGGAACCUAUCGUCCAGGAAGUCCACGGAAUACGUGUUGUCUUCCCCAAGGCUGCCGUACCCAACGACCAUCCCAUCCUUUGUUAUUUCUAAACCAUGCUCGCUCGUCGUGCUGCAGCAGCCCAGUCGGGCGAGAUGACCACAAGAGAUCAAAUUUGGGGUUCCAGGGAAGUACCUUACUCCGGAGACACUAACAUUCCCAAACGCUCGACCACAAUGGUAGGACGACAUUGUCUGUCCAUUGGCUACAACGGCAUUAACAGGAGUUGCAUCGUGUAUGCCCCAGAGGUUGGCCGCGUUACCCGUCACGGAAAAACUAGCCCCGGUGUCGAAGACCCACUUGGGGGUAGGGGUAUAGUUUUGAGCAAUAACCUGAUCGCAGAGCGAGAUAGACCUGCCGAAAGCUCUCGAAUGCUUAUGGCGACGUUUCUGAUGGCUGACGUAAAUAACACCUACAGUAGUGUGCGAUAUCAUCAGGAAAACGGCAAGUACUUACAUGCUCCGCAGCUGGAUGCAACACAUAAACGGGUGAAUAGCUCCCAUGCGACGUAGUUGGUGUGAAUUGUCUCUCAUGCGACGUAGUUGGUUGUAAUCGCUCUCAUGCGACAUCUUCGUUGGAAAAAAUAGCUCCCAUGCGACACUGCUGCCUAAUCCAAAGACACAUGUUUAAAACUCGAAUCAGGUGAGCGGGACCCACAGCAUGGGACCCACUAACUUAUCCAACUCAGCAUUGGUCAGGUGAGCGGGACCCACAGCGUAGGACCCACUAACUUAUCCAGGUCAGCAUUGGUACAAGAGGACACCGAGCCAUGCCCCGAGCCGUGCAGCACCCGAGCCCAUCCUCCCCCCUCCCCCUCCCCGACCGUUGUUGUUCUUUUUCUCCGGCGACGACGCGCAGCAACGCCGUUCCGGGCCGCGACCUAGCAAUGUCGAGCUCCGCUUCAGCCUCCCGCCGCUCAUGGCCGCGCUAUGGCGCAGUGCCCAUGACAAGAUGCCCUGCAUGCCCACGUAUCGCACCCCUGAAGCGGCUAGUCACAACGACCGACAAGAAUGGCAACCUUGGGCGGGAAUUCGUGAAAUGCGAGAGCAAACCAGAGCAGGGAAAGGUGAGAUUUUACUUCUCAAUAUGCCAAUUUUGGUUUUUGUCUCCCAAUUUCAUAUUUGCCCAUUUUUCCCCAUCGGAUUUGGGAUUUAGGGUUCAUCUUUCCGAUUUCAGAAAUUGAAGCAAUGCACCUAUUUUGAGUGGCUAGAUGAGUACAUAGAGCGGAUUCAACUGGAGGGUGCAUCAGGGGAGGAGAAGUUGGGCAAGUUUGGAUCGGGCGCAUCUGGAUCCGGGGCCCCUGGAUCUGGCAAUUCCAUCGGGGGCGCCCGCCCUUCCAUUGGUGCUACUGUGGGGGAUGCAGGAGUGACGGCAGAGCUGAAGAAGCUGAACAAGCAGAUGAAGAAACUCAUCAAAUUGCAGAAGCAGGGCAAUUUGAUGGGGCUCAUGGCCGCACUUUUUUAUGUUUGUGUAAUUGGUCUCGCAUUUGUUUAUGUGAUGAUAAUUAGUCGUAAGUGAAUAGAUUGGGCAUCAUUUGUAAUCGGGAUGAUAUGUACAUUUGAAUAAAAGUGUUGCGCUGUAUGAAUUAAGCAUGUCCUCUCCACUCUGUUUCGGCCCCGUUUUUUAUUUCUUCAGUUCGUCAUCAGUUUCAGGUUCAGUGGUAGAGGGAGAAAAGAAAAAAAGGUUCGUCCACAGUUGCCCGAAAAGGCCAGGCCCAUAUAGAAGUUAGGCAGGGCCGAAUAGAACAUAUCCAGGCCCAUUGAUAAAAGGAGUGCAAAAAAAGUGCACACGGUCAUUGACAUCGAUAUAUCUUUUCGGUUUUAGAUCAUUUCACAAAUUUUAAGUUUCCUGCAGUCACCCUUUUUGAGAUAACUCAUCUGAUAAUUAUUUGAGAUAUUUUUAUGCAUAAGCUAUUUGAGAUAAUUAUUUGAGCAGUCUUUGUGAACCAAAAAAGUUGCAAUUGUUUGGUUCUAGUUUAUUUCAACCAAGCAUCAUUUCUUAAUAUAUUUUUUUACUUGUGCUAUGGUGUUUUCAAAGUUUUUACUCGUGUGUUUCAACCGAAAAAGGUUGUGCCCAAAAAAGAAGACAUCUAGUGUGCCCCUAGUAGCAUCUCCUUACAACAUAGAGGGGCAUCCCCUUACAACCAGGGGCGGAUCCAUACUUGGUCAUGGGUGUACACCCAAAUCUUUUGGCUAGACAUUUUUAUAUAUGGUGUAUACUUUAAUACAUUCAGUGCCCAAAUGACCUUUCUCGCUAAUGCCAUGUUUGGCAGCAAAAAAUGACAUAGCAAGCAUGAUUUAAACAUCAAACAACACUUGCGCAUGUCAUCAGCACCAGAUAAUUAGCAUUUUUCUUGCCCAUUGUCUUCAAAUGCAUUGUAUACCAACUGUAUGAUUAUGUAGUACAGUACAUAAUCUUUAUUGUCAAUUUCUUGGUAACGUACAUUUUAGAUACCAGAUCAAUUGUUUUUUAGUACACAUGGCCACAUAAAUAAAAUGCAAUGGAGAAACUUUAGGACCGAAAAAACAUAUAGAUAGAUAGUGGGGCAUCGGGUACCCUAGUAGCAUAGAUAGAUAAAACAUAUAGAGGGGCAUCCCCCCACUACAUAUAGUUGAUAAAACAUGAAAGUAAAAUAAUUAAAACUAGAUAUAUAAAAGACACGGGCACACACGCCCGAACCAACACAAACAGAAACUAGAGCCCCAAACUAGAUAGAUAGAAGACUCGCCCCUUGAACAACUCCUUGGCCCCUCCUCCUUGCCACUCCUUGGCCCCUCCUCCUUGGGCCCCUCACUCGUCAUCCUCCGGCAUCUGGUAGGGGAGGGUGUGCAUGCCAUUGGGGUGAGGGAAGAUGUGGUGGAAGUUGGUGAAGAUGUUGUAGGUCGUGAACGCGAUAAACUCGCAUCCACACCAGAACACCUGGCCGAGGAGGUGGUGAGCGUCGUAGGGGUUGGUGAAGGUGACGUGGAGGCCGAUGACGAGGCCGUUGGCGUUGCCAUCGUACUGCUCGUGGAGGUGGAACAUGGGCGGAGUGCCCGGAGGGAGGUGGCGGUAGCCGGCUUGGAGGAAGAAGCGAGCGAACUCUCUAGGGCCCCUCCAUCUAGAGAUGGCCCACACCCUCAGGCUAUUCUCGACGACGACUCCGGCCGGGUACUGCCUCUCCGGCACGGUGGGAGGGCGACGGUAGGUAGGGCCGUUGAACUGCAUGGUGGCUCGAGUGGGAUUUGGCUCGAAAAGAAGAAGGGGAGGAGGCUUGAGAGAUGAGUGUGAGAGGAUGAGGAAAUGGUGCCCUUUUAUAGCCGCGUUGCAGCUGUGGUCAAUGUGUACACGGUGCCUUCUGGAUCGUUUUCUCUUCUCCGUUCGCACUGGCAUAAGUAAUUGCGGGCAUUAAUUCAAAAAACGGCGGCCAGAGCAUCCAAAGAGGCACGGGCAGCACAGGCGAGUUGCAUCGUUUCGUGCACUUGCAUCGGCGGUGACGCCGCGUGGGAAACAGGCUCGUUCAUCCGCGCGUGACAUUGAAAAAGGAGCUGCACCACCGACGCGUCCGUCUCGUUCAAACAUGCAUUUGUUAAAAUAGCUUAGAUGCGACGUACCUAUACGCUGCGCCCCUGCCGUGCUUUACUGCGUCGAUGCGUGCAUGCAAUGGCGGGCUAGGUGUUCACGAGCAAAGAAUAGCUAGGCUGCGACGUUGCAUGGCAUGCAUGGGACAGGGAUGGCCCACAUGUCAUUGACCCUCUCGCAUGCAGCCCAUCCCCCUCUCGACGGCCGUGCGCACGCACGCCAGGCUCUGCCGGGCCCGAUCCGCUCGGCCCAACGGUCAGUUAGAUGAUCCCCCGCUCAACGUUAUCUGUUCGUCAGAGAGAAAAAACGGUGGCCAAUCAGAUUGGAGCCCACGGAUCGCCCCCACGGAAUCCUUCUAGAAGGCCUAUCCGACGGCCGCAGUUUGGCGUUAGGGUUAGAUCGACGGUGGACGUUUGGCGCUAGGGUUACAUGGGGUUUGGAGGCAGUCAAUGGGGUUUUGAAAGGUUUGACCGAACAUUCAAAUGUGUAUAACUAAUUCAAAAAAAAUCUAAAAAAUGAAAAACCUGCGCAUAUAGCCUUUUUAUGUUACAUAGUUAUGAUAUAAAAUGAUAAACUUGAUCUAAUGAUCUUUGCUUGAAAAAACCUUCACAAAUUGGACUAUCUCGACUGAGGUUGCAUGGAGUUCACAGGAGUGAGAAGAGGGUUUGAGGUUUUGAAAAUGCAAAAAAAUCAAAAACAUCACCUUAGCUUCAUUUUAGAGUGACUAAGGAGGAUCUGAAGUUAUUUUUGCAUUUAAAAUUUUUAAACUUGUUUUAUUGCUAACUUUGUAUUAAAGGGUGUUUUUUCAAAAAUAAAUUAAAUAAUAUGAAUACUUAUUCAAAAAAAGGUGAGACUUCGUAUUGAUCCUAUAUAGGUAUAAUAUAAGCUAAGAAAAUCUUUUUUGGGUGAUUUUGAGAAGGUCGAAAAAAACUUGCUUAGAAAUGGGGCCGUUUCCCCUUACUUUGGAGCCUGUUUGGUCAACAUUGUCCGUGACUAUGAGUUGGAAUUCACAAAAAGGGUUGGAUUUAUGAACUAAAGUGCAUAGUAGUACAUAAAACGAUGCAACAUCACAGAACAAACAAAUGAACUCAAAAAAUAUUGAAGAUAGGUUCAAAUUUGAAUAUCGGUUCAAAUUUGAAUUUUAUUUCAAGUCAAAUCAACAUCAUAGCACAUAAGUUAUGACAUGAAAGAACAUAAGUUUUCACAUCAAAUGACAACAAACUUAAGUUUUCACAUCAAAUUUGAAUGUUUUCGACUCUAUUUCUUCUGCUUCUUUCUACCACUCGAUUUCUUCUGCUUUUUUCCACCGUUUGGUUCCACGGCGCAUAGUUUGUUGAUGCUGAUGCUCUUGCUUUUUGGCCCCCUCAACUUUUGCACCUGACCAUGUCUCACUUCUUCAGUUUGCACUUCUGCAGAUUGAGUAGAUGGCACACAUUGUUCAACUACUUCAGUUUGCAACUCAACACUUGGCAGCACAACCUCCAAACAUGGCAACACAAUUGUCAAAGCAGAUUCGAAUGGCAGCACAACAGUUGCUUCAUCUGCAACAGUUUCAGAUUGCCCUAGCGUCUGCAAAACAGAUUCAGUAUGCAUCACAUCGUCCAAAACACAAACACUUAGCUCAUGUUCAGCAGUAACAGUUUCAGUUAGCUCCAUAUCUUUGUCACCAAACAUUAUCUGCUUAGUGCUCUUCCUUCUAUAGCCACUGAGUCUUGCUUUUUUCACUGGCCAGCAUUGUUCAACAACAAGCGGUGGGGCUUUUUCUGCACGCUUCCUCCUAAAAAAUAAAGCAUUUGACUUGGUUAGAUACUAGAACAAGUAGCAAAAUCAAAAACUUGCAAAAACAGUAACAUAAACAUACUUUGGCCUCUGAGGAGUGUAGAUGCACUUGGAUGAACCAAUUCUGUGCCCAAGUACCUCACACAACUUGCACCUAUUUUUGUUACCUUUUUGAGCCCUUUUGGGCUUAUCAUUCUUUUCUUUUUCCUUUUCCCUCUUCUUACUACAACCACCUUUCUCAAACCAAGCUUUGAAUCUGCUCUGUUUAGGCCUCCCAGCCUUUCUUCUAGUGACAGGGGGACACAAGGUAAAUUCUAUUUCCACCUCAGGCCACUGAGAUUGGUCAGUCAGUGCAGGAAUUGGACUUGCAUAUGCAGCUUUGAAUUUUUGUACUGAAUAAUACUCAUGCAAAUAUGGGUGCAUAUUUAACCUGGGUUUAGAUGCCAAAAAAGUAUGGAAUGCUCACAUGGUUUUCCAGUGUGUUGCCACUCUUGGCAAGUGCACUCAUGCAACUCAGUAUUUACCACAUGCCUCUUGCCACUCUUUGUAUCUCUAACUUCAGCACCCCACAAGGAAGAUUUCUCAACAGAUAGAUGUGAAAGAUUUCUACUCCUGUUGACCACCUGUUGUACCACUGCUGGAAGCUUGUCCCCUUCCAAAAUAUUAGCAAUUUUUCCUCUCAACUCCCACAAACGCAUGAUCAUGAUUCUUAUUUGGUCCACCAUGUCAUGCACAGGCAAGUCUUUCAAAUGCUUCACUUUGUUGUUAAAACUUUCUGCCAAGUUGUUAUUGAUAUGAUCACAUUUUAUGGCAGUAUUAAAACCUGAUCUAUACCACAACAGAGAAUGGUGGGUGUUCAACCAUGAAGCAAAUUCAUUAUCACUACAUGAUGCCAAUAUCUAACCAAGGUGAUAGGAAUGUGUCUGUCUGGUGUAGGAUCUUGCUGCUGGCCACAUGCGCCCAAAUUCAUCUCCUCUGAAUUUUUUUAUCAGAUUCAUCCACAUAUGUCCAAAGCACUCCCUCUGCUCAGCAUGGGGGAAAACACUUUUUACUGCAUUUUCCAACCCUUUACAUGCAUCUGUGUGGAUGGCCAAAGGAGAAACUGGCCCUAUGCAUCUUUUCAGUUGCAUCAUGAACCAUAUCCAUGAUGCCUCUGUCUCUGAUUGAAACAUUCCUAUUGCAAUUGGGAACAUCCAGUUGUGUCCAUCUAGAGCAUUGCAUGCAGCCAACUGACCAUUCCACUUUCCAGUCAAAAAAGAUGAGUCUAUGCUCAAAUAUGGAUGACAACCUGCUUUGAAUCCAUCUAUGCAAGGCUUCAAACACAUAAAAAACUUGCUGAAUAAAACCUUGCCAUCCUCUGUUACCUCUGUAUCUAUCUCCACUACACUCCCAGGUGACCUCUUCUCCACCUCUGCUUUAAAACUAUACAACAUCCUAAAUGUAUUUGCCCAGUCACCAUACAAUGAUUUCAUGGCCCUUUGUUUUGCUUUCCACACUGUGGUAUAUUGCAGCUGGAUGGGGUACAACUUCUCCAAGUCAACUUUAAGCCUCUUUGCCGUAGUGUUUGGAGUCUUGGCUAAAAUAGGAGUAAUCUUCUCUGUAACCCAAAGCUGUGAUGUCAUCUUUGAAACUCUCUGUGAAGUGGUCAUACAUGUAUGCUGGUGUGGUAUUUGAUUUACCCUUACUGUACUUCCAUCAGGUUGUAGUCUGGCAGACAAGUACCAUUUGCAAGGAUUGCCACCACCAUCAUAACCUUUGCACCGAGCAUAAAAUUUCUUUCGAUCAGUCCACAUAGUCUUGGCAUCAAACUCUUUUUUCACUGCAUAGGUCCUGAAAGACAUCCUAAACUCCUUCAUGCUUGGCCACAACUUUCCCACCUCAAUAACUGGGUUCUCUUUGUCAUACAAACAAACCAGCUCAUUAUCAUCUGCAUCAUCCACAUCAUCUGCAGCCUCUCUCAUCAGGUGUUCUUCAUCCUCAUUUGCAUUUCUAGGGCCUGUGUUACCUUCAGCUGGCAAAGAACUGUCAUCCUUCUCCUUAUCUUUGUCAUCAACUUGAAUGCCAAACAUUUCGGCCAUAUCAAUGUCAGAUAUUGGUGUAAUGACCAAAUCUGUUUUUUCAUUCAACUCUACUACAUUCCAGUCAAUAACAAUCUUCCUAGCACCAUGGGUUCCCUCCUCUCCAUCUGCAUCAAUCCCAGUAUCUUCAGCUACUAUAGUCGGUUCAGUCAACAAUGCCAACAUCUUCUUUUGUGAAACCCACUCAUCAUCUUCCAUCUGUGCAGCCAUCUUUGAUGGCACAUAACCAACUCUGGAAUGAGUUUGCAGAUCAAUUAGCUCUGCAUAAAAUGUUACUUGUUUGCUUGCCCAUCCUCCUUGCUGAUCAAUUUCAGCAACCAUGGAUUCUCCAUCUUCAAUUCUCACAUAUUCACCAUUAUAGUUAUCGAAACGUUGCAGAGAUACCUCUUGUUCUGGACCCCAAACAAUACUCUCCCCAAUUCUCUCCACCAAAUUGCCCACGGCCUUCUCCUUCAUGAUCUCCAAUUCCUGGGGAUCAACAUCUGCAAAAUCGACAUCCAACCUCACGGUGGUAUCUCUAUCAAUGUCUUGGACACUGCCAUCACUGAGCUUGGCUUUACAGGGAAAAAAUUCCACUCUAAUUGCGAAUGUGGUGGCAGAACCUGAACCUCCCCUGUUUUGUCAAUGGCAGGCAGCGGCGGCAGUCACUACCAAAUCGAGUUCGAUUCUAAAUCGCCAAGAAAAGAGGGUGCCAUUACCGAUUUGAAGCACUGUCUCCUCGGGGCAGCCCGUCUCCUCGCUCCAUCUCAUCUAGCCCUCGCUCCAUCUCCUAUCCAAUCAAGCAACAGGGGCAGCAUGAGGCCACAGAUUUAUGGGUACCCCAGAUUUAUUCAAAAUUCAGUGGAAUGGGAGUAGUGUUUGGAAAAUAUUCACUCGCAAUAGCCGCUGCAGGGAUAGGCGCUCCACCACCGGGCCGCGGAGAAGAAACAACCCCCGGAUCCAAUGGAGCCCGAUUCUAAAUCGCCAAGAAACAGAGGGCAGCAUGAGGCCACAGAUCGGGGAGUGGGACUAGGGUUUCGGGCUCACCUCGCAAUAGCUCUGCCGCUGCCGAGAAAUGCACUCCACCACCGCGGAGAAGAAACCACUGCCGGAGAAGAUGCUUACGGCGGCGCCGCUCGCCCAGUCGCCGGUCGAGUCGUGGACGGUUGACUCUUGACUACGUGGCCAUAGGUGGACCCCACCAGUCAGAGCACAUAACCCCCAGUGUCCUAACCAAAUCUCAGCCUAACGGACAGCCAACUAGCCGCGUAAAUGGUGUGUCGCAUGGGAGCUAUUUUUUCCAACGAAGAUGUCGCAUGCAAGCUAUUACAGCCAACGACGUCGCAUGAGAGACAGUUCACACCAACGACGUCGCAUGGGAGCUAUUCACCCCACAUAAACACGCCAAAAGUACAAAUGAUGCAGCCGAGUCUCACCACUGAUGAUUUGAGGUGGAGGAAUUGGCCGAACGAGACCACUGCGGAUGGAAUCAAGCACAGACGAAAAAGGAGUAGUAGAUGUAACACGCAAGGCAGCUGCAAGGUCUGACCUUCUGCUGAACAUUUAUAUAAGCAAAUAGAUCAGAGUUAGCAUGAUAUAUAGACAAGUCGCUAUUUAAGAGUACAUUUUAUUUCAAAAAUUAAAGAAGCGGGGGCAGAACAAAGGAAUUAAAUAUUUGACAUCAAUUUACGAUUAUUCAUCAAAUAUUUAAUUGCUUUUAAAAUCAAGUAAAUUAAAUAUCAAACCAACUACAUAAAAAAGGUAAAAAGGAAAGAGUUUUAGCUGACUACAUACACCUCUUUCUUUUCCCCUCUGUUUUCAGGGCACUACUGGAAUCGCACCUACGUGAGUUUCAGAAACACUCGUCAAAGGGCUUAAAACACUCGGCAAAGGCUUUGCCGAGAGUUAUUUCCGGCAAAGACUACCCGGCAUACACCUCUCAAGCAAACAGAAAUUUGCCGAGAGCCAACCGUCGGACAAUCGGCAAAGAGUUUGCCGAGGGCCAAACAGUGCCUCUCGACAAAAUAAAGUGACUUCACGGUCGCCGGUUCCAUCAGGUCUUUGCCGAGUGUCCCCCUCGUCUUAACUGCAAUAGACAAGUUCCAGCAACUCUCAGCGCAUGUCACUAUGCGAGCGUAAGUUCCAGUAUGACUCUCAGCAAAAUCUUGUGUUUGUCGAGCUGCACCUGUUGCCGAGAGGUACUUUAAUUAGGCGUUUGUGACUUUACCGAGCGCCCGUGCUUAGGCUCCCGGCUAAGAGCCUGGCACCCGGGGUAUACAAAAAUUCCAGUAGUGGGGCAAGACUACCGGACCUGUGUUAAUAAGCCUCUACACAAUUUAAUUUGUUUAUUUGAGCCUCUGUUCACGAUUCGAUUUUGUUAGUCAAGACACCUUAUAAUUUCCUUUUAAACUUGUGUUUUCCAUUAUGCAAGUAAAAAACAAUAAGGGUGAUCUGAAUUCUAGAAAACUACAUUUUAGCUAAAAUACCAUCAGUCGCCUCAGAAUUUCGUAGUACUAGUCGGCACCAGAACCGCCGAUCCAAUGUUGUGACACAGCGAGAUUUUAUUCUCUUUAUAUAAAUGCUGAGAACGAAUCCAGAUUUUGUGCAUUACACGAACUAAUGAAUACGACCUUGUAAUAUCUCUGGGCAUGUAUGAGUAAAUUUGUAAAGUCAAAUGAGAAUAAGUUAUUCUUGGUUGAAUGAGACAAUACUAUAGUUUUUUUUUUGCACAAGAUGAAUACAUUAGUACGUCACUGAGAACACCUUUUCAACCGUAUGAACAUAUUUAUAAAGUCGAGCAAGAAAUAAUAUUUUAUUUCGUAAGCCUGACUAAAUAUUAUCUGACCAAGAAACCUUUUGACUAAUAAACCUGUCACACGGAAAUAUAUUAAGCUAACGAAGAUUCCCAUUAAAAAUCAGUUAUCUAUAUAAUUCGUUAUACUGAUGGGUCAAAGUACUUUCGAGUAACCCCAAAAAGACAACAAGGACAUGUUCCAGACAUAGGCCACCAUGAUUAAUCGGUAUCCAGAAUUCUGGAUGAAUACAAGACACUCUGGUGAAAAUUUACUGUGUAUACCGUUGUCUAAAAUAUAAACUACUAACGUGAUAUCAAAUGAUAAAAAAGAAAAACCACAUGGUCCAUGUGGUAAGCAACCUAAAAACAAACAAUGAUAAAAAAGAGAAAAGUCCACAUUAAUUACAACCUUGAACUAACCACUCGGUUUAAUAUUCAACCCUCAACUUCAGGGUUGAAUAUUAAACCGAGUGGUUAGUUCAGGGUUGUAAUGUGGAUUUUUCUCUAAAAAAGAAGACAUAGCUUAUUAGGCGAGAACGUAUGUGCGGAGUCACCAGAUCAUAUGUCCCGUUUUAGCAUGUAUCUUUUUUGCACGAAUACAAAGGAAGAUGAAAUGAGAACAAAGGUAGGGGCAUUUAUCAUUUUAGCAUUUAUCAUUCUUUAUUGUGUAUCUUUCCUGCUUGUACUUUUGGGUAUUGUCUUUUACCCCCUCUAUGCAGGUAUAUUGGGCCCCCUCAUAUUUAGAUUCAAACUUCGACCAUAAAUUUAAACUAGUAAAAUGUAAAUUCUAUGUCACAAAAAUUAUGUGGUAGGGAUAUUCUUUCAAAUUAAAUCCAUUAGUAUACUUUCUGUUGUAUAUCUAUUAUAUUUUAUUAGUUAUUUAUGUGGUCAAACUUUGAGCCAAAAUACUAGGGAGCCUAAUAAACCUGGAUGGAGGGAGUAUGUACUUACUAGAUGAUACCCCGAGCUGUGGGGAUUCAAUGCCAUACAUUUCAAUGAAAUUAGGUUGUAUGGAACUUGAACAUUUGGAUUAAUAAUAUGAGAAGUAAAACGAAAAAUACAUAUGAUUUAUUGCACAAUUAUUAAAUAUAAGUAGCAUAAUACAAUGAAAGGGGUUUGGCCUUUCAAAUUCAUGGUUGCAUUUAGAGGUGGAUAUUCUCCUAUGAAUGGUUGUAUGUUGAUGUAAAUAUGUUAGUGAGGAUCACCUAUUUAUUUAUAUUAGAUACCAUAUGAUAUCUCAAGCGUUGCUACGGGAAUUGGUUGUAAUAUGUUUCCAUGAGAUUUACAGAAACUGAAAAUAGAUAUGAUUUAUUGUGUUUCAGUAUUACAUAGUUGUAACGUACUUAUUGAAAUUAAGUACCAUAAUGAGGUGCAUACUUUCCAUGCAUGGAUGCAUGAUGCUUGCAUGUUGAGAUAGUGGGGAUCAUCCACUUAGUUUUACUAGAGACGAUACUCCGCGUGCUGCUCUAGAAAUCAUAUGCAAUUAUUUGUACGAAAUUUGGUAGUAUGGAACUUUAGUAUCCGCAUUAGGAAUACGGGAAUGGAAACUAAAGUGCAUAUCAUUUAUUCUAUAGUUGGAACAUUUAUUAAAUAUGAGUAGCAUGAAUGGUGCAUGUUAAAGUGGGUCUUUUCCCAUGCAUGGUGGCAUGGUGGAUUGGCAUAGUUGGAUUUUAAUAGAACUUAAGUUAUUGGAGAUAGGUGAGUUGGCAUAAGUGCGUGUUAAUAGAAUUCAGUUAGUGGGUACCAACUAUUUAGGUAUACAAGAUAGUCUGUUGGUACACCUUUCUAGCUAUUUUCUCUAUCUUUGGUACAGAACUUGGAUACUCUUUUUUUGUCAAAGUGCACUAUAUUGUUUAGACAUUGUUACAUAUAUGGAUAUUUGAUGUUAUUAUUGUCAAAAAACAAUCAUUAGCCAAGGAUAUCCAUUGAGGAAGUUUUCAAGGAAACUAGCAGGAAAAAACUAAGACAGGAGGAAAAAACUCAAAACAUGAAAGAAGGGACAACACAAGGAGGUUGGGGCAAGUAAAAAAGGUGAAAUAAGAACCUUACAUUGUUUCUAAACAAGUAGUACAACUAUUCAUCCUUCCCUCUAGUAGUUACACACUCGAUCCUAACACUACUUAUCAUCAAUUAUUACGACCUAGAGAAUAAUGAAUAUAUGGAUGGUGUAGAAAAGCUACUACUUUUCCACCAUGAUAGGCGAUGUGACUACCAACUAAUAUAGACUAAGGAAUAUAUGAAUGAUGUGUUAGAUCAUUGUUAGACCACUUCAUUAUAUUUUAAUUAUAGUGACAUACCAACACACCUCACCCUCACGCCUCACAUUAGCUAGAUCUAGAACAGAGGUUGUUCGGAUAGUCUUAGAAUUUAUCCUAUAGCACUUGGAGGGUUUAUCACUGACUGCAAAUAUAUGAAGAUGUGCAACAUACUGGUGCUCUACAAAAGAUGUGAUCGACAUACUACUACAGGCCUUAAAUGAUCCAUAACUCACUUUCCUAGAACACUUCAUUUUUUUUGUUCUCUAUGUACAAUAAUGGGAAUAGGUAAAGACGGAAAUGAAAAAGGAGCAAAAAUGGAACCCUACCGUUCCAUAACAGGGACGUGCAUGUAUCUCCAUUUUGAUGGCAAGUUGAUGUCAUAUAAUGAGUCAUCUCCUUUAAUUGCACCAAUAGCCUCAUGCACACUGUUGACAACAUUGCAUAAUAUUAGCUUGCUAAAUUUUCCAAAAGGUUUUCUUUUGCAAAUAUCAAAUGUAAAGUAAAAAAUUGGAAUUUUCGAAUAAAUCUUUCAACCAGAUAACCCCUACGGAUGUGGGGUAGCUAGUGCUGAUACAAUUAGAUAAUACCCCUGCAUCUUGUUGUGGGAACAAGCUCCAACAUAUUUUUGUGAGAUUUGAUUGUAUAAACAUCAAUAUUUGGAUUAGUAAUAAGCAAACUAAAAAUAAAAAUAAAAAUUAUAGAAGUAGCAUAAUAGUGGAAACAUUGUUCCCACGCAUGUUAAAGUGGGCCUUUUUGGUGGCAAGUAAGGUGAGCAGCAUCACUAGUAGAAAACAGGGAUUUGGUCCUGGCUAGAUUAGAGCAUUAGCGCGGUGGUGUCACGAACUGGGACUAAUGUGAGCAUUAGUCCCGGUUCGAGCGACUAGGAUGCCAGACGAGGCUCGGCUACAUUUAGUCCCGGGUCAAACGCAACCUUUAGUCCCGGUUGGAGAUACCAACUGGGACUAAAAGGGCCGCGGCAGGAUGUGGUCGGUGCCAACACCUUUAGUCCCGGUUGGUGUCGGCUUUAGUCCUGGUUGGUCUCUCCAACCGGGACUAAAGGUUAGACCUUCAGUCCCAGUUUGUGUUUCGAACCAGGACUAAAGAGUUGUGAAUGUUCCUUUUCUGUUUUUCCAUUUGUUUUCUGUUUUUAGUAUCUGUUUUAAAUUGCUUAUAUCUUUUAGGAUAUUUGAUGUUUCUGAGUGAUUACUUUUGCAUUAGAUUAAAUAUUUUGUGUAGUUUCUGUUUAUACCAUUAGUUUUCAAAUUGAAUGGUUUAAAUUUGAAUUAGUUCGAAUUAGCGUCAAACCCUAGAUUNNNNNNNNNNNNNNNNNNNNNNNNNNNNNNNNNNNNNNNNNNNNNNNNNNNNNNNNNNNNNNNNNNNNNNNNNNNNNNNNNNNNNNNNNNNNNNNNNNNNNNNNNNNNNNNNNNNNNNNNNNNNNNNNNNNNNNNNNNNNNNNNNNNNNNNNNNNNNNNNNNNNNNNNNNNNNNNNNNNNNNNNNNNNNNNNNNNNNNNNNNNNNNNNNNNNNNNNNNNNNNNNNNNNNNNNNNNNNNNNNNNNNNNNNNNNNNNNNNNNNNNNNNNNNNNNNNNNNNNNNNNNNNNNNNNNNNNNNNNNNNNNNNNNNNNNNNNNNNNNNNNNNNNNNNNNNNNNNNNNNNNNNNNNNNNNNNNNNNNNNNNNNNNNNNNNNNNNNNNNNNNNNNUAUUGCUUUAUUGCUCAUUAGUUCUCAUCCUAAUCAAAUCACCAAGAAGCAAUUGAUUCUAGCAUAUGAGAAAUAAUUUUAAAAAUUAUUUUUAUUUAAAAAAAUGAUGUCAUAUUUGGAUUCCUCACAUUUUUCUGAUAACAAUGGAUAUAUUAUUUGUCAAAUUCUGAUUUACAGAUUUAAAUAUAUUCAUUAUGCCAUAUUAAAUGAAUAAAUAGGAAAAUGAAUAAAAUAAUAUUAUUAAUUAUUUUAUUUUCAUUGUAAUUCAAUAUUAUUAUUACUUAUUUAAUUUAAAAAUUGUUUGGAAUUCAAAAAGUUAAAUCAUGUGACAUCAAGACCUAAGGGUUAAUAGGAUUAAUAGCUUACUAUUGUCAGAAAAACAACAAGUGCAGACUUGGAAACUAGGGGAAAUAAAACUCGGAAGUUAAGUGUGCUUGGGCCGGAGUAAUGAGAGGAUGGAUGGCCGCCCGGGAAGUUAGACGAUUUGGAUUGAGUGGAGGGCCACGUGGAGCCCCUUUAGUCCCGGUUCGUAACACAACCGGGACUAAAAGCGGGGGUCUUUAGUCCCGGUUCGUAACACAACCAGGACUAAAAGCGAGGGCCUUUAGUCCCGGUUUUGUUCAAGUGAGUUGACAUAGCUACAUGUUGGGAGAAGUGCGUGUUAAUGUCAGUCUUUUGCAUGCAUGAUGGCAAGGUGAGUUGGCAUAAUUACAUGCUGAGAGAAUUAGAGUUAGUGGAGAUCAACUAUUUAUUUACAUAUAGCAUAGGAUGAGGUGCAUAUAUGCAGACACAUAUAUAAUUCUGCAUUGUUGCACAAUCAAUUUGGUAUAAUUUUGCAUCGGAUAUAAUAGUAAGGCUAUAACAAUAGUAACAACUUAGCUAAUAAACAUUUCAUAUAGCCAACUACUAUUUACCCUACAAAUAAUAUGGUGUACUCAUCAUCGUAUGAUCGAUGUAGAGAGGAUGACACUGAUCUUGUUGGUUAUUUCACUAGUAGAAAAACUACUUUACGUGAGACACAUUAGUCCCGGUUUGUAAAUGAACUGGCACUAAUGGUAUCAUUAGUCCCGGUUCGAACGGCUAUACAUCAGUCCUGGUUCAUUUGUGACCUAUAGUACCGGUUGGUGGCUCCAACCGGUACUAAAGGGGUCCUAAAGGCCAUGACCCCUUUAGUACCAGUUGGAGCCACCAACCGGUACUAAAGGUGGUGCGCUGCCACCCGUAGUGCAUAAUGUUUAGUCCCACCUCGCAAGUUGAGAGGAGCUCGCACCGAUUUAUAAGCCCCGCCGCGACUACCGUGUCGAGCUCCUCUCUAAGCAGGCCUUUGUGGGCCUAUUGCAAGUCUUCUACCCUGUGGGGCCACUGGGCCAUACGGGCCUGCAUCCUGGCCCAACUAGAGGUUGGGUUUCUAGUCGUAUGCAGGUCGUGCCGGCCCAGUAGGCGGGCUACUUUUGCUUUAUUUCAAAAAAAAUCAAAAAAAUCCUUUAAAGGUCCCCCAGACCACCGUGCCUCGUGCCACGUGGUGGGUCUUUGGUCCUGGUUCGUGUUGAACCGGGACUAAAGGGGAGGGGACCUUUAGUCCCCACCCUUUAGUGCCGGUUUCCAGAACCGGUACUAAAGGUCCUUACGAACCGGUACUAAAAGUCGUUUUUCUACUAGUGUUUAAAAAUAGAAGCAUGUAAUUGUACAAUUUUUUCCUCUUUGGCAUGUCCCAUUCCAUUAUCCAAAAAGGCCAGGACUCCUUUUUAAGCAGGGGAGAAUGGAUACAACUCUAUGUAUAUACCAAACUAAAUUUUGUGAUAUGCUACCGAUUUGUUUAUAUAUUUUCUUCGAUGACUAUAUUGGUCAUAUUCUACAUUAAUUUGGAAGCUUGUAGCCACACAAUUGAGCACAAGGUAAUGUUGUAUGUUUCAAAGCACAUGCAUUGUACCAAAAUACAAUAAUGAACGGUAGAACAAAUAGCUAAGGAGGAACAUACAAAGGAGAAAAUGUAUACUAAGUGAAAUGAGUUGUAUGCUUGAUACAUGCUCUCAUAGGUCAUAGCCGCCACAUGUUGCGAGAUCGGAAAGGUUGAAGAGCACUUUGAUGACAGUAAAUUGACAUAGCAAUAUGUGUCCUUCAAAAAAAUUAUAUUUGAGAAGUGAUUACGAACAUGUCAAGCAAAAUGGUAAAUUUCGUGUUACACCCUUUAUUUUGUUUGUGCCUACCUGCCAAAAUUACCAGAUUAUGUGGAAAAGAUUGUCCAAUUAAUUUUAUGCCCUCGCCUUAAACUUUUUGAUAGUUUACCAUAUUUACAUUUUCUUCUUGAUAUUUACAGCGGAGGCCCACUUGUCAACCUUAUGUCACUGUUUACUUGAACGCGAUAUAGUUGAUGUCACGCCACAACAUAUUGAUACAAAUUGUAUCUCACCCUAAAAAUUGAGUGGUAUUGUUAAGAAAAGGUAGAACUACAAUAAAAAUUAUGUUGUAAACAUCGAAAAUCCUUGUAAAAAUUUAUUAUUUUAUUUUAUAAUAUCAGUUUAAAUAGAAUCUGUGGUAACUCAAUAGUAAACUCAGUUAUAAUCCUUCCUUCUCUAUAAUAUCUCAAAGAUAUCAUUCGACCUUUCAAUUUGAGAAUUAUUGCAAACUUGAUCAGAAUUUGAAACGUUACUUUAAAUAAAUUAAGAUGUACUUUUCAUAUCUAGAGAAGUCGUCAAACGACAUAUACCAAGUUACAUUUGUACGAUCACUACAUCUCUUGUUUUAAUUCGCAUCUUUUUUUGACAAACAAUUGAUUUUGUUGACUGAAAAUGAAGCAUUAAAGGGAUACACAUAAUGAGCAUACAUCCAACCUCCGUAUGGCUAGAAUGCACAUAUCCAACACUAUGCACACAUAAUGAAUCACGCCAGCAAAGUGCAAACUCGUACAAGACUGAAACUAUGCCUAUGUGAAGGACAAAAACUCGGGGGCAAUCAAAACAACGAUCGACGAAUUAAAACAACGACCACCUGCACCAACCAUACAUUGACAUCACAAGAACAAAAGAAAGUUUCUCCAGCAGCAAUGCCUCCAGAAUGGUAACAGAAUGGUAACGACACUCAAGCACCGCUGUCACCGAAUCCAACCACCGAAUGUUUGGUCAUGAGUUUCCAUCCUAAAGAUCAAGUACAAGCAAAAUCUGAGCAAUUCCUUCAACAAGGUAACAAUGCAAAAACACCUACAUUGCUAGGUAUUACCAACUAGGGUUGGACCUAGGGUUUUCACCCUAGAGUUUGAGAUCGAGUACUCGAUAAGCACCACCAAAUCAAAGUCAUCAUGUGAUGUCCGCACCAAUUUCCACAAUCCCCGCAGCUAAAUGCAUACCAUGACGUGAGAUGACACACUUGAAAGACCAUGCCACACAAGCAGAUAGUUGAGCCACAACAAGGGUUGGCCGCCUCCAAAGGCUCCGAAUGGUGAUUGUCAUUGUCACGCAUGCGAUGAAGAUUGACAAGGGAGGAAGGUCACUGGCAUCGUGAAAAAAACCAAUUUAGGAUGCUCUAGUAGUCCUACAUUGUCCUCAUGCUCUCUCGUUCUCGCCUGUGACGGAAGAAUUGUUUAGCCGACACAGGUUUCUAGAAGCAAAAAGGGAAAGGGAGGAGGUCAAGGUAGGAGGCGGCUAUUUUAAUUCAUAGUCUUGCAUUAUGAGAAAGUAUUGCAAGAGGCAAAAGUGUGGUAAUAGAAUCAGAAUCACACUACCAAGAACAAGUGAUGGGCGAAGAUAUGGAUAGCACAUACAGACCCCUCUUGUUUCAAACUCGGUAGAAAAUCGACUACUAUUUUAUAUGAAAACUUUUGUUUGGAACCACUUCUUCUAAUGACUGGUAACAAUCAAUCAAAACAUUUCAUUUCAACAUUGUUCUCGUAAAAAACAUAUUUUGUCAUUUUUCCAAAGAUAGACAUUGAGGCCACAGUUGAAUCUUGUUCGAUCUAAAAUGGCAGGUGCUCUGACUAUGCAUUAAGUAGGGGGAAAGUAUACAUGGUAUGUGGUUGUGAUCAGACUAGUAACAUGCAUAUACUAGUCUAUGUUACUACUCCCUCCUUUCCGGUUUAUAUGGAUUAUCUCAAAAUUUUAGGUUUCCCGUUUCAUAAGUGUCAAUUUGAUUAUUCUCCAUCACAUAUUCAGAUUUCAAGGUGCAUUAAAUCAUUACAUGCAAAGAUUAAGAAAAAAUUGAUCAAUGCAUGUACUUUAUGCAUGCAUGCAUUGCAAUGAAUGCACUGGUAAACACAAUUUUUUGACAAAAACGAGCAUAUAAAUUGAGUGCUUUUGCCAAUUACAAAAAUUAUUCCACUACUCAUCAUCUAUCUUGGUUGGUGAGAUUUUUGAAUUGAGCCUUAUAAAUCGAAAAGAAGGUAGUACCUCUAUAGUGGGAUGUAACAUAUGUGUGGUGUCAUGCAACACUUUAUUUAUUAGGUUCUAGACUCAUGUUGUCUUGAUAUAUGUGAUGUUACACAUACUAUGAGUAACUAACUAUGUUAUCACAUGCCUCUUUUUCUUCAUUAAUUACUUACCACAUCAUUUAUUUUGCCUAGAUAUUUAUGAUGUNNNNNNNNNNNNNNNNNNNNNNNNNNNNNNNNNNNNNNNNNNNNNNNNNNNNNNNNNNNNNNNNNNNNNNNNNNNNNNNNNNNNNNNNNNNNNNNNNNNNNNNNNNNNNNNNNNNNNNNNNNNNNNNNNNNNNNNNNNNNNNNNNNNNNNNNNNNNNNNNNNNNNNNNNNNNNNNNNNNNNNNNNNNNNNNNNNNNNNNNNNNNNNNNNNNNNNNNNNNNNNNNNNNNNNNNNNNNNNNNNNNNNNNNNNNNNNNNNNNNUUUUUAGCUAGAUGUGUACUGUACAACGGGAGCUCCUAGUCGGCGCCUUCAGCGCCGAUUAGGUAACCUGGCGCCUACACGUUCCUUCGUUGGGCCGGUUUCGAAGCUGGCCCAUUCCACUACAGAAACAGCGAAAAUUCAUUAAUAGCGCAAAAAACAGCUCUCAUGAGGAUUUGAUCCAACGACCUCCACCUCUGGAGAGUGUUGCCCAACCACUGGACCAAACAUGCUUUAAUGAAUACUUAGGGCGCAAACAGUUUAAGAAGUAAGUAUAGCGACGCUAUUUACUGCAUAUAGAAAUUAGAAAAAACAUGUUUUUUGAAAAAAUAUUUGAAGAAAAUUUGAAAGUUCACAGAUUUCCAAACAAACUGAGAAUUCAAAGAAUUUUCAUGAAUUAGAAAAAAUCAACGAUUUCAAAACAGUUCACAAACUUGGAAAAAUGUUCAUCGACUUUUGAAAAAAGUUCAACUUUUUUAAAAACAUAUAUUCAAGUUUUAAAAAAGUUCAUAAGUUUUGAAAAGGUUCAUAGAUUUCGAAAAGAGUUCAUAAAUUUUCAAGAAAAGUUCACAAACUUGAAAAAAAGUUCAUCAAUUUUCAAACAAAAAGUUCAUCGAUUUUGAAAAAGUUCAUCAAAAUUGAAAAAAGUUCAUGGAUUUUCAGAAAAAAGUUUAUCAAAUUUGAAAAAGUUCAUCCAAUUUUAAAAAUAAGUGCAUGGAUUUUUGAAAAAAGUUCAUCAAAGUUUAAAAAAGUUCACAAAAUUUGAAAACAGUUCAUGGAUUUUUGAAGAAAGUUUGUUGAUUUGGAAGGAAAUGUUCAUUAAUUUACAAUCACGCAUUUAAGAAAAAUAAAAAGAAAAAAAAGAAACAGAAAAAGAAAACUCGAACUGGAGAAAGAAUAAGAAGCACGCAAGAAGAUGUCAUGGGUAAGCAAAGGCUGGCCGUAGUGGUUAAGCGCCGUUCGCUGUGAAGGUGCAGAUCUCAGGUUCGAUUCGUGCAGUGUCCCUUUUUUGCACUUUUUAAAAAGCAGAAGCAAAACGCUAACUGUUUUAAUGGGCCGGCCCAGCUAGCACCGCUGCAGGCGCCGGUUUGCGGAAACAGCUAAAACCGGCGCCUGCAGCGCCAAAUAGGAAAUGCCCUGUACAACGCUAGGCCGCUGCUAAUUGUAUCAUCCGCCCAUAUAAGAAAAUAUUUACUGAACCAAGUACACUGAACAUAGACGGCCAAAGCCCAAUAGCCCACACACAUAAGCGUAUAUGUGAUCGAUCCGAUCUAUUUAUUGAUCUACAUGUGUUCUGCCGAACUGCUAGCACGUUUGCCGCUGCCGCUUAUGCAAUCCUCCGUCUGAGUCUGUCCUACGUGCCCGGCUAGGGCGUUUCCAAAUUAGACGAGACUUGCCUGCUCCCUGCGUGUGUGCCCAUCUGUGCUCCCGCGUACGUGGCUUGAUUUGAUUGAAACAAAAUAAGGCCCAGCCUCACCCUUUUAAAAUCAGAGGGGGGAUGGUUAGGAUGAAGCGGAAGCACGGAUGGGAGCAUAGGGAGGAAGCAGGCAAGCCGGAUCCUUGCAAAUCGCCCGGGCUACAGUCCGUUGCCCGAGUAUUACUAGAGAUAGGCUAAUACUAUUAGAGGCUGCUAGUCAGACGACUAGGAUUGAAGAUAUUGGCGGCAGGUACCACUACGCACCACUACGACAUGCUACCAUCAUGGCUGGUUAACAUAAGAGGGGACGGCAUGCCGGCAAGGGACGCGCGGACCAUCAUCAUCCUUUCCCUUUGGGAGCUCUGGAAACAUCGAAAUGGGAUCGUGUUUGACGGUGACUCCCCGUCGCUUAAUAGACUCUUUGGUAGGAUCCUUUCGGAGGGUAGGGCUUGGAAGACGGCCGGCCUCAUACGGUCGGACUUCGAACCCUUCUUUAGGUGGAUACAUAGGUGGGUUGGAGGUGAGAUGUAGUGUGUACCCUUGAUACGGUGGAGUGGGUGUGUUGUAACACCCUCGGCGGAGGGCUCCUGUACCCCUUUUCUCUCUCUUUAAUGCAAGAUACGCAUGCUAUGCGUAUUCGAGAAAAAAAUGAAUUAUGAUCUUAGUCUGGGUAAUUAGCUUUGCGUACAAAAUAGAGCUUUUGACUGUUUAUGCAUUUUUGGAUCCACGAGAUGAGUUAUUUGAUGUGAGUAAUAUAUGCUCGGUGGUGGAUUUUUGUAUCUUGUAGUCUUUUCUAGCCAAGAACGGGCUCAAUUUGAGUCUAAACUUGCAACUAUCUAGACCUAAAAAUAUUGUCUUCACUUGUAGAUUUGACCGCUGGAUUAUUUUAAACAAGUAAAACUACCAUAGAUUACUGUAGCUGGUUAUAACUCUAUCAAUGUCAACCACGACAACCGAACAAGCUUUUUCGACCAUUCGAGACAUGCAUGUUUUUGAAACACAAUGAAGACAAUUUUCUUCGACAUGACAUGAUUUUCUAUAUUGGAAGAGAAAAUAGUCCACUUGUUUAACACGGUGGUUGUAGGGCUAAAUUUAAGUCCACAUAAAUGUAACACUAAUUCUAGUUCUAGAUAUAUAUUUAGAAGAUUUGUCAUCAACACUAUCAUGGGACUUUAACAUAUCAUGAUGUUUCACGACUGUUGUGAACAUUGACUUUUCGCCCCCCUCAUGUUCAAAUCAUGGCUCUGCCCGUGCCCAUGGCAGCCUAGAGAAGAAAAGAACAACAUGUACUCAACAGCAGUAUCUCCGCUAUACAAAAGGAUAGAACCAACUACACCUUUGAUGUGACUUCCGACUUGUGUGCCAACUACAAAAAAUGCUCAGCAACGCCAAUCCAAUGCCUGCCAGUGGUCUCCGAGGGCAUUCCGUCGGCCCUUCACCGCUCCAUUACAUCCUUUUCGGUGCAAUACCUUGGGCUCCCGCUAUCCAUCUGCAAAGUUUCCUCCUCGCAACAACUCCUGCUCGUUGAUAAAAUUCUCAAGAAAUUGGCAACUUGAAGGCAUCCAUGUUCUAUCGCGGGGAAUGCCUAGGCUUGUUUGGCAUGUGCUUUCUGCCAUGGUCGUGCACAUUUUUUUAGCCAUGGUCAGCUCUCCUCCCAUCCUCAAGGAGGUUCGCAGAGUUCGCGAUUUCCUCUAUCAUGGCCGGAGGGACCAGAGCUGACGCCUGCUUGGUACAUUGGCCCAAGGUUUGCCUCCCCCUAAAGCUGGGUGGCCUUGGCAUUCGCGGCCUUCAUCAUACGGGCAUCUCGGUACACAUCUGAUGGCUGUGGCUGCAGGCUACCGAUCCAUCGCGUCCCUGCUCUCACCUAACACUUCCUCAUGAUUCCGAGGUCAAGAACUUUUUUCAUGCUUCCACCAUCUAGAUGCCAGGCCCGUUGAUGGGCAAGGCCAAAUUGGCCGACCGCACAGGGCCCCAAAAUUUUGGGGGCCCCCGGUCCAGGAAUAUGUAUACAUAUAUAUAUGUAAGGCCCAGUAAAAACGCACCCAGGCAGCCCAAAUACAUGUACGCAUGCAGCCCCUGCAGCCCGUCUGCUACUAGUUUCCCUAACCCCGAUCGAUUAGCAGUUUAGCACCCGAAUCUCAAUCGAUCAGCACCCGAAGAUAGCGCUCGAGAGUCGAGAGAAGGCAACAGGGGCGACGGCGGCUGGGCUGGGCGACGGCGAAGAGGUUUCUGGUCUCUAGCAGGGCGACGGCGGCAGAGGAAACACGUCCGUUCAGCCGUGCGUACACGGCUGCUGACCGCCGAUCGAUCACGCCGUUCACGCCCCACGGUGCAUCAGCAUCAUCCAUCCCUUGCCGGCGUAAUACCUUGUGGACAUAGCCCUAUUUUUAUUUUGCCAGCGUAGGCAUUAGGCAGUAAACUAUUUUUUUGUUAAACAAUAUUUUCUAAUAUUACAUCUAAAUGAAGUCUAUCUAUUUUCUUAGGUAUACAGUGCUAAAAUUCCUAGAGUUUGAAUUGAUUCAGAUUACUUUUUGUUUCAUUCAACAGAAAAAUUCAUGCAUCCCGGGAGGAAGAAAAAUUCAGAUUACUUGAUAUUCUAAAUUCAGAUUACACCUAAUGCUGUUAUUGCAUACAGAAUUUUGUUAACCAUUCCUGUGACGGUUGCAUCCGCGGAAAGGAGCUUUUCUAAACUCAAGUUGUUGAAAUCCUACUUGCGUUCCACUAUGACACAAGAAAGACUCAAUGGAUUGGCAACAAUAGCACUUGAAAAUGAUAUCUUGGAGAAGAUUAAUUAUGAAGAUUUGAUCGAAGAUUUCAGUUCAAGAAAUACUAGAAGAAUGUUGCUUUUUGGUAGAAAAUGAGGUCAGAUUACAAGUUUACUGCUUUAGCACCAUGUUUAUUAUUUUACCACUAAUAUUUGAUAUAUUUCCUAAAUAUUGUACCAAAUCAGACAUAUUUGAAGUUAAAUAAUUAAGGAGAGUAUGCUUUACUUACAUUAGUUCUUCAACUAUAUGGUUUAAAAGGGCCCUUUUUUGAUUUUUGUCUCGGGCCCCCAAAUUCCUAGAGACGGCCCUGCUAGAUGCUUGGGGAUGCAUGGUAACACCUGCCGGUUCUAGUCUGAUCACUGGCUCAACGACAAGUCCAUCGCUGCGAUUGCACCCGCCCUCACGUCCCUUGUGCCGCACUGGCAACAACGCUCCCGCACCAUCCGUGAGGCUCUAUCGAAUCGGAUCCUUGACAUCCAUGGGGCCCUUGGGUCGGCUGCCUUUCUCAAAUAUGUCAUGAUUUGGCGAUACCUUUAACACGGAUGCGUUUGGUUGCUCGUAUAAGACCCAUCCAGGUCUGGGUGGGAUGUUUUUGGGCUGUUUGGUUACGUGGGUCGCAUCCAAAUCUUGGCCGGCAUGAAACUUAAAGUAGUUCUCAGCCAGGCCCGCUAGGAAGGUUAAAUCGGCAAUUUCCAGCGAGUCAGGCUCGAGCAAUGCAGGGGAGAGGAACGACGCACCGCGCAGCUGCGGGUAGGGAAAUGGCGGGAGUGAUGGCGCAUCUCUGAAAAAGUGGCGGGAUGAAUUUGAAUCACCGCCCGCCGAUUCGGUCACCCUAUAUAUCUAUGGUGACCGCCGCGGGAAAACUCCCGCCACCAUUUCCCCCCUCUCGAGCUUUCCCUCCGGCACGGAUCCACUUCGACGACGAGGUAAGUGGCGCAACUACUCCGACGACUGGUUGACUGCGGCGGCGGAUCAACUCCUCCUCUCUGACGUGUCAGGCACCUCCUCUGCGGCUCUUCCGAUGACGUCUAUAAGUUCAAUCACCACCUCCUCUCUACUAGUUCUAGCUAGAUCUGUCGAUGUGGUAGGGUUAGAUCUUUCGAUAUGUUUGACUGUGAUGUUAUAGUAGCUACUUGUGAUGGAUUUGGAGCAUGCUAGGGGUUGUUUCCAUGUGGGAAAGCCUUGGUAGCUAGUGGUCAUGGAUGUAUUGGUAGUAUGCUUAGGUGUGUGGCAUGCUAGUGUGCAAGUGUUGAACAAGAUAAACCAUGUGCCCAUGAUUAGUGCUAUGUUAUGUUGUGUUCAGCUGUGGUAUGCUUUGAUGAAUCUGGUAGUGUUGUCUUCAACUAGAUCUUCCAUGUGUGCAUGUGUUACUGCUAGUUUGAUUUGUCCAUGUUGUACUGCUAGUUCCAAUUGUCCAUGUGUAGUGUCUUGUGGUGUUGAUGGCGCUUACGUUUGUACCACAUGACCACUCAAGAGUUUAGUCAGGCCCUCUUGCUGUCCGAGAGCCAGUACCCCCCGUCGUACGUCGAGGACUCCUAGCCUCCUAUGGACCAGAUGCCUCCUGAUUCAGAUAUUUUCGAGGUGUUGCCUAUGGUUCCUCCAUUUGUGCUGGCUCAGCCCAAUGUUGUUGCUCAUGCUGCUGCUCAAAAGGAAGCCGCAAAGGAGAAGAAGGAUGGCAGGGGGAACGACAUGAAAUACCAGUCGUUCCUCUCCACUUUCGUGCUUAAUAAGAUGUGUGAUAUCAUAGCUAGUGGGGUGAGGACUAACAAGUCUUCAAGGAGGUGCACUUGAACCUUGUUGCCAAAAAGGUGUUCGACUUCUUUGGACAGGAGGUCACCUCGACCCACGUGUACAACCACCUGAGGAAGUGGAGAGCGAGGUGGAUCACCGCGUCCAAGCUUAGAGACCUCAGCGGUGCUUCAUGGGAUGAGGACACCUGCUCGAUCCUUGUGGAGGUAGGGCACUACGAAGGCCACAUCGCCGUUAGCUCAUACACCAUGCUAUUCUCACAAACCAGCAGUUUAAACCUAUGAAAUAUUGCCAUACUAACUAAACUUUGUGCCCUAUUUCUUCUUAGGCUCACCCCCAAGGACGUAGAGUUCCUCAACACACCUAUCUAGAACUACCACCAGAUGCAGCAGAUCUUCUCCUUCGGGCUGGCAACCGGCAAGUAUGCCAUGGUCUGUGUUUAGCCGCUGGCUUGACGAUGCCGGAGUAUCCAGACACCCAGGAGUCAGAAACCAACAACGUUGAUGCUCCUGAGAAGGAUGGUGAGCAUGUUCAUGUGCUUGAUAGGAAGAGGAAGCGGGUAGGCUUCAUGAAGGAGCUCAGCAUCUUCAGCAGCACGACUGAGGCAGUAAAGGAGGUGCCCACCGCCAUCAGGGAGAGCAAGAGUGUGGAUGUCCAUCUUGAGCUCUACAGCACCGUCAUGGAGUAGAUUGGCUUCAUCCUAGAGGAUCUCAUGGUAGCUCUCAUCCACCUGUUGGACAACAAAGCCCAGGGUGUUGGGUUUGUUGCCAUGGGAGCCGCCCACAAGGUGCUCUGCUGAGGACCUGGUCGGGCUAGCACUACUACUAGUGGUGCUUCUGCUGGUGCUGACAGCGUGCUGAUCCUCGAAGGCGAUGACGACAAUGACGAUGAAGAUGUAUAUUUUGUGUAGUUAGGGCUUGAAAACAAUCUUAUGGUCUGUAUAUUUUGGUGAGGUCAUAUAUACUAACCCCUCACGGUGAUCCUCGCGGUGAUCACAAACUUGCAGUGGUAGGAUUACACCCCCUUUUGGAUGCAGUGGUAGGAUGACACCAAAGUAGUGGUGGGUUGAACUUGCUACGCGAUAUGAUCAUGCAUGCUUACUAAUGCUCGUCUGCUCCAUUGCUUCUGUUCUUCAUUGCUCGCUCUACUUGCUCCUAUGUGCUUCAUUGCUUGAUGUUUGUUUGUUCAAUGCGUGUUGCUUCAACUUAUUGCUCAUUUGCACUGCUAGGGCAAGUGGUAUGCGAUGUUCGAAGGCAGGGUUUCAGGGGUUUACAAUUCAUGGGAAGCUUGCAACAAACAAGUUUCAAGGUACAGCGAUGGCAGUCACAAAGGGUUUAAGACUAGGUAGGCGGCAGAAGAUGCUUACUCCAAGAAUGUGCGAGAGCAUGCAUGCAGGAAGGUUGAGGUUGGCAAGGUGGAUCGUCCAUUAGGGCUGAAGAACUUCAUCAUCUCCAUCCAGUUCAUCUCCAUAGCAAUGAUGUGGUGUUGGUGUGCUCGGUGUGAUCGUGUGUAAGGUGUAGUAGUAUUGGGUAAGCUCACCAAGUAGGGUACAAGGUGAGCACAACUCUAUGCUCGUAUGCAACCAAACAACAUGCUCUGACCACAUACAAUGCGAGCAACCAAACACGAUGUGUAGAGGCGUCGUUAUGAUGCAGGGAGAGGAUAUGCAGGCAACCAAUCAACAUGUAGAUGUUGGUUUUUUGCCUGCAUAUGCUCAACCAGUCCCAAUAGGGAGAAGUAUGCAAAUGGGAAAAAAACUAUGUGAGCAACCAAACGCAUCCCAGGUGACUCUCACGGACUUGCCAGACUCUCUGUUGUGGCGAUGGAUGAGUCAUGGUACCUAUUUUGCGCCAUCAUGCUACAAGGCUUUUUUUCCUUGGUAGCACUAUACUUCCCCCUUCUGGCGGCUGAUCUGGAAGAGCUGGGCCCUCUAAGCGUGAAGUUCUUUAUUUGGCUGUGCUGCCCAACAUCAUUGUUGGAUGGCAGAUCGGUUUGCUCACCAUGUCCUCCUCAUGACCCCCUCUACAUCCUAUGCUCUCGGGAACUGGAGACUCUACAACACCUGGUAGUUGGCUGCAUCUUUGUUCGUAUAAGUUGGCACGGGAUCUUAUCUUGGUGCCGCCUNNNNNNNNNNNNNNNNNNNNNNNNNNNNNNNNNNNNNNNNNNNNNNNNNNNNNNNNNNNNNNNNNNNNNNNNNNNNNNNNNNNNNNNNNNNNNNNNNNNNNNNNNNNNNNNNNNNNNNNNNNNNNNNNNNNNNNNNNNNNNNNNNNNNNNNNNNNNNNNNNNNNNNNNNNNNNNNNNNNNNNNNNNNNNNNNNNNNNNNNNNNNNNNNNNNNNNNNNNNNNNNNNNNNNNNNNNNNNNNNNNNNNNNNNNNNNNNNNNNNNNNNNNNNNNNNNNNNNNNNNNNNNNNNGAUGGGUUCUUCGACUGGUUGUCCUUGGCAAUGUCUUCCUCUCCUACUUCCUUGUGCAACGGCCUCGCCUCGCUUGCCAUCCUCACCAUGUGAUCUCUCUAGAAGCACUGGAAUGCAAGUUUUUUCUGAUGGCCUUCAACCAUCAUCGACACAUUUGAUGGCCGCCAUCCAAGAUGAUGUGCGUGCCUAGGUUUUUUCCAGCACAGAAGUACAGAAUGCGUUCAUCCCUGUAACAUGAACUUGUGUGCUUGGGGCUGAGCAUCCCCCUCUCUUCUUCUGCUCAUAUUGUACCCAACUAUGCCUCUUUGUGUACGUAGUUUGGGUAUGAACCCUGUAACUUUUGUUUUCUCUAGAAAUGCAAAGAUACACUCUCAAGCAUAUUCCAAAAAAGAGGCAUAGAUCAUUACCUGGCAUGGUGUUUACUCUCCUCGAGCAUUUACAUCCGAAUCUAACAAACUCGGCCUCCUAAAAUCCACGAACACGUCCACGGACAAUGACCGGUCACACCUCAAAUAUCCACGUCAACAACCGGAUAUAUCAUUGCAAAUCCUCAAAUCCAUACAAUUUCAUCCAACGUAAGAGCAUCUCCAACAACAACCCUACAAUAGGGUACACCAAAAACGGUUUUUGCAUCACUUGAGCCUCAAAACGAGCUCUAGCGGCCACCCUAAAUGCAAAAGAGAUGUGGUCCCACUUUAGGGCUGCCCAAAAAAACCAGCUCAAAGUGAUGUAUAUUUGCAUCGCACGCGGCCGUGCCCAAACGCAAACACGCAUCACACGGCUGGACAACUAUCAACUGAAACUUCCAUGCACGCAGCCACACCCACCUCUGCCUCCCGCGCCACCGCUUCCUCCAUACGGUCACGGCCCCGCUGCCGCCAGCACCGCCACCUACCCCGUUGCUUUGGAUGGAAUUGGGUACCCCGCCGGCUAGACAAUUCAAGAUCCAUCAUUGCACCACAUUCCCCGGUGAUUCAAAAGGAUCUCAGGGAGGAGUGGUGGAAAUGGCAUUGGGAACAACAUCCCUAGUUUCUUCUUAUCGUGUGGUGAAUAAUUUGUGUAUGAAAAAAUGUAAUGGAUAAUUUGAUGUUGUGGAUUGAUGAAUUUGAUGUUAUGUUUGUAGUAUUUGUUUCGAAAUCAUUUGAGAUGAGUUUGAUAUGAAUAUGUUUAAUACAUAUGCAAUUGUGGUGCCCAAUAUAGGACAACUGUUGGAGCAAAUUGGUGCCCAGUUAUAGGGUUGUUGUUGGAGCAAGAAAAAUUCAAGUGAUGCCAACACAACUUUUUUGAUGCCCAAUAACUACUUUUUGGUGUCCUAUUAUAGGGCUGCAUUUGGAGAUGCUCUAAAAUAAACAAACACACUUCAUCUCUAUCAGACACGUGACAUCAACUAGGUCAUCGUACAUACUACCUCACUGCCCUUGCUUUUGCCAUCUUUGUCGCGGAAGUAGCGGUCAAAGACGCAAUGUGGAUCAAACUAGAUCUGCUCACUGCCGGAGUUGUUUGAUCCGUCACCGGCCUCCUCGUCCUCCACUCAGGGGGGCAUUGUAGCGUUGGCACGAACCUCCUGGGUUUGCUCCUUUCAGAGGGCACAGUCCAUCUGGGCUUGCCAAUUCUUGAGGAUGCCGGCUCAGAGGGCAUCCCCGGUUGUGGACACGGCGUGUGACUCCGCCUCUGCUGCUUGCUGUGCCAUCUUCCUCGCCCUAUGUGUCCUUGACGCAACCACGGUUGGGCCAUUUACUAGCGUUUACCUUGGACUCAGAACCCAAUGUCACAGGGAUGAGGCUCUGCCGCAGGGAUUACGCAGCCAGCUCAGGGCCUUCCGCCACGGUCAUCUGACUGGAGCUACCGGCGCAGGAGGAUCCAAGCGCCACAUGUAUGGACACAAGAGAUUCCUGUUGGAUGGACUCGGUCCGCGGUCAAGCAGAUUCCUCCCUGGAGCGGCGGAGAGCCAUGCGGACGGUCAUCUCCUCGUCCCCGCAUGGAACGAUGUCCCAGUCGACGGAUCCAAAGAUCUCAGAGUUAGAUCCGCUGCACGUUGUGUUGAGGAGGCCGCAGAUCGUCGAAGAGGGGUUGUGGGACGAUGGAGCGACGCGAACUCAAAGUGAAGUAGAAUGGCAAGUGGCUAGUGUUUCAGCCGGAUGUUGAUAGGGUGGGCAUAUUUAUGGGGUCGGAAUGAUCCAGCGUGGGUUGUAUUUGUAUCUGAUGUAACGGAUGCGUCCGAGCGUCCCCAUAUUGUUCCCAGAUAUGGGACGGAUAUGAGAAGAUAUGGGCUUGAUAUGAGGGGUGCCGAUCAGCCCAGACAUAUAGAGAGGGAUGCGUAAUUUCUUGACAUGUUGCUGACCAGACCGUCCGCCCGGAUGUUUAGGGGCAAUAUAAAGGGUCCCGCUAUGGAUGCUCUUAGCAGAAACAAAUUUCCGCUGAAAAACUCUUCGGGUUCCUUUCAUUCCAAAUGUUACAAGCGACAUGAGCGGCAAUUGUGGUUCCCUUCAUCCUAUUUGUAAUGCACUAAUGUUCCUCAUCUCAGUUGAUUUGGCCCACCACCCAUUGAUAGAAGACAAUGACAGUUUUUUUUUUUUUUUGAGUCUGUAAAAAAGUUGGUACCGAUACGAAUAUACGAUCAACACCGUUUCGGAAGUCAACUAAACCCAGGAACACUUAGAUGCUUCCCACGCCGUGGAAUCAAAUUCAAAUAAGUAAUGAUUCAAUUGUGCCGAGGCGUACCAAAAUGACAUGGAGGCUUGACUAAUUUGGAUCGUGGGAGAAGAACGAUCAGAAGCUAGGCAUGGGUGCAAUCGGAAGGACUUGUACGUAAGCAUAUAUAGCAGCCGCUGCAAAUCUGCAAUGAACGGGGAGCUAAGUACCUAACCUGUUAUCGGUGUUCAUCUCGAGCUCUCCUGAAGCAGCCAUGGUCUCUAUGUCGUCGCCUGGCUUAGCCAAGUACGGAAUUGCGUCUGGAAAAUGGGGUAUCAGGAGAUAGCGAAGAGGUUUGCCUCCUACCUGAUACUAGUAGGUGUAAUAUUUGUUCUAGGUCCCUGCAAUAUUACAACGACACACUUCGCAUCCGCUAUCUGCGUCUGCGUGAAAAUUAAGCUGCAUAAAAUAAUGCAUGUUCAAUAAAAAAUAACUAUAUGAUAAGUCCGGUAAGAUUAUCAUUUUUCUUCUGCCAACUAUGUUUGACAUUGUGUAACCAUGGCAUCAUACUGCCCGAUUGAGAAAGCACCAUUUUAUCUAUUUAAUUCGAAGGAUCGAAGCAAUAGAAACUGCAGAAUAAUUUUCUUCGCUCUUAGAUUGAAAGUAAAAAAAAAAAAUUGAGUUUUUGCAAUCCAUCUAGACAUCAUUCUAGAAUUACUCCCUAAAGUAAUAUAAUAUUGUUUAAAUACUACAGAGGGAGUACUUAACAUCACGACUUUGCUUCACUUGUGUGGAUUUACUUGGAUUNNNNNNNNNNNNNNNNNNNNNNNNNNNNNNNNNNNNNNNNNNNNNNNNNNNNNNNNNNNNNNNNNNNNNNNNNNNNNNNNNNNNNNNNNNNNNNNNNNNNNNNNNNNNNNNNNNNNNNNNNNNNNNNNNNNNNNNNNNNNNNNNNNNNNNNNNNNNNNNNNNNNNNNNNNCAUUCAAAUUUGUAGACCACCCGGCGACGACUACAAGCAUUGAAGCGAGCCGAAGGCUGCCGUCAUCGCCCCUUCUUGUAGUAGAUAGUCAGGAAAUCUCCAUUUUAAGGCCCUAUAGAAUCAGCGCACCAGAACGGGCAACCGCCGUCGUGAAGAGAAGCUUAGAUCGGAAGGAUCUAACCGGUAGACACACGAACACACAUGAACAAAGACUGGAUCCACGUGGAUCCACCGAAGGCAAACACCGACCAAAUCCCGCAAAAUCCAAUGGAGUAAAAUCUCCACACGGCCACCAAUGACGCUAGAAGUACCACCUGGAUGGAGGCUAGGCGGAGAGAACCUUUUUCCAUCUUCAGAGAGCCCCCACCGUCUCAUCUCUCUGAGAAGAACACAAACCCUAAGAAAACUCAUAAAACCAUUAGAAACGAAGCUCUCCCACAUGCAAGGGCCGAGAUCCACCACGCCUCCAUGGCCCCCAAGGCCACAGGAGACGAGCCAGACCGGCGCUGGUGCCGGCAGGAGGCGGAAGGAACCCUAGCAGCGACUAGGUACGAGAGCCUCCUCAGGUUCUUCUGAUCGAACACCCACCACGUCUAUAGGAUUUAUGUGUUUUCUAAUCCUCGGUCUUGCAUAUAUGCCGGUCAUACUUCUAUAGUAUUUAUGUUAUUUAUAUGCUUUCAAAAUCCUUCGAAUCAAAGAGACAAAAGUAUCUUGUUCCUACUAUAAAUCACGAAACCUUCCAGGACCAAAUUAAUUAUCAUCUACGCUGCAACAUUCAUGUAGCAAACGAACAACACAAUGCGAACCAACAUAUGGUUUGAUGGUUAGAGGGACAGUGGUAUCCCCUGUCCACGAGGGUUCAAGCCCUGGUGCUCACAUUAUUCCUAGAUUUAUUACAGGAUUUCGGCAACGCGCUUUCAGUGGGAGAAGACGUCCCCGUCGACAACAAGGUGCAUAUGGUGACUUGAUAAAUCUAAAGAUGAUAUGCCGGCUCAGUCUCUCGAAGGUGCUUAUUGGAGUAGGGUGUGCGUGUUUAUAUUCAUAGGGAUGAGUGUAUGCGCAUAUAUGAGUGUUUGUGUCUGUACUGUGUUAAAAACAAUAUAUCUCCGUACCAUUAACAUGUACUACAUGUAGAGCCUACAAUUUCAGAAACCUCUGUGUGGCUGGUCAGAAUUUCCGACCAAAAGUAAUAGUUUGGGUACAAUUUUAAAUAAAAUAGUAACCAACAAUUAGAGAAAGAUACUUGAGAUUACCGCUCAACUCGGGUAUUUUUUUAGUUCAAUUAUUAGGAUAGGAUAUGUACACUGAUACUAUCUAGCGGCGAUUGGUUACGACUCCCUCCAUCUCAAAAUAUAAAAACGUUUUAACACUAACAUGGUGUCAAAAACGUUCUUAUAUUUUGGGACAGAGGGAGUAAUGUAUAAGAGAGAAGCACUCACCGCCGCCUCUUCCUCCUCCUAAAAAAUGCAGCUAGGGUUUCUGCCUCUCGCCGGCUCCGACGCAGGUCCGCCUCGUCUCCGGUGGCCCUAGGGCCAUCGAGGCGCGGUGGAUCUUGCCAAGGGCCGGCGGGAGGGCUUCGUUUUUAGUCGUUUCUUUCAAUUUUAUUAGGGUUUGUGUUCUGCUCAGGAAGACGAAACGGCGGCGGCUUUCUGAAGAUGGAAUAAAGGUCUCGCCGCCUAGCCCCCAUUUCAAUGGUGCGUCUAGCAUCAUUGGAGGGCGUGUGGAGGUGUGUCUCCGGCGGAUCUAUCUUUGGUGGAUUUGCUCGGAUCUCGUUGGUGUUCGUCUACGUUCGUGUGUCUUCGGAUUGGAUCCUUCUGAUCUAUGUUAUUCUUCAUCUGUGGUGAUUGCUGUUCUGGUGCGCUGGUCCUAUGGGGCCUUAGCACGACGACUUUUCGACUGACUACUACAACAAGUUGUGCCCGACUCUGACGAUGGAGGGGCGAUGACGGCGGCAUGCCUUCGGCUCGCUUUAGUGCUUGUAGUCGUCGCUAGGUGGUCUACGGAUCUAGAUGUAAUUUUUAUUAUUUUUGGUAUUCGUUGUACUGCCAUGAUUGAAGAUGAAUAGACCGGAAGAUUUCCCGCAAAAAAAAAAGAAAAAAAAGAAGCACUCACAAAAAAAAAGUGUAUAAGAGAGAAGCAAAAAAAAAGUUUGUUUAUAUUAUAGGCAUGCGAGUAUAAUAACUUCUGCUAUUUCUCUAAAUGAUAGAGAAGAAGCAAGAGAAGCAUGUUGUAUUUAUUUUAUCUUCGUCAAUACAAGCAAGCAAAGAUGGUUAAGCAACCCGGUAUGUCGAGACAACAAAGUCCUCAUCAACCGCGUGGAAACUAAUAGGACAUACUUAACGCGGUAAACUUGGGGUUUAACAUAAUUAAGCAAAAGUUUAGGAACGAUUGAGGAGAAAAUAAGCCUCGCGUGAGACGGAAGCAACCUCGUCUUGUGCAGCCUUGUGCUAAGUGCUAAGGCACUGGUCAACCAUUCCACAUCCCCCCACUUCGUCUCGAUACCGCACCUCCUGAGUUCGUUUUGCUUCCCAUGGCGGCUCUUGCCCAAGCUCCUAGCCCAGCAGAAUCCAUCGAUCCACCGACCAGGUACCAACAGCACGAUCAUCCUUUGCCGAAUUCUUUGAUCAAUUGUGUAGAUCUGCUGGCUGAUCGAUCUAUUUUACUAGUUCCAUUUUCAUCCUUAAUGGUCUAACUUGUAAUUGUUCCAGCUUCAUGAUAGUGCUUAUGCAACUGUGUCACUAAACGAAACGCAUAUGCUCAUACUCCGUAUGUGAAUACUGCUGUGAACAAAAUAACAUCAAGAUUAACUCACUCUUGUAAACUAGUUAACGUAGAUAUAUCUGUAUAUCUAGACAAAUUUAAAACAAGUAAUCUGGGAUGUAGAUAAUAUGUCGUAGUUGAACUCAAAAUUUUAUAGAACCAUCCAUAGUGUAUACAUCUCUUGUUUGCACAUCUCGGAAAUGCCUUAAAUUUUAACCAUGGUUUUGGUGGACGAGUGCAUCUUGUGACUUGACACGUAUCGUGGAUCCUGCAGAGACCAUCGCCAAAGUGUGACAGCCGCUGACGGGACUGGAAGAGGAAUGGUGUAUAACUUGGCUUAUUUGGAGCUCCCUAAAUGCGCGUCUUGGAGCCUUCCUGGUAAUACUAUUCAAUUGAUCGGCUCAAAAAAUGCAAAAUAAACACAAUCGAUGGAUAUAAAUUGAGUAAUGGUUACGGACCUAAGCCUAGCUACAUGCACUUUCCAAUAUACGAUAAAAGUGUUUCUUUUAAUAUCUUUGCUCCAGGUUUUAAAUAUUUGACCAAAACUAAGACUAAAACUUCAUGUUUUUUGGACUCAAAUUACUUUCACCGAGGGUGGGUUGCAGACAUGUACUCUUAUCUUGCUUUCAACCACUACUUUCUGUUAUAAUACAAUAAAAAAAUCAUAUAAAUCCGUACAUGUGCGCUGAAAAUAAGAUUUGAGAAAAUAUGCACAUGAUUCAUCGAAACACAUUAAUUUAAUGAUGGGUGAGUUAGCUUGCAGUUUGGCACUAGACGGAAUUCAUUAAGAUUGGAUAAAAUUUCCGUACUCAUUUAACUAUGAUUAACUGUAGGUGGGUUGUGUGUGCUGCAUGAGCUGGAAGAGUUGGGCUCUUUCUCGUCUGACAAGACUUCCGAGAUUUCUAAGCCUGGCCGUAGUGAUGAAGAGUUUAUUAUGGUGGGCUCAACGUAAGAGUUUAAUUGUACAAUUUUUGGCGUUGUACUCUUAUUUUUAUUUAAUGAAAUACACACAGCUUUCUUGCAUGGUUCAAAAAAAAAAUUUGUGAACCCCCUCUCCCAUCCCCAGUGGCCGCAUCCUUUCUUUCUUUUUAACGAAUCCAUAUUUCAGGUUUCGCAUGGAUGCACACAAUUUGGUCAAAACGGGUUGUGGCUCAGCUAAAUCUGACCUCAGUGUUGGGUUGAUUCUCUACACCUUGGUCACACGCGAUCACAAAAUUAUAAAUAAUGGUUAGUAUUCUAACUUUUCAGUCAUCACUUCCAUUUGAGAUUACCAUGAUUAGAGCAUGGCUAAUAGUAUAGCCAACUGCUGGAUAUAUGUUGUUAUCAUCUCAUAUAUAACCAAUAUUAGCCAGCAUGUGUAGUUGUUAGCUUCACUUUAUUAAUACCUAACCCACCUCACACUCUGACAAGUUUUGAAGCCCCUGUUGGAGCUGGCUCUUAUAAUUCAAAGUCUGCUUUCCUUCUCUCUCCUUCAACUCGGCAUAAAUAUAAUAUUUUAAAUCCUUAUAGCAUGCUUACAUCAUCUUAUCACACCUGUUCUGGUCAUAAUGCAAGUAUCAUAUAUAUUAGUAUCAUACAUAUGAUACUAAUGCAUAGUAUAUAUACUUCAUAGAUUGGUAUCAUAGUGAUCUCAUUUAUUGUCAUGCAUGACACAUAUGCGACAUAAUUUAAUAUGAUAUGGUAUCAUAUGUUGAUACCCAAUCCUCUUUUUCCUCAGUUAAUCGCGUGUCACCUCAACAAAAAGUCUAGUUGGCAUACAUGUCCUACCUAUGAUACUCUCAUUGUAACUAGUCUUAGUACAUAUGAAGAACUAAUCAUAUCCAUGACCACUCUACUUAAAUGUUAACAUAUAUACUAUGGCUUUGUAAUUGUUAGCUACAAUUGUACUUAUUGUUUUGGAAAUUGGAAGCUUUCAUUAUUAUGCCUCUGCAUCAAAUAAUCAUACAACCUAAUUGUAUUACAGCUUUUGUUGCAACCGAUAAGAAACAGGCAAAUUUUAACAUGGUCCCUCUUACUCCCUCUUUUUACAUAUGAGGUAAGAAGGUAAGAGUUAAUCAGGCCACUAAUUAAUGUAAUCGACGGCUCUGAUCUAUUUUAUACUCUUACCUCUCAUGUGAAAAGAGGAGGUAAGAGGGACCAUGUUAAAACUGCUCAAAAAGACAGUCAUAGAGAAAAUUAAAUGAGCACAAAAAAAGUAUAAUAAUAUGAAAUUUAUGCACACCAUAUGUUCUCAAACAAGAUCACACAAUUUAAUUGGCAGUGAACACGUGGAAAUGAACACCAUCACUCGAGACAUAGCAUUAAAAUUAGCCAGUUAUGGGAAAGAAAUUAAGUUAUAUUAUUGUAUUGAUAUAUUGCAGCACCCCUUGGUAAGCCUCACAGUUCUGAAUGCUCAAGGAGACUUGAAGUAUACACUAAUGAUGUAAGCGUAACCGAUAGACAAAAAGGAGAAAAACAUGACGGGAAUACAUUGAAGAGUACUGACGCUCGACUUGCCUUGAAGCGGAAGUCAUGCAAGAAUGACCUUGUGUCCAAAGGAAAUCAUGCACAUCCUGAUAAUGGUUUUGUUACUGAUUCAUCGGGUGAGACAUUUAAUCGUUCUCUUUUUGUUUGUCUUCAAGAACAAAUAGUCCAUAGUACUAGUAAAGCCUUAAACUGCCAUGUAAUAUAUGGUUCUGACGUUACUACACACUUUACCAGCCAAUUCCUAUGUGAUUGACCUUUUCGUCACUAAAUAUAGUUUAUAACAACAUGACUUUCCUAAAAGAUGUGCAGUCGGACAAUCAAACUACAACCUUUUGUUUGACUUUAAUGUUAACGCCCACAUGUGUGGCACGAAGCAACAUGACCCGAACGCCUUCAUUAUCAUUCAUUUUGCCACGUCAAAACAGAUGAUAUCAGCGGGAAUCUUUUUGGUUUUCGCCUUAAAAAUGUUUUAUCUUCUAAUUAAAAAUCCAUUUUCACCAUUAAAUCCAUCUAGACGAGAUUUAUAAAACUAGAUCCCAUGUUGAUAUGUUUCGACGAUUUUUUUUGCCAAAAGUUGUCAUGAUGUUUACACUAUAGUUGUCAUAGUGUUUACACUAAAGUUAACAUGAGAUGGCUUAUCUGUUUUUUUUAGAUUUAAAACUAUCGUUGUAUUUUAAACUACUUUUUACGACAAGUUUUAUUAAUUGACCAUGGCAAUUUUUAGUAAUUCACGGCAAAUUUAAUGCAUGGAUCAUGGCAAUUUUUAGUAAUCCAUCAUGGCAAAUUUAGUUUAUAGAUCAUGACUAUUUUAGUUUAUAGAUCAUGGCAAUUUUAGUGUUUUUGACCAUGGCAAUUCUAGUACUUGGACCAUGAAAAUUACUUUUUGUAUGAACCAUGGAAAUUUUAAGUGCAUUUAUCAUGGCAAAUUUAAGUAAUUCACCAUGGCAAUUUUAGUUUAUGGUUGGUUUUAUAAUAUGUCAAAAUUUACUUUUAAAAGUAGAAAAAAAAUAGCUGAAACAUAUCAUGACAACUUUAGUGUAAACACUAUGGUAAUUCAUGUGCAAUAUACAUGGCAACUUUUAACCCAAAAAAGGUUGUUGAAACAUAUUGGUGUGAGAUCUAGUUUCGAAGAUCUCGUCGCGAUGGAUUUAACGGUGAAAACAGAUUUUCAAUCAGAUUUUUCAUUUAAGAGAUAAAACAUUUUAAAAACUGGAAAUCCAAAAAGAUUCUCACAUGCAUGAAUGUGGUGACGUGGCGCAAUCUAUGUGUUAUAGGGUGUGUGGUCGUGUGUUGUUCACACCACACGUGUGAGCGUUAUCAGUGUCCUUGUUUAAUCACGAAAGAGAUAGUCACCUGACUCGGAUAUAAGUUGUUUGGCCAACAAUUACUCGACUAAAAUAUGUCAUUCUGUGAUAUAAAGUCACAAUCGUUAUUACUCUCCAAUAUAAUAACAUCAAUUUUUUUGUCACUUACACUACUCUGUCUAUAUGACAAAUAAGUGUUGUUUUGAACACUGAAAUUGUCUCAAAGGUGUAACUUUGACAACUAAUUACUAUUGAAUUGUAUGCACAAAAACCAAUAUAUUCUAAUACUCUGGAAGUACUUUUCAAGGCAAAUUUCGGCACAUGCUUUUCAGUUUUCCAAUCUGAAUAACUAAAAUUAUAUUUGUAAUCAUAAGUAGAAGUUUGGCAUAAAACAUGCCCAAAACAUUACGUAUUUGUGAUAAGGAUGAAGUAUAUAUAAAUACUGGAGAUAACUAUUGAUAAAUGUCUCAUCUUAGAAAAAUGAUGAAAACAUGUUACUUUUUUCGUGAAUACGCAAAGCUUGUGUAUUUUCCAUUGAUAGAAUAGAAUGAAAUGAGUACAAAGAAAAGGUACAACAUAUUGACACAAACACAAGUAGGCAUGAACAUGGUGCCUAGAGCAGUGGGCCAGGGAUGCUCGACCCAAAUAGAAGAUACAAUGCAGCUAAACCUAUGAAGCCCCCAUCUAGAGGGGCGGACCAAUCCAGCAUGAAAUCCAACAUCGCUCAAGCCAACACUAAGGACGGCACGAGCGACCAAGAUAUCGCCUUCAUGAAGGAAAACAACGUCGUGACACCGUCACCAUCCGAUCCGAAUAACCGAACCCAGGGUUUCCCCUUAGGUCGAAGAGGGGCACGGGAGGAGGCCAUGUCAGCGCCUCCAUGAAGGAAAACGACACCCAUGGGUGUCGUCGCUGCCAACACCAGCAAGCCGGGCAAAGAUUUCUCCUUGGCCAAAGCCUCAGUAGUCCCAACUCCCAAGCCACCAGGUACAGAAUCGGAGAAGAGGAUUCCACGGGUGGUCAAAACCUCCACGGCGGGAGGAGGGGUGGUGUGGCUGCACCUACCACCGGAGGGCGGCCCUGGGCGCCGCCGGACAAACGAGAGUUGGAACUAACACCAGGCAAGGCAUGGAGGUAUACAAGGUCGGGGAGGUGGUGAGGCAUAGAGAACCGAUGCAGGGGGUAGUGACGGCGUCCAGCGACACAAGCGAACUAGGAGCUGGAGAAACGUAGAUCCUAGGUGCCGGGGCCAUAGCCGUGAGGACACCGGUGAGUUGAAUGAGCUGGAAGGAGCGUAGACACCGGAUCGACGGGUCGGAGGCGCCGGCAAGCCACAAACACUGGAAAACGCGGGUUCGAAGCCGUCAGGGCCGGAGCAGCGCCAAAACCCACUGCGAGGCGCCAAGGUACAUCAUGCCACCAGAUCAAUGUGCCGCCGGGGCAGUCACUGCUGAGGAUAAGACCGUCGUUGCCUCGAGUAAUCGCCGUAAUGAGGGGCACCACAGAACACAAGGACGAAAGGUCCUCACUCGGUGCAGCGCCCGCGCUAAUCCCGAGCAGCGGCAACACCAGCAGCUGUUGAGCAUCACCGCUAGGGACGCGGGAGGCUGGACAGGAGGGGAGCAGCAGAAGCUGGGGGAGGCCACCAGCGCCGAAUAUCGGUGGCAUGGGAUGCGCGCGUUGGUGGGGACGGAGGGCAGGGGCACGCUGGAGAAGAAGAUGCCCCUCCGCCUGGGGAUGCCGCCCGCGCCGCCCACAAUCCAGAUCUCGUGAGGGAGGGAUGUAGCGCAGCGGCACAUCAGAUAGGAGAACUGCCCCACCGCCACCAUCCCGAGGUCCGCUUCGCUGGCCGGCCCUCCGGCGGCAGCGACGCGGGGGUGGGCAGCGGGAGGGAACCGGCCGGCAGCAGCUAGGGUUUCCCCCGGUUUGUCCGGAGACGCAGGGACCGGGUCAUGAAAACAUGUUACUCCGUGCAAAGAUAAAUAAAUUGCGCAGCUGUAUAACUUUUGUGCUAAUGCCUGAUUGCACACAGGUGAAACUAGUCUCAGCUUGAAUGCUGCAACUGAAACUCCAAUGCAUUAUCGGCCAGAGGGAGGACUCGUCCACAGGUAAAAUCUUCAUGUCCCUCCAAUCUGUGAUGUCAUGUGUUUUCAAUGUACUUGCUGGUAAUUUCUUUUUAACCUCGUUUGGAAAGGAUCACUCUGUAUCGUACUCGUAGUAGUACCCAAAAUUUGAGUACUCUCCUGCACAGACGCGAGUAUUCAAACGCGGGCCCAUGUGUACUGAAAAUACGUAGUGGAAAGUUAAUGGAGGUCAAAGCUAGAAAUAUUUGAAUUAUAGGAGUACUUGAGGGUUUAUUUGCAUUUUCCUCCCGAUAAAAGUGGGGAACCGAGCAGCGAGUCAGCGACUGCGGAACUCUUCGUGUGAUGGUGCUCCUGGUCGCCGGCUCCAGGUUCGCUACUUACUGCAACCUCGAUCUGCCACUGCCAUACAGGUUUUUUUUUUGUUUUUUUUAACGUCUGAUAAUCACCUCGGUUGCGGCCGGGGCCAAUCGCAUGAAAUUUCUCGAGCAAAGUUGCAAACCCCUUGGUUCUUCUUUUUCACUUUUAUGUAGUUUCCCCGAGCGAUUCUGGUUUCAAACCGUUUGUCUAUUUGGUUUUGAAUCGGAGGAGAUAGGAAGUUCAGGUUCUUCUAGAACUAGAUGAUGCCCGCGCGUUGCUGCGAGAAUUGGUUGCAAUAUAUUUUAAUGAGAUUUGAUUGUGUGGAAUAUAAAUUUUUAAAUUAACAACGCAUGAAUCAAAAUUAAAAAUACAUAUGACUUAAUAUAUUUGAUAAAAUAUUUAUUGAAUAUAAGCUAAACAAUAGAAUGAUAAUUAUUUUCCCAUGCAUGGUUGCAUGUGGUGGUGGGUCUUUAUGAUGCAUGGUUACAUGUUAAGGUGGACCUUAUUCCAUCCAUAAUUAUAUGAUGAUGUGGCAUGCUUGCAUGUUAAGAUAAAUAGUUUAGUGGGAUCAAUCUCUUAUGUACUUCCUUCGUUCCUAGUGGAAUCUCUCCAAAGACUUAUAUUUAGAAACGGAGGAAGUAUAUAAGAUAGGCUUCAUUUCUUUUCCAUACGAAUUUAACGGAAAUUAUUUCCAGAUGGGUCGAUGGGUGGUUUUUUUUUGUGCUGUAAGUCGGCGGGUGUUUCAAUUAACUCUGAGAAAUCUGCAGGAUAAUCUAUUCAUUUUAAUGUACAGAUGCAUUACAAUACCGUUGGCAAGUACUGUACUAUUAGUGAUAGGUUCCUCUGUUCGUAUUACGGUAUUAGCUCAUUCAUUUAUAGUGACAUCUCAUUCUCGUGUUAUGUUCAGCGGAGCACCUAGCCACCCUGCAGCUGCACAGGAAUCAGGCACAACACCACUGACCAAGACGCCCGGGGCCGCCUGGCUGGUUGCAUCUUCUGCCGCGAAUCACAUGACCGGCGACCUGAGCCAGCUGACGGAUUGCAUGCCCGCACCGGCCGAUCUCGUCGUCCAGGUUCCGAGCAUGGGACCAAGGCAAGUCCAAGACAUUGGGUCACUGAACACUCGGACAAUGUGUCUCCAGAAUGUGUACUACGUCCCUGGGCUCGACAAGAACCUGGUCUCCAGCAGCCAGCUCGCCAAACUUGGCUACACCAUCACCCUCGGUCCUUCGGAGUGCCGCGUCACCAAGAAUGAUCAGGGCCACACCCUUGUGGGGAAAGCUCAUUUCACCGAUGAUUACCUGUUCGAGCUGGACUUCCUCAGGGUUCCUCCCUCCACCAACUGAUGGUGCCCUGCCUGCCAUCUAUCGACUGUGUGGUCGUCACUGCCUACAUCAUAGAGGUUGGAGAGUAAUGAUGAAUAUAUGCAUACAUGCCGCAGUCUUGUUGUAAUAAUUACAUAUAAUGUGGAUGAUUAUGUCGUGAGAUUGGAGUGUUUUUAGAUAGUUACUGUGAUUUUCAGUACUCUACAUUCAUUAUACCCAGAACAUGCCAAUCUAACUACUCCUAUGUUGAAUCCAUGAAUGGCAUGUUUUGUUACAUGUUCAGUCUGUACUGCAAGAGGCUGUGUGUACUGGUCAUACUUCCCUUUUGCUGUUGGUUUGCUACAUGAAUGAUGCUGCCUAGACAGUAAUUAGCCUGGAGUGACUCUGGGUUUGAAGGUUUUCAUGGUUUCUAGCUUCUCUUGCGAACUCAACCUUCAUUUUGCAAAAUUGUUCCAUGCUGCUUGAAUCUCAUUCAGACAGGUUGUUAACAUUGGAACUGCUGGGUCUCGCUUAAGAAUGAGAUGUAGUAGUUGGAUUGGCAAGAACUUCCUCUGUUCAUUCCAAACAAUAUCACUCCAUUCUAUUCCUUUUUUGCUUUUUAAUCAUGACACAUGUAAACCGUCAUUUAGUUUGAUCUGUUACCAUGUUAUCUUACGAAGGGCCGUAGUCCGAUCUUGUUACCAUAUGAUAUUUCAGUGUGUUUAACAUUCUACCGCUGUCAAUUUGUUAUCGUAUCUAAUUUUCAGUCAGGUGUCGUCUUCGUUUUCUUAACUAGGCAUCCCUGAAUUUUUUGCCUGUUUUACCAUUGCUACUAUGCUGUCGUUGUUUAUGCAUCCAUCCUCGGCCGGCGAGACUCGCCUACAACUCUACUACAAGAUGUUGAGAUCACUACCAGUGAAUGCUUCUUGUAGCUGAAGAUUUCAGACAUGCCAUUUGAUUUUGGUAGUAAUUGCAAACGACCAACACAAACACGGAGGAAGCAUAUAUUUCUCCCCAAUGCCGUUAAGGUGAUCAGACUUAAAUAGUCACAGUUCAGUUCGACAAAAAAUACUGCCUCUGUUUCUACAUAUAAGCAUUUCAAUACGGACUGCAUAUGGAUGGAGUAGGAAAUAAGCUCCCGGAUCUACAAUACAAGCAAAAAUGAAAAACGCCAAAUCUUUCUGCUGCUGCUGCUACCACCCCCAGCAGCUGUUGUUGGCAAAUAGUUUUGCCACUUUUUUCUUUCCUUCUCCGGACUUGAGCAGAGAUCAACCCAGUAACAAACUUGACGAAUAAUAGGCUUACGGGGACUAGGACAUUGUCCCGGGAAACAAUUUCUUUGUCUUCCACAGGGUCCAAAUGAUUGCAGCAAAUCCCAACUUCCAUACUGUCACACAAACUGUGACAGAUUAUAUGUAACAGUUUGUGAAACCGACCAAACUGUGAAUAAUAGACACUUCUCUCUCAUUAGAGAAAGAGAGAUACAUGAGCACAAUUGCACAAAUACGACCAAAUUGGAUGAGACAGAAUACAUGAAUACAAACUGAGACCGCCAAAAGCAGAGUACAACUUCCGGUACGGCUGUUCUUGUAUUCAGAGUCUAUUAUAUUGUACUCACAUACAUAAAUACAUGAAAAGUGCUAUUAUUGUACUCAAAGGCAGGCUGUAAUAAUUUACCAUUCAGCAACAGUCUUCAUCCCUUUUUUGUUAGUGACUGCAAGAAAGUGCAAUCACAAUGAAGAAACUGUGUGGUCUUGUAGAUCAAGUCACAGACUAGUAAAUGGUUCUUAUAGAUAAGGUUCAGACAUAGCACACACUAAUAAUGCAAAUCAAGGAUAGCAGGGAAAUGACGACCAAUUAAACGAGAGAUAAAGGAGCACAACUACUAAUCCAGAGAUACAUGAGUACAAAACAGAGACUGAAGGAGAGUACAGAUUAGCUAGUGAGAUAAAAAAGCAUCAUAAUAAAGUUUAUUGCAGAGGAAUAUGCAUGGUAGUUUUCAAAGGAGAAGUGUCUUGAGAUGCUUUUUGAGGACACUCUUUUCUGUAUGUUCCGUGAUGAUCCAUACGAGGGUCGUGAGCUCGCCACCAUAGCUGAGCUGCUUGGCAUGAGAAUCCCUGCUGCACCGGAGGGACGCAAACAUGAGCAGACGCACCCACGCAUCCAGGAUGAACUCCAACAUGCCUUCUGUGCCCCCAGGAAGUUCAUUCGCCAAACCUGGAAUCCAGUGUGCAUGUCCUUUCAACAUAUGUUCCUCUGCUUUCAUAAUCAUUCUUUCACCAUACUUGGGCCGUGGACUUAGCAGCUUCCCAGCAAGUUGAGUUCCUGCCAAGAUGCAAAUACUAGCUGUGCGCUCGAGAUGAUUAGUAGUACUAACUACGAGGGUUCUAAGAUGAUCCUUGUGGUCCAGCAUCCACAUGGAAAGCUUCUCUUUCCCUGUAUAACCACUGGAACUAGAUUCCCUGGCCAGCAUCUUAAGCAAACUGAGGGUUGUUUUGUACAUGGUGUGGAACUUACGGCCUGGUAGCAUGUUGUGGUUUGCAGUGGCGAGGAACAUCAUGUAAUCUGACAACUCCUUGAUCCCCUUCACAUGUUCCUCGAGCACUCCUCCGAUGAUCUUCGGGCUGCACAAGAGGAAGAUGUCUGUGGCAAUGUGCCAGAUAAGAAUAACCUCUUGAAAUUCAGGAGGAAAGGACAUGUCUUCGUCUGACUGGUCAAUAGUGCGAGCAGCUUUCUCGUCCAUGUCAGGCCGUGCCCCAUCAUAGUUGGAACCGGUGUGGGCAUGCCUCCGUAGAUAAACUCGCUCAUAAGCUUCAGGAAGGGCUCGAUCAUACCUCCGGUGAUCAGUCUGUUGCUCAUACAGUUCAGGCAGGGCUUGACCGUACAUGAAAUUGGCGUGACCAAGGCUCCAGUGAUCAACUUGCUCGGAGUGAAUGGGCAUUGACUGUGCAGCUUGCACAUUUUGUUCCAGAUCAACAGGAGUGAGUCUCAUACCGACAGGGUCCUUCUGACUGGGGUCAGGCAGCCCAGGAGGAUCAUCUUCCAUAUUGUCGACAAACUGCACUGCAGGAGCAAAAAACUGUGUGCAUACGUGUUUUAACUUCAGCUCCCUGACAUAGUCUGGACUCCUAAGGCCGCUCGGCUGAUCUUCCCAUCCAAUCUUCUUCAGCAGUCCAAAUCUGCUGUAUAGGGUGUCCCAGCCACGAGUGCACUCAGACAACAUGUUGCGCCCCUGGAACUUGCCCUGCCACCUCCUGUAGCUUUUCGGUUCCUUUGCACAUUCACAUGUCCCCAACCACAUGGAGAGCCGGGAAAGACCCAGAGGCACGACAAACCGGCGGAGAUUCUCCCAUCUCUCCAGGCACCAAAAUUCAUGCUUCAACCAAUUGUUUUGCAUAUGUUUGAAGUAUGAAUGUGUCCAGGCUGACGUUACUGCACUGAGCAAGCAUCUCACAUCAAGGAGGAAGGUCGUCACCAACAAUACAUAACUGAUAACUGUAUCUUCCGUCUUCAAGGAGUUCUUCAAGCCCUCUUUGCACUGGAGGCCAAACAGCAGGAGCGCGAUGGCGGUAAGGAAUGGCGAGGCCAGACGGAUGGCGUAGCCAUGCCAGGUGUGGACUACGGCUGCCUUGGUGUAGAGGAUGUCAUACAUAAGGGAGAGUUCCAUCUCCACCACCUUGCACAUACUCUCCCAUCUACCAGAGAACAUGCUUAUGCCGGUUUUAUGAUGACGCAGGUCCACCGGAUAAUCGGAAAAGGCACCCUUGCAAAUAUCGAACAGGUCGUGAGCAACCAGCAGGGCUUUCUCAUCUUCUAGCACCUGCUCCCUGCCUCCACCAUAAUCAUCACCAAAGCUACUUGGGUGCUGCCGCUGUCGCUGCUGCUUGAAUGACCUCCAGAUGUAGCCCAAGUCGGCUCGCCAUAGCGCCACCCCACUCUCUAUAUACUUGAAAAUGCCCAAGAACAACAUGAUGCAGGAGGCCCAGCGCAACAAUCCGGUACUAUAGUCCGCAAGUAUAUACCUGCACAUAAGGUAGAUGGAUCCCAAGGUUUGAAAGGGAACAACUAUCGUUAGGCGCGCCGAGAGCCCACUGUCCCCCAUGCUGUAGGCGCUGAUGUUAUCAGGGCGAGCGUUGUGUAGCAAGAGGAACGGCACCCAGAAGGCGAAGAUCAUCUUCUUGCGCGGCGAGGUUUCGAUGUACAGGUUGCCCAUGAUAUAUGCUGGGGCCCAGUCGGUCAGCUGGUAUGCCACCCACACCAACCCUCUCCUCAAACUUCUGCUUUUGCGCCGGCGGAUGUCGGCGAAGACGACAAGGAUAAGAUGUGACGCUAAGCUGAGAAGCGCCACUGUCCGGUACAUCCAGUUGCUCCACCCAUCGACCGCCUGCUCUAUCCAUGGUCCCGCAAAAAAGCAUGUACUAGCCAUUAAGUGCUCCUGUCCUGCAUGCACCGAAAUUCAGAUUAGCUAUACUAUAUCAGUUUUUUUUUCAACAUGAGGAUAACCCCCGGCCUCUGGAUUGACCGAUGCACAUAGCCAUACACUAUAACUAGAUCAUAUAUAUGUGUAAAACAUCUACUAGUAGUAGUAUGUAGUCUAGCUAGCUGUUACUGUUAUCGAGAUGUUGCAUCCAUGCUAGAGAGAGGAUAAUAAGGAACAAAAAACAAGGAUCAAGUACAUACGUACCGGCAUGCACCAGCUAGCUAGGCAGAUCAAUGCUUCGACCUUCCAGUGGAGACAUGAGACAAGUGUUGUUCUCGAGUCCUGUCUCUAGAGAUGGGACUGGCAUAUGAGCAGUCCUAAGUUGAUCCACUAAUAGCUUUACCUGUAGAGAGCUAGUUAGGUUCAGUAUUGUGUUUAAACUUUGUACUGACCUGUUAAACUAUAGCUAUUGUGCAUCAAUAUUCGCUUGAAGUCCUAAGAAAACACAAGGUUGUCAGGGACGGUUUUCUUUGGCUGGGGUUGUUGUCGAUCUGAAUUGAGGAUGUCAGUGAUUGGCAGAUCCAGUCUGCAAAAUUUGUCCUACUUACUAGGACAGCUGAUCAACAUUGUUCAUAGCUCCACUUCCUAGUCUACACACUAGCUAGCAGCCAGAAACAAAAACUAAUGACAGUGGUAACCAACAAUCACCGAGGAAACCGGCAGAGUCACAUGCUUACACAUGCACUGAACUUUUUUUUUUGAUCAAAGAAGGACACAUGCACUGAACUGAAGCUCAAGAUGAUAAGUACUGUAUAUCUGACUGGCUAUCUAGUACUAGAAGGGAUUGCUUAUUUGUGCUAGAACAACAGAGAAAAUUGCUUAUUUGUGCCUCACAAACGCUCUUGGGAAUCCUACUCAGGCAUAUAUAUUUUUUCCAUUAGUGUCAAAUAUGCAAAAACAAUGUACUCCUAAAGUCUGGCUACUAAUCGUCCCCGUGCGAGGAAACAGAGAAAUUGAGAGAGCGCUCACCGAAAUCAGUGGAGUGGCGCUUCGACAUAUACAGGAACUCGGCAUACUCCUGCUCCCGGCCAUGCCGGAGACCGCGGCACACGAAAUCUUGAACAAUGCAAUGGAGAAGGGCGCAAAAUGCAAGGCCAUACCGCUGCCUUGCGGUCCUCCUCGCGGCCACCGGCCAGCCGCUUCAGGUCAGGGACCGAGCGCGGAAGGGCGCCGCCGCCUCCUCGAUUCCCUUCUCGGUGGUCGGCUCGGCGCACGCGGUAGAGGGUGGUGUCCUCCUUGGCCUCCCCUACAGGAUCCGGUGCCGCCGUACAGGGGAGGUGGGCGAGAUUUUUCUUUCUUUAGGAUCUGGAGGCGGGCGCGAGUAUGACUUGCUUGUAGCGAGACAGAAGCGGACGAUAAUCGGUCGGCCCGCUGGUGAUCCACAACCUCAAAACAUAUACUCCCUCUGUAAACUAAUAUAAGAGCGUUUAGAUCACUAUUUUAAUUAUCUAAAUGCUCUUAUAUUAGUUUACGGAGGGAGUACUCCGUAACAAUGUAGUAGAUCCGGAGGGAGUAUAUGACACAAUGUUAAACGUGUAUAUUUUUUUAUGAUUUAUAUAAAAAAUGUAUAAAACAAAAUAUAUAUUUUGAAAAAGUUUGUGCAGUGUUAAAAAAAUGUUCGUGCAACUUUUGAAAAAUGGUGAUAGCAUUUGAAAAAAAUGUUUCAACACGUAAUUGAAAAAAUGCUUAAUACUCCGUAAAGAAAUAUAAAAGCGUUUAGAUCACUACUUAUAUUCCUUUACAGAGGGAGUACAUAUGAGAACAACAAUGUUCAAAAACACGUGUUUAAAAGAAUGUUCAUCAUGUACUUGAAAAAUGUUAAACAUAUACUCUAUAUCUAGGAACGGAGGGAGUAUAAAAUAAAUGUUAAUGGGACUGAGAGAGUAGCAUAUACUCCGUCUCAUAUUAAUUGUCGCUCAAUGAAUGUAUUUAGACGUAUUUUAGUGCUAGAUAGAUCAGAUUGAGUGUUAUUAGUAUAUGAGACAGGAGGGAGUAUAAACUAAAAGUAGUAGUGAGUUAUGCGAAAGUGCUAUUGUGAGCUCGAGCUCACAGGCACCCUUUGCUACAGUACAAACAAAAAAUAUAUUUAAAAAGUUCAAAAAAAUCUGAAUUUUUUUGGCAACAAACAUUGAUAUAAUUUUCACAUGCGUACAAAUUUUCAUGACAAAAUGACAUUCAUGCAGGUCUCAGCAAAAAAAACAAAAUCGAUGCUCCAAAAUGCUUCCAAAAACAGUUUUUUUGGAGCAUGAUUUUGUUUUUUUGCUGACACCUCCACAAAUGUCAUUUCAUCACGAAAAUUGGCACGCAUGUAGAAAAAAUAUCAAAGUUUCUUGACAAAAAAGUUCAGAUUUUUUUGAAUUAUUUUACUAUUUUUUUGGAUUUUACUGUUCAUCCGGGAUCACUGGUGCCCGGGAUCAAUUCCUCCGCGUCCUGAGUUAUGUGUCUUUACGGGAGCUGCGUACAAAGGCCAAAUCAGCAGGGAGGUAACAGCCACAGAAGUUUGCGCACUAAAACACUGUACUAGGACCCAGAAGGCAAGAAUGGUAGCAGGCCACUUUGAAGAUGCUCCCGCCGCAAUCCACGCCCUCUACUUGCUGCACCUGCUCCAGGGCCAGCCCCAGCACGAGCAAACACACGAUCGCACUCUCCAGGCCCCUCUUGCUUCCUCCCAUGGCUC